AAGCAUUGAAAAGGUUAGUAUCAAUAAAUGCGUUAGCUUGAUGCAGCUUUGAUGAAGGAUGAGAUUCAUUUUUUCACCAAUAUGGUAUGUUCUCUGAUCAUUUACUUGAAAUAUCUUGGUCUUUAAAUCCCAUGCCAAUGCUUUAACAUUUUGACAGGUACUUUCCUGAAGGCAUUGAUAUAUAUUUUGAAAACGUUGGCGGAAAAAUGCUUGAUGCAGUGCUACUCAACAUGAAAAUCCAUGGUCGCAUUGCUGUAUGCGGAAUGAUCUCACAGUACAAUCUUGACAGGCCUGAAGGUGUACACAACUUGAUGUAUCUUGUUACGAAACGGGUUCGAAUGGAAGGAUUUCUUGUUCGCGAUUACUAUCACCUCUAUCCAAAGUUUCUGGAAAUGAUCAUUCCUCACAUCAAAGAAGGGAAGAUUGUAUAUGUCGAAGACAUGGCUGAAGGUCUCGAGAGUGCUCCGGCUGCUCUCAUCGGUCUAUUCUCUGGCCGGAAUGUUGGGAAACAGGUGGUUGCAGUUGCUCCUGAAUGAAGAAUAAGUUAGUGUUGCAUGUUCUUUUACCCUUGGACACAAAACUUCAAUGUGAAAGAGAGAAUGCUGCUCAUACUGCUUUAUAAAACAAUCAAAUGAGUGCAAGUUCCAUGGUGUUUGCUGAAUCAAAUAUUGGAAAUUAAGCAGCUAGCCUAUCUCCUUCUUGUAGUUGCAGUUUGAAUGACGCUGCUGCACAACUGCUGCCAAAAGAAUCCUUAAUGGAUGAUUAGCAAGGUUUCAAAAAUAUAAAUAAAUGUUAGUGCAAUGUGCUGAAUAUGACAGCCACAAAGAAAGAGCAUACAAAUUGAUUGGUUUUAUGUCCUCUCUAGGAGAAAGGUACAAUACAAGAAAUUGUAUUGAUGGAGACAUGGAACCAAAUUUCUUAUUUAAAACGUUUAAUUUUUUUUUAUUAAAUUACUUAUGUUAUUAUGGUUUAUAUUUUAGAAAUUCUUUUGAAAUUAAUACAGAACUAGAAGUAAGUUGAGAAAUCAAACAAAUCUUUUUACUGAAUGGUCAAGAUUUGAUUAUGUUUAUUGAAUUAAAUUUACAAUCAUCAUUUUGAUAAAUUGUGGUCAAAGAAUUUGAUUCAUGACAGGUUUAAGUAACUAAAUGUGUUAAAAAAAAGCUUAGGCACUGUUUGAUAUUCAUGACAGGUUUGAUAUCAUUUUCCUUUUAAUUCCACCUGUGCAGCACGUGAGCAUUCUCUUUAUCCUUCUAUUUGAGCAAGCGUGGACCAUAACACUCCGCUCAGAACUUACUCGGGUUUUUUAUUUAAAUAUCCUCAAUUUACCCUUAAAUGCCAAAUUUAUACCCUAUUACAUACAUAUACCUCAUGAAGAUAGGAAAAGUAAAAAAUAACCUUAAAAAAACUAAGAAUUCACAUCUUUCUUCCCCCCAUGGCUUCUAUUUUUCGGACUUCUCUCACCAUUCUCUAUUUUUCUUCUCAACAUUUCCCUCUUUAUUUUAUUCUCUUCUCACCAUUUUCCCUCUUUGACAGUUUCCUUCUAUCUCUCCAUUUCAUUAUUUGACAGUUUCCUUACUUGACUUUAGCUCCAAUACAAAGGUUUUUGAUAAAAAUAAACAGUUAAGAAGGUGCAUUAUCAAGGUAUGUUUGAAAUACAUUCUAUUUAUAUGGUUAGGUUUUGAUUUCAUUUCAUUAUAAGUGUACUUGCUAAUGAUUUAUGAAUUUUAGUAGUACAUUAUUCAUUUUUUGUGCUUGCACACACACUAUUUCAUAGAAUGUAGGGAUUUAAGAUUACGUUUAAGUUAUGAGUGAUUGAAGAAUCAGUGCAGGAAGAAGUCGGGUAAAUCGAGAAUUUAGUCGAGUAAGAAUUGGAGAUAAGUAAGUCGAGUAUAUGGUCGGGUAAGAAGUCGAGUAAGAAUAUUAAAUGAGUCGAGUAAGCAUAUUAAAUAAGUCGAGUAUAUGGUCGGGUAAGAAGUCGAGUAAGAAUAUUAAAUGAGUAGAGUAAGCAUAUUAACUAAGUCGAGUAUAUGGUCGGGUAAGAAGUCGAGUAAGAAUAUCAAAUGAGUCGAGUAAGCAUAUUAAAUAAGUCGGGUAUAUGGUCGGGUAAGAAGUCGAGUAAGAAUAUUAAAUAAGUCGAGUAAGAAUAUUAAAUGAGUCGAGUAUAUGGUCCAGUAAGAAGUCGAAUAAGAAUAUUAAAUAAGUCGAGUAUAUGGUCCGGUAAAAAGUCGAGUAAGAAUAUUAAAUGAGUCGAGUAAACAUAUUAAAUAAGUCGAGUAUAUGGUCGGGUAAGAAGUGGAGUAAGAAUAUCAAAUGAGUCGAGUAAGCAUAUUAAAUAAGUCGGGUAUAUGGUCGGGUAAGAAGUCGAGUAAGAAUAUUAAAUGAGUCGAGUAAGCAUAUUAACUAAGUCGAAUAUAUAGUCCGGUAAGAAGUCGAGUAAGAAUAUUAAAUUAGUCGAGUAAAGUAUAUUAAAUAAGUUGAGUAUAUGGUCCAGUAAGAAGUCGAGUAAGAAUAUUAAAUUAGUCGAGUAAAGUAUAUUAAAUAAGUUGAGUAUAUGGUCCAGUAAUGAGUCGAGUAAGUAUAUUAAAUAAGUCGAGUAUAUGGUCGGGUAAGAAGUCGAGUAAGAAUAUCAAAUGAGUUGAGUAAGCAUAUUAAAUAAGUCGGGUAUAUGGUCGGGUAAGAAGUCGAGUAAGAAUAUUAAAUAAGUUGAGUAAUGUUUUAAAUAAGUCAGGUAAAUGUCAAGUAAGUUUUUUAACACGUCGGGUAAGAGCUACGUAAUAAUGUUGAGUAAAAAUUCACAUAAUAAAGUCAAGUAAGUGUAUUGAAUAAGUCAAGUAUUAAGUCGAGUAAAUGUCAAGUAAGUUAUUUAACACAUUGGGUAAGAGGUGAGUAAUAAUGUUCAACAAAAAGUCACUUGAUCAAGUUGAAUAUGUCAAGUAUUAAGUCGAGUAAUAUUUAUAACAAAUCAAAUAAAAGUUGAGUAAUUUAUUACAAUUAAAGUAAAAGUUAUGUAAAUUUUUAAAGAAGUCGAGUUAGAAGUCGGGUAAGUCGAGUAUUUUGAUGAGUAAAAAAUGAGUUGAGUAAGUCAAGUAAGAAGUCGAGUUAGUGUGUUGAAUGUCAAGUAUUAAGUCGAGUAAUUUUUAAAAAUAAGUCGAGUAAACGUCAAGUUAUGAACAAGUUGAGUCAUAAGGUCGAGUAAGUCACUUAAUCCAUUUUUUUUUUUACUAAAAUUUUUACAAUGAUGGCAGUGUCUUCACUCGUUAAUGGCAACUGUACGUGUUCCUAUAUUGUAUAAUGGUGAAUGGACUCAGGAAAAUGGUGAAUAUAGAUUUACCGGUACUCAGAUACGGGGUAUUAAAGUGCCACAUUCAACUACACUUGAGCAACUUGUCGAAAAAGUGGCAGAAGUGAUUUCUAUUGACCUUUCUGAAUUUGUUAUUAGCAUGAAGUUCAAGUUCAAAACAUCGUCAGAGCCUUUGCCACCUAUGGAAAUUUUGAAUGAUUGUGAUGUAGAAUUUUUUUUGGAAGAAACUAAUAGCGGUUUCAGAAAUCCUCUCUGCAUCACUUAUGAACGUAGGGUAAAUAUUAUCGAGCCUAAUGGCGAUAUAAGGGCAGAGAAUAGUCCACCUACAAGACACCUUUCUUGGGAGGAGAGUCACUAUUAUCCAACCGUUGAUUUAUCAGCUUCCCAACCUGAAGUUGACAGAGUUAGAAUAAAAGAUGAUAGUUUUAUUCCUCAUCCAACCGAGGUCCAUCUUGAUGUCGAAGACAGAAUGGUACCGGAUAUUGAAGCACGAACUGUCCAUCUUGAAGCCGAAGACAUGACACUACCGAAUAUUGAAGUAAGAACUGAUAGUCCACCGGUGUUGACCAUAAUUCAGCCACGGUGUAGUAACAACUAUUUGCCGAGACUUGGUUUGCUGGCUAGUAGUAAUUCAAUAAGCACAAAUGAUUCGUUUCUUAGUGUUGAUAAUUUAGUAUCAAAUGAAAUUGGUGAUGAUAGCGAUGGAUUUAUGGAAAGACAACAAUUUUCCUCCAAAGAGGUCUUGCAAGGCAAGCUCAGUGCAUAUGCUAUAACAAGAAAUUUUGAAUAUAAAACAUUUAUGUCUGGUAAGAAUCUACUUGUUGUCACUUGCGUGGAUAAAAACUAUAAAUGGCGUCUUCGUGCUGUUAAGGUCAAUAAUUGUGGUAUGUUCGAAAUUAGGAAGUAUUGCCAUGUACAUUCUUGUUCCCAUGAUGUCUUGAUGAAAGAUCAUCGCCAAGCUUCUGCGAAACUAAUUGCCCAAAAUAUUCAGUUUAAGUAUGAUGGUUCAUCUUCUUCAUAUAGGGCUGCAGACAUUAGACAAGAUUUUCAGCAACAAUAUAAUUAUGAUAUAAGUUAUCACAAAGCAUGGAGAGCAAGGGAAUGUGCAAUGCAAAUUGUUCGAGGUUCACCUGAAGAGUCUUACAAAUUGCUUCCACAAUAUAUGGCAAUGCUUGAGAAAAAGAAUAUUGGGACUCAAACUUUUCUUGAGGUUGAUGACACAAAUCACUUCAAGUACUUCUUCAUGGCAAUAAGUAGUUCUUUAAGGGGAUUUUCUUCUUCCAUUAGACCAGUUAUUGCAGUUGAUGGUACCUUUUUCAAAGGAAAAUAUAAAGGAACUAUGUUCAUUGCCACAUGCAAGGAUGGUAACAAUCAAAUUUAUCCAUUAACUUUCGGUGUCGGUGAUAGUGAGAACGAUGCAUCUUGGUUGUGGUUUUUCACAAAGUUGAGGGAAUCAAUUGGGGAAGUUGAAAAUUUAGUUUUCAUUUCUGACCGCCAUCCAAGUAUUAAAAAAUCUGUAUCUACUGUGUUCCCGAAUGCAACCUAUGGAGUUUGUACAUAUCACUUAAAGCAAAACCUUAGGGCUCACUUUAAAGAUGUUGAUGUUGGUGGUAUAUUUAAAGCGGCUUCAAAAGCUUAUCGACUAACACACUUCAUAUAUUAUAUGAAUGAGAUAUAUAAGGUCAGCGAAACAGUUGGAAAGUAUCUUGAGGAGGCAGGGAUUGAUAAGUGGGCACGUUCGCACUUCGACGGACGACGUUACAGUAUUAUGAAUACCAACAUUGCUGAAUGCAUGAAUGAGAUUUUAAAAUAUGAUCGAUUGUUACCUAUUCAUAAACUAAUGGAUGGGAUAAUUGACAAACUACGAGAGUCGUUUUGUAAGCGUCGUGAAGAGGCUGCGGCUACAAAUAGUCGACUGACAAAAUGGGCAGAUAAGGUAGUGAGAAAUAGACAAAUUGUCUCUCAAAAUUUUCGAGUGAUCAACUUAAAUCUAUAUGAAUUUAUUGUCAAAGAUGGUGAUCUUGAUGGGCAUGUGAAUAUGUUAGAAAAAACUUGCACUUGUCAGAAAUUCCAACUUGAACAAUUACCAUGUGUACAUGAUGUGGCAGUGUGUAGGCAUCGAGAUUUUUCAAUCUAUGAUUACUGCUCCUAUUACUAUUCAAGUGAUGCAUGGGUGUUAGCAUAUUCUGAGACUAUUUAUCAUGUUGGUCCUCAAGAGGGGUGGGAUGUUUGUGGUGACGUAUGUGCCCGCGAAGUACAUCCUUCUCUAGAAAAGCGGUCAAGUGGGCGUCCAAAAAAUAAUAGAAUACCAUCUAGGGGUGAGGAAAAGGUGCCUCGUAAAUGCAGUCGGUGUGGUGGUCGUGGACACAAUCGACUCAAAUGCAUGACGCCAAUGUCAUUACAUGAGUGGUACCUUGUUUUAAAUUUAUAUGCAAUGUAAGUGUCUCAAUUCUUGGUAUUCAUUUAUGUUUUAUUUAUUUCGUUAAUGCUGUUUAAAUAUGUACUAAAUUUAACAUUAUGUGUACAGGGCUUGACGGAGGAUUUAGCUUGUAUGUUGUCUUUAAAUGGUGGCAUCAUAGAUUUUUGGGUUAUGGCUUGAGUUCUUGGAGCAAUUAAAGGACUAUGCUAAGUCAUUGUAUAAGGAUUUUCGUAUUGAAAUUGCAUAAGGAUGAAUUUACUAGUUGCUAUUUAAUGUUUCCUGGAUAAGGAUCAAUUUACUAGUUGCUAUUUACUAGUUGAAAUUGUAUAAGGAUGAAAUAGAAUUGUAUUUAAUGUUUCCUGGAUAAUUUAAAGUUGUUGCAGAAAAAAGUCGAGUGUUUCCUGUUAUUUACCCGACUACACUGAAAAAGUCAAGUAUUUCCCGUUAUUUACUUGACUUCGAUGAAAAUAAUUUACAUUUACUGAACUUCGAGGAGAUGAGAAUUUUUGUUCAAUAUUUUGCAAGGUCACAUCAAAGUCGAGUAUUCUCGACCUCAUACCCGACUUGGAUGUCGAGAAUUUUCGUUUAAUCUGACGCAAUGUUACAUUAAAGCCGAGUAUUUUUGACCUCAUACCCGACUUUGGUGAGAGGAGAAUUUUCGUUCAAUGUUAGAGAAGAUUGCAAUAUAAGUCAAGUUUUCUCGACUGUUUACCUGACUUCGAUGUGGAGAAAUUUUAUUUAAUGUUAGGCAAUAUUACAUUAAAAGUCGAGUUUUCCCGACUGUUGACCCAACUUCGAUGAGGAGAAAUUUGUUUAAUGUUAGGCAAUAUUACACUAAAAAUUGAGUUUUCUCGACUGUUUAAACUGUUUACCCGACUUCGAUGAGGAGAAAUUUUUUUCAAUGUUAGGCAAGAUUACAUUCAAAGCCGAGUAUUCCCGACUAUUUUCCUAACUUUGCUGAAGGAAGUCGAGAGUUAAGUCAAUCAGAGGAGAAUUUUUUAGGCAAGCGUACAUUGAAGUAUGAGAAUCAAAAUACCAGACUUUGAUGAAAUAAGUUGAGUAUACUCGACUCUUUACCCGACCUACAUAAAAAAGUAUAAAAUUUUUUAGAAGACUUAAUGCUGACUAAAUAAUAACAAAAACUAAAAUAUUUUACUUAUUCACACAUUUACAACAAUACAAGUCAGUUCAUAAGGUUUUGAUUAACAUUAUCCCAAAAGUUAAACUACAAACUAAUACGAAGUCGAGUAUUCUUGAUUAUCCAAAACAAUGAACUUCUUGUCAUCAUCAAUCGCACUCCUCUAUCAACUUCUUGUCAGAAAACAACCUUGUUGCCACUUGUUUUCGGUAUGAGUUAAUGCCUGCUUGUGUACGAACGUCAUAUGAAAUGUCUAGACCAUAUACAAGUGCCUCCAAAUAAAACAUAACAAAAGCCCCACAAUCAUUGCUGCAAGAGAUAAAUAGAAAGUGAUAGUUAUUUGAUAUUACAUAACUCAAUGGAUAAUAUAAGAGGGGCAACAAUAUUUCUUACUUGUUUUUUUGUUGUGGGAUGUCUGAAACUCGCACAGCCUUCCACUUACGAGUUAGAGAAUUAUUAUCAGAAUGUGAAGUAUAACAUGAGAUCCUAUCUAGAAUCAAUGGCAUCAUAACUACAAACGGCAACAAUUCCUUCUCAAAUGAACUAUCAUUCAUAUAAUCUAACAUGGAGUCAUACACAAAAAUUAUCUCCUUUUGAAGGUCAAAUUGUGCUAGUGCCCAAUGAUCUUGCUUAGGAUGAAGCGAAAUAUAUACCUACAGAAAAAACUAUGUAAACCACCAAAUGGAGAAAAAAAACUAUAGUCAACAUGUCAAAUAAAUAUAAGCAACUUACUUUGGAAACAUCUUUCCAAUGAGCAGCACAUUUAAGUUUUUCACCCUUGGCAUAAUCAACGACAUAAUUAGUAGCAUUAUUUGUCCAUACUUUUUCAGGGUUGAUCAUGUAAACUGAAUACAGAUGCUCUAACUUUUGCUAUCAUUACAGAAAAUAAAAGUGUAAGUGUCUUAUAUAUUUUAUAUUUUCCUAUAUGUUUUAUAAAUGUAAUAAAAAACUCACUUGAUAUAUAGUGUCCAUUAUGGCACAAGAUGGGGAGUUGACCAAGCUGUGUCGUACAGCAUAAAAAAAAGAGUCCAAGUGAUGUAGAUAAUAAACAAUAGUUAUUAUAUGCAUUGUUUAACAUAUUCAUUAAAGUAUCUAACAAAAAUUAUUACUACGCUAGAUAUCCAUGAUCUUGGUUUGCAUAAUAGACGGAAAAAGUCUUUAUCUGCGUCGUGGACGGGCCACCUUAUUAUCAAACUACCAUAAAAAAUAAGAAAUAUUAUUACAUAACAACUUGAAUAAAUAUAAUUAACCCUAAAAUAAGAAUAAAAGAAGAAAUAAAUAUAAUUAACUCUAAAACAAAAAAAAAAGAAUAAAAGAAACUUACGGCUCCAUAUUGCCAUUACGCAUCCAAUCAUCAAAGUUUAUUGGAUCUUUUGAUUCAGUUACUGCAUCCUUUCGUGACUUCUUAUAAGGGUCAGUGUAAGGUGUGCUAUCAUAUACUGAUUUUUUUCUCUUUUUUCUCAGAUAAUGUUGUUCCAAUGGAACACAAUCUUGUUCUUUGCAUCUUUUUUUGUUGUGAGAUUUGCUAGAAAUUUCAUUAGUAAUGUUAAUUACACCAUGUACAGGUGGCUGUAUUACAGGUAAAUAAAACAUAAUUUAGAAUUUUGUACAUAAUUGCUAGUAACUAAAUUCGACACGAACUAAAUUUAAAUUUACCAACCUCAACAUCAAUUUUAUCGGCAUCUACAUGAGCAGCCCCUGCGGUUUGAUGAUCUUGUGCAGAUGGCUGUAUUACCGAUAAAUACAAUCAAAUUUAGAAUUUUGUACAUAAUUGCUAGUAACUAAAUUCAACACGAACUAAAUUUAAAUUUACCAACCUCAACAUCAAUUUUAUCGGCAUCAACAUGAGCAGUCCCUGCGGUUUGAUGAUCAUGCGCAAGUGGCUGUAUUACGGAUAAAUACAAUCAAAUUUAGAAUUUUGUACAUAAUUGCUGGCAAGUAAAUUCAACACAAAAUGAAUUUAAUAUUACUAACCUGAUCAUCUAUUUUAUCAUGGUCUACAUGAGAAGCCACUGAGGUAGGAGGAUCAUGUGCAGGUGGCUGUAUUAUGAAUAAAUAUAACAAAAUUUAGAAUUCGCUCGUAAUUAUUGUCAACUAAAUUUAAUUUCAAUUUUGUCUAAGCCACUGAAGUAAAUGUAAAAAUAUGUAAAAAAUAAAAAUCGCUUCUAAAAGUAUUUAAAAUGUUGCAAACCUGAUCAGUGAGACUAUCUUUGGCUGCAUUAAAAGAUGCUAGAAACUCCUCGAGUAACUUCGUCGUUCUCCAAAAGUCUUUUGUAAUGUUGUCAAGCUUUGCUUCCAACACACCAAUCUUUUGCACCUUUUCCUCGAUUUUGCUUAAUCUGCCAUAAAUUUUCUGAAAUGUUGGAGCAACAUGAUCGCCUAUGGAGACACGACAAGACGGAGUGACCUACGAACAUGUUUUAAGAUAUACUGCUAAGUUAAUUUCAUAAAUUAAAAAUCUCAAAAUGUCUUUAAACAAAUCAACUAACUUACAUUUUUGCUUGUUUUUUUCGUGGAACGGUGUUGUCCUCUUAAUAGUAGGUGCAUUACGUGGCGAAGGAAAAAAUCUUGGGGAAGGUUGAAUGGUGUGUGUGAAAUAUCAUCAGUGAUGGUUGCAUGCCUAUCAUCCAUAACAACAUCAACUUGAGGCUGCAUUUGCACAUUUGAAUGUGCAGAAUUUGGUUCGUUGUUAGGCUCAUCACCACUCAUAGCAUUGAGUUCACCAAGCUCUUGCUUCCACUCAAUUUCCGAAGCCAAGAACCAUUGCAUGUAAUGUUGUGCAAUCUCAUUACUUCCACCACUUCCGGUGGCAUGCAAUGUUGUCGCUACAAUAAACUAUAUAAUAUAGAUGAUAAUUAAAUUAUACCAAGAAUGUACUAAUGCUUUAACUAAAUAACUCAAGUUAAACUAAAUAAUUCAUGUUAAUGGUUCGCACUUAAAUAAGAAUGAAACACUUACGGUGUCUUCCUCUUUCAAGGCUUUAUUAAUUACAUCAGCCAUAAUCUUGUUCUUACAGAACCACUUAAGAAUUCUUGGAACCUUUAAAUCACCCUUUUCGGUUGCAAAUUUUUGGCCGAAUUCAGAAAGGACCUCGUAUGUCCACACCUGCAAUAUUACAACACUACAUCAAUAUCAUAUAAAAUUCAUGUAUUUAUUAUAAAAAUAAAUAAAUAAGCAUUCUCACCUGAAACACGUAUGGAAAACCAUAAAGGCUGUAUUUCUCUUCUAUGUUUGGAUCUAAUGGACCAAUUCUUUUGCUUCUCCUUGUAACUGUGUUCUUCAAGCUUAACAUUGUUGCCUCGAAUGACAAGCGACCCCAUGGAUAAUUAUUAAAUUCUUUAAAGUUGUCUAAUAGACGAAUAUGGAGGCCAUCAAUCUUAUUCUUGGGCUCCUUUCCUAGCAACACAGACUCCAAGAAAUAUAGCAUGGCGAACUUGACCAUCAAGUUAUCAUCAUUGGACUGGGCUGUUGAAAAAGCUUUCUGUAAUUGUUUUUGAGUAAAUUCAUGAUUGCCCCCCAUGAACACAUCACAUAUACUAUCAGUAUUGUCUUUCUCAUGUACUAAAAUAUCAUGUUCUUUAUGGCAUUUCAAUCCCGUAAUUAAGGCAAACUCAAGCAUAGAAAAUCUGCACUCUUUUUGUCCUAUUUUGAAGUACAUUACCUUAUCAGUUGAUCUCACAUACUGUAAUAAUAAUGCAUGAACAAUUUGGCCAGCGAAUUUUAGAUCUUGAAGGUGCACAAAAUGACCAAAGCAUGUUUCCUUAAACACUUCAUAUUAUUGCUCUGUGAGACGUUGCUUUAUAAGUGAAAGUGCCUUUAGUGAUGACAUAUUAGACACUUUUACUAAAACCGCCUUCUGAUCGUCGUUAUCUAAAUUAUCAUCAGAUGGCAUGGUUUUUUUUGGUAUACAGUCCAGAACUUACAGGAUCAAGUAAAAAGUUUUAUCUAGAGGUUAAAUGGGUUAUAAACUAAUCAUUUGAAGCCUGAUAGUAAACAAUUCAAAUGUUGUUAGGCUAAUAACAUGCCAACAACUAUUUUCCAGCUCAUAAUUAAACUCUAACCCUGAUUUUAGAACACAACACAUAUAGAUUCUUACACUACAAUCCUUAAUUUCAUAAAUUUACAGAACAAUAUGUUUAUAACAAAAUUCAAAACAAUAAUCAAUAAAAGGCAAAUCCAAUGAACACAAUCAAAUAACCUUUAAAAUUGAAUCAUAAUGUUUCACAACUAAACACAUCAUUUCUCCAACCGCAAAGCAAAAAUUGGGAAAACUAACCCACAUGAUUCUUUAAUCAACUUUUCUUUAACCACAUUGUUGCCAAAUCUUAAUUGUUGCACUCAAACAAAAAAAAGAAUACAAAAUCCAUAGAGGAAAUAAAAUAAAUUUGAAGUUCUUCAAAUAAAAAUAUGUUGUCUAACAUUUGUUUUUGUAUGUCUCUUCGUGAUAUAUUGUAUUACAUUGUUCAUGUUAUACUUCUAAUUCUUUCCAUUUUCAGUAAUCUCAUAAAUUAUACUUAAUUCACUAAAUCACUUACUAUUUUCAAGCAAAACCCUAAAAUUUUUCUUUGAAUAUUUGUAGGAGAAAGAAGAAAAUGAAAAUUACUUACCUAGUAAUCAAUGACGGAGGCAAGACAAGGUGGUGGUGACACAGCUGAGGCGAUGGUGAUAGCUGAAGUGCAGAAUGGGUAGAGAGCCGUUUGUUCUUCAAGGAGUUUUCUCUCUUAUUUUGUUUACUCGACUUUGUGAUUUUGGGUUGGAAUCGAUUCUGUUUUGUUGGCUUUUAUUAAGGUUAUUUUUGUAUUUUCCCCGAUCUUUUUAAGUAUAUAUGUGUAAAGCUAGCAAUUUUAAUAUAUGGAGGUAUAUUUUGGGUAUUUUGAGGGAAACUAGGUAUAUCCCACGCAAUUCGCUCAACUUACAAUCUGCAGACUGCAAAUUGUAAACUGCAAAACCUCAAGUACAGAGCUUCCAAGCUGCAAAACGCCAACUGGUUCGUGAAAAUUGACUGCUGAACUUUUACAUUCAAGAAUUUGGCAGCAAGAAAACAUUAGAAGCACGAAAUUUUUACUGGCUUAAAGCCAUGAGAUGCUUCUUGGAUGUUGUCCAUUUUUUCUUCCCCUGCUUUUCUUUCAACUGGAUCACUGUCAAUAGAAAAGAACAAAUAUGAUAUAAAUGAAACACAACAAACUUCAUUAUACAAAGUUAACUUCAUUAUACGUUAAUCUUUUGAGUUCAUUUACUGCUGUUAUACAUAGUGCAACACACAUUCCAGAAGAAUUGUUAGCCCUUUUUAGCCCUUUUCAAUGAUCCAUUAAUAACACAAUAGAAGAGAACACACUUACAACUAAAAAAGAAGAGUUAUUUUGAAGCUUUUCCUUGUUAAGAGCAUUGAAACCAGUUUAGGACUAAUCAGUAUAGUUGGAUAGAUGCACGGGAAUGAAGGAACAGAAUCAAAGAGGCAAAUCAUCUAACACACAUGUUAAUAUUUAAAUGCAAAUAUUAGGAACAAACUUUUAUUAUUAAGAUUUAAGAGUUGAACACAAGUGAUUAAUACAAAAAGGAAUAAGAAACACACAUGGGUACCAAUGCAAAGAUUAACAAAUAAACAAUGCUCUUGUUGAAAUUCUUUAAUAUUACAAGGGAAGAGAAAUUUGUUCAGGAAACUCUAAGAGGAGGGCUUCAUCUCUAACUUAAUGGCUGCAACCAAUUGAUCGUAAGCUUCAGAUCAGGCACUCUUCAUUUCUGGUGACCAUAUCUCUGGUACUGCUUCCUUUAUUGUUUCUAGUAGUGCAAAUUUUGUGACCUCAAAAUGUUCAUUAACAACACCAGAUUUGAAGUGGACAGCUCCUAAUUUCUUUAGAGUUGAUUCUCUUACUGUCACUUUGCCUGCUUUCCUCAGUUGCUCUGUUGAUCCAAGAAACAACCGGGUCGGUUUCCGGAUCCUCCACCAUCUCAUAUAUUUUCCUCAAAAACGGCAGUAGACCCACCUCGUUUAAUCCUUCCAUUGGCUUUGGCAACGAUCCGCCACCGACAAGUUCAUCAUCAACAACGCCUUCCUCUUUUUCUUCUUCUUCUUUGAUUGUGGCUAAAGUCGGCAUGGAUGAAGAAGACGAGGAUGGCCCACCGCCGUUGCUGUUCUCAUAUAGUGACGCUUCUUUCUCUUCCUCUUUGUCUAAUCAAGCGUAUCUCAUUCUCUGUUUCAACUGUUUCUUUUAUUGUUUCCAUUGCCACAUCUUGGCCAGAUUUAGGUUUUGGAAAAAGAUUUGAAGAACAAAUUAAAAAAAAAACUAGAGCUGCGGGCGGCGGUGGCCAUUUUGUUGGUCAUUGUGUUUAGUUGUUUACUUAGUCUGAUUUCAAUGGGUGACAAAAGAACUGAGAUUUUCUUGAGCGAAUUGCUGUGGGAUAUACAUGUUUUCCUUCAAAAUACCCAAAAUAUACCUCCAUAUAUUAAAAUUACUAGCUUUACACAUAUACUUAAAAAGAUCAGGGAAAAUACAAAAAUAACCUUAAUAAAAAUAUUCGACUUAUUUAAUAUGUUUACUCGACUCAUUUAAUAUUCUUACUCGACUUCUUACCGGACCAUAUACUCGACUUAGUUAAUAUGCUUACUCGACUUAUUUAAUAUUCUUACUCGACUUCUUACCCGACCAUAUACUCGAUUUAUUUAAUAUACUUACUCGACUCAUUUAAUAUUUUUACUCGACUUCUUACCCGACCAUAUACUCAACUUAUUUAAUAUGCUUACUCGACUCAUUUAAUAUUCUUACUCGACUUCUUACCGGACCAUAUACUCGACUUAUUUAAUAUGCUUACUCGACUCAUUUAAUAUUCUUACUCGAUUUCUUACCGGACCAUAUACUCGACUUAUUUAAUAUGCUUACUCGACUCAUUUAAUAUUCUUACUCGACUUCUUACCCGACCAUAUACUCGACUUAUUUAAUAUGCUUACUCGACUCAUUUAAUAUUCUUACUCGACUUCUUACCCGACCAUAUACUCGACUUAGUUAAUAUUCUUACUCGACUCAUUUAAUUUUCUUACUCGACUUCGUACCCGACCAUAUACUCGACUUAUUUAAUAUGCUUACUGGACUCAUUUAAUAUUCUUACUCGACUUCUUACCCGACUAUAUACUCGACUUACUUAUCUCUAAUUCUUACUCGACUAAAUUCUCGAUUUACCCGACUUCGUACCCGACUUCUUCCUGCACUGAUUCUUCAAUCACUCAUAACUUAAAUGUAGUCUUAAAUCCCUACAUUGAAAUAGUGUGUGUGUGCAAGCACAAAAAAUCAAGUAAGGAAACUGUCAAAUAAUGAAAUGGAGAGAUAGAAGGAAACUGUCAAAGAGGGAAAAUGGUGAGAAGAGAAGAAAAUAAAGAGGGAAAUGUUGAGAAGAAAAAUAGAGAAUGGUGAGAGAAGCCCGAAAAAGAAAAGCCAUGGGGGGAAGAAAGAUGUGAAUUCUUAGUUUUUUUAAGGUUAUUUUUGACUUUUCCUAUCUUCAUGAGGUAUAUGUAUGUAAUAGGAUAUAAAUUUGACAUUUAAGGAUAAAUUGAGGAUAUUUAAAUAAAAAACCCGAUUUUCUUAGCCUUUAUAUGCAAACAGAGAGACACUGACUUGUCACGUAACAGCGGCAGCAAAGCUAGAAGGAAGCGGGAGCUGUUCUCAUAUGGUGACGUGUUAAACGCACCGUUUUUAAUUUAAUUAAAACGGUGCGUUUUAAAUUCGGGGCGCGGGAUUUAAAAUCGGGUUAAGUAACAACGUUCUAUAAUAAAUAUAAUUUUUAAAUAAUAAUUUUAAUAAAAUAAUAAAUUUAUUAUGAGUUUUUCAUAUAUAUUAAAUAAUUUUAAUUUUUAAAUCACAAUAAUAAAUAUUUUCGAAACACUAUAAUACCGUAAUUUUUAAAUUAUAUCUAUACAAUCUAAAUGGCAAGAGGCCUUAAUAUGAAAAAAAAAAACAUUACAGUUAAGUUUUAAAACUGUUAAUGAUAUUCAUAAAAACUGUGGAACAAUAAUACAAAAGGUGUCGUCAUGUAAAAACACAUGGGACCCAACCAAUAAAUGCUUAUGAUCCUCAACUUUCCUCCUCACUGUCCCAGUGUCCCUGCAAACAAUUCUGAUUUUCCUGCCAGAGAAAAAAAACUGAGAAACAAUGGCGGCUGAACAAGAAGCUGUGAGCAAUAAGCGAGUGAUUCUGAGCAACUAUGUGACAGGUUUUCCAAAAGAAUCAGACAUGAAGAUAACAAGUGGAUCAAUAAAGCUGAAGGUAGCAGAGGGUUCAAAAGACACAGUGCUUUUGAAGAAUCUUUAUCUUUCUUGUGAUCCUUACAUGCGAUGGCGUAUGAGCAAGCUUGAUAGACCUUCUUUUGUUGAUUCAUUCCAUCCUGGUGAGGUUAGUUCAUCACGACCCAUCUCUUGAUUUUUCCAUUUGGUUUAAGUUUUGGUGAGUUUCUGAGUUCAUUUUUACGGUUUUGGAAUGUGAACACAAUUUUGGUGCUGUAACUGUCAUUAAUGAUAUGUAGUAAUUCAAUCAGAAUUUGGAUUUAUUGCUGAUAUAAGCUCUGCUCAUUUUUUAAAAUCUGGUGUCCACAUGCAUGUUUAUAAUCUUUUUGGUUGAGAUUGUAUGUAGAUUCAUACAGUAUUCUUGUCUAACAAUUACUAACCACAACCUUAUAAGACGAUCGAAACUAAGCUCAGAUCAAUAAUCCAAUCAAGAGAGGAUCCUAACUCAAGCUUGUCAUGUAUGGGAAUAUUUCGGUUAAAUUGUAAUCAUGAUCAUGAAUCAUGCAGGAAAAAGGGAAGUUGAGGUCAAUUUAUGCACUUGAUGGAAUUAAAGAACCAAUAUUUGGUUUACAUUAUUUCUUAGUAAUGGUGACUGUGCCUUCUAGCAGAAUUUUACAUGCUUUAUGUUCUAACUAAGCAUCAAUAUUUGAUCGUGAUCAUUAGCGAGGUCAAUAAUUUUUUUUGACUAUUUUUUCAACAUAAGGUCGAUUUGUUGAAGAACAAGUUUGGAUUUGAUGAUGCUUUUAACUACAAGGAAGAGCCAGACUUGGAUGCAGCACUCAAAAGGUCAGCUGCAACAAACGUUUCAACUCUAAUAUUUCAUUUUAAUAUUACAGAGCUUUGGUUGAAGUGUGUGAGUUGAUCCCAAAAACGUAACUUCAUCAGUGUCUCUGUUUUCAAAAAACAGGACAAAUAGAAAUCUGAUUUUGCUUUAAAAAUUUCCUAGAUGCUUCCCUCAAGGAAUCGACAUAUAUUUCGAAAACGUUGGGGGAAAGAUGCUGGACGCAGUGCUACUCAACAUGAGGCUCCGGGGCCGCAUUGCGGUAUGCGGUAUGAUCUCGCAGUACAACCUGGAAAAACCUGAAGGCGUACACAACUUAGAGCAACUAAUCGGGAAACGGAUUCGCCUGGAAGGAUUUCUAGCUGGUGAUUACUAUCACCUCUAUCCAAAAUUCUUGGAACUGGUCAUUCCUGCAAUCAGAGAAGGAAAGAUGGUGUAUGUGGAAGACAUAGCCGAAGGACUCGAGAAUGCUCCCGCAGCCCUUGUCGGGCUCUUCACUGGCCGGAACGUCGGCAAGCAGCUAGUUGCAGUUGCUUAAUACAAAAGCCAAUAUGGAUGAGCUGAGAAUAUGUGACUGAAUCCAUUGUCCGGUUAAAAAUGUUUGCAUGUGUUAAUAUGAACUAUCCUCGUUUAGUAAUGGGAUUGGAUUGUCCUGUCAUUACUUAAUUUUGUUGAGCUAGGGCAUCUGUGUGUAAAGUGUCAAAUAAUUUGGAUUCAGACAAGAACUUAGUGGAUGCAUUGAAGGAUUUUUUUUUUCUUUUUUUUUCUUUUCCAAGAUAUUGAGAUAAUGAUUGGAACAUUUGAGGGAUAAGAUCAAAGUAUCUUUUAGGAUACCUCAUUGGUAAGUAUUAAAAUAUCAAUUGCGUCUUUAUAAGGACAGGUGGUCCAGGAUCAAGAUUAAUGAAGAACAAAUUACAGCCAUUAGAUUAAAGUGAAAUUAAAGCUGUGAAUAGUACACACUUGUUGUGUGAAAAACUUAAAGGAGACAUUCCUCUGUACAAAAUUAACUUAAUAAUAUGUCCUUAUUCAUUCAUUUGAUUCUUCCUUCUCAAUCGUCAUUAAUAAAUUAAUAAUACAAAUAAGUCCCCGUUAAAGGUUAAGUCCCCGAUUGGCUUUACCGUCACGCUCAUGCAUGAUCAAAUUUCAGUUAAUGCUGACGUGAUCGAUGAUGAUUUCAUUGGGAGCUUCCUUUGUCGUGGCACUCUCAUGUUCACAUUUAUUUUUAGGGUUAAUAAUAAUAAUAGCUUCUAGAAACGCUUUGUUUUAAUGAGAUUUUAUUUUUCAAUUAGUGUAAAAAAAAAAUAACAAAAAUUAAUAAAAACUGAUUAUUUAAUGAUGUUCGGCCCUCGAGACAGUUUAUACUCGUAAUUUAUUGUUUGAAAAUUAUUUCAACAUAUGAAAAACAAAAUUUCCCAAAUUUACAACGAAUUUUAAAACAAAAUUUCGAAAUUUCAAAGAAAAUUACAAAUUUGACUAGAUUGACUGGAAAAAAUAAAAUAAAUAAAAUCGUCAAAAAUCCUGGGACCGACCAUUUCAAAAGUCUGGCUCUUUUCCAGGCUUUCCUUCCAAAUUUUCACACACAAAAUUUCUCGUAACUGCUACACAUUAAACGCGUUUCACAUUUUCACUCUCUCUCUAUAAAUAAAUACGCACAUAAAAUUUCUCACCAUCCAAAAACAAAAUCUACAUAAAAAAUGGCGGGUGAAGAAGCAGUGAGCAACAAGCAGGUGAUUCUGAGCAACUACGUGACAGGGUUUCCCAAGGAAUCAGACAUGAAGAUAAUAACAGGCUCAAUAAACCUGAAGGUGCCAGAGGGCUCAAAAGACACAGUGCUUUUGAAGAAUCUUUAUCUUUCCUGUGAUCCUUACAUGAGAGGACGUAUGAGUAAGCUUGAUAAGCCUUCGUUUGUUGCCUCCUUCAACCCUGGCGAGGUCAGUUUCUUCAAUUCCCACCUCUUGGUUUCAUAAUCUUUUAUGGUCUUAGAGGUGUUUUAGGGAAACAUUAUGGUUUUGGUUUGUGGGCAUGAAUCCUUGAAGAGAGUAUGAUGUGUCGGACUAUGUAUGCAAUAAUAAGUAUAGGGGAUCUUGUUAAGAGAAGAUUCUCUUAAUGAGAUUAAAACUUUUGUCUUAUCAAAACAUAUGUUUAGUUAUGAUAUCAUGUUAGCAUUGUUUCUGAGGAUUUGAUUGCUUGCUUUGGGAAAGGGAUGUUGAGGUUACAUUAUUCAGUAAUGAUUUUUUUUUUUUUUCAAAUGUUCAAAUUAUGCAGCCUUUGAGCGGAUAUGGAGUGUCCAAAGUGUUGGAUUCCACACAUCCAAAUUAUAAGAAAGAUGACUUGGUCUGGGGCUUAACCAGUUGGGAGGAGUACAGUCUCAUCCAAUCACCACAACAUCUGAUUAAAAUUCUGGAUACAAAUGUGCCUCUGUCAUACUAUACUGGGAUUCUUGGUAAGUUGUUACUAAAUUUAUCGAUGUCCAGUUUGCAUGAGCCGAAAAUCGUGUUUUAUUCAAUGCAAUGAGAUAGGGAUAUAUAAUAUGCCUGCUUGAACGUCUAGCAUUUUGAAUUUUCAACAAUUGGUCCGUCUGUAUGGGCAUGUAACUGAAGGAUUUCAUUUGAGGAAUUUACUAUUGUUGCUGAUUAUUGGGUAUUUUUCUGUUGAUUCUAGGUAUGCCUGGUUUGACUGCAUAUGGUGGUUUAUAUGAGCUUUGCUCUCCUAAGAAAGGAGAGUAUGUCUAUGUAUCUGCAGCAUCUGGAGCUGUUGGUCAGCUAGUUGGGCAAUUUGCAAAGUUGGUUGGUUGCUAUGUUGUUGGAAGUGCAGGAAGCAAAGAAAAGGUGAGUUUGCACUCUUGACCCUUAAGCUCCAAAUAAAAACAUAAUAACUUCCAAAAGAAUUGUGCAUGUCACAGUAUUUGUGUUCUAACUGAUCAUGGAUAUUUGAUCAGUAGUCUAGUAGAAACAGACCUAUUAAUACAUAGUUGAUUCGUCCUCAAGAAAAUUUAGUUGAUAUAUGCUUGAAAUUAUAUUCUGUUUUUUAUGCCAGAUUAUAUUAUUAGAUGACUAUAUUAACCAGAUUCUUUUUCUUUGUGCUGUUUCUCAUUUGAUUACGUUUUCAACAUUAGGUCAAUCUGUUGAAGAACAAGUUUGGGUUUGAUGAUGCUUUUAACUAUAAGGAAGAGCCAGACUUGGAUGCAGCUCUUAAGAGGUUAGCACGAAUGAAUGCUUUAACCACUUUUCUCACUUCAUUAUUACAAUGCGCUGAUUGAUGUUAUCUGCGUUGGUCCUGUAAAUGUAAAACAGGACAAACAGAGAUCACUGAUCUCAUUUGUUACAUUGAUAUUUUCUACCAUUGCCAUACAUAGUAUAAACUUGGAAUGAAGAUAGAUAUUCAAUUCAGAGGGAAAUUUUCACUUGCAGCUAACAGAAUCAUGUUUGUGAUGUAUGUUUAUUUAGGAAAUGAAAAGAUUCGUUGCAUUAUUUUAUUCCAAGUUUGCUGAAAUCAUAUUUGUUUUCCCAGGUGCUUUCCUGAAGGCAUCGACAUCUAUUUCGAAAAUGUUGGGGGUAAGAUGCUUGAUGCAGUCCUACUCAACAUGAGAAUUCAUGGCCGCAUCGCCGUAUGCGGAAUGAUCUCACAGUACAACCUUGAGAAGCCUGAAGGCGUACACAACUUGAUGCAAGUAGUUGGAAAACGAAUUCGCAUGGAAGGGUUUCUUGCCGGUGAUUUCUACCACCAAUAUCCGAAAUUCUUGGAACUGGUUAUGCCGGCAAUCAAAGAAGGAAAGUUAGUAUAUGUCGAGGACAUAGCUGAAGGCCUGGAGAAAGCUCCAUCAGCCCUAGUUGGGAUAUUCACUGGGCAGAAUGUUGGAAAACAACUGGUUGUAGUUGCUCCUGAAUGAUAUGAUUACAAUAUGCUUUAAAAGUGGACUGUGCCAUGCACUUUAAAAGCUUAGUGAAGAUGCCUCUGUCUUAUUUUUGAUACAUGUUAUGUUUGUUUGAUCAAGUUGUACUCAGCUAUAAAUGAAAGAUUCAGAACAUGUGUAUGGUACUGGUUUCUAAAUCAAUGAACGCUUUGAAAUGUUAGUGUUUUCACUGGAGAAUGCAGUUUAAUUCAUCAACAAUGUCCCAACAAGACCCUCAAGAGUGGUAGCUUGCAAAGUUAAUUACUAUAUUUUUUUCUUUCCGAUAUAUUGUUCAUUUCAUAGAAAGUUUACAUUAAUUAAAGUCUCAUGUUUCUUUGAAAGGUAAGCAAGUGUGAAUGUUUCUAUCUAGAGCUGGAAAAUGCAUUUCCGUGCAACUUACUUGAUGAAUGAAGUUUUCAUCUCUGACCUUGAUGUUUCCCAGAGCUGCAUUCAUUUCAGCUGAUCUAUUUCAUUUCGUUUGCAAAGGAGUGACACAAAACCUCCUUUGUUAAGGGGAGAAUUUAGAGUGGCUUCAACGGUUAACAAAUAGCCUAAUGUAAGACUUAAUCAAUUUCCUGCCCGGUUGCUUACCACUACUUAUCACUUUAACGUAUGAAACCUAAUCAAGAUUCCUUUGAUGAUUUUUCUAUUUGCUAAUUGAUUGAUAAGCUCUUCAGUGAAGAUAUAGUGUCCGCAAGCCAUAUGUUGAUAGAGUUAGAGUUUGCAGAAGCUACUGUACCAUAUGUUGUUAGAGGCGGUAAAAACGGAGGCAGAUCAACACACAUUUAAAUUUCAAUGACAAUUUACUGGAAAUAAAUUUCCUAUGACCCUACAUGUGACUAAUUGAUGAGAACUUGACAAUGACAAAAGAAAGUGUAUGAGCUUUGCAGGCUGGCUUGCCAAUAUUGACUGUAUGGCACCAUCCGCAAGUAAGUAUCAUUACUGUUUAAUCAACUUGGUGGAGUCCACUGGGACCACCCCACAUGGUCAGUCUUAUCUCUACUCCUAAAUUUUCAAUAUUCCAUACAUCAAACCAAUUGCAGUUUUGAUAUCAAAUUCAAUUUUAUUGUUGGUGACGAUUCUGAUUCCUUUCAUUCUCACAAAACGGAACCAUGGUUGCUGUUGGAGAGAUCUUACUCAACGCCUUCCUUGAGGUGUUGUUUGACAGGUUGGCUUCUCGUAAUUUGCUCCGCUUUGUGCGUCAACUCCAAGGCGGGGUUGAUUCGGAGCUCAAGAAGUGGGAGAAAAAGCUGAAGAUGAUUCAGGCUGUGCUCUGCGAUGCAGAGGAGAAACAACUGACCGAUGAGGCUGUGAAGAUGUGGCUGGACGAACUCCAAGACUUAGCUUAUGACGCUGAGGACAUUCUUGAUGAGUUUGCUACUCAAGCUUUGGAAAGCAAGUUGAUGGCGCAAAACCAGGAUAGCUCUGGCCAGGUUCUCAGUCUCAUCCCGGCUAGUUUGAAUCCGAAUGCUAUUAUGUUCAAUUAUAGCAUGGGGUCCAAGAUUAAAGAUAUGACUAGCCGGCUGGAGCAACUCUGCCAAGAAAGAAUUGAACUUGGACUGCAACGGCUUACUGGAGGGGCGUCAUCAACCGCUGCUGCUGCACACCGGAGGCCACCCAGUUCGAGUGUCCGAACAGAACGUGAAGUAUUUGGAAGAGAAGAAGAUAAGGCCAAAAUUCUUGAUAUGGUCAAUACCCCAAGUGAUCACGCCAACUUUGUUGUAAUACCUAUUGUUGGAAUGGGCGGGAUAGGAAAAACAACUCUUGCUCGGGAGGUCUACAAUGACAAGGCAGUUGAGGAUUCCAAGUUUGACGUAAAAGCAUGGGUUUGUGUCUCCGACAACUUUGAUGUUUUCAACAUUUCAAAGGCACUUCUCGAGUCAAUCACCUCCGCAGCUAGUGAUCUCAAGACUUUAAAUGAAGUGCAGGUUCAACUGAAAAAAGCAGUGGACGGAAAAAGAUUCUUGCUGGUCUUAGAUGAUGUUUGGAACGAGGACUACAGCUUGUGGGUAGACUUAAAAGCUCCGUUCCUGGGUGCUGCACCAAACAGUAAGAUGAUCGUCACCACACGCAAUUUAAACGUUGCAUCAACAAUGGGACCAAUUGAACAUUAUAAUCUCAAGAGUCUGUUAGAUGAUGAUUGCUGGUCCAUUUUCAUACAGCAUGCAUUUGAAGGUAGAGAUCUUAACGCAUAUCAAAUUUCAGAAUCAUUCAGCAAGAAAGUUGUUGGCAAGUGUGGGGGCUUGCCUCUGGCAGCAAAAACGCUCGGGGGCCUUCUGCGCACAACAAGGCAUGAUGCGUGGGACGAUAUAUUGGAUAGCAAAAUAUGGGAUUUACAUCAACAAAGCAGCAUUCUCCCUGUGUUAAGAUUGAGUUACCAUCAUCUUCCGUCUCAUUUGAAAAGAUGUUUUGCUUUUUGUGCCAUCUUUCCAAAAGAUUAUGAAUUCACUGAGAAGGGGCUAACUUUCUUGUGGAUGGCUGGAGGUAUUAUUCGACAGUCAAGAAACAGUGAGCAGCUGGAAGAUUUGGGCAGCAAGUGCUUUCAUGAUCUAGUGUCAAGGUCUAUUUUUCAACAAACCAGCUCUGGUAGUUCUAAAUUUGUAAUGCACGACCUUAUCCAUGAUUUUGCUGAAUUGGUUUCUGGAGAGACCAUUUUAAGGUUAGAGGAAUCCACCAACUUGUCGUCAAGGAGAUUUGAAAGAGUUCGCCAUUCUUCCUAUGCCCGUGGUUGGCUUGAUGGUAAAAAUAAGUUUGAGGUUUUCUAUGAAAUUGAACAUCUGCGAACAUUCUUGCCAUUCUGCAUAAGAGGUGGCCCUAAUACUAGUUACGUAACUAGUUUACUUCUAUAUGAUUUGUUGCCGAAGUUUAAAAAGUUGAGGAUGCUAUCUUUAGAAGGAUACCAGAUUGGUGAGUUACCAAUUCCAUUUGAAGAUUUGAGACCUUUAAGGUUCCUCAACCUUGCCGACACUGACAUAAGAAGUUUACCCGAGUCAACAUGCAAAUUGCUGAACUUGGAAAUUUUGAUAUUACGAAAUUGUUCCCGUUUGAUAAAGCUUCCGCCCAAAAUGAGGAAUUUGAUCAAUUUACGCCAUCUCGAUAUAAAAGGUGCAAAGCUGCUGAAGGAGAUGCCAUUGGGAAUGAAAGCGUUGAGGAGUCUUCAAACAUUGUCCAAUUUUAUUGUAGGCAAGGGUGAAUCUGCAUCUGGUUUGGAAGAUUUAAAAAGUUUAAACUUUCUUUGUGAUGAACUCUGCAUUGCUGGAUUAGAGAGUGUGAAUAGUCCACAGAAUGCAAGAGAAACCGCAUUAUGCGAGAAGCACAAUCUUGAAGCAUUGACUCUAGAAUGGGGGUCUCAAUCUAACAGUCCUCGGGAUGCAGUACUAGAGGAGAAUGUACUUGACACUCUACAGCCUCAUAAACGUAUAAAAGAGCUGGCAAUCAGGCACUAUGGUGGUGCAAGAUUUCCACUUUGGAUCGGACAUCCUUCGUUCUCCGAGAUGAAGGUCCUUAAAUUGGAGAACUGUGACAAGUGUGUAUCUCUGCCAUCGCUUGGCCUGAUGAAUUCACUUAAGCACCUUGCUGUUAAAGGGCUGAAGAAACUAAAAAGCAUAGAGUCUGCGGUCUUUCCAUCAUUGGAGAUUCUAAGUUUUGAGAAUUUGCCAGAAUGGGAGCAUUGGGACACCAAUAUCAAUGGAAAUGUGCACGUUGAAAUAUUUCCUCAUCUCCAAGAACUUUCCAUUGCAGAAUGUCCCAAACUCUCUGGAGAACUGCCUGAGCUCCUGCCCUCCUUGGAGACACUUGUCGUUAGUAAAUGUGAACAGUUGGCAGUUCCAUUGUCUUGCUAUCCGAUGCUCUGCAGAUUAGAAGUUGAUGAGUGCAAAGAACUCGUGUGCGGGACUCCAAUUAAUUUUAAGUUGGUAAAGUCUUUGACCAUUUCAAAUAGUUCAUUAGACAUGAAUGGAUGCAAUGGGAUGCUAUACCAUGGUCCAGCUGGCUCUUCACUGUCUAAACGCAUGACUAUUACAAAUGUUUUGGAGUUUGGAAAAUUAUUGAAGCCUGGAUUUCAGAUAUUAGAAUAUUUGGUAAUUGGCAAUUCUGAACAGCUCAAGUCAUGGAGGCGGGCCAGGAGACCUAGACGUUUUAAUGAACCAGAACACGGGCUAAAAAUUCUCGCUUCCCCUGAAGAGGUAACAAUUGAAGAAAGUUGCGUAAAUCUUGUUUUGUUUGCAGAGAUCAAUUUCUUUCCCAGAAAUCUGCGCUCUCUUCUAAUUUUCAAUAACAUACCUUUAAAAUCCUUACCCGAGGAAAUGAUGGACAACAAUUCACAACUGGAAAGCUUGUGCAUCAGAAAUUGCGAUUCUCUAACAUUCAUCACAAGACACAAGCUACCUUCAUCUCUAAAAAGUAUAGCAAUUAAGAAUUGUGAGAAAUUGCAACGUCCGUUCGAUGAUGAAGAGGAUGCUUCUUCUUCUUCUUCUCCUUCAUCCUCGUCUUCCCCAGUGAUGCUGCAAUGCCUGACUAUAGAGAACUGCCCAGAGCUCACCAGUUUAUCAUCGGGAAUCCAAUUCCUUGAGGCGCUUGAAGUACUCGAGCUAAGGGAUUGUCGAAAGCUGGAGUCAUUACCGGAUGGCCUGCAAAAUCUUAACUGUUUACAGAGCAUUCAUAUAGAUGGAUGUCCAAGUCUUGUUUCCUUCCCAGAAAGAGGGCUUCCCAACACCAUUUCGAGAGUUUACAUUCGUGGUUGUGAGAAGCUUGAAGCCCUGCCCAACGACAUGCACAAACUCAACUCUCUCGAAACUUUAAACAUACGGAAAUGUCCAAAUCUUGUAUCGUUUCCAGAGGAAGGUUUUCCUACCAGUCUAGUAUCACUUACAAUUGGAUAUGUCAAAAUGUAUAAGACACUCGUCCAGUGGGGGUUGCAUAGGCUUACCUCUCUUACACACCUCGAGAUUAUUGGAUGUGAUGAUGAAGCAGAGUGUUUUCCAGACGAGGAGAUAGGAAUGAUGCUGCCCACCUCUCUCACUCAUCUGCAACUUUCGGAAUUCAAAAAAUUGAUAUCUCUCUCUUCGACGGGUUUUCAGAGCCUCAACUCUCUUCAAUCUUUGUGGAUAUUGGGUUGCCCAAAUCUCACAUCAUUCCCAGAGGUGGGCCUUCCAUCCUCACUUUUGGAAUUACACAUUGUCAAGUGUCCAAAGCUUAAAGAAGUUUGCAAAAGAGACCAAGGAGAAGAGUGGCCCAAAAUUGCUCACAUCCCUUGUUUUGAGAUAGACUGGAAAUUCAUAUACGAUCCAGAAUCAGAGGAGUAGAUUCUCCUAUUAAGGUCAGUUGAUUUUUUAUUAUCCGUUAUAACAAGCUCCUCCUUUUUUAUUUUUUUAAUAAUAAUUUAGCAGUUCUAUAUAAUUAUAAAUCCUCCGCCCUUAAUUGAAAAUGUCACUCAUUUGAUUCCAUUUUCACAAGUCAGAUCGUAUGUUGAGGUUAUUUGCAUUUUAUCGGUGUUUAUUAAGGUAAUUAGUGCGUUAUAGGUUGAUUACUCACAGAUUAAGUUAUAACAUUUAUCUUAAAAUUUAAUGUCAUAGACAGAGAUGAUUUUUUAAUCCAAAGUUUUCUUGAUUCACUUCAAUUAGCAUUUUCUUUUCCCCAGAUCAGGCACGCGGAGAGUUCCAAUCAAGAAUUGGAGCAUGUGAAUGGGAUUUUUGUGAAAACAUAAUGAUGCAGGAACUGGGAUCUCAAAGUCAACAGAAUUUUAUUUACUCAUUGACUUUUCAACUCCUGUGGUUAUUUAUGGGUGAAAGAAAGAUAAGGGCAAUUUCAAGAAAUUUGCAAACUCUGUCAAUUUCUUUUAAUUGUACCAAUUUGUCGUUUAUGCUUUGGUUUUAUUUUUUCAGUUUUGUUUAUUGCUUAGAUGGUAGCAUACUUGAAAUGAUACAUAGCCUUCACCGGCAGAAUUCUAGUCUUGGCUUUCACCUCUCUAACUCAUCUCAUCUGUUCCUAUUGGGAUUCCAGAAAUUGAAAUUUCUGUCAUCAAUGGGUUUCAAAGCCUCACCGCUCUCCGAUUUUUGUGGAUCGGGAAUUGCACAAAUCUCACAUCAUUUCCAGAGGUGGGCCUUCCAUCCUUGCUUUUUGGAAUUACAAAUUGGAAAAUGCUACUUUCCCCGGGUCAAAUCCCAGGUCAAACCCCGAAUUAAACCAAAACGACACCGUUUUGGUUUCUUUUUUUUGUCCUUUUUGCUUCCAUGAAACGUGGUCGUUUCAGCCAAACAAAAGCAAAUGUCUUCGUUUUUUACUUCCUCUCCUCUUCGAUUCUCCUCUUCGUUUUACCAACAGACCAACAGAGCACAAAUUGCAGAAGUCACUUGCACAUCAAUUCAUCACAAAAUGCAGAGUUUUACUAAAGAAAAAAACGAUGCCGUUUUUCUUGCCAAAUAUUUUCCAUUUCCUUCGUUCAUGGAGCUCCUGCCACCGCCAAAGCCAAAUAUUUCCCCUUUCAUUUCCUUCGUCAAUCAAGCUCCAGCCACUUGCUUCGUCGAUCGAGCUCUAGCCACAGCCAUUCGCAAAUCGCAGUCCACAAUCCGCGCCUGAAAUUGUCAUUCACAAUCCACAACUCACAACCAUGACUUCACACAGAGAACGACUCCCACAGCCUUCACGCGACAGCGAGAUCGAGCUCUUUAACAUUCGAAGAACAUAUCUGGUUGCGAAAGUUGAUUUUUAAUUUGCUUGCGAGCUGAGAUGCUUCGAAUUCUCUGUUUUUUUUUUUUUUUUGUAAAUUACUAAGCCAAAAGCUUUGCAUAAGCUUCUGCUUCGGUUUUGAAGAUUGUGAAGCUGGAAAUGUUUUUUCCCUUUUUAUAAAUGGAUAAUUGAAAGUUUGAACUUUACCUUCGUACUUUCUUUUUCAUAAAUUGCUCAUGGUGCAGUCUCAUUUUGCUAGUUGAAGAAACAGUUAAGGGGGUCUGUAGUUGGGAAGAAAGAGGAAACGAAAAUGAAAAGAAAAAGCUUAAGUCUCGGUGCGUUCAAGUAGCAUUUUUUCAAUUAAAAAAUUUAAUUCUCAAAACGGCGUCGUUUUCUAAAGUUUCGGGGUUUGACCCGGGAUUUGACCCGGGGUAAAUAGCAGAACUCUUACAAAUUUACAGUUGUCAGAAGCUUGAAAAAGUGUGUAAAAGAGAUCAAAAUUCUUGUCUUGGCUUUCACGUAGGGAUGGCAAAAAUCCCCACGGGGACGGGUACCCUCGGGGAUUUUCCCCAUUCGGGGAGGGUAUGGGGAUAAUUUCAUACCCAAUUUCUUAUUCGGGGAGGGGACGGGGAAAUUUUGUUACCCAAUUUCUUAUUCGGGGAGGGGACGGGGAUGAGGUGGAAUCCCCAUCCCCUACCCAUUUCCCCAUUUUAAUUUUUAAUUUUAUUUUAAUUUUUUAAAAUUACUAGUAAAUAAAUAAUAAAAUUUAAAUUAUAAAAUUAUAAAUAUUGGUAAAAAUAAAAAAUAUCAAAAUAUUUAUAUUAUUAAACUUUUAGGCUUAAUUAACUAAUUAAAGUCCUAAAUUUUUAUUUAGGACAUUAAAAAGACCGAGUAGAUUCUAUUAGCCCAAAAGUUUUUUAUUUUUAAUAUUCUUUAAAUAUUUUAAACUUAAAUCUAUUUUUUAUUUAUUUUUAGAUGUUAUAAUUGCCCACAUCGAAUCACAAUUUUAAUAUCUAAUCUAAUCUAAUCUAAUCUAAUAUUUACUCUUGAUUUGCUCCGAUUUAACUAUUGUGUUGUAAAGGGAAUAGUCCACAUUUAUAAAGUGCCCACGCCACCAUUAAAAAAGUUAAUUUUGAAUCUAAAUUCGAUUUUAUUUGUAACAAUUUUGUAUUAAACUAUUAAUUUGUUCAUGAUAGUUUGUAAAAGAAGUUUGUAUCCCUUGCAUGCUGUGUUACUUACUAAUUUAAUGUAUGUGACUUUUGUAAUGGAUAUUAAUGUAAGAUAUAUUUCAAAUUUUACUUUUAUUUGAAUUUUUUAUUUUAAUAUGAUUAACUCAAAAUCGAAAAAAAAAUAUUAGUUAUUCGGGGAUCGGGGACCCUCGGGGAUCCCCUGUUAUUAUUCGGGGAGGGGAUGGAGAUUCGCUCAAGUAAUUCUGACGGGAACGGGGAGGGGACGGGGACAUACGCAAAAUAUCGGGGAUGGGUACGGAGAGAUUGGUCCCCUCCCCUCCCCUCCCCAUUGCCAUCCCUACUUUCACGGAUAGUUUUUAUCACGUAACCACGUGAGGAAGCAUGUGCUGGAGCCUGAAUUCAGUUAGUUAAAGUUUGUUAACCACGUGUCAACAAACUGUAUAAUCUGGAAAAUAAGCUAGCUAUUGAAACAGGGUAUAAAGGCUGGUUUUUCAGGGACUAUCGAGAGCUGAUUCUAGAGUCUUGUAGAAAGAGGUUUGUGAGAGAGAAAGUGUCAUCUUGUUCUCUGUAAAAUCCGAUAUAGGGCUCUGUAACGAUCUCCAUUGUUGAAUCAAUAAAACUCAUCUAGAAGCUUCUCUCGUGGACGUAUUCUGAGCAAUCAAUGCACAGCUGAACCACGUAAUAUCUUGGUUUCUGUGGGUUCUUGUUUUGGUUCUUGAUAAAUUCUUGUUGUUGUAUUGAGGUGUGAUUUGAUCUGUCUAAACUUGUAUCUGUGCAACUUGAAUUGAUUUGAUGAUAAGAAUCUUGGGCAGUGAUCAGAUUCGUUUAGUUUAAAGAACAAGCUGAUUACUACCGUACCUAUGCAUGGACCUGCAACCUGUGCUGACAAAACUGAAACUGUGAGUUUGAGGUAAAAAGGUCCUGGACCCUCACAGUUUAACUUUGACUUGUUGCUUUCUGGAUAAACAUAUUUUAGAAAUUUGCAAUUUGUUGUUAAUUAUGGUAUGUGAUUUUCUUCUUUGUUUUCGCUUUUGUAGAAUCUACCGUAUUACAUAUUGGCAGUUGUAUCUGAGGUACCUUUUUUGCAUUUAACUUGCCUUUAUCUGUUUUGCCUGUUACUUAACAACACAAACACAUCAUUUCCCAAACAUUUGGAGAAGCAUCUCAAGAUGCUUAACAAACUUGACAAACUUCAAGAUGCUCCCAAGCCUUGAUUCUUCACAAUGGAAGACCUGUGAGUACACUUAUGCCCGCAAUUAUUGUGAAGUGAUUGCAACUUUGAUGCAGCGAAAUGGUUUGCUGAUGCAAAGCUUUAAAACUGUUAAGAAUUACCCUGCAGGCUUGUUGGAUGUUGUAUACUCCAAAAGCCACCAACACCAAGAACUAUAACAGCAAGACUAGGUUUGCAUUAAUUCAAUUAGCUGAAAUAAUGAUGCAAAUGGCACUAUCCAGCUCGACUUAGAGACUAGUCAGGUCAAUCAUCCAUUUCAUCAACAGUUAAUGUCAGGAUGGUGGCUAGCAGAGGAAACAAAGGAUAUGUUGGAAUCAAUAAGAACAGUGAGAAGCAUGAGAGGAGCUUUGAUUAUAAGUAGGCUCAAUGAACUAGUGUUGGUAAGUGGUAAUUAGAGCAAUUUGUGAGCUUAGUAGAGUUUCAAUAUUUUCUGUUUGGGAUAUAGUUGAUAAGUUGAUACUCUGAUUAAGAAGGCUGAUUAUAGUAGCUGACUAUAUUAACCGGGUUCUCUUUUUUGGUUUGCUGUUGUUUUUUCUUUCAAUAUCUUUUUCAACAUUAGGUUUAGCUGUUGAAGAACAAGCUUGGGUUUGAUUAUCAGGUAAGAACAAAUGAAUGCUUUAACCAUGUUUCUCACUUAUCACAAUGCACGGAUUGAAGGCGUCUGAGUUGAUCCUGAAAAUUUGAUGGAAACACUUCUCUGUUUUCAUAAAACAGGACAACCAGAAAUAUCUGAUCAUGCCUGAGAAUUCGUCGCAUUGAAAUUUUCUACCAUUGCCAAACAUAGAAUAAACCAGGGAUACAUUAGCUUAAGACUCAAUUUUGAGAAGGAAGUUUGUACUUGCAGACUAUAAAAUCAUGUCUACCUUGUAUGUUUCUGUGGGGAAUGAAAGAUUCUGUGUGUUCUUUUACUUCGGGUUUGCUGAAAUCACAUUUGUUUUCUCAGAUGCUUUCCGGAAGGUAACAACGUCAAUUUCAAAAAUGUUGGGGUAAGAUGCAUCAUGCAGUGCUGCUCAACAUGAGAAUUCCUGGCCGCAUUACCCGUAUGUGGAAUGAUCUCACACUACAACCUUGAGAAGGUUGUAAGGAGUACACAACUAGAUGCGAGUAGUUUCAAAAUGAAUUCACAUGGAAUUAUAUGUUGCCGCUUAUUACUAUCACGUCUAUCCGAAAAUUCUUGGAAUUUGUCACCGGCAUUGAAGGAUUGUAUACGUGAAGACAUAGCUGAUGGCCUUGCGAAAGCUCCAUCAGCACUUAUAUCGGAAACAGCUGGUUGUAGUUGCUCCUGAGUGAUAUGAUUAAUAGAUACUGUAAAAAUGAACUGUGCCACUCAUAUCGAAAACCAGCUGUUAUGAUGUGUUGGUAAUGUGUUUGAUGCUUGUUUGAUUUAUGUUGUAUUCGGCUAUAAAUCAAAGAUCAGAACAUGGGUGUGUUACUGGUUUCCAAAUCAAAAAAUGCCUUGUGAUGUUAGUGUUCACUGUUUUCACAGGAGACCAGGUUCCUUGUUAAUGAGUCAAGAAGAAGACAAGUGAAUCCAUGUCUGAGUUCAAAUGUGUCUUUUCUAUUUCUUUUACCGACACAUUUAUUUUGAUUUCUUUGACUAGAUGACUAAAGAGUAAAGAUAGAAGAAAUCAAAACAAAUGAGUCAGGUCCCACCUGGCCCAUUGGCCCAUCUCUCUUCCAGCCCAAAUCACUCUCAUUCGCUAUUUUGCCACCUUCAUUUCACUGCCCUCAUAGCUCCCCGUUCUCACGGUGGCUGCCAUCUUUCUGCUCACGCAUCUUUCAAAUUUCAAACCUAACAGCAUUCUGUUGCUCUGUCGUGGGUACUUCAACUUCUGUCACCUUCGGUAAGCUUAUCUCUGCCCCUCUGUGGCUGUCUCUCUCUUUACAAUGUUGUUUCUUAUUCAAUUUACAGAAUUGAAUUCACUGUUCAGUUUAUGGGUUAGAUUUUUAUUCAAAAUAAUAUUAAACCCACCUCAGAUUUUAUCCCGUAGUAUGUAAAGUUCAUGUAAAGUUUCCACCUUUACGACCGUCCGAUGUUUAAAGUUCUAAUUUUGUUCCGGGGUUUUAUCAGUGUAUUUAGAAAUUAUGUCCAUUGUUUUUAUGAAAAUGGAACUAUUUUCAUUUGUUUAUUUCUCUAUGGAUGAGAAAACCGGUCUUUAAGCUUUAUAAUCUUUAUUUGAUUAUUAGAUUUCUCUUUUGUUAUUCAGAUGAGUUCAGUUUUCCAAUUCUGUGCAAUUGUUUUGUUGCAUUUUUCAAUUUUAUCUUUUUCCAAUGCGACGUUUAUGUUUGUAUUUUCUUAAAAGUGGACAUGAAUUUUGAUUUGUUGUUGCUUUGUUGUGAUUGAGUAGCCAAUUUUAAGUCCAUAUUAAACUUUCUCAAUUAUUAGUUGAAUUAUUUGGAUUUGAAAUUUUAAGUUCUUAAAACCGCCAUUUUAACUUGUUUGUUAAUGGCUCUGUUGAGCUUCAACAUUUGUUUUCAAGAACAAAAUUGAUGGAACUAUAAACCUUCGUUUCUCACAUGCGGGCAACAUGUUAUGUUAGACAGAGUGAAAUCGACAGAAGAAACCAAAACAUUGGAAACAGAGACACAGAGAGAGAUCAGCAGAAAUGGCUUGGUGCAGAGUACGCUCAGCUUCAUCGACACUCUUCAUUAGGCUUCUCUGCCCUUUCAUUCUCAACAAUAACACUACUUAACGCUAUCAGUCCUGUGGUACUCUUGUUUCUAUACUUGUGGAAUCUCUUUUUUAAUCCUCAAAGUUUGAAUUAAAUUAUAUUGCCUCUGUAUUUCUGCAGAAACGGAAUCAGUUGGUGAUGACAUUAAUUCUCAAGUUGGAAGUUGCAUGCCACUUUCUUGUAUGCAUGUUGGGACCAUCAUCAACAACAUUGAGGUAAACUCAGCCAAGAUUUUGAAAAAGAAUCCACUUCAAGGUACUGCUUAGUUUCUGGAAAUGAGAAAUUGAUUGACACUAGACGUCAACCCACCAUUGAUACAGCGUCUAACCCCAGCCAUGAAGCUAAGAUGCUUAGGAAGGCUGGUCAGAGCCAUUGGUUGGGCCAAAGACCUGUGAUUAGAGGAGUACCCAUGAAUCCAGUUGAUCAUCCUCGUGGUCGAGGUGAGGGACAAGGCAAAAGUAGUGGUAAGCAUGGAAGGUGUUCACUUACACCUUGGGGCAAGCCUUGUAAGUGGUGUAAAACUGCAUCUCGUAAGAAGAAAAGGAAAUUUAGCCGUCUGAUAAUAUUGUCCUUCUGUGCUAUUUAGCCUUUUUAAUAUUGUUACAUUGUUUGUUAUAUCUUUGAUGUUAGUUUUGGACCAGCUUUUAACUGAUCCAUAAUGAAACUGAAGUUUAAUUUUCGAUUGAACUUUUACUGGUUUUACUCCUGUCAUUUCAAUUUAGCUUUGAUUUAAGAUGCUGAAUUCUGUGAUUGGAGUAUGUAGAUUGGAAAGAGAGAUAUUAUGGGAUAGAAUAUAGAUUUUGUGUUUUGGUUUCUCAUGUUUAGAGAUAUUCUGUUCUUUUUCAUUUAUUCAAUUUGGUUAGUGGUGAUCUCUUAAAGAGUUAAUGCAUGUGUGUUUAUGUACUUUUCUUUUGGCCUUGAUUCUAUUUCUUGGGGAGUUUAUACAGAUUCCUCUUUUAUGCUUCACAUGCCACAUGCCACAUGAAAGAUGAAAGCCUUUUGUGUGAUUAGAAUUGACUUGCAUCAUAGUAACUUUGAACCACUGUAACAUUUUUAUAAUAGCAGUCUGCGAUCUCCUUGAAGGAUUCAAAGCAUUUUUUUUGUUAGUCUUGGCUUGCAUUAAAAUCCUUUAUACCGAUUGGUUGGUCUCCUUUAAAGCAAUUCCUGUUUUAAGUAAUCAAAAUCUUGAUUCGGAAGUGUGUUUUAGCACUACUAAAGGUUCUUUUAAAUACUAAAUUGAUUGUGAGUCUUCUAUAUCAUCUGAUUGAAAUACAUGAAAGCGAUAUUGGCUACAAAAGUACACUUGGGGUUGUUUAUAAAGUCUUCAACAGGAUUUUUUUUUCCCCUUCCUCAUGGUUUAUUUUUUAGUUGUUGUUUAACAAAACACUUAAAAGGUUCUCUUUAUAGGUUUCUGAAAAUAAUUUUAACAUAACCAUUUUUCAGAAGCACUUUAGAUACCUGUGGCAUUUAGAAAAUUUUGUUCCAGCAUUCACAUAAUAUACAUAGAAAUUUGAAUUUAUUUAAUUAUGAGCAUGUGCUAGUGCCUAUUGGCAUCCACUUGUAUAUACAAAUGUAUUAUACAAUACAAUAUUAGCUUGACUGUAGCAUAGAGGAGAAUAGGGUCGGAAUUGGUCUGAAUUCUGAUCUUUGAAUAAAUAUAAUAGCUGAUUGAAGCUGCUCAUGUGACUCCAUUGUCAGCAGCUUACACAAGGUCUUUUAGCUUUUUAAAAAGUUUUGUGAUAUUUCAUAGUUCACAUGGAUUGCUACAGUAUAGAAUACCCAAUUAGGGCAUUUUUAAUUCCUAUGCAUAGGAGUCUUCCUUCAUGCGCACGCGCGUACACACAUAUAUUUCCCACUUCCGUUCACUCCAAAAGUGAAAAUUGCGGGCAAUUUUUAUCUUCAGUAAAAUUGGAGUAGAUGUUGUUCUUAUUGGCGCAAAUUUGCGUACCAUGUUUGUGGGACCCUUAACCUUGCGCCUUUGUUACAAUCAUAUGCAUUCAGGCUUUUGGUAGACCCUUGGAUAGUAUGAUCAGUGUAUUAGAAUUUAGAAUUCGUGUUUAUAAGGGUCAGUUUGGUAAUGUUAUAAUUUUUAAAAUAAUUACUGUUAGCUAUACUAUAGAAAUAAUCAGUUGUGAAUAAAAUCAGUUAAACAGUUGAUAAAUUUUGUUUUUAAGGUGUUGUGAGUUUUAAACAAUUUGUAUGUAUUUAGUAAAUCUCGCUUUUAAAGUAUUAUAAGAAUGCAAAGACUUAAAUAGAUAGAAAUCUAUAAAAUUUAUUUACAUGUGCAUUUAUACAAUAAUAUUUUAUGCAUGUAUAUAAUAAUUAAUAACAGAAAUAAAUAUUUUUAUUUUAUUAAUUAUAUAUUUUUCUUAUUAUCUCAAUAUAAUUGGUAAUAAUAAUCUUUUUAAUAGUACAUUUAUUAAUCAGUAAUCGAAAUGGGCUGGAAUCGGAAUGGGGAAUGAAAAUCAUAAUAAUUUGUUUACUUUAGCUGUAGGAAUCAAAAUCACAUGGAGCUAUAUUAUCAUUAAUAUAUUUAUUUUGUCUUGGAAUCGAAAUAGAUUGUUACAAAUUACUAAACUGAUUUUAUUAUUAUCAAUAUUAUUAUUAAACAAGGUAAAGGGAAUUUUUAAUUUUCACUAGGUGUAGAAAUGUCGAUUCACUUCUCAUUCUCAUUCUCUGUUCUCAUUCCCCCUCCUCAUAGGAUUACCAUUUCACAUUCUCAAAAAUUUAUAAUUGACUCACAUUUCAUUCUCAUUCCUCCUUAUUUUGGAAGUAAAUAAGUUAAAGAAUCAUAUUCCUUUAUUCUUGUUUUUCAUUCACAUUCCUUCUCCUUAUUUUGGAAGUAAAUAACUUAAAGAAUCAUAUUCCCUUAUUCUUGUUCUCGUUCUCGUUCUCAUUCUCAAUUAGUAAGCACACUACAAAUGCAAUGAUUUUGUUUCCUAAUUAAACAAGGAUAAUUUUUAGAUUUUUAUAAUAUAUGUUAAGAUAUAUGUAGAAUUGUAUUAAAUAUGAAACUGACUCCCAAAAUCAUAUUUUAAAAAACUAUUUUUUUCUUAUUUUUUGAAAUUUAUUGUAGGCUAGGGUGAUUUUAUCAAAGUAAUUUUUUUAAAAAUUUUCGGACCCAUUUGGGAUUGUUUUUGGAAGACUCAAAAAGGAUUUUGAAUAGCUAAAAUCUAAGUUUGGUGUUUUAUAAUUUUUUUUUAAAAAAAUUACUUCUGAUAAAAUUAUCUUAUCCACGUUAAAUUUUAAAAAGAAAGGAAAAAGUAAUUUUUUAAAAUCUGAUUUUAAGAAUCAUUUUUAUACUUAAUACAAUUUCAUAAAUAUCCUGAUAUAUAUCAUAAAAAUUCAAAAUUAUCUUUAUUAGUUAGGAAAUAAAAUCAAUAAUUUUAAAAAGAUUAUUAUUAUUUCUAAUUAUAUUGAGCUAACAAAAAGAAAUAAAAUUACUAAUAUAAAAUUUAUUUUAACUAUUAAUUAUUAUAUUUACCAAUAAAAAACAUUUUAUAUACACGUUUAUAAAUAUUUAAAUAAAAUUUAUUCAUGUCGAGUUCAACCAUUUAUAUUAUUACAGCAAUUUAACAACUGGUUGUCGUUGCUCGGGAAUUAUAGAAUUACCAUAUGUUGUAAAAAUGCACUAAGCCAUGCCAUGUGUUUGAUACAGGUUAUGCUUGUUCGAUUAAAUUGUACUCACCUAUAAAUCAAAGAUUCAGUACAUGUGCAUGUUAGUGGUCUUCAGAAUCCAGAAUAAUAAAUGCCUUGAAAUGCUUGAGUUCAAUGAUUUCGCAGAAGACCAAGUUCCUUGUUAAUGAGUCAGCAUGACUGAAUCCUUCACUAAGCCAAAUUUGUUUUCACUUUUAGUUUAGAAAUUGUCAUUAAUUAAGAAAGUGUUUGAUAAAAUGCUUUGGAAGGCACUGUUCGUUGGACGUUUGCCCAGAAUUUAUGAAAUCAUUGGUGUUUCAUCCUACUUGUAACACUCUUCUUUAUUUUCUAUUCUAACGAAGAAAUCUUUUAUUAGAAAAGUGACAAGAUUGCACCUUUCAUUUGUAUGUUAAGGAGGUGUAAAAUUUUCUCGUUAAAAUCCCAUCAUGAAAAAAACUCACGGGCAAAAACCUACUGCAAAUUAAAGAAAGAAGAGUAAAUCAUGAUAAAUACACUCUCUUUUACAAUGCAAGCGGAUGCUUCAAUGAGUGGAUCAUGCGCCAAACUUGUAUAUCGUUGUUGGUAGUGCUUUGUUGAAUCAAUAUGAUAGAUUUUCACUUUUCUUUUUUUUCUUUUCUUUUUUUUUUCCUUGUGGAUACGAAAAUGAUUUGGGUUAAACUAUACUUAAUGCCGGUUUGGUACGACUUCUCUACUAAUUAAAAGAGUUUUUUUUCUUAAAUGUUCAAAAAGAUUUUUUAUUAUAAAUUGUAAUUUGAGUGGAUUUCUUGGGAUUAAACAAGUUACAUUUUUGUCUCUAUAAAGAAGUUCAAGUUAUAGAUUUUGGCAAUAGAGAUGUAGAGGUUUUUUUUUUUUCAGAGAACUAAAUUGUGGAGACUAUCUUUAUUUGGUUAUACAACUUUUUUUUUUUUAAUUUCAUAACAUAAUUUUAAAAGACUUAUUUAAUAAAUUUGAUAUUUUUUUGUAAAAAUUAUCAUUCACGUCCAAACUACUGAAGAUUUUUUUGUUAAACGCACUACUUAAAAGUUAUAUUAAUUAUAAACUUUCUAAAAAAAAAAAACAAUUCAAAGAGUUAUAGCAAACAAAGUGCUAGUUAACUUCAGUCGAUAAUAAUCUUCUAAUCCGUCCUACAAAUGACUUUCGACAAGAGUGGUGCUACUCACAUCUCUUCAAAACCCAUUUGACACCCCGUUUUCUUUAUUUAAAAUUUUAUACAUUUGAAAAUUAUUUUUUCUUUUACUUGACACUCUUCAAAUUCUAAAACUAAGCUUCAAAGAACCUUCGUCAUUAAAUCUCAUUGCCUUCCUUUAUUCUUGUUACUUGAGAAGAAGAAUGAGAGUCUGGAAGAAUGAAAGAAAAUUCAGCGAGAUAGAAAUCUAGUAAUUUCAUACCAUGAUUCAGAAUUUUUUUUUUCUCAAAAGAAUCUACUAUUCUUCUAUAUUUUAUAUAAAAAAAAGAGGAAAAGAGGAAACUGAGAGACUCUUUGUUUAAUGCUUGAAAGUUAGAAAGAAAAGGUCAGGAAGCUGCCUGGUAAUGAGAGUGAUGCAUCAGCACUAAUUUCUAUCUCGAUAGCUACCAAUUACCACCCCUAGAAAGGCUGUUGAUCAACAAGCCAUAUCUACUGGUUUCCUUUCUUUAAAAGUUCUAAUGGUCCCCUUAAAAAUCUCUAUAUGCUCAGUCUUCUCAUGAUAUAUCUGAUUUUCGCUGAGAAUUAUAGCAAGCGCUUCAGAUAUCAUAAUACUUUGUGACUGACUACUGUGCAUGCUUAAUUAUAAGAUUAUUCCUUGUGGCCAAAUAAAAUGACCCCCUUUAGAGCCUCUGUAUUUGAAAAAGCAAGACAAUGAGCUUAAUUAUUGUCAAGGUCUCCAGUAGGAUACUCCUAAAUCCAUAUACCCACCCACCAGAACUCCAAUCUUGAAACUUAUAGAUCAAACCAUAACUUAAUGUGCCUGGCAACCAGGGAUAUGUCAGGCCUUUAAAAAACCACUACAUACAUUUGAGUCUGAAAUUGCUCCAAUUAGUAUUAUGAUUAUUAUUUUAAAAAACUCAACCUAAGCAAAGUGCCUCAGCAUACAAUAUUUAUUGACAACUAAAAAGUAAUAGUGGGUGGGGGUUGCCCUGGGUUUUGUUUAAAAAUUGAAGUAAAAAAUUUUCAAAUUUCAAAUUUCUAGUACAAAGAAAAUUGAUGACUAAAUUAAAUUCUGCAAAUUAAUUUCUAAUAUUACAUGAAAAUAUAUCAAGUUAAUUGGUAACAUUGUUAAUCACUUAAUCCUCAAUCUAAUACGUUAUGUAUUUGUUACUCUGUCUUAAAUCAAAAGUGGCGGUGAUUUAUUUUUAUUUUCACUAAUAAGAAAGGCAUGUUAGAGCUUUUAUUUUGUUGAAAAUGAACCAAAAAACUCCGAUUGGGAGAUUAUAAAUGUAUUUAACAAUAAUUUAACUUCCAUUUUGAAAGUCAUUAUAUUGUUUAUUCAGGAGAAGCGUUCUUUUAUAUUUUAUAGAUAUAAUGUUUGCUAAUCCUAAUUUAAGCUAAAGCAUAUGCAUUUCCUAAUUAAUUCUAAUUUAAGCUUAUUCAACUGCAUUCAAUUAAUGUUCGAUAAUACAAAUUCUAAAUACUAUAUACUCUAAGAAUUUUAAUCGUAAUGACAAGGUGAUCAUUUAAUUAUUACCGUUAAAUUAUAUAUGUAUGGUGGAGACGAGUCCACACGGUUUUGACGAGAAAUUAAAGACAAUAUUUAGUUAAGCUAGUAGUAUUUGUUCUGUUUAGUACGUCGUUUUACCAGCAAGCAUCCCGGCAAUGCACGCAUUAAUAAAAAAAUUUAUCUGUUUGGACUGAUUGGUAGUGAAAAAUUCCACAUACUUUAAAUUAAGAAAAUGCUAAGUAUCUUAAAGAAAACAAUUAAAAUAUUGUCACUUGAUGCUUGAAUCAUUAUUGUUAAAUAUCUCCGUUGAGUUGUAUUCCCCAGCUGUGAGUAUCAUUAUUGUCUUUGCUAUCUAAUCAAUUCAAUUUUCUUUCUGGAGACAAGAUUUUGAUUCCUUUCAUCGUUACAAAAACGGAACCAUGGUUGAUGUGGGAGAGAUCUUACUCAACGCCUUCUUUCAGGUGUUGUUCGACAGGUUGGCUUCCCGUGAUUUGCUCAGCUUUGUCCGUCAACUUGGAGGGGGGGUCGAUUCCGAGCUCAAGAAGUGGGAAAGAAAGCUGAAGAUGAUUCAGGCGGUGCUCAACGAUGCAGAGGAGAAGCAACUGACUGAUGAGGCUGUGAAGAUGUGGCUGGACGAUCUCCAAGACUUGGCUUAUGACGCUGAGGACAUUCUUGAUGAGUUUGCUACUCAAGCUUUGGAAAGCAAGUUGAUGGAGCAAAAUCAGGAUAGCUCUGGCCAGGUUCUCAGUUUCAUCCCGGCUAGUUUGAAUCCGAAUGCUAUUAUGUUCAAUUAUAGCAUGGGGUCCAAGAUUAAAGAUAUUACUAGCCGGCUGGAGCAACUCUGCCAAGAAAGAAUUGAACUUGGACUGCAGCGGAUUACUGGAGGGGCAUCAUCAACUGCUGCUGCUACACAGCAGAGGCCGCCCAGUUCGAGUGUCCCAACAGAACGUGAAGUAUUUGGAAGAGCAAAAGAUAAGGCCAAAAUUCUUGAUAUGGUAUUGGCCGAUACCCCAAGUGAUCAUGCCGACUUUGUUGUAAUACCCAUUGUUGGCAUGGGCGGGAUAGGAAAAACAACUCUCGCUCGGGAGGUUUACAAUGACAAGGCCGUUGGCGGUUCCAAGUUUGAUGUAAAAGCAUGGGUUUGCGUAUCUGACGUCUUUGAUGUUUUGGGCAUCUCAAAGGCACUUCUCGAGUCAAUCACCCGCAGGCCAUGUCUUCUAAACAGUUUAAAUGAAGUGCAGGUUGAAUUGAAAGUAGCUGUGGAUAAAAAAAGAUUCUUGCUGGUCUUAGAUGAUGUUUGGAACGAGGAGUACAGCUUGUGGGUAGACUUAAAAGCUCCGUUCCUGGUUGCUGCACCAAACAGUAAGAUGAUCGUCACCACACGCAAUUCAAAUGUUGCAUCAACAAUGGGGCCAGUUGAACAUUACAAUCUCAGGAGUCUAUCGGAUGAUGAUUGCUGGUCCAUUUUCAUAAAGCAUGCAUUUGAAUCUAGAGAUCUUAACGCACAUCAAAUUUCAGAAUCAUUCCGCAAGAAAGUUGUUGCCAAGUGUGGAGGCUUGGCCCUGGCAGCAAAAACACUCGGAGGCCUUCUGCGUACGACGAGGCAUGAUGCGUGGGAUGAUAUAUUAGAGAGCAAAAUAUGGGAUUUACCACGACAAAGUGGGGUUCUCCCAGUAUUAAGAUUGAGUUACCAUCAUCUUCCUUCUCAUUUGAAAAUGUGUUUUGCUUUCUGUGCAAUCUUUCCAAAAGAUUAUGAAUUCAAAGAGAAGGAGCUGACUUUUUUAUGGAUGGCCGGAGGAAUUAUUCGACAGUCAAGAAGCAAAGAGCGGCUAGAAGAUUUGGGCAGCAAGUGCUUCCAUGAUCUGGUGUCAAGGUCAAUUUUUCAGAAAUCAGCAAUCUCUGCUAGUUCUAAAUUUGUAAUCCAUGACCUUAUCCAUGAUCUUGCUGAAUUGGUCUCUGGAGAAACCAUAUUUAGGUUAGAGGAGGCCAAUACUCUGUCAAGAAGAUUUGAAAGGGUUCGCCAUUCCUCCUAUGCUUGUGGUGGAUAUGAUGGUAAAAAUAUGUUCGAUGUUUUCAAUGAAAUUGAACAUCUACGAACAUUCUUGCCAUUACGCUUACGCAUAAGAGGUGGCUUUAGUUCUGGUUACAUAAGUCGAACGGUCCUAUCUGACUUGCUGCCAAAGUUCAAAAGGUUGAGAAUGCUAUCUUUAGAAGGAUACUGUAUUGGCGAGUUACCAAUUCCAUUUGAAGAUUUGAGACUUUUAAGGUUUCUCAACCUUGCUGACACUGACAUAAGAAGUUUACCCGAGUCAACAUGCAAAUUGCUGAACUUGGAAAUUUUUAUAUUAAGAAAUUGUUCCCGUUUGAUAAAGCUUCCAGCCAAAAUGAGGAAUUUGAUCAAUUUACGCCAUCUGGAUAUAAGAGGUGCGAAGUUGCUGAAGGAGAUGCCAGUCGGAAUGAAAGAGCUGAAGAAGCUUCAAACAUUGUACAAUUUCAUUGUGGGCAAGGGUGAAACUGCAUCCGGUUUGGAAGAAUUAAAAAGUUUAAACUUUCUUUGUGAUGAACUUUGCAUUGCUGGAUUAGAGAAUGUGAAUAAUCCACAGAAUGCAAGAGAAGCGGCAUUAUGCGAGAAGCACAAUCUUGAAGCACUGACUCUAGAUUGGGGGUCUCAAUUUGACAAUUCUCGAGAUGGAGUAGUAGAAGAGCAUGUACUGGAAAUUCUACAGCCUCAUAAACGUAUAAAAAAGGUGGCAAUCAGGAACUAUAGAGGUGCAAGAUUUCCACAUUGGAUAGGAGAUCCUUUGUUCUCCAAAAUAGAGUUCCUUGAAUUGGAGAACUGUGACAAUUGUGUAUCUUUGCCAUCGCUUGGCCGUUUGAGUUCACUUAAACACCUUGCUGUUAAAGGGCUGAAGAAACUAAAAAGCAUAGAGUCUAAGGUUUAUGGGGAGGGUUUCUCAAUGCCUUUUCCAUCAUUGGAGAUUCUAAGUUUCGAGAAUUUGCCAGAAUGGGAGCAUUGGGACACCGAUAUCAAAGGAAAUGUACUUGUUGAAAUAUUUCCUCGUCUCCAUAAACUUUCCAUUGUGGAAUGUCCCAAACUCUCCGGAGAACUGCCUGAUCUCCUGCCCUCCUUGGAGACACUUGUUGUUAGUAAAUGUGAAAAGUUGGUAGUUCCAUUGUCUUGCUAUCCGAUGCUCUGCAGAUUAGAAGUUGAUGAGUGCAAGGAACUAGCGUGCGCGACUCCAAUUGAUUUUAAGUUGAUAAAGUCUGUGACUAUUUCAAAUUGUUCACUAGACAUGUAUGGAUGCAAGGGGAUGCUAUACAAUGGUCCAGCUGGCUCUUCACUGCCGAAAUCCAUGACUAUUACAAAUGUUUUGGCGUUUGGAAAAUUAUUGAAGCCUGAAUUUCAGAUAUUAGAAACUUUGGUAAUUGACAAUUCUGAACAGCUCAUGUCAUGGAGGCAGCGUGGGAAUUUCCGAGAAGAAUAUUUGGCCGUUCGCCGAAGGCUUAUCAAACCAUUACAAGGGCUAAAUAUGCUCGCUUCCCCAGAAGAGGUAACAAUUGAAGAAAGUUGUGUGAGUUUUGUUUUAUUUUCAGAGAUCAAUUUCUUUCCCAGAAAUCUGCGCUCUCUUCUAAUUUGCAGCAGCACAGCUUUAAAAUCCUUACCCGAUGAAAUGAUGGACAACAGUUCACAACUCAAAAGGUUGUAUAUCAGAGAUUGCGAUUCUCUAACAUUCAUCACAAGACGCAAGCUACCUUCAUCUCUAAAAAGUAUAGAGAUUCAGAAUUGUGAGAAACUGCGACAUUUGUUCGAUGAUAAAGAGGAUGCUUCUUCUUCUUCUCCUCCUUCAUCCUCGCCCUCCCCAGUGAUGCUGAAACACCUGAGUAUAAAUAAUUGCCCAGAGCUCACCAGUUUAUCAACAGGAAUCCAAUUACUUGAGGCGCUUGAACACCUCGACAUACGGGAUUGUCGAAAGCUGGAGUCAUUACCAGAUGGCCUUCACAAUCUUAACUGUUUACAGGAGAUUACUCUAAACAGUUGUCCAAGUCUUCUUAGAGGGCUUCCCAACACGAUUUCAAGGGUUGACAUUUACAGCUGUCCAAGUCUUGUUUCCUUCCCAGAAAGAGGACUUCCCAACACGAUUUCAAAGGUUGACAUUUUUAAUUGUGAGAAGCUCGAAGCCCUGCCCAAUGACAUGCACAAACUCAACUCUCUUCGAGAUUUAAGCAUAUUGGGGUGUCGAAAUCUUGUAUCCUUUCCAGAAGAAGGUUUUCCUACCAGUCUAACAUCACUUAGAAUUGGAGAUUUCAAAAUGUAUAAGACACUCAUCCAGUGGGGGUUGCACAGGCUUACCUCUCUUAGACGCCUCUAUAUCGUUGAUUGUGAUGACGAAGCAGAGUGUUUUCCAGACGAGGAGAUAGGAACGAUGCUGCCUACCUCCCUAACUCAUCUAUCCUUUCGGGGAUUCCGAAAUUUGAUAUCUCUGUCUUCGACGGGUUUUCAGAGCCUCAACUCUCUUCAAUACUUGUGGAUCAGGGAUUGCCCGAAUCUCACAUCAUUCCCAGAGGUGGGCCUUCCAUCCUCACUUUUGGCAUUAUGCAUUAUCGAUUGUCCAAAGCUUAAAAAAGCGUGCAAAAGAGAUCAAGGAAAAGAGUGGUCCAAAAUUGCUCACAUCCCUCGCAUUGACAUAGACAGGAAAUUCAUAUACGAUCCAGAAUCAGAGGAGUAGAUUCUACUAUUAAGGUCAGUUGAUUUGUAUUAUCCGCCAUAACAAGCUCCUCCUUUUUUUUUAAAUAAUAAUAAUAAUUCUUACCAAUUAAUGAUGGUAAGAUGUGUACUUAUUCUUUCUUCCGGACAACCUUGCCUUCUUUCUUCGGUAGCAUAUCUAAUGAAUAUUUCUCUGUUUAGUUAAGGAUGAAUGCUUGGAGUGGAGUAUUUGGUAACAUUUCUGCCGUAGAUGAAACCUUGAAGAAAUGCCUGCACUUCCUGAGACCAAAUACAGGUCUGAUUCACAACAACACCUGUCCCAGAAAAUAUGAUACAAGCCAAAGCCAUGUUCUGAAGCAGAAAUAACGCAUUUCAAUUUUUAUCUGGUAAAAAUACACAGCCCUCGCCUACAAAAUUCUUAUCUUGGCUUUCACGGAUAUUUUUAUCACGUAACCACGUGAGGAAGCAUGUGCUGGAGCCUGAAUUCAGUUAGUUAAAGUUUGUUAACCACGUGUCAACAAACUGUAUAAUCUGGAAAAUACGCUAGCUAUUGAAACAGGGUAUAAAGGCUGGUUUUUCAGGGACUAUCGAGAGCUGAUUCUAGAGUCUUGUAGAAAGAGGUUUGUGAGAGAGAAAGUGUCAUCUUGUUCUCUGUAAAAUCCGAUAUAGGGCUCUGUAACGAUCUCCAUUGUUGAAUCAAUAAAACUCAUCUAGAAGCUUCUCCCGUGGACGUAUUCUGAGCAUUCAAUGCACAGCUGAACCACGUAAUAUCUUGGUUUCAGUGGGUUCUUGUUUUGGUUCUUGAUAAAUUCUUGUUGUUGUAUUGAGGUGUGAUUUGAUGUGUCUAAACUUGCAUCUGUGCAACUUGAAUUGAUUUGAUGAUAAUAAUCUUGGGCAGUGAUCAGAUUCGUUUAGUUUAAAGAACAAGCUGAUUACUACCGUACCUAUGCAUGGACCUGUAACCUGUGCUGACAAAACUGAAACUAUGAGUUUGAGGUAAAAAGGUCCUGGACCCUCACAGUUUAACUUGGACUUGUAGCUUUCUGGAUAAACACAUUUUAGAAGUUUGCAAUUUGUUGUUAAUUACGGUAUGUGAUUUUCUUUUUUGUUUUCGCUUUUGUAGAAUCUACCGUAUUACAUAUUGGCAGUUGUAUCUGAGGUACCAUUUUUGCAUUUAACUUGCCUUUAUCUGUUUUGCCUGUUACUUAACAACACAUCAUUUCCCAAAGAUUUGGAGAAGCAUCUCAAGAUGCUUAACAAACUUGACAAACUUCAAGAUGCUCCCAAGCCUUGAUUCUUCACAAAGGAAGACCUGUGAGUACACUUAUGCCCGCAAUUAUUGUGAAGUGAUUGCAACUUUGAUGCAGCGAAACGGUUUGCUGGUGCAAAGCUUUAAAACUGUUAAGAAUUACCCUGCAGGCUUGUUGGAUGUUGUAUACUCCGAAAGCCACCAACACCAAGAACUAUAACAGCAAGACUAGGUUUGCAUUAAUUCAAUUAGCUGAAAUAAUGAUGCAAAUGGCACUAUCCAGCUCGACUUAGAGACUAGUCAGGUCAAUCAUCCAUUUCAUCAACAGUUAAUGUCAGGAUGGUGGCUAGCAGAGGAAACAAAGGAUAUGUUGGAAUCAAUAAGAACAGUGAGAAGCAUGAGAGGAGCUUUGAUUAUAAGUAGGCUCAAUGAACUAGUGUUGGUAAGUGGUAAUUAGAGCAAUUUGUGAGCUUAGUAGAGUUUCAAUAUUUUCUGUUUGGGAUAUAGUUGAUAAGUUGAUACUCUGAUAAAGAAGGCUGAUUAUAGUAGCUGACUAUAUUAACCGGGUUCUCUUUUUUGGUUUGCUGUUGUUUUUUCUUUCAAUAUCUUUUUCAACAUUAGGUUUAAGAACAAGCUUGGGUUUGAUUAUCAGGUAAGAACAAAUGAAUGCUUUAACCAUGUUUCUCACUUAUCACAAUGCACGGAUUGAAGGCGUCUGAGUUGAUCCUGAAACGUGCCUCAGCAAGUAUUAUGAUUAUUAUUUUAAAAAACUCAACCUAAGCAACGUGCCUCAGCAUACAAUAUUUAUUGACAACUAAAAAGUAAUAGUGGGUGGGGGUUGCCCUGGGUUUUGUUUAAAAAUUGAAGUAAAAAAUUUUCAAAUUUCAAAUUUCUAGUACAAAGAAAAUUGAUGACUAAAUUAAAUUCUGCAAAUUAAUUUCUAAUAUUACAUGAAAAUAUUAUCAAGUUAACUGGUAACAUCGUUAAUCACUUAAUUCUCAGUCUAAUACGUUAUGUAUUUGUUACUCUGUCUUAAAUCAAAAGUGGCGGUGAUUUAUUUUUAUUUUCACUAAUCAGAAAGGCAUGUUAGAGCUUUUAUUUUGUCGAAAAUGAACCAAAAAAACUCCGAUUGGGAGAUUAUAAAUGUAAUUAACAAUAAUUUAACUUCCAUUUUGAAAGUCAUUAUAUUGUUUAUUCAGGAGAAGCGUUCUUUUAUAUUUUAUAGAUAUAAUGUUUGCUAAUCCUAAUUUAAGCUAAAGCAUAUGCAUUUCCUAAUUAAUUCUAAUUUAAGCUUAUUCAACUGCAUUCAAUUAAUGUUCGAUAAUACAAAUUCUAAAUACUAUAUACUCUAAGAAUUUUAAUCGUAAUGACAAGGUGAUCAUUUAAUUAUUACCGUUAAAUUAUAUAUGUAUGGUGGAGACGAGUCCACACGGUUUUGACGAGAAAUUAAAGACAAUAUUUAGUUAAGCUAGUAGUAUUUGUUCUGUUUAGUACGUCGUUUUACCAGCAAGCAUCCCGGCAAUGCACGCAUUAAUAAAAACAUUUAUCUGUUUGGACUGACUGGUAGUGAAAAAUUCCACAUACUUUAAAUCAAGAAAAUGCUAAGCAUCUUAAAGAAAACAAUUAAAAUAUUGUCACUUGAUGCUUGAAUCAUUAUUGUUAAAUAUCUCCGUUGAGUUGUAUUCCCCAGUUGUGAGUAUCAUUAUUGUUGUUUGUGCGAUAUGUUUCGACGAAGACCAGCAGUGAUGAGCAGGCGUCUGGUAGCAGGGUUCCUCGAACAGGUAUAUCUUGCAAGAGUCUGGUAGCAGGGGGAGCAAGAGCAGGAGUAUCCUGCUCGUCCACGAGUACGUCAUCCACGAGGCCGGUCUCCUGUUGGGAGCGUAAAGCCAUUCCUGCUAUAUUCCUGCUAGCGGUUGAGUCGAGGAGACCCGGUCAACGACAGUUGACGAGACAUGCUCUCCAGUCCGAGAAUCAAGGCGCGAAGGCCACGCAACCACCCACGACUACGGAAAUGGAGCAUCCACUUUCGAGAAGUGGGAGGAUGACAAGCGCAAAGGGAGGAAAUGCAUGGGCUCAGAAGUGGCCUAUAAAAAGGUAACCAACGAAGGUAAAAGGGUUAGCAAUUUUGAGAUUAUAACAGAGACUAAGGAAAUUCUAAAGAAGAGAAAACUAUUAAAAAGCCAUAAGAUCUGUGGCAAGCGUUCCCAGAGCCUUCAUAUCUGACUUGAGCGUCGGAGGGUUUACGCCGGGAAAACAACCGGCGUGCUCUGACUUGUUUCUGUGGACGCAGGAAUACUUGGAGAAGAAAGCAUACAAGGAGAGAUCCUGGUCGAGGUGAGGUUGAUUGAGCAGAUAUCCUGGUCGUAGGAAGAGCGUAACCAGAAUCUCGCAUCAAUAUUUUGGCGCCGUCUGUGGGGAGCUGAGCAAAAAGUUUCUGUUGAUAGCAAAGAAGAGGAGUGAAGCAAGUGAAAAGCAAUGGAGACAGGAGGAAGUAGUGCACAAGGGGGUGAUAUGAGGCUUAACGAUUCCGUGACGCUGAGGGAGAUAGCCAGUGAAGCACGGGAAAAAGCCAUGUUCGACCGGAUGGAACGGAUGGAAAAGCAGAUGGAGACCUUGACAACCAUCCUACAUGAGCUGCGGAGCGAACGAAGGGUAACCCAGGAGGAAAGGGUGAGAGGUGGUGGAGUGGCACCAGGUCCCGAUAGUGCGAGGAGAAGUCAAACCACCGGGAGAUUUGGUGGUGAGAGAGGUAACAUACCUCUGCAGGGAAAUUGCAUAGAGAGGAAGAGCAGUCCCCGGCAAGACAGAUUUUUGACGAGGACGACGGGGUGGCGAAUGCAGAGGAAGCAGAGUUGAGGCAAUACUUGCAUGAUGUAGUGCAAGAGCGGGAUCAAGUCGCAGCACGUGACCCUGGUCGUGCAGAGCAGCUGGAGGAGGAAGUGUGCAGGCUAGCGCAGAUAAUUGACGACAUACAAGGAAGGAGCAGAGCUCCUGGUUGGAGGAUAAUGCUGGACGGAGAAUCACCGCUCGCAGCAGAGAUCAUGAGGGCAGUUAUUCCAAGAGAUUUCCGCCUCCCAGACCUUAGAUAUUCGGGAUGAACUGAUCCGCUGGUGCACAUAGAGCGCUUCAACGACAUAACUGGGGUACAAGGAUUAUCUCAAUCCUAAAGGUGCAGGGUGUUCCCACUAUCCCUUGAGGGACGCGCACGAGAGUGGUACAGGAAACUUCCUCGGGGGAGCAUUAAAACCUUCGAGCAGAUGUGCCAGGAAUUUGCAGAACAGUUCCGUGGGGCAAUGGCACCAGAAGAUGACAUGAUGGAGUUGAAAAACAUGAAGCAGGGGGAACAAGAAACACUUCGGGAAUUCAUCAAGAGGUUUCACCGUGCUGUCCUCGACUUGGGAGCCUUCAACCACCCUCAAACGUUAAGGGGAUUGAAAGAAGGGGUGAAGAUAGGAAGGCUGUGGUACAACUUGAGAAGCCCAGUUAUUCAGACGUAUGCGGCCGCAUACGAGCAGGCUAAGAGAGACAUUGAGAUUGAAGAGGAGAAGGCAGCACAGAUUAAGACAGACCAGUUAGAAGGGUGGGGGAGGAAAGAGAAGAAAGCAUUACCGGGGAAUGGGCCGAUCAGGAGGAGGAACCACCAGGCCUCGAGUAGUGGAGCAGAAGGUCGGGUAACUGCUUACCAGCCUCAUCAGAGGCCACUACAGUAUCAGCACAGCAGGGCGCAACCUCCUCGUUCCCCAGCUGGGGAGCCUUGGAGAAGGCAUGACUCGGCGUAUGGUGGUCUUCAUCAACACUCCCACGGUAGUAGAAGGGGCAGACCAGAAGCGCUGCCACCGCCUCCAACUCAGAACGGAGCAAAUAGAGAAAGGGCAGUGCACCUGAUCGACCAGAACCAGGACUAUGGGCGAUAUACUUCCUUGAAGAUGUCCCUGGCCGAGGUGUACGAGGCCAUAAAGGAUCGAGGGUCGUUAUACCUCCCUGCCCCAAUAACAAAGCUACCCAGCAGGAGGGAUAGGGGACGCUAUUGUAAGUUCCAUGGCACUCAUGGCCACACCACAGCAGAUUACAGGGAUCUCAAGACCCAGGUUGAAGAUUUGGUGAGAAAUCGGUAUCUGGACGAGUUUAUAGAUGGGACCUUCCCAAUGGUAGCCUCGACCAGCGAAUGGGAGCAGAGUGACAGGAACUUGAGGCGCGAGCAGCCUGCAGUAAGGGUGAUAGCUGGGGGCCCAACAUUGGCCGGAGAUUCCAACAGGUUGAGGAAGAAUUACGCUAGAUACGCCAUGACCAGCAAAGAUGUAUUCUUCACCACCCCAGCAGCCAAACGUGCAAGAGUCAGGCAAGUGCCAAUUAUGUGGACAGAUGAGGAUGAAGAAGGGAUUCUAUACCCCCACGAGGAUGCUUUGGUCAUCAAGGCCACUGUUGCCAGCAAGAAGUUUGACAGGAUACUGGUUGACACAGGGAGCUCAGUUGAUGUGUUGUUUAAGUCAACCCUGGAGGAGAUGGGAAUAGCAGACCUGAAGUUGGAUUACACCAAUACCUCCUUGAAGGGGUUUGGAGGAGGAAAGUUGGUCCCUCUGGGCGUGGUCGAGCUGCCUAUCACGAUUGGGAGCUCCCCGACAGAAGGGACAAUGAUACUGGACUUUGUGGUAGUGGAUGAGGAAGGUCCUUAUCAGAUGAUCCUAGGCCGGCCAUUUCUGACGAUGAGCAAAGCGGUGCUGUCCAGCCAUUAUCUGGCUCUCAAGUACCGGGUGAAUGGGGUAGUUGGAGUGGUACGAGGAGACCAGAGGAUCGCAAGAAGCUGCUACUCCUCGGCAGCAAAGGAAGCAAUGCAGAUAACAUCCCUUGAUACCCGAGUGGAAGCCAGGAAUGGCAGCUAGUUGGACCCGGAGUUUACAAGCUGGUUCGCACGGAUGGCCACAAGGUGAAACGCCCAUGGAGCGCGACACACCUCAGGAAAUAUUUCUAGUAAGACUUACUCAUCUUUUAAAGUUAUUUCUGUUCGUGCCCGUUGUUUUCUAUUUUUCAUUUCUUAUUUCAAAGCAAUCUCAUGUAAGCCGAAUUCAAUAAUAAAUGAAUCAAUGAGGAGUUUCAGUCAACUACACUGUUCAAGAAAUUAUCAAAGGCAUGCAAAGGCUAGUCAAGUCUCAAAGCCUGUUUAUGGCGAGACCAGAAGCCAAGCGUGCCAGGAUCUGCUCGACCACGAGAAGGCGAGCAGAGUCCCAAGCUUUCAAGAAAUUAUCAAUGGCAUGCAAAGGCUCACCAAGUCUCAAAGCCUGUUUAUGGCGAGACCAGAAGCCAAGCGUACCAGGAUCUGCUUGACCACGAGAAGGCGAGCAGAGUCCCAAGCUUUCAAGAAAUUAUCAAAGGCAUGCAAAGGCUCACCAAGUCUCAAAGCCGGUUUAUGACGAGACCAGAAGCCAAGCGUUCCAGGAUCUGCUCGACCACGAGAAGGCGAGCAGAGUCCCAAGCUUUCAAGAAAUUAUCAAAGGCAUGCAAAGGCUCACCAAGUUUCAAAGCCUGUUUAUGACGAGACCAGAAGCCAAGCGUGCCAGGAUCUGCUCGACCACGAGAAGGCGAGCAGAGUCCCAAGCUUUCAAGAAAUUAUCAAAGGCAUGCAAAGGCUCACCAAGUCUCAAAGCCUGUUUAUGGCGAGACCAGAAGCCAAACGUGCCAGGAUCUGCUUGACCACGAGAAGGCGAGCAGAGUCCCAAGCUUUCAAGAAAUUAUCUAAGGCAUGCAAAGGCUCGCCAAGUCUCAAAGCCUGUUUUAUGGCGAGAUAGAAGCCAAGCGUACCAGGAUCUGCUCGACCACGUGAAGGUGAGCAGAAUCCCCAAGCAUCGGAAUAUUUUCCAAGGCAUGCAAAGGCUCGCCAAGUCUCAAAGCCUGUUUUAUGGCGAGACAGAAGCCAAGCAUGCCAGGAUCUGCUCGACCGCGCGAAGGCGAGCAGAAUCUCAAGCAUUGAAGAAUUUUCCAAGGCAUGUGGCAAAACCAUAUGCCGAGCCAGAACCUGCUAAACUAGACGAAGACGAGCAGAUUCUCAGACGAAAAAUAACUCAUGAUUACAACACAAGAAAGUAAUCAAAAACAUUUUUAUUAAUUUGUUAAUAAUUAACAGAGGAGAUAAUCUUCACAAACAUUGUUCAUUACAAUACAAGAAAUAUAUUAAGAGGACGGUGGAUCCGUAAGCCGAGCAGCCUCAGUCGGUUGGUCCACCUCAGGUGCUGGGGGAGUAUCACCGGUCGCGUCCGGGGGGGUGCUUGCCUCACCCACAUCAACAGGAACGGCACGAGGAGGAGAGUUUUCCUCAACUACGAUUGGUUCCACCGUUUCGGCAUCUUCCUUUGCAGCCUCCUCGUCCAUAUGUUGGGCGACACCAGUUGCAAGGUCGUCCAUCUUCAGAUCAGGAUGCUGCUUCCCGAGGACGACCAUGAUGCAACGAUAGGAAUGCCGAAGCCCCUAGUCGUACUGGUUGUCGGCCUCCCUCUCCAAGUUCUCGACCUGAGCUCGGUGGGAAUCGCGGAGAGAUUCGAGCUGAGCCUCAUAUAUAGCCUUCUGCCUUUGCAGAUCCUCCUCGACCUUGGUCAGCUCCUCCUCGAGGGUAAUGGCUUUUGCUUGAGCAAGAGAUUCUUGCUCUAUCAGCUUGAGGUUCUCAACAUUCAGCUCCCCUGCUUUCUUCUCGGCAGCGUCAGCUCUGGUCGUCGCCGAUUGAAUGUCCUCCUUAAUCUUGCGGUCGUAGCGGCCAACCUUCGCCUUGUAAUAGGUGGUCAUGCAGCUGAGGUAGAAAGCGCUAUACUGCAUGGCCCCCACCAGCUCACCCAAGGUGCAGCCGUCAAAGUCCUCCAGGUCCUUCUUGCUCACGAGUUUAGAUAACUCAUUGAGGUAGGGGACCAAGUGUUCUGCUUGGCUGUCAGGUAAGCGAGAUCGAGGCCCGACAGGAGGAGAAGAGGAAGCAGGAUCCGUGGCUGCUCCACUAGUUUCCCCAACUUUGGCAGGAGCAGGAGGUAAAGUCUUCAAGGGAGAGACUUGCUGUACGAUGUUGGCCUGCUUUGCAGAAGGGGCGUCCUUGUUCUGGUCCCUCUUCGUGGCUUGAGGUUGAGAACGUUUCCUGUUCAGAGCCCCAAUCACAGCGUCCUCCAUCUUAUGGCCAGGGAGUACCAAGCGAGACUCGAGCAAGUUGUAAACAGUUAUCAAUUCUCGGCUCGGGCAAGAGUUGGCUAGUAUAGCCUCGACCCGUUUGAGCUGAUCAGGUUGGAGCGAGAAGUGAACACCCCAAGAACCUGCAACACAAACAAACAUUUGAUUAGAGACAAACCAGUAAAGUGCAAACAACAAGGGAGACAAGACAUCUAAUACGAGCAGGCAACCUGGGACCAUGAAACGGGGUGGGACGCGACAAUCCUUCCCGUCUAUUUGUGCAACUUGACCCCAAGGACCCCCAGCAAAAAAGAAUUUCCUCUUCCAAGUCCCACCACCACCAGUUGGAAGAUCAGUUAUGGGUUUCUUGCUCUUGGUACUAGAUUGGAAGUAGUACCAGCCGGCAUCUUUGGGGCUGCUCUUUAGCUGGUACAGGUGCUUCACCUCAUCAACCGUGGGCUCGCUUUGGCAACAUCUGUCCCACAAUAUGAACAGACCAGAGAGCACCCUCCACCCAUUGGGGUUCAGUUGACCAGGAGCUAGAUUGAGCCCGUGGAGUAUGCGAGCAAAAUAGGGUUGCAAGGGGCACCUUAACCCGUACUUAAAACUCUCCUGGAACAAGGUGACAUAUCCCCUAGGAGGCCUGCUAGGACUAUCUUUUUUUCCUGGGAUCCUAAGGAGUACUUCACCAGGAAUAUGAUACCUGAGCCAGAGGUCAUCCAGCUCGUUGAAUGUGGUCGUGCAGGUCAUGUAAUCAAUAGCAUAAUCCCGCAACAAGGCUCUACCUCCUACUGUACUACGCCCUUCUGGUCGCAGUGUUCCCGGUGAAGAUCCCUCACCAGAGUCACCUCCUUGAUCCUCACUUAGGGUGUCUUCCGAGCCAGAAGGUCCUUCCUCGCCACUACUUCCGCUCGUGGAGGUUGUUUGGGGGGACAUCCUCCUAGCGCUAGUCCCGACACUAGACCUAGUGGGCUCUAAGGGGAUCCCGGGGUCAAAAGCAGAAUCAGUGAGCAGACUAGGCAAGAAACCUAGUUCGUCGUCAUCAGUCUCAAUGACUUUCUCCUUACCCUUCGACAUUCCCUAAGUUCUAACCAAAACACCACCACCGACUACAACCCCAAGUAAAGCAAAGAGAAAAGAAAUUAUCUACAACUAUCCGAGACCGAGGAGAUAGAAGUAAUACCUGAAGUAAUGGUUCAGUUAGAGAAAGGCAGGGGAGGAGACUUUUAUGCCGAGACUUCUUUGCCGGAGAGACAGAGACAGAGAUGGAGUAAAUGACGAAUUUUCCCUUUGAGAGGUUUUGGGUUUUCCUAAUGGAGAAUGAACUUUUGGAUUGCCAGCAUUUAAUAGCAUCGAAUCCCAAGGGUCUCGUAACCGUCGGUUUAAAAUUCAAAUAGAUGGGUAGAUUUCUGCCACAUCACCUGGUCCACAAUUAAAUGCGACACGACUCUUGGCAGCCUUUUCCUAUCCCGCGCGAGCAAGAACUGUCGAGUUUCUACUGUUGGCUCACUACGCUACCCAACACAAGAAACUGGGGGACUGGUGUUUGUGCGAUAUGUUUCGACGAAGACUAGCAGUGAUGAGCAGGCGUCUGGUAGCAGGGUUCCUCGAACAGGUAUAUCUUGCAAGAGUCUGGUAGCCGGGGGAGCAAGAGCAGGAGUAUCCUGCUCGUCCACGAGUACGUCAUCCACGAGGCCGGUCUCCUGUUGGGAGCGUAAAGCCAUUCCUGCUAUAUUUCUGCUAGCGGUUGAGUCGAGGAGACCCGGUCAACGACAGUUGAUGAGACAUGCUCUUCAGUUCGAGAAUCAAGGCGCGAAGGCCACGCAACCACCCACGACUACGGAAAUGGAGCAUCCACUUUCGAGAAGUGGGAGGAUGACAAGCGCAAAGGGAGGAAAUGCAUGGGCUCAGAAGUGGCCUAUAAAAAGGUAACCAACGAAGGUAAAAGGGUUAGCAAUUUUGAGAUUAUAACAGAGACUAAGGAAAUUCUAAAGAAGAGAAAACUAUUAAAAAGCCAUAAGAUCUGUGGCAAGCGUUCCCAGAGCCUUCAUAUCUGACUUGAGCGUCGGAGGGUUUACGCCGGGAAAACAACCGGCGUGCUCUGACUUGUUUCUGUGGACGCAGGAAUACUUGGAGAAGAAAGCAUACGAGGAGAGAUCCUGGUCGAGGUGAGGUUGAUCGAGCAGAUAUCCUGGUCGUAGGAAGAGCGUAACCAGAAUCUCGCAUCAACAAUUGUCUUUGCUCUCUAAUCUAUUCAAUUUUCUUUCUGGAGACAAGAUUUUGAUUCCUUUCAUCGUUACAAAAACGGAACCAUGGUUGAUGUGGGAGAGAUCUUACUCAACGCCUUCUUUUAGGUGAUGUUCGACAGGUUGGCUUCCCGUGAUUUGCUCAGCUUUGUCCGUCAACUUGGAGGGGGGGUCGAUUCCGAGCUCAAGAAGUGGGAAAGAAAGCUGAAGAUGAUUCAGGCGGUGCUCAACGAUGCAGAGGAGAAGCAACUGACGGACGAGGCUGUGAAGAUGUGGCUGGACGAUCUCCAAGACUUGGCUUAUGACGCUGAGGACAUUCUUGAUGAGUUUGCUACUCAAGCUUUGGAAAGCAAGUUGAUGGCGCAAAAUCAGGAUAGCUCUGGCCAACUUCUCAGUUUCAUCCAGGCUAGUUUGAAUCCGAAUGCUAUUAUGUUCAAUUAUAGCAUGGGGUCCAAGAUUAAAGAUAUCACUAGCCGGCUGGAGCAACUCUGCCAAGAAAGAAUUGAACUUGGACUGCAACGGAUUACUGGAGGGGCAUCAUCAACUACUGCUGCUGCACACCAGAGGCUACCCGGUUCAAUUGUCCCAACAGAACGUGAAGUAUUUGGAAGAGAAGAAGAUAAGGCCAAAAUUCUUGAUAUGGUAUUGGCCGAUACCCUAAGUGAUCAUGCCAACUUUGCUGUAAUACCCGUUGUUGGCAUGGGCGGGAUAGGAAAAACAACUCUCGCUCGGGAGGUUUACAAUGACAAGGCCGUUGGCGGUUCCAAGUUUGAUGUAAAAGCAUGGGUUUGCGUAUCUGAUGUCUUUGAUGUUUUGGGCAUCUCAAAGGCACUUCUCGAGUCAAUCACCCGCAGGCCUUGUCUUCUAAACAGUUUAAAUGAAGUGCAGGUUGAAUUGAAAGUAGCUGUGGAUAAAAAAAGAUUCUUGCUGGUCUUAGAUGAUGUUUGGAACGAGGACUACAGCUUGUGGGUAGACUUAAAAGCUCCGUUCCUGGCUGCUGCACCAAACAGUAAGAUGAUCGUCACCACACGCAAUUCAAAUGUUGCAUCAACAAUGGGACCAAUUGAACAUUACAAUCUCAAGAGUUUGUCAGAUGAUGAUUGUUGGUCCAUUUUCAUAAAGCAUGCAUUUGAAUAUAGAGAUCUUAACGCACAUCAAAUUUCAGAAUCGUUCCGCGGGAAAGUUGUUGCCAAGUGUGGAGGCUUGGCCCUGGCAGCAAAAACACUCGGAGGCCUUCUGCAUACGACGAGGCAUGAUGCGUGGGAUGAUACGUUAGAGAGCAAAAUAUGGGAUUUACCUCAACAAAGUGGGGUUCUCCCCGUAUUAAGAUUGAGUUACCAUCAUCUUCCUUCUCAUUUGAAAAGAUGUUUUGCUUACUGUGCAAUCUUUCCAAAAGAUUAUGAAUUCAAUCAGAAGGAGCUGACUUUCUUAUGGAUGGCUGGAGGAAUUAUUCGACAGUCACGAAACAGUGAGCAGCUGGAAGAUUUGGGCAGCAAGUGCUUUCAAGAUCUAGUGUCAAGGUCUAUUUUUCAACAAACCAGCUCUGGUAGUUCUAAAUUUGUAAUGCCCUAUCUUAUCCAUGAUCUUGCUGAAUUGGUUUCUAGAGGGACCAUUUUCAAGUUAGAGGAGUCCACCAACUUGUCGUCGAGGAGAUUUGAAAGAGUUCGCCAUUCUUCCUAUGCCCGCGGUUGGCAUGACGGUAAAAAUAAGUUUGAGGUUUUCUAUGAAAUUGAACAUCUACUAACAUUCUUGCCAUCACGCAUAAGAGGUGGCACUAAUACGAGUUACAUAACUCGAACGGUUCUAUCUGAUUUGUUGCUGAAUUUCAAAAGUUUGAGGAUGUUAUCUUUACAAGGAUACUGUAUUGGUGAGUUACCAAUUUCAUUUGAAGAUUUGAGACUUUUAAGGUUUCUCAACCUUGCUUACACUGACAUAAGAAGUUAUCUGAGUCAACAUGCAAAUUGCUGAACUUGGAAAUUUUGAUAUUAAGAAAUUGUUCUCGUUUGAUAAAGCUUCCACCCAAAAUGAGGAAUUUGAUCAAUUUACGCCAUCUCGAUAUAAGAGGUGCGAAGUUGCUGAAGGAGAUGCCAUUCGGAAUGAAAGAGUUGAAGAAGCUUCAAACAUUGUCCAAUUUUAUUGUGGGCAAGGGUGAAACUGCAUCUUGUUUGGAAGAUUUAAAAUGUUUAAACUUUCUUUGUGAUAAACUUUGCAUUGCUGGAUUAGAGAAUGUUAAUAAUCCACAGAAUGCAAGAGAAGCCGCAUUAUGUGAGAAACACAAUCUUGAAGCAUUGACUCUGGAUUAGGGGUUUCAAUUUGACAAUUCCUGAGGAGUAGUAGAAGAGCAUGUACUGGAAAAUCUACAGCCUCAUAAAUGUAUAAAAAAGGUGGCGAUCCGGAACUAUGGUGGUGCAAGAUUUCCCCUUUGGAUAGGAGAUCCUUUGUUCUCCAGGAUAGAGCUCCUAAAAUUGGAGAACUGUGACAAUUGUGUAUCUUUGCCAUCGCUUGGCCUAUUGAGUUCACUUAGACGGCUUGCUGUUAAAGGGCUGAAUAAACUAAAAAGCAUAGGGUCUGAGGUUUAUGGGGAGGGUUUCUCAAUGCCUUUUCCAUCAUUGGAGAUUCUAAGUUUCGAGAAUUUGCCAGAAUGGGAGCAUUGGGACACCGAUGUCAAAGGAAAUGUGCUUGUUGAAAUAUUUCCUCGUCUCCAUCAACUUUCCAUUGUGGAAUGUCCCAAACUCUCGGGAGAACUGCCUGAGCUCCUGCCCUCCUUGGAGACACUUUUUGUUAGUAAAUGUGAAAAGUUGGUAGUUCCAUUGUCUUGCUAUCCGAUGCUCUGCAGAUUAGAAGUUGAUGAGUGCAAGGAACUAGCAUGCGGGACUCCAAUUGAUUUUAAGUUGAUAACGUCUGUGACUAUUUCAAAUAGUUCCUUAGACAUGAAUGGAUGCAAGGGGAUGCUAUACGAUGGUCCAGCUGGCUCUUCACUACCAAAGCCUAUGAUUACUACAAAUGUUUCGGAGUUUGGAAAAUUAUUGAAGCCUGGAUUUCAGAUAUUAGAAACUUUGGUAAUUGCCAAUUCUGAACAGCUCAAGUCAUGGAGGCAGAAUGGGGAUUUUCCGGAAAAAUACACGGCCCCUGAACAUAGGUUUAAGAAACCAGUACGAGGGCUGAAUAUGCUCGCUUCCCCUGAAGAGGUAACAAUUGAAGAAAGUUGCGUACGUCUUGUUUUGUUUCCAGAGAUCAAUUUCUUUCCCAGAAAUCUGCGCUCUCUUCUAAUUAACAACAACACUGCUUUCAAAUCCUUACCCGAGGAAAUGAUGGAAAACAAUUCACAACUCGAAAGGUUGUAUAUCAGAGAUUGCGACUCUCUAACAUUCAUCGCAAGACGGAGGCUACCAGCAUCUCUUAAAAGGCUUGAGAUAGAAAAUUGUGAGAAAUUGCAACGUCUGUUCGAUGAUGAAGAGGAUGCUUCUUCUUCUUCACCUUCACCCUCGUCUUCCCCAGUGAUGCUGCAACACCUGAGUAUAGAGAACUGCCCAGAGCUCACCAGUUUAUCAUCGGGUGUCCAAUUCCUUGAGGCGCUUGAAGACCUCGACAUACAGGGUUGUCCAAAGCUGGAGUCAUUACCGGAUGGCCUGCCCAAUCUUAAAUGUUUACAGAGCAUUUAUAUACGGGGAUGUCCAAGUCUUGUUUCCUUCCCAGAAAGAGGGCUUCCCAACACGAUUUCAAGGGUUGACAUUUGCAGUUGUGACAAGCUCAAAGCCUUGCCCAAUGAUUUGCACAAACUCAACUCUCUUCGAGAUUUAAGAAUACGGCUGUGUCGAAAUCUUGUAUCGUUUCCAGAAGAAGGUUUUCCUACCAAUCUAACAUCACUUACAAUUGGAAAUUUCAAAAUGUAUAAGACACUCGUCCAGUGGGGGUUGCACGGGCUUACCUCUCUUAAACGCCUCUCGAUCAGUGGAUGUCAUGAAGCAGAGUGUUUUCCAGACGAGGAGAUAGGAAUGACGCUGCCCACCUCUCUCACUCAACUGCUCCUUUAGGGAUUCGAAAAACUGAUAUCUCUGUCUUCGACGGGUUUUCAAAGCCUCAACUCUCUUCAAUACUUAUUGAUCUGGGGUUGCCCAAAUCUCACAUCAUUCCCAGAGGCGGGUCUUCCAUCCUCACUUUUGGAUUUAGGCAUUUACAAUUGUCCAAAGCUUAAAAGAGCGUGCAAAAGAGAUCAAGGAAAAGAGUGGCCCAAAAUUGCUCACAUCCCUCGCAUUGAGAUAGACAGAAAAUUCAUAUACGAUCCAGAAUCAGAGGAGUAGAUUCUAUUACAAAGGUCAGUUGAUUUCUAUUAUCCUCUAUAACAAGCUCCUCUUAAUUUUUUUUUUCUAAGUAAUAAUUUUGCAGUUCUGUAUAAUUAUUAAUCGUCUGCUCUUAAUUGAAAAUGUCACUCACUUGAUUCCGUUUUCACUAGUCAAAUUGUAUGUUGAGGCUAUUUGCUUUUUAAUUAUAACACUUAUCUUAAAAUUUAAUACCAAAUUUUUUUGAUUCACUUCAAUUAGCAUUUUGUUUUCCCCAAAUUAGGCAAGCCGAGAGCUUCAUUAACUAGAGUUUUUUAUUUUUCGGACCUUGCAUCUGAAAGGUUCAGUGUAUUUUUUUUUUUUUCAAAUUUAUUGUUCAGAUCUCAGACGAGUAUACGGUUUAGAUUACAAAACACCUAUGAUUAAUUUCUUUUUUUUUUUUUUAAUUUCAGGGAGAAGAAGUGGUCAGUUUCAAUCCGGAAUUGGAAUAUGGCAAUUUGGUUCAAGCACACACACCUGGUCACUUGGUCAGUGAACCUGAACUUUACGCAGUUUUUUCAACUCAGUGAUUUUUGGAACGCAUAUUGGUGUAAGGAAAUCAAUAGAAAUUUAUGCAUAGUCAAAUUCUGAUAUUUGCUAUAAUAUUAUACAUUCUAAAGUUUCUCCAGUUUGUUCUCAGAUUACCAUCAUUUUUUGCCUUCACCAAAAAAAAAUCGAGUGGCUUUCCAGUGGAUAUUUAAUCGGAGGUAUGACUGGAUUUUUUUCACUUCUGUAAAUCUUGCAUUUUAAACUGGCAAAUUUAACUUUAAUUUUAAUACGACUUGUUUGAGGGAAAUACUCCGACGAGACCAGACGUGAUGAGCAGAUGUUUGGUGGCAGAAGUCUGCGAGCAGGUGUGUCCUGUAAGAGCCAGGUAGCAGGGAAACAGGGGCAGAAAUAUCCUGCUCAUCCACGAGCAUGUCAUCCGCGAGGCCAAUUUCCUGUAAGAAACAUAAAGCCAUUCCUGCUGUAUUCUUGCUAAGGGUUGAUUCGAGGAGACCCGGUCAACGACAGUUGGCGAGGCAUGCUCUCCAGCCCGAGAAUCUAGGCACGAAGGCCACGCAACCACCCACGACUACGGAAAUGGGGAAUCCACGUUCGAGAGGUGGGAGGAUAACAGACGUAGACUGCGGAAAACUGGGAUUCAGAGGAAGCCUAUAAAAAGGUAGCCAACGAAGGUAAAAGGGUUAGCAAUUUUGAUUCUAAAAGAGAGAAAACAACCUAACAACCAUAAGAUUUUUGGCAAGCGUUCCCCGAACCUUCAUAUCUGACUUGAGCGUCGGAGGGUUUGCGCCGGGAAAACAACCGGCGUACUCUGACCUGUCUGUGUGCGCAGGAACCUCUGGAGAAGAAGCUUUACGAGGAGAGAUCCUGGUCGUGGUGAAGUUGAUCGAGCAGAGACCCUGGUCGUAGAACGAGGAGAACCAGAAUCUCGCAUCAACACGACUUUGUUGGUGCCUUGUGUUCCAGAAACUAGAAUGAUGUGUAGUUUUCAGAUUAAGGGGCUUGUAAAUUCUCUAGUAAGAAUCCAAUAAUUUGCUUUUGCACAUUCAUUUUAUUUGUGGAUCCUUGCAUCUGAAUUUGAUCAAUCCAAAAGGAAUUGCUUUUAGACAGAAGAAGAAUUGCAGUACCUAGCCUACGACAUAGUAAAUGGACCUGCAAACCUGUAACUAUUAGUUUGAGGUAAAAAAUUCAUGACCCUCACAUGUUAACUUCUUCUAGUUACUUUCAUCAAAAACACAUUUAAGAAAUUUGCAAUUUUUUGUUAGUUUUGUAUACCGAUGUUGUUUUCUGUUUUAGCAUUUGUAUAAUCUACUGUAUUAUAUUUUGGCGGUUGCAGUAUCUGAGGUAUCUUUUGCAUUUAACUUGCUUUAUUUGUUUUGCUUGUGACUUAAGAACACCAAUAUUUGCCAGAGAUUUAGAGAAGCAUAUCAAGAUGCUUGGCAAACUUGACAAACUUCAAGAUCCUUCAUUCUUCACGACCCAAAACUUGUGAGUACACUUAUGCCCGCAAUUAUUGUGAAACGCUUGCAAUUUUGAUGCAGCGAAAUGGUUUGUUGAUGCAAAGGUUUAAACUUUUAAGAUUUACACUGCAGGGUAGUUGGAUGCUGUAUAGUCGAACGGCCACCAACAUCAAGAACUAUAACUCCAAGACCGGGUUUGCAUUAAUUCAAUCAGCUGAAAUAAUGAUGCAAAUGACACUAUCAGCUGGACUUAGAGACCAGUCAGAUCAAUCAUCCUUUUAUCAACAGUUAAUGUCAUGAUGGUGUCUAUCGGAGGAAACAAAGGAUGUGUCGGAAUCAAUAUGAACAGUGAGAAGAAUGAGAGGAGCUUUGAUUAUAAGUAGGCUCAAUGAACUCAUGCUGGUAAGUGGUAAUUAAAGAAAUUUGUGCGCUUAGUAGCAUUCAAUAUUUUCUGUUUGGGAUAUAGUUGAUGAGUUGAUACUCUGAUUAAGAAGCCUGAUUAUAGUAGCUGACUUUUUUUUUGUGGUUUGCUGUUGUUUAUUCUUUCGAUUAAUUUCAACAUUAGGUUGAUCUGUUGAAGAACAAACUUGGGUUUGAUUAUGCUUUAACUACAAGGAAGAGCCAGACUUGGAUGCAGGCGUUCAGCUUUUAAUGGGUAAGAACAAAUGUAUGCUUUAACCAUGUUUCUCACUUAUUACAAUGCACACAUUGAAGGCAUCUGAGCUGAUCCUGAAAAUGUGAUGGAAAUACUUCUCUGUUUACAUAAAACAGACAAAUAGAGAUCUCUGAUCAUGCCUGAGAAUUCGUUGCAUUUAAAAUUUCUACCAUUGCCAAAAAUAGAAUAAACUACGGAUACAUUAGCUUAAGACUCAAUUUUGAGAAGGAAGUUUGCACAUGCAGCCUAAAAAAUCACGUCCGUGUUGUAUACUUGUAUGUUUCUUUGGGAAAUGAAAGAUUCUGUGUUCUUUUAUUUCAAGUUUGCUGAAAUCACAUUUGUUUUCUUAGAUGCUUUUGGGAAGGUAACAACAUCAAUUUCAUAAAUGCUGGGGUAAGAUGCAUCACGCAGUGCUACUCAACAUGAGAAUUCCCGGCCGCAUUACCUGUAUGUUGAGUGAUCGCACAGUACAACCUUUAGAAGCUUGUAAGGAGUAGACAACUAGAUGCGAAUAGUUUCAAUAUGGAUUCGCAUCAAAUGAUCUCUUGCCAGUGAUUACUAUAACCUCUAUCCCAAAAUUCUUGGAACUGGUCAUACCAAUAAUGAAGUAUUGUGUACGUUGAAGACGUAGCUCAAGGCCUUGCGAAAGCUCCGUCAGCCUUUGUAUUGGAAAACAGUUGGUUGUAGUUGCUUCUGAAUGAUAUUAUUAAUAGAUACUGUAAAAAUGAAGUGUGCCACUCAUUUUCAGAGCCCUGUUAAGAUGUGUUGGUAAUGUGUUUGAAGGUUGUUUGAUUUGUGUUGUAUUCAGCUAUAAAUCAAAGAUUCAGAACAUGGUUAUGUUACUGGUUUCCAAAUAAAAAAAUUGCCUUGUGAUGUUAGUGUUCAUUGUUUUCACAGGAGAUCAGGUUCCCUGUUGAUGAAUCAAGAAGGCAAACGCAUCCAUGCCUUAAGUUCAAAUGUGUCUCUUCUAUUUUCUAUUACUGACUCCUUUAUUUUGAUUUCUUCAUUGUAAUGGAAUUGGUUUUCAUUCCAAAUUAGUCAAAACCUCCUAGAGUCAUUAAGUUCUGUUAGCAUUUGAAGAUAGAACUAGAACUAAAUGAUUGACUGGAUUAAAUUCCGAUAAAGAAUUAAGUUAUGUAUUUAGAGAUAUUUUGUUUUUUUUUUCAUUUGUUCAAUUUGGUUAGUGGUGAUUUCUUAAAGACUCAAUCCAUGUGCGUUUAUGCAUUUUUCUUUUGCCUUAAUUUCUGUUUCUUGGGGAGUUUAUACAGAUUCUUAUUUUAUGCUUCACAUGCCACAUGAAAGAUCGAAGCAUUUUGUGUGAUUAGAACUGACUUGCAUCACAGUAACUUUAAACCACUGCCACAUUUUUAUAAUAACAGUCUGAGAUCUCCCUGAAGGAUUCAAAGCAUUUUAUUUUAUAUUAACCUCCUUUAAGUGGGUUUCGACACUACCACAAGUUCUUUAAAUACUAAAACGAUUUUGAGUCUUUUGUAUCAUCUGAUUGAAAUACCUGAAAGCACUCGUGGCUGCAAAAAUAUAUCGAUUUUGAGUAUGGCGUGCAUGUAAAUUAUAUCGAUUUUUUCUAUAUGACAAGUAAGACUCUCUUUUACAAUGGCACGGAUGCGUCAUUGAGUAAUCAUGAUUCUUGCUGGUAGUGCUUUGUUGUAUCAAUCUGCUAGCUAUUCAGCUUUCUUUCUUUCUUUCUUCUUUUUUUUUUUUUUUUUUUGUUUUCAAAUAGCUUGUGGUUGUAGAAAUAUUUCAAUUAAACUAUACUUAAGUACUUAUUUAGUAUAACUUCUUUACUAGCCAAAAUAAUUUUUUUUUGGUUUUUUAUAAUUUAAUUAUACUUUAACUAGAGUUUUUGGGAUUAAACAAGUGAUAAUUUCUCUCUAUUAAGAAAAACUCAAAAUUUUUUAAUUACUAGAAUGCGUCUAAAUUAAAUUACAAUUAUAGACACUAAAAUAUAGUAAAUUUUUUUUUUUACUCUUUAAAACUGUCUUUACAUUCGAUAUCAUAUUUUUUUCUUAAAAUCUAAAUUGAUAUUUUUAUUUUAUUUUUGAUUAAUCUUAGAACACAUAUAAAGUGAUUCAUAUUGAUUUUAUACUAACAAACUAUCAUAGCACAUUCGAAAAUAAUUAACUCGUUCUUAUUUGCAUAGUGAAAAAGGCAAAUAGCUCACCCAAAUGUUAAGGAACUGGAGAGCUGCUGCUGGAGACGAAAGGAUGUGAAAAGCAUGGUAAAGAAAAAUUGCAUAAUUCUCACUUAGAAGAGGAAGAAAAAAAAAAUACAAUUAGAAUGAGAGGUAGCCAGUAGCCAGUAGCCGCCACCACCACCAGUCAAACUAUUUCGACACACUAAUACUGUAAUACAUAUCAAAAUGCAAUAUCGGUCCUAACAAAAUGAAAAUAAAAAUUCAUUACGAAUAUGUGUUAAAGAUAUCCCAAGUAUUGAUGUGAUUGAAAUAUUUGAGAUUGAAGUAGAAAUAAGACUCAAAAUCAAUUGAGAGGAAUAAAUGAGAAACUCUAAUACUAAUAAAAUAUAUUCACAAAUCCUAAUGCUAAUUAAAAUCACGGAUUAAAAAAAAUAAUAUGAAUGAAUUACAGGCGCAACUGUUUCAUUAAAAAAUUAAUAAAAUCGUGUAUUAAUAUUUUGUACACAUACAUUUUUCCAUAUAUAACUUUUGGUAAUUUAGUUUUCCACUUAUCAUUUUUACUCCAAAAAAAUAAUUGAGAAUAUUAUUUAUGUUUUGGUGCAAAAUAUUUAAACAACAUAAAAAUUUUCAGUUUAAUAAAUCUAAACAAUUCUCAAGUUAUAAAUGAAUUUAAUGGGUUUAAUUAGUAAAAAUACUAUUAUUUUAUAAAUUGGGUUUAGUAAUGGUAUAUUGGGUAUUUAAAUGGGUUUGUUGAGUAAAUUUUAAAAUUUUAAAGUUCAAGGGUAGGUUUAUUUAGUAAAUGGGUUAAUGCAGCAAUUUUCAAACUAAAUUUUUGGAAAAAGAGGCUAUUGAGUUUUUUUUAAGAAAAAGAAUUAAAAUGUUGAGAAUACCUUUAUUUAAUUUUAUAAUCUAAUUUUAAAAAAUUUACCCAAUAAAUUUUAUAAUUUUUUAUAAAAAUUAUCAUUAACAUCCAAACAGCUGAAGAUUAAAAAAAAAAAAAGAAGGGAACUGUACUAGCAAAAGUUAGAUUAACAAUAAAUUUAGUCCAAAGAAUAAAGUUAUAGCUAAAAAGUGCUCCUAUCCUAUUUUUCUCUAUUUUAACAAUAAUCUUCCAAUCCAUUUUACAAUGGACUUAACAAAUGGGCUCAAUCUCUAAACUUCAUUUUCUUUUGCUAACCCAUGGCCAUUAGCCAGAAAGCCUAAAACAAUUUUAGGAUCACAUGUGUAAAUGGAACCCCAAGAUUGAUCAAGAAUUAACAAGACAAGAUGAAGAGAUGAUCUUGUAACUAAGAAUGAAGAAAUUGAAUCAAGACAGUACUCUAGUAAAACCCAGAAAACAGAGCUUGAAGAAUCACGCACAAAGCAGUAAAUUUGUAAAACCAGAAUUGGAGCUUCACUUCUCAAGAUAGACGAAACAGGAUACAAUCUAGCUUUGGUCAACUUCGUUUGGCCACGUCAUAAAGUCUUCCCCCACAGUCUUUCCCGCCAAAACAGAAAAGCUUUAAAAGCCAUUUACCCUCCUGAGUUACUUGCUCCUAUUACAUCAAGGCCCUGUAAGUCUAUAUUUAUUAUUACAAAAGCACCCUUAAACCGAGAUUUGAGAUAUUUUUUCAAAGAUCGAAGCGCAUGAUUUCACGGCUAUGUUGCAUAGUGAAUUUUAGUGCUUUACAGUUAAGGGAUAGUUUAAAUUCAUUACAAAGCAUUCGCAAAGAAAUUGUUUUUAAAUGAAACUCCUCGUCUUGACCAGAUUAUUUAUUAUUAUUAAAAAAAAAAUGUUCAAAACUUAGCCAAAGUGAUAAACUCGUAAUUAUUCUACAAAGGGAACAAUUUUGAACGGUGGGAAAUUCCAUAAUUAUGCUUUUCUGUGAAUUAUUUUAAAUAAAAUUAUAAAAAUUAAUAUAAAAUUAUAAUAAUGAUAGAGCCACAAACUCUUGUACAAAUUUAUUUUAUACAAACUCAUGUGGCAUGAUAAGAUUGGUUGAAUUAAAUAUUACUUGGCCCACAUGAUUUGUUUUUAUUAUUUUAUAUUUUUAUUCAACCAAUAAAUUAAUACCACGUCAGUUUGUACAAAAUAAAUUUAUACAAAAAUUUGUGACUCGAUCAUCACUCAUAAAAUUAAUACCCGGUAAAGACUGUAGAGAGACAAGUGCCCCCAACAGAAUCAAGUGAAUAUGCCCCACAAAGAUCACAUGAUCAUUUCUGUUCUUUUUCUUUUUGAUAAUUUUAUCUGUGGUUUCAACUUUUAUGCUUUAUUGUCGUAUCCCGUUGAGGGCUCCGCUGCACCCAUUACAACUUACCCCUAAAUUGCCUCUUACUAACUAAACCGUUAGAUUUUAUGGAAGCACGUUCAAUGUUGAAUUUUAAUUAUGUCAUCGAAUUUCGUUUAGCUCCUUAAACUCCAUUUUAUUUGUAAUUUCUUCAUAAAAUAUUCAAAGCUUCAUCAAGCUCCUGAUGGACCAUCAUGGCUAGGGGUGCAUUAGAGCCGAACUGAAAUAUGUUAGUUCAGUUCAGUUUGGUCAGUUUAAAUCGAAUGGUUUAGAAUAUAUAAACUGAUCAAUUUUAAUUUUGAAUUGAACCGAACCGAAAAUCAAUUGGUUCACUAUUAGUAUUUUUGUAUAAACAAGAAUGAUUAGUGAUUAUAAUUAAAUUGGACUAAAAAAAAUUCAAACUAAGGUGAAAAAUAUCAAAUCUUAGACAAUAUAAAAAAAAAUAUUAAAUUUUUUUAACCGAAACGAACCGAAUUAUUUUGACUCAGUUUGGUUCAUAAUUUUUUAAACCAAACUGAUUUAUUCCCACCCCCUAAUCGUGGCUCUCUAUCUUUAGUCAUUCACCCUUGAGUUUGAUGCCAAUUGUUGGGUUUCAAAUGAUUAUACACUCAAAUGGAACCCUCAUAACAAAAAACUAACAGAAACAAUAAGAACACGAUGUUAAAAUCUUAAAUCAAUCGCAAAAAAGCACCCAAAACAGAUCGAUUAGGAACAGUUAAGAACAAAAGAUUUGAUGGUUCAAAAUCAUAAUGUGACCUACGUACUUUCAUCCAAGAAUCAUACUAAUUGCUUUACUAGUUGUCAAACUCAAGAUCACAAGAUUGUUUAUCACUCUACAUAAAAAUUUUUUUUAGAAGAAAUACUCCCCAAUUUUUCUCUUAAUAGUUAUGAAUCAACACCCCUAGGAAGCCUGUUGAUUUACUUUUCCUUAUUUCCUAUGAUCGGUUGCUGCAACUUAAUCCUUGCCAAGCUCCAACAUAGUCCAAACACUUUUAACGGUACAGGCAUAGUGCACCUUCAGAAACUUUACAGCUCCUCUUAAAACCUCAGGCAUCGUAAGCACAUUAAGCAGCCGACAACACUCUUCUUCAUUUCUUCAUUGUCAAUUUCCUUCUUGGAACAUUGCUCCAUUGAGAGUCUGCUAGAAUUGCUCCAAUUAUUAUUAUUAUUUAAAAAAAAAAGAAAACCCUGCAAUAAGAGUAUAAGACUAAGCAACGGUCCUUUUUUUUUCCCCAUUCUUGAACCUAAAGUAUUUGAGUAUGCAAAUUAAUAAAUAAAUUCAUUUAUUUUUAUUAAAAUUUUGUAAAAUUAUAAUUUUUAAUAAAAAUAAUUAUUAAAAUUUUGUAAAAUCUAAAUUUAGAAAAAUUCAGUUGGGCACCUCUAUUUGAGAUUUAUUUUUUAUUAAAUUUAGGGAUAUUUUUAUAAUUAUAAUUUUUAAUUUUAAAAGUUUUUAUAAGAUAAAAUAGUCUUUUAAUUUAUUUAGGGGGUAAAAUUGGUGUUUUAUUAAAAUUAUUUAAUUGUGUUAAUGCAAAAGUGGCUAUUUGAUACAAAUGUGAAAAGAAAGGUGGUGCAAAAUAUAUGUUAAAAUUUUAUAUUGGUUGGAUGAACAUAAGCUAAAAUAAAGGUGGUGCAAUGAUAAUUUCCCUAUCCUAAAACUUAAUUGACUUAAUUCUUACGGUGCAAGGAAGAGGUUUCCAAGUUUAAAUCUAAAGGCUUGUAUUUAAUUUGGGGUUGGGAAAGCACUGAGAAAUAAAUGUAACUAAGGAAAAAAAAAAAGUCACGCAGUCCAAAUAAGUAGAUAUAUUUAAUAUGAGGUGGGGAUGGGUGAACUGUAAUUCAGAAAAAAAUAAAAUAAAAUUUUAUAUAAAGUUGAGGGUGUGUUUUAAUGGUUUCUUAUGCUGCGUUUAUUUUUUGGACUAGAGUGAGAAUUCUAAAAAGUGAGAAUCCUAUGAUUAGGUGUGUGGAGUGGGAGUGGGAGUAUGGUAUUUACUUAGACUAAAUAAAAGUAUGGAUUGUCAAUCAGAAUCUCAAUUAUUUGUUACUUUGUCUUGGAUUGAGAGUAAAUUAUUUUAAAUUACAAUUUUAUCCUUAUGUAAAGAAUUAUAAUUUGUAAUUAAAAAAUUAAUAAAAAUAUAUUGGAAAAUAAAAUAAAUAUUUUAUUAUAUUUAUAAAAUAAUAAUAAUUAAUAAAAUUCUUAAUUAUGUAAAUCAUAAUUUUUUAUUAAUUUAAAUUUAAAUUAUGUGAAUAAAAUUAUUAAUAAUAGCAACACAAAUGAAACAUUAUUAUUAAUAAUAUAGUAUAAAAUUAAUAUUUUUUUAGAAUAAAAUAUUUAUUAUUAUUAAAUAAAUAAAUAAUAUUUAUUAAAAUUAAUGUUUAAUAUUAUUAAUUUAAAUAUAAUAUUUAUUUAUUUUUAUUUUAUUUUAUUAAAUUUAAUAAAAUAAAUAUGUUAUAAUUAUUAUUUUUAAUAAAUAUGAUAUUAUUUAUUUUAUUAAAUAUUAUUUAUUUAUUUUAAUUAUGAGGGUAAAAAUGGAAGAGGGGGAGUGGAUUCCCACUCCCACCUCCCCCCAUGGGAGUGGGAAUCCCACUCUCCCCUUAAAAAUGGUAAGUAAAUAUUAGAAUGGGAAGAAUCUACACUCUACACUUUCUAGAAAAUAAACACUACCUUUAUUUAAAUCGAUUUGUUGGAUAUUUAGCUAAAAUGAGAGUAGCUCUCUAAUAAUUAUUGCAUUAUUACAAACAUAUCCAACGGUUAUAAUAGCGCGCUGAAUCAAUGCUUCAGAAGGAUGACAGUCUGAGUGAAAAGGAAAUAAACGCUUUCAAUUGAAUUACUACCACUACACUCCAAUACUCUAUUAUUGUUUGUGUGCUUGCUUGUGGACCUUUUUACUUCUUACUAUCAUUAUUGAAUUCCAUUUCCAAAUUUUCAGCAUACUUUUGCUUUCUUUCAGUAUCUUCAGUUUCUCUUUUGCUUGCUAUCAAUUCAGUUUUCUUCUUGUGAAGAUCGAACGGAACCAUGGUUGCUGUGGGAGAGAUCUUACUCAACGCCUUCUUUCAGGUGUUGUUUGACAGGUUGGCUUCCCGUGAUUUGCUCAGCUUUGUCCGUCAACUUGGAGGCGGGGACGAUUCCGAGCUCAAGAAGUGGGAAAGAAAGCUGAAGAUGAUUCAGGCGGUGCUCAACGAUGCAGAGGAGAAGCAACUGACCGACGAGGCCGUGAAGAUGUGGCUGGACGAUCUCCAAGACUUGGCUUAUGACGCUGAGGACAUUCUUGAGGAGUUUGCUACUCAAGCUUUGGAAAGCAAGUUGAUGGCGAAAAAUCAGGAUCGCAUUGGCCAGGUUCUUAGUUUCAUACCGGCUAGUUUGAAUCCGAAUGCUAUUAUGUCCAAUUAUAGCAUGGGAUCCAAGAUUAAAGAUAUUACUAGCCGGUUGGAGCAACUCUGCCAAGAUAGAAUUGAACUUGGGCUGCAACGGAUUGCUGGAGGGGCAUCAUCAACUACUUCUGCUGCACAUCAGAGGCGAGACAGUUCGAGUGUCCCAACAGAACGUGAAGUAUUUGGAAGAGAAGAAGAUAAGGCCAAAAUUCUUGAUAUGGUAUUGACCGAUACCCCAAGUGAUCGUGCCAACUUUGUUGUAAUACCCAUUGUUGGCAUGGGCGGGAUAGGAAAAACAACUCUUGCCCGGGAGGUCUACAAUGACAAGGCCGUUGAAGAUUCCAAGUUUGAUGUAAAAGCAUGGGUUUGUGUCUCUGAUGUCUUUGAUAUUUUGGGCAUCUCAAAGGCACUUCUCCAGUCAAUCACCUCCGCAGCUAGUGAUCUCAAGACUUUAAAUGAGGUGCAGGUUCAACUGAAAAAAGCAGUUGACGGAAAAAGAUUCUUGCUGGUCUUAGAUGAUGUUUGGAACGAGAACUACAACUUGUGGGAAGACUUAAAAGCUCCGUUCCUGGAUGCUGCACCAAACAGCAAGAUGAUCGUCACCACACGCAAUUCAAGUGUUGCAUCAACAAUGAGACCCAUUGAACAUUUCAAUCUCAAGAGUCUGUUGGAUGACGAUUGCUGGUCCAUUUUUAUAAAGCAUGCAGUUGAAGGUGGAGAUCUUAACGAGGAUCAAAUUUCAGAAUCAUUCCGCAAGAAAGUUGUUGGCAAGUGUGGAGGCUUGCCUCUGGCAGCAAAAACUCUCGGGGGCCUUCUGCGUACGACGAGGCAUGAUGGGUGGGAUGGUAUAUUGGAUAGCAAAAUAUGGGAAUUACAUCAACAUAGCAGCAUUCUCCCUGUGUUAAGAUUGAGUUACCAUCAUCUUCCGUCUCAUUUGAAAAGAUGUUUUGCUUUUUGUGCCAUCUUUCCAAAAGAUUAUGAAUUCACUGAGAAGGAGCUGACUUUCUUAUGGAUGGCUGGAGGUAUUAUUCGACAGUCAAGAAACAAUGAGCAGCUGGAAGAUUUGGGCAGCAAGUGCUUUGGUGAUCUAGUGUCAAGGUCAAUUUUUCAACAAACAGCAAUCUCUGAUAGUUCUAAAUUUGUAAUGCACGACCUUAUCCAUGAUCUUGCUGAAUUGGUCUCUGGAGGAACCAUAUUUAGGUCAGAGGAGGCCAAUACUCUAUCAAGAAGAUUUGAAAGGGUUCGCCAUUCUUCCUAUACCCGUGAUUGGUAUGAUGGUAAAAAUAAGUUCGAGGUUUUCAAUGAAAUUGAACAUCUACGAACAUUCUUGCCGUUAAGAGGUAACUAUUGUACUAGUUACAUAACUCGACCGAUUCUAUCUGAUAUGCUGCCAAAGUUCAAAAGGUUGAGAACGCUAUCUUUACAAGGAUACUGUAUUGGUGAGUUACCAAUUCCAUUUGAAGAUUUGAGACUUUUAAGGUUCCUCAACCUUGCUGACACUGACAUAAGAAGUUUACCUGACUCAACAUGCAAAUUGCUGAACUUGGAAAUUCUGAUAUUAAGAAAUUGUUCCCGUUUGAUAAAGCUUCCGCAGAAAAUGAGGAAUUUGAUCAAUUUAUGCCAUCUGGAUAUAAGAGGUGCGAAGUUGCUGAAGGAGAUGCCAGUCGGAAUGAAAGAGCUGAAGAAGCUUCAAACAUUGUCCAAUUUUAUUGUAGGCAAGGGUGAAUCCGCAUCUGGUUUGGAAGAUUUAAAAAGUUUAAACCUUCUUUGUGAUGAACUUUGCAUUGCUGGAUUAGAGAAUGUGAAUAAUCCACAGAAUGCAAGAGAAGCCGCAUUAUGUGAGAAGCACAAUCUUGAAGCAUUGACUCUAACAUGGUGGCCUCAAUUUGACAGUCCUCGAGGUGUAGUAGUGGAAGAGAAUGUACUUGACGUUUUGCAGCCUCAUAAAUGUAUAAAAAAGGUGGCAAUCAGGAACUAUGGUGGUGCAAGAUUUCCACCUUGGAUAGGAGAUACUUUAUUCUCCAAGAUAGAGCUCCUUGAAUUGAAGAACUGUGACAAUUGUGUGUCUUUGCCAUCGCUUGGCCUAUUGAGUUCACUUAAACACCUUGCUGUUAAAGGGCUGAAGAAACUAAAAAGCAUAGAGUCUGAGGUUUAUGGGGAGGGUUUGUCAAUGCCUUUUCCAUCGUUGGAGGUUCUAAGUUUUGAGAAUUUGCCUGAAUGGGAGUAUUGGGACACCAAUAUCAGAGGAAAUGUGCUCGUUGAAAUGUUUCCUCGUCUCCAUAAACUUUCCAUUGUGGAAUGUCCAAAACUCUCUGGGGAACUGCCUGAGCUCCUGCCCUCCUUGGAGACACUUGUUGUUAUUAAAUGUGAAAAUUUGGUAGUUCCAUUGUCUCGCUAUCCGAUGCUCUGCAGAUUAGAAGUUGAUGAGUGCAAGGAACUAGCGUGCGGGACUCCAAUUGAUUUCAAGUUGAUAAAGUCUGUGACUAUUUCAAAUAGUUCCUUAGACAUGGAUGGAUGCAAGGGGAUGCUAUACGAUGGUCCAGCUAGCUCUUCACUGCCAAAGCCCACGAUUACUACAAAUGUUUUGGAGUUUGGAAAAUUAUUGAAGCCUGGAUUUCAGAUAUUAGAAACGUUGGUAAUUGGCAAUUCUGAACAGCUCAAGUCAUGGAGGCAGCAUGGGGAUUUUCUAGAAGAAUAUAUGGUCGCUCGCCAAAGGUUUAAGAAACCAGUACAAGGGCUGAAUAUGCUCGCUUCCCCUGAAGAGGUAACAAUUGAAGAAAGUUGCGUACGUCUUGUUUUGUUUCCAGAGAUCAAUUUCUUUCCCAGAAAUCUGCGCUCUCUUCUAAUUAACAACAACACUGCUUUCAAAUCCUUACCCGAGGAAAUGAUGGAAAACAAUUCACAACUCGAAAGGUUGUAUAUCAGAGAUUGCGACUCUCUAACAUUCAUCGCAAGACGGAGGCUACCAGCAUCUCUUAAAAGGCUUGAGAUAGAAAAUUGUGAGAAAUUGCAACGUCUGUUCGAUGAUGAAGAGGAUGCUUCUUCUUCUUCUUCUCCUUCAUCCUCGUCUUCCCCAGUGAUGCUGCAACGCCUGAAUAUAAAGAACUGCCCAGAGCUCACCAGUUUAUCAUCGGGUGUCCAAUUCCUUGAGGCGCUUGAAGGCCUCGAGAUAUGGGAUUGUCCAAAGCUGGAGUCAAUACCGGAUGGCCUGCACAAUCUUAAAUGUUUACAGAGCAUUCAUAUAGAUGGAUGUCCAAGUCUUGUUUCCUUGCCCAAUGACAUGCACAAACUGAACUCUCUUCGAGAUUUAAACAUACGGGCGUGUCCAAUAUCGUUUCCAGAAGAAGGUUGUCCUACCAAUCUAACAUCACUUACACUUGGAUAUGUCGAAAUGUAUAAGACACUCGUCCAGUGGGGGUUGCACAGGCUUACCUCUCUUAGAAGCCUCGACAUUUUUGGAUGUGAUGAUGAAGCAGAGUGUUUUCCAGACGAGGAGAUAGGAAUGACGCUGCCCACCUCUCUCACUCAUCUGCACCUUUUUGAUUUCGAAAAAUUGAGAUCUCUGUCUUCGACGGGUUUUCAGAGCCUCACCUCUCUUCAAUCUUUGGAUAUCUGGUUUUGCCCAAAUCUCACAUCAUUCCCAAAGGUGGGCUUUCCAUCCUCACUUGUGGAAUUACGCAUUAGAGAUUGUCCAAAGCUUAAAAAAGCGUGCAAAAGAGAUCAAGGAAAAGAGUGGCCCAAAAUUGCUCACAUCCCUUGCGUUGAGAUAGACGAUAAAUUCAUAUACCAUCCAAAAUCAGAGGUGUAGAGUGUAUUAUUAAGGUCAGUUGAUUUAUGUUAUCCACCAUAACAAGCUCCUCCUUUUUUUUUAAAUAAUAAUUUUGCAGUCACUCGCGUGAUUCCGUUUUCACAAGUCAGAUUGUAUGUUGAGGCUAUUUGCCUUUUAAUCGCAGAUUAAAUUAUAACACUUAUCUUAAAAUUUAAUACCAUAGACAGAUAGACGAUUUUUUAAUCCAAAGUUUUUUUAUUCACUUCAGUUAGCAUUUUUUUUUUCCCCAAAUCAUGCAAGCCGAGAGUUUCAAUCAACAGAAUUUUAUUCACUCAUUGACUUUUCAACUGCUGUGGUUAUUUAUGGGUGAAAGAUAAAUUUCUUAGAUGGUAGAUAUAUCGACAUUUUAGAUUUCAGAUAUUUGUCACCAAUUUCAUUCCUUUUUUUAAAAUUUUUUUUAAGCAAGUUUGACUAAUUUUAACCAGAAUUGGAGUAUAAUAUUUUGGAGCAAGCAUACUUGAAAUUUCUGUCUUCAAUUUUUUUGAUGCUUUUUUAAUUUUGAUCUAGUAAAAAUACAUAGCCUUCACCGGCAGGAUUCUAGUCUUGGCUUUCACCUCUCUAACUCAUCUGUCCCUAUUGGGAUUCCAGAAAUUUAAAUUUCUGUCUUCAAUGGGUUUUCAAAGCCUCACCUCUCUUCGAUUUUUGUGGAUUGGGAAUUGCACAAAUCUCACAUCAUUUCCCGAGGUCGAGGAAAAGAGCGGCCCAAACUAUCAGCGGUGUUGAUUCUCUUAUUAAGGUCAGCUGAUUUCUAUUAUCCACUCUGACAAUCUCCUAUUAGUGUUUUUUUUUUAAAAAAUUUGCAGUUCUGUAUAAUUGAAAUGCCACUCACUUGUUUCCUUCUUCACAGGUCAGAUAGUAUGUUAAAGCUAUUAGUGCUGCCUCAUAGGUUGAUUACUCACAGAUGAAAUCAUAACUUUUAUCUUAAAAUUUAAUAGCAUACACAGAUAGACGAUUUUUAGUCCAAAGUUUUUUUUAUUCACUUCAAUCAAAAUUUUAGAUUGCAGAUUUUUGUCGAGUAUUUUCAUUCCAAUUUUUUCAUUUUUUAUUUUAAACCAGAAUUGGAGUAUAAAAUUUUGGAGCGCGCAUACUCUGAUGCAUGCAAUUAACUGUUUUUAAUCGUUGGAUUUUGAAAUUAAUGAUGGUAAGAUGUGUACUUAUUCUUUCUUCCAACAACCUUGCCUUCUUUCUUCGGUCGCAUAUCUAAUGAAUAUUUCUCUGUUUAGUUAAGGAUGAAUGCUUGGAGUGGGGUACUUGGUAACAUUUCUGCCUUAGAUGAAUCCUUGAAGAAAUGCCCGCAGUUCCUGAGACCAAAUACAGGUCUGAUUCAAAACAGCACCUUUCCCAGAAAAUAUGAUCCAAGGCAAAGUCAUGUUCUGAUAAUGUUUCCUUAAGUACUAAGUUGCAAGGAAACUUGAUUCAUUAACUACAGUUUUUUAUUUUUAGGACCUUGUAUCUGAAAGGUUCAGUGUUUUUUUUUUUCAAAUUUAUUGUUCAGAUCUCAGAGGAGUAUAUGGUUUAGAUUACAAAACACCCAUGAUUAAUUUCAUUUUUUUUUUAAUUUCAGGGAGAAGAAGUGGUCAGUUUCAAUCCGGAAUUGGAAUAUGGCAAUUUGGUUCAAGCAAACACACCUGGUCACUUGGUCAGUGGUCACUUGGUCAGCGAACCUGAACUUUACGCAGUUUUUUCAACUCAGUGAUUUUUGGAACGCAUAUUGGUGUAAGGAAAUCAAAAGAAAUUUAUGCAUUGUCAAAUUCUGAUAUUUGCUAUAUAUUAUACAUUCUAAAGUUUCUCCAGUUUGUUCUCAGAUUACCAUCAUUUUUUGCUUUCACCAACCAAACAAAAACAAAAUGAGUGGCUUUCCGGUGGAUAUUUAAUCGGAGGUAUGACUGGAUUUUUUUCACUUCUGUAAAUCUUGCAUUUUAAACUGGCAAAUUUAACUUUAAUUUUAAUAGGACUUUGUUGGUACCUUGUGUUCCAGAAACUAGAAAGAUGUGUAGUUUUCAGAUAAAGGGGCUUGUAAAUUCUCUAGUAAGAAUCCAAUAAUUUGCUUUUGCACGUUCAUUUUAUUUGUGGAUCCUUGCAUCUGAAUUUGAUCAAUCCAAAAGGAAUUGCUUUUAGACAGAAGAAGAAUAGCAGUACCUAGCCUAUGACAUAGUAUAUGGACCUGCAAACCUGAAACUAUUAGUUUGAGGUAAAAAAUUCAUGACCCUCACAUGUUAACUUCUUCUAGUUACUUUCAUGAAAAACACAUUUAAGAAAUUUGCAAUUUUUUGUUAGUUUCGUAUCCGAUGUUGUUUUCUGUUUUAGCAUUUGUAGAAUCUACUGUAUUAUAUUUUGGCAGUUGCAGUAUCUGAGGUAUGUUUUGCAUUUAACUUGCUUUGUUUGUUUUGCUUGUGACUUAAGAACACCAAUAUUUGCCAGAGAUUUAGAGAAGCAUAUCAAGAUGCUUGGCAAACUUGACAAACUUCAAGAUCCUCCAUUCUUCACAACGCAAAACUUGUGAGUACACCUAUGCCCGCAAUUAUUGUGAAAUGCUUGCAAUUUUGAUGCACUGAAAUGGUUUGUUGAUGCAAAGGUUUAAACUUUUAAGAUUCACCCUGCAGGGUAGUUGGAUGCUGUAUAAUCGAAAAGCGACCAACAUCAAGAAUUAUGACUCCAAGACCGGGUUUGCAUUAAUUCAAUCAGCUGAAAUCAUGAUGCAAAUGACACUAUCAGCUGGACUUAGAGACCAGUCAGAUCAAUCAUCCUUUUAUCAACAGUUAAUGUCAUGAUGGUGGCUAUCGGAGGAAACAAAGGAUGUGUCGGAAUCAAUAUGAACAGUGAGAAGAAUGAGAGGAGCUUUGAUUACAAGUAGGCUCAAUGAACUCAUGCUGGUAAGUGGUAAUUAAAGAAAUUUGUACGCUUAGUAGAGUUUCAAUAUUUUCUGUUUGGGAUAUAGUUGAUAAUUUGAUACUCUGAUUAAGAAGCCUGAUUAUAGUAGCUGACUUUUUUUUUGUGGUUUGCUGUUGUUUAUUCUUUCGAUUAAUUUCAACAUUAGGUUGAUCUGUUGAAGAACAAACUUGGGUUUGAUUAUGCUUUAACUACAAGGAAGAGCCAGGCUUGGAUGCAGGCGUUCAGCUUUUAAUGGGUAAGAACAUAUGUAUGCUUUAACCAUGUUUCUCACUUAUUACAAUGCAUGCAUUGAAGGCAUCUGAGCUGAUCCUGAAAAUGUGAUGGAAAUACUUCUCUGUUUACAUAAAACAGGACAAGAGAUCUCUGAUCAUGCCUGAGAAUUCGUUGCAUUUAAAAUUUCUACCAUUGCCAAAAAUAGAAUAAACUAGGGAUAGAUUAGCUUAAGACUCAAUUUUGAGAAGGAAGUUUGCACAUGCAGCCUAAAAAAUCAUGUCCGUGUUGUAUACUUGUAUGUUUCUUUGGGAAAUGAAAGAUUCUGUGUGUUCUUUUGUUUCAAGUUUGCUGAAAUCACAUUUGUUUUCUUAGAUGCUUUUGGGAAGGUAACAACAUCAAUUUCAUAAAUGCUGGGGUAAGAUGCAUCACGCAGUGCUACUCAACAUGAGAAUUCCCGGCCGCAUUACCUGUAUGUUGAGUGAUCGCACAGUACAACCUUUAGAAGCUUGUAAGGAGUAGACAACUAGAUGCGAAUAGUUUCAAUAUGGAUUCGCAUCAAAUGAUCUCUUGCCAGUGAUUACUAUAACCCCUAUCCCAAAAUUCUUGGCAUUGGUCAUACCAAUAAUGAAGUAUUGUGUACGUUGAAGACAUAGCUCAAGGCCUUGCGAAAGCUCCGUCAGCCUUUGUAUUGGAAAACAGUUGGUUGUAGUUGCUUCUGAGUGAUAUUAUUAAUAGAUACUGUAAAAAUGAACUGUGCCACUCAUUUUCAGAGCCCUGUUAAGAUGUGUUGGUAAUGUGUUUGAAGGUUGUUUGAUUUAUGUUGUAUUCAGCUACAAAUCAAAGAUUCAGAACAUGGUUAUGUUACUGGUUUCCAAAUCAAAAAAAUGCCUUGUGAUGUUAGUGUUCAUUUUUUUCACAGGAGAUCAGGUUCCCUGUUGAUGAAUCAAGAAGGCAAACGCAUCCAUGUCUUAAGUUCAAAUGUGUCUCUUCUAUUUUCUAUUACUGACUCCUUUAUUUUGAUUUCUUCAUUGUAAUGGAAUUGGUUUUUUAUUCCAAAUUAGUCAAAACCUCCUAGAGUCAUUAAGUUCUGUUAGCAUUUGAAGAUAGAACUAGAACUAAAUGAUUGACUGGAUUAAAUUCCGAUAAAGAAUUAAGUUAUAUAUUUAGAGAUAUUAUGUUUUUUUUUUUUUCAUUUGUUCAAUUUGGUUAGUGGUGAUUUCUUAAAGACUCAAUCCAUGUGCGUUUAUGCAUUUUUCUUUUGCCUUAAUUUCUGUUUCUUGGGGAGUUUAUACAGAUUCUUAUUUUAUGCUUCACAUGCCACAUGAAAGAUCGAAGCCUUUUGUGUGAUUAGAACUGACUUGCAUCACAGUAACUUUAAAUCACUGCGACAUUUUUAUAAUAACAGUCUGAGAUCUCCCUGCAGGAUUCAAAGCAUUUUAUUUUAUAUUAAACUCCUUUACGUGGGUUUGGACACUACCACAAGUUCUUUAAAUACUAAAACGAUUUUAAGUCUUUUGUAUCAUCUGAUUUAAAUACAUGAAAGCACUCGUGGCUGCAAAAAUACAGUUGGGGCUAUUUCUAAAGUCUUCAACAGCAUUUUCUUUUUAACCUUUAUCCUCAUGGUUGUUUUUGCAGUUGUUCUUUAAGAAAACAUUUAAAAGGUUCUCUUUAUGGAUUUUUGAAAAUAAUUUUAACAUGAGCAAUUUUCAGAAGCACUUUAGAUGUCUGGCAUUUAGGAAAUUUUAUUUCGGUGUCACAUAAAAUACUUAGGAAGUUAAAUUUAUUUAUUUAUGAGCAUGUGCCAGUGCCCAGUGGCAUCCUCUUCACUUGUGAUAGUCAAAUGUAUUAUACGAUACAAUAUUAGCUUGACUGUAGCACAGAGGAGAAUAGGGUUGGUGUUGGUCUGAACCAGCUUAUGUAACAGCUGCCAAAGGAUAAUUUAAUUGUACUUUGAGUAAAGCUUUUGCGAAUUAAACAAGUGAUAAUUUGUUUUUAUUAAGAAAAACUUAAGGAAUUAGGCUAUUUUAACUGACCAAAUUACACAUUAAAAAUUCAUUUACAAAAAUAGUUUUUAGUUAUUAAAAUAUUCCUAAAUUAAAUUAUAAUUAUGGACACUAAAAUAUUUUUUUUAUAUUUUACUCUUUGAAACUGUCUUUAUAUUCGAUAUUAUAUUUUUUUCUUAAACUCUAAAUUGAUUUUUUUUUUUGAUUAAUUUUAAAACACCUAUAAAGUGAUUCAUAUUGAUUUUAUACUAACAAACUAUUAUAGCACAUUCGAAAAAUAAUUAAAUCGUUCUUAUUUACAUAGUGAAAAUGCAAAUAGCUCGUUCAAAUGUUAAGGAAUUGGAGAGCUGCUGCUGGAGAUGAAAGAUGUGAAUUAAACAUCAGAAAAAAAAUUAUGUUUACUAUCUUGCCAGACCAAGCACCGAAAAGCAUCGUAAAGAAAAAUUAGAUAAUUUAGAAGAUAAAGCACGUGGAAUGGAGGCAGAAAGCAAGUAAUGAUAACUCUUUCGACAAACUAAUAUAUACCAAAAUGCAAUAUCAAAAAUGAAAAUAAAAAUUCAUUACGAAUACGUGUUAAAGAUAUCCCAAGUAUAGAUGUGACUGAAAUAUUUGAGAUUGAAGAAGAAUUAAGACUCAAAAUCAAUUGGGAGGAAUAAAUGAGAAACCUCAAUACCAAAAAAUACACGCGCAAAUCCUAAUACUAAUUGUAAUUGCAGAUAAAUAGCAUAAUACGAAUAAAUUCCAUGGGCAACUAUUUCAUUGAGAAAUUAAUUAAAUCGUGUAUUAAUAUUUUGUAUACAUAUAUUUUUCUAUAUAUGACUUUCGGUAAUUUAAUUUUCCACUUAUCAUUUUUACUCCAAAAAAAUAAUUGAGAAUAUUAUUUAUGUUUUGGUGCAAAAUAUUUGAACAAUAUACAAAUUUUCAGUUUAAUAAAUCUAAACAUCUAUUAAGUUAUAAAUGAAUUUAAUGGGUUUAAUUAAUAAAAUUACUAUUAUUAUAUAAAUUGGAUUUAGUAAUGGUACAUUGGGUGGGUUUGUUGAGUAAAUUUUAAAAUUUUGAAAUUUAAGGAUGGGUUUAUUUAGUAAAUGAGUUAAGGGAGUAGUUUGUUGGGAUUCACAUAACGCCACCAAAUUCAAAUGUAAAAUUUAUGGAAAAAGAAGCUAUUGAGUUAUUCUUUUUAAAAAAAGAAUUAAAAUGUCAAGAAUACCUUUAUUUAAUUUUAUAAUCUUAUUUUAUAGUCAUAUUUUAUUUCCACCUUAACAUAAUUUUAAAAAACCUUAACUAAUAAAUUCUAUAUUUUUUUUAUAAAAGUUAUCAUUAAUAUCCAAACGGCUAAAGAUUUUUUUUUUUAAAAAAAAAGAAACUAUGCUUACAAAAGUUGUAUACAUUAACAAUAAAUUUAGUCCAAAGAAUAAAGUUAUUCCAAACAAGCACUCCUAUUCAUCUUGCUAAUGAAUCAAGAUGACUGAAUCCAUUCUCUAAGCCAAAUCUAUUUUCACUUCUAGGUCAGAAAUUGUCAUUAAAAAAGUGUUUGAUAAAAUAUGCUCUGGGAACACUAAUUCGUCAGAUGGUUACUCCAAGUUUAUGAAAUCAAUGGGGUUUCAUCAUAUUCAUAACAUUCUUCUUUAAUGUCUAUUCUAACAAAGAAAUUACUAGAAAACUUUUACUAGAAAAACUAACCACAAUUCAUCAUUCAUUUAUAUCUUAAGUAAGCGUAAGAUUUUAUCAUUAAAAUCUCAUCAUGAAAAAACUCAUGGGAGAAAAACUAUAAAAAUUGAAGAAAAAAGAGUAUGGCGUGCAUGUAAAUUAUAUCGAUUUUAUCUAUAUGACAAAUAAGACUCUCUUUUACAAUGGCACGGAUGCUUCAUUGAGUAAUCAUGAUUCUUGCUGGUAGUGCUUUGUUGUAUCAAUCUGCUAGCUAUUCAGCUUUCUUUCUUUCUUUCUUCUUUUUAUUUUUUUUGUUUUCAAAUAGCUUGUGGUUGUAGAAAUAUUUCAAUUAAACUAUACUUAAGUACUUAUUUGGUAUAACUUCUUUACUAGCCAAAAGAUUUUUUUUUUGGUUUUUUAUAAUUUAAUUAUACUUUAACUAGAGUUUUUGGGAUUAAACAAGUGAUAAUUUCUCUCUGUUAAGAAAAACUCAAACGGUAGGGUUAUCUCAAUCCACCAAACUAUUUAUUAAAAAUCCACUUAUGAAAAUAAUUUUUAAUUAUUAGAAUGCCUCUAAAUUAAAUUACAAUUAUAGACACUAAAAUAUAGUAAAAAAAAUUUUUUUUUACUCUUUAAAACUGUCUUUACAUUCGAUAUCAUAUCUUUUUCUUAAAAUCUAAAUUGAUUUUUUUUUUAUUAAUCUCAGAACACAUAUGAAGUGAUUCAUAUUGGUUUUAUACUAACAAACUAUCAUAGCACAUUCGAAAAUAAUUAACUCGUUCUUAUUUGCAUAGUGAAAAGGCAAAUAGUUCAUCCAAAUGUUAAAGAAUUGGAGAGCUGCUGCUGGAGAUGAAAGAUGUGAAAAGCAUGGUAAAGAAAAAUUACAUAAUUCUCACUUAGAUGAGGAAGAAAAAAAAAAGAAUACAAUUAGAAUGAGAGGUAGCCAAUAGCCACUAGCCGCCGCCACCGCCACCAGUGAAACUAUUUCACAUAAUAGAAGAUAAAGCACGCGUAAUGGAGGCAAAAAGCAAUUAAUGAUAACUCUUUUCGACACACUAAUACAUAUCAAAAUGCAAUAUCGGUCCUAACAAAAUGAAAAUAAAAAUUCAUUACGAAUAUGCGUUAAACAUAUCCCAAGUAUUGAUGAUGUGAUUGAAAUAUUUGAGAUUGAAGUAUAAAUAAGACUCAAAAUUAAUUGAGAGGAAUAAAUGAGAAACUCUAAUACUAAUAAAAUACAUUCACAAAUCCUAAUGCUAAUUAAAAUCACGGAUUAAAAAAAAUAAUAUGAAUGAAUUACAGGCGCAACUGUUUCAUUAAGAAAUUAAUUAAAUCGUGUAUUAAUAUUUUGUACACAUACAUUUUUCCAUAUAUAACUUUUGGUAAUUUAGUUUUCCACUUAUCAUUUUACUCCAAAAAAAUAAUUGAGAAUAUUAUUUAUGUUUUGGUGCAAAAUAUUUAAACAACGUAUAAAUUUUCAGUUUAAUAAAUCUAAACAUUUCUCAAGUUGUAAAUGAAUUUAAUGGGUUUAGUUAGUAAAAAUGCUAUUAUUAUAUAAAUUGGGUUUAGUAAUGGUAUAUUGGGCAUUUAAAUGGGUUUGUUGAGUAAAUUUUAAAAUUUUAAAAUUUAAGGGUGGGUUUAUUUUAGUAAAUGGGUUAAGGCAGCAAUUUCCCAAACUAAAAUUUUUAGAAAAAGAGGCUAUUUAGUUUUUUUUUUUAAAAAGAAUUAAGAUGUUGAGAAUACCUUUAUUUACUUUUAUAAUCUUAUUUUAAAAAAUUUACCCAAUAAAUUUUAUAAUUUUUUACAAAAAUUAUCAUUAACAUCCAAACAGCUAAAGAUUAAAAAAAAAAAAAAAGAAGGGAACUGUACUAGCAAAAGUUAGAUUAACAAUAAAUUUAGUCCAAAGAAUAAAGUUAUAGCUAAAAAGUGCUCCUAUCCUAUUUUUCUCUAUUUUAACAAUAAUCUUCCAAUCCAUUUUACAAUGGACUUAACAAAUGGGCUCAAUCUCUAAACUUCAUUUUCUUUUGCUAACCCAUGGCCAUUAGCCAGAAAGCCUAAAACAAUUUUAGGAUCACAUGUGUAAAUGGAACUCCAAGAUUGAUCAAGAAUUAACAAGACAAGAUGAAGAGAUGAUCUUGUAACUAAGAAUGAAGAAAUUGAAUCAAGACAGUACUCUAGUAAAACCCAGAAAACAGAGCUUGAAGAAUCACGCACAAAGCAGUAAAUUUGUAAAACCAGAAUUGGAGCUUCACUUCUCAAGAUAGACGAAACAGGAUACAAUCUAGCUUUGGUCAACUUCGUUUGGCCACGUCAUAAAGUCUUCCCCCACAGUCUUUCCCGCCAAAACAGAAAAGCUUUAAAAGCCAUUUACCCUCCUGAGUUACUUGCUCCUAUUACAUCAAGGCCCUGUAAGUCUAUAUUUAUUAUUACAAAAGCACCCUUAAACCGAGAUUUGAGAUAUUUUUUCAAAGAUCGAAGCGCAUGAUUUCACGGCUAUGUUGCAUAGUGAAUUUUAGUGCUUUACAGUUAAGGGAUAGUUUAAAUUCAUUACAAAGCAUUCGCAAAGAAAUUGUUUUUAAAUGAAACUCCUCGUCUUGACCAGAUUAUUUAUUAUUAUUAAAAAAAAAUGUUCAAAACUUAGCCAAAGUGAUAAACUCGUAAUUAUUCUACAAAGGGAACAAUUUUGAACGGUGGGAAAUUCCAUAAUUAUGCUUUUCUGUGAAUUAUUUUAAAUAAAAUUAUAAAAAUUAAUAUAAAAUUAUAAUAAUGAUAGAGCCACAAAUUCUUGUACAAAUUUAUUUUAUACAAACUCAUGUGGCAUGAUAAGAUUGGUUGAAUUAAAUAUUACUUGGCCCACAUGAUUUGUUUUUAUUAUUUUAUAUUUUUAUUCAACCAAUAAAUUAAUACCACGUCAGUUUGUACAAAAUAAAUUUAUACAAAAAUUUGUGACUCGAUCAUCACUCAUAAAAUUAAUACCCGGUAAAGACUGUAGAGAGACAAGUGCCCCCAACAGAAUCAAGUGAAUAUGCCCCACAAAGAUCACAUGAUCAUUUCUGUUCUUUUUCUUUUUGAUAAUUUUAUCUGUGGUUUCAACUUUUAUGCUUUAUUGUCGUAUCCCGUUGAGGGCUCCGCUGCACCCAUUACAACUUACCCCUAAAUUGCCUCUUACUAACUAAACCGUUAGAUUUUAUGGAAGCACGUUCAAUGUUGAAUUUUAAUUAUGUCAUCGAAUUUCGUUUAGCUCCUUAAACUCCAUUUUAUUUGUAAUUUCUUCAUAAAAUAUUCAAAGCUUCAUCAAGCUCCUGAUGGACCAUCAUGGCUAGGGGUGCAUUAGAGCCGAACUGAAAUAUGUUAGUUCAGUUCAGUUUGGUCAGUUUAAAUCGAAUGGUUUAGAAUAUAUAAACUGAUCAAUUUUAAUUUUGAAUUGAACCGAACCGAAAAUCAAUUGGUUCACUAUUAGUAUUUUUGUAUAAACAAGAAUGAUUAGUGAUUAUAAUUAAAUUGGACUAAAAAAAAUUCAAACUAAGGUGAAAAAUAUCAAAUCUUAGACAAUAUAAAAAAAAAUAUUAAAUUUUUUUAACCGAAACGAACCGAAUUAUUUUGACUCAGUUUGGUUCAUAAUUUUUUAAACCAAACUGAUUUAUUCCCACCCCCUAAUCGUGGCUCUCUAUCUUUAGUCAUUCACCCUUGAGUUUGAUGCCAAUUGUUGGGUUUCAAAUGAUUAUACACUCAAAUGGAACCCUCAUAACAAAAAACUAACAGAAACAAUAAGAACACGAUGUUAAAAUCUUAAAUCAAUCGCAACGGUCCUUUUUUUUCCCCAUUCUUGAACCUAAAGUAUUUGAGUAUGCAAAUUAAUAAAUAAAUUCAUUUAUUUUUAUUAAAAUUUUGUAAAAUUAUAAUUUUUAAUAAAAAUAAUUAUUAAAAUUUUGUAAAAUCUAAAUUUAGAAAAAUUCAGUUGGGCACCUCUAUUUGAGAUUUAUUUUUUAUUAAAUUUAGGGAUAUUUUUAUAAUUAUAAUUUUUAAUUUUAAAAGUUUUUAUAAGAUAAAAUAGUCUUUUAAUUUAUUUAGGGGUAAAAUUGAUGUUUUAUUAAAAUUAUUUAAUUGUGUUAAUGCAAAAGUGACUAUUUGAUACAAAUGUGAAAAGAAAGGUGGUGCAAAAUAUAUGUUAAAAUUUUAUAUUGGUUGGAUGAACAUAAGCUAAAAUAAAGGUGGUGCAAUGAUAAUUUCCCUAUCCUAAAACUUAAUUGACUUAAUUCUUAUGGUGCAAGGAAGAGGUUUCCAAGUUUAAAUCUAAAGGCUUGUAUUUAAUUUGGGGUUGGGAAAGCACUGAGAAAUAAAUGUAACUAAGGAAAAAAAAAAAGUCAUGCAGUCCAAAUAAGUAGACAUAUUUAAUAUGAGGUGGGGAUGGGUGAACUGUAAUUCAGAAAAAAUAAAAUAAAAUUUCAUAUAAAGUUGAGGGUGUGUUUUAAUGGUUUCUUAUGCUGCGUUUACUUUUUGGACUAGAGUGAGAAUUCUGAGAAGUGGGAAUCCUGUGAUUAGGUGUGUGGAGUGGGAAUGAGAGUAGGGUAUUUACUUAGACUAAAUAAAAAUAUGGAUUGUCAAUCAGAAUCUCAAUUAUUUGUUACUUUGUCUUGGAUUGAGAGUAAAUUAUUUUAAAUUACAAUUUUAUCCUUAUGUAAAGAAUUAUAAUUUGUAAUUAAAAAAUUAAUAAAAAUAUAUUGGAAAAUAAAAUAAAUAUUUUAUUAUAUUUAUAAAAUAAUAAUAAUUAAUAAAAUUCUUAAUUAUGUAAAUCAUAAUUUUUUAUUAAUUUAAAUUUAAAUUAUGUGAAUAAAAAUUAUUAAUAAUAGCAACACAAAUGAAACAUUAUUAUUGAUAAUAUAGUAUAAAAUUAAUAUUUUUUUAGAAUAAAAUAUUUAUUAUUAUUAAAUAAAUAAAUAAUAUUUAUUAAAAUUAAUGUUUAAUAUUAUUAAUUUAAAUAUAAUAUUUAUUUAUUUUUAUUUUAUUUUAUUAAAUUUAAUAAAAUAAAUAUGUUAUAAUUAUUAUUUUUAAUAAAUAUGACAUUAUUUAUUUUAUUAAAUAUUAUUUAUUUAUUUUAAUUAUGAGGGUAAAAAUAAAAGAGGGGGAGUGGAUUCCCACUCCCACCUCCCCCCAUGGGAGUGGGAAUCCCACUCUCCCCUUAAAAAUGAUAAGUAAACACUAGAAUGGGAAGAAUCCACACUCUACACUUUCUAAAAAAUAAACACUACCUUAAUUUAAAUUGAUUUGUUGGAUAUUUAGCUAAAAUGAGAGUAGCUCUCUAAUAAUUAUUGCAUUAUUACAAACAUAUCCAACGGUUAUAUAUGCUUGCCUGUGGAAAUAAAAGUCCCAAGUUUCUUUGAAAGGUAAGCUAGUGUGAAUGUUUUCAUCCGUGCAACUUACUUGAUGAAUGAAGUUUUCAUCCCUGACCUUGAUGUUUCUGGUGGCUACAAUCAUUUCAGCUGAUCUAUUCCAUUUUGUUAAGGUGAGAAUUUAGAGUGGCUUUAACUGUUAGCAAAUAGCCUAAUGUAAGACUUGAUCAACUUCCUGCCCUGUUGUAUGCUUAUGAAUUUUGAUAGAGUUAUGAGUUUGCAGAAGCUACUGUAUUAUAUGUUGUUAGAGGCUGUAAAAAUGAGGCAGAUCAAACACACAUUUAAAUUUCAAUGACAAUUUACUAGAAGUAAAUUUCCUAUGACCCUCCAGGUGACUAAUCAAUGAGAACUUGACAAUAACAAAAGAAAGUGUAUGAGCUUUGCAGGCGGGCACGCCAAUCUUGACUGCAUGGCACCAUCCGCCAUUUGCAAGUGAAUAUCAUUAUUGUUUAAUCAACAUGGUGGAGUCCACUGGGACCACACCACAUGGUCAGUCUUAUCUCUAUUCCUCAAUUUUCAGUAUUCCAUACAUCAAAACAAUUUCAGUUUUGUUAUCAAUUAUAAUUUCAUUGUUGGAGACGAUUCUGAUUCCUUUCUUUCUGACAAAACGGAACCAUGGUUGCUGUGGGAGAGAUCUUACUCAACGCCUUCUUUCAGGUGUUGUUUGACAGGUUGGCUUCCCGUGAUUUGCUCAGCUUUGUCCGUCAACUUGGAGGCGGGGUCGAUUCCGAGCUCAAGAAGUGGGAAAGAAAGCUGAAGAUGAUUCAGGCGGUGCUCAACGAUGCAGAGGAGAAGCAACAGACUGACGAGGCUGUGAAGAUGUGGCUGGACGAUCUCCAAGACUUGGCUUAUGACACUGAGGACAUUCUUGAUGAGUUUGCUACUCAAGCCUUGGAAAGCAAGUUGAUGGCGCAAAAUCACGAUAGUUCUGGCCAGGUUCUCAGUUUCAUCCCGGCUGGUUUGAAUCCGAAUGCUAUUAUGUUCAAUUAUAGCAUGGGGUCCAAGAUUAAAGAUAUCACUAGCCGGCUGGAGCAACUCUGCCAAGAAAGAAUUGAACUUGGACUGCAACGGAUUACCGGAGAGGCAUCAUCAACUGCUGCUGCUGCUGCACACCAGAGGCCACCCAGUUCGAGUGUCCCAACAGAACGUGAAGUAUUUGGAAGAGAAGAAGAUAAGGCCAAAAUUCUUGAUAUGGUAUUGGCCGAUACCCCAAGUGAUCAUGCAAACUUUGUUGUAAUACCCAUUGUUGGCAUGGGCGGGAUAGGAAAAACAACUCUUGCCCGGGAAGUCUACAAUGACAAGGCCGUUGAAGAUUCCAAGUUUGAUGUAAAAGCAUGGGUUUGCGUAUCUGACGUCUUUGAUGUUUUGGGCAUCUCAAAGGCACUUCUCGAGUCAAUCACCCGCAGGCCUUGUCUUCUAAACAGUUUAAAUGACGUGCAGGUUGAGCUGAAAGCAGCUGUGGAUAAAAAAAGGUUCCUGCUGGUCUUAGAUGAUGUUUGGAACGAGGACUACAGCUUAUGGGUAGACUUAAAAGCUCCGUUACUGGUUGCUGCACCAAACAGCAAGAUGAUCGUCACCACACGCAAUUCAAGUGUUGCAUCAACAAUGAGACCCAUCGAUCGUCACCACACGCAAUUCAAGUAUUACGAUCUCAAGAGUCUGUUAGAUGAUGAUUGCUGGUCCAUUUUCAUAAACCAUGCAUUUGAAUCUACAGACCUUAGCGCACAUCGAAUUUCAGAAUCAUUCCGCGAGAAAGUUGUUGGCAAGUGUGGGGGCUUGCCUCUAGCAGCAAAAACACUCGGGGGCCUUCUUCGUACUAAAACGCAUGCUGAGUGGGACGGUAUAUUGGAUAGCAAAAUAUGGGAUUUACCUCGGCAAAGCAGCAUUCUCCCCGUGUUAAGAUUGAGUUACCAUCAUCUUCCUUCUCAUUUGAAAAGAUGUUUUGCUUUUUGUGCCAUCUUUCCAAAAGAUUAUGCAUUCACUGAGAGGGAGCUGACUUUCUUAUGGAUGGCUGGAGGUAUUAUUCGACAGUCAAGAAACAAUGAGCAGCUGGAAGAUUUGGGCAGCAAGUGCUUUGGUGAUCUAGUGUCGAGGUCAAUUUUUCAACAAACAGCAAUCUCUGAUAGUUCUAAAUUUGUAAUGCACGACCUUAUCCAUGAUCUUGCUCAAUUGGUCUCUGGAGAAACCAUAUUUAGGUUAGAGGAGGCCAAUACUCUGUCAAGAAGAUUUGAAAGGGUUCGCCAUUCCUCCUAUGCCCGUGAUUGGUGUGAUGGUAGAAAUAAGUUGGAGGUUUUCAAUGAAAUUGAACAUCUACGAACAUUCUUGCCAUUUUGCAUAAGAGGUGGCGUUACUUCUGGUUGGAUAACUAGCACGGUUCACUACGAUUUGUUGCCGAAGUUCAAAAGGUUGAGGAUGCUGUCUUUAGAAGGAUACCAUAUUGGUGAGUUACCAAUUCCAUUUGAAGAUUUGAGACUUUUAAGGUUCCUCAACCUUGCUGACACUGACAUAAGAAGUUUACCUGAGUCAACAUGCAAAUUGUUGAACUUGGAAAUUCUGAUAUUAAGAAAUUGUUCCCGUUUGACAAAGCUUCCCCAGAAAAUGAGGAAUUUGAUCAAUUUACGUCAUCUGGAUAUAAGAGGUGCAAAGCAGCUGAAGGAGAUGCCAUUUGGAAUGAAAGAGUUGAAGAAGCUUCAAACGUUGUCCAAUUUUAUUGUAGGCAAGGGUGAAUCUGCAUCUGGUUUGGAAGAUUUAAAAAGUUUAGACCUUCUAUGUGAUGAACUCUGCAUUGCUGGAUUAGAGAAUGUGAAUAGUCCACAGAAUGCAAGAGAAGCCACAUUAUGUGAGAAGCACAAUCUUGAAGCAUUGACCCUAGAAUGGGGGUCUCAAUCUGACAGUCCUCGGGAUGCAGUACUAGAAGAGAAGGUACUUGACACUCUACAGCCUCAUGAACGUAUAAAAGAGCUGGCAAUCAGGAACUAUGGUGGUGCAAGAUUUCCACCUUGGAUCAGAGAUCCUUCGUUUCCCGAGAUGAAGGUCCUUAAAUUGGAGAACUGUGACGAUUGUGAAUAUCUGCCAUCACUUGGCCUGUUGAGUUCACUUAAGCACCUUGCUGUUAAAGGGCUGAAGAAACUAAAAAGCAUAGGGUCUGAGGUUUAUGGGGAGGGUUUGUCAAUGCCUUUUCCAUCAUUGGAGGUUCUAAGUUUUGAGAAUUUGCCUGAAUGGGAGUAUUGGGACACCAAUAUCAGAGGAAAUGUGCUCGUUGAAAUGUUUCCUCGUCUCCAUAAACUUUCCAUUGUGGAAUGUCCCAAACUCUCUGGGGAACUGCCUGAGCUCCUGCCCUCCUUGGAGACACUUGUUGUUAGUAAAUGUGAAAAGUUGGUAGUUCCAUUGUCUCGCUAUCCGAUGCUCUGCAGAUUAGAAGUUGAUGAGUGCAAGGAACUAGCAUGCGGGACUCCAAUUGAUUUUAAGUUGAUAGAGUCUGUGACUAUUUCAAAUAGUUCCUUAGACAUGAAUGGAUGCAAGGGGAUGCUAUACGAUGGUCCAGCUGGCUCUUCACUGCCAAAGCCUAUGAUUACUACAAAUGUUUCGGAGUUUGGAAAAUUAUUGAAGCCUGGAUGUCAAAUAUUAGAAACUUUAGUAAUUGGCAAUUCUGGACGGCUCAAGUCAUGGAGGCAGCAUGGGGAUUUUCUAGAAGAAUAUAUGGUCGCUCACCAAAGGUUUAAGAAACCAGUACAAGGGCUAAAUAUGCUCGCUUCCCCUGAAGAGGUAACAAUUGAAGAAAGUUGUGUGAGUUUUGUUUUGUUUCCAGAGAUCAAUUUCUUUCCCAGAAAUCUGCGCUCUCUUCUAAUUUGCAACAGCACUGCUUUGAAAUCCUUACCCGAGGAAAUGAUGGAAAACAAUUCACAACUGGAAAGGUUGUAUAUCAGAGAUUGCGACUCUCUAACAUUCAUCGCAAGACAGAGGCUACCAGCAUCUGUUAAAAGGCUUGAGAUAGAAAAUUGUGAGAAAUUGCAACGUCUGUUCGAUGAUGAAGAGGAUGCUUCUUCUUCUUCUUCUUCUCCUUCAUCCUCGUCUUCCCCAGUGAUGCUGCAACACCUGAUAAUAGGGAAAUGCCCAAAGCUCACCAGUUUAUUAUCGGGUGUCCAAUUCCUUGAGGCGCUUGAAUUCCUCAAGAUAGAGCAUUGUCCAAAGCUGGAGUCAAUACCGGAUGGCCUGCCCAAUCUUAAAUGUUUACAGAGCAUUUAUUUACUCAAUUGUCCAAGUCUUGUUUCCUUCCCAGAAAGAGGGCUUCCCCACACCAUUUCAUUUGUUUGCAUUUGCGGAUGUGACAAGCUUGAAGCCCUGCCCAAUGACAUGCACAAACUCAACUCUCUUCGACAUUUAAGCAUACAGCUCUGUCCAAAUCUUGUAUCGUUUCCAGAAGAAGGUUUUCCUACCAAUCUAACAUCACUUACAAUUGGAGAUUUCAAAAUGUAUAAGAUACUCGUCCAGUGGGGGUUGCACAGGUUUACCUCUCUUAGACGCCUCUAUAUCGUUGAUUGUGAUGACGAAGCAGAGUAUUUUCCAGACGAGGAUAUAGGAAUGACGCUGCCCACCUCUCUCACUCAACUGGAACUUUCGGGAUUCAAAAAAUUGAUAUCUCUGUCUUCGACGGGUUUUCAGAGCCUCACCUCUCUUCAAAGAUUGCGGAUCUGGGAUUGCCCAAAUCUCACAUCAUUUCCAGAGGUGGGCCUUCCAUCCUCACUUUUGGAAUUACACAUUUACAAAUGUCCAAAGCUUAAAAAAGCGUGCAAAAGAGAUCAAGGAAAAGAGUGGCCCAAAAUUGCUGACAUCCCUUGCGUUGAGAUAGACAAUAAAUUCAUAUACGAUCCAGAAUAAGAGGAGUAGAUUCUACUAUUAAGGUCAGUUGAUUUGUAUUAUCCGCUAUAACAAGCUCCUCCUUUUUUUUUUUUAAAUAAUAAUUUUGCAGUCACUCACGUGAUUCCGUUUUCACAAGUCAGAUUGUAUGUUGAGGCUAUUUGCCUUUUAGUCGCAGAUUAAAUUAUAACACUUAUCUUAAAAUUUAAUACCAUAGACAGAUAGACGAUUUUUUAAUCCAAAGUUUUUUUUAUUCACUUCAGUUAGCAUUUUUUUUUUUCCCCAAAUCAUGCAAGCCGAGAGUUUCAAUCAAGAAUUGGAGCAUGGGAAUGGAAUUUUUGUGAAAACAUAAUGGAUGAACGAACAUUUCAUCUGUGAUCUCAAAGUCAACAGAAUUUUAUUCACUCAAUGACUUUUCAACUGCUGUGGUUAUUUAUGGGUGAAAGAAAGAUAAGGGCAAUUACAAAAAAUUUGCAAAAUUUGUCAAUUUCUUAGAUGGUAGAUAUAUCGACAUUUUAGAUUUCAGAUAUUUGUCACCAAUUUCAUUCCUUUUUUUUUAUUUUUUCAAGCAAGUUUGACUAAUUUUAACCAGAAUUGGAGUAUAAUAUUUUGGAGCAAGCAUACUUGAAAUUUCUGUCUUCAAUAUUUUGAUGCUUUUUUAAUUUUGGAUCUAGUAAAAAUACAUAGCCUUCACCGGCAGGAUUCUAGUCUUGGCUUUCACCUCUCUAACUCAUCCGGCCCCAUUGGGAUUCCAGAAAUUGAAAUUUCUGUCUUCAAGGGGUUUUCAAAGCCUCGCCUCCCUUCGAUUUUUGUGGAUCGGGAAUUGCACAAAUCUUACAUCAUUUCCCGAGGUCGAGGAAAAGAGCGGCCCAAACUUGCUCGCAUCCCUUGGGUUAUGAUAGAUGGAAAAUUCAUAUACGAUCCAGAGUCAGAGGUGUUGAUUCUCUUAUUAAGGUCAGCUGAUUUCUAUUAUCCACUCUGACAAUCUCCUAUUAGUGUUUUUCCCUUUUUUUUUUUCAAAAUUUUGCAGUUCCGUAUAAUUGAAAAUGCCACUCACUUGUUUCCUAUUAGUAUGUUGAGGCUAUUUGCUUUCUAUCGGUGUUUGUUAAGGUAAUUACUCACAGAUGAAAUUAUAACUUUUAUCUUAAAAUUUAUUGCCAUUGACAGAUGGACGAUUUUUAGUCCAAAGUUUUGUUAUUAACUUCAAUCAAAAUUUUAGAUUGCAGAUUUUUGUCAAUUAUUUCAUUUUUUAUUUUUAUUUUAAAGCAGAAUUGGAGUAUAACAUUUGGAGCGCGCAUACUCUGAUGCAUGCAAUUAACUGUUUUUAAUCGUUGGAUUUUGAAAUUAAUGAUGGUAAGAUGUGUACUUAUUUUUUCUUCCGGACAACCUUGCCUUCUUUCUUCGGUAGCAUAUCUAAUGAAUAUUUCUCUGUUUAGUUAAGGAUGAAUGCUUGGAGUGGUCUGAUUCACAACAACACCUCUUCCAGAAAAUAUGAUACAAGGCAAAGCCAUGUUCUGAAGCAGAAAUGAUACAGCAGUUGCGGUACCCGAGGUACCUUUUGCAUUUAACUUGCCUUUAUUUGUUUUGCUUGUGACUUAAGAACACAUCAUUUCCCAGAGAUUUGGAGAAGCAUCUCAAGAUGCUUAACAAACUUGACAAGCUUCAAGAUGCACUUGCUCCCAAGCAUUGAUUCUUCACAAUGGAAAACCUGUGAGUACACUUAUGCCCGCAAUUAUUGUUAAGUGUUUGCAAUUUUGAUGCAGCGAAAUGGUUUGUGGAUGCAAAGCUUUAAAACUGUUAAGAACUACCCUGCAGGCUUGUUGGAUGUUGUAUACUUCAAAAGCCACCAACACCAAGAACUACAACAGCAAGACUAGGUUUGCGUUGCUUCAAUCAGCUGAAAUAAUGAUGCAAAUGACACUAUCAAGCUGGACUUAGAGACUUGUCAGGUCAAUCAUCCAUUUCAUCAACAGUUAAUGUCAUGAUGGUGGCUAUCAGAGGAAACAAAAGAUCUGUUGGAAUCAAUUCAAACAGUGAGAAGCAUGAGAGGAGCAUUGAUUAUAAAUAGGCUCAAUGAGCUCAUGCUGGUAAGUGGUAAUUAAGAAAUUUGUGAGCUUAGUAUAGUUUCAAUUUUUUUCUGUUUGGGAUAUAGUUGAUAAGUUGAUACUCUGAUUAAGAAGCCUGAUUAUAGUAGCUGACUGUGCUAACUGCGUUCUUUUAUUUUUUAUUUUUUUGGUUUGCCGUCGUUUUUUCUUUUGAUUAUUUGUUCAACAUUAGAUUGAUCUGUUGAAGACUACGAGGAAGAUCCAGACUUGGAUGCAGGCGUGCAGCUCGUAAUAGGUGAGAACAAAUGAAUGCUUUAACCAUGUUUCUCACUUAUGACAAUGCACGGAUCAAAGGCAUCUGAGUUGAUCCUGAAAAUGUGAUGGAAAUAGGUCUCUGUUUUCAUAAAACAGAACAAAUAGAGAUCUCUGAUCACGCCUGAGAAUUCAUUGCAUUGAAAUUUCUACCAUUGGCAAACAUAGAAUAAACUGGGGAUACAUUAGCUUUAGACUCUAUUUUGAGGAGGAAGUUUGUACUUGCAGCCUAUAAAAUCAUAUCCCUGUUGUAUGUUUCUUUGGGAAAUGAAAGAUUCUGUGUGUUCUUUUAUUUCAAGUUUGCUGAAAUCACAUUUGUUUUCUAAGAUGCUUUACAGAAGGUACCAACAUCAUUUUCAAAAAUGCUGGGGUAAGAUACAUCGUGCAGUGCUCCUCAACAUGAGAAUUCCUGGCCGCAUUACCCAUAUGUGGAAUGAUCUGAGAGUACAACCGUGAGAAUGUUGUAAGGAGUACACAACCAGAUGUGAGUAGUUUGAAAAUGAAUUCGCAUGGAAUGAUUUCUUGCCAGUGCAGAAAUGGCUUGGUUCAAAAUAUGCUCAGCUUCAUUGACACUCUUCGGUAGGCCUCUCCGUCCUUCCAUUCUUAACUACAAUACUACUCUUGUCUGUCUAGUUAUGGAAUCUCUCUUUUAAUCCUCAAAGUUUGAAUUAUAUUAUAUUGCCUCUGUGUUACCGCAGAAACUGAGUCAGUUGGUGAUCCUUCAAAACAAGAAAAACCAAAAACAGAUACAGCGCGCGAUAAGAUAAUGAGACAGAUGGCUCCCGUUGCUGCAUGCCACUUGCUUGUGUGCGUAUUGGGACCAUCAUCAACAACAUUGACGUAAACCCAGCUCAAGGUGGGAAGCUAGUUCGAGCUGCAGGGACGUUAACCAAGAUUUUGAGAAAGAACCCACUUCAAGGUGUUGCUUAGUUAGGCUACGUUGUGGAAAUGAGAAAGUGAUUGACCCUAGAUGUCGCGCCACCAUUGGUACAGUGUCUAACCCCAGCCAUGGAGCUAAAAAGCUUAGUAAGGCAGGUCAGAGAAGUUGGUUGGGUCGAAGAGCUGUGGUUAGAGGAGUAGCCAUGAUUCCAGUUGAUCACCCUCAUGUUGAACAAAGCAAAAGUAGCGGUAACAAUGGAAGGUGUUCACUCACACCUUGGGGCAAGCCUUGUAAGUCUGGGAAUUAAACUGCAUCUCCUAAGAAGAAAGAGAAAUCAGCUGUCUGAUAAUAUUGUCCUUUUCUGCUAUUUGGUCUUUUUAACAUUGUUACACUGUUUUUACAUCUUUGAGGUUAGUUUUAGACCAAUUUUUAACUGAUCCAUAAUGAAACUGAAGUUUAAUUUUUGAUUAAACUUUCACUGGUUUUACUCUUCUGUCACUUCAAUUUAGCAUUGAUUUAAGAUACUGAAUUCUGUGCUUGGAGCUUGUAAAUUGGAAAGAGAUAUUUUGGGAUAGAAUGUAGAUUUUGUGUUUUGCUUUCUCAAGCUAGUUGUGACUUCUUAAAAGAGUCAAUCCAUGUCUUUAUAUAUUUUUCUUUUGUCUUGAUUCUGUUUCUUCAUACAGAUUCUUAUUUUAUGCUUCACAUACCACAUGAAAGAUGAAAGCCUUUUCUGUGAUUAGAAUUGACUUGCAUUAUAGUAACUUUAAACCACUUGGAUAUUUUUAUAAUAGCAGUCUGAGAUCUCCUUAAAGGAUUCAAAAGCAUCCACUGGCAUCCACUUUACUCGUAUCGGUCAAAAGUUUUGUGCAAUACAAUAUUAGCUUGACUGUAGCGCAGAGGAGAACAGGUUGGUGUUGGUCUGAAUUCUGAUAUUUGAAUAAAUAUAACAGCUCAUGUGACUCCACCACUUUUUACUUGUUCUGUAGUCUGUACCUACCUCCAUUGUCGGCACUGCCCAUACAAGGUCUUUUAGCUUUUUAAAAAGUUUCAUGAUAUUCCAUAGUUCACAUGGAUUUCUACAGUUUGUAGAAAACCUAAUUAGGGCACAUUUAAUUACUAUGCAGAAGAUUCUUUUAUCUUGCUCACCAAUAAUUCUUUGUACUUAUUUGAAAGAUGUGUUUCAAAAAAAUAAAAAAAAACUAUUUGAAAGAUGAGAAAUCCCUUAGCCGAACGACAAACUCAUCUAUCAGUCCUAUCAAAAAAAAAAAAACUCAUGUUUUAGUGGUUUUUUUUUUUCACUUGUAUUCAGUCGCACAAGUGAAGAUUGUGGGCAAUUUUUUCCUUGAGUAAAAUUGGAAUAGAUGUUUUUAUUGACACAAAUUUUUGAGCUAUGUUUGGGAAACCCUUAGACUUAAGACUUUGUUACGAUGAUAUGUAUCUAAGCUUUCAACAGACCGUUGAGGUCUUAUUAUCAAAAUACUAGAAAUUUACAAUUCAAUUUUGGUAAGGACCAAUUUAAUAAUGCUGUAAUUUUUAAAAUAAUUACCGUUAACUGUGUUGUAAAAAUAAUCAAUUAUGAAGAAAAUUAAUUAAACAUUUAGUAAACUUUAUUUUUACAAGUGCUUUGAAUUUUAAAAAUAGUCAUAUGUGUUCAGAAAAUCUCACUUCUAAAAUAGUAUAAGAAUGGAAAAAACUUAAAAAGACAAAUGUAUAAUAUUUAUUUACACAUGCAUUUAUAAAUAUGUGUAUAUAAUAACAUUUUAUGUGUACAUAUAAUAAUUGAUAACUAAAAUAAAUAUUUUUAUUUAUUAAUUAUUUUUUUGUCUCAAUGUAAUUGGUAAUACUUUUUUUUAAUCUUCUCAUCCUAAGUUUUUUUAUUGUUUUGUACAAAAUUCAAGGUUUGGACUUUUAUAAAAUGUCCACUCAAAAAUAAAUUGUUUUCUAACUAAGAUUUGUUGCUAAUGUAUAACUCAAAGUAAUACUAGCUAUUUGUAAUUUUAUUUCAAAAUUUUUAUUCAAAUGAUAUGGUAACUAAUGUACAUUAGUUGAUAGCAAUUUUUUUUUUUUUACAAUAUUCAAAUCAAUCAAUUGCAUCAUCUCAACAUUUUUAUGAUGUCGUGUUAUUUUAAACGAAUUUUUUAUUUUUAUAUAAAAUUUAUUAUGUUUAACAUCAUUUGCAUAACUUGACCUUUUUUUUUUCCUACAAAUAUUAAGUCAAAUUUACUCACCCUAUAUUUCUAUCUAAAAUCUACCUAAAACUCAUGCAUCACUGUAAAACAAAUCCAAAGAUUGCGGUACGUUUUUCUUGGUAACAAAUCAAUAAUUAGGUCAAGUACUACUACUAAGCGUGCUCAAUUAAUUCUAAAAUACUACGGUGAUCAAAAUCAUACUUGACGCAAGAGGAUAAGGGCUAAACCUCAAUUAGGCAUUAUUCAUCCAAAAUUCGUUGACCCGGCAUUCUUUGCAAGUUGUAGCACGGGACAGCUAAGAUUAGCAAAUGCUGUGGACCAUAUGCCCCCAUACAUUUGUGACAUGUGAAACUUGGCAUUAAAGGAAAGGCAACGUGUUAAAAUUUAAUAGCGCCCAAUUCUUCAUUGAAUGAUUAUCAGAUCCAAUGAGCAUCCUUUGAUUGGAUUAUUUUAAGUCAAUUAUUGGUGGAUUGGGGCCCACUUGACUCUACCAAAUCGGGCUCCACCAUAUCACCUAUUAACGACCACCUGUCCUUAUCAUAAAUAGCAAAUGUCACUUGUUUUAUUUUGUAUUUUACCAAAAGCAAAGUCACUAUGAACCCAAAUGAAAGUGACCCCAAUUUUGGGGGUCAUGAGCUUUGGAUUAUUAUGGACACAAGAGACAAGCGCAAAGUUUCUCAUUUAUCACCGGAUAAGAUUUAAGUUAUCAACCCAACAUUAAUAAAUUCUGCUUAAAGUAAAGUUUGAAGCUUCAUUUUGCGAAUAUUCAAUGGUUAACAUUUAAGUAAUUAACCUGAUAUUAAUCCAAUUAAACUUUUUAUGUAAUCCAAGUCAAAAAUAUGUUGAUAAACCUAAAUUAAUCUAAUUGGACAUAUUAUUUCAACUUGAAAAGGCGAAUCUAUCAUUUUUCAAUUAAUUUUGAAUCAAGCUAUGUAAAAUAUAAGCUUAUUAAAGACAUAUUUUUAUCAUGUUAAAAUAUCGAAAUACUUCUUACUCGUUUCGUAAUAACAUUAACAAACCUUUUGGUAAAUUUGACAGUCCAAUCAAUUCAGUUGGUUUUUUGUUAUUGAAACUCCAACAAAAUUCAUCACGAUUAUUAAAAACCCAUUAAAAAAAAAUGAAGGUAACUAUUUAAAAAAUUCUAAUUGAAUUAUUUAACAACUACAUUUCAACUAAAUUGUGUUGCUAAUUAACUUCCUCAACUUAAACUAUAUUUUUCUCAAUUAAUUCAUAACAAAUAAUGUUAGAUAUUUUAUUCGAAUAAUAACAUUCAACAUCCUUAUUCUUUAUGAUUAUUGCAUAAAAACAUAUUUUAUCCAUUUACAUCACAUAUGUUCCUAAAUUGUAUAAGAAAAUCACCAAAUUUACUCUUGUAAGUUACUAUAUCAAUGAACAUGAAAUUCACUAAUCAUUAAAGUCUCGGAAUGACAUCAUGAGAGGGAUUCAGUUACAUUUAUUGAUAGGAUUAGAUAUAUGUCUUCUCAAAUAUUAGUAGGAGCAAUUUAACAGAUGCAGCUACUAAAAAUAUAGAAUUACUUAUCUCGUCAAUAACUAACGAUAUUUUUUAUCUAUGCUCAAUAAAUUGUAAUAUUUGUAGAUUGUAACAAUUGUUAAAAAAAAAGAGCUCCCUGAGACUAAAUGACAAAAGGACUGUUUUGAAAUAGAUAGAUAAAAUAUGCCCUUAUUUGAGAAAAUGUAAAACACUAGGGAUCUAAAUGUUAUUAUAAUCCCAUGCACAAAAAUACCAAAAAUAACUAAUAACAACUAACCGAAAAUCCCAGGCGUCAUAUUCCUUUUUUCCGCGUUUUAAAAUGCCCUCUGAUUCAUUCACAGUCAGACGCUGUCGGCAUUUCUCUUCUCUCCCUCUCUCUCCACGUAUUAAAACAUGUAAAGUACGGAAAAAUUUAAAAAAAAUUUUAAAAUUACAUAAUUUAAAAGAUAUAAAAUUAUAAAUUUUUAAAAUUAUACGGUUUUAAAAUUUUUUUAAAUUUUUUCGUAUUUUAAAAUUUCAGACUAAAAAAUUAUUAUACGAAUACUUCGUAUAACCGCUUUGCGCUUAAAAUCUGUGCCUAACAAACUCACGAAAUCACUCCUCAUUUUCCUCUCUCCCUCUCCUCCUCUCAUUCCCUUUCAAAUCCUUCCACCACCUUCCCCGCCUCUCUCUCUUUCUCUCUCCCCUCACCGCCACAGCUCAACUUUUCCAUGUAAACCACCACGGGCGCCGUCGUUUCAACCUCCCACUCAUCCGACGUCGUUUUGUGUGAAUAAGAUAACGAUUUAAAUUAAAAUACGAAAAUGGAGAACUUAACGGCGCAGUUGAAGCGAGGGAUAUCGCGGCAGUUCUCGACGGGAUCGCUGCGGCGGAGCCUGACGAGGCAGAUGUCGAGGCAGUCGUCGUUCGAUCCGAGGAGGAAUAACAUGAGGUUUAGCUUCGGGAGGCAGUCGUCGUUGGAUCCGAUACGCAGGAGUCCGGUUCAGGACGAGUUGACGGUGCCGGAGAACCUUGACUCGACGAUGCAGCUGUUGUUUAUGGCAUGCAGAGGUGACGUCAAGGGAGUCGAGGAUUUGCUGAACGAAGGCAGUGAUGUCAACAGCAUUGAUCUUGACGGACGGUUUUGGCGAGAAAUCAAAGAAUUAAGAGACAAUAUUUAGUUAAGCUAAUAGUAUUUGUUCUGUUUAGUACGUCGUUUUACCAACAAGCAUCCCGGCAUUGCACGCAUUAAUAAAUUUUUUUUAUCUGUUUGGACUGAUGGUGGUAAAAAAUUCCACAUACUUUAUAUUAAAAAGGAAAAAGGACAAACACACCCCUAACGUCAACUUGGAGGGGGGUCGAUUCCGAGCUCAAGAAGUGGGAAAGAAGAAAGCUGAAGAUGAUUCAGGCGGUGCUCAAUGGUGGGUAUGACGGCAAAAAUAAGUUGGAGGUUUUCUAUGAAUUUGAACAUCUAAGAACAUUCUUCCCAUUACACAUAAGAGGUGGCUCCAAAACUGGUUACAUAACUCGUAUGGUUCUAACUGAUUUGUUGCCGAAGUUUAAAAGGUUGAGGGUGCUAUCUUUACAAGGAUACCAUAUUGGACCAAUUCCAUUUGAAGAUUUGAGACUUCAAAGUAUAAUUACCCAAAGUGUAUACAAUAAAAGCCAAAUUUAAGAAAUUCCUGAACCUUGCUGACACUGACAUAAGAAGUUUACCAGAGUCAACAUGCUCAAUGUUGAACUUGGAAAUUUUGAUAUUAAGAAAUUGUUUCCGUUUGAUGAUACUCCCACCCAAAAUGAGGAACUUGGUUAAUUUACACCCAGACUCUUUUCUUUUGACAUGGGGUUAACGAUCAAAGUUGGUUUCGUGCGGUAUAUAUUUACAAAUUGAUAGGUAUGCCUGGUGUUGAUGCAGGAUUCCGGUUCUUCUCGUUCUACGACCAGGAUCUCUGCUCGAUCAACUUCGUCACGACCAGGAGGUCUCCUCGCAAGACUUUUUCUCCAGAGAUUCCUGCGCACACAGACAAGUCAGAGUACGCCGGUUGUUUUCCCGGCGCAAACCCUCCGACGCUCAAGUCAGAUAUGAAGGUUCGGGGAACGCUUGCCACCGAUCUUAUGGCUUUUUCGUGGUUUUCUCUUCUUUUUAAUUCCUUUUCUAAUGAGAAAAAUGCCAACCCUUUUACCUCGUCGGCUACCUUUUUAUAGGCUUCCUCUGAAUCCCAGUUUUCCGCUCUUUUCGAGACGGUAUGGGACUCUGACUGCUGUGUUAUGGGCAAACGUGGGAUCUUGCGUGUUACGCCACCGUUCUGGGAAAAGCGCGGCAGUCGUGGUUCUGUGAGAUCUUGCGUGUUACGCCACGGUUCUGGGGAAAGCGUGGCUGUCGUGCUUAGGUUCUCGGGCUGGAGAGCAUGUCUCGUCAACUGCCGUCGACCGGGUCUCCUCGCCUCUCGACCUCUAGCCGGAAUGACCUUAUGCCUCUUACAGGAAAUUGGCCUCGCGGAUGACCUGCUCGUGGACGAGCAGGAUAUUUCUGCUCCUGUUCCCCCGCGUACCAGGCUUUUACGGGACACACCGGUUCGCAGAACUCUGCCAUCAGAUAUCUGCUCACCGUGCCUGGUCUCGUCGACGUAUUUCUCCCAAACACCGGUCCCCCAGUUUCUGGUGUUGGGUAAUGUAGUGGACCAGCAGUAGAAACUCGUUAGUACUCGCCCGCGUGGGAUUGGAAAAGGCUGCCAAGAGUCAUGUCGCAUUUAAUUGCGGACGAGGUGACGUGGCAGAAAUCCCCCCCUCCAUUUGAAUUUCAAACCGACGGUUAUGAGAUCCUCGGGAUUCAGCGCCGUUAAAUGCUGGCAACCCAAGAGUCCGUCCUCAUUAGGAAAACCAAAUCCUCUCGAACGGCAUAUUCGUCAUUCACUCCGUCUCCGUCUCUGUCUCCCCGGCAAAGAGGUUCCGGCAUAAAAGCCCUCCAUCUCUGAUUUUCACCGACUGAACCGUUACUUCAGGUAUUUCUUCUAUCUCCUUGGUCUCGGAUAGUUGUAGAUAAUUUCUCUUCUCUUCUGUUGGGUAGUAGUUGGUGGUGUUGUGGUUAGAGCUUAGGGAAUGUCGAAAGGCAAAGAGAAGGUCAUUGAGGUUGGUGACGACGAGUUGGACUUCCUGCCUAGUCUGCUCACCGAUCCUGCUUUUGACCCCGGGAUCCCCUUAGAGCCCAUUAGGUCUAGUGUCGGGACUAGUGCUAGGAGGAUGUCUCCCCAAACAACCUCUACGAGCGGAAGUAAUGGUGAGGAGAGAUCUUCUGGCUCCGAGGAUACUUUGAGUGAGAAUGGCGAAGGUGACUCUGGUGAGGUGUCUCCAUCUGGAACAUCACGACCAGAAGAACGGGGUAUAGUAGGAGGCAGAGCCUUGUCGCGCGAUUAUGCCAUUGAUUACAUGACGUGCACGACCUCGUUUGACGAGCUCAAUGACCUCCGGCUUAGGUAUAGCAUUCCUGGUGAGAUACCUCUCAAGGUCCCAGGAAAGAAGGAUGCUCCCAGCCGGCCUCCUAGGGGAUAUGUUACCCUGUAUCUGGACAGCUUUAAGUACGGGCUGAGGUGUCCCUUGCAACCUUACUUUGCCCGGAUACUUAACGGGCUAAAUCUAGCUCCUGGUCAGCUGAAUCCCAAUGGGUGGAGAGUGCUCUCUGGUCUGUUCAUAUUGUGGGACAGAUGUUGCCAAAGCGAGCCCACGGUUGAUGAGGUGAAGCACCUGUACCAGCUAAAGAGCAGCCCCAAAGAUGCCGUCUGGUACUACUUCCAAUCUAGCACCAAGAGCAGGAAACCUAUAACCGACCUCCCUACUGGUGGUGGUGGGAAUUGGAAGAGAAAAUUCUUUUUUGCUGGGGGUCCUUGGGGUCAGGUUGCACAAAUGGACGGGAAGGAUUAUCGGGUCCCACCCCGUUUCACGGUCCCAGGUUGCCUGCUCGCUUUAGAUGUCUUGUAUCCACAAUUGUUAUUGCUUUAUUGGCUUGUCUCUAACCAAGUGUCUGUUUGCGUUGUAGUUUCUUGGGGUGUUCACUUCCCGCUCCCACCUGACCAGCUCAAACGGGUCAAGGCUGUGCUCGCCAAUUCCUGCUCGAGUCGAGAACUGCUAACUACAUACAACUUGCUCGAAUCUCGCUUGAUACUUCCUGGCCAUAGGAUGGAGGACGCCGUGAUUGGGGCUCUGACCCGAAAACGUUCUCGACCUCCAACCACGAAGAGGGACCAGGGUAAGGAUGCCCCUGCUGCAAAGCGGGCCAGCAUCGUGCAGCAGGUCCCACCCUUGGAGAUUUUACCUCCUGCUCCUGAAAAAGUCGGGGAAGCUAGUGGAGCAGCCACAGAUCCUGCUUCCUCAUCUGUUCCUGUCGGGCCUCGAUCUCGCUUACCUGACAGCCGAGCAGAACACCUGGUCCCCUACCUCAAUGAGUUGUCUAAACUCGUGAGCAAGAAGGACCUGGAGGACUUCGACGGCUGCACCUUGGGUGAGCUGGUGGGGGCCAUGCAGCAUAGCGCUUUCCACCUCAGCUGCAUGACCACCUAUUACAAGGCUAAGGUUGGUCGAUACGAUCGGAAAAUGAAGGGGGAUAUUCAAUCGGCGACGACCAGAGCUGACAUUGCCGAGAAGAAAGCAGGGGAGCUGAACCUCGAGAAUCUGAAGCUGAUAGAGCAAGAAUCACUUGCUCAAGCAAAGACCAUUACCCUCGAGGAGGAGCUUACCAAGGUCAAGGAGGAUCUGCAAAGGCAGAAGGCUAUGUAUGAGGCCCAGCUCGAAUCUCUCCGGGACUCCAACCGAGCUCAGGUCGAGAACUUGGAGAGGGAGGCAGAGAAUCAGUACGACCAGGGACUUCGGCAUUCCUAUCGUUGCAUCAUGGCCGUCCUCGGGAAGCAACACCCUGAUCUGAAGAUGGAUGACCUUGCGGCUGGUGUUGCCCAACAUAUGGACGAGGAGGCGGCCAAGGAAGAUGCUGAAGGGGUAGAGCCGAUCGUGAUCGAGGAGGAAAGCUCUCCUCCUCGUGCAGUCCCUGCUGAUGUUGGCGAGGCGAGCACCCCUCCGGACGCAACUGGCGAUACCCCUCCCGCACCUGAGGAGGUCCAGUCAACCGAUGCUGCUCGGCUCACUGAUCUACCAUCUUUUUGAUAUAUUUCUUUUUGUAUUGUAAUAAACAACGUUUAUGAAAUUUAUCCCCUCUGUUAGCCAUUAACACAUUAAUAAAGAUGUUUUUUGAUUACUUUCUCGUCUUGUAAUCAUCACUUAUUUUCCGUUUGGGAAUCUGCUCGUCUCGUCUGGUCGAGCAGGUUCUGGUUUGGCAUAUGGUUUUGCAACAUGCCUUAGAAAAAUUUCUUUUUUUUUUUUUUUUUUUUUUUUUUUUUUUUUUUUUGCUUGGGGAUUCUGCUUGCCUUCGCGUGGUCGAGCAGGUCCUGGCAUGCUUGGCUUCAGUCUCGCCAUAAAAAGGCUUUGAGACUUGGUGAGGCCUUUGCAUGCCUUAGAAAACUUUUUCGAUGCUUGGGGAUUCUGCUCGACUUCGCUCGGUCGAGCAGACCCUAGCAUGCUUGGCUUCCGUCUCGCCAUAAAAAGGCUUUGAGACUUAGUGAGCCUUUGCAUGCCUUAGGUGGCUUCUUCAAAGCUUGGGAUUCUGCUGCCUUCUCGUGGCCGAGCAGAUCCGGGCAUGCUUGGCUUCUGUCUCGCCAUAAGACAGGCUUUGAGACUCGACGAGCCUUUGCAUGCCUUAGAUGGCUUCUUCGAAGCUUGGGAUUCUGCUGCCUUCUCGUGGCCGAGCAGAUCCGGGCAUGCUUGGCUUCUGUCUCGCCAUAAGACAGGCUUUGAGACUUGACGAGCCUUUGCAUGCCUUAGAAAUUUUCUUGGUUUCAAGCGAAAGGAAUUCCUCGACGUUCCAUUAAUGGCAGGAUUCGGCUUACAUGAACUUGUUUGGACAUAAAGCGUGAAAGAUAAACGAUAAUGAUCAUGAGCAAAAAUAGCUUUCAGAUGUGAACAAAUCUUACUGGAAGUAUUUUCGGAGGUGUGCUGCGUUCCAUGGGCGUUUCAGCUCGUGGCCGUCCGUGCGAACCAGCUUGUAAGCUCCGGGUCCCGCUAUCUGCUUGACUCUAUAUGGCCCUUCCCAAUUCGGUCCCAGCACUCCUUGAGUCGAAUCUUUGGUGCUCUGAUUCACUCUUCUCAGUACCCAGUCUCCGACCUUGAAUUGCCGUAUGUUCACCUUCUGGUUAUAAUACCGAGCAACCCUCUGUUGGUAAAGGGCUGAUCGCUCGGCUGCUUGCUCCCUCCUUUCCGUUAGCAGAUCAAGAUUCAAACAUAUCUGCUCGUCGUUCUCCUGCUCGUUGAAAUGACCUGUCCGGUGUGUGGUCGUUCCUAUCUCAGCCGGCACGACCGCUUCAUGUCCGAAAGCCAAAGCGAACGGUGUCUCCCCAGUUGCGGUUUUGUGGGUUGUUCUGUAUGCCCAUAGCACACCUGACAGCUCGUCAACCCACGCACCCUUUUUUGCUCCAAGCCUGGUUUUCAAAAGCCUCUUGAUGGUCUUGUUGGCUGCUUCUACUUGUCCAUUCGAUUGAGGGUGAGCAGGCGAGCAAUACUUCAGCUCUAUCCCGAGGUUCUGGCAGAAAUCCCUGAAGCUGUGAUUAUCGAACUGCCUGCCAUUAUCCGUUACCAAGGCAUAAGGGAUCCCGUAUCGACAGACCAGGUUUCUCCACACGAAGUCUGUUGUUUUCUUCUUUGUGAUCCUGCUAAGGGCUUCUACCUCUAUCCACUUCGUGAAGUAAUCUAUAGCAACUAUUGCAUGUGUUGCUGCUCCUUGUGCCUUUGGCAAUGGGCCGAUCAGAUCAAUUCCCCAUUGAGCAAAUGGCCAAGGGGAGGCCAUGGAGGUGAGCUUCUCUGGGGGUUGGUUAGAGAAAUUUGCAAAACUCUGGCAGCUUACACAACUCCUGGUCUUCUCUUGCGCAUCCUGGUGCAUUGUCGGCCAGAAAUAUCCCUGCCUAAGAACCUUGUGGGCCAGGGACCUCCCGCCAGAAUGAUUUCCGCAAAUUCCUUCAUGUACUUCUCUCAGUACGUAAUCCGCGUCGUCCUCAUCCAAACACCGAAGGAACGGUAGUGUAUAUCCUCGCCGAUACAGCGCCCCAUCAAUCAUCGUGUAUCUCGAGGCCUGGGCUCUAAUCUUGCGAGCUCGCAGCUUAUCUGGUGGUAAUACUCCGUCUCUAAGGUAUGAAACUAUCGGGUCCCUCCACGAGCAUUUUUGUUCUAUCCGCAACACCCCCGAAUUCUGAUCGAUACUUGGGCUGGACUUCACCUCCAGAGGGACCGACUUUGGCAUUUUUGGGUCGGCUACUGCUGCCAUCCUCGCCAAAAUGUCUGCUCGACUAUUCUGCUCCCUGGGGAUCUGUACCACCUCCACUGCUUCGAACUUCCCCAUCAUCUGCCUGACUAUCUUCAGGUACUGCUCCAUCUUCUCCUCUCUUGGUUGGAAUCUUUCACUGACGUGAUUCGCAACCAGCUGGGAAUCAGUUCUGAUCUUAACUCUGUCUUCUUUCACGGCCUUAGCCAAUUCCAGACCUGCUAUCAAGGCUUCAUACUCUGCCUGGUUAUUUGUGGCUGCAAAUUCCAACUUUACAGCAUAAGAGAUCUCCUCCCCCUCAAGGCCUUCCAGGACAAUCCCUGCUCCUGAACCCCGCUCCCCUGAUGACCCGUCCACAGACAUCUGCCAUACUUGAUUUUCGUCAUUGCCUAUAACUGCAUCCUGUUGAUCUGAGCAUACUUCGGGCUCUGUGAAUUCAGCUACGAAAUCGGCCAUUGCCUGGGCUUUUAUCGCUGCGCGGGGUUUAUAGUCUAUGUCGAACUCGCUCAGCUCUACAGCCCACUUGACGAGCCGACCAGAGGCAUCUGGCUUGUGCAGAGUUUGACGCAAUGGCUGGUUUGUUAUUACCGAGACCGGGAAUGCUUGAAAAUAUGGCCUCAACUUCCGAGCAGCAACCACAAGGGCAAGUGCCCAUUUCUCCAACAGUGGGUAUCUAGUCUCAGCGUCGAGUAGGGCCUUGCUGGUGUAGUAUAUCGGAUACUGAACUCCUUCUUCCUCUCUCACCAGAACAGAACUGGCGGCCCGAUCCGACACCGCCAAAUACAGAUACAACUUGUCCCCAUCCCUUGGUGUGGACAGCAGCGGAGCUUGCUGCAAGUAUUGCUUCAAGUUCUGGAAGGCUUCCUCGCACUCUGGGGUCCAUUCUGUUUUCUUUCCCCUCCUUAUCACUUGAAAGAAUGGCUGACACUUAUCUGUAGCCUUGGAGAUGAAUCUGCUCAACGCCGCCAACCUCCCUGUGAGGCUCUGCAUCUCCUUCAGGUUACGAGGAGACGUCAUUUGCACAAUCGCCUGGAUUUUCUCGGGAUUUGCUUCAAUCCCCCUAUGGCUCACCAUGAAUCCAAGGAAUUUCCCUGACUCGACCCCAAAAGCACACUUUUCCGGGUUGAGCUUCAUCUUAUACUUCCUCAAAAGCUCGAAUGUCUCCUCGAGGUGUCUGACAUGUUCCUUCGGGAUUUUGGACUUGGUGAUCAUGUCAUCCACGUACACCUCCAUGGUUUUCCCAAUCAACGGCUUAAAGACUUUGUUCACCAGCCUUUGAUAGGUGGCCCCAGCAUUUUUGAGACCGAACGGCAUUACCCUGUAACAGAACAAACCUUGGUUAGUGACGAAAGCCGUGCUCUCCUCAUCCUGCUCGUACAUGGGGAUCUGGUUGUAUCCCGAGAACGCGUCCAUGAAGCUGAGCAGACCAUGUCCAGCCGUUGAAUCUACUAGCUGAUCGAUCUUUGGUAGAGGGAAGCUGUCUUUUGGGCACGCCUUAUUGAGGUCUGUGAAAUCCACACACAUCCUCCACUUGCCGUUUGCCUUCUUUACCAACACCACAUUCGAUAUCCACUCAGGGUAACUGACUUCCCGAAUGAACCCUGCUCUCAAGAACUUCUCCACCUCGCUAUUUAUUGCCUCAUACAUCUCCUGGUUGAAGCACCUCCUCUUCUGCCUUACUGCCCGAGCACCUUUCUUUAUUGCCAGCUUAUGACAUGCUACCUCAGGGUCAAUCCCUGGCAUGUCUUCAUGUGUCCAAGCAAACACAUCAGAAUGAGCCUGUAAGCAUUUCACCAACUCCUGCUUUUGCUCUCCCUCAAGCCUCGACCCGAUUCUGAUCAUCUUUCCCGGAUUCUCUGGUCCCAGGCUUACUGUUUCCAGAUCUUCUACAGGUUCUUGUCUGCCCUUCUUGUUUUCCACUCGGGUAUCGAGGGAUGUUAUCUGCAUUGCUUCCCUUGCUGCCGAGGAGUAGCAGCUUCUUGCGAUCCUCUGGUCUCCUCGUACCACUCCUACUACCCCAUUCACCCGGUACUUCAGAGCGAGAUAGUGGUUGGACAACACCGCUUUGCUCAUCCUUAAAAAUGGCCGACCUAGGAUCAUCUGGUAAGGACCUUCCUCGUCCACUACGACAAAGUCCAGUAUCAUUGUUCUUUCUGUCAGGGAGCUCCCAAUUGUGAUAGGCAGCUCGACCACGCCCAGAGGGACCAGCUUCCCUCCUCCGAACCCCUUCAAGGAGGUAUUGGUGUAUUCCAACUUUCGGUCGGCUAUUCCCAUCUCUUCCAGGGUUGACUUAAAUAACACAUCAACUGAGCUCCCUGUAUCAAUCAGUAUCCGGUCAAACUUCUUGCUAGCGACAGUAGCCUUGAUGACUAAAGCAUCAUCGUGGGGGUAUAGAAUCCCUUCCUCAUCCUCAUCCGUCCACAUGAUUGGCACUUGCCUGACCCUUGCUCGUUUGGCUGCUGGGGUGUUGAAGAGUACCUCUUUACUGGUCAUGGCGUACCUAGCAUAAUUUUUUCUCGAUCUGUUGGAAUCUCCGGCCAAUGUUGGGCCCCCAGCUAUCACCCUUACUGCGGGCUGCUCGCGCCUCAAGUUUCUACCACUCUGCUCCCCUUCACCUGUUGUGGCCACCAUCGGGAAAGUCCCAUCCAUAAACUCGUCCAGGUACCGAUUUCUCACCAAAUCUUCGACCUGGAUCUUGAGAUCUCUACACUCUGCCGUGGUAUGGCCAUGGGUGCCAUGGAACUUACAAUAACGUCUUCUAUCCCUCCUGUUGGGUAGCUUUGUUAUUGGUGUAGGGAGGUGCAGCAGACCUCGAUCCUUUAUGGCCUCGUACACCUCAUCCAGGGACAUCUUCAAGGAAGUGUACCGCCCAUAGUCCGGGUCCUGGUCGAUCAGGUGCACUGCUCUUUCUCUGUUUGCCCCGCUUUGAGUUGGGGGCGGUGGAAGUAAUUCUGGUCUGCUCGCUCUGCUACCAUGUUGGUGAAGACCACCAGAUGCCGACUCAUGCCUUCUCCAAGGCUCCCUAGCUGGGGAACGAGGAGGUUGCGCCCCGCUGCGCUGAUACUGUGGUGGCCUCUGAUGAGGCUGGUAAGCAGUUACCCGACCUCCUGCUCUACUACCGGAGGCCUGGUGGUCUCUCCUCCUGAUCGGCCCAUUCCCCGGUAAUGCUUUCUUCUCUUUCCUCCCCAACCCUUCCAACUGGUCUGUCUUAAUCCGUGCAGCCUUCUCCUCUUCAAUCUCGAUGUCUCUCUUAGCCUGUUCGUAUGCGGCUGCAUACGUUUGAAUAGCUGGGCUUCUCAAAUUGUACCACAACCUUCCUAUCUUCACCCCUUCUUUCAAUCCCCUUAACGCCUGAGGGUGGUUGAAGGCUCCCAAGUCGAGGACAGCCCGAUGAAACCUCUUGAUGAAUUCCCGAAGGGUUUCUUGCUCCCCCUGUUUCAUGCUUUUCAGCUCCAUCAUGUCGUCUUCCGGUGCCAUUGCCCCACUAAACUGCUCCGCGAAUUCCUGGCACAUCUGCUCGAAGGUUUUAAUGCUGCCCCGAGGAAGUUUCCUGUACCAUUCUCGUGCACGUCCCUCAAGGGAUAGUGGGAACACCCUGCACCUUUGGGAUUGAGAUAAUCCUUGUACCCCAGUUAUGUCGUUGAAGCGCUCUAUAUGCACCAGCGGAUCAGUUCUUCCCGAGUAUCUGAGGUCUGGGAGGCGGAAAUCUCUCGGAAUAACUGCCCUCAUGAUUUCUGUUGCGAGCGGCGAUUCUCCGUCCAGCAUUAUCCUCCAACCAGGGGCUCUGUUCCUUCCUUGCAUGUCGUCAAUUAUCUGCGCUAGUCUGCGCACUUCCCCCUCCAGCUGCAACGCACGACCAGGGUCACGUGCUGCAACUUGAUCCCACUCUUGCUCUACAUCAUGCAAGUGUUGCCUCAACUCUGUUUCCUCUGCAUUCACCACCCCGUCGCCCUCGUCACCAGUCUGUCUUGCUGGGGACUGCUCUCUUUCUCUAUGAAAUUCUCCCUGCAGAGGUACGUUACCUCUCUCACCACCAAAUCUCCCGGGGGUUUGACUUCUCCCCGCACUAUCGGGACCUGGUGCCACUCCACCGCCUCUCACCCUUCCCUCUUGGGUUACCCUUCGCUCGCUCCGCAGCUCAUGCAGGAUGGUUGUCAAGGUCUCCAUCUGCUUUUCCAUCCGUUCCAUCUGGUCGAACAUGACUUUUUCCCGUGCUUCGCUGACUAUCUCCCUCAGCGUCACGGAAUCGUUAAGCCUCCUAUCACCCCCUUGUGCACUACUUCUUCCUGUCUCCAUUGCUUUUCACUUGCUUCACCCCUCUUCUUGCUAUCAACAGAAGCUUUUUGCUCUGGUCCCCACAGACGGCGCCAAAAUGUUGAUGCAGGAUUCCGGUUCUUCUCGUUCUACGACCAGGAUCUCUGCUCGAUCAACUUCGUCACGACCAGGAGGUCUCCUCGCAAGACUUUUUCUCUAGAGAUUCCUGCGCACACAGACAAGUCAGAGUACGCCGGUUGUUUUCCCGGCGCAAACCCUCCGACGCUCAAGUCAGAUAUGAAGGUUCGGGGAACGCUUGCCACCGAUCUUAUGGCUUUUUCGUGGUUUUCUCUUCUUUUUAAUUCCUUUUCUAAUGAGAAAAAUGCCAACCCUUUUACCUCGUCGGCUACCUUUUUAUAGGCUUCCUCUGAAUCCCAGUUUUCCGCUCUUUUCGAGACGGUAUGGGACUCUGACUGCUGCGUUAUGGGCAAACGUGGGAUCUUGCGUGUUACGCCACCGUUCUGGGAAAAGCGCGGCAGUCGUGGUUCUGUGAGAUCUUGCGUGUUACGCCACGGUUCUGGGGAAAGCGUGGCUGUCGUGCCUAGGUUCUCGGGCUGGAGAGCAUGUCUCGUCAACUGCCGUCGACCGGGUCUCCUCGCCUCUCGACCUCUAGCCGGAAUGACCUUAUGCCUCUUACAGGAAAUUGGCCUCGCGGAUGACCUGCUCGUGGACGAGCAGGAUAUUUCUGCUCCUGUUCCCCCGCGUACCAGGCUUUUACGGGACACACCGGUUCGCAGAACUCUGCCAUCAGAUAUCUGCUCACCGUGCCUGGUCUCGUCGACGUAUUUCUCCCAAACACCUGGUAUGACUGCUUAUGCUGGAUUUUAUGAGGUGUGCUCUCCUAAGCAAGGAGAGUGGGUCUUAAUAUGGGCAAGGGUGCAGUUGGUCAGCUUAUGGGGCAGUUUGCAAAGUUACUGGGCUGCUAUGUUGUCGGAAGUGCUGGAAGCAAAGACCAGGUAUACAAACAAACAAUCCGUAUCAGUUGCUUGAUUGUUCCCAUUUUGCUUUCAAAAUAUCUAACUUACAUAAGGAAAAUUUUCACCAUCUCGUCUUUUCUUUGAUUUUGAACGCUAAGAUUGAUCUACUGAAGAAUAGGUUUGGGUUCGAUGAGGCGUUCAACUAUAAAGAAGAUCCUGAUUUGAAUGCAGCCUUGAUAAGGUUAGUAUAUCAGCAAACUACAAAUUAGAAGACAUUUUUUCCUGAAAAUCAAAUAAUGUUUCUAAUUUGACAGGUGGUUUCCUGAAGGCAUUGACAUAUACUUUGAAAACGUUGGUGGGAAAAUGCUCGAUGCGGUGCUGAUCAACAUGAAAAUCGGUGGUCGAAUUGCUGUGUGUGGGAUGAUCUCGCAGUACAACCUUGACGAACCCAAAGGCGUACACAACUUGACGCGUCUUAUUUCGAAACGGGUUCGGAUGGAAGGAUUCCUCGUAUCGGAUUACAAUAAACUCUAUCCGAAAUUUCUGGAAAUGAUCAUUCCUCACAUCAAGGGGGGAAAGAUUGUAUACAUUGAAGACACGGCUGAAGGUCUUGAGAGUGCUCGGGCAGCUCUCGUCGGUCUGUUCUCUGGCCGGAAUCUCGGGAAACAGGUGGUUGCAGUUGCUUCUGAAUGAAUGAAGGAUUUGGUUGUUUACAUCAUGCUUCUACUCGUCCAUUUAUUUAAUAAAAUGGUUACGCUCAAUGAGUGUAAUUUUUAUGAUGCUAAAUUAAAUGUGGAAUGUGGCUGCUGGUUUGAUAAUGUUAAAAGUGCUAAAAAAUUUCAUGUUAGGCGCGGUGUGCGUCUGUAUAUCAUUUUUAGGUACGGGCAUUCUAUCUUUUUUUUUUAAUUAAUACAGACACAUUCUUAAACUGUAUGGUUUAAGAGAGAGUUAAAAAAAACUUUUACCACAUGGUUUAAAAGCGUAUCCGUAUGGAAAAAAAAUGAAAGUCCAUUGGAGAAGAAUUUUAUAUAUAGUCCAGGAUAUUAAAGUGCGGGAAAACUAUAGAGUUUUAAAAACUUAAAAUUUAAAACGUUUAAACUGCACGAUUUAUGUGUUUUUCGAUGUGAUCCCACAUUUUAAAAUUGUGGAUUGGAACAUUUGUCUUUGAGGGAAAAAAAACAAUAACAACAACUUCUUUUGGAGACCGUGGGGCUCAUAUGCAGAUUCAACCCCGAGCUAUACACUGGAUCUGGUGGGCUAGGUUUGAACCCAAAACAAGCUCUAUUCAUUACACGGUUCAGCGGGUUGGUCCAUUUGACGCUUCUAACUUAACAAUUUAAUCAUAAUAAAUUGAAAAAAUAAAAUAAAACCCACGUAUCUAAAUUAUUGUAUUGAGCUAUUGGUGCAGAGAAUAAGUAUAUAUGAGAACAAAAACAACACGAUGUAGUCGCUCGUUUUGUCACUUCUAAAAUCAGGAUUUAGAGCAUCACCAAAAGGCUCUUCAAAUAAGAUUUUAUUACUCAUUUGAAGAGCCACAUCAAUAUUUAAAGCUCCAAAAGACACUCUAAUUAAGAUUCUUCAAAUAAGAAUUGAUUCUCUCUCUUCAAAUUUGGAGAGUUAAUUUCUCCCUCUUCAAUUUAUAUUUUAUUACUUUUCAUUAAAAAAAGAGAGAGAAGUGCUUUAAUUGCUAUUGACUUUUCCUUUUAAAAACUAAUUAUAUGAUUAAAAUAAUAUUAACUUAUUUCUAUUUGAAGAGUCUUUUGGAAAAUAUCAUAUUUUUUCACCCUUCUAUUUGCCACAUAGGUAAGCAAAUAGAUAUUUGAAGAGUAAAAUUUAUAGAGGCUUUUGGAGAUGCUCUUAUGAUAGAGUCAUAGUGUUAACAGUACAUCGGUGUAUAAUUAUUUGUAAUGAAAUUAAUUAAUAUGGGUUUUAUGUUGUCUUUGUCAAUAAUCAAUUAAAUUUUUCGUUUUCAUUUAAAUGUUACUGAUCGAUGAAACAUUUGACUGCGUUCAAGUUAUCUUUUAAUUUUGUGAGAUCCACAUUGUUUUUAUUUCAAAAACAUAAUUUUUCAUAUUAUUAAAAAGCUGUUGCUUGGGCCUAGAGAAAUUGGAUUAAUGAAAUACCUUAAGGGUGUGUUUGACACAUUAUAUUGUAUUAUGUUGCAUUGCAUUAUUUUAUUUGGUGUUGCACUAUACUUUACUAAUUUUUUUGCAAUUAAUUUAAAUUACAUAGUUAGCAAAUAAUAUUUAUUAGUGCUUAGAAAAAUACUAAAUAUAGAAGUCUUAAAUUUUAGAAAUUUAACAAUUUUUUUACUAUAAAUGUUAAAAAAUAUAAUAAUUCUUCAUAAAGAUGGAAGCUUACAGCCUUAAGUUUUUGGAAGCAGAGCAUUUAUUUUUUAGUAUCUUCUAAAUAUAUAAUUUUUGAAAUAAAGAUAUAAGCACAUAAUUUAAUCACAUAGUCUUUAAAUAAUAUAACAACAUAAAUAAAUAGUUAAAAUGUGCAAGAUUAGUUCAAAACUCAUCUUAGGAUGAUAUAAUAAAAGUUUAUACACACCACAAGAUAAUCACAAAAUAAUAAAGUGAUAAAAUUAUUAUAACAUAUUCACUACCAAAAUAAAUUAUAUUAAAUAAUCCAAGUGAGAGUUCUGUAGUUUAUAUAAUAAUAUUAUUUAUGUUAUUAUUAUUAAUUUUAAAUUAAUAUUAUCCAAAUUUAUUCAUACUUAAAUAUGUAUUAUUAGUUAUAUUACAUUAUUUUUACAUAUUAAUUAUUGUAAUAUAAUUAAAUAAUGUAAAAUUAUAUUAUAUUUUUAUAUACUAUUUAAGUAUUUAUUAUUAAUUAUAUUCAAUUAUAAAUUUAUUAAUAAAUUAUAGUGCAAAAAAAAAUAGAAAUAAAAAUUAAUAUUGUAUAAUAAAUAACAUUCUGCUCCCAAUUUCUGGAUUUUAAAUUCCAAAAAUAGUAUUCACGUUCGCCACAUUCAAAAAUCCAACCUGGGCUUGGAGAUUCGAUUCAUCUCAUAGAUUAAUUUUAUAAACUAAUGUUUAGUGAAAAAUUAACCUUAAUGGGUCCUCCUCUCCAGGCCUAAUUCUUAAUUUUUUUUUUAAUUUGGUCCUACUUAAGUGGCUUCUAACGUUACCGUGUCUUUAUUUUGUGUACAGUUGUUUUACUAAUUUGUCAUUUAGUGCAAAUAACAGCACUCAACUUGUAAUAUCCAGUAUCCACAAAUCAGCCACUUCGGCCAAGGCCGAAGUGGUGGGCUGCUGCCCUCACAAUGCUUGUGAGGGCAGCGGUUCUAGCCCCCACAAAAGCAUUGUGGGGGUUAAAUGUUCUUUAUAUUUCCAAAAAAAUCCUUCUCUCUUGCAAAAUGUAAGUGGAGUAUGGACAUCCCUCUCCUGUGAGGGGUUAUUUGUCUGGGCAUGUACUUCAUAGAAUUCAUUGUAAUAAUGUAAGUCCCAAUCAUGUAUAUCUGAUUGUAAAUAUCAGUGUAAUAUCUCUGCUACAAUAAGCAGUUGUUGUAAAUAUCUGUCUGAUGAUUAAUCAGUAUUCAAAAAAAAAAAAGUAUCCACAAAUCAUGAACUCAUUUUUUAGUUCUUUCAUGUGUACUAACAUUCGUACAAAUAUACAAUAAGUUCAUAAUUUAGUCCAAGUUGACGAGAAAUUCUUGACCCACCCCUAAAUAUCUGUCCGCCAAUAGCGUGAAGUGGCCGGCAUAAAUUUAAAGCAGCUGGGACAUUGUAACUCAUCCAAAGAUUGUAUAACAUCUCUUUUUUGCUUUAUCGUUUUUCUCCAGUUGCAUAGUUUCUUAUCCUACCGCUUUAAAAACAAUUAUUCCUAGAAAUUUUCAUUUAUCUAAUGAAUUUUAAGAAUUUUUUCAGCAAACAAUUUUUACUUUUUUUUUUUUUUAUCAUUGAUGGGUAAAGAAAAUAUUAAUGAAAAAUGAGGAGUUAUUGGCUGGUUCAACGGAUUAAUUGCAAUGAUAAAUACAGGGAGGAUUGGAUUAUAUGGCAAAUUUUUAUAGUAAAUGUAAUAUAUAUGCUAACACUUUUUAUUUAUGGCAAAAUAUCUUCCUCUUUUGAGACUUUUCCCUCUAAGAAAAUUGGAGGAUACGACAAUAUAUAUAUAUAUAUAUAUACUAAUAUUUAUCAUUUAUAGAAAAGUAUCUAUCCCACUUAAGAUUUGCCCCACUAGAAAAGGAAAAAAAAAUCCCUCAAAAUAAAAGAGCGAAAUGGAAACAGAACAAAAUUUGAUUUUGUGGAUCUUGUAUUGUGUGAUAAGUCCGGCAUGCAAUUUUGGGCCAGCUUACCGUGCGCAUGGGAGCAUUCACAAAGUAUCUCUCGUCACUAUCGAAAACUUUUAACAGUCAAUACAAAUGCUUCCGUUUCAUCCCAUAAACAAAUAAAAUUCACAUCUGUACACAUCUACUUUGCUUUGCUAGAUAGAGUUCCUCUGCAUUUCCCAAUUGCCUAAAGAGAAGGGGAAAAGAAAAAGAGGGCCAAAAAAUGCCUGAAAUGGUAAGGAACAAGCAAGUGAUAUUGAAGGACUAUGUGUCUGGUUUCCCAAAAGAAACAGACAUGUACAUGACCGAAAGUUCCAUAGAAUUGAAGGUGCCAAAAGGUUCAAAUGGGGUUCUUUUAAAGAACUUGUACUUGUCCUGUGAUCCGUACAUGCGACCAAGAAUGACCUACAUCGAAGGAUCUUAUGUUGAAUCCUUUAAACCUGGCUUGGUUAGUGCACUCGCUCAUGGCCACGCUUUUCAUUUCCAUGGCUUCUUGCUCUUUUGUUAUAGAAAAUUUAUUUUUGGUUGCAGUUUGGUUCGACUGCUAAAAUCUCGUGCGAUAAUUGUAUAAGAUAUCUAGAGUUUGAACUUCUUUCACAUUAGGGUUCAAGGAAGUUAACUUAAAUGAUUUUCAAAAUUUUAAAUGUGUACCAAUGAAUUUAAUUUCAUAGCUUAAACUUAUUGUUUGAUCAUACUCUAACUUUGGACAGGAAAAUUAUAUUUUUCCUUUUGUUCUUUGACUUCGUGUAUGUUGUGUGAAGUACUUGUGCUUGAAAAUGAAUUGCUGACACAGAAAUUUCUAUGAAUGCAUGCAGCCCAUAAGUGGAUAUGGGGUGGCUAAAGUUUUGGAUUCAGAGAAUCCAGAGUUCAACAAAGGUGACUUGGUUUGGGGAAUGACUGGAUGGGAAGAGUAUAGUCUCAUUACGGCUCCACACUUGUUUAAAAUUCAGCACACAGAUGUGCCUCUUUCUUACUAUACUGGAAUCCUCGGUAAACUUUUUGUUUGCGCAAUUUAUGUGAGCAAAUUGUGUCUUCUUUUUCAUAUGUAAAUGUUUUUGAUAUCUUGAUGUGAAGGUAGAAAAUUGCAUGUUUUGAGUUUUUGCAUAUUUGAUGGAAACACAGAACCGUACCUGAAUAUUUCAGAACCCCCUUUUCUUUGAAGUUUGAACACUUUUCUUGAAUGUAUCAACUUUAUUUAUGGGAUAUGUUGCCAAAUUGGCAAAUCUAUUCGUUAUAAAACUUUCCUUUGACAGUUUAAUCUAAGCAGAUGUUAAUUCUGCAAAUAGAGUGUGCCUUAGUUUAGAUUGAUAGAUUUGUCUCCUUCUGUACAGUAAAAACUUUGAGCAUUUUCGCCAUAUUCUGAUCAAUACACUCCAACUAGUUAGUUCUUGAGGCGUUUCCUGGUUUCGUGGAGUGAGCCAAGAUGUAUACGUUUGCAAAUUGGCAAUGUCUUUUGCUUGAUGUGUUGUGAGUUGUGAGUGUCAAUAGGAAAGUUUCAAAGUGCGCAGUGCUCACUUGAGCACCCAUAUUACUUGGUGACCUGUUGCCUCAGCAAACAAGACCUCUGUUUUAUGAACUCCAAAAAGUUAUUCUGUUAAAAAGAUCGAGACAGAGGCCAUACUAUAUUUAUUAUUGCUAUAAAAGUGUCAAACAAUAUUCUUUAUUUAAUAUUCUAAACGAUUGAGCCAUUUAGUUAUGAUACUCUGCUGUACUGGGGCUAAUAAUCUAAGUCGGUUCAAAGUGGUAAAUUUAUAAAUUGAUAGGUAUGCCUGGUAUGACCGCUUACGUUGGAUUUUAUGAGGUCUGCUCUCCUAAGCAUGGAGAGUGCGUCUUCAUAUCAGCAGCAUCUGGUGCAGUUGGUCAGCUUGUGGGGCAGUUUGCAAAGUUAUUGGGUUGCUAUGUCGUCGGAAGUGCUGGAAGCAAAGACAAGGUAUGUAAUCUGUGUGAACUACUUGAUUGUUUCCAUGUUACUUUCAAACAUUUAAAUUAAAAAGGAAAUUUUCAUAAUCUUGCCUUUUCUAUGAUUUUCAACACCAAGGUUGAUCUACUGAAGAACAAGUUUGGGUUCGACGAGGCAUUUAACUAUAAAGAAGAAGCUGAUUUGAAUGCAGCAUUGAAAAGGUUAGCAUCAAUAAAUGCCUUAGCUUGAUGCAGCUUGAUGAAGUAUGAUACACAUUUCUGACCAAUAUACUGCGUUCCCUGAUCUCUUACUUGAAAUAUCUUGGUUUGAGAAUCUCAUGCCAAUGCCUUUAACAUUUUGGCAGGUACUUUCCUGAAGGAAUUGAUAUAUAUUUUGAAAACGUUGGUGGAAAAUUGCUUGACGCAGUGCUACCCAACAUGAAAAUCCGUGGUCGAAUUGCUGCAUGCGGUAUGAUCUCACAGUACAAUCUUGACAAGCCUGAAGGUGUGCACAACUUGAUGUAUCUUGUUUCGAAACGGCUUCGAAUGGAAGGAUUCAUUGUUCUGGAUCACUAUCACCUCUAUCCAAAGUUUCUGGAAAUGAUCAUUCCUCACAUCAAAGAAGGGAAGCUUGUAUACGUCGAAGACAUGGCUGAAGGUCUGGAGAGUGCUCCGGCAGCUCUCAUCGGUCUAUUCUCUGGCCAGAAUGUUGGGAAACAGGUGGUUGCUGUUGCUCCUGAAUGAAGAACAAGUUAGUGUUGUGUGUUCUUUUACCCUUUGACACAAAACUUCAAUGUUAAAGAGAGAAUGCUGCUCAUACUGCUUUAUAAAAUAAUCAAAUGAGUGCAAGUUUCAUGAUAUGUGCUGAAUAAAAAUAUUGGAAAUUAAGCAGCUAGCCUAGCUCCUUCUUGUAGUUGCAGUUUGAAUGAUGCUGCUGCACAACUGCUGCCGAAAAAAUCCUUAAUAGAUGAUUAGCAAGGUUUCAAAAAUAAAAAUAAAUGUUUGUGCAAUGUGCCGAAUAUGACAGCCACAAAGAAAGAGCAUACAAAUUGACUGGUUUUAUGUCUUCUCUAGGAGAAAGCUACAAUACAAGAAAUUGUAUUGAUGCCAUGGACCAAAUUUCUUAUUUAAACUUUUAAUUUUUUUUUAUUAAAAUUACUUAUGUUAUUAUGGUUUAUAUUUUUAGAAAUUCUUUAGAAAUUAAUACAGAACUAGUAGCAAGUUGAGAAAUCUAAUGAAUGGUCGAGAUAUGAUCAUGUUUAUUGAAUUAAAUUGACAAUCAUCAUUUUGAUAAAUUAUUGUUAGGAUAUUUGAUUCAUCACAGGUGUAAGUAACUAAAUGUGCUAAAAAAAAAGUUAAUGAGUUGUGAGUGUUUGAUAUUCGUUUGUUGUAAUUCUUUUAAUAAUUGUUGUGGGAAAAAAAUUAUGGUAAAAAAAUUAUAAUUAUAAAAUAAAAAUUAAUAAUAUAUUAUAAAUAAAAUUUUUAAAUAAUAAUUUUAAUAAAAUAAUAAAUAUAUUAUGAAUUUUUCAUUAUAAAUUUUUAAGUUAAAAUAAUAAAUAUUUAUUAAAUAUUUUAAUAGCACAACUUUUAAAUUAUAACAGUACAAUGUAAAUACCAGAGGUCUUAAAAAAUAAAAUUACAGUCAAGUUUUAAAACUGUUAAUAAUGCUAUUCAUAAAGGCGCUCGUCGUGUAAACAACACAUGGGACCCAACCAAUAAAUGUUUAUGAUCCUCAACUUUCCUCCUCACCGUCCCUGCAAACAAUUCUGAUUUUCUUGUCUGAGAAAAAAACUGAGAAACAAUGGCGGCCGAACAAGAAGCUGUGAGCAAUAAGCGGGUGAUUCUAAGCAACUAUGUGACAGGUUUUCCAAAAGAAUCGGACAUGAAGAUAACAUGUGGAUCAAUAAAACUGGAGGUAGCAGACGGUUUAAAAGACACGGUGCUUUUGAAGAAUCUUUAUAUUUCUUGUGAUCCUUACAUGCGAGAGCGUAUGAGCAAGCUUGAUAGACCUUCUUUUGUUGAUUCAUUCCAUCCUGGUGAGGUUAGUUCAUCACGACCCAUCUCUUGAUUUUUUUUUUUUUUCAUUUGCUUCAAGUUUUGAUGAGUUUCUGAGGUCAUUUGUACGGUUUUGGAAUGUGAACACUAUUAGUGAUUUUGGGGCUGUAACUGUCAUUAAUGAUAUGUAGUAAUUCAAUCAGAAUUUGGAUUUAGUGCUGAUAUGAUCUCUGCUCAUUUUUUAAAAUCUUGUGUCCAGAUGCAUUUUUAUAAUCUUGUACGGUUGAGAUUGUAAGUAGAUUAAUCUACGUGCAGUAUUCUUGUCUAAUGACUACUAACCACAACCUUAUGAGACGAUCGAAACCAAGCUCAGAUCAAUAAUCCAAUUGAGAGAGGGUCCUAACUCAAGCUUAUCGUGUGUAGGAAUAUUUCGGUUAAAUUGUAAUUCUUUUAAUAAUUGUUGUGAAAAAAAAAAAGUUAUGAUAAAAAAAUUAAUAAUUAUAAAAUAAAAAUUAAUAAUAUAUAAUAAAUAAGAUUUUUAAAUAAUAAUUUUAAUAAAAAAUAAUAAAUACAUUAUCAGUUUUUCAUCGUUAAUUUUUAAGUCACAACCACAAAUAUUUACUAAACACUUUAACACCAUAAUUAACACCACAACUAUUGAAUUAUAACUGUACAAUCUAGACGCCAAGAGGCCUUAGUAUGAAAAAAAAAAAUUACAGUUAAGUUAAAAUUCAUCAUACAGAUGUGCCACUUUCAUACUAUACCGGGAUCCUCGGUAAUGAUUUUUGUUACACAAUAAGAUUUGCUUAUAGUAAUAUCAAUACAUAUGCUGCUUAAAUGCUUUCUGAUUUUUUGCCGGCCAUUGUCCAUUUUGCCAGGGAGUCUAUAAUUGAAGGAAUUUACUGAAGGAAUGCUGAUUGUUGGGAAUUUGAUUAUUCUAGGUAUGCCUGGUGUAACUGCAUACGCUGGUUUAUACGAAGUUUGCUUUCCGAAGAAAGGAGAGUAUGUCUAUGUAUCUGCAGCAUCUGGAGCUGUUGGUCAGCUUGUUGGACAGUUUGCAAAAUUAGCUCGUUGCUAUGUUGUUGGAAGUGCAGGAAGCAAAGAAAAUAUAGCACCGUGCCUUCUAGCAGAAUUUUACUUGCUUUAUGUUCCAACUAAGCAUCCAUAUUUGAUCAUGAUAAUUAGCAAGGUCAAUAAUUUUUUUUUGACUAUUUUUUCAACGUAAGGUCGAUUUGUUGAAGAACAAGUUUGAACGAUGCUUUUAACUACAAGGAAGAGCCUGAUUUGGAUGCAGCACUCAAAAGGUCAGCUGCAACAAACGUUUCAACUCUAAUAUUUCAUUUUAAUAUUACAGAGCUUUGGUUGAAGUGUGUGAGUUGAUCCCAGAAACGUAACUUCAUCAGUGUCUCUGUUUUCAAAAAACAGGACAAAUAGAAAUCUGAUUUUGCUUUAAAAUUUCCCAGAUGCUUCCCUCAAGGAAUCGACAUAUAUUUCGAAAAUGUUGGGGGAAAGAUGCUGGACGCAGUGCUACUCAACAUGAGGCUCCGGGCCGCAUUGCAGUAAGCAGUAUGAUCUCACAGUAUAACCUGGAAAAACCCGAAGGCGUUCACAACUUAGAGCAACUGAUCGGGAAACGGAUUCGCCUGGAAGGAUUUCUAGCUGGUGAUUACUAUCACCUCUAUCUGAAAUUCUUGGAACUGGUCAUUCCUCCAAUCAGAGAAGGAAAGAUGCUGUAUGUGGAAGACAUGGCCGAAGGACUCGAGAAAAUUUCUCGUAACUGCUACACAUUAAACGCGUUUCACAUUUCCACUCUCUUUCUAUAAAUAAAUACGCACAUAAAAUUUCUCACCAUCCAAAAACAAAAUCUACAUAAAAAAUGGCGGGUGAAGAAGCAGUGAGCAACAAGCAGGUGAUUCUGAGCAACUACGUGACAGGGUUUCCCAAGGAAUCAGACAUGAAGAUAAUAACAGGCUCAAUAAACCUUAAGGUGCCAGAGGGUUCAAAAGACACAAUGCUUUUGAAGAAUCUUUAUCUUUCUUGUGAUCCUUACAUGAGAGGACGUAUGAGCGAGCUUGAUAAGCCUUCGUUUGUUGCCUCAUUCGAGUCUGGCGAGGUCAGUUACUUCAAUUCCCAUCUCUUGGUUUCAUAAUCUUUUAUGGUUUUAGAAGGUGUUUUAGGGAAACAUUGUGGUUUUGGUUAGUGGGCAUGAGUCUUUGAAGAGAUUAUAAUGUGUAGGACUAUGCAUGCAAUAAUAAGCAUAGGGGAUCUUGUUAGGAGAAGAUUCUCUUAGCAAAAUAAAAACUUUUAUCUUAUCAAAACAUAUGCAGGGAACUUAGUUAUGAUGUCAUGUUAGCAUUAUCUCUGAGGAUUUGAUUUCUUGAUGGGGAAAGGGGAAUUUAAGGUUACAUUAUUCAGCAAUGUUUUUUUUUUAAAAAAUUAUGUUCAAAUUAUGCAGCCUUUAAGCGGAUAUGGAGUGUCCAAAGUGUUGGAUUCCACGCCUCCAAAUUAUAAGAAAGAUGACUUGGGUGGCGUUUGUUUUUUAACUUAAUGACUUAAAGUGACUUAACUUAAUUAAUUAAGUUAAUUAGAGAUGUUUGUUUUUAUAACUUAAUGUGACUUUUUAAAUAAUUUUGACUUAAUAAAAUAAGCCAAUUUUAUUUACUUUUUACUUAAUAGAGACAUCUGAAUUAAGUCAAGUACUUUCUAAUGUCAAAAAUAUACAUGCUUUAUAAUUUAUUUUUCAUGUCUAUCCCAAAACUCACCCAUAGACAUUUACCCCACAUAAUAAUCUCAUCAUUAUUUUUUUAGCCGUCAUGAAAUCCCUCCUCACUUUGGUAUCAACUCCUCAACUAUUGAAGAUCAAAAUUACAUGCGACAACUUCGAGAUGAAUGGCAAAUCAACUGUUUCAAGCAUCUUAUUCGUUUUUUUUCUUUUUUAUAUUAUAUACGAUAAAAUUUGAAAUUUAUGGUAUUUUAUAUAUUAAAAUUCCAAAAUCAUUAUAUAUUCACUUGAAUAUAGUUUUACUUAUAAAUGUUAAAAUAUUGUGAUAUUUAAUAUAUUAUUUAUUUGACAUUCAAAUUUAAUAAGGAUACAAAUGUAAAAGUACAUAUUUUUCAGUUUUUUAAGUUGAAAAAAGCAAACAACUUAAUAAUUAUUUUUCGAGAUUCAGACGAAAAAACAAACAUAUUAUUCAGAUUCAGACAUUCAGAUCUAUUCAGAAUUUAGACUAAUUCAGGUCUAUUCAGAUUUCAGAUAAAAAAACAAACGCCACCUUGGUCCGGGGCUUAACCAGUUGGGAGGAGUUCAGUCUCAUCCAAUCACCACAACUUCUGAUUAAAAUUCUGGAUACAAGUGUGCCUCUGCCAUAAUUAAUUGACAGGUUGCUAUGUUGUUGGAAGUGCCGGAAGCAAAGAAAAGGUGAGUUUGCACCCUUAACCCUUACGCUCUAAAUAAAAACAUAACACCUUCUGAAAGAAUUGUGCAUAGAGAAUUUUGCAUGUCACAUUAUUUGUGUUCUAACUAAUCAUGGAUAUUUGAUCAUUAGUCUAACUAAAACUGACAUAUUACCACCUAGUUGACUGGUCUUUGAGAAAUGUUAGUUGAUAUAUGCUUGAAAUCAUACUUGUUUUAUUAGAUGAUUAUAUUAACCUGCUUCUUUUUCUUUGUGCUGUUUCUCGUUUGAUUACAUUUUCAACAUUAGGUCGAUCUAUUGAAGCACAAGUUUGGGUUUGAUGAUGCCUUUAACUAUAAGGAAGAGCCUGACUUGGAUGCAGCUCUUAAUAGGUUAGCACGAAUGAAUGCUUUAACCAUUUUUCUCACUUCAUUAUUACAAUGCGCUGAUUGAAGUAAUCAGUGUUGGCUCUGAAAAUGUAACGUAUACUUCUCUGUUUUCAUAAAACAGGACAAACAGUGAUCAGUGAUCUCAUUCGUUACAUUGAUAUUUUCUACCAUUGCCAUACAUAGUAUAAACUAGGAAUUCAGUUGCUUAAUAGAUAUUCAUUUCAGAGGGAAAUUUUCACUUGCAGCUAACAGAAUCAUGUUUGUGAUGUAUGUUUAUUUGGGAAAUGAAAGGAUUUGUUGCAUUAUUUUAUUCCAAGUUUGCUGAAAUCAUAUUUGUUUUCCCAGGUGCUUUCCUGAAGUUAUCGACAUCUAUUUCGAAAAUUUUGGAGGUAAGAUGCUUGAUGCAGUGCUACUCAACAUGAGAAUUUGUGGCCGCAUCGCUGUAUGCGGAAUGAUCUCACAGUACAACUUUGAGAAGCCUGAAGGUGUACACAACUUGAUGCAAGUAGUUGGAAAACGAAUUCGCAUGGAAGGAUUUCUUGCCAGUGAUUUCUACCACCAAUAUCCAAAAUUCUUGGAACUGGUUAUGCCGGCAAUCAAAGAAGGAAAGUUAGUAUAUGUCGAGGACAUAGCUGAAGGCCUCGAGAAAGCUCCAUCAGCCCUAGUUGGGAUAUUCACAGGUCAAAAUGUUAAAAAACAACUGGUUGUAGUUGCUCGGGAAUGAUAUGAUUACUAUAUGCUUUAAAAAGUGGACUUUGCCAUGCACUUUAAAAGCUUAGUGAAGAUGCCUUUGUCUUAUUUUUGAUACAUGUUAUGUUUGUUUGAUCAAGUUGUACUCAGCUAUAAAUCAAAGAUUCAGAACAUGUGUAUGAUACUGGUUUCUAAAUCAAUGAACGCGUUGAAAUGUUAGUGUUUUCACAGGAGAAUGCAAUUUAAUUCAUCAACAAUGUCCCAACAAGACCCUCAGAGCUGUAGCUUGUAAAGUUAAUUACGAUAUUUUUUUGUAAAGUAAAUUACCAUAUUUUUUUCUUUCCAAUAUAUUGCUUAUUUCAUAGAAAGUUUACAUUAAAGUCUCAUGUUUCUUUGAAAGGUAAGCAAGUGUGAACGUUUCAAUCUAGAGCUGGAAAAUGCAUUUCCGGGCAACUUACUUGAUACAUGAAGUUUUCAUCUCUGACCUUGAUGUUUCCCAUAGUUGCAUUCAUUUCAGCUGAUCUAUUUAAUUUUGUUUUCGAAGGAGUGACACAAAAUCUCCUUUGUUAAGGGGAGAAUUUAGAGUGGCUUUGACUGUUAGCAAAUAGCCUAAUGUAAGACUUAACCAACUUCCUGCCCUGUUGUAUGCUUAUGAAUUUUGAUAGAGCUAAGAGUUUGCAGAAGCUACUGUAUUAUUUGUCGUUAGAGGCUGUAAAAAUCAAACACAUUUAAAUUUCAAUGAAAAUUUACUGGAAGUAAAUUUCCUAUGAUCCCACAGGUGACUAAUUAAUGAGAACUUGACAAUGACAAAAGAAAGUCUAUGAACUUUGCAGGCUGGCAUGCCAAUAUUGACUGGGUGGCACCAUCCACCAUCUGCAAGUGAAUAUCAUUGUUGUUUAAUCAACAAGGUGGAGUCCACUGGGACCACACCACAUCGUCAGCCUUAUCUCUAUUCCUCAAUUUUCAGUAUUCCAUACAUCAAACCAAUUUCAGUUUUGUUAUCAAUUAUAAUUUUAUUGUUGGUGACGAUUCUGAUUCCUUUCUGACAAAAGGGAACCAUGGCUGCUGCUGGAGAGAUCUUACUCAACGCCUUCUUUCAGGUACUGUUCGACAGGUUGGCUUCUCGUAAUUUGCUCAGCUUUGUGCGUCAACUCCAAGGCGGGGUUGAUUCGGAGCUCAAAAAGUGGGAGAAAAAGCUGAAGAUGAUUCGGGCUGUGCUCUGCGAUGCAGAGGAGAAGCAACUGACUGACGAGGCUGUGAAGAUGUGGCUGGACGAACUCCAAGACUUGGCUUAUGACGCUGAGGACACUCUUGAUGAGUUUGCUACUCAAGCUUUGGAAAGCAAGUUGAUGGCGCAAAAUCACGAUAGUUCUGGCCAGGUUCUCAGUUUCAUCCCGGCUGGUUUGAAUCCGAAUGCUAUUAUGUUCAAUUAUAGCAUGGGGUCCAAGAUGAAAGAUAUUACUAGCCGGCUGGAGCAACUCUGCCAAGAAAGAAUUGAACUUGGACUGCAACGGAUUACCGGAGAGGCAUCAUCAACUGCUGCUGCUGCACACCAGAGGCCACCCAGUUCGAGUGUCCCAACAGAACGUGAAGUAUUUGGAAGAGAAAAAGAUAAGGCCAAAAUUCUUGAUAUGUUAUUAGCCGAUACCAUAAGUGAUCAUGCUAACUUUGUUGUAAUACCCAUUGUUGGCAUGGGUGGGAUAGGAAAAACAACUCUCGCUCGGGAGGUUUACAAUGACAAAGCCGUUGGAGGUUCCAAGUUUGAUGUAAAAGCAUGGGUUUGUGUAUCUGAUGUCUUUGAUGUUUUGGGCAUCUCAAAGGCACUUCUCGAGUCAAUCACCCGCAGGCCUUGUCUUCUAAACAGUUUAAAUGAAGUGCAGGUUGAAUUGAAAGUAGCUGUGGAUAAGAAAAGAUUCUUGCUGGUCUUAGAUGAUGUUUGGAACGAGGACUACAGCUUGUGGGUAGACUUAAAAGCUCCGUUCCUGGGUGCUGCACCAAACAGUAAGAUGAUCGUCACCACACGCAAUUCAAAUGUUGCAUCAACAAUGGGACCAAUUGAACAUUACAAUCUCAAGAGUCUGUCAGAUGAUGAUUGCUGGUCCAUUUUCAUAAAGCAUGCAUUUGAAUCUAGAGAUCUUAACGCACAUCAAAUUUCAGAAUCAUUCCGCAAGAAAGUUGUUGCCAAGUGUGGAGGCUUGGCCCUGGCAGCAAAAACACUCGGAGGCCUUCUGCGUACGACGAGGCAUGAUGCGUGGGAUGAUAUAUUAGAGAGCAAAAUAUGGGAUUUACCUCGACAAAGUGGGGUUCUCCCAGUAUUAAGAUUGAGUUACCAUCAUCUUCCUUCUCAUUUGAAAAGAUGUUUUGCUUUUUGUGCCAUCUUUCCAAAAGAUUAUGAAUUCACUGAGAAGGAGCUGACUUUCUUAUGGAUGGCUGGAGGUAUUAUUCGACAGUCAAGAAACAAUGAGCAGCUGGAAGAUUUGGGCAGCAAGUGCUUUGGUGAUCUAGUGUCGAGGUCAAUUUUUCAGCAAACAGCAAGCUCUGAUAGUUCUAAAUUUGUAAUGCAUGACCUUAUUCAUGAUCUUGCUGAAUUGGUCUCUGGAGAAACCAUAUUCAGGUUAGAGGAGGCCAAUACUCUGUCAAGAAGAUUUGAAAGGGUUCGCCAUUCUUCCUAUGCUUGUGGUGGAUGUGAUGGUAAAAAUAUGUUCGUGGUUUUCAAUGAAAUUGAACAUCUACGAACAUUCUUGCCAUUACGCUUACGCAUAAGAGGUGGCUCUAAUACUAGUUACAUAACUCGUACGGUUCUAUCUGAUUUGCUGCCGAAGUUCAAAAUGUUGAGAAUGCUAUCUUUACAAGGAUACCGUAUUGGUGAGUUACCAAUUCCAUUUGAAGAUUUGAGACUACUAAGGUUCCUCAACCUUGCUGACACUGACAUAAGAAGUUUACCUGAGUCAACAUGCAAAUUGCUGAACUUGGAAAUUUUGAUAUUAAGAAAUUGUUCCUAUUUGAUAAAGCUUCCGCAGAAAAUGAGGAAUUUGAUCAAUUUACAUCACCUCGAUAUAAGAGGUGCGAAGUUGCUGAAGGAGAUGCCAUUCGGAAUGAAAGAGUUGAAGAAGCUUCAAACAUUGUCCAAUUUCAUCGUGGGCAAGGGCGAAACUGCAUCUGGUUUGGAAGAUUUAAAAUGUUUAAACUUUCUUGGUAAUGAACUUUGCAUUGCUGGAUUAGAGAAUGUGAAUAAUCCACAGAAUGCAAGAAGAGCCGCAUUAUGCGAGAAGCUCAAUCUUGAAGCAUUGACUCUAGAAUGGGGGUCUCAAUCUGACAGUCCUCGAGAUGCAGUACCAGAAGAGAAUGUACUUGACACUCUACAGCCGCAUAAACGUAUAAAAGAGCUGGCAAUCAGACACUAUGGUGGUGCAAGAUUUCCACUUUGGAUCGGAGAUCCUUCAUUCUACGAGAUGAAGGUCCUUAAAUUGGAGAACUGUGACAAUUGUGUAUCUUUGCCGUCGCUUGGCCUGAUGAGUUCACUUAAGCACCUUGCUGUUAAAGGGCUGAAGAAACUAAAAAGCAUAGAGUCUGAGGUUUAUGGGGAGGGUUUCUCAAUGCCUUUUCCGUCACUGGAGAUUCUAAGUUUCGAGAAUUUGCCAGAAUGGGAGCAUUGGGACACCGAGAUCAAAGGAAAUGCGCCUGUUGAUUUAUUUCCUCGUCUCCAAGAACUUUCCAUUGCAGAAUGUCCCAAACUCUCUGGACAACUGCCUGAGCUCCUGCCUUCCUUGAAGACACUUGUUGUUAGUAAAUGUGAAAAGUUGGUAGUUCCAUUGUCUUGCUAUCCAAUGCUUUGCAGAUUAGAAGUUGAUGAGUGCAAAGAACUAGUCUGCCGGACUCCGAUUGAUUUUAAGUUGAUAAAGUCCAUGACUAUUUCAAAUAGUUCAUUAGACAUGAAUGGACGCAAGGGGAUGUUAUACGAUGGUCCAGCUGGCUCUUCACUGCCAAACCCCAUGACUACUACAAAUGUUUUAGAGUUUGGAAAAUUAUUGAAGCCUGGAUUUCAGAUAUUCGAAACUUUGGUAAUUGGCAAUUCUGAACAGCUCAAGUUAUGGAGGCAGCAUGGGGAUUUUCCGAAAAAAUACAUGGUCACUGACCAUGGGUUCAAGAAACCAGUACGAGGGCUGAAUAUGCUCGCUUCCCCUGAAGAGGUAACAAUUGAAGAAAGUUGCGUACGUCUUGUUUUGAUUCCAGAGAUCAAUUUCCUUCUCAGAAAUCUGCGCUCUCUUAUAAUUAACAACAGCACUGCUUUCAAAUCCUUACCCGAGGAAAUGAUGGAAAACAAUUCACAACUCGAAAGAUUGUAUAUCAGAGAUUGCGACUCUCUAAUAUUCAUCGCAAGACGGAGGCUACCAGCAUCUCUUAAAAGGUUUGAGAUAGGAAAUUGUGAGAAAUUGCAACGUCUGUUCGAUGAUGAAGAGGAUGCUUCUUCUUCUUCUUCUCCUUCAUCCUCGUCUUCCCCAGUGAUGCUGCAACACCUGAGUAUAGAGAACUGCCCAGAGCUCACCAGUUUAUCAUCGGGUGUCCAAUUCCUUGAGGCGCUUGAAGACCUCGUGAUACAGCAGUGUCGAAAGCUGGAGUCAAUACCGGAUGGCCUGCCCAAUCUUAAAUGUUUACAGAGCAUUAAUAUACGGGAAUGUCCAAGUCUUGUUUCCUUAACAGAAAGAGGGCUUCCCAACACCAUUUCAUUUGUUUACAUUUGCAGAUGUGACAAGCUCGAAGCCUUGCCCAAUGAUUUGCACAAACUCAGCUCUCUUCGAGAAUUAUUCAUACAGCUCUGUCCAAAUCUUGUAUCGUUUCCAGAAGAAGGUUUUCCUACCAAUCUAACAACACUUGUAAUUGGAGAUUUCAAAAUGUAUAAGACACUCGUCCAGUGGGGGUUGCACAGGCUUACCUCUCUUAAACGCCUCUGGAUUGCUGUACGUGAUGAUGAAGCAGAGUGUUUUCCAGACGAGGAGAUAGGAAUGACGCUGCCCACCUCUCUCACUGAUCUGCACCUUUUUGAUUUCGAAAAAUUGAUAUCUCUGUCUGCGACGGGUUUUCAGAGUCUCACCUCUCUUCAGAGUUUGUGGAUCGGGAAUUGCCCGAAUCUCACAUCAUUUCCAGAGGUGGGCCUUCCAUCCUCACUUUUGGGCUUAGACAUUAGAUAUUGUCCAAAGCUUAAAACAGCGUGCAAAAGAGAUGAAGGAAAAGAGUGGUCCAAAAUUGCUCACAUCCCUCACGUUGAGAUAGACGGUAAAUUCAUAUACGAUCCAGAAGCAGAGGAGUAGGUUCUACUAUUAAGGUCAGUUGAUUUGUAUUAUCCGCUAUAACAAGCUCCUCCUUUUUUAUUUUUUUUAAAAAUAAUAAUUUUGCAGUCACUCACGUGAUUCCGUUUUCACAAGUCAGAUUGUAUGUUGAGGCUAUUUGCCUUUUAAUCGCAGAUUAAAUUAUAACACUUAUCUUAAAAUUUAAUACCAUACACAGAUAGACGAUUUUUUAAUCCAAAGUUUUUUUUAUUCACUUCAGUUAGCAUUUUUUUUUUCCCCAAAUCAUGCAAGCCGAGAGUUUCAAUCAAGAAUUGGAGGAUGUGAAUGGGAUUUUUGUGAAAGAGUAACAUAAUGGAUGAACGAACAUUUCAUAUGUGAUCUCAAAGUCAACAGAAUUUUAUUCACUCGUUGACUUUUCAACUGCUGUGGUUAUUUAUGGGUGAAAGAUAAGGGCAAUUACAAAAAAUUUGCAAAAUUUGUCAAUUUCUUAGAUGGUAGAAAUUGGAGUAUAAUAUUUUGGAGCAAGCAUACUUGAAAUUUCUGUCUUCAAUAUUUUGAUGCUUUCUUAUCCCAUGCACAAAAGUACUAGAAAAAACUAAUAACAACUAACCGAAAAUCCCAGGCGUCAUAUUCCUUUUUACCGCGUUUUAAAAUGCACAACAAUGAUAUUCUUACAAAUUUGCAAAAUUUGUCAAUUUCUUAGAUUUCAGAUAUUUUAAUGCUUUUUUUAAUUUUUGAUCUAGUAAAAAUACAUAGCCUUCACCGGCAGGAUUCUAGUCUUGGCUUUCACCUCUCUAACUCAUCUGUUCCCAUUGGGAUUCCAGAAGCUAGAAAAAUGUGUAGUUUUCAGAUAAGGAGGCUUGUCAGUUCUCUAGUAAGAAUCCAAUGAUUUGCUUUUGAACGUCCAUCUAAUUUGUGGAUCCUUGCAUCAGAAUUUGAUCAAUCCAAAAGGAAUUGCUUUUAGACAGAAGAAGAAUAGCAGCACCUAGCCUACCCGCAAACCUGAAACUAUUAGAUUGAGGUAAAAAAAUCAUUGACCCUCACAUGUUAACUUCUUCUAGUUACUUUCGUUGGGAAAAAAAAAAACAUUUAAGGAAUUUGCAAUUUGUUGUUAGUUAUGGUAUCUGAUGUUCUUUUCUGCUUUAGCAUUUGUAGAAUCUACUGUAUUAUGUGUUGGCAGUUGCCGUAUCUGAGGUAACUUGCCUUUAUUUGUUUGCUUCUGACUUAAGGACACCAACAUUUGCCAGAGAUUUAGAGAAUCAUCUCAAAACACUUAGCAAACUUGACAAACUUCAAGAUGCACUUGCCCCCACGCCUUAUUCUCAACAACGCAAAACUUGUGAGUACACCUAUGCCUGCAAUUAUUGUGAAGUGUUCGCAAUUCUGAUGCAGAGAAAUGGUUUCUUGAUGCAAAGUAUUAAACUGUUAAGAUUUAUCCUGCAGGCUUGUUAGAUGCUGGAUACGCGAAAAGCCAACAACAUCAAGAACUGCAACUCCAAGACCAGCUUUGCGUUAAUUCAGUCAGCUGUAAUAAUGAUGCAAAUGACACUAUAUCAAGCUGGACUUAGAGACUAGUCAGAUAAAUCAUCCAUUUCAUCAACGGUUAAUGUCAUGAUGGUGGCUAUCAGAGGAAACAAAAGAUGUGUCGGAAUCUAUACAAACAUUGAGAAGCAUGAGAGGAGCUUUGAUUUUGAGUAGGGUCAAUGAACUCAUAUUGGUAAGUGGUAAUUAAAGAAACUUUGUAAGCUUAGUAGAGUUUCAGUAUUUUCUGUUUGGAGUAUAGUUGAUAAGUUGACUCUGUUUAAGAAGCCCGAUUAUAGUAGCUGACUGUAUUAACCUUUUUUUUUUUUUUUUUGGGUCUGCUGUUGUUUUUGGUUUCGAUUAUUUUUUCAACAUUGGGUUGAUCUGUUGAAGAACAAGCUUGGGUUUGAUUAUGCUUUAACUACAAGGAAGAGCCAGACUUGGAUGCAGGCGUUAAGCUUUUAAUGGGUAAGAACAAAUGAAUGCUUUAACUAUGUUUCUCACUUAUUAAAAUGCACGGAUUGAAGGCAUCUGGGUUGAUCCUGACAAUGUGAUGGAAAUACUUCUCUGUUUUCAUAUAACAGGACAAAUAGAGAUCUCUGAUCAUGCCUGAAUUUUUGUUGCAUUGAAAUUUCUACCAUUAUCAAACAUAGAAUGAACUAGGGAUACAUUAGCUUAAGACUAAAUUUUGAGAAGGAAGUUUGUACUUGCAGCCUAUAAAAUCAUGUCCAUGUUGUACGUUUCUUUGGGAAAUGAAAGAUUCUGUGUGUUCUUUUAUUUCAAGUUCACUGAAAUCACAUUUGUUUUCUCAGCUGCUUUCCAGAAGGUAACAACAUCAAUUUCAAAAAUGCUGGGGCAAGAUGUAUCAUGCAGUGCGACUCAACUUGAGAAUUCCUGGCCACAUUACCCGUAUGUCUAAUGAUCGCACAGUACAACCUUGAGAAGCUUGUAAUGAGUACACAACUGGGUGCAAGUAGUUUUGAAAUGAAUUUGCCUCAAAUGAUUUCUUGCCGGUGAUUAAUAUAACCUCUAUUCCAAAAUUCUUGGAACUGGUCAUACUAGCAAUGAAGGAUUGCAUACAUUGAAGACAUAGCUGAAGGCCUUGCGAGAGCUCUGUCAGCCCUUGUACCGGAAAACAGCUGGUCGUAGUCGCUUGUGAAUGAUAUGAUUAAUAGAUACUGCAAAAAUGAAUUGUGCCAUACAUUUUCAGCGCUCUGUGAAGAUGUCUUGGUCAUUUGUUUGAUGCUUGUUUGAUUUAUGUUGUAUUCAGCCAUAAAUCAGAGAUUCAGAACUUGGGUAUGUUUCUGGUUUCCAAAUCAAAAAAUUGCCUUGUGAUGUUAGUGUUCACUGUUUUCACAGGAGAUCAGGUUCCUUGUUAAUGAAUCAAGAAGAAGGCAAGCGCAUCCAUGUCCAAGUUCAAAUGUGUCUCCUCUAUUUUCUAUUACCCACUCAUUUAUUUUGAUUUCUUCAUUGUAAUUGAAUUAGUUUUUUAUUCCAAAUUAGUCAAAACCUCGUAGAGUCAUUAAGUUCUUUUAGCAUUUAAAGACAGAACUACGAACCAAAUGAUUUAAGUUCUUCGUUGUAAUUGAAUUUGCUUUCCCAUCUUUAAAGAUAUUAUGUUCUUUUUCACUUUUUCGAUUUGGUUAGUGGUGAUUUCUUAAAGACUCAAUCCAUUUGCGUUAAUACAUUUUUCUUUUGCCUUGAUUUCUGUUUCUUGGGGAGUUUAUACAUAUUCUUAUUUUAUGCUACACAUGCCAUAUACAGAUUCUUAUUUUAUGCUUCACAUGCCACAUGAAAGGUCAAAGCCUUGUGUGUGAUUAGAAUUUACUGGCAUCAUAGUAACUUUAAACCAUUGUGACGUUUUAGUAAUAACAGUCUGAGCUCUCCCUGAAGGAUUCAAAGCAUUUUAUUUUAUAUUAUACUCCUUUAUAUGGUUUGGCUGGUCUCUUUUAAGGCAAUUCCUGUUUAAAGUAAUCAAAAUUUUGAUUUCGAAGUGUCUUUCAACACUACCGCUAGUUCUUUAAGAAAAGUAAAUCGAUUUUGAGUCUUCUGUAUCAUCUGAUUGAAAUACAUGAAAGCACUCUUAGCUGCAAAAGUACACUUGGAGUUAUAAUAGCAUUCUGAAAUCUCCUUGAAGGAUUCAAAAGCUCUUUAUUUGCUAGUCUUUGCUUGCAAUAAACUCCUUUAAUAUACAUUGGUUGAUCUUCUUUAAAGCAAUUACCAUAAGUUCUUUAAAUAAUAAAACGAUUUUGAGUCUUCUGUAUCAUCUUGUUGAAAUACAUGAAAGCACUCUUGGCUGCAAAAAUGCACUUGGGGUUAUAUAUAAAGUCUUCAACAGAAUUUUAUUUCCCCCUUUAUCCUCAUGGUGGUUUUUUUAGUUGUUUUUUAAGAAAUCGCUUGAAGGUUCUCUUUAAAAAUAAUUUUAACAUAAGCAUUCUUUAGAAGCACUUUAGAUGUCUGGCAUUUAGAAAAUUUUGUUCCUGUGUUCACAUAAUAUAAUAUAUAUAUAGAAAGCUGACUGUAGAAUAGAGGAGAACGAGUUGGUGUUGGUCUGAACUCUGAUCUUUGAACCUCAUGUGACUCCACUACUUUUUACUUGUUCUGUACAAGGUCUUUUAGCUUUUCAAAAAGUUUUAGCUUUAUGGAUAAAAUACUGUUAAUUGUAAUCUAUAAAUAAUGAAAGGAAUUAAUAAAAUAUUAGGUAAAUUUUAUUUUCUAAAGUGUUAUGAGUUCUAAAACGGCUGUAUGUAUAUAAAUUUAUUUACACAUAUAUUUAUAAAUAUGAUUAUAUAAUAAUAUUUUAUGUGUACAUAUCAUAAUUGAUAACUAAAAUAAAUAUUUUUAUUUUAUUAAUGGUUUUUUCGUCUCAAUGUAGUUGGUAAUAAUAAUCUCUUUAGAUGUAACGAUUUUAUUUCCUAACUGAAUAAGGAAAAUUUUAGAUUUUUAUAAUAAAUGUUAAAUAUAUUUAGAAUUACAUUAAGUAUGAAAUAAUCCUCAAAAUUAGAUUUUGAAAAGUUAUUCUUUUCUUGCUUUUAAAAAUAUGUCAUAUGAUGAGAUGAUUUUACUAAAAGUGAUUUUUUUAAAAAAAAUUACUAAACAUCAAAAUUAACUCUUAACUUUUUAAAAUCAUUUCUAAUCUUCUCAUCCUAAGUUCUUUAUUGUUUUGUACAAAAUCCAAGGUUUUGACUUUUAUAAAAUGCCCACUCAAAAAUAAAUUAUUUUCUAAUUAAGAUUUGUUGUUAAUGUAUAACUCGAAGUAAUAUUAGAUAUUUGUAAUUUUAUUUCAAAAAUUUUAUUCAAAUGAUAUGGCAAGCAAUGAACAAUAGUUGAUAGCAAUUUGUUUUUUUUUUUAACAAUGUUCAAAUCAAUCAGUUGCAUUAUCUCACCAUUUUUAUGAUGUCAUGUUAUUUUAAAUGAUUUUUUUAAUUUUUAUAUAAAGCAUACGACGUGUUAACAUCAUUUGCAUAACUUGACCUUUUUUUUUUCCUACAAAUAGUAAGUCAAAUUUACUCACCCUAUUUGUACCUAAAAUCUACCUAAAACUCAUGCAUCACUGUAAAGCAAAUCCAAAGAUUGCGGUACGUUUUUCUUGGUAAGAAAUCAAUAAUUAGGUCAAGUACCGCUACUAAGCGUGCUCAAUUAAUUCUAAAAUACGGUGAUCAAACUCAUACUUCACGCAAGAGGAUAAGGGCUAAACCUCAAUUAGGCAUUAUUCAUCCAAAAUUCAUUGACUGGGCAUUCUUUGCAAGUGGUAGCAUGGGACAGCUAAGAUAAUUAGCAAAUGAUAUGGACCAUACGCACCCGUAUGUUUGUGACAUGUGAAUCUUGGCAUUAAAGGAAAGGUAAUGUGUUAAAAUUUAAUAGAGCCCAACUCUUCAUUGAAUGAUUAUCAGAUCCAACGAGCAUCCUUUGAUGGGAUUAUUUUAAGUCAAUUAUUGGUGGAUUGGGGCCCACUUGACUCUACCAAAUCGGGCUCCACCAUAUCACCUAUUAACGACCACCUGUCCUUAUCAUAAAUAGCAAAUGUCACUUGUUUUAUUUUGUAUUUUACCAAAAGCAAAGUCACUACGAGCACUAAUGAAAGUGACCCCAAUUUUGGGGGUCAUGAACUUGGGAUUAUUAUGGACACAAGAGACAAGCGCAAUGUUUCUCAUUUCUCACUAGAUAAGAUUUAAGUUAUCAACCCAAUAUUAAUAAAUUCUGCUUGAAAAGUAAAGUUUGAAGCUUCAUUUUGCGAAUAUUCAAUGGUUAACAUUUAAGGGUGCGUUUGGGAUUGAGGUUGGGCAGCUGUAGCUUAAAAGCUACAGUACUAAAGUGUUUGGUAAACACUAGCUACUGUAGCUUUUAAGCUAUGUUGAUAUAAUUUUUCACUUGUAUAAUAUAAAAUUUAUUAUAUCUUUAAUAAUUUUGAUAAAAUUAUUAUUUAAAAUUUAUAUUUACUAUAUAUUAUUAACUUUUAUUUCAUAAUUACAGCUUUUUUUUCACAGCAGCUGUAGCUUAAAAGCUACAGCACCUCAAUCCCAAACACACCCUAAGUAAUUAACCUGAUAUUAAUCCAAUUAAACUUUUUAUGUAAUCCAAGUCAAACAUAUAUUGAUAAACCUAAAUUAAUCUAAUUGGACAUAUUAUUUCAACUUGAAAAGGUGAAUCUAUCAUUUUUCAAUUAAUUUUGAAUCAAGCUAUGUAAAAUAUAAGCUUAUUAAGGACAUAUUUGAAAAAUUCAAAUUGAAUUAUUUGACAAUUACAUUUCAACUAAGUUGUACUGCUAAUUAACUUCCUCAACUUAAAAUGUAUUUUUCUCAAUUAAUUCGUAACAAAGAAUGUUAGAUGUUUUGUUCGAAUAAUAACAUUCAACAUCCUUAUUCUUUAUGAUUAUUGCAUAAAAAAUAUAUUUUAUCCAUUUACGUCACAUAUGUUCCUAAAUUGUAUAAGAAAAUCACUAAAUUUACUCUUGUAAGUUACUAUAUCAAUGAACAUGAAAUUAACUAAUCAUUAAAGUCUCGGAAUGACAUCAUGAGGGGGAUUCAGUUACAUUUAUUGAUAGGAUUAUAUAUAUACCUUCUCAAAUAUUAGUAAGAGCAAUUAAACAGAUGCAGCAAUUAAAAAUAUGGAAUUACUUAUCUCGUCAAUAACUAACGAUAUUUUUUAUCUAUGCUCGAUAGGCGUCUGAGCUAUAUUAUAAAUUGUAAUAUUUGUAGAUUGUAACAAUUAUUAAAAAAAAAAAAAAAAGCUCCCUAAGACUAAAUGACAAAAGGACUGUUUUGAAAUAGAUAGAUAAAAUAUGCCCUUAUUUGAGAAAAGGUAAAACACUAGGGAUCUAAAUGUUAUUAUAAUCCCAUGCACAAAAAUACCAGAAAAAACUAAUAACAACUAACCGAAAAUCCCAGGCGUCAUAUUCCUUUUUACCGCGUUUUAAAAUGCAACAAUGAUAUCACUACUACAAAAAUGACAUUUACUGACACUUUGUUUCUGACACUUAGUAAAAAGUGUCAGAAAUGGUGUACAUUUGGACCAUUUUCCUCCUUUAACAAGUAUGUAUCAUAAAUCAUUGAUACUAAGGUGUCAGUAGCUUAAAACUCAGUGAUUAUUGAUACUAAAGCAUCAGUGAUAAAAAAAUAAUAGUAUUAAUUUUGUUUUAAUUUGAACUCGAACUCAAGAUCUCUAAACUUAAAAUUUGUAAGUUUAGAGUGCAAACCAUUGAUGCAAGUGUUUUUAAAUUUUCAAUUUGAUUAAUUUUUUUAUUUAAUUAAAUUUUAUACAAUUACUUUGUGGACAAUAAUAAUAAUAAUAAUAGUUUUGAGAAUAAUAUUUUUUAUUUUGCCACAUGUCAGCUUGUAAUUCGUUGUUAAUAAUAAUAAUUUUACUUGACCACGUGUCGACUUAUAGUUUGUUGUUUUAUUAAAUUACAAUGCGAACAACUACACUAUAUAAUUUUUCAAAGUAUAAAAUGAAAAUAAGAAACCCUAAAUCUAACCUAAUCAAACACACCACUUCUUAAGUUGCUGCCGCCGCUCCCCUGCUCCUUGACUUUCACUGCUGCCGGCCGCUGCUCCUCGACUUUCACUGCUGUCGGCUGUCGUUCCUUGACGUCACUGCCGCCUUUGCUCUGCUGUUGCCAAGCUUCAGCCACCGACGACUAGCUAGCCACCUUUCAGUACGUCGCUGCUACCACUUUUAUGCCGUCACAUCAACUUCAGCUCAGCCAGCCACCGUUCCUUUACCGCCGAGAUCAAGAACCAUUUCUUUCUCUUCUCUCUUUUGGUACAGGUAUGAAAAUAUUGCAGAGGAGUUAAUCUGUUAAUUACCUUUCUGUACGUCGCUGCUGUCAUUCGUGUACGUCAUUGCUGCUACUCAUCUUGGUCACUGCUGCCGCUCCUCUGCCGCCACGACAAGCUUCAGCCUUUUUGACAAAACAUUUCACUUGGAAUUAUAAGCAAACCCUUUUGAGACCAUAAAAAACUAAGCCAAUUUCUUUGGUUUCAAGGCCUUGUUUUUUCACUUUGAAAUCGGAUCAUACAAUGACAAGCCAAUUGAAAACUUCUGUUCAAGAUUUCAUUGUUAAAUUCAGCUUUAUUUUUAUUAUUUGUGUUCCUUUCAUUUUCUUUCCCUUUUUUUGAUUUUUAAUUCAAUUUGGGAUUUGACAGAUAUAUUUUUUAAUUUUUAUAAAAAUUUAUCUUAUUUGCAGGAUGCUAAGGGACAGGAUGUUGAUCUUAGCAUCUACAAGGGAAAGGUUCUUUUGAUUGUCAAUCUUGCAUCACAAUGGUGUGCCUCAGCUCCUUUCAUUUUUAAUUUUUUUUCCAUAAUGAUUUAUUGAUUAUUGUUGAUGCUUCCAUUUAAUUAAUGCUAAUACGUGUUAUCUAUCUAUCGGGAGUCUAAAUUUUAUAGAAUUAUAUCAUACUCGGAAGUAUGCAUGCUCCCAAUACAAAUAAGUGUUUAUAAGAGAGGAUUUCACCCAAAAUCUUUAAUUCUUGCAAAAUGCUAGUGGCUCCGUUUGCACAAGUUUAGUUUUCAUCCAUGUUCGUUCCUUUACCAUAGCGGUUCCUUUACCACUGAGGUCAGACACCAUUUCUUUCUCUUCUCUGUUUUGGCACAGGUAUGAAAAUACUACAGAGAAGUUUCUCUAUUAAUUACCUUUUAUGAAAAUAAUAUAUAUAUAUUAUUCACAUGUUUAAUUGAGAACAUCUAAUAAUAUAGUAAUAAUAUAGUGGGCAAACUAUAGGAAGGUUGUUAGUAGACAAUUCUAAUUUUAGCUUUACUUUGCAAAUGAAAGAUUAGAAAUAUUCCGUCGAACCCAUUUUACUAUAUUGGAGGUUUGGGCUAAUCUUGUAUAGAUUUUUGCUCAGAAGAAGGAUGGUUCUCCAAGGGCGGUGGGUUGGUUUUUCUAUAGACUAUUCCCCUAUUUUCCCAUUUUGCUUUUCUUUGAGGAAACCUGGUCCAUUUUUUUUGUGUUUUCUUUCUUCAAUCAAAUAUGUAUUUCUCAAUCUCCUCUCAAAAAAUACCUAUCUCAUUUUAUUAUAUGUUUAUGAAUUACUAAUUGUAUUUUGUUAGUAUUCCAUGUUCGAAGAAGAAUAUUAGAUUGAAGAAAGAAGAAUAUUAGAUUGAAGAAAGAAGAAGUUGUUCCUUUGCUAAUCGUUUGAAACCCAGGUUUGCACUGAAUCUGAUUUUUAUCUUUAACUUUUUUACUUGACCCAUACUUGAAUCAAAUUUUUGCUCCACUUUCCUUUCUUUCGUCAAUUUAAUUAUCAAUCCACUUCAAACCUAAAAAGAUUUAGUAAUUGGGAAACCCUUUUUUUUUUAAAGAAUUGCAAAGUACUGUAAUUGGAAACUGGGUUCAUGUCUUAAAAAGUAACCUGAUUUGUAAUGUUUGGCUUAUAGUGGCCUUCUAUUUCUGUUUUUCAUCUCGGCUUGGUUAAUUUCUUUACUAGUCGUUUAAAUUUUGUUAAUUUUUAUUUUUCCUCUUUAAGCUCAUUAAAUAUCUUUUUUUUUUCAAUUUAUGGCUUUCGGUCCAACUGAUCAUCGUUGAAUGUGGGCACUAUAAAUGUUAUAGUGCUUGUUAACUUAAUGUAUUUGAUCAUAUAUUAUAGUAUUGUUUACUUUAAAUUUAGACAAUGAAAUAGAUUACAAAAAAAAUAACUUAUGCUUGUCAAGUUGUAGACACCAUCGUUCAUGUCAUCAUUACUGAAUAUUGAUGUACUUAUUAAGUGUUCUCUUUAAUACUUGAUAGAAUACUUUUGGUGAAGCAAUUUUGGUAUCAUGAUUGCAGGCUGUAAUUAACUUGGGAACGUGUAGAUUCUACAAUUUCUUUUUCUGAUUCCUUAACUUGCUUCUUUUAAUCCUACUCUUCUAUGUUGAAGUAAUUUAUGAAUAUUUUUGCUUCAAAAUAACUAAGAUAUAUUUUUCACAGUAUACUAAUUGAUUUUAUGCAUUUGUAGGUGGGAAAAAAAUGAAGCCGUGGAUGGAUAUUGAGUGACCUUGUGCUUUUUUUUUUUUUUUUUUGGGUUGGAAACUUAAUUGAGUAGUAGUUAGCACUUGUUGUUUAGAGAUUGUUGAAAAUUUAAUUUGAUACUUAUGUUAAGUCUUUUACAUAUAGUGAUGUAGUUGAAUUGUGUGAAUUUAUGUGAUGUAUUUGAGAUGUUUAUUAUAUGAAUUGUGUUGCAAGAUAUUUAAUAAUAAAUAUAUUUCGUGUUUUCUUUUGGUUGUACAACAAACACGAAAAAUAUAAUUAAAAUAAAAAUAUACUAUUAACCAAAAGCAGUAUAACAUUACUAAAUACUGACACUACAUAUUUAAAAUAACAAUAAGAAUUUUUUAUAUUAUCGAGUCAGUUUCUGAUACUAUAGUCACAUAAAUUACUGACAUGUAAAUAGUAUCAUUAAAUACCAACAUCAUCGUGUCAUUAUUUUAGUGAUACUAUAGUGAAACAAAUUACUGACACAAAAAUUACUGACACCAAAAAUUAGUGUCAGUGUGUUCUGGCUUGAGCAACACUGACACAAUUAACAAGUGUCAAUAAAAGUAAUUACUGACGCUAAAUUAGUGUCAGUAAAACUCAUUUUUCUAGUAGUGUAUUCUCACAAAAGUUGGUACAAAGGUUUGUACAACCAGGGCCUCUUUGUAAAUUAUUUCAAAGUUUUGUGUUAUUUUUUAAAUUUAUGAAUUUUGUUAAUUUUGAUUGAUUGGAGCAUUUCUCCUUCCAUCUCUUCUACAUCUAUCUUUAAAUUUCUUUAAAAUUUUGACUAUAUCUUUAUAGAGUUCUAAAUGAUUAUCUUUUUCAUAAAAAUCUAUACUUAAAUUAAUCCCUGAAUUUAUAAUCAUUUGUCUUCUUUGAGUCAUAGACCAAAUUUUUUCUUCUAACAUAUCUAUAUAUACUCCUAAGCUAUCUUUGCAGCUUAGAUACAUUCUAUCAAAGCUUUCGCAUAUAAAUUGUAAUUUGAGAUCUGCAUCUUGAAUCAACAUGUCUAUAUUAUCCAUUGUUUUACGCUCGAUUUUGAGUUCUAUUAUUAGUCUUGCACAUGUCUUGGAUUAUUUCGAGGGUAGUUAAAAUUGAUUCUAUUAAUGCUAUCCUGUUUUCUUCUUCAAAAGAAUCAAAUAUUUCUGAAUCAUUAAUUUCUUUUAUUUCUUCAUACAAGCGUUUGUUUGUCGCUAAUCUUGUUUUAAUCAAGGAAACUGUAUAAGCAGCUUGAUAUUCUUGACAAAAGUCUAAAUGAUCUAUUGCAUCUAGAAAUUUAUUAAUAGAUCUUUCCAUUUUUAAGAAAUUGAGUUACUCUUAUCACUUCCAAUCUUUUAACAUCUCAGAAAACAAACAAGGCCCAACAUGCUUCCGUUUGUAGCUAAAAUAAAAGAAGAGUUCAUAUCACUAACCAGUGUAAUAUCUCUCGGAAUUCUGAGAUAGACUCACUAAUUGCCUCUAACCAUAGAGAGGUCCAUGGUUAGCACCACUAUAGCUCCACAUAUCAUACAAAAUCACUUCAACGACUGUUCCAUAUGGCCCAAAGCAACACACAGCAGACUGGCCUAAUAGGAUAUGUUUAAGUGAUUUUCUUGCAGUUGUCUCUGGAAGAGUGCUUAGUAAUAGAAAAUCUUCUUCGUUUAGUACAAGUAUUGGCAUGUAAGGUUCUUGGUUAAUUUUUAAAAGAUGUAUAAGAUAUCUAGAAGAUGAUAAUUUCACUCAAAAGAGUUUUAUUUAUUCCAUCAUUGAAAUUGUUUACAGAGGAAGGUUACAGAGAAUACAGAGGUAAUUGAAGGUUAGACAUCUGAUAUAUUUCCUUUCUUACAUGCUUUCAUUUAUAUAUCUCUCUAGAGAUAAGAUUAUUUCUUUUACAUAACACAUGUUCGAUCCUUGUGGUGGAAUCUCAAUUUCCUUUUGAUAAGGUGACCCCUUCUUUAUCAUUGAAGCUAGUAGUUGUCUUCUUUUCAUGUUGGCAGACAUGAAAUAUCUGGUUCUGGUGAGCUUUUUCUUUUUUGGAAUCUGUCUUUUUGAAUUAUUGAUACUUUUUGGAUAGCACCUUUUAUCUUUUUCAGUGGUCCUCGUCACGUGCCAAUUAUCAGAUCUUCAUCUAUAGACAUGUCUUCCCCACUAGAAUCUCUUUUUUUGAUCCUUCGUAGUAGUAGCCACAUGAUGAUUGAUGCUUUAGCACCUUAUAUAUCUCGUGGUGUGUUAGCAAGGUGGAUUCCACGAGAUUUUCGAAUAUGCCCUUUUUCUUUUCUAAUAUGUUAUCCUCAUCUUUAUCAAAUUCACAUUUACAAUAUAAUUCUUUGAAGCUACAUGUAUAUUCUUCUAAAUAACAUAUAUUACAUAUUUCAAGCCUUGUUAGCUUCAUUAAAUUUUCUAUCUGUUUUCUUUUUAUUUCUUGUUGAAAAUCAAUUUCCUAAUCUUCUCCCAAGAAUUUUUUUCUUAUUUCAUUUUUGAAUCUAUUUAAAACCUGAUCAACACUUUCGUUUCGAUUAUUAUUUUCUCCAUACAAUAUUCUAUUUUUAUGGUUAUCAUUUAAUCCCAUAAACCAAUGAGAAACAAUUCCUAUAAACGAAAUUUUAAGGAAUUCUAUACUAUUAUCCCUAUCAAUUUUGUGAAAUGCAAAAGCCAUUUUCAUAGAUUUAACCCAAGCGGUAAUCGUUUUAUCUCUAUCUUUGAUACAGUCUAAAUCUAACCAUACACCAUCAUGGUUGAUUGGUCUUUCUCUAUAUUCUCCUGGAGUUUUAUAAUCUUUUUUAGGCUUGUUAAUCCUAAAAUAUUGACCUUGUAAUCUUUCCUGAGUUGGUAUUUCUUCCCUAACAUAGGAAGCUCCAUUACUAGUUUCUCCUUGUUAAAAACCAUUUGGCUUUGAUUCAUUCAUUUUUAGAUGUUCUAUUCUAUUUUCAAUAUCCUGCAAAUUAAUGACUAUAUCACCUUCUUCUUCGGAUUCAGAUUCUUUAUUAGAUAUCUCUUGAUUAGGUAAUUCUAUGUUUUCACUUAGCAUUCUUAGACUUAUUAAUUUUUUGUCUUUGUUUAUUUUGUUAAAUAUCGGUUUAGAUAUUGUUAUCAUUUCUUUAUCUUUAAGUUCAUUAUAGUAAAUUAUGGUAUCUUGUAAAAUUUUGUUUUGUUUAUUGAUCUUCUGUACUUCAAUCCUUUUGUAAUUUUCCAUUUAUGCUUAUAGCGAAUUUAUUACCAAGUUGUUCAACAAUUUUUUCAAAUUUUUGUAGUUGGAUUUCAAUCUUGUUUGAAUUUAUUUUCAAUUGAACUUUUGUUCAUAAUAUUAAAGAUUUCUUGUUUUAAUCUAUCUUGAUCUUCAAUAUUAAAGUCUUUUAUUAAUAGCUUAACAAAAUCAAAUUCUUCACUCAUUCGCUCUCCUAUCAUUUUGACUUGUCUUAUAUUUUCAGCAUCAAAGCUUUUAAUCUCAAGUAUCUCAUUUAUACUUUCUAUAUCAUCUAUGGUUAAAUUAGGGUUUCCUAAUUUAUUUAAUAAAUAUAAUGAAAUCCAAUUUAAUUGAUUAUUUCCCCACAUAUCGGAAUCAUUUACUAAAUCAAAUGGUUGAAAUCUUCCAUAAGUAAAUCCUCUAUGCCUAUAGCUAGAAGGUGGUAAUAUGUUGGUUUCAAUAUUUUGAGAAAUUAACAAUGGUUUUGGUAAUUUAUUCAUAGUACCAUCUGCAUAAUAUCUCAUUAUAUUCUAAUAAGUAUUUAUGACAUAUAAUAUUUCUUAUAUCCUUAGGGAUAUUGUUUUAUGUUAAUCCUUUAUGUAUAUAGCAAAGUUUAUACAUAAUUAAAUCUUUAUAUCCUAUUAGCAUGUUGCUAGAAGGAUAAUAUUUACUUCUGAUUCUUUUAUUUUUCCAAUUGUAUUCACCUCGUUGUUUAACAUUUAAAAAUCCGUUGUAAUCUAUUAUAAGAUCAUCUACAUAAUCUUCAAUAGAGUUAAUAUUCCAUUGUUUCCAUGAAAAAUUAUUUCUAUAUACUUCUCUCCUGAUCCUAAAGAGAAGAAUAGGAUCAAUAUUUAAAUUUCUAAUUUUUAUUAUGAUGAGUUCUCCAAUUUUAAAUUCAUGAACUCUAACUAAAUAAAACUGUAUUAAUUGUUUAUCAUCCAAUAUAUUAACUUCUGAAUAAUAAUAUUGUUUAUGUUUUGUUAUAUUAUCUUUAAUUGUAUUUCUAUCUAUCAUUAAAUUAUAUCUUCCAUUAUUAAUGGAAUAAAUAACUGUUUCGUCUAUUUUUAUAUUUUAAACCAAAAACUUGGCUCUAAUACCGUUUUGCAGAAAUCAACUAAACCCAAAAUCCAAAUGAAUUCAAAUAGGGAUGUAUAUGAUUAAUUGUUAAGAUUUUAUCUAAAUUUUGUAAUUAUAAUUUUUCAAAACUCACAGUUUUGUGCAAUCAUUUGUGUAAUCCGUUGUGAGAAUGUCUUUUUCCUUGCAUCUAAGGCAACAAAGUGGAAAACGCGUACCAACGACUCACAUAACAAUAUAACAUCUGUCCCGGAUGGAGCCGGUUGUUCAUGUCAGCAACCUACUUUGAAACGACACGUGGACCGCAAUUUGUUCUUGUUCUCAACGUUGCUAUGAAAGAAAGCAUUUUUUUCCCCUUUUCUUCUUCAUUUUUUAAAGAAAUAUUUUACUAUAUAUUUAAAAAAAAAAAUCGUUGCAAUCUGAAGAUAUUAAAUUGUGGAUCUUGUAUUGUGUGAUAAGUCCGGCAUGCAAUUUUGGGCCAGCAUACCGCGCGCAUGGGAGCAUUCACAAAGAAUCUCUCGUCACUAUCGAAAACUUUUAAUAGUCAAUACAAAUGCUUCCGUUUCAUCCCAUAAACAGAUAAAAUUCACAUCUGUACACAUCUACUUUUCUUUGCUAGAUAGAGUUCCUCUGCAUUUCCCAAUUGCCUAAAGAGAAGGGGAAAAGAAAAAGAGGGCCAAAAAAUGCCUGAAAUGGUAAGGAACAAGCAAGUGAUAUUGAAGGACUAUGUGUCUGGUUUCCCAAAAGAAACAGACAUGUACAUGACCGAAAGUUCCAUAGAAUUGAAGGUGCCAAAAGGUUCAAAUGGGGUUCUUUUAAAGAACUUGUUUGGGAGAAAUACGUCGACGAGACCAGGCAUGGUGAGCAUAUAUCUGAUGGCAGAGUUCUGCGAACCGGUGUGUUCCGUAAAAGCCUGGUGCACGGGGGAACAGGAGCAGAAGUAUCCUGCUCGUCCACGAGCACGUCAUCCGCGAGGCCAAUUUCCUGUAAGAGGCAUAAGGUCAUUCCGGCUAGAGGUCGAGAGGCGAGGAGACCCGGUCGACGGCAGUUGGCAAGACAUGCUCCCCAGCCCGAGAAUCUAGGCACGACAGCCACGCUUUCCCCAGAACCGUGGCGUAACACGCAAGAUCUCACAGAACCACGACAGCCACGCUUUCCCCAGAACCGUGGCGUAACACGCAAGAUCUCACAGAACCACGACAGCCACGCUUUCCCCAGAACCGUGGCGUAACACGCAAGAUCUCACAGAACCACGACAGCCACGCUUUCCCCAGAACCGUGGCGUAACACGCAAGAUCUCACAGAACCACGACAACCACGCUUUCCCCAGAACCGUGGCGUAACACGCAAGAUCUCACAGAACCACGACAGCCACGCUUUCCCCAGAACCGUGGCGUAACACGCAAGAUCCCACGUUUGCCCAUAACGCAGCAGUCAGAGUCCCAUACCGUCUCGGAAAAAGCGGAAAACUGGGAUUCAGGGGAAGCCUAUAAAAAGGUAGCCAACGAAGGUAAAAGGGUUGGCAUUUUUGAGAUUAUAAAAGAAAUGAAAAAAGAAGAGAAAACGACGAGAAAGCCAUAAGAUCUGUGGCAAGUGUCCCCCGAACCUUCAUAUCUGACUUGAGCGUCGGAGGGUUUGCGCCGGGAAAACAACCGGCGUACUCUGACUUGUCUGUGUGCGCAGGAACCUCUGGAGAAGAAGCCUCACGUGGAGACCUCCUGGUCGUGAAGAAGUUGAUCGGACAGAGAUCCUGGUCGUAGAACGAGGAGAACCAGAAUCCCGCAUCAACAUUUUGGCGCCGUCUGUGGGGAGUGGAGCAAAAAGCUUCUGUUGAUAGCAAGAAGAGGGGUGAAGCAAGUGAAAAGCAAUGGAGACAGGAGGAAGUAGUGCACAAGGGGGUGAUAGGAUUAACGAUUCCGUGACGCUGAGGGAGAUAGUCAGUGAAGCACGGGAAAAAGUCAUGUUCGACCGGAUGGAACGGAUAGAAAAGCAGAUGGAGACCUUGACAACCAUCCUGCAUGAGCUGCGGAGCGAGCGAAGUAUAAUCCAAGAGGGAAGGGUGAGAGGCGGUGGAGUGGCACCAGGUCCCGAUAGUGCGGGGAGAAGUCAAACCACCGGGAGAUUUGGUGGUGAGAGAGGUAACGUACCUCUGCGGGGAGAAUUUCAUAGAGAAAGAGAGCAGUCCCCGGCAAGACAGACUGGCGACGAGGACGACGGGGUGGUGAAUGCAGAGGAAACAGAGUUGAGGCAACACUUGCAUGAUGUAGAGCAAGAGCGGGAUUAAGUCGCAGCACGUGACCCUGGUCGUGCAGUGCAGCUGGAGGAGGAAGUGCGCAGACUAGCGCAGAUAAUCGACGACAUGCAAGGAAGGAACAGAGCCCCUGGUUGGAGGAUAAUGCUGGAUGGAGAAUCACCGCUCGCAGCAGAGAUCAUGAGGGCAGUUAUUCCGAGAGAUUUCCGCCUCCCAGACCUCAGAUACUCGGGAAGAACUGAUCCGUUGGUGCACAUAGAGCGCUUCAACGACAUAACUAGGGUACAAGGAUUAUCUCAAUCCCAAAGGUGCAGAGUGUUCCCACUAUCCCUUGAGGGACGUGCACGAGAAUGGUACAGGAAACUUCCUCGGGGCAGCAUUAAAACCUUCGAGCAGAUGUGCUAGGAAUUCGCGGAGCAGUUUAGUGGGGCAAUGGCGCCGGAAGAUGACAUGAUGGAGCUGAAAAGCAUGAAACAGGGGGAGCAAGAAACCCUUCGGGAAUUCAUCAAGAGGUUUCAUCGGGCUGUCCUCGACUUGGGAGCCUUCAACCACCCUCAGGCGUUAAGGGGAUUGAAAGAAGGGGUGAAGAUAGGAAGGCUGUGGUACAAUUUGAGAAGCCCAGCUAUUCAAACGUAUGCAGCCGCAUACGAACAGGCUAAGAGAGACAUCGAGAUUGAAGAGGAGAAGGCUGCACGGAUUAAGACAGACCAGUUAGAAGGGCUGGGGAGGAAAGAGAAGAAAGCAUUACCGGGGAAUGGGCCGAUCAGGAGGAGGGACCACCAGGCCUCCGGUAGUGGAGCAGGAGGUCGGGUAGCCGCUUACCAGCCUCAUCAAAGGCCACCACAGUAUCAGCGCAGCAGGGCGCAACCUCCUCGUUCCCCAGCUAGGGAGCCUUGGAAAAGGCAUGAGUCGGCAUCUGGUGGUCUCCAACAACACCCCCACGGUAUCAGAGCGAGCAGACCAGAAGUACUUCCACCGCCCCCAACUCAGAGCGGGGCAAACAGGGAAAGAGCAGUGCACCUGAUCGACCAGAACCCGGACUAUGGGCGGUACACUUCCUUGAAGAUGUCCCUGGAUGAGGUGUACGAGGCCAUAAAGGAUCGAGGGCUGCUACACCUCCCUACACCAAUAACAAAGCUACCUAACAGGAGGGAUAGAGGACGUUAUUGUAAGUUCCAUGGCACCCAUGGCCAUACCACAGCAGAGUGUAGAGAUCUCAAGACCCAGGUCGAAGAUUUGGUGAGAAAUCGGUACCUGGACGAGUUUAUGGAUGGGACUUUCCCGAUGGGGGCCACAACAGGUGAAGGGGAGCAGAGUGGCGGAAACGUGAGGCGCGAGCAGCCCGCAGUAAGGGUGAUAGCUGGGGGCCCGACAUUGGCCGGAGAUUCCAACAGAUCGAGAAAAAAUUAUGCUAGGUACGCCAUGACCAGUAAAGAGGUACUCCUCAACACCCCAGCAGCCAAACGAGCAAGGGUCAGGCAAGUGCCAAUCAUGUGGACGGAUGAGGAUGAGGAAGGGAUUCUAUACCCCCAUGAGGAUGCUUUAGUCAUCAAGGCUACUGUCGCUAGCAAGAAGUUUGACCGGAUACUGAUUGAUACAGGGAGCUCAGUUGAUGUGUUAUUUAAGUCAACCCUGGAAGAGAUGGGAAUAGCCGACCGGAAGUUGGAAUAUACCAAUACCUCCUUGAAGGGGUUCGGAGGAGGGAAGCUGGUCCCUCUGGGCGUGGUCGAGCUGCCUAUCACAAUUGGGAGCUCCCCGACAGAAAGAACAAUGAUACUGGACUUUGUCGUAGUGGAUGAGGAAGGUCCUUACCAGAUGAUCCUAGGUCGGCCAUUUUUAAGGAUGAGCAAAGCGGUGUUGUCCAAUCAUUAUCUGGCUCUGAAGUACCGGGUGAACGGGGUAGUAGGAGUGGUACGAGGAGACCAGAGGAUCGCAAGAAGCUGCUACUCCUCGGCAGCAAGGGAAGCAAUGCAGAUAACAUCCCUCGAUACCCGAGUGGAAAACAAGAAGGGCAGACAAGAACCUGUAGAGGAUCUGGAAACAGUAAGCCUGGGACCAGAGAACCCGGGAAAGAUGAUCAGAAUCGGGUCGAGACUUAAGGGAGAGCAAAAGCAGGAGUUGGUGAAAUGCUUACAGGCUCAUGCUGAUGUGUUUGCUUGGACACAUGAAGACAUGCCAGGGAUUGACCCUGAGGUAGCAUGUCAUAAGCUGGCAAUAAAGAAAGGUGCUCGGGCAGUAAGGCAGAAGAGGAGGUGUUUCAACCAGGAGAGGUAUGAGGCUAUAAAUGGCGAGGUGGAGAAGCUCUUGAGAGCAGGGUUCAUUCGGGAAGUCAGUUACCCUGAGUGGAUAUCGAAUGUGGUGUUGGUAAAGAAGGCAAACGGCAAGUGGAGGAUGUGUGUGGAUUUCACAGACCUCAAUAAGGCGUGCCCAAAAGACAGCUUCCCUUUACCAAAGAUCGAUCAGCUAGUAGAUUCAACGGCUGGACAUGGUCUGCUUAGCUUCAUGGACGCGUUCUCGGGAUACAACCAGAUCCCCAUGUACGAGCAGGAUGAGGAGAGCACGGCUUUCAUCACUAACCAAGGUUUGUUCUGUUACAGGGUAAUGCCAUUCGGUCUCAAAAAUGCCGGGGCCACCUAUCAAAGGCUGGUGAACAAAGUCUUUAAGCCGUUGAUUGGGAAAACCAUGGAGGUGUACGUGGAUGACAUGAUCACCAAGUCCAAAAUCCCGGAGGAACAUGUCAGACACCUCGAGGAGACAUUCGAGCUUUUGAGGAAGUAUAAGAUGAAGCUCAACCCGGAGAAGUGUGCUUUUGGGGUCGAGUCGGGGAAAUUCCUUGGAUUCAUGGUGAGCCAUAGGGGGAUUGAAGCAAAUCCCGAGAAAAUCCAGGCGAUUGUGCAAAUGACGUCUCCCCGUAACCUGAAGGAGAUGCAGAGCCUCACGGGGAGGUUGGCGGCGUUGAGCAGAUUCAUAGCCAAGGCUACAGAUAAGUGUCAGCCGUUCUUUCAAGUGAUGAGGAGGGGAAAGAAAACAGAAUGGACCUCAGAAUGCGAGGAAGCCUUCCGGAACUUGAAGCAAUACUUGCAGCAAGCUCCGCUGCUGUCCACACCGAGGGAUGGGGACAAGUUAUAUCUGUAUUUAGCGGUAUCGGCUCGGGCCGUCAGUUCUGUUCUGGUGAGAGAGGAAGAAGGAGUUCAGUAUCCGAUAUAUUACACCAGCAAGGCCCUGCUCGACGCUGAGACCAGAUACCCACCGUUGGAGAAAUGGGCACUUGCCCUUGUGGUUGCUGCUCGGAAGUUGAGGCCAUAUUUUCAAGCAUUCCCGGUCUUGGUAAUAACAAACCAGCCAUUGCGUCAAACUCUGCACAAGCCAGAUGCCUCUGGUCGGCUCGUCAAGUGGGCUGUAGAGCUGAGCGAGUUCGACAUAGACUAUAAGCCCCGCGCAGCGAUAAAAGCCCAGGCAAUGGCCGAUUUCGUAGCUGAAUUCACAGAGCCCGAAGUAUGCUUAGAUCAACAAGAGGCAGAUAUAGGCAAUGACGAAACUCAAGUAUGGCAGAUGUCUGUGGAUGGGUCAUCAGGGGAGCGGGGUUCAGGAGUAGGGAUUGUCUUGGAAGGCCCAGAGGGGGAGGAGAUCUCUUAUGCUGUAAAAUUGGAAUUUGCAGCCACGAAUAACCAGGCAGAGUAUGAAGCCUUGAUAGCAGGUCUGGAAUUGGCUAAGGCCGUGAAAGCAAACAAAGUUAAGAUCAGAACUGAUUCCCAGCUGGUAGCGAAUCAUGUCAGUGAAAGAUUCCAACCAAGAGAGGAGAAGAUGGGGCAGUACCUGAAGAUAGUCAAGCAGAUGAUGGGGAAGUUCGAAGCAGUGGAGGUGAUACAGAUCCCCAGGGAGCAGAAUAGUCGAGCAGACAUUUUGGCUAGGAUGGCAGCAGUAGCCGACCCAAAAAUGCCAAAGUCGGUCCCUCUGGAGGUGAAGUCCGGCCCAAGUAUCGAUCAGAAUUUGGGGGUGAUGCGGAUAGAACAAAAAUGCUCGUGGAGGGACCCGAUAGUUUCAUACCUUAGAGACGGGGUAUUACCACCAGAUAAGAUGCGAGCUCGCAAGCUUAGAGCCCAGGCCUCGAGAUACACGAUGAUUGAUGGGGUACUGUAUCGGCGAGGAUAUACACUACCGUUCCUUCGGUGUUUGGAUGAGGACGACGCGGAUUACGUACUAAGAGAAGUACACGAAGGAAUUUGCGGAAAUCAUUCUGGCGGGAGGUCCCUGGCCCAUAAGGUUCUAAGGCAGGGAUAUUUCUGGCCGACAAUGCACCAGGAUGCGCAAGAGAAGACCAGGAGUUGUGUAAGUUGCCAGAGUUUUGCAAAUUUCUCUAACCAACCACCAGAGAAGCUUACCUCCAUGACCUCCCCCUGGCCAUUUGCUCAAUGGGGAAUUGAUCUGAUCGGCCCAUUGCCAAAGGCACGGGGAGCAGCAACACAUGCAAUAGUUGCUAUAGAUUACUUCACGAAGUGGAUAGAGGUAGAAGCCCUUAGCAGGAUCACAGAGAAGAAAACAACAGACUUCGUGUGGAGAAACCUGGUCUGUCGAUACGGGAUCCCUUAUGCCUUGGUAACGGAUAAUGGCAGGCAGUUCGAUAACCACAGCUUCAGGGAUUUCUGCCAGAACCUCGGGAUAGAGCUGAAGUAUUGCUCGCCUGCUCACCCUCAAUUGAAUGGACAAGUAGAAGCAGCCAACAAGACCAUCAAGAGGCUUUUAAAAACCAGGCUUGGAGCAAAAAAGGGUGCGUGGGUUGACGAGCUGUCAGGUGUGCUAUGGGCAUACAGAACAACCCACAAAACCGCAACUGGGGAGACACCGUUCGCUUUGGCUUUCGGACAUGAAGCGGUCGUGCCGGCUGAGAUAGGAACGACCACACACCGGACAAAUCAUUUCAAUGAGCAGGAGAACGACGAGCAGAUAUGUUUGAAUCUUGAUCUGCUAACGGAAAGGUGGGAGCAAGCAGCCGAGCGAUCAGUCAUUUACCAACAGAGGGUUGCUCGGUAUUAUAACCAGAAGGUGAACAUACGGCAAUUCAGGGUCGGAGACUGGGUACUGAGAAGAGUGAAUCAGAGCACCAAAGAUUCGACUCAAGGAGUGCUGGGACCGAAUUGGGAAGGGCCAUAUAGAGUCAAGCAGAUAGCGGGACCCGGAGCUUACAGGCUGGUUCGCACGGACGGCCACGAGGUGAAACGCCCAUGGAACGCAGCACACCUCCGAAAAUACUUCCAGUAAGACUUGUUCACAUGUGAAAACUAUUUUUGCUCAUGUUCAUUACCGUUUAUCUUUCACGCUUAUUGUCCAAACAAUUUCAUGUAAGUCGAAUCCUGCCAUUAAUGGAACGUCGAGGAAUUUCUUUCGCUUGAAACCGAGAAAAUUUUCCAAGGCAUGCAAAGGCUCACCAAGUCUCAAAGCCUGUCUUAUGGCGAGACAGAAGCCAAGCAUGCCAGGAUCUGCUCGGCCACGAGAAGGCAAGCAGAAUCCCAAUCCUCGAAGAAUCCAAGGCAUGCAAAGGCUCACCAAGUCUCAAAGCCUGUCUUAUGGCGAGACAGAAGCCAAGCAUGCCAGGAUCUGCUCGGCCACGAGAAGGCAAGCAGAAUCCCAAUCCUCGAAGAAUCCAAGGCAUGCAAAGGCUCACCAAGUCUCAAAGCCUGUUUUAUGGCGAGACAGAAGCCAAGCAUGCCAGGAUCUGCUCGGCCACUAGAAGGCGAGCAGACUCCAAAGCAUUCGAAGAAAUGCCCAAGGCAUGCAAAGGCUCGACAAAGUCUCAAAGCCUGUUUUAUGGCGAGACAGAAGCCAAGCAUGCCAGGAUCUGCUCGGCCACUAGAAGGCGAGCAGACUCCAAAGCAUUCGAAGAAAUGCCCAAGGCAUGCAAAGGCUCGACAAAGUCUCAAAGCCUGUUUUAUGGCGAGACAGAAGCCAAGCAUGCCAGGAUCUGCUCGACUACUAGAAGGCGAGCAGACUCCAAAGCAUUCGAAGAAAUGCCCAAGGCAUGCAAAGGCUCGACAAAGUCUCAAAGCCUGUUUUAUGGCGAGACAGAAGCCAAGCAUGCCAGGAUCUGCUCGGCCACUAGAAGGCGAGCAGACUCCAAAGCAUUCGAAGAAAUGCCCAAGGCAUGCAAAGGCUCGACAAAGUCUCAAAGCCUGUUUUAUGGCGAGACAGAAGCCAAGCAUGCCAGGAUCUGCUCGGCCACUAGAAGGCGAGCAGACUCCAAAGCAUUCGAAGAAAUGCCCAAGGCAUGCAAAGGCUCGACAAAGUCUCAAAGCCUGUUUUAUGGCGAGACAGAAGCCAAGCAUGCCAGGAUCUGCUCGACUACUAGAAGACGAGCAGACUCCAAAGCAUUCGAAGAAAUGCCCAAGGCAUGCAAAGGCUCGACAAAGUCUCAAAGCCUGUUUUAUGGCGAGACAGAAGCCAAGCAUGCCAGGAUCUGCUCGACUACUAGAAGGCGAGCAGACUCCAAAGCAUUCGAAGAAAUGCCCAAGGCAUGCAAAGGCUCGACAAAGUCUCAAAGCCUGUUUUAUGGCGAGACAGAAGCCAAGCAUGCCAGGAUCUGCUCGACUACUAGAAGGCGAGCAGACUCCAAAGCAUUCGAAGUAAUGCCCAAGGCAUGCAAAGGCUCGACAAAGUCUCAAAGCCUGUUUUAUGGCGAGACAGAAGCCAAGCAUGCCAGGAUCUGCUCGACUACUAGAAGGCGAGCAGACUCCAAAGCAUUCGAAGUAAUGCCCAAGGCAUGCAAAGGCUCGACAAAGUCUCAAAGCCUGUUUUAUGGCGAGACAGAAGCCAAGCAUGCCAGGAUCUGCUCGACUACUAGAAGGCGAGCAGACUCCAAAGCAUUCGAAGUAAUGCCCAAGGCAUGCAAAGACUCACCAAGUCUCAAAGCCUGUUUUAUGGCGAGGCAGAAGCCAAACGUGCCAGGAUCUGCUCGACCACUAGAAGGCGAGCAGUCUCCAAAGCAUUCGAAGAAUCUCCAAAGGCAUGUGGCAAAACCAUGAGCCAAGCCGGAACCUGCUCGUCUAGACAGAGACAAGCAGAUUCUCAACCGAAAAUUAAUUCAUAAUUACAUCACAAGAAAGUAAUCAAAAACCAUUUUUAUUAAUUUGUUAAUAAUUAACAGAGGGGAUAAUCUUCAUGAACAUUGUUCAUUACAAUACAAGAAAUAUAUCAGGAAGAUGGUGGACCAGUAAGCCCGGCAGCAUCGGUUGGCUGGACCUCCUCAGGUGCAGGAGGGGUAUCACCAGUUGCGUCCGGGGGGUGCUCGCCUCGCCAACAUCAGCAGGGACUGCACGAGCAGGAGAGUCUUCCUCCUCAAUCACGAUCGGCUCUACCCCAUCGGCAUCUUCCUUGGCCGCCUCCUCAUCCAUAUGUUGAGCAACACCAGCUGCAAGGUCAUCCAUCUUCAGAUCAGGGUGUUGCUUCCCGAGGACGGCCAUGAUGCAACGAUAGGAAUGCCGAAGUCCCUGGUCGUACUGGUUGUCAGCCUCCCUCUCCAAGUUCUCGACCUGAGCUCGGUGGGAGUCGCGGAGAGAUUCGAGCUGAGCCUCAUACAUAGCCUUCUGCCUUUGCAGAUCCUCCUUGACCGUGGUAAGCUCCUCCUCGAGGGAAAUGGCUUUUGCUUGAGCAAGUGAUUCUUGCUCUAUUAACUUCAGAUUCUCGAGAUUCAGCUCCCCUGCUUUCUUCUCGGCAACGUCAGCUCUGGUCGUCGCCGAUUGAAUAUCCUCCUUCAUCUUCCGGUCGUAGCGGCCAACCUUAGCCUUGUAAUAGGUGGUCAUGCAGCUGAGGUGGAAAGCGCUAUGCUGCAUGGCCCCCACCAGCUCACCCAAGGUGCGGCCGUCAAAGUCCUCCAAGUCCUUCUUGCUCAUGAGUUUAGUUAACUCAUUGAGGUAGGGGACCAGGUGUUCUGCUCGGCUGUCAGGUAAGCGAGAUCGAGGCCCGACAGGAGGAAAAGAGGAAGCAGGAUCUGUAGCUGCUCCACUAGCUUCCCCGACUUUUACAGGAGCAGGAGGUAAAAUCUUCAAGGGUGGGACCUGCUGCAUGAUGUUGGCCCGCUUUGCAGCAGGGGCAUUCUUAUUCUGGUCCCUCUUCGUGGUGGGAGGUCGGGAACGUUUUCGGGUCAGAGCCCCAAUCACAGCGUCCUCCAUCCUAUGGCCAGGAAGUAUCAAGCGAGACUCGAGCAAGUUGUAUGUAGUUAGCAGUUCUCGGCUCGAGCAGGAAUUGGCUAGUACAGCCUCGACCCGUUUGAGCUGGUCAGGUUCAAGCGGGAAGUGGACACCCCAAGAAACUACAACACAAACAGACACUUGGUUAGAGACAAGCCAAUAAAGCAAGAACAAUUAUGGAUGCAAGACAUCUAGAGCGAGCAGGCAACCUGGGACCGUGAAACGGGGUGGGACGCGACAAUCCUUCCCGCCUAUUUGUGCAACUUGACCCCAAGGACCCCCAGCAAAAAAGAAUUUCCUCUUCCAAGCCCCACCACCACCGGUUGGAAGAUCGGUUAUGGAUUUCCGGCUCUUGGUGCUAGAUUGGAAGUAGUACCAGCCGGCAUCUUUGGGGCUGCUCUUUAGCUGGUACAAGUGCUUCACCUCGUCAACCGUGGGCUCGCUUUGGCAACAUCUGUCCCACAAUAUGAACAGACCAGAGAGCACUCUCCACCCAUUGGGAUUCAGCUGACCAGGAGCUAGAUUUAGCCCGUUAAGUAUCCGGGCAAAGUAGGGUUGCAAGGGACACCUCAGCCCGUACUUAAAGCUCUCUAGAAACAGGGUAACGUAUCCCCUAGGAGGCCGGCUGGGAGCAUCCUUCUUUCCUGGGACCUUGAGAGGUAUCUCACCAGGAAUGCUAUACCUAAGCUGGAGGUCAUUGAGCUCGUCAAACAAGGUCGUGCACGUCAUGUAAUCAAUGGCAUAAUCGCGCGACAAGGCUCUGCCUCCUACUGUACCCCGUUCCUCUAGUCGUGAUGUUCCAGAUGGAGACACCUCACCAGAGUCACCUUCCCCAUUCUCACUUAAGGUGUCCUCAGAGCCAGAAGGUCCCCCCUCACCAUUGCUUCCGCUCGUGGAGGUUGUUUGGGGGGACAUCCUCCUAGCACUAGUCCCGACACUAAACCUAAUGGGUUCUAAGGGGAUCCCGGGGUCAAAAGCCGGAUCAGUGAGCAGACUAGGCAGGAAACUUAGUUCGUCGUCAUCAAUCUCAACGACUUUCUCCUUACCUUUCGACAUUCCCUAAGCCCUAACCACAACACCACCAACUACUACCUAAACAGAAGAGAAGAGAAAUUAUCUACAACUAUCCGAGACCAAGGAGAUAGAAGAAAUACCUGAAGUAAUGGUUCAGUCGGUGAAAGUCAGAGAUGGAGGCCUUUUAUGCCGGAACUUCUUUGCCGGAGAAACAGAGACGGAGACGGAGUGAAUGAUGAAUAUGCCGUUCGAGAGGAUUUGGUUUUCCUAAUGAAGACGGACUCUUGGGUUGCCAGCAUUUAACGGCGCCGAAUCCCGAGGGUCUCAUAACCGUCGGUUUGAAAUUCAAAUGAAGGGGGGGAUUUCUGCCACGUCACCUCGUCCGCAAUUAAAUGCGACAUGACUCUUGGCAGCCUUUUCCAAUCCCACGCGGGCGAGUACUAACGAGUUUCUACUGCUGGUCCACUACAUUACCCAACACCAGAAACUGGGGGACCGGUGUUUGGGAGAAAUACGUCGAUGAGACCAGGCAUGGUGAGCAGAUAUCUGAUGGCAGAGUUCUGCGAACCGGUGUGUUCCGUAAAAGCCUGGUGCACGGGGGAACAUGAGCAGAAGUAUCCUGCUCGUCCACGAGCACGUCAUCCGCGAGGCAAAUUUCCUGUAAGAGGCAUAAGGUCAUUCCGGCUAGAGGUCGAGAGGCGAGGAGACCCGGUCGACGGCAGUUGGCAAGACAUGCUCCCCAGCCCGAGAAUCUAGGCACGACAGCCACGCUUUCCCCAGAACUGUGGCGUAACACGCAAGAUCUCACAGAACCACGACAGCCACGCUUUCCCCAGAACCGUGGCGUAACACGCAAGAUCUCACAGAACCACGACAGCCACGCUUUCCCCAGAACCGUGGCAUAACACGCAAGAUCUCACAGAACCACGACAGCCACGCUUUCCCCAGAACCGUGGCGUAACACGCAAGAUCUCACAGAACCACGACAGCCACGCUUUCCCCAGAACCGUGGCGUAACACGCAAGAUCCCACGUUUGCCCAUAACGCAGCAGUCAGAGUCCCAUACCGUCUCAGAAAAAGCGGAAAACUGGGAUUCAGGGGAAGCCUAUAAAAAGGUAGCCAACGAAGGUAAAAGGGUUGGCAUUUUUGAGAUUAUAAAAGAAAUGAAAAAAGAAGAGAAAACGACGAAAAAGCCAUAAGAUCUGUGGCAAGUGUCCCCCGAACCUUCAUAUCUGACUUGAGCGUCGGAGGGUUUGCGCCGGGAAAACAACCGGCGUACUCUGACUUGUCUGUGUGCGCAGGAACCUCUGGAGAAGAAGCCUCACGUGGAGACCUCCUGGUCGUGAAGAAGUUGAUCGGGCAGAGAUCCUGGUCGUAGAACGAGGAGAACCGGAAUCCCGCAUCAACAGAACUUGUACUUGUCCUGUGAUCCGUACAUGCGACCACGAAUGACCUACAUCGAAGGAUCUUACGUUGAAUCCUUUAAACCUGGCUUGGUUAGUGCACUCGCUCAUGGCCACGCUUUUCAUUUCCAUGGCUUCUUGCUCUUUUGUUAUAGAAAAUUUAUUUUUGGUUGCAGUUUGAUUCGACUGCUAAAAUCUCGUGCGAUAAUUGUAUAAGAUAUCUAGAGUUUGAACUUCUUUCACAUUAGGGUUCAAGGAAGUUAACUUAAAUGAUUUUCAAAAUUUUAAAUGUGUACCAAAGAAUUUAAUUUCAUAGCUUAAACUUAUAUUUUGAUCAUACUCUAACUUUGGACAGGAAAAAUUAUAUUUUUCCUUUAGUUCUUUGCCUUGGUGUAUGUUGUGUGAAGUACUUGUGCUUGAAAAUGAAUUGCUGACACAGAAAUUUCUAUGAAUGCAUGCAGCCCAUAAGUGGAUAUGGGGUGGGUAAAGUUUUGGAUUCAGAGAAUCCAGAGUUCAACAAAGGUGACUUGGUUUGGGGAAUGACUGGAUGGGAAGAGUAUAGUCUCAUUACGGCUCCACACUUGUUUAAAAUUCAACACACAGAUGUGCCUCUUUCUUACUAUACUGGAAUCCUCGGUAAACUUUUUGUUUGCACAAUUUAUGUGAGCAAAUUGUGUCUUCUUUUUCAUAUGUAAAUGUUUUUGAUAUCUUGAUGUGAAGGUAGAAAAUUGCAUGUUUUGAGUUUUUGCAUAUUUGAUGGAAACACAGAACUGUACCUGAAUCUUUCAGAACCCCCUUCUCUUUGAAGUUUGAACACUUUUCUUGAAUGUAUCAACUUUAUUUAUGGGAUAUGUUGCCAAAUUGGAAAAUCUAUUCGUUAUAAAACUUUCCUUUGACAGUUUAAUCUAAGCAGAUGUUAAUUCUGCAAAUAGAGUGUGCCUUAGAUUAGUUUCAUAGAUUUGUCUCCUUCUGUACAGUAAAAACUUUGAGCAUUUUCGCCAUAUUCUGAUCAAUACACUCCAACUAGUUAGUUCUUGAGGCGUUUUAUGGUUUCGUGGAGUGAGGCAAGAUGUAUACGUUUGCAAAUUGGCAAUGUCUUUCUCUUGAUGGGUUGAGAGUUGUGAGUGUCAACAGGAAACAAGACCUCUGUUUUAUGAACUCCAAAAAGUUAUUCUGUUAAAAAGAUCGAGACAGAGGCCAUACUAUAUUUAUUAUUGCUAUAAAAGUGUGAAAAAAUAUUCUUUAUUUAAUAUUCUAAACGAUUGAGCCAUUUAGUUAUGAUACUCUGCUGUAUUGGGGCUAAUAAUCUAAGUCGGUUCAAAGUGGUAAAUUUAUAAAUUGAUAGGUAUGCCUGGUAUGACCGCUUACGUUGGAUUUUAUGAGGUCUGCUCUCUUAAGCAAGGAGAGUGUGUCUUCAUAUCCGCAGCAUCUGGUGCAGUUGGACAGCUUGUGGGGCAGUUUGCAAAGUUAUUGGGUUGCUAUGUCGUCGGAAGUGCUGGAAGCAAAGACAAGGUAUGUAAAAUUAGAAUUUGAUCAACAGAUUUGGAGUGUUUGUUUACAGAGAAAAUCUAAGAGAAAAUGUAAGAAACUUUAGCUGAGAAUAUUCAUUUUGUUCAACUUAAUAACAGAAUGAGAUUACAAAGCUUAUAUACUGCUAUCAAGAAUCAUCUUAACACAUACAUCAUUUUCACGUGUAUUUAUCUUUGAAAGAAGCUAAAUAACCAGCUUAACAAACUCACAACUACUUUGCUGACUGGACUGCCACGUCACCAUAACUAACUUAACUAAUCCAAUCAGUUAAUCACAGUUAACACAUAUUCUUAUCAUCCCCCCUCAAGCUUAAGUUCGGGGAAGGACAUUAAGCUUGGUACGAAGAUAAGCAAACUGAUCAAAAGAGAGGGGCUUGGUGAGAAUGUCUGCAAGUUGUUCUGAACUGGAAACAUGACUGAUCGUGAGUUGCUUCUGGGCAAUAUGCUCUCGAAUAAAAUGAAGAUCCAACUCAAUGUGCUUUGUUCGAGAGUGAUACUUAGGAUUGCUAGCUAAUGCCUCAGCACUCUGAUUAUCACAUUAUAGAACAGGACUUUGAGUUGGCUGAAUUUGCAGUUCUUGAAGCAAAUAAGUGAGCCAAAGAAUUUCAGAGGUUGCCGAAGCAAGAGCUCUAUAUUCAGACUCUGCUGAGGAACGAGAAACAAUGGUUUGUUUCUUGGAGGACCAAGAAAUAAUAUUGUUUCCUAAGAAUACACAAUACCCUCCAGUAGACUUUCGAUCAUCAGGAUCAGCUGCCCAAUCAGCAUCAGAAAAUGCUGUUAAAGUCACAGAGCCUGAAUUGAAGAAUUGAAUCCCAAAGUGUGAAGUAGCUUGAAGAUAUCGAAGAACCCUUUUACAAGCUUGCCAGUGUGCAAUGGUUGGAUGAGCUAGGAACUGACUAAGCUUGUUAACAGGAUAAGCUAUAUCAGGUCUUGUUAGCAACACAUACUGAAGAGAGCCCACAAUACUUCUGUAUAAUGAGGGAUUAUCAAAAACUUCACCACUGUCCUUUGUAAGCUUAUCACCUGGACUCAUAGGAGUAUUAAAACCUUUGCUGUCAAGCAUAUUUACUUUUCUAAGGAUAUCACCAAUGUAUUUGGUCUGAGAUAAAUGCAGUCCCUGAACAGAGGGUGUUACUUCAGUACCAAGAAAGUAGUUAAACUCUCCUAGAUCUUUGAGUGCAAACUCUGAAUGAAGAUAUUGAAUAACAGCCUCAAUAUGUUGAGAAUUAGAACCAGUAACUAAAAUAUCAUCAACAUAUAUAAGAAUGAGCACAAUAUCAUGGUCAAUAUGCUGAAUAAACAUGGAUGUAUCAGAUUUUGAGGAUUGAAAACCUUUAUGGAGUAAGGACCCUUUCAACCUCUCAUACCAAGCUCUAGGAGCUUGCUUGAGACCAUAUAAGGCUUUGUUUAACUUGCAAACAUAUGAUGGAUUUGCAAAGUCUAUAAAACCUUGUGGCUGAUGCAUGAACACAUCCUCUUCAAGCAUACCAUUGAGAAACGCAUUAUUAACAUCCAGCUGUCUAAUCUGCCAAUGAUGCAACACUGCUAGACUGAGGACAACUCUGACUGUGCAAGGUUUCACAACUGGGCUGAAGGUCUCAAAGAAAUCCACCCCUUGAGUUUGAUGAUAACCCUUGGCAACCAACCUAGCUUUGUAUUUGGAAAUGCUGCCAUCAGGGUUAUACUUCACCCUAAAUACCCACUUAUUACCAACUAUUUUAGCAGCACUUUCAGAGGGCACUAGAGUCCAGGUUUGAUUUCUUUGCAGAGCAUCAAAUUCCUCUUUCAUAGCACAAAACCACUUGGAGUCAUGCAAGGCACUUUUGACACUAGUUGGCUCAAGAUUUUCAGUAGCUGCUAGAUAUGACUUGGGUUUGAAGAUACCAGCUUUAGCUCUAGUAAUCAUUGGGUGAGAUGGUAAUGAAGAUGAGUGAGUUGGUUCAGCUGAAGGAUGAGAAUAAGAAGGUUGUGCUGAACUGGAACUUGAUGGAGGAGACAUUGCUGAAUGAAAAUUAGGAGAUGAUGACUCUACAUUGCUACUGUCAACCUGAGCAGAAGUUUGAAGAAAAGAAAGUUGUACUGGUGAAGAAGGGACAUCAACAUUGGAGACUUGUGAGGUAGAGUGUUUUAGAAACAAUUCUGUGUUAGGAAACUCAGUUUCAUUAAAAACAACAUGUCGAGCAACAAACACUUUACCAGAUGAAUUUAAACACUUAUAACCUUUAUGAAGUGGACUGUAACCAAUGAAAAUACAUUUUUGAGUAUGAAAGUCAAGUUUAUGCUGGUUAUAAGGUCUGAGGAAUGGAAAACAGGAGCAACCAAAAACCUUUGGAAACUGAUAGUCAGGCAGAUGAUUAUGUAAUUUCUGAAAUGGGGAUAGAUUGUUUAGAACUGAUGUGGGCAUUCUGUUGAUAAGGAAAGAAGCAGUGUGGAAUGCUUCCCACCAAAAGGAGAGAGGUAACUGUGAUUGAGCUAGAAGUGUCAGACCUGUUUCAACAAUAUGCCUGUGUUUCCUCUCAACAACACCAUUUUGAUGGUGUGUAUAUGGACAACUAUACCUAAAACAUAUACCCUCUUGCUGAAGAAAGGUUUUAAAAGCUAUAAAUUCACCCCCCAUAUCUGACUGUAGUGUUUUGAUAGACAAGGAGAACUGUUUUUCAACAAGAAGUUUGAAGUGUUUGAAGGUUUCUAAGGCUUCUGACUUUGCUGUGAGAGGAAAAAUCCAAGAAUAUCGAGUGAAAUCAUCCACAAAAGAGAUAUAAUAUCUGUAUCCACUCAUUGAAUAUUCAGGAGCUGGUCCCCAUAAAUCUGUAUAUAGAAGCUCAAGUGGUGCUUUUGUUUUAAUGGUAGUGACAGAAAAAUGAAGCUGAUGCAUUUUGCCAUGUUGACAAGCAUCACAGAAGCUAAUGAAUUUAUUUGAAAAGCAAUGUGUGGGAAGACUUUUAAUAAUUGUUUGCAAAGCAUGUUUAUUGGGAUGACCAUAUCUAUUAUGUAACAACUGAACUGAUAUCUUUCCAGCUCUAGAAGAAUUUCCAGAAACAGAACAUGCAAAAGCUUCAGACAUAUUUACAUUAUCCAACUUUGACACAUGAUUAUUUGACUCUGGUAAAGAGUUUACAACUUUAUUAUCAAAACAAAAUGACAACAUGGAACUUGGUUUAAAAAGAUUUGGAUUGCAAUCUGCAGAGUAAGGAGAGAAGACAUCAAGUGACAGUAGCUUGUAAAGACCACCUUUAACAAUCCCCUGUGCCAGCAAAGUUCCCUCCUUCUUGUCCUUAAUAAAGCACAUGGUGGAACAAAAUUCAAUGAUUAUGUUAUUAUCCAAAAGAAGUUUAGAUAUACUGAUGAGGUUUUUGGUUAUUUUAGGAACACACAAAGUAUUGGUUAAGGAUAAACAUGUGCCAAAAGAAGUAGAAAGAUGAGUGCAGCCAAUAUGUGUGAUAGUAAGACCUUGUCCAUUUCCAACAAACAACAGUUGAGUACCAUUAUAAGGAUUACCUUCAACCAGGUUUUGCACAUUGUUGGUGAGAUGAUGAGUGGCUCCACUGUCCAGAUACCAUCCCUGAUCAGCAACUCCUUCUGAGGUAGCCAUAUAAGCUGUUCUUGGCCCUGGGUUCUGCAUUGGAGAAUUUGAAACAAAAUUUCUGUUAAAUCUGUUUCUACAAUCAACAGCUGAAUGGUUUGGUUUAAAACAUAUUUGGCAGGUAAUAUUUCCUCUGCCACCUCCUCUACCAAAGCCACCAGAGGACCCUGGAUUUCCACCAUUAAAACCACCAUUUCCACUAAAUCCACCAGUAUUUCCAUUAAAACCACCAGAGUUUGAACCUCUUCCUUGGUUUCCAAACCAGCCUCUCCCUGAGUUUUGAUCCAUAAAGCCACCUCUGCCAGAUCCAUAACCUCCUCUAUUGUUGAAAUUUCCAUUUCCAUUUCUAUUCACAAAAUUAACAUUCCAAUUACCCUGGUUAUUAGUAUUCCAAUUAGCAUUGCUUCCUGACUUCUUCUGAUUAUUACCAGUCUGAGCCACAUUAGCACUAAAAUUCACCUUAGUUUCCUUAGCUACACCAGAAUGAUUACUCUCAAGCCUAGCUUCAUGAGAUAGCAACAUAGAAUAAGCCUCAUUGAUGCUCAUUUUAAGAGCAUUUGCCUCAAUAUAAACUACAACAGGAUAGUAAGCCUGACCUAGCCCUGAGAUUAAAUGUGUAAUGAAGUCAAUAGAGCUAACUGAACUUCCAGCCAUUGCUAAUUCAUCAGUUACUGACCUUAGUUUACAAAAAUAUUCAGUAAUUGACAUGGAUCCUUUCUUAAGAUUGUUUAGCAGCAUCUUUAAAUGCACUUUCUUAGCUGCUGUUUCAAAUCCAAACUGUUCCUCUAAGCUUAUCCAAAGUUCUCGAGAGUUUUUAGAAUUUACCACAAUGCUUAAGAUCUCCACACUGAUUGAAGAUAGAAGCCAGCUCAAGAUCAUCUGAUCUUGCCUUUUCCAAGUAGUGUAGGCAGGAUUUUCUGAGAUGACUGCCGCAUCUGUGCUUGUUGAUUCACCAGUCAGCAGCUGGUUUGGACAGGUACGUGAUCCAUCAAGAAAACCUUCCAGAUCAUUUGCUCGAAUGGCUGAAAGGAUCUGAGAUUUCCAUAUAGUAUAAUUCGAUCUGUCAAGCUUGAUUGGUGUGGCGAAAGUAAAUGUUGAGAUUGCGGAAGAAACAUUUGUACUAAGACUUGAAGAAGCCAUGAUCAAGAAGUGAUUCAAGGCUCUGAUACCAAAUUAGAAUUUGAUCAACAGAUUUGGAGUGUUUGUUUACAGAGAAAAUCUAAGAGAAAAUGUAAGAAACUUUAGCUGAGAAUAUUCAUUUUGUUCAACUUAAUAACAGAUUGAGAUUACAAAGCUUAUAUACUGCUAUCAAGAAUCAUCUUAACACAUACAUCAUUUUCACGUGUAUUUAUCUUUGAGAGAAGCUAAAUAACCAGCUUAACAAACUCACAACUACUUUGCUGACUGGACUGCCACGUCACCAUAACUAACUUAACUAAUCCAAUCAGUUAAUCACAGUUAACACAUAUUCUUAUCAUGUAAUCUGUGUGAAGUACUUGAUUGUUUCCAUGUUACUUUCAAACAUUUAAAUUAAAAAGGAAAUUUUCAUAAUCUUGCCUUUUCUAUGAUUUUCAAAACCAAGGUUGAUCUACUGAAGAACAAGUUUGGGUUCGACGAGGCAUUUAACUAUAAAGAAGAAGCUGAUUUGAAUGCAGCAUUGAAAAGGUUAGCAUCAAUAAAUGCCUUAGCUUGAUGCAGCUUGAUGAAGUAUGAUACACAUUUCUGACCAAUAUACUGCGUUCCCUGAUCUCUUACUUGAAAUAUCUUGGUUUGAGAACCUCAUGCCAAUGCCUUUAACAUUUUGGCAGGUACUUUCCUGAAGGAAUUGAUAUAUAUUUUGAAAACGUUGGUGGAAAAACGCUUGAUGCAGUGCUACCCAACAUGAAAAUCCGUGGUCGAAUUGCUGCAUGCGGUAUGAUCUCACAGUACAAUCUUGACAAGCCUGAAGGUGUGCACAACUUGAUGUAUCUUGUUUUGAAACGGCUUCGAAUGGAAGGAUUCAUUGUUCUCGAUCACUAUCACCUUUAUCCAAAGUUUCUGGAAAUGAUCAUUCCUCACAUCAAAGAAGGGAAGCUUGUAUACGUCGAAGACAUGGCUGAAGGUCUGGAGAGUGCUCCGGCAGCUCUCAUCGGUCUAUUCUCUGGCCAGAAUGUUGGGAAACAGGUGGUUGCUGUUGCUCCUGAAUGAAGAACAAGUUAGUGUUGUAUGUUCUUUUACCCUUUGACACAAAACUUCAAUGUCAAAGAGAGAAUGCUGCUCAUACUGCUUUAUAAAAUAAUCAAAUGAGUGCAAGUUUCAUGAUAUUUGCUGAAUAAAAUAUUGGAAAUUAAGCAGCUAGCCUAGCUCCUUCUUGUAGUUGCAGUUUGAAUGAUGCUGCUGCACAACUGCUGCCGAAAAAAAUCCUUAAUAGAUGAUUAGCAAGGUUUCAAAAAUAAAAAUAAAUGUUUGUGCAAUGUGCCGAAUAUGACAGCCACAAAGAAAGAGCAUACAAAUUGAUUGGUUUUAUGUCUUCUCUAGGAGAAAGCUACAAUACAAGAAAUUGUAUUGAUGGAGCCUUGGACCAAAUUUCUUAUUUAAAUUUUUAAUUUUUUUUAUUAAAUUACUUAUGUUAUUAUGGUUUAUAUUUUUAGAAAUUCUUUAGAAAUUAAUACAGAACUAGUAGCAAGUUGAGAAAUCUACUGAAUGGUCAAGAUAUGAUAAUGUUUAUUGAAUUAAAUUAACAAUCAUCAUUUUCAUAAAUUAUUGUCAGGAUAUUUGAUUCAUGUCAGGUGUAAGUAACUAAGAGAGCGUUUGGGACAGACACCACAGUUGCUCCCGAUGCUUUAUUUUAGGGAAAUAUCCCCUGGAAUAAUGCAUAGGGCGCAGCCCCAAACGGACCCUAAAUGUGCUAAAAAAAAAUUAAUGAGUUGGGUGUGUUUGAUAUUCAUUUGUUGUAAUUCUUUUAAUAAUUAUUGUAGAAAAAAAUAUGAUAAAAAAUUUAUAAUUAUAAAUAAAAAUUAAUAAUAUAAUAAAUAAAAUUUUUAAACAAUAAUUUUAAUAAAAUAAUAAAUAUAUUAUCAAUUUUUCAUCGUUAAUAUUUAAGUCACAAUAAUAAAUAUUUAUUAAACACUUUAAUACUAUAACUAACACUACAACUUUUGAAUUAUAACAGUACAUUCUAAAGACCGUGGAACAAUAGUACAAAAGGUGCUCGUCGUGUAAACAACACAUGGGACCCAAGCAAUAAAUGUUUCUGAUCCUCAACUUUCCUCAUCACUGUCCCUGCAAACAAUUCUGAUUUUCUUGUCUGAUAAAAAAACUGAGAAACAAUGGCGGCCGAACAAGAAGCUGUGAGCAAUAAUGUAAAGCCACAAAUUUUCAUAAUAUUAAAUUAUGAAAAUUGGGCUUUCAUUGAGAAUUAUGGGUGGCCUAUAACCCUUAUUAAGAAAGGGAUACUAAUUAUAAAUACAAGUUAUUUAUGAGAUAGUUUUGAAAAAAUGUUAUUUUUCCUUAUUAAAUAAGGUUUCUUAAGACUCCCUAUAAAUUCAUACUUUUUCCCUUCCAUGACCCUAAGUCCAUGACGUUUAUUCUUCUUCUCUGCUGCUCUUUACGCUCCUACCCAAAUCAUAGGAUUCAAACCUUUGUUUAGGAGAGAAUCAAAGCGACGAGUAAGUUAUUCUCCCUAUUCUCAACAGAUUUCUAAUCACUCUAUCUAGGGUUUAUAUUGGCACGAUUCUAGAUGGUUAUAGAUCAUAAUGCAUGAUUUAGAAUGUAUUUAGGCUUUGUUUAGGGUUUUGAUUUAUUAUGAGUUUAGUUAAUCAAUCCUUGACGUAUUAAGCACAGGAUAAUUCUGGACAAUAUGAGUAUCUCGAAUUUAAACCUAUAUUUUCUGAACGAGUUUUAUUAUAAAAUUUAUAUUUCUGGAAACUAGACAUGUAGGGCUUCUUGAGUAAAUUUUAUUUCAUUAAAUUCGACUUCGUUUUCAAUUUUAUAUUUAUUUUCGAAAUAGAAACCACUGCACUGGAAAACUGCGAUUCCAGCAUUGCGAUCGGAUUCACAAGACUAUUUGUACCACCAAACGAACUCGGAAAAUUCUGAAAGUUUAUAUGUAGGUUAAUAUAUGUGUCUAGGAUUACCAGUUUUAAUUUCAUAAUUUUCUGAUUAGUAUUUUAUUUUAUAAAAAUCACAGAACCCGUUCUGUUUGGUUUAGAUUAUGUGAAAACAGUUUCGAAUUUGCUGAGAAAUAAAUAGUUUCGAAAAUGUUUUUGAUAUCGGAUCCUCUUGCAAAUUUUACAUAGGGUACUCAUGGAUGUCCAGAAUAGUCCCAUAGAAUAUUAUAUCAUUCUGAGUCUUAGAUUAAGAGUUAAAUUCUGAGAAUCAGACCUGUACGGGUAUGAAUUAGAAAAUCAGAUUCUUAGAAUAAGUUAUUAAUUGUCAUAUCUUGUAUUUGUUUAAGGUGUUGAAGGUGAUUGAGGUUCUUAGAAGCUUAAAGGUGUGUUAAUUCAAAUUCAUUUGUCGAGGUAAGUUACUUCAUUCCUACUAUAUUGGAUAUGUAUAAGUAUUUUGAUAUUAUCAUUAUAAGUAUAAAUGUUUUCAUACUAUUUAGAAGAUUAAUGGAUUUUCAUAACAAAAUUAGCUUAUGAAAAUGUUUUCAAAACCUAAUUUCUUUUUAACAAAGCAUUUUAUAAAUACUUUUUAAAUAUGUAAGUUAUUUUGUUACAUGCCUACUUUUAUGAUUUUAUUUAUAAAAUAUUUUGCAAGCCUAAAUUAUUGUUAUGGACUUUUAUGAAUCCGAUACGAAUGUUUUAUGCCUAUGCAUGAUUUCAAUUAUAUAUGAUUGUAUGGGGGCCACCUCUUGGGACUAUAUGGGGGCCACCUCUUGAAGGCCAAAGUGUCGCAAAGUGCCACAUAUAGUGCAAAGUGCCACGUAUAAGUCAUUAUGUUUUGGCUCAUUGUCCGUAGUCAUUUUGAUUCUGAUUCUGAUCAUAUAAUACGAUAUAUGUCUGUUUUGGACCAGUACUGGGUUUCUGUUCUGAGUGUGCACACGAUAUUUUGAUUCUGUUUCUGGCCGGGUCACUGGGACUAUAGGUGACACUAUGUGACAAGAGCUAACCUUUUGUUUUCUGUAUACGUAUUAUAUGAUUUACUUCAUAAGUAAAUAUGCUUUUGGAUAUUCGGAAUUAUUAAGAAUUUAUGUUAUGUUAUCGUGAUAUAUUGUUUUAUGAAAUUUAUGGAUUAUGAUAUAUGUUUUAAACAAAAGAAGGCUUGCAAUAUUUUUGUAUCGAUAGGCCCAGUAUGUUAGAAAUUGUUUUACUUACCGAGUUGACGGCUCACCCCUCGUCAUUACUUUUUGCAGAUUAAGUUUCUUUUGAGAGGUGCGCUUAGCUUUGGAGUUAGUAAUUUUCCGUUUCCAUUUGCCAUUUGAAUAAGAGGAGGAAUAAACUCGUGUUUCUAUUUAGUUAUUUCUAUUAUGAACGUGUAAUUUGGAGUUUGAGACUUUUGUUAUUAUUUUUAUGUCCUCGGGAGAGAUUAUUUAGUAUUAGACGUUAGAAUUUGUGGAUUUAUUUGAAUAAGAAUUGGAGGUAUUUCAGUUUGAAACUUAUGAGUAAAGAUUAUGAUUUGUGAGUAACCUCCUUCUUCACGUGCUCCGCACGUGUUAGAUUUGGGGUGUUACAAAUAAGCGGGUGAUUCUAAGCAACUAUGUGACAGGUUUUCCAAAAGAAUCAGACAUGAAGAUAACAAGUGGAUCAAUAAAGCUGAAGGUAGCAGACUGUUCAAAAGACACGGUGCUUUUGAAGAAUCUUUAUCUUUCUUGUGAUCCUUACAUGCGAGAGCGUAUGAGCAAGCUUGAUAGCCCUUCUUUUGUUGAUUCAUUCCAUCCUGGUGAGGUUAGUUCAUCACGGCCCAUCUCUUGAUUUUUUUUUUUCAUUUGCUUCAAGUUUUGAUGAGUUUCUGAGGUAAUUUGUACGGUUUUGGAAUUUGAACACAAUUUGUGAUUUUGGUGCUGUAACUGUCAUUAAUGAUAUGUAGUAAUUCAAUCGGAAUUUGGAUUUAGUGCUGAUAUGAUCUCUGCUCAUUUUUUUAAAUCUUGUGUCCACAUGCAUUUUUGAAAUCUGGUACGGUUGAGAUUGUAUGUAGAUUAACCUACGUACAGUAUUCUUGUCUAAUGACUACUAACCACAACCUUAUGAGACGAUCGAAACCAAGCUCGGAUCAAUAAUCCAAUCGAGAGAGGAUCAUAACUGAAGCUUAUCGUGUGUGGGAAUAUUUCGGUUAAAUUGUAAUCAUGAUCAUGAAUCAUGCAGGGAAAAGGGAAGUUGAGGUCAAUUUAUGCACUUGAUGGAAUUAAAGAACCAAUAUUUGAUUUUGGUUUACAUUAUUUCUCAGUAAUGGUGACUUUGUGAUGUUAAAUUUAUGCAGCCUAUAAACGGAUAUGGGGUGGCCAAAGUUUUGGAUUCUACACAUCCAAAUAAUGCAAAAGAUGACUUGGUUUGGGGCUUUACCGGGUGGGAGCAGUACAGUCUCGUUACAGCUCCGCAGCUUUUGAUUAAAAUUCAUCAUAAAGAUGUGCCACCUUCAUACUAUACCAGGAUCCUCGGUAAUGAUUUUUGUUACACAUUAAGCUUUGCUUAUAGUAAUAUCAAUACAUAUGCUGCUUAAAUGCUUUCUGAUUUUUUGCCGGCCAUUGUCCAUUUUGCCCGGGAGACUAUAAUUGAAGGAAUUUACUGAAGGAAUGCUGAUUGUUGGGAAUUUGAUUAUUCUAGGUAUGCCUGGUGUAACUGCAUACGCUGGUUUAUAUGAAGUUUGCUCUCCGAAGAAAGGAGAGUAUGUCUAUGUAUCUACAGCAUCUGGAGCUGUUGGUCAGCUUGUUGGACAGUUUGCAAAAUUAGCUGGUUGCUAUGUUGUUGGAAGUGCUGGAAGCAAAGAAAAGGUGCUGUUAUAUCAUUCUUAAGUAGUAAAUAUAGCACCGUGCCUUCUAGCAGAAUUUUACAUGCUUUAUGUUCCAACUAAGCAUCCAUAUUUGAUCGUGAUAAUUAGCAAGGUCAAUAAUUUUUUUUUGACUAUUUUUUCAACGUAAGGUCGAUUUGUUGAAGAACAAGUUUGGACGAUGCUUUUAACUACAAGGAAGAGCCAGACUUGGAUGCAGCGCUCAAAAGGUCAGCUGCAACAAACGUUUCAACUCUAAUAUUUCAUUUUAAUAUUACAGAGCUUUGGUUGAAGUGUGUGAGUUGAUCCCAGAAACGUAACUUCAUCAGUGUCUCUGUUUUCAAAAAACAGGACAAAUUAAAAUCUGAUUUUGCGUUAAAAUUUCCCAGAUGUUUCCCUCAAGGAAUCGACAUCUAUUUCGAAAAUGUUGGGGGAAAGAUGCUGGACGCAGUGCUACUCAACAUGAGGCUCCGGGGCCGCAUUGCGGUAAGCAGUAUGAUCUCACAGUACAACCUGGAAAAACCCGAAGGCAUACACAACUUAGAGCAACUGAUCGGGAAACGGAUUCGCCUGGAAGGAUUUCUAGCAGGUGAUUACUAUCACCUCUAUCUGAAAUUCUUGGAACUGGUCAUUCCUGCAAUCAGAGAAGGAAAGAUGGUGUAUGUGGAAGACAUAGCCGAAGGACUCGAGAAAAUUUCUCGUAACUGCUACACAUUAAACGCGUUUCACAUUUCCACUCUCUCUCUAUAAAUAAACACGCACAUAAAAUUUCUCACUAUCCAAAAACAAAAUCUACAUAAAAAAUGGCGGGUGAAGAAGGAGUGAGCAACAAGCAGGUGAUUCUGAGCAACUACGUGACAGGGUUUCCCAAAGAAUCAGACAUGAAGAUAAUAGCAGGCUCAAUAAACCUCAGGUGCCAGAGGGUUCAAAAGACACAGUGCUUUUGAAGAAUCUUUGUCUUUCCUGUGAUCCUUACAUGAGAGGACGUGUGAGCGAGCUUGAUAAGCCUUCGUUUGUUGCCUCGUUCGAGUCUGGCGAGGUCAGUUACUUCAAUUCCCAUCUCUUGGUUUCAUAAUCUUUUAUGGUUUUAGAAGGUGUUUUAGGGAAACAUUGUGGUUUUGGUUAGUGGGCAUGAGCCUUUGAAGAGAUUAUAAUGUGUAGGACUAUGUAUGCAAUAAUAAGUAUAGGGGAUCUUGUUAGGAGAAGAUUCUCUUAGCAAAAUAAAAACUUUUAUCUUAUCAAAACAUAUGCAGGGAACUUAGUUAUGAUGUCAUGUUAGCAUUGUCUCUGAGGAUUUGAUUUCUUGAUGGGGAAAGGGGAAUUUAAGGUUACAUUAUUCAGCAAUGGUUUUUUUUUUUUUUUUUUAAUUAUGUUCAAAUUAUGCAGCCUUUGAGCGGAUAUGGAGUGUCCAAAGUGUUGGAUUCCACGCAUCCAAAUUAUAAGAAAGAUGACUUGGUCUGGGGCUUAACCAGUUGGGAGGAGUUCAGUCUCAUCCAAUCACCACAACUUCUGAUUAAAAUUCUGGAUACAAGUGUGCCUCUGCCAUACUAUACUGGGAUUCUUGGUAAGUUGUUACUAAAUUUAUCAAUGUCCAGUUCGCAUGAGCUGAAAAUCAUGUUUUAUUUAAUGCAAUGAGAGAGGGAAAUAGUAUGCUGCUUGAACGUCUAGCAUUUUGAAUUUUCAAUGAUUGUACCCUACGUAUUGGCAUGUAACUGAAGGAUUUCUCUUGAGGAAUUUACUAUUUUUUCUGAUUGUCGGGUAUUUUUCUGUUGACUCUAGGUAUGCCUGGUUUGACUGCAUAUGGUGGUUUAUAUGAGCUUUGCUCUCCUAAGAAAGGAGAGUAUGUCUAUGUAUCUGCAGCAUCUGGAGCUGUUGGUCAGCUUGUUGGGCAAUUUGCGAAGCUGGUAGGUUGCGAUGUUGUUGGAAGUGCCGGAAGCAAAGAAAAGGUGAGUUUGCACCUUUAACCCUUACGCUCUAAAUAAAAACAUAACACCUUCUGAAAGAAUUUGCAUAGAGAAUUUUGCAUGUCACAGUAUUUGUGUUCUAACUAAUCAUGGAUAUUUGAUCAUUAGUCUAACUAAAACUGACUUAUUACCACCUAGUUGAUUGGUCUUUGAGAAAUGUUAGUUGAUAUAUGCUUGAAAUCAUACUUUGUUUUAUUAGAUGAUUAUAUUAACCUGCUUCUUUUUCUUUGUGCUGUUUCUCGUUUGAUUACAUUUUCAACAUUAGGUCGAUCUAUUGAAGCACAAGUUUGGGUUUGAUGAUGCUUUUAACUAUAACGAAGAGCCUGACUUGGAUGCAGCUCUUAAUAGGUUAUCACGAAUGAAUGCCUUAACCAUUUUUCUCACUUCAUUAUUACAAUGCGCUGAUUGAAGUAAUCAGUGUUGGCUCUGAAAAUGUAAUGUAUACUUCUCUGUUUUCAUAAAACAGGACAAACAGUGAUCAGUGAUCUCAUUCGUUACAUUGAUAUUUUCUACCAUUGCCAUAUGCCCAUACAUAGUAUAAACUAGGAAUUCAGUUGCUUAAUUGAUAUUCAUUUCAGAGGGAAAUUUUCACUUGCAGCUAACAGAAUCAUGUUUGUGAUGUAUGUUUAUUUGGGAAAUGAAAGGAUUUGCUGCAUUAUUUUAUUCCAAGUUUGCUGAAAUCAUAUUUGUUUUCCCAGCUGCUUUCCUGAAGGUAUCGACAUCUAUUUCGAAAAUGUUGGGGGUAAGAUGCUUGAUGCAGUGCUAUUCAACAUGAGAAUUUGUGGCCACAUCGCUGUAUGCGGAAUGAUCUCACAGUACAACAUUGAGAAGCCUGAAGGUGUACACAACUUGAUGCAAGUAGUUGGAAAACGAAUUCCCACGGAAGGAUUUCUUGCCGGUGAUUUCUACCACCAAUAUCCAAAAUUCUUGGAACUGGUUAGUGGUUAUGGCGGCAAUCAAAGAAGGAAAGUUAGUAUAUGUCGAGGACAUAGCUGAAGGCCUUGAGAAAGCUCCAUCAGCUCUAGUUGGGAUAUUCACUGAGCAGAAUGUUGGAAAACAACUGGUUGCAGUUGCUCGGGAAUGAUAUGAUUAUUAUAUGACCAUGGACUUUAAAAGCUUAGUGAAGAUGCCUCUGUCUUAUUUGUGAUCCAUGUUAUGUUUGUUUGAGAUACAUGUUAUGUUUGUUUGAUCAAGCUGUACUCAGAUAUAAAUCAAAGAUUCAGAACAUGUGUAUGAUACUGGUUUCUAAAUCAAUGAACGCUUUGAAAUGUUAGUGUUUUCACAGGAGAAUGCAAUUUAAUUCAUCAACAAUGUCCCAACAAGACCCUCAGAGCUGUAGCUUGUAAAGUUAAUUACCAUAUUUUUUUGUAAAGUUAAUUACCAUAUUUUUUUCUUUCCAAUAUAUUGCUUAUUUCAUAGAAAGUUUACAUUAAAGUCUCAUGUUUCUUUGAAAGGUAAGCAAGUGUGAACGUUUCAAUCUAGAGCUGGAAAAUGCAUUUCCGGGCAACUUACUUGAUAAAUGAAGUUUUCAUCUCUGACCAUGAUGUUUCCCACAGGUGCAUUCAUUUCAGCUGAUCUAUUUAAUUUUGUUUUCGAAGGAGUGACACAAAAUCUCCUUUGUUAAGGGGAGAAUUUAGAGCGGCUUUGACUGUUAUCAAAUAGCCUAAUGUAAGACUUAACCAACUUCCUGCCCUGUUGUAUUCUUAUGAAUUUUGAUAGAGCUAAGAGUUUGCAGAAGCUACUGUAUUAUAUGUCGUUAGAGGCUGUAAAAAUCAAACACAUUUAAAUUUCAAUGAAAAUUUACUGGAAGUAAAUUUCCUAUGAUCCUACAGGUGACUAAUUAAUGAGAACUUGACAAUGACAAAAGAAAGUGUAUGAACUUUGCAGGCUGGCAUGCCAAUAUUGACUGGGUGGCACCAUCCACCAUCUGCAAGUGAAUAUCAUUGUUGUUUAAUCAACAUGGUGGAGUCCACUGGGACCACACCACAUCAUCAGCCUUAUCUCUAUUCCUCAAUUUUCAGUAUUCCAUACAUCAAACCAAUUUCAGUUUUGUUAUCAAUUAUAACUUUAUUGUUGGUGACGAUUCUGAUUCCUUUCUGACAAAAGGGAACCAUGGCUGCUGCUGGAGAGAUCUUACUCAACGCCUUCUUUCAGGUACUGUUCGACAGGUUGGCUUCUCGUAAUUUGAUCAGCUUUGUGCGUCAACUCCAAGGCGGGGUUGAUUCGGAGCUCAAAAAGUGGGAGAAAAAGCUGAAGAUGAUUCAGGCUGUCCUCUGCGAUGCAGAGGAGAAGCAACUGACCAACGAGGCUGUGAAGAUGUGGCUGGACGAACUCCAAGACUUGGCUUAUGACGCUGAGGACAUUCUUGAUGAGUUUGCUACUCAAGCUUUGGAAAGCAAGUUGAUGGCGCAAAAUCACGAUAGUUCUGGCCAGGUUCUCAGUUUCAUCCCGGCUGGUUUGAAUCCGAAUGCUAUUAUGUUCAAUUAUAGCAUGGGGUCCAAGAUUAAAGAUAUUACUAGCCGGCUGGAUCAACUCUGCCAAGAAAGAAUUGAACUUGGACUGCAACGGAUUACCGGAGAGGCAUCAUCAACUGCUGCUGGUGCACACCAGAGGCCACCCAGUUCGAGUGUCCCAACAGAACUUGAAGUAUUUGGAAGAGAAGAAGAUAAGGCCAAAAUUCUUGAUAUGUUAUUAGCCGAUACCCUAAGUGAUCAUGCUAACUUUGUUGUAAUACCCAUUGUUGGCAUGGGUGGGAUAGGAAAAACAACUCUUGCUCGGGAGGUUUACAAUGACAAGGCCGUUGGAGAUUGCAAGUUUGAUGUAAAAGCAUGGGUUUGCGUAUCUGACGUCUUUGAUGUUUUGGGCAUCUCAAAGGCACUUCUCGAGUCAAUCACCCGCACGCCUUGUCUUCUAAACAGUUUAAAUGAAGUGCAGGUUGAAUUGAAAGUAGCUGUGGAUAAGAAAAGAUUCUUGCUGGUCUUAGAUGAUGUUUGGAACGAGGACUACAGCUUGUGGGUAGACUUAAAAGCUCCGUUCCUGGGUGCUGCACCAAACAGUAAGAUGAUCGUCACCACGCGCAAUUCAAAUGUUGCAUCAACAAUGGGACCAGUUGAACAUUACAAUCUCAAGAGUCUGUCAGAUGAUGAUUGCUGGUCCAUUUUCAUAAAGCAUGCAUUUGAAUCUAGAGAUCUUAACGAACAUCAAAUUUCAGAAUCAUUCCGCAAGAAAGUUGUUGCCAAGUGUGGAGGCUUGGCCCUGGCAGCAAAAACACUCGGAGGCCUUCUGCGUACGACGAGGCAUGAUGUGUGGGAUGAUAUAUUAGAGAGCAAAAUAUGGGAUUUACCUCGACAAAGUGGGGUUCUCCCAGUAUUAAGAUUGAGUUACCAUCAUCUUCCUUCUCAUUUGAAAAGAUGUUUCGCUUACUGUGCAAUCUUUCCAAAAGAUUAUGAAUUCAAUGAGAAGGAGGUGACUUUUUUAUGGAUGGCCGGAGGUAUUAUUCGACAGUCCAGAAGCAAAGAGAGGCUAGAAGAUUGGGGCAGCAAGUGCUUCUAUGAUCUGGUGUCAAGGUCAAUUUUUCAGCAAACAGCAAUCUCUGAUAGUUCUAAAUUUGUAAUGCAUGACCUUAUUCAUGAUCUUGCUGAAUUGGUCUCUGGAGAAACCAUAUUCAGGUUAGAGGAGGCCAAUACUCUGUCAAGAAGAUUUGAAAGGGUUCGCCAUUCUUCCUAUGCUUGUGGUGGACGUGAUGGUAAAAAUAUGUUCGAGGUUUUCAAUGAAAUUGAACAUCUACGAACAUUCUUGCCAUUACGCUUACGCAUAAGAGGUGGCUCUAAUACUAGUUUCAUAACUCGUACGGUUCUAUCUGAUUUGCUGCCGAAGUUCAAAAUGUUGAGAGUGCUAUCUUUACAAGGAUACCGUAUCGGUGAGUUACCAAUUCCAUUUGAAGAUUUGAGACUUCUAAGGUUCCUCAACCUUGCUGACACUGACAUAAGAAGUUUACCUGAGUCAACAUGCAAAUUGCUGAACUUGGAAAUUUUGAUAUUAAGAAAUUGUUCCCGUUUGAUAAAGCUUCCGCAGAAAAUGAGGAAUUUGAUCAAUUUACGUCAUCUCGAUAUAAGAGGUGCAAAGCUGCUAAAGGAGAUGCCAUUUGGAAUGAAAGAGUUGAAGAAGCUUCAAACAUUGUCCAAUUUUAUUGUAGGCAAGGGUGAAUCCGCAUCUGGUUUGGAAGAUUUAAAAAGUUUAAACCUUCUUUGUGAUGAACUCUGCAUUGCUGGAUUAGAGAAUGUAAAUAGUCCACAGAAUGCAAGAGAAGCCACAUUAUGUGAGAAGCACAAUCUUGAAGCAUUGACUCUAGAAUGGGGGUCUCAAUCUGACAGUCCUCGGGAUGCAGUACUAGAAGAGAAUGUACUUGACACUCUACAACCUCAUGAACGUAUAAAAGAGCUGGCAAUCAGGCACUAUGGUGGUGCAGGAUUUCCACUUUGGAUCGGACAUCCUUUGUUCUCCGAGAUGAAGGUCCUUAAAUUGGAGAACUGUGACAAGUGUGUAUCUCUGCCAUCGCUUGGCCUGAUGAAUUCACUUAAGCACCUUGCUGUUAAAGGGCUGAAGAAACUAAAAAGCAUAGAGUCUGCGGUCUUUCCAUCAUUGGAGACUCUAAGUUUUGAGAAUUUGCCAGAAUGGCAGCAUUGGAACACCAAUAUCAAAGGAAAUGAGCCUGUUGAAAUAUUUCCUCGUCUCCAAGAACUUUCCAUUGCAGAAUGUCCCCAACUCUCUGGAGAACUGCCUGAGCUCCUGCCUUCUUUGGAGACACUUGUUGUUAGUAAAUGUGGAAAGUUGGUAGUUCCAUUGUCAAGCUAUCCGAUGCUCUGCAGAUUAGAAGUUGAUGAGUGCAAAGAGCUAGUGUGCAGGACUCCAAUUAAUUUUGAGUUGAUAAAGUCUGUGACUAUUUCAAAUAAUUCAUUACUCAUGAAUGGAUGCAAGGAGAUGCUAUGCCAUGGUCAAGCUGGCUCUUCACUGCAGAAACCCAAGACUAUUAUGAAUGUUUUGGAGUUCGGAAAAUUAUUGAAGCCUGGAUUUCAGAUAUUAGAAACUUUGGUAAUUGGCAAUUCUGAACGGCUCAAGUCAUGGAGUACUUUUAUUGAACCAGGGCUACAUUUGCUCGCUUCCCCUGAAGAGGUAGCAAUUGAAGAAAGUUGUGUACGUCUUGUUUUGUUUCCAGAGAUCAAUUUCUUUCCCAGAAAUCUGCGCUCUCUUCGAAUUUGCAACAGCACUGCUUUCAAAUCCUUACCCGAGGAAAUGAUGGAAAACAAUUCACAACUCGAAAGGUUGUAUAUCAGAGAUUGCGACUCUCUAACAUUCAUCGCAAGACGGAGGCUACCAGCAUCUCUUAAAAGGCUUGAGAUAGAAAAUUGUGAGAAAUUGCAACGUCUGUUCGAUGAUGAAGAGGAUGCUUCUUCUUCUUCUCCUUCAUCCUUGUCUUCCCCAGUGAUGCUGCAACACCUGAGAAUAGAGAAUUGCCCAGAGCUCACCAGUUUAUCAUCGGGUGUCCAAUUCCUUGAGGCGCUUGAAUACCUCAAGAUAGAGCAUUGUCCAAAGCUGGAGUCAAUACCGGAUGGCCUGCCCAAUCUUAAAUGUUUACAGAGCAUUUAUAUACGGAAAUGUCCAAGUCUUGUUUCCUUCUUAGAAAGAGGGCUUCCCAACGCCAUUUCAAGUUUUUACAUUUGCAGAUGUGACAAGCUCGAAGCCUUGCCCAAUGAUAUGCACAAACUCAACUCUCUUCGAGAUUUAAGCAUACAUGGGUGUCCAAGUCUUGUUUCCUUCCCAGAAAGAGGGCUUCCCAACGCCAUUUCAAGGGUUUACGUUUGCAGAUGUGAGAAGCUCGAAGCCUUGCCCAAUGAUUUGCACAAACUCAACUCUCUUCGAGGUUUAAGCAUACAGAUGUGUCCAAAUCUUGUAUCGUUUCCAGAAGAAGGUUUUCCUACCAAUCUAACAUCACUUACAAUUAGAUAUUUCAAAAUGUAUAAGACACUCGUCCAGUGGGGGUUGCACAGGCUUACCUCUCUUAAACGCCUCUGGAUUGCUGUACGUGAUGAUGAAGCAGAGUGUUUUCCAGACGAGGAGAUAGGAAUGACGCUGCCCACCUCUCUCACCGCUCUGCACCUUACUGGAUUCGAAAAUUUGAUAUUUCUGUCUUCAAUGGGUUUUCAAAACCUCACCUCUCUUCAAUCUUUGAGGAUCGAGAAUUGCCCGAAUCUCACAUCAUUUCCAGAGGUGGGCCUUCCAUCCUCACUUUUGGAAUUACACAUUAGAGAUUGUCUAAAGCUUAAAAAAGCGUGCAAAAGAGAUCAAGGAAAAGAGUGGCCCAAAAUUGCUCACAUCCCUCGCGUUGAGAUAGACGAUAAAUUCAUAUACGAUCCAGAAGCAGAGUAGAUUCUAUUAUUAAGGUCAGUUGAUUUGUAUUAUCCGCUAUAACAAGCUCCUCCUUUUUUUUUCAAAUAAUAAUUUUGCAGUCACUCAUAUGAUUCCGUUUUCACAAGUCAGAUUGUAUGUUGAGGCUAUUUGCCUUUUAAUUAUAACACUUAUUGGAGUAUAAUAUUUUGGAGCAAGCAUACUUGAAAUUUCUGUCUUCAAUAUUUUGAUGCUUUUUUAAUUUUUGAUCUAGUAAAAAUACAUAGCCUUCACCGGCAGGAUUCUAGUCUUGGCUUUCACCUCUCUAACUCAUCGUCCCCACUGGGAUUCCAGAAAUUGAAAUUUCUGUCUUCAAUGGGUUUUCAAAGCCUCGCCUCUCUUCGAUUUUUAUGGAUCGCUUCGAUUUUUGCACAAAUCUCACAUCAUUUCCCGAGGUCGAGGAAAAGAGCGGCCCAAACUUGCUCGCAUCCCUUGGGUUAUGAUAGAUGGAAAAUUCAUAUACGAUCCAGAGUCAGAGGUGUUGAUUCUCUUAUUAAGGUCAACUGAUUUCUAUUAUCCACUCUGACAAUCUCCUAUUAGUGUUUUUCCUUUUCUUUUUCAAAAUUUUGCAGUUCUGUAUAAUUGAAAAUGCCACUCACUUGUUUCCUUUUUCGCAGGUCAAAUAGUGCGUUGAGGCUAUUUGCUUUCUAUCGGUGUUUGUUAAGGUAAUUAGUGCUCCAUCAUAGGUAUGACUGGAUUUUUUUCACUUCCGUAAAUAUUGCAUUUCUAUCGGUGUUUGACUGGAUUUUUUUCACUUCCGAAAAUAUUGCAUUUUAGACUGGCAAAUUUAGCAGUAAUUUUAAUACAAUUUUGUUGGUGCCUUUUGUUCCAGAAGCUAGAAAAAUGUGUAGUUUUCAGAUAAGGAGGCUUGUCAGUUCUCUAAUAAGAAUCCAAUAAUUUGCUUUUGCACGUCCAUCUAAUUUGUGGAUCCUUGCAUCAGAAUUUGAUCAAUCCAAAAGGAAUUGCUUUUAGACAGAGGAAGAAUAGCAGUACCUAGCCUAUGUCAUAGUGUAUGGAACCGCAAACCUGAAACUAUUAGAUUGAGGUAAAAAAAUCAUUGACCCCCUCACAUGUUAACUUCUUCUAGUUACUUUCGUUGGAAAAAAAAACAUUUAAGGAAUUUGCAAUUUGUUGUUGGUUAUGGUAUCUGAUGUUCUUUUCUGUUUUAGUGUUUGUAGAAUCUACUGUAUUAUGUGUUGGCAGUUGCCGUAUCUGAGGUAACUUGCCUUUAUUUGACAAAGAUUUAGAGAAGCAUCUCAAAACACUUAGUAAACUUGACAAACUUCAAGAUGCACUUGCCCCCACGCCUUAUUCUCCACAACGCAAAACUUGUGAGUACACCUAUGCCUGCAAUUAUUGUGAAGUGUUUUCAAUUUUGAUGCAGAGAAAUGGUUUCUUGAUGCAAAAUAUUAAACUGUUAAGAUUUAUCCUGCAGGCUUGUUAGAUGCUGUAUGCUCGAAAAGCCAACAACAUCCAGAACUAGAACUCCAAGACCAGCUUUGCGUUAAUUCAGUCAACUGUAAUAAUAAUGCAAAUGACACUAUAUCAAGCUGGACUUAGAGACUAGUCAGAUCAAUCAUCCAUUUCAUCAACGGUUAAUGUCAUGAUGGUGGCUAUCAGAGGAAACAAAAGAUGUGUCGGAAUCUAUACGAACAUUGAGAAGCAUGAGAGGAGCUUUGAUUUUGAGUAGGGUCAAUGAACUCAUGUUGGUAAGUGGUAAUUAAAGAAAUUUGUAAGCUUAGUAGAGUUUCAGUAUUUUCUGUUUGGAGUAUAGUUGAUAAGUUGACUCUGUUUAAUAAGCCCGAUUAUAGUAGCUGACUGUAUUAACCUUUUUUUUUUUGGUCUACUGUUGUUUUUGGUUUCGAUUAUUUUUUCAACAUUGGGUUGAUCUGUUGAAGAACAAGCUUGGGUUCGAUUCUGCUUUAACUACAAGGAAGAGCCAGACUUGGAUGCAGGCGUUAAGAUUUUAAUGGGUAAGAACAAAUGAAUGCUUUAACCAUGUUUCUCACUAAUUAAAAUGCACGGAUUGAAGGCAUCUGGGUUGAUCCUGACAAUGUGAUGGAAAUACUUCUCUAUUUUGUUCCUGUGUUCACAUAAUGUUUGUGGGAUAUGCUUCGACGAAGACCAGCAAUGAUGAGCAGACACCUGGUAAUAGGGUUCCUCGAGCAGGUAUAUCUUGUAAGAGUAUGGUAUUCAGGGGAGCAGGAGCAGGAAUAUCCUGCUCAUCCGCGAGCACGUCAUCCACGAGGCCAAUCUCCUGUUGGAAGCAUAAAGCCAUUCCUGCUACAUUCCUGCUAAGGGUUGAGUCGAGGAGACCCGGUCAACGACAGUUGGCGAGGCGUGCUCUCCAGUCCGAGAAUCAAGGCAUGAAGGCCACGCAACCACCCACGACUACGGAAAUGGGGCAUCCACUUUCGAGAGGUGGGAGGAUAACGAGCGCGAAUGGAAGAAGGCCCGAGUUCAGAGAUGGCCUAUAAAAAAGUAGCCAACAAAGGUAAAAGGGUUAGAAUUUUUGACAUUGUAACAGAAAAAAAGAAAGCUCUAAAGAACUGAGACUAAAAAAGAAAAGCCAUAAGAUUUGUGGCUAGUGUUCCCAGAACCUUCAUAUCUAACUUGAGCGUCGGAGGGUUUACGCCGGGAAAACAACCGGCGUACUCUGACCUAGUUCUGUGUACGCAGGAACUUCUGGAGAAGAAGCCUUACGAGGAGAGAUCCUAAUCGAGGUGGAGUUGAUCGAGCAAAGAUCCUGGUCGUAACAAGAGAGCAACCAGAAUCUCGCAUCAACAUUUUGGCGCCAUCUGUGGGGACUUGAUCAAAAAGCUUCUGUUGAUAGCAAGAAGAGGAGUGAAGCAAGUGGAAAAGCAAUGGAGGCAAGAAGAAAUAGUGCACAAUGGGGUGAUAUGAGGCUUAACGAUUCCGUGACGCUGAGGGAGAUAGCCAGUGAAGCACGGGAAAAAGCCAUGUUUGACCGGAUGGAACGGAUGGAAAAGCAGAUGCAGACCCUGACAACCAUCCUACAUGAGCUGCGGAGUGAACGAAGGGGAACCCAGGAGGAAAGGGUGAGAGGUGGUGGAGUGGCACCAGGUCAUGAUAGUACGAGGAGAAGUCAAACCACCGAGAGAUUUGGUGGUGAGAGAGGUAACCUAUCUCUACGGGGAGAAAUUCAUAGAGAGGAAGAGCAAUCCCCGGCAAGACAGAUUUUUGACGAGGACGACGGGGUGGCGAAUGCAGAGGAAACAGAGUUGAGGUAACACUUGCAUGAUGUAGAGCAAGAGCGGGAUCAAGUUGCAGCACGUGACCUUGGUCGUGUAGUGCAGCUGGAGGAGGAAGUGCGCAGACUAGCGCAGAUAAUUGAUGACAUGUAAGGAAGGAGCAGAGCUCCUGGUUGGAGGAUAAUGCUGGACGGAGAAUCACCGCUCGCAGCAGAGAUCAUGAGGGCAGUUAUUCCAAGAGAUUUCCGCCUCCCAGACCUUAGAUAUUCGGGACGAACUGAUCCGCUGGUGCACAUAGAGCGCUUCAACGACAUAACCGGGGUACAAGGAUUAUCUCAAUCCCAAAGGUGCAGGGUGUUCCCACUAUCCCUUGAGGGACGUGCACGCAAGUGGUACAGGAAACUUCCUCGGUGGAGCAUUAAAACCUUCGAGCAGAUGUGACAGGAAUUUGUAGAGCAGUUUCGUGGGGCAAUAGCACCAGAAGAUGACAUGAUGGAGUUGAAAAGCAUGAAGCAGGGGGAACAAGAAACCCUUCGGGAAUUCAUCAAGAGGUUUCAUCGUGCUGUCCUCGAUUUGGGAGCCUUCAACCAUUCUCAGGCAUUAAGGGGAUUGAAAGAAGGGGUGAAGAUAGGAAGGCUGUGGCACAACUUGAGAAGCCCAGUUAUUCAGAUGUAUACAGCCGCAUACGAGCAGGCUAAGAGGGACAUUGAGAUUGAAGAAGAAAAGGCAGCACGGAUUAAGACAGACCAGCUAGAAGGGUUGGGAAAGAAAGAGAAGAAAGCAUUACCAGGGAAUGGGCCGAUCAGGAGGAAGGACCACCAGGCCUCAGGUAGUGGUGCAAGAGGUCGAGUAACCGCUUACCAGCCUCAUCAGAGACCACCACAGUAUUAGCACAGCAGAGCACAACCUCCUCGUUCCCCAGUUAGAGAGCUUUGGAGAAGGCAUGACUCGACAUAUGGUGGUCUUCAUCAACACUCCCACGGUAGUAGAGGGAGCAGACCAGAAGCGCUGCCACCGCCUCUAACUCAGAAUGGAACAAAUAGAGAAAGGGUAGUGCACAUGAUCGACCAGAACCAGGACUAUGGGCAGUAUACUUCCUUGAAGAUGUCCCUGGACGAGGUGUACGAGGCCAUAAAGGACCGGGGAUUGAUGUACCUCCCUGCCCCAAUAACAAAGCUACCCAGCAGGACGGAUAGGGGACGCUAUUGUAAGUUCCAUGGCACUUAUGGCCAUACCACUGCAGAAUGCAGAGAUCUCAAGACCCAAGUUGAAGAUUUGGUGAGAAAUCGGUACCUGGAUGAGUUUAUAGAUGAGACUUUCCCGAUGGUGGCCUCGACAUGUGAAGGGGAGCAGAGUGAUAGAAACUUUAGGCGCGAGCAGCCUGCAGUAAGGGUAAUAGCUGGGGGCCCAACAUUGGCCGGAGAUUUCAACAGAUCGAGGAAGAAUUAUGCUAGAUACGCCAUAACUAGUAAAGAGUUACUCUUCAACACCCCAGCAGCCAAAUGAGUAAGAGUCAGACAAGUGCCAAUCAUGUGGACGGAUGAAGAUGAAGAAGAGAUUCUAUACCCCCACGAGGAUGCUUUAGUCAUCAAGGCUACUGUUGCAAGUAAGAAGUUUGACCGGAUACUGGUUGAUACAGGGAGCUCAGUUGAUGUGUUAUUUAAGUCAACUCUGGAGGAGAUGGGAAUAGCAGGCCGGAAGUUGGAGUACACCAAUACCUCCUUGAAAGGGUUUGGAGGAGGAAAGCUGGUCCCUCUGGGCGUGGUCGAGCUGCCUAUCACGAUUGGGAGCUCCCCGACAAAAAGGACUAUGAUACUGGACUUUGUGGUGGUGGAUGAAGAAUGUCCUUACCAGAUGAUCUUAGGUCGGCCAUUUCUGAGGAUGAGCAAAGCGGUACUGUCCAACCAUUAUCUGGCUCUCAAGUACCGAGUGAAUGUGGUAGUUGGAGUGGUACGAGGAGACCAGAGAAUAGCACGAAGCUGCUACUCCUUGGCAGCAAGGGAAGCAAUGCAAAUAACAUCCCUUGAUACCCGAGUGGAAAACAUGAAUGGCAGACAAGAACCUGUAGAGGAGCUGGAGACAGUAAGCCUGGGACCAGAGAAUCCGGGAAAAACGAUCAGAAUCGAGUCGAGACUUAAGGAAGAGCAGAAGCAGGAGUUGGUGAAAUGCUUACAGGCUCAUGCAGAUGUGUUUGCUUGGACACAUGAAGACAUGCCAGAGAUUGAUCCUGAGGUAGCAUGUCAUAAGCUGGCAAUAAAGAAAGGUGCUCGGGCAGUAAGGCAGAAAAGGAGGUGCUUCAACCAGGAGAGGUAUGAGGCUAUAAAUGGCGAGGUGGAGAAGCUCUUGAUAGCAGGGUUCAUUUGCGAAGUCGAUUAUCCUGAGUGGAUAUCGAAUGUGGUGUUGGUAAAGAAGGCAAAUGGCAAGUGGAGGAUGUGUGUAGAUUUCACAGAUCUCAAUAAGGCGUGCCCGAAAGACAGCUUUCCUUUAUCAAAGAUCGACCAGCUAGUAGAUUCAACGGCUGGACACGGCCUGCUUAGCUUCAUGGACGCGUUUUCGGGAUACAACCAAAUUCCCAUGUAUGAGCAGGAUGAGGAGAGCACGGCUUUUAUUACUAACCAGGGUUUAUUUUGUUACAGGGUAAUGCCAUUUGGUCUUAAAAAUACUGGGGCCACGUACCAGAGGCUGGUGAAUAAAGUCUUUAAGCCAUUGAUUAGGAGAACCAUGGAGGUGUACGUGGACGACAUGAUAACCAAGUUGAACAUCCCGAAGGAACAUGUCAGAUACCUCGAGGAGACAUUCGGGCUUUUGAGGAAGUAUAAGAUGAAGCUCAACCCGGAAAAGUGUGCUUUUGGGGUCGAGUCAGGGAAAUUCCUUGGAUUCAUGGUGAGCCAUAGGGGGAUCGAAGCAAAUCCCGAGAAGAUCCACGCGAUCGUGUAAAUGAGGUCACCUCGUAGCCUGAAGGAGAUGCAGAGCCUCACGGGGAGGUUGGCGGCAUUGAGCCGAUUCAUAUCCAAGGCUACUGAUAAGUGUCAGCCAUUCUUUCAAGUGAUAAGGAGGGGAAAGAAAAUAGAAUGGACCCCAGAAUGUGAAGAAGCCUUCCAGAACUUGAAGCAGUACUUGCAGCAAGCACCUCUACUGUCCACACCGAGGGAUGGGGACAAGUUAUUUUUGUAUUUGGCGGUAUUAGAUCGGGCCGCAAGUUUUGUUCUGGUGAGAGAGGAAGAAGGGGUUCAGUAUCCGAUAUACUACACCAGCAAGGCUCUGCUCGACCCUGAGACCAGAUACCCACCGUUGGAGAAAUGGGCAUUUGCCCUUGUGGUUGCUGCUCAGAAGCUGAGGCCAUACUUUCAAGCAUUCCCAGUCUCGGUAAUAACAAACCAGCCAUUGCGUCAAACUCUGCACAAGCCAGAUGCUUCUGGUCGGCUCGUCAAGUGGACUAUAGAGCUGAGCGAGUUCGACAUAGACUACAAACCCCGAGCAGCGAUAAAGGCUCAGGCGAUGGCCGAUUUCAUAGCAGAAUUCACAGAGCCCGAAAUAUGUUUGGACCAGCGAGAUGUAGCUACAGACAGCAACGAAGCCCGAGUAUGGCAGAUGUCUGUAGAUGGAUCAUCCGGGGAGUAGGGAUCAGGAGCAGGAAUUGUUUUGGAAGGCCCAGAAGGGGAGGAGAUCUCUUAUGCUGUAAAGUUAGAAUUCGCAGCCACAAAUAACCAAGCAGAGUACGAAGCCUUGAUAGCAGGUUUGGAAUUGGCUAAGGCAGUGAAAGCGGAUAGAGUGAAGAUCAGAACUGAUUCCCAGCUGGUCGCAAAUCAUGUCAGUGAAAGAUUUCAACCGAGAGAGGAGAAGAUGGAGCAGUACCUGAAGAUAGUCAGGCAUAUGAUGGGGAAAUUUGAAGCGGUUUAGGUGAUACAAAUCCCCAGGGAGCAGAAUAGUCGAGCAGAUAUUUUGACGAGGAUGGCAGCGGUAGCAGACCCAAAAAUGCCAAAGUCGAUCCCUCUGGAGGUGAAGUCCAGCCCGAGCAUCGAGCAUAAUUUGGGGGUGCUGCGGAUAGAACAAAAAUGCUCGUGGAUGGACCCGAUAAUUUCAUACCUUAGAGACGGGGUAUUACCACCAGAGAAGCUGCGAGCUCGGAAGAUUAGAGCCCAGGCCUCGAGAUACACGAUGAUUGACGGGGUAUUAUAUCGGCGAGGAUAUACGCUACCUUUCCUUCGGUGUUUGGAUGAGGACGACGCGGACUACGUACUGAGAGAAGUACAUGAAGGAAUUUGCGAAAAUCACUAUGGUGGGAGGUCCCUGGCUCACAAGGUUCUAAGGCAGGGAUAUUUCUGGCCGACAAUGCACCAGGAUGCGCAAGAGAAGACCAGGAGCUGUGUAAGCUGCCAGAGUUUUGUGAGUUUCUCUAACCAACCACCAGAGAAGCUCACCUCUAUGGCCCCCCCCUGGCCAUUUGCUCAAUGGGGAAUUGAUCUGAUCGGCCCGUUGCCAAAGGGAUGAGGAGCAGCAACACAUGCAAUAGUUGCGAUAGACUACUUCACGAAGUGGAUAGAGGUAGAAGCCCUUAGUAGGAUCACAGAGAAGAAAACAACAGACUUUGUAUGGAGAAACCUGGUCUGUCGAUACGGGAUCCCUUAUGCCUUGGUAACGGAUAAUGGCAGGCAGUUUGAUAAUCACAGCUUCAGGGAUUUCUGCCAGAACCUCGAGAUAGAGUUGAAGUAUUGCUCGCCUGCUCACCCUCAAUCUAAUGGACAAGUAGAAGCAGCCAACAAGACCAUCAAGAGGCUUUUGAAAACCAGGCUUGGAGCAAAAAAGGGUGCAUGGGUUGAUGAGCUGUCAGGUGUCCUAUGGGUAUACAAGACAACCCACAAAACAGCAACUGGGGAGACACCGUUCGCCUUGGCUUUCGAACAUGAAGCGGUCGUACCAGCCGAGAUAGGAACGACCACGCACCGGACAGAUCAUUUCAAUGAGCAGGAGAACGACGAGCAGAUGUGUUUGAAUCUAGAUCUGCUAAUGGAAAAGAGGGAGCAAGCAGCCGAGCGAUCAACCAUUUGCCAGCAGAGGGUUGCUCGGUAUUAUAACCAGAAGGUGAAUGUACGGCAGUUCAAGGUCGGAGAUUGGGUGUUAAGAAGAGUGAAUCAGAAUACGAAAGACUCGGCUCAGGGAGUACUUGGACCAAAUUGGGAGGGGCCAUAUAGGGUCAAGCAGCUAGUUGGACCCGGAGCUUACAAGCUGGUUCGCUCGGAUGGCCACGAGGUGAAACGCCCAUGGAACGCAACACACCUCAGGAAAUAUUUCCAGUAAGAAUUGUCCAUGUUUUCAAGUUAUUUCUGUUCGUGUUUGUUGUUAUUUAUUUUAUGUCAAAACAAUUUCAUGUAAGUUGAAUCCUGCAAUUAAUGAAACGUCGAGGAAUUUCAUUCACUUGAAACUGUGAAAAAUCUACUAAGGCAUGCUAAGGCUCACUGAGUCUCAAAGCCUGUUUAUGGAAAGACCAGAAGCCAAGUGUGCCAGGAUCUGCUCGACCACGCGAAGGCCAGCAGAAUCCCAAAUCAUUGAAGAAUCUACCAAGGCAUGCAAAGGCUCGUCAAGUCUCAAAGCCUGUUUAUGGCGAGACCAGAAGCCAAGUGUGCCAGGAUCUGCUCAACCACGCGAAGGCGAGCAGAAUCCCAAUCAUUGAAGAAUCUACCAAGGCAUGCAAAGGCUCGUCAAGUCUCAAAGCCUGUUUAUGGCGAGACCAGAAGCCAAGUGUGCUAGGAUCUGCUCAACCACGCGAAGGCGAGCAGAAUCCCAAUCAUUGAAGAAUCUACUAAGGCAUGCUAAGGCUCACCGAGUCUCAAAGUCUGUUUAUGGCGAGACCAGAAGCCAAGUGUGCUAGGAUCUGCUCGACCACACGAAGGCGAGCAGAAUCCUAAAUCAUUGAAGAAUCUACCAAGGCAUGCAAAGGCUCGUCAAGUCUCAAAGCCUGUUUAUGGCGAGACCAGAAGCCAAGCAUGCCGGGAUCUGCUCGGCCAAGUAAAGGCCAGCAGACUCCCCAACAUCAAAAAAUUAUCCAAGGCAUGCAAAGGCUCGUCAAGUCUCAAAGCCUGUUUAUGGCGAUACCGGAAGCCAAGCAUGCCGGGAUCUGCUCGACCAAGUGAAGGCUAGCAGACUCCCCAACACUGGGAAAAUUAUCUAAGGCAUGAGAAAGCUCGUCAACUCUCAAGGCCUCCUCUGUGACGAGGUCAGAAGCCAAAUGGAUAAAUAAAUUAAAAUUCCAAUGCGAGGAAGCAAAUAAGAACAAUUUUAUUAAGCUCUUAAAAGUCUGCAAUUCUGUUACAUACAACGCUAAAAAAGCAAUUACAACGCAAGACAAGUUCAGGAGGACGGCGGAUCAGUAAACCGAGUAGCUUCGGUUGGCUGGUCCACUUCAGGGGUCGAGGGGGUGUCACCAGUUGCGUCCGGGGGGGUACUCGCCUCACCAACGUUAGCAGGGACUGCAUGAGGAGGAGAGUUUUCCUCCUCAACCACGAUUGGCUCCACCCCUUCGGCAUCCUCCUUUGCCGCCUCCUCGUCCAUGUGUUGAACAAUACUAGCCGCAAGGUCAUCCAUCUUCAGAUCAGGAUGCUGCUUCCCGAGGACGGCCAUGAUGCAACGAUAGGAAUGCCGAAGUCCCUGGUCGUACUGGUUGUCGGCUUCCUUCUCCAAGUUCUUGACCUGAACUCGGUGGGAAUCGCGGAGAGAUUCGAGCUGAGCCUCGUACAUAAUUUUCUGCCUUUGCAGAUCCUCCUUGACCUUAGUCAGCUCUUCCUCGAGAGUAACGGCCUAUGCUUGAGCAAGAGAUUCUUGCUCUAUCAGCUUCAGAUUCUCGAGAUUCAAGUCUCCCGCUUUCUUCUCGGCAGCAUCGGCUCUGGUCGUCGCCGAUUGAAUGUCCUCCUUCAUCUUCCGGUCGUAACGGCCAACCUUGGCCUUAUAGUAAGUGGUCAUGCAGCUGAGGUGGAAAGCGCUAUACUGCAUGGCCCCCACCAGCUCACCUAGGGUGCAGCCAUCAAAGUCCUCCAGGUCCUUCUUGCUCACGAGUUUAAAUAGCUCAUUGAGAUAGGGGACCAAGUGUUCUGCUCGGUGGUCAGAUAAACGAGAUCUAGGCCCGACAGGAGGAGAAGAGAAAGCAGGAUCAGUGGCAGCUCCACUAGUCUCUCUGACUUUGGCAGGAGGAGGAGGAGGUAGAGUCUGCAAGGGAGCAACCUGUUGCACGAUGUUCACCUGCUUUGCAGUAGGAGCAUCUUUAUUCUGGUCCUGCUUGGUCGUUGGAGGUCGAGAACGUUUCCUAGUCAGAGCCCCAAUCACAGCAUCCUCCAUCUUAUGGCCGGGAGGCACCAAACAAGACUCGAGCAGGUUAUAAGUAGUUAUCAGCUCUCGGCUCGAGCAGGAAUUGGCUAGUACAGCCUCGACCCGUUUGAGCUGGUCAGGUUUGAGCGGGAAGUAAACACCCCAAGAACCUGCAACACAAAUAGACACUUGGUUAGAGACAAACCAGUAUAGCGAGAACAAUUAUGGAUACAAGACAUCUAAAGCGAGCAGGCAACCUGAGAUCACGAAACGGGGUGGGACGCAAGAAUCCUUCCCGUCAAUUUGUGCAACUUGACCCCAGGAACCCCCAGCAAAAAAGAAUUUUUUCUUCCAAUUCCCACCACCACCAGUAAGAAGAUCGGUUAUGGGUUUCCUGGUCUUGGUACUAGAUUGGAAGUAGUACCAGCCGGCAUCUUUGGGGCUGCUCUUUAGCUGGUACAGGUGCUUCACCUCAUCAACUGUGGGCUUGCUUUGGCAACAUCUGUCCCACAAUAUGAACAGACCAGAGAGUACUUUCCACCCGUUGGGGUUCAGCUGACCAGGAGCUAGAUUUAGCCCGUUAAGCAUCCGGGCAAAGUAGGGUUGCAAGGGACACCUCAGCCCAUACUUAAAGCUCUCUAGAAACAGGGUAACGUAUCCCCUAGGAGGCCGGCUAGGGGUAUCCUUCUUUCCUGGGAUCUUAAGAGGUAUUUCACCAGGAAUACUAUACUUAAGCCGGAGGUCAGUGAGCUCGUCAAACGUGGUCGUGCACGUCAUGUAAUCAAUAGCGUAAUCCCGCGAUAGGGCUCUACCUCCUACUGUACUCUGCCCUUCUGGUCGCGAUGUUCAUAAUGGGGACACCUCACCAGAAUCACCUCUUCGAUCCUCACUCAGGGUGUUUUCCGAGCCAGAAAACCCCUCCUCACCGCUAUUUCUGCUCGAGGAGGUUGUUUGGGGGGACAUCCUCCUAGCGCUAGUACCAACACUAGGUCUAAUGGGUUCUAAGGGGAUCCCGGGGUCAAAAGCAGGAUCGGUGAGCAGACUAGGCAGGAAGUCCAACUCAUUGUCAUCAACCUCAAUGACCUUCUCUUUACCUUUCGACAUUCCCUAAGCUAUAACUAGAACACCACCACCAACUACUACCCAAGCAAAGCAAAGAGAAAAGAAAUUAUCUACAGCUAUCCGAGACUGAGGAGAUAGAAGUAAUACCUGAAAUAGUGGUUCAGUCGGAGAAGGACAGGGAUGGAGGCCUUUAUGCCGGAACUUCUUUGCCAGGGAGACAGGGACAGAGACGGGGUAAAUGACGAAUUUUCCUUUGGAGAGGUUUUAGGUUUUCCUAAUGGAGAAUAAACUCUUGGGUUGCCAGCAUUUAACAGCACCAAAUCCCGAGGGUCUCGUAACCGUUGGUUUGAAAUUCAAAUAGAGAGGUAGAUUUCUGUCACAUCACCUCGUCCGCAAUUAAAUGCGACACAACUCUUGGCAGCCUUUUUCCUAUCCCGCGCAAGCAAGAGCUGUCAAGUUUCUACUAUCGGCUUACUACGUUACCCAACACCAGAAACUGGGGGAUCGGUGUUUGUGGGAUAUGCUUCGACGAAGACCAGCAAUGAUGAGCAGACAUCUGGUAAUAGGGUUCCUCGAGCAGGUAUAUCUUGUAAGAGUCUAGUAUCCGGGGGAGCAGGAGCAGGAAUAUCCUGCUCAUCCGCGAGCACGUCAUCCACGAGGCCAAUCUCCUGUUGGAAGCAUAAAGUCAUUCAUGCUACAUUCCUGCUAAGGGUUGAGUCGAGGAGACCCGGUCAACGACAGUUGGCGAGAUGUGCUCUCCAGUCCGAGAAUCAAGGCACGAAGGCCACGCAACCACCCACGACUACGGAAAUGGGGCAUCCACUUUCGAGAGGUGGGAGGAUAACAAGCGCGAAUGGAGGGAAGGCCCGAGUUUAGAGGUGGCCUAUAAAAAGGUAGCCAACGAAGGUAAAAGGGUUAGAAUUUUUGACAUUGUAACAGAAAAAAAGAAAGCUCUAAAGAACUGAGACUAAAAAAGAAAAGCCAUAAGAUUUGUGGUUAGCGUUCCCAGAACCUUCAUAUCUGACUAGAGCGUCGGAGGGUUUACGCCGGGAAAAGAACCGGCAUACUCUGACCUGCUUCUGUAUACGCAGGAACUUCUGGAGAAGAAGCCUUACAAGGAGAGAUCCUGAUCGAGGUGGAGUUGAUCGAGCAGAGAUCCUGGUCGUAACAAGAGAGCAACCAGAAUCUCACAUCAACACAUAAUAUAAUAUAUAUAUAUAUAUAUAGAAAGCUGAAUUUAUUUAUUUACGCGCAUGUGCUAGUGCCCACUGGCAUCCACUUGAUUUGUAUCGGUUAAAUGUAUCAUACAAUACAAUAUUAGCUUGACUGUAGAAAAGAGGAGAACGAGUUGGUGUUGGUCUGAACUCUUAUCUUUGAAUCUCACGUGACUCCACUACUUUUUACUUGUUCUGUAGUCCAUUGUCGGCAGCUCAUACAAGGUCUUUUAGCUUUUUAAAAAGUUUUAGCUUUUUGGAUAAAUUACUGAUAAUUGUAAUCUAUAAAUAAUGAAAGGAAUUAAUUAAAUAUUUGGUAAAUUUUAUUUUUUAAAGUGUUAUGAGUUUUAAAAACGGUUGUAUGUAUAUAAAUUUAUUUACACAUAUAUUUAUAAAUAUGACUAUAUAAUAAUAUUUUAUGUGUACAUAUAAUAAUUGAUAACUAAAAUAAAUAUUUUUAUUUUAUUAAUGGUUUUUUCGUCUCAAUGUAGUUGGUAAUAAUAAUCUCUUGAGAUGUAACGAUUUUAUUUCCUAACUGAAUAAGGAAAAUUUUAGAUUUUUAUAAUAAAUGUUAAGAUAUAUUUAGAAUUACAUUAAGUAUGAAAUAAUCCUCAAAAUUAGAUUUUGAAAAGCAAUUCUUUUCUUGCCUUUAAAAAUAUGUCAUAUGAUGAGAUGAUUUUACUAAAAGUGAUUUUUUUUUAAAAAAUUACUAAACAUCAAAAUUAACUCUUAACUUUUUAAAAUCAUUUCUAAUCUUCUCAUCCUAAGUUCUCUAUUAUUUUGUACAAAAUCCAAGGUUUUGACUUUAAUAAAAUGCCCACUCAAAAAGAAAUUAUUUUCUAAUUAAGAUUUGUUGUUAAUGUAUAACUCGAAGUAAUAUUAGAUAUUUGUAAUUUUAUUUCAAAAAAUUUAUUCAAAUGAUAUGGCAAGCAAUGAACAAUAGUUGAUAGCAAUUUUUUUUUCUUUAACAAUGUUCAAAUCAAUCAGUUGCAUUAUCUCACCAUUUUUAUGAUGCCAUGUUAUUUUAAACGAUUUUUUUUUUAUAUAAAACAUACGACGUGUUAACAUCAUUUGCAUAACUUGACCUUUUUUUUUUUCCCUACAAAUAGUAAGUCAAAUUUACUCACCCUAUUUCUACCUAAAAUCUACCUAAAACUCAUGCAUCACUGCAAAACAAAUCCAAAGAUUGCGGUGCGUUUUUCUUGGUCAGAAAUCAAUAAUUAGGUCAAGUACUACUACUAAGCGUGCACAAUUAAUUCUAAAAUACGGUGAUCAAAAUCAUACUUUACGCAAGAGGAUCAGGGCUAAACUUCAAUUAGGCAUUAUUCAUCCAAAAAUCAUUGACUCGGCAUUCUUUGCAAGUUGUAGCAUGGGACAGCUAAGAUAAUUAGCAAAUGAUAUGGACCAUAUGCACCAAUACAUUUGUGACAUGUGAAUCUUGGCAUUAAAGGAAAGGCAAUGUGUCAAAAUUUAAUAGAGCCCAACUCUUCAUUGAAUGAUUAUCAGAUCCAAUACGCAUCCUUUGAUUGGAUUAUUUUAAGUCAAUUAUUGGUGGAUUGGGGCCCACUUGACUCUACCAAAUCGGGCUCGACCAUAUCACCUAUUAACGGCCACCUGUCCUUAUCAUAAAUAGCAAAUGUCACUUGUUUUAUUUUCUAUUUUACCAAAGUAAAGUCACUACGAACGCAAAAGAAAGUGACCUCAAUUUUGGGGGUCAUGAACUUUGGAUUAUUAUGGACACAAGAGACAAGCGCAAUGUUUCUCAUUUAUCACUGGAUAAGAUUUAAGUUAUCAACCCAAUAUUAAUAAAUUCUGCUUGAAAAGUAAAGUUUGAAGCUUCAUUUUGCGAAUAUUCAAUGGUUAACAUUUAAGUAAUUAACCUGAUAUUAAUCCAAUUAAACUUUUUAUGUAAUCCAAGUCAAAAAUAUAUUGAUAAACCUAAACUAAUCUAAUUGGACAUAUUAUUUCAACUUGAAAAGGUGAAUUUAUCAUUUUUCAAUUAAUUUUGAAUCAAGCUAUGUAAAAUAUAAGCUUAUUAAAGACAUAUUUGAAAAUUUCAAAUUGAAUUAUUUGACAAUUACAUUUCAACUAAGUUGUACUGCUAAUUAACUUCCUCAACUUAAAAUGUAUUUUUCUCAAUUAAUUCGUAACAAAGAAUGUUAGAUGUUUUGUUCGAAUGAUAACAUUCAACAUCCUUAUUCUUUAUGAUUAUUGCAUAAAAACAUAUUUUAUCCAUUUACGUCACAUAUGUUCCUAAAUUGUAUAAGAAAAUCACCAAAUUUACUCUUGUAAGUUACUAUAUCAAUGAACAUGAAACUAACUAAUCAUUAAAGUCUCGGAAUGACAUCAUGAGGGGGAUUCCGUUACAUUUAUUGAUAGGAUUAGAUAUAUGUCUUCCCAAAUAUUAGUAGGAGUAAUUAAACAGAUGCAGCUAUUAAAAAUAUGGAAUUACUUAUCUCGUCAAUAACUAACGAUAUUUUUUAUCUAUGCUCGAUAGGCGUCUGAGCUAUAUUAUAAAUUGUAAUAUUUGUAGAUUGUAACAAUUAUAAAAAAAAAAAAAAAAAGCUCCCUAAGACUAAACGACAACAGGACUGUUUUGAAAUAGAUAGAUAAAGUAUGCCCUUAUUUGAGAAAAGGUAAAACACUAGGGAUCUAAAUGUUAUUAUAAUCCCAUGCACAAAAAUGCUAGAAAAAACUAAUAACAACUAACCGAAAAUCCCAGGCGUCAUAUUCCUUUUUACCGCGUUUUAAAAUGCACAACAAUGAUAUUCUCACAAAAGUGGGUACAAAGGUUUGUACAACCAGGGUCUCUUUGUAAAUUAUUUCAAAGUUUUGUGUUAUUUUUUAAAUUUAUGAUUUUUAUUAAUUUUGAUUCAUUGGAGCAUUUCUCCUUCCAUCUCUUCUACAUCUAUUUUUAAAGUUUUUUAAAAUUUUGACUAUAUCUUUAUAGAGUUCUAAAUGAUUAUCUUUUUUCAUAAAAAUCUAUACUUAAAUUAAUCCUUGAAUUUAUAAUCAUUUAUCUUCUUUGAGUCAUAGACCAAAUUUUUUCUUCUAACAUAUCUAUGUAUACUCCUAAGCUAUCUUCAUGGCUUAGAUACAUUCUAUCAAAGCUUUCACAUAUAAAUUGUGAUUUGAGAUCUGCAUCUUGAAUCAACAUCUCUAUAUUAUCCAUUGUUUUACGCUCGAGGGUAGUUAAAAUUGAUUCUAUUAAUGCUAUCGUGUUUCUCCUUCAAAAGAAUCAAAUAUUUCUGGAUUAUUAAUUUCUUUUAUUUCUUCAUACAAGCAUUCGUUUGCCGUUAAUCUUGUUUUAAUCAAGGAAGCUGUAUAAGCAACUUGAUAUUCUUGACAAAAGUCUAAAUGAUCUAUUGCAUCUAGAAAUUUAUUAAUAGAUCUUUCCAUUUUUAAGAAAUUGAGUUACUCUUAUCACUUCCAAUCUUUUAACAUCUCAGAAAACAAACAAGGCCCAGCAUGCUUCCGUUUGUAGCUCAAAUAAAAGAAGAGUUCAGAUCACUAACCAAUGUACUAUCUCUCGGAAGUCUGAGAUAGACUCACUAAUUGCCUCUAACCAUAGAGAGGUCCAUGGUCAGCACCACCAUAGCUCCACACAUCAUACAAGAUCACUUCAACGACUGUUCCACAUGGCCUAAUGCAACACACAGCAGACUGGCCUAAUAGGAUAUGUCUAAGUGAUUUUCUUGCAGUUGUCUCUGGAAGAGUGCUUAGUAAUAGAAAAUCUUCUUCGUUUAGUACAAGUAUUGGUAUGUAAGGUUCUUGAUUAAUUUUCAAAAGAUGUAUAAGUGUUAGAGUGCAAUUUAUGCACUAGUUUUGCAUUAUUUACUUCCCUUAAUAUCAAUGUUUUGCACUUAAUAAUAGUGAUUUACUUGUGUUUUACUUUUGUAGGUCCAAUUCUAUUGAUUGAUGAUAAAAUUGAGCUAUAAGAUGAUGUUUAAGGAUGAUUGUUCUCUUGGAGAAAUUAUGAGCGUCAGAAGAACUUUGUUGAUAAGGCGUGGGCGCGUGCUGUCAAUUGCGGACCUGCAGUUUUUAGUUUAACGUGUUUUGUAUUUUUGGUUAUUUUUGUAAUUACGAAUUUAAUAUUUCAGAUAUUAAGAUUUUAUUUUAAAUAGAAUUCUAAAAGAGAAGAGAGAGAGAGUAUUUAAGGGAGGAAUCUAUUGUGAAAAAGGGGGAUUUUGGAUUGGAGAAAGAAAGAAACCCUAGAUCUAAUUUUUCUCUUCUCUCUAUGAAGAACUAAACUUAUUUUUCUAGUUGAAGGUUAACGAAGCUUUGAUUCAUCACUACUGUGAGAUCUUUCUUAUGCUUUAAUUGUUUUAUUACUUUUUGGAUAUUUGUUUAUUCUCUGAAUUUUUUUCAUGAUUAUGUUUGUUAAUUAGGUAAUUGGCCACUAUUUAAUUAUCAACUUAAUCUAUUGUCAAUUAAAGGAUUCAUCGUAUGAAGAAUUUAAUAUUUGUGACAAAUAACAUAGCAGAGAGUUGUGUUGUGAGAAUAAACAAUCUAAUUUAAAUGAAUCAUCAUAUGUGUUGAUUAGGAUUUGGGUCUCUCUGGUUUUUCAGGCUGUCAAUGAAUUAAAUCCUAUGAUCGUAUCUAGGGUUGUCCAUUGAUUAGGGAAAUAACCAACGGUCGUACCUUGGUUAUCGACUAGUAAAGGAGAGAUUGGCUAUUAGAGGGUCUCAAUAGCUAUAACCGGUCUAUUCAUAAGUAAUAAUAAUCUAUAUUUGAAUCAAUGAUCAGUAGUAGAAUCAAGCUGAGUUAAUUCCUUCAACCAGAGCUUUCUCCAAUUUGAAUUACAACUUUAAUUUGCAUUCUUGUUAUUUUGAUUUGAUUUUUAUUAUUGUCAACAAUUCCCCCAUUUUACGUUUUACGUUUCAAAAGGAUUUAAAUAAUUACCGAUCUCUGUGGACACGACCCUGCUCAAUCACUAUACACAAUUUAUUUAGAGUAGGAAUUUAUUUUUGUUCGCUUCGACACCACUGCUGCCUCGCCAACUAUUCCUUCUACAUCCGCACCACCUUUGAGCAUUCAGUUAGAGAAAAUAGAGCACAAGCUGAACAAGAUGGAGCAGAAUUUGGCCGCAUACUUCGAGAGUGUGGGUUUUACCCCACCAUUUCCGCCAAGCCCAUAGACGUUAUGUGGAUCAAAGCUCACAAUUCAGGGAAGUUUCUUUUUGCCCUUAAUCUUUUAUCCUUACGCUUUAAUUUUUAUGUGAGCUUUAAUUAUCUUACAUUGGGGACAAUGUAAGUUCUUGGUGUGGGGGAGGGAUUUUUGCAUUAUUGAUGUCUGGAAGUAUUAUUUUCACUCUACUCAUCUAUUUUCAUUCUACUCGUCCUUAAAUGAUUUUGGAGUUAGUAUGCUUCAUAUAUUAUUAUUUUUCUUUUCUUUUCUUUCUCACUACUUUUUUCCCAUCUAUCUCAAAUUAUUUACAUCUAUUUUUAUUCUAUCAUACUCUUUCAUCACUCACAUUUUAUCUUUCACUUUUCAUAUUACUACAUACAUCUUUCUCACUUCUUAUCAUUUUUACCUUUCCUUCACUCAUACCUUCUUCUCAUUCUACACCACUAUUGAUGGUUGAUUCAUUUGAAGAGUGUACAUGAUUUGAUGGCAAAUUUACCAACUUUGUGAGGAUUUGAGCCUAUGAGCAACCACUUUGCUCUAAUUAUUUUUAUUAUGUGAAUAUCAAUCUUAGUUUGUUUAUUCUAGAACUUGCUUUGUUAUGCAUGUUGAAGCCACAUUACGGGAUUUUUUGCAUUAAAAUGAUAAGGGCAAACCAUUUACCAUUUUUCUAUUCUCGCAUUUUCUUUUUUUUUUCUCUACCCGAAGACCUUGAUUUACUAUCUUUGUUUGAGCCUUAACCAUUACCCAUCUAAUUCUCUCCGUCUACUUAACCAUUUUUCUUCUUUUUUAGCCUCAAUUUAAGGAGAUUUUUGGACUCAUUGUGUGGAUAUAUUUUGUAUAUAUUUUGUUGCUUUUUCUACCUUGUAUUAAAGUUUCUCAAUUAGAUCAACAAGCAUUAUGCUUGAAUUAAAUUGUGCAAGGUUCAUUUCUUUUGUUUGAUUCAAAAAAAAAAAAGAAAGAAAAAGAAAAGGAAAAAGAAAAAAAAAGAAAAAAAAAGAAAAAUCGAAAAAAAAAGAAAAAGAAGAAAAAAAAAUGUUUACAUUCUUGGUGACUUGAGUAGAAAUAAGCGUUUCGAUAUCAUAAAGUUCGUUCAAUGAGUUCAUUCUUCUCAUUUUGAUCUCUUUUUCUUUCAUAAACCUUUCUUUUUCAUUUAACCCAUUUAACCCCGUUACAACCUUUUAAGACCCUUAGAUUUUUGUAUUUAAUUCAUGUUUUGUGGAUUGAAAUGUGAUAUAUAAGCAAGCUUAUGGUAAUAGCAUUCUUUGAUUUGAUUUGAGUGAAUAAAUGACACCCUAAACACUUUGAGUGCAUGGAGUGAAGUCAAUGAGAGGGCUAUUAAAUCUUGUUGCACUUGAAUUUUGAAUGGAUCUUCUUGGUGGUUGAAUGUUCUUAUUCUAUCUUAUGAGAUUCUAUGCUUUAAAAUCCUUGUCUCUCGAAUGUUGAUCGACUUAAUUUCUUGAGGUAUACUUGCUUAAAAUUGUUUUUGGAUGAGUUGAGAUGAGAAUUGAGUGGAGAUUUGGGAUUAGUCUUGAGUUAUAUGCUUGAGGACAAGCAUCAUCUUGGUGUGGGGGAAUUUGUUAGAGUGCAAUUUAAGCACUAGUUUUGCAUUGUUUACUUCCCUUAAUAUCGAUGUUUUGCACUUAAUAAUAGUGAUUUACUUGUGUUUUACUUUUGUAGGUGCAAUUCUAUUGAUUGGUGAUAAAUUAAGCUACAAGAUGAUAUUUAAUGAUGAUUGUUCUCUUGGAGAAAUUAUGAGCGUCAGAAGAACUUUGUUGAUAAGGUGUGGGCGCGUGCUGUCAACUACGGACCUGCAGUUUUUAGUUUAACGUGUUUUGUAUUUUUGGUUAUUUUUGUAAUUACGAAUUUAAUAUUUCAGAUAUUAGUAUUUUAUUUUAAAUAGAACUCUAAAAGAGAAGAGAGAGAGAGUAUUUAAGGGAGGAAUCUAUUGUGAAAAAGGGGGAUUUUAGAUUGGAGAAAAAGAAAGAAACCCUAGAUCUAAAUUUUUCUCUUCUCUCUAUGAAGAACUAAACCUAUUUUUCUGGUUGAAGGUUAAUGAAGCUUUGAUUCAUCACUACUGUGAGAUCUUUCUUGUGCUUUAAUUGUUUUAUUACUUUUUGGGUAUUUGUUUAUUCUCUGAAUUAUUUUCAUGAUUAUGUUUGUUAAUGAGGUAAUUGGCCACUAUUUAAUUAUCAACUUAAUCUAUUGUCAAUUAAGGGAUUCAUCGUAUGAAGAUUUUAAUGUUUGUGACAAAUAACAUAGCAGUGAGUUGUGUUAUGAGAAUAAAUAAUCUAAUUUAAAUGAAUCAUCAUAUGUGUUGAUUAGGAUUUGGGUCUCUCUGGUUUUUCAUGUAUAAGAUAUCUAGAAGAUGAUAAUUUCACUCAAAAGAGUUUUAUUUAUUUCAUUAUUGAAAUUGUUUACAGAGGAAGGUUACAGAGAAUACAGAGGUAAUUGAAGGUUAGACAUAUGAUAUCUUUCCUUUCUUACAUGCUUUCAUUUAUAUAUCUCUCUAGAGAUAAGAUUAUCUCUUUUACAUAACACAUGUUCGAUCCUUGUGGUGGAAUCUCGAUUUCCUUUUGAUAAGGUGACCCCUUCUUCAUCAUUGAAGCCAGUAGUUGUCUUCUUUUCAUGUUGCCAGACAACCUUUAUCUUGUUCUGGUGAGCUUUUUCUUUUUUGGAAUCUCUCUUUUUGAAUUAUUGAUACUUUUUGGAUAACACCUUUUAUCUUUUUCAGUAGUCCCCGUCACAUGCCAAUUAUCAUAUCUUCAUCUAUAGACAUGUCUUCCCCACUAGAAUCUCCUUUUUUUUUUAAUCCUUCGUAGUAGUAGCCACAUGAUGACUGAUGCUUUAGCACCUUAUAUAUCUCGUGGUGUGUCAGCAAGGUGGAUUCCACGAGAUUUUCGAAUAUGCCCUUUUUCUUUUUUAAUAUGGUAUGUCUGGCUAAAAUAUUUUCUUUUCUACUCAUAGAAAAGAUUAUAUGCUCUUUUGUGGCUUCAUGGAGCCAUAUUUUCUCCUUGUUUAUCCUCUCAAGAGAUUCAUAGAGGACUUUCAUUUCUAUGGCCCUUUUGUUGGUGAGAGCUUUUGGCUCGAAUAAUUCAGGAUCAUAAUCAUUGUAGACUUGAUGUAAAUCAAUGGUUGGACUAACUUUUCUACUGCUAAUUCCAACUUGAAUCAAGUGCUGUGCUGGAUACCACUUGUUACCAUAGUAUUCAGGGCAAGCAGUGAGGAUCUUGACAAAAAUCACUUCUUUUGUUUUAGACAUGAUUUUGAGAUCAUUAAUAGCCUCUGCAACUUUUGUGGGAAGCUCUUUUAUUUCUCUGCAAUCAUCACUUACAUAAACAAGGUUAAGAAAACCAUAUUCAAACAUGUCUUUUAUUAGUUUUAGAUUAGCUCCUGGCACAACGUUUAUCAUUGGAUAUAACCCUAAAUGAUCUAGUAUAAUAGUCUGGCUAGGACGAAUCCCAUAGGCUAUUUUACCAAUUCUUUUAUAAUCAUAAGCGUAGUCGCUUCCUAUUGGUAUUUUAACCAUAGGGACAGAUUGUCUGCUUUUAUCAUAUUGGGGUCUUAGGCUUACUGAAGAUCCCUGAGAUUCUUUUUUCUUUGUACAUUGAUCUUUAAGAUCAUUGAUUGUGAGAUAUCUCUCUGAAUGUGUGACCAUUGAUCUUUAAAAUACCAAUAGGAAGAGUAGUCGCUUCCUAUUGGUAUUUUAACCAUAGGGACAGACUGUCCGCUUUUAUCAUAUUGGGGUCUUAGGCUUACUGAAGAUCCCUGAGAUUCGUCUUUCUUUGUACAUUGAUCUUUAAGAUCAUUGAUUGUGAGAUAUCUCUCUGGAUGUGUGACCUUUAAGCUCUGCGAAGAACUCGAGGCAUUUUGACCCUCAAUUUGAUCUUUAAAAUGGACAUUUUUUUAGCAUAUUGCUAAUAUAUUGUUAUGAAGUUUGGAGUUCUGGAUGAUCUUGCAAACUUUUGUUUGGGCAAAGUUUGCUCAAUUCUUCAUGGGCAUCAUCUAUCAUGGCAAGCCCAUCAUAAAUCAUACUAUUGCCUUUGAGAAGUUAUUCUUGACCUUCAGAGCACAUUAUUAUGCCCUUAAUUAUUUUGGAAAUGCUCUGCUCCAUUGUAUUCUUGGCAAAGAUUAGAUCCUUUAAUAUAUUCAAUUUCAAAAUCAUAUUCAGCAAAAAACUGCUGCCAUCUAAUUAAUGUUUUCUAUUGAGGAAGAUUAGGCAAUUUAUUGAAUAUAAAUCCUUUGACUUGAGUGUUAUCGGAUCUUACCUUAAAUUUCUUUGGUAACAAAAAGAAAGUAAAUUUAGCUAUUCCUUUUUUAAUAGCUAAUAAUUCAUUUUCAUUACUAUGAUAAUUCUUUUCUAUGGGUUUGAAGGUCCCGCUAGAAUAUCUACAAAUUUUUUCUUGAUAUGUUUUUAAGACUGCUCGCCAGUGAUUAUCUGAAGCAGUAGUUUCAAGAAUUAAAUUAUCACUAGAGGUAGGGAAUCCUAACCUUAAGUAAAAAGCCAAAAAAAUUGACUUAUUUUAUUAAGUCAAUUUUUGAAAAUAUAAAUAAUGCAAAAUAUAAGAAUAUCAUCUACAUGAUCUAUCUUAUUAUUUGAAAAUAUAAGAAUAUCAUCUACAUAAAUAAUGCAAAAUUCAUGAAAUUUUUUUAAGAUGCUAAAUAUCUUUUUAUUUAUUAUAGAAGUAAUUAAUGUAUCUUUAUGAGGUAAAAAGUAUCCAUCGAAUUUGGUAUAUUUAUUUAAUUCUUUGUAGUUAAUGACCAUAUGAGCUUUUCCUCGUUUAAUUUCAGCAUGAUUUCUAACUGAUUAGUAUUAAAAAUUGUUUAAUUAUCAAGCGAUAAUAUGUUAUUUUAUGCUUAUGUUAUAAUUUAUAUUUGUGUUUAUGUAAUAUAUUAUGAAUUAUGAAUUAUGUUUUAAAUAUAUUUAAUUUUGUGUAUUUUUAUGUGUUUAUUAGGAAAAUUAUUAAUUUCACGUACUUUGAGGCUCCAAACAGAUAAACGGAGGUCAAAUUUGGAUUCCGGAGGUCCGAAAACCUUAAGAUCAGUCAAGAUCGGCUUAAAAUUGGGCUUGUGUAAAAAAAGUUGACUUUUCCUGUUGACCGAGCACUGAUUGGAUGAUGAAAUGAGCUUACAAUAGAUAUGAGUGCAUGGGAUAACUGGCAAUCUUGACUAAAUCUCAACCGUUCAUGAUUCAAUGGCCAUGAUUGUGCCACGUGGCAAUGGUUGGUGAAGCAAGUUGGAGGAUCCGAAUCUUUGUAUUCGGGUCGACCCGAUCCACCCAUUAACCCGCCAAAUCUCAACCGUUCUUUGGGCAAAUCGGACGAGUCAAAUGAUGCCAUGUGUGAUGUUGACUUUUGAAGUUUGACCAGCCAUUGGAUCUUGAUCUAAGGGUUGUGAGGAGCACAUGCAUGAAGCCUAUGAUGGACCGCAAAGCACUGGAUUAUGAAUUUAUUUUUCUAUAAAUAGGGCCUCAUUUUUAUGUUUUAAUCAUCUCUCUACAACUCUCUUCUUCUCAAAUUCUCUCCAUCUCCUUGUAAUCUUGAUUUCCAUAUGUGUUUUUAAUAUUUUGUAUAAUUAUUUUCAUUAAUAAAAUUAGUUUUAUUUCCAAUUUUAGUUGUUUUUAUUUCUUUUAAUUAUAAGUAAUUCAAUUUUACUACUUCUUUUUAUUUUAAUUAUGCUUAACUAAAUAAUAUUAGUUAGGGGAAGGUGAAACUCUUAAGAAAUAAAUAUGAUUUAAUCAAAUUCUAUGUUUAAUUUUAUAAAUUAAAUUAUUUUCUAUUUAAUUUUAUACAUGUUUUAUAUUUUGAAAAUUUAAUUUAUUGUAGACAAACAAAUGAAUUUGGCACAAUAAAUUCUUAAGAUCUUAAUAUAAGGCAUGGUGAAAUGGUAUUUUGACUUAUUGUAGACAAAUUAAAUUUUGGCACAAUAAAUACUUAAUCCAUCAUAAAAUUAAAGGGAAAAUAAUAAUAAUUUGUAUAAUUAAUCUUUUGAGUAAUAAAUCUAAAACAAAUUGGCAAAAAGAAUUUAUUAAGUUUUAUUUAUUUCUAAGAGUGGAUCCAUAACCCUAACUAGUUCAAUUCCAUAGUUUCAUUUAAAUUAAGUUGUUUAUAUUCAAGUUUUAAUUUCAAUUUUUAGAUAAAAUAAAAUAAACUAAUUAAAUCUUUUCUCUGUGGAUCGACCUCGGACUCACCGAGUUAUAAUACAACAAGACACUCUUAUACUUGGGAGUUAAAAUUUACUUUUAAGUUGUGUCAAGUUUUUGGCGCCGUUGCCGGGGAAAAGUUUUUUAUUUGGUUUGUUUUUCCGUUUUUUAUUUUUCUCUUAUAUGUAAAACUUCGUUUGCCCCCUUUUCCUUUUCUUAAAUUCUCCUUAGUCCCCAUGUCUUUCAUAUUUCUCGUUUCACCCCAACAAUUUCCUUUUCUAGCCCAAUCUUCUGGUAAUUACGUUCGGACCCCAACAUCUUUCAACUGUUUCACUUUCAUCCCAAAUUACUAAUUCUAAACUUCUAAAAAUUACAUUUUGACCAUAAAAUUAAAAAUAAUUUGCAAUAGAAUCCCUAGACGAAAUUCCUCAACAUAAUCAAGACUUGGACAUAUUUGGACAUACUUUGGACAUAUUUGGACAUAUUUGGACUUAUUUUGGACCAAACUAACUUUAACUACUAACUCUAAUUACUAACUCUUAACUUACUAACUGCUAACUGCUAACUGCUAACUUUUAUUUAAUUUCAGUUAUUUAAUUUUCUGCAUUUAUUUUAUUUCGUAUUUAUUUAUUUGUUUUUGCUUUAUUGGUGGGUUUAACCACCAAACUAACUACUAACUCUUAACUUUUAUUUUCAGUUAUUUAAUUUUCAGUAUUUAUUUAAUUUUGUAUUUUUUAUUUUUUUUAAUUGGUGGGUUCAACCACCAUUUUUUUUUAUUUUGCAUUUAUUUAUUUAUUUAUUUUUUACUUUGUUGGUGGGUUCAACCAUCAAAAUUGUUAUUUAAUUUUCUUUUGUAUACUUAUAUUAUUUAUUUAUUUAUUUUUUUAUUUUAUUUUGUUAUCAAUUUGUGUAAAUAUUAUCUUUAUAACAUAACCAUUGCAUGAGACGUUGGUCUCGAUCUUCAAGUGGCAGGUUAAUUCGUAGAUCUCAAUCUCCACCACCAAUCAUGGAUGAGAAUGAAGGCGAAAACGUUUUGGGCGAACUUAAUCCUCAAAUUGAUCAGGGAGACAACCAAUCUCAACAUGGGCAUGAUCAGAAUCAACCAAGGACUCUGAGAGACUACAUGAAUCCAACCAGAACCGGAGCACCGUCGUGUAUAGUAUUUCCUCCAGAAGCAUCUCGAUUCAACUUUAAACCAGGUAUUAUCCAACUUUUACCAACAUUUCAUGGUUUAGAAUCUGAGAAUCCGUACUUGCAUCUAAGAGAUUUUGAGGAAGUUUGUAAUACAUACACGGACCAAAAUUGUAGCAUGAACAUAAUUAGAUUAAAGCUUUUUCCUUUUUCAUUAAAAGAUAAAGCUAAAACUUGGCUACAAAACCUUAGAUCUGGAUCAGUAAGAACUUGGAAUAACAUGCAAGAACAGUUUUUUGAAAAAAUUCUUUCCACCUCAUAGAACAAAUUCUUUUAAAAGGCAAAUCACUUCUUUCACUCAAAAAAAUGGAGAAACAUUAUACCAAUGUUGGGAUAGGUUUACAGAGUUGCUUAACAUAUGCCCACAUCAUGGUUUUGAAACUUGGCGAUUGGUCACUUAUUUCUACGAGGGCUUAAUACCCCAAAGUAGACAGGUUGUUGAAAUGAUGUGUAAUGGUGAAUUUAGGGAUAAAAAUCCUGAAGAUGCACUAGAUUACCUUGACCAAUUAGCUGAAAAUGCACAACAUUGGGAUACUGUUGGAACUUUUGAAUUGACAAAUAAGCAACAAUCAUCUCCAUCUAGUGGAGGAAUCCAUAACCUUAGGGAAGAUCAUGAUUUACAAGCAAAAUUUGCAUCCCUAGUUAGGAAAGUUGAAGCUUUGGAGCAUAAAAAGAGUGAUCAAGUAAAAUCUGUUCAAGAAAUUGCAUGUAACAUAUGUAAUUCGAAUGAUCAUUUCACUCAAGAGUGUCCCACUUUGCCUGCACUUAAAGAAUGUCUAAAUGAUCAAGCUAAUGUCAUUAACACUUUCAAUAAACCAAACCCAUAUUCACAGACUUAUAAUCCUGGUUGGAGAAAUCAUCCGAAUUUCAGUUGGAGGAAUAAUAAUAAUGCACAAUCUUCACAAGCACCACCUCCACAAAAUUUUCAAAAUCCUCAGCCUUAUGCACCAUAUGUUCCACCACCCUGGAAAAAUCUGGAAGACACAAUGCAUUCAUUCAUCAGAAAGCAAGAUGUUAUUAACAAUCAAAAUGCACAAAAUUUUUCUGAUUUGAAAGAUACUCUUGCUAAAAUUGCUUCUGCACUCACCAUUCAAGAAAAAGGAAAAUUUCCAGCCCAACCACAACCAAAUCCUAAAAUUCAACAAAAUCCACCCACAGACCAAGUCAAGUCAGUUAUAACUCUUCGUAGUGGUAAGGUUGUUGAUAGACCUAUGCCUGAACCUUAUGAAAAUGAUGAAAAUUCAAAGGGUAAGGAAGGACUAAAUGAACUUACACCUAGUGAAGAAAUAACUAGUGUUCCACCUGAACCACCAUUUCCGCAUGCAUUGAAUAAACCAAAGAAAUCAAACCACUCUUCUGAAAUUUAUGAAAUCUUUAAGCAAGUGAAAGUUAACAUUCCUCUAUUAGAUGCAAUCAAGCAGGUUCCUUUAUAUGCCAAAUUUUUAAAGGACUUGUGCACUGUUAAGAGGAAAUUGAAGGUAAGAAAGAGUGCUUUCAUGGCCGAACAGGUAAGUACAAUUCUGUCUACUAAUAAUAAGUUGAAAUAUAAAGAUCCUGGUUGUCCUACCAUUUCUUGUAUUAUUGGUAACCACAGAAUUGAGCAUGCUUUACUAGAUCUUGGUGCUAGUGUUAAUUUGCUUCCAUAUUCAGUUUAUCUUCAACUUAAUCUUGGUGAGUUAAAAUCAACUUCAACUACACUUUUGCUUGUCGAUAGAUCAGUUAAAGUACCAAAAGGAAUAGUGGAAGAUGUUUUAGUACAAGUUGAUAAAUUUAUUUAUCCUGUGGAUUUUAUUGUCUUGGAAACUGAACCUGUUGUGAAUAAUUACAAACCAAUUCCUGUAAUUUUAGGUCGACCAUUUUUAGCAACUGCUAAUGCUUUGAUUAAUUGUAGGAAUGGUUUAAUGAAUUUAUCCUUUGGGAAUAUGACUUUGGAAUUGAAUGUUUUCAACAUGUGCAGGCAACCUAAUGAAGAAAAUGAGAAUGAAGAUGAUACUGAUGAACAAAAGGAAUUGUUUGAAUCUUGUAUCGAGGAAAAUAUUCAAAAAGGGGAUUUUUCUGAACUUUCAAAUGUUUGUUUAGUUAAUUCAAUUGAGUCAAAUAAGCAACUUGAACUUGAUAUUUCUAAUAUAAAUUCGUUGCUUGAUUCUGUGCAGACUUCACAAAAUUAUGAUGACGAGCCAAAAUUUGAGGAGCUUGGAAGUAUUGAAAAGACAGAACAACAAGAAGCACCUAAAAUGGAAUUGAAACCUUUGCCUGAAGGAUUGAAAUAUGCUUUUCUUGGAGAAGAACAAACUUAUCCUGUUGUGAUUUCUUCUACUUUAACAAGCGACCAAGAAGGUAAGUUACUUACUGUUCUUAAAAAGCAUAAAAAUGCAAUAGGAUGGACUUUAAAUGACAUUAAAGGCAUUAAUCCCUUAAUCUGCACACAUAGAAUUAAUUUGGAAGAAAAUGCUAAAAUAUGUCAACAACCUCAAAGAAGAUUAAACCCACACAUGAAAGAGGUAGUCAAAACAGAAGUCCUUAAAUUACUUGAUGUGGGAAUUAUCUACCCUGUUUCUGAUAGUAAGUGGGUAAGUCCUACACAAGUAGUGCCUAAAAAAUCUGAAAUCACUGUUGUUAAAAAUGAAAAAGGUGAAUUAAUUCCAACACGAAUUACAUCUAGUUGACGCAUGUGCAUUGAUUAUAGAAAAUUAAAUGAAGCCACUAGAAAAGAUCAUUUUCCAUUACCAUUCCUUGACCAAAUCUUAGAAAGAGUAGCAGGACAUCCCUACUACUGUUUUUUAGAUGGAUAUUCAGGUUAUUAUCAAAUUCCUAUAGCACUUGAGGACCAAGAAAAGACCACAUUCACAUGUCCUUUUGGAACAUUUGCAUUUAAAAGAAUGCCAUUCGGGCUUUGUAAUGCUCCUGCAACAUUUCAAAGAUGUAUGUUAAGCAUUUUUUGUGAUAUGGUUGAACAUUGUUUAGAGGUCUUUAUGGAUGAUUUGACUGUGUUUGGGAAUUCUUUUGAUGAUUGCCUUGAUAAUUUGGAGAAAGUUUUAAAAAGAUGUGUUGAAAAAGAACUCGUGUUGAAUUGGGAAAAAUGUCACUACAUGGUUACUUCUGGAAUUGUUUUGGGUCAUGUUGUUUCUAUUAAAGGAAUUGAAGUUGACAAAGCAAAAAUCGAAGUCAUAUCUAAAUUGCCACAACCAAAAACAGUUAGAGAUGUGCGAUCCUUUUUAGGACAUGCAGGAUUUUAUAGGAGGUUUAUAAAAAACUUUAGUGCCAUAUCUAAACCACUUUGUAACCUCUUAUUAAAAGAUGCACCGUUUGAAUGGAAUGAUGAUUGCCAAAAAUCUUUUGAAAAAAUAAUUUGUCUUUUAACAUCUGCACCUAUUAUGCAAUCUCCUGAUUGGUCUUUGCCAUUUGAAUUAAUGUGUGAUGCAAGUGAUUUUGCUGUUGGUGCUGUUUUAGGACAAAGAAGGGAUGGUAAGCCUUUUGUGAUUUAUUAUGCGAGUAAGACUUUAGAUAGUGCUCAAAUGAAUUAUUCUACAACUGAAAAAGAAUUACUUGCUGUGGUAUUUGCAUUAAACAAAUUCCGUUCAUAUUUGCUUGGCUCCAAAUCUGUUGUGUUUACUGACCACGCUGCUGUGAGAUAUUUGAUGAGUAAACAGGAUGCCAAACCGAGGAUAAUUCGUUGGAUUUUGUUACUACAAGAAUUUGACCUUACCAUCAAAGAUAAAAAGGGUGCUGAAAAUGUUGUUGCGGAUCAUCUAUCAAGACUCACAUCCGAAUUCUGCAAUGAUAUAACACCCAUAAAUGAUUCUUUCCCUGAUGAAUUUUUAUUUUCUGUUACUUCAAUGCCAUGGUAUGCUAACAUUGUUAAUUUCCUUGUUACAGGUAAAAUGCCUUUGCAAUGGAAUGCUCAAGAGAAGAAGAAAUUUUUUGUUGAAGUAAAGAAAUUUUAUUGGGAUGACCCUUAUUUGUUCAAAUAUUGCCCAGAUCAAAUUUUUCGGCGAUGUAUUCCUCAUAAUGAGGUAAGUAGUGUCAUUAAUUUUUGUCAUUCUGAAGCAUGUGGUGGUCAUUUUUCUUCAAGAAAAACUAUUGCUAAAAUUUUACAGUGUGGAUUUUAUUGGCCUACCAUGUUUAAAGACACAUAUGAAUUCUGCAAAAGUUGUGAAAAAUGUCAAAAAUUGGGAUCAAUUACAAAAAGAAACAUGAUGCCCUUAAAUCCCAUACUUGAAAUUGAAAUAUUUGACUGUUGGGGAAUUGAUUUCAUGGGUCCAUUUCCAUCAUCUUUUGGAUUUGUGUAUAUAUUAGUUGCAGUUGAUUAUGUCUCAAAAUGGAUUGAAGCAAUUUCUUGUCGAAAUAAUGACAGUAAAACUGUGAUUAAAUUUUUAAGAGAAAACAUUUUAAGUCGAUUUGGAAUCCCUCGAGCCAUUAUCAGUGAUGGAGGUAAGCAUUUUUGUAAUAAGUCAUUUGAGUCUUUAAUGAAGAAAUAUGGAAUUACACAUAAAAUUGCUACCCCUUAUCAUCCUCAAACAAAUGGUCAAGUUGAAUUAGCAAAUAGGGAGAUAAAACAAAUUUUGGAAAAAACGGUUAACCCAAACCGAAAAGAUUGGUCUCUUAGACUUAAUGAUGCACUUUGGGCUUACCGCACUGCAUUUAAAACAUCAUUAGGAAUGUCACCCUAUCGGUUAAUUUAUGGUAAACCUUGUCAUUUACCUGUUGAACUUGAACAUAAAUCACUUUGGGCUAUUAAAGCUUUUAAUUCAAAUUUGGAUGAUGCUGGUAAUGUGCGAAAAUUGCAAUUGAAUGAACUUGAGGAAUUAAGGAAUGAUGCAUAUGAAAAUUCAAGAAUUAUUAAGGCAAGAACAAAAGAAGAUUAAACCCACACAUGAAAGAGGUAGUCAAAACAGAAGUCCUUAAAUUACUUGAUGUGGGAAUUAUCUACCCUAUUUCUGAUAGUAAGUGGGUAAGUCCUACACAAGUAGUGCCUAAAAAAUCUGAAAUCACUGUUGUUAAAAAUGAAAAAGGUGAAUUAAUUCCAACACGAAUUACAUCUAGUUGACGCAUGUGCAUUGAUUAUAGAAAAUUAAAUGAAGCCACUAGAAAAGAUCAUUUUCCAUUACCAUUCCUUGACCAAAUCUUAGAAAGAGUAGCAGGACAUCCCUACUACUGUUUUUUAGAUGGAUAUUCAGGUUAUUAUCAAAUUCCUAUAGCACUUGAGGACCAAGAAAAGACCACAUUCACAUGUCCUUUUGGAACAUUUGCAUUUAAAAGAAUGCCAUUCGGGCUUUGUAAUGCUCCUGCAACAUUUCAAAGAUGUAUGUUAAGCAUUUUUUGUGAUAUGGUUGAACAUUGUUUAGAGGUCUUUAUGGAUGAUUUGACUGUGUUUGGGAAUUCUUUUGAUGAUUGCCUUGAUAAUUUGGAGAAAGUUUUAAAAAGAUGUGUUGAAAAAGAACUCGUGUUGAAUUGGGAAAAAUGUCACUACAUGGUUACUUCUGGAAUUGUUUUGGGUCAUGUUGUUUCUAUUAAAGGAAUUGAAGUUGACAAAGCAAAAAUCGAAGUCAUAUCUAAAUUGCCACAACCAAAAACGGUUAGAGAUGUGCGAUCCUUUUUAGGACAUGCAGGAUUUUAUAGGAGGUUUAUAAAAAACUUUAGUGCCAUAUCUAAACCACUUUGUAACCUCUUAUUAAAAGAUGCACCGUUUGAAUGGAAUGAUGAUUGCCAAAAAUCUUUUGAAAAAAUAAUUUGUCUUUUAACAUCUGCACCUAUUAUGCAAUCUCCUGAUUGGUCUUUGCCAUUUGAAUUAAUGUGUGAUGCAAGUGAUUUUGCUGUUGGUGCUGUUUUAGGACAAAGAAGGGAUGGUAAGCCUUUUGUGAUUUAUUAUGCGAGUAAGACUUUAGAUAGUGCUCAAAUGAAUUAUUCUACAACUGAAAAAGAAUUACUUGCUGUGGUAUUUGCAUUAAACAAAUUCCGUUCAUAUUUGCUUGGCUCCAAAUCUGUUGUGUUUACUGACCACGCUGCUGUGAGAUAUUUGAUGAGUAAACAGGAUGCCAAACCGAGGAUAAUUCGUUGGAUUUUGUUACUACAAGAAUUUGACCUUACCAUCAAAGAUAAAAAGGGUGCUGAAAAUGUUGUUGCGGAUCAUCUAUCAAGACUCACAUCCGAAUUCUGCAAUGAUAUAACACCCAUAAAUGAUUCUUUCCCUGAUGAAUUUUUAUUUUCUGUUACUUCAAUGCCAUGGUAUGCUAACAUUGUUAAUUUCCUUGUUACAGGUAAAAUGCCUUUGCAAUGGAAUGCUCAAGAGAAGAAGAAAUUUUUUGUUGAAGUAAAGAAAUUUUAUUGGGAUGACCCUUAUUUGUUCAAAUAUUGCCCAGAUCAAAUUUUUCGGCGAUGUAUUCCUCAUAAUGAGGUAAGUAGUGUCAUUAAUUUUUGUCAUUCUGAAGCAUGUGGUGGUCAUUUUUCUUCAAGAAAAACUAUUGCUAAAAUUUUACAGUGUGGAUUUUAUUGGCCUACCAUGUUUAAAGACACAUAUGAAUUCUGCAAAAGUUGUGAAAAAUGUCAAAAAUUGGGAUCAAUUACAAAAAGAAACAUGAUGCCCUUAAAUCCCAUACUUGAAAUUGAAAUAUUUGACUGUUGGGGAAUUGAUUUCAUGGGUCCAUUUCCAUCAUCUUUUGGAUUUGUGUAUAUAUUAGUUGCAGUUGAUUAUGUCUCAAAAUGGAUUGAAGCAAUUUCUUGUCGAAAUAAUGACAGUAAAACUGUGAUUAAAUUUUUAAGAGAAAACAUUUUAAGUCGAUUUGGAAUCCCUCGAGCCAUUAUCAGUGAUGGAGGUAAGCAUUUUUGUAAUAAGUCAUUUGAGUCUUUAAUGAAGAAAUAUGGAAUUACACAUAAAAUUGCUACCCCUUAUCAUCCUCAAACAAAUGGUCAAGUUGAAUUAGCAAAUAGGGAGAUAAAACAAAUUUUGGAAAAAACGGUUAACCCAAACCGAAAAGAUUGGUCUCUUAGACUUAAUGAUGCACUUUGGGCUUACCGCACUGCAUUUAAAACAUCAUUAGGAAUGUCACCCUAUCGGUUAAUUUAUGGUAAACCUUGUCAUUUACCUGUUGAACUUGAACAUAAAUCACUUUGGGCUAUUAAAGCUUUUAAUUCAAAUUUGGAUGAUGCUGGUAAUGUGCGAAAAUUGCAAUUGAAUGAACUUGAGGAAUUAAGGAAUGAUGCAUAUGAAAAUUCAAGAAUUAUUAAGGCAAGAACAAAAGCAUUUCAUGAUAAAAGAAUUUUUCGAAAAACAUUUGAGAUUGGUCAAAAAGUGUUGCUUUAUAAUUCUCGUCUUCAUUUAUUUCCAGGAAAGUUAAAGUCAAAAUAGAGUGGCCCAUUUGUUGUAAAAAAUGUAUAUUCAUAUGGGGCCAUAGAAAUUGAGAAUCCAAAUAACGGUGUCACAUUUAAAGUUAAUGGUCAAAGAUUAAAACCAUAUCUGGAACAUCACCCACGUGACGAGGACACCGAAAUUAAUUUGGAUGACCCACCAGUUCUUGAUUAAGUCUUUAAUGAUUUUUUUUUUUUUUACUAUUAUUUUACCGUUUCAUUGUUUGAUUUUUUUUCUUUAGAUUGAUGCACUGUACAUAGUUUUUUUUUAACAUUGUUUUUCUUGUGUAAGCGUGUUUGUUUGACAGUUGUACAUUCUCUCAUCAAUUUUCAUUUUACAUCAUGAGCACCUCAAUGAGAAAAUACCUAUUCGCACAUCUUAAAAGAUUUCGGCGUAUAAAAUUUCACUUAAGAGGCCUAAUACAAAGCUGUAAAUCACAUCCACUUUGGGAUCUGCAACCACCAGAAUUCGUGUCCUAUGUUGAGGAUCUAGAAGGACAACUCAGAACAGUAGAGAGUGGCAUAUAUGAAUUUCAAAUAGAGCUUGAGGUUAACUCAAUGAGAGGACGAAUGUAAGUUCAUUUUCCUUUUAUAUUGUGUGCUUUUUUUUUGCUCGCUUUCACGCUUGAUUUGAUUUUGCAGAUUUGAUUUUGGUGUGUUUUGAUUUAUUUUCCCGUAUAAAUGGCGGAUAACGGUACUCCGUGACUUCUUAAGUCGGUAUCUUCAGUUUCCCACAAUAACUGAAACCCCAAAAUCAAACAUGGAAGAAAUACAACAUAAACUCCAUAAGCAUUUUCCCUCUCUCCCUCAGAAUGCCCUCAGGAAAAUUUACAAAGCUCGUUGUGAACGACUGCGUUUGUUAAUGAUCAAUGGCAUUCUUUCUGACAUUCGUUGGUUAAUUGAAGCAAAGGUCUGAUUAGCAGGUGAGUUUUCUAGUCAAUUUGUUUCUUACAUGCCUGGUUUUGGUAAAAGUACGUUUGCUAAGAAAAGGAGAGCUAAACGACUUGGCUCAAAAUGUCAUAACUGUGUAAGACUUGGUUGCAAACGACCGGAUUGUAAAUCUUUAGGAAUGGUUUCUGAUACUCGUGAAGAUAAAAUUAAAUUCGUUAAAGAUGGCAUGAGUAAAGAAUCGUUGGAUGAUAUCUUACGAUCUCUUGAGACGCAUCGAAGCGGAAUUGUGCAAUGUGAGAUUUACAAUUUGUGGAUACUAUUCCAAAAACAAAGUGCACAGUUAAGUCUUGGGAAUCUGACUCAAAAAGACCCUGUUUGCCAGUUUAUAAGAAAACUGGAUGGGAAGCCGAUCCUCGACCCAUAGAGGGCGUUCAAGCCGUUACUGGACGUAAAACCAGAGGAAGAUGUGAGCCACAAUCACAACUACUAGUAAAUAUCCUUUCACUUCACUGUUAUUUUACUUUACUGUUAUUUUAUCAUUUGAAUUAUUGCAUUUAGCGAUGUGAUUUUGUAUUUAUUUGGUUUCUUUUACUGUUUGCUUUUUCUAAUCAUUACUUUUUUUUUUACUAUUUGUUUUUGAAUUAUUGAGCCACGAGCUUUCCUCGUCAUUUGACAAAUAUGCCAACCCAUUUACAGCUGUUUCUCUUUAUUUAUGUCACCAAGAUCUUUAAAUAUGAGCUCGUUUUUCAAACACUCACAACUUGUUUUUGAAAAAUUAGUCCAAUGGCAGCAUCUUCAAGUAAACAAUUCAAAAAUAUUUGUGUGCUUUCUGGGUUUCACUAUGGAAAGUACAAAGAGUUCGUUCAGGUAGCUGUAGAUCUUGGUCGUGUCAUAGCAGAGAGGAAACUGCAUCUUGUAUAUGGAGGAGGUGAACGAGGGUUAUCAAGACUUGUCUCAGAAGCUGUUUUUACCAGAGGAAGCCAAGUACUCGGCAUUAUCCCAAAACCCAUGAAACCGCUAGUGUGCAUGUCUGGCCCACCAAUUGGAGAAGAAUUAGUGGUAUCAAGUAUGCAAGAGAGAAUAUCUGAAAUGAUGAAUCAUGCUGAUGCUUUUAUUUUCUUGCCAGGAGAUCUUGCAACUUUUGAGGCACUAAUUACAUUUGCAUCUUGGGCCCACUUGAACAUUCAUCAAAAGCCCAUCGGUUUGUUAAAUGUUAAUAAUUUUUAUGACGGCUUGCUAACUUUUAUUAAUCAUGCAAUAAAGAAUCAUUUUGUUCCACAUUCUGUAAAAAAACUCUUUAUCUCUGCUUCUACUGCUAAUGAGUUACUUGAUCUUUUACAAGCUUAUACACCAGAGCCAGAUCCACAGACUGUUGCACUGAAUUGGUCGACUAAUGAUGGUAACGGUAACAGUAGCAGUAAUAAGAAGUGCGAUUUAGAUUUAACUCUCCGUUUGUAAAUAUUUGCUGUUGUAGUGUUCAUGUGAUGUCUUCUACACUCUUUCUAUUUCCUUUUAAAACAUUGAGGACAAUGUCUUUUUCAGGUUGGGGGGAGGGAAUAGUUGAUAAUUGUGGAAUGUCUUAGUCCUGGUUAUGUGUUUACAAAAAAAAAAAAAAAAAAAACAAUAACAAAAUUUUUUUUUUCUGUAAAGACUAACUUAGGACAAAUUUGAGUCGAAGAUGGCAGGAUAUAGAGAAUGUAGUCUCUCUAGAAACGCAUCUUCUUAAUCUUAAGGGUGUUGUUAAAAAAAAAAAAAAAUUGACUUUUUCUUCAUCUUUGUUAUCUACUUUUAAGCUUCUGCAUCAAGUUAAGGUGAGAUCUCCUAUUCUUCUUCUUUUAUUAUUCUCUUUUAUUUUUAUUUAUUAUUAUUAUUAUUUUUUUGCAUAUCUGUAAAAUUAUAAAAUGUUAGGAUAAUGUUUAGAUUAGGUUGUGGGGUGGGGAUAAUUGACGUAUGUUUUAAAUAUGUAUGUUGUUUUUUUCUCUUUUCUCUUUUCUUUUCUUUUCUUUGCCAAAAAAAAAAAAAAAUUGUUUUUUGUCUAGGAUGGCCGUGUAAAGAGUCACGACUUUUGAGACGCAUCCUAAUAGUCUUGUUGUAUUAUAUUUUGAUUUUGAGAUUCAUGGUAAGUUGUUUUUGUUCCCUUUUCUUUGAAUUACUCAAAUUUGUGAACUCUCCACUUGGUUAUUAAGUUAUUUAAUUGUUUACUCAUUUAACAGGUAUUAUUGAAUCAUUCUUCACACACACAUUAUGACACAUACUAGUGGGUUGUAAGUUAAAAUUUUACAGCAUUUAGUUCUUUUGAUUUAUUAGGAAAAGUAUCUAAGGUAGUAGAAAGUGUAUAGUUCCAAAAAAAAAAAAAAAAGUAGAAAAAAAAUUGUUUUUAAUUUUUCUAUAUCUAGAACCCGAGUAAUUAAGUCCGUAGGGGUGUUUCAACACCUAGUGCCCUAAGGUCAACUGGUCUGGGAGUCACUGGCCUAAAGCUCACUACAUGGGUAAUAGAUAUAUUGUUUGUUUAUUAGAAACCCGAGUAAUUAAGUCCGUAGGGGUGCUUUAACACCUAGUGCCCUAAGGGCAACUGGUCUGGGAGUCACUGACCCAAAGCUCGCUACACGGGUUAGAAAUGUAAUAUAUAAAAAAAAAAUGUGUGAAUAAUCUAUUGCCUAAAGAUAUAAUUUCUAAUGAAUUUUAGAACGAAAAUGUUGUUUUUCUUUUAAUGAAGCCCCAUAAGUAUUGUGUUAAUUACUUGAGCACAAAAGAAGGUUUGAUGAUAUUCUGGAUAAUGAGUGAACAUCAAUGUGGUAAAGGAAUUUGGGAGAGUUCAUUUAUUUGGUAAUUUAGAGGAUAGAUGAACAACUAUUAACUUGCAUGUGAAUUUUAUAAAUCUUAAUAUAACGCUUUAAUUGCUAGAGGGCUAGCAAUAAGCUGGUUGGGGGGUGUGAUUAGUAUUAAAAAUUGUUUAAUUAUCAAGCGAUAAUAUGUUAUUUUAUGCUUAUGUUAUAAUUUAUAUUUGUGUUUAUGUAAUAUAUUAUGAAUUAUUAAUUAUGUUUUAAAUAUAUUUAAUUUUGUGUAUUUUUAUGUGUUUAUUAGGAAAAUUAUUAAUUUCACGUACUUCGAGGCUCCAAACAGAUAAACGGAGGUCAAAUUUGGAUUCCGGAGGUCCGAAAACCUUAAGAUCAGUCAAGAUCGGCUUAAAAUUGGGCUUGUGUAAAAAAAGUUGACUUUUCCUGUUGACCGAGCACUGAUUGGAUGAUGAAAUGAGCUUACAAUAGAUAUGAGUGCAUGGGAUAACUGGCAAUCUUGACUAAAUCUCAACCGUUCAUGAUUCAAUGGCCAUGAUUGUGCCACGUGGCAAUGGUUGGUGAAGCAAGUUGGAGGAUCCGAAUCUUUGUAUUCGGGUCGACCCGAUCCACCCAUUAACCCGCCAAAUCUCAACCGUUCUUUGGGCAAAUCGGACGAGUCAAAUGAUGCCAUGUGUGAUGUUGACUUUUGAAGUUUGACCAGCCAUUGGAUCUUGAUCUAAGGGUUGUGAGGAGCACAUGCAUGAAGCCUAUGAUGGACCGCAAAGCACUGGAUUAUGAAUUUAUUUUUCUAUAAAUAGGGCCUCAUUUUUAUGUUUUAAUCAUCUCUCUACAACUCUCUUCUUCUCAAAUUCUCUCCAUCUCCUUGUAAUCUUGAUUUCCAGGUGUGUUUUUAAUAUUUUGUAUAAUUAUUUUCAUUAAUAAAAUUAGUUUUAUUUCCAAUUUUAGUUGUUUUUAUUUCUUUUAAUUAUAAGUAAUUCAAUUUUACUACUUCUUUUUAUUUUAAUUAUGCUUAACUAAAUAAUAUUAGUUAGGGGAAGGUGAAACUCUUAAGAAAUAAAUAUGAUUUAAUCAAAUUCUAUGUUUAAUUUUAUAAAUUAAUUUAUUUUCUAUUUAAUUUUAUACAUGUUUUAUAUUUUGAAAAUUUGAUUUAUUGUAGACAAACAAAUGAAUUUGGCACAAUAAAUUCUUAAGAUCUUAAUAUAAGGCAUGGUGAAAUGGUAUUUUGACUUAUUGUAGACAAAUUAAAUUUUGGCACAAUAAAUACUUAAUCCAUCAUAAAAUUAAAGGGAAAAUAAUAAUAAUUUGUAUAAUUAAUCUUUUGAGUAAUAAAUCUAAAACAAAUUGGCAAAAAGAAUUUAUUAAGUUUUAUUUAUUUCUAAGAGUGGAUCCAUAACCCUAACUAGUUCAAUUCCAUAGUUUCAUUUAAAUUAAGUUGUUUAUAUUCAAGUUUUAAUUUCAAUUUUUAGAUAAAAUAAAAUAAACUAAUUAAAUCUUUUCUCUGUGGAUCGACCUCGGACUCACCGAGUUAUAAUACAACAAGACACUCUUAUACUUGGGAGUUAAAAUUUACUUUUAAGUUGUGUCACUAACUAUAAAGGCUGGGUUACUUUGAGGACUUUUAGAUUCUCCAAAAUUUUUAUCAAGUUUUUCUAUUUUUUUUUUCAUAAUCUGAUAUAAUUUGAUUGAUUUUUAUAUUGUAUUCACCACGCUGGCUGCUUCGAAAAUGUAAUUUUCGAGUUGUUUACCUAAUAAGAUUAUAAAUUCUUGGUGUGGUGAUGGAAUGAUUACAUGGUGUUGUAAGAGUAAUUCUUUCGUUAGUCAUUAUAUAAAUGAACUGACAAAGGAAAUUGACUUCUAAAAGUAUAUAUGCUCCUAUAUGAUUAUAAGACCAUAAUAUAUGGAUACUUAAAAUGUAAUCUUCGAUUUGGAUUAAAGUUUUUAUCCUACAUGUUCCUAAAAUGAUUUGUUCACCAUUUAUUCCUUGUCCUGUUAAGGGUUUAUAAUCUUUCGAAUAUGAUUUUGGAUAAAUCCUUAAAUUAGGUAAGCUAACUCCUGAACCAGUGUCUAUUAAAGCAUGAAACCAUUCUGGCUUAUGCUUAUAAUAUGGUUUAAUCACUUUUAUAUAAACUAUAAAAAGAUUAGACAUAUCUUGAUAUGGUUUGCUUAAUUCCUUCAACUGUUAAGCUUAUUUUUCUAUCUCCUAUAGAAUAAGGAGUAAAAUUCUCAAGAAAGUUCAUCCCUAAUAAUAAAGGACUUAUUUAUGUUUCAUAAUCUGGUUCUAUGAAAAAAGAAAAGAUGAAUUCUAUCCCUUUUAUUCUUAAUAGUAUUUCACUAUAUUGACUUAAUGUCUUUCUUUCUCCAUUAAAUCCUACAUAAGUAUGAGGCUCAAUUAAAAUUUUUCUUUCUAAAUAUUUAAUAAUUUUAGAAUCUACAUAAGAUUUUGCAGCUCCUGUAUCAAGGAUAGCAAAAGUCUCGUGCCAUGAUUUUCCAUUAUUAUAUUCAAUCUUAAUUUUUAGAUUUUGAUUAUCCAGUAUUGCUAAAUUUACUGGACUAUUUGUCCUUUCUCGAAAAUGAGCUCUUAUCAUGACUUGAAUUCCUCCGAUAUGAACAUAUCCAAUUUUAAGUCUAUCACUAGAUUUUAUCUCAUUUAUCUUAUCUUUUAUAUCAGUUUUUAAUAAUAAUGGUAUAUUUGUAUUUCCUCUAGCAUACCUAAUUUCAAUAGGUUCUUCUCUUACAGUAGCACUAAGAUACAUUAUAUUUUUUCUUUUAAUCAUGUUAGCAAUGCCUUGUGCUAACUUAUUAACCGAAGUCAUAGAUGAUUCCAAUCCUUUUUUAUUAUUCUUGAGAUAUUGCUUUUUAUCAAAGAUUAAUUCUCUAUUAAAAGAACCUUGUUCUUCUAACUCUUCAUCUUGAUAUAAAUCUUUAUUUUCUAAUUCUUCUAUACUCAUUCUGAAUCAGAUUCUAAAUCAGAACUUCUCAAAGUUUCAUUAGAAAGAUAAUAUAUGCUAUCAUUUUCACUAAUAUCUUUGCUAUCGGUGAUUAAUUCUAAAUCAUUGAAAUCUUCAAAUAUUUUUAUAUUUGCUUUCUUCGUUUUAGGACAUUCAUUUGCAUAAUGUUCUUCUUCAUUACAUAACUAGCACUUGCAUUUUUUAGGUGCAUUGGUUUUGGAUCUUCUUUUAAAUUUAUUUUUCUUGUAGAAUUUCUUUUUAUAUUUAUUUUUCUUGUAAUAUUUCCUGUUGGCUUUAAAGAAUUUCUUCUUUUUGAAUUUUUUUUCUUGUGUUUAUAGAUUUUAUCUGAACAUCCAAAUCUUGGCGGAUCUUCUAAUUUAGAACAACAUAAUUCUCGAUUUUGCCUUUUCAUAAGUCUUCUAUCUCUUAUUUCAGAACACUAUUCAUUUAUUCUAUUUUGAGCAAAUCUAAUCCUAUUUCGUAAUGUAUAAGUUUCUGUAGUAUCUUUGUAUUCUUUGUUAUAUUCCAACAUAAUCCUUCUACCCCAUGGGUCUGGUAUCUUUACAAAAUAUAGAUCAUGGUAAUAGCAUAUGUUAUCCUCAUCUUUAUCAAAUUCACAUUUAUAAUAUAAUUCUUCGAAGCUACAUGUAUAUUCUUCUAAAUAACAUAUAUUACAUAUUUCAAGCCUUGUUAGCUUCAUUAAAUUUUCUAUCUGUUUUCUUUUUAUUUCUUGUUGAAAAUCAGUUUCCCAAUCUUCUCCCAAGAAUUUUUUUCUUAUUUCAUUUUCGAAUCUAUUUAAAACCUGAUCAACACUUUCGUUUCGAUUAUUAUUUUCUCCAUACAAUAUUCUAUUUUUAUGAUUAUCAUUUAAUCCCAUAAACCAAUGAGAAACAAUUCCUAUAAACGAAAUUUUAAGGAAUUCUAUACUAUUAUCCCUAUCAAUUUUGUGAAAUGCAAAAGCCAUUUUCAUAGAUUUAACCCAAGCGGUAAUCGUUUUAUCUCUAUCUUUGAUACAGUCUAAACCUAACCAUACACCAUCAUGGUUGAUUGGUCUUUCUCUAUAUUCUCCUGGAGUUUUAUGAUCUUUUUUAGGUUUGUUAAUCCUAAAAUAUUGACCUUGUGCUCUUUCCUGAGUUGGUAUUUCUUCCCUAACAUAGGAAGCUCUAUUACUAGUUUCUCCUUGUUAAAAACCGUUUAACUUUGGUUCAUUCAUUUUUAGAUGUUCUAUUCUAUUUUCAAUAUCCUGCAAAUUAAUGACUAUAUCAUCUUCUUCUUCGGAUUCAGAUUCUUUAUCAGAUAUCUCUUGAUUAGGUAAUUCUAUGUUUUCACUUAGCAUUCUUAGACUUAUUAAUUUUUUGUCUUUGUUUAUUUUGUUAAAUAUCGGUUUAGAUGUUGUUAUCAUUUCUUUAUCUUUAAGUUCAUUAUAGUAAAUUAUGGUAUCUUGUAAAAUUUUAUUUUGUUUAUUGAUCUUCUGUACUUCAAUCCUUUUGUAAUUUUCCAUUUAUGCUUAUAGCGAAUUUAUUACCAAUUUUUUCAUCGAUUUUUUCAAUUUUUUGUAGUUGAUUUCAAUCUUGUUGAAUUUAUUUUCAAUUGAACUUUUGUUCACAAUAUUAAAGAUUUCUUGUUUUAAUCUAUCUUGAUCUUCAAUAUUAAAGUCUUUUAUUAAUAGCUUAACAAAAUCAAAUUCUUCACUCAUUCGCUAUCCUAUCAUUUUGACUUGUCUUAUAUUUUCGGCAUCAAAGCUUUUAAUCUCAAGUAUCUUAUUUACACUUUCUAUAUCAUCUAUGGUUAAAUUAGGGUUUCCUAAUUUAUUUAAUAAAUAUAAUGAGAUCCAAUUUAAUUGAUUAUUUCCCCACAUAUCAGAAUCAUUUACUAAAUCAAAUGGUUGAAAUCUUCCAUAAGUAAAUCCUCUAUGCCUAUAGCUAGAAGGUGGUAAUAUGUUGGUUUCAAUAUUUCUAUAUACUUCUCUCCUGAUCCUAAAGAGAAGAAUAGGAUCAAUAUUUAAAUUUCUAAUUUUUAUUAUGAUGAGUUCUCCAAUUUUAAAUUCAUGAACUCUAACUAAAUAAAAUUGUAUUAAUUGUUUAUCAUCCAAUAUAUUAACUUCUGAAUAAUAAUAUUGUUUAUGUUUUGUUAUAUUAUCUUUAACUCCACACUUGUUUAAAAUUCAACACACAGAUGUGCCUCUUUCUUACUAUACUGGAAUCCUCGGUAAACUUUUUGUUUGCGCAAUUUAUGUGAGCAAAUUGUGUCUUCUUUUUCAUAUGUAAAUGUUUUUGAUAUCUUGAUGUGAAGGUAGAAAAUUGCAUGUUUUGAGUUUUUGCAUAUUUGAUGGAAACACAGAACUGUACCUGAAUCUUUCAGAACCCCCUUUUCUUUGAAGUUUGAACACUUUUCUUGAAUGUAUCAACUUUAUUUAUGGGAUAUGUUGCCAAAUUGGCAAAUCUAUUCGUUAUAAAACUUUCCUUUGACAGUUUAAUCUAAGCAGAUGUUAAUUAUGCAAAUAGAGUGUGCCUAAGAUUAGUUUCAUAGAUUUGUCUCCUUCUGUACAGUAAAAACUUUGAGCAUUUUCGCCAUAUUCUGAUCAAUACACUCCAACUAGUUAGUUCUUGAGGCGUUUUAUGGUUUCGUGGAGUGAGGCAAGAUGUAUACGUUUGCAAAUUGGCAAUGUCUUUUGCUUGAUGGGUUGAGAGUUGUGAGUGUCAACAGGAAACAAGACCUCUGUUUUAUGAACUCCAAAAAGUUAUUCUGUUAAAAAGAUCGAGACAGAGGCCAUACUAUAUUUAUUAUUGCUAUAAAAGUGUGAAAAAAUAUUCUUUGUUUAAUAUUCUAAACGAUUGAGCCAUUUAGUUAUGAUACUCUGCUGUAUUGGGGCUAAUAAUCUAAGUCGGUUCAAAGUGGUAAAUUUAUAAAUUGAUAGGUAUGCCUGGUAUGACCGCUUACGUUGGAUUUUAUGAGGUCUGCUCUCCUAAGCAAGGAGAGUGUGUCUUCAUAUCCGCAGCAUCUGGUGCAGUUGGACAGCUUGUGGGGCAGUUUGCAAAGUUAUUGGAUUGCUAUGUCGUCGGAAGUGCUGGAAGCAAAGACAAGGUAUGUAAUCUGUGUGAAGUACUUGAUUGUUUCCAUGUUACUUUCAAACAUUUAAAUUAAAAAGGAAAUUUUCAUAAUCUUGCCUUUUCUAUGAUUUUCAAAACCAAGGUUGAUCUACUGAAGAACAAGUUUGGGUUCGACGAGGCAUUUAACUAUAAAGAAGAAGCUGAUUUGAAUGCAGCAUUGAAAAGGUUAGCAUCAAUAAAUGCCUUAGCUUGAUGCAGCUUGAUGAAGUAUGAUACACAUUUCUGACCAAUAUACUGCGUUCCCUGAUCUCUUACUUGAAAUAUCUUGGUUUGAGAAUCUCAUGCCAAUGCCUUUAACAUUUUGGCAGGUACUUUCCUGAAGGAAUUGAUAUAUAUUUUGAAAACGUUGGUGGAAAAUUGCUUGACGCAGUGCUACCCAACAUGAAAAUCCGUGGUCGAAUUGAUGCAUGCGGUAUGAUCUCACAGUACAAUCUUGACAAGCCUGAAGGUGUGCACAACUUGAUGUAUCUUGUUUCGAAACGGCUUCGAAUGGAAGGAUUCAUUGUUCUCGAUCACUAUCACCUCUAUCCAAAGUUUCUGGAAAUGAUCAUUCCUCACAUCAAAGAAGGGAAGCUUGUAUACGUCGAAGACAUGGCUGAAGGUCUUGAGAGUGCUCCGGCAGCUCUCAUCGGUCUAUUCUCUGGCCAGAAUAUUGGGAAACAAGUGGUUGCUGUUGCUCCUUAAUGAAGAACAAGUUAGUGUUGUCUGUCCUUUUACCCUUUGACACAAAACUUCAAUGUUAAAGAGAGAAUGCUGUUCAUAUAUACUGCUUUAUAAAAUAAUCAAGUGAGUGCAAGUUUCAUGAUAUUUGCUGAAUAAAAUAUUGGAAAUUAAGCAGCUAGCCUAGCUCCUUCUUGUAGUUGCAGUUUGAAUGAUGCUGCUGCACAACUGCUGCCGAAAAAAUCCUUAAUAGAUGAUUAGCAAGGUUUCAAAAAUAAAAAUAAAUGUUUGUGCAAUGUGUCGAAUAUGACAGCCACAAAGAAAGAGCACACAAAUUGAUUGGUUUUAUGUCUUCUCUAGGAGAAAGCUACAAUACAAGAAAUUGUACUGAUGGAGCCAUGGACCAAAUUUCUUAUUUAAACUUUUAAUUUUUUUAUUAAAUUACUUAUGUUAUUAUGGUUUAUAAUUUUAGAAAUUCUUUAGAAAUUAAUACAGAACUAGUAGCAAGUUGAGAAAUCUAUUGAAUGGUCAAGAUAUGAUCAUGUUUAUUGAAUUAAAUUGACAAUCAUCAUUUUGAUAAAUUAUUGUCAGGAUGUUUGAUUCAUGACACGUGUAAGCAACUAAAUGUGCUAAAAAAAAGUUAAUGAGUUGGGCGUGUUUGAGUUAAUGAGUUGGGCUUGUUUGAUAUUCAUUUGUUGUAAUUCUUUUAAUAAUUAUUGGGGAAAAAAAGUUAUAAUAAAAAAAAUUAUAAUUAUAAAAUAAAAAUUAAUAAUAUAUAAUAAAUAAGAUUUUAAAUAAUAAUUUUAAUAAAAUAAUAAAUAUAUUAUAAAUUUUUUAUGAUUAAUUUUUAAAUUACAACAAUAAAUAUUUAACAAACACCUUAAUACCACAACUAACACCACAACUUUUGAAUUAUGAUAGUACAAUCUAAAUGCCACAGGCCUUAAAAAAUAAAAUUACAGUCAAGUUUUAAAACUGUUAAUGAUAUUCACAAAGACUCUGGAACAAUAUUACAGAAGGUGCUCGUCGUGUAAGCAACACAUGGGACCCAACCAAUAAAUGUUUCUGAUCCUCAACUUUCCUCAUCACUGUCCCUGGAAACAAUUCUGAUUUUCUUGUCUGAUUAAACAACUGAGAAACAAUGGCGGCCGACCAAGAAGCUGGGAGCAAUAAGCGGGUGAUUCUAAGCAACUAUGUGACAGGUUUUCCAAAAGAAUCAGACAUGAAGAUAACAAGUUGAUCAAUAAAGCUGAAGGUAGCAGAGGGUGUUUGGGAGAAAUACGUCGACGAGACCAGGCAUGGUGAGCAGAUAUCUGAUGGCAGAGUUCUGCGAACCGGUGUGUUCCGUAAAAGCCUGGUGCGCGGGGGAACAGGAGCAGAAGUAUCCUGCUCGUCCACGAGCACGUCAUCCGCGAGGCCAAUUUCCUGUAAGAGGCAUAAGGUCAUUCCGGCUAGAGGUCGAGAGGCGAGGAGACCCGGUCGACGGCAGUUGGCAAGACAUGCUCCCCAGCCCGAGAAUCUAGGCACGACAGCCACGCUUUCCCCAGAACCGUGGCGUAACACGCAAGAUCUCACAGAACCACGACAGCCACGCUUUCCCCAGAACCGUGGCGUAACACGCAAGAUCUCACAGAACCACGACAGCCACGCUUUCCCCAGAACCGUGGCGUAACACGCAAGAUCCCACGUUUGCCCAUAACGCAGCAGUCAGAGUCCCAUACCGUCUCGAAAAAAGCGGAAAACUGGGAUUCAGGGGAAGCCUAUAAAAAGGUAGCCAACGAAGGUAAAAGGGUUAGCAUUUUUGAGAUUAGAAAAGAAAUGAAAAAAGAAGAGAAAACCACGAAAAAGCCAUAAGAUAUGUGGCAAGCGUUCCCCGAACCUUCAUAUCUGACUUGAGCGUCGGAGGGUUUGCGCCGGGAAAACAACCGGCGUACUCUGACUUGUCUGUGUGCGCAGGAACCUCUGGAGAAGAAGCCUCACGUGGAGACCUCCUGGUCGUGAAGAAGUUGAUCGGGCAGAGAUCCUGGUCGUAGAACGAGGAGAACCGGAAUCCCGCAUCAACAUUUUGGCGCCGUCUGUGGGGACCGGAGCAAAAAGCUUCUGUUGAUAGCAAGAAGAGGGGUGAAGCAAGUGAAAAACAAUGGAGACAGGAGGAAGUAGUGCACAAGGGGGUGAUAGGAAGCUUAACGAUUCCGUGACGCUGAGGGAGAUAGUCAGUGAAGCACGGGAAAAAGUCAUGUUCGACCGGAUGGAACGGAUGGAAAAGCAGAUGGAGACCUUGACAACCAUCCUGCAUGAGCUGCGGAGCGAGCGAAGUAUAAUCCAAGAGGGAAGGGUGAGAGGCGGUGGAGUGGCACCAGGUCCCGAUAGUGCGGGGAGAAGUCAAACCACCGGGAGAUUUGGUGGUGAGAGAGGUAACGUACCUCUGCGGGGAGAAUUUCAUAGAGAAAGAGAGCAGUCCCCGGCAAGACAGACUGGCGACGAGGACGACGGGGUGGUGAAUGCAGAGGAAACAGAGUUGAGGCAACACUUGCAUGAUGUAGAGCAAGAGCGGGAUCAAGUUGCAGCACGUGACCCUGGUUGUGCAGUGCAGCUGGAGGAGGAAGUGCGCAGACUAGCACAGAUAAUCGACGACAUGCAAGGAAGGAACAGAGCCCCUGGUUGGAGGAUAAUGCUGGACGGAGAAUCACCGCUCGCAGCAGAGAUCAUGAGGGCAGUUAUUCCGAGAGAUUUCCGCCUCCCAGACCUCAGAUACUCGGGAAGAACUGAUCCGUUGGUGCACAUAGAGCGCUUCAACGACAUAACUGGGGUACAAGGAUUAUCUCAAUCCCAAAGGUGCAGAGUGUUCCCACUAUCCCUUGAGGGACGUGCACGAGAAUGGUACAGGAAACUUCCUCGGGGCAGCAUUAAAACCUUCGAGCAGAUGUGCCAGGAAUUCGCGGAGCAGUUUAGUGGGGCAAUGGCGCCGGAAGAUGACAUGAUGGAGCUGAAAAGCAUGAAACAGGGGGAGCAAGAAACCCUUCGGGAAUUCAUCAAGAGGUUUCAUCGGGCUGUCCUUGACUUGGGAGCCUUCAACCACCCUCAGGCGUUAAGGGGAUUGAAAGAAGGGGUGAAGAUAGGAAGGCUGUGGUACAAUUUGAGAAGCCCAGCUAUUCAAACGUAUGCAGCCGCAUACGAACAGGCUAAGAGAGACAUCGAGAUUGAAGAGGAGAAGGCUGCACGGAUUAAGACAGACCAGUUAGAAGGGUUGGGGAGGAAAGAGAAGAAAGCAUUACCGGGGAAUGGGCCGAUCAGGAGGAGGGACCACCAGGCCUCCGGUAGUGGAGCAGGAGGUCGGGUAGCCGCUUACCAGCCUCAUCAAAGGCCACCACAGUAUCAGCGCAGCAGGGCGCAACCUCCUCGUUCCCCAGCUAGGGAGCCUUGGAGAAGGCAUGAGUCGGCAUCUGGUGGUCUCCAACAACACCCCCACGGUAUCAGAGCGAGCAGACCAGAAGUACUUCCACCGCCCCCAACUCAGAGCGGGGCAAACAGAGAAAGAGCAGUGCACCUGAUCGACCAGAACCCGGACUAUGGGCGGUACACUUCCUUGAAGAUGUCCCUGGAUGAGGUGUACGAGGCCAUAAAGGAUCGAGGGCUGCUGCACCUCCCUACACCAAUAACAAAGCUACCCAACAGGAGGGAUAGAGGACGUUAUUGUAAGUUCCAUGGCACCCAUGGCCAUACCACAGCAGAGUGUAGAGAUCUCAAGACCCAAGUCGAAGAUUUGGUGAGAAAUCGGUACCUGGACGAGUUUAUGGAUGGGACUUUCCCGAUGGGGGCCACAACAGGUGAAGGGGAGCAGAGUGGCGGAAACGUUAGGCGCGAGCAGCCCGCAGUAAGGGUGAUAGCUGGGGGCCCGACAUUGGCCGGAGAUUCCAACAGAUCGAGAAAAAAUUAUGCUAGGUACGCCAUGACCAGUAAAGAGGUACUCCUCAACACCCCAGCAGCCAAACGAGCAAGGGUCAGGCAAGUGCCAAUCAUGUGGACGGAUGAGGAUGAGGAAGGGAUUCUAUACCCCCACGAGGAUGCUUUAGUCAUCAAGGCUACUGUCGCUAGCAAGAAGUUUGACCGGAUACUGAUUGAUACAGGGAGCUCAGUUGAUGUGUUAUUUAAGUCAACCCUGGAAGAGAUGGGAAUAGCCGACCGGAAGUUGGAAUACACCAAUACCUCCUUGAAGGGGUUCGGAGGAGGGAAGCUGGUCCCUCUGGGCGUGGUCGAGCUGCCUAUCACAAUUGGGAGCUCUCCGACAGAAAGAACAAUGAUACUGGACUUUGUCGUAGUGGAUGAGGAAGGUCCUUACCAGAUGAUCCUAGGUCGGCCAUUUUUAAGGAUGAGCAAAGCGGUGUUGUCCAACCAUUAUCUGGCUCUGAAGUACCGGGUGAACGGGGUAGUAGGAGUGGUACGAGGAGACCAGAGGAUCGCAAGAAGCUGCUACUCCUCGGCAGCAAGGGAAGCAAUGCAGAUAACAUCCCUCGAUACCCGAGUGGAAAACAAGAAGGGCAGACAAGAACCUGUAGAGGAUCUGGAAACAGUAAGCCUGGGACCAGAGAACCCGGGAAAGACGAUCAGAAUCGGGUCGAGACUUAAGGGAGAGCAAAAGCAGGAGUUGGUGAAAUGCUUACAGGCUCAUGCUGAUGUGUUUGCUUGGACACAUGAAGACAUGCCAGGAAUUGACCCUGAGGUAGCAUGUCAUAAGCUGGCAAUAAAGAAAAGUGCUCGGGCAGUAAGGCAGAAGAGGAGGUGCUUCAACCAGGAGAGGUAUGAGGCUAUAAAUGGCGAGGUGGAGAAGCUCUUGAGAGCAGGGUUCAUUCGGGAAGUCAGUUACCCUGAGUGGAUAUCGAAUGUGGUGUUGGUAAAGAAGGCAAACGGCAAGUGGAGGAUGUGUGUGGAUUUCACAGACCUCAAUAAGGCGUGCCCAAAAGACAGCUUCCCUUUACCAAAGAUCGAUCAGCUAGUAGAUUCAACGGCUGGACAUGGUCUGCUUAGCUUCAUGGACGCGUUCUCGGGAUACAACCAGAUCCCCAUGUACGAGCAGGAUGAGGAGAGCACGGCUUUCAUCACUAACCAAGGUUUGUUCUGUUACAGGGUAAUGCCAUUCGGUCUCAAAAAUGCCGGGGCCACCUAUCAAAGGCUGGUGAACAAAGUCUUUAAGCCGUUGAUUGGGAAAACCAUGGAGGUGUACGUGGAUGACAUGAUCACCAAGUCCAAAAUCCCGGAGGAACAUGUCAGACACCUCGAGGAGACAUUCGAGCUUUUGAGGAAGUAUAAGAUGAAGCUCAACCCGGAGAAGUGUGCUUUUGGGGUCGAGUCAGGGAAAUUCCUUGGAUUCAUGGUGAGCCAUAGGGGGAUUGAAGCACAUCCCGAGAAAAUCCAGGCGAUUGUGCAAAUGACGUCUCCCCAUAACCUGAAGGAGAUGCAAAGCCUCACGGGGAGGUUGGCGGCGUUGAGCAGAUUCAUAUCCAAGGCUACAGAUAAGUGUAAGCCAUUCUUUCAAGUGAUGAGGAGGGGAAAGAAAACAGAAUGGACCUCAGAAUGCGAGGAAGCCUUCCGGAACUUGAAGCAAUACUUGCAGCAAGCUCCGCUGCUGUCCACACCGAGGGAUGGGGACAAGUUAUAUCUGUAUUUGGCGGUAUCGGAUCGGGCCGUCAGUUCUGUUCUGGUGAGAGAGGAAGAAGGAGUUCAGUAUCCGAUAUAUUACACCAGCAAGGCCCUGCUCGACGCUGAGACCAGAUACCCACCGUUGGAGAAAUGGGCACUUGCCCUUGUGGUUGCUGCUCGGAAGUUGAGGCCAUAUUUUCAAGCAUUCCCGGUCUUGGUAAUAACAAACCAGCCAUUGCGUCAAACUCUGCACAAGCCAGAUGCCUCUGGUCGGCUCGUCAAGUGGGCUGUAGAGCUGAGCGAGUUCGACAUAGACUAUAAACCCCGCGCAGCGAUAAAAGCCCAGGCAAUGGCCGAUUUCGUAGCUGAAUUCACAGAGCCCGAAGUAUGCUUAGAUCAACAAGAUGCAGAUAUAGGCAAUGACGAAACUCAAGUAUGGCAGAUGUCUGUGGAUGGGUCAUCAGGGGAGCGGGGUUCAGGAGCAGGGAUUGUCUUGGAAGGCCCAGAGGGGGAGGAGAUCUCUUAUACUGUAAAAUUGGAAUUUGCAGCCACGAAUAACCAGGCAGAGUAUGAAGCCUUGAUAGCAGGUCUGGAAUUGGCUAAGGCCGUGAAAGCAGACAGAGUUAAGAUCAGAACUGAUUCCCAGCUGGUUGCGAAUCAUGUCAGUGAAAGAUUCCAACCAAGAGAGGAGAAGAUGGGGCAGUACCUGAAGAUAGUCAGGCAGAUGAUGGGGAAGUUCGAAGCAGUGGAGGUGAUACAAAUCCCCAGGGAGCAGAAUAGUCGAGCAGACAUUUUGGCUAGGAUGGCAGCAGUAGCCGACCCAAAAAUGCCAAAGUCGGUCCCUCUGGAGGUGAAGUCCAGCCCAAGUAUCGAUCAGAAUUUGGGGGUGUUGCAGAUAGAACAAAAAUGCUCGUGGAGGGACCCGAUAAUUUCAUACCUUAGAGACGGGGUAUUACCACCAGAUAAGAUGCGAGCUCGCAAGCUUAGAGCCCAGGCCUCGAGAUACACGAUGAUUGAUGGGGUACUGUAUCGGCGAGGAUAUACACUACCGUUCCUUCAGUGUUUGGAUGAGGACGACGCGGAUUACGUACUGAGAGAAGUACACGAAGGAAUUUGCGGAAAUCAUUCUGGCGGGAGGUCCCUGGCCCAUAAGGUUCUAAGGCAGGGAUAUUUCUGGCCGACAAUGCACCAGGAUGCGCAAGAGAAGACCAGGAGUUGUGUAAGCUGCCAGAGUUUUGUAAAUUUCUCUAACCAACCACCAGAGAAGCUCACCUCCAUGACCUCCCCCUGGCCAUUUGCUCAAUGGGGAAUUGAUCUGAUCGGCCCAUUGCCAAAGGCACGGGGAGCAGCAACAUAUGCAAUAGUUGCUAUAGAUUACUUCACGAAGUGGAUAGAGGUAAAAGCCCUUAGCAGGAUCACAGAGAAGAAAACAACAGACUUCGUAUGGAGAAACCUGGUCUGUCGAUACGGGAUCCCUUAUGCCUUGGUAACGGAUAAUGGCAGGCAGUUCGAUAAUCACAGCUUCAGGGAUUUCUGCCAGAACCUCGGGAUAGAGCUGAAGUAUUGCUCGCCUGCUCACCCUCAAUCGAAUGGACAAGUAGAAGCAGCCAACAAGACCAUCAAGAGGCUUUUGAAAACCAGGCUUGGAGCAAAAAAGGGUGCGUGGGUUGACGAGCUGGCAGGUGUGCUAUGGGCAUCCAGAACAACAAAACCGCAACUGGGGAGACACCGUUCGCUUUGGCUUUCGGACAUGAAGCGGUCGUGCCGGCUGAGAUAGGAACGACCACACACCGGACAAAUCAUUUCAAUGAGCAGGAGAACGACGAGCAGAUAUGUUUGAAUCUUGAUCUGCUAACGGAAAGGAGGGAGCAAGCAGCCGAGCGAUCAGUCAUUUACCAAUAGAGGGUUGCUCGGUAUUAUAACCAGAAGGUGAACAUACGGCAAUUCAGGGUCGGAGACUGGGUACUGAGAAGAGUGAAUCAGAGCACCAAAGAUUCGACUCAAGGAGUGCUGGGACCGAAUUGGGAAGGGCCAUAUAGAGUCAAGCAGAUAGCGGGACCCGGAGCUUACAGGCUGGUUCGCACGGACGGCCACGAGGUGAAACGCCCAUGGAACGCAGCACACCUCCGAAAAUACUUCCAGUAAGACUUGUUCACAUGUGAAAACUAUUUUUGCUCAUGUUCAUUACCGUUUAUCUUUCACGCUUAUUGUCCAAACAAUUUCAUGUAAGUCGAAUCCUGCCAUUAAUGGAACGUCGAGGAAUUUCUUUCACUUGAAACCGAGAAAAUUUCCCAAGGCAUGCAAAGGCUCACCAAGUCUCAAAGCCUGUCUUAUGGUGAGACAGAAGCCAAGCAUGCCAGGAUCUGCUCGGCCACGAGAAGGCAAGCAGAAUCCCAAUCCUCGAAGAAUCCAAGGCACGCAAAGGCUCACUAAGUCUCAAAGCCUGUCUUAUGGCGAGACAGAAGCCAAGCAUGCCAGGAUCUGCUCGGCCACGAGAAGGCAAGCAGAAUCCCAAUCCUCGAAGAAUCCAAGGCAUGCAAAGGCUCACCAAGUCUCAAAGCCUGUCUUAUGGCGAGACAGAAGCCAAGCAUGCCAGGAUCUGCUCGGCCACGAGAAGGCAAGCAGAAUCCCAAUCCUCGAAGAAUCCAAGGCACGCAAAGGCUCACCAAGUCUCAAAGCCUGUCUUAUGGCGAGACAGAAGCCAAGCAUGCCAGGAUCUGCUCGGCCACGAGAAGGCAAGCAGAAUCCCAAUCCUCGAAGAAUCCAAGGCAUGCAAAGGCUCACCAAGUCUCAAAGCCUGUCUUAUGGCGAGGCAGAAGCCAAGCAUGCCAGGAUCUGCUCGGCCACGAGAAGGCAAGCAGAAUCCCAAUCCUCGAAGAAUCCAAGGCAUGCAAAGGCUCGACAAAGUCUCAAAGCCUGUUUUAUGGCGAGACAGAAGCCAAGCAUGCCAGGAUCUGCUCGACCACUAGAAGGCGAGCAGACUCCAAAGCAUUCGAAGAAAUGCCCAAGGCAUGCAAAGGCUCGACAAAGUCUCAAAGCCUGUUUUAUGGCAAGGCAGAAGCCAAGCAUACCAGGAUCUGCUCGACCACGAGAAGGCGAGCAGACUCCAAAGCAUUCGAAGAAAUGCCCAAGGCAUGCAAAGGCUCGACAAAGUUUCAAAGCCUGUUUUAUGGCGAGACAGAAGCCAAGCAUGCCAGGAUCUGCUCGACCACGAGAAGGCGAGCAGACUCCAAAGCAUUCGAAGAAAUGCCCAAGGCAUGCAAAGGCUCGACAAAGUCUCAAAGCCUGUUUUAUGGCGAGACAGAAGCCAAGCAUGCCAGGAUCUGCUCGACCACUAGAAGGCGAGCAGACUCCAAAGCAUUCGAAGAAAUGCCCAAGGCAUGCAAAGGCUCGACAAAGUCUCAAAGCCUAUUUUAUGGCGAGGCAGAAGCCAAGCAUGCCAGGAUCUGCUCGACCACUAGAAGGCGAGCAGACUCCAAAGCAUUCGAAGAAAUGCCCAAGGCAUGCAAAGGCUCGACAAAGUCUCAAAGCCUGUUUUAUGGCGAGACAGAAGCCAAGCAUGCCAGGAUCUGCUCGACCACUAGAAGGCGAGCAGACUCCAAAGCAUUCGAAGAAAUGCCCAAGGCAUGCAAAGGCUCGACAAAGUCUCAAAGCCUGUUUUAUGGCGAGGCAGAAGCCAAGCAUGCCAGGAUCUGCUCGACCACUAGAAGGCGAGCAGACUCCAAAGCAUUCGAAGAAAUGCCUAAGGCAUGCAAAGACUCACCAAGUCUCAAAGCCUGUUUUAUGGCGAGACAGAAGCCAAGCGUGCUAGGAUCUGCUCGACCGCGCGAAGGUGAGUCGAAUCCCAGGCAUUGAAGAAUCUCCAAAGGCAUGUGGCAAAACCAUGAGCCAAGCCGGAACCUGCUCGUCUAGACAGAGACAAGCAGAUUCUCAACCGAAAAUUAAUUCAUAAUUACAACACAAGAAAGUAAUCAAAAACCAUUUUUAUUAAUUUGUUAAUAAUUAACAGAGGGGAUAAUCUUUAUGAACAUUGUUCAUUACAAUACAAGAAAUAUAUCAGGAAGAUGGUGGACCAGUAAGCCCGGCAGCAUCGGUUGGCUGGACCUCCUCAGGUGCAGGAGGGGUAUCACCAGUUGCGUCCGGGGGGGUGCUCGCCUCGCCAACAUCAGCAGGGACUGCAUGAGCAGGAGAGUCUUCCUCCUCAAUCACGAUCGGCUCUACCCCAUCGGCAUCUUCCUUGGCCGCCUCCUCGUCCAUAUGUUGAGCAACACCAGCUGCAAGGUCAUCCAUCUUCAGAUCAGGGUGUUGCUUCCCGAGGACGGCCAUGAUGCAACGAUAGGAAUGCCGAAGUCCCUGGUCGUACUGGUUGUCAGCCUCCCUCUCUAAGUUCUCGACCUGAGCUCGGUGGGAGUCGCGGAGAGAUUCGAGCUGAGCCUCAUACAUAGCCUUCUGCCUUUGCAGAUCCUCCUUGACCGUGGUAAGCUCCUCCUCGAGGGAAAUGGCUUUUGCUUGAGCAAGUGAUUCUUGCUCUAUUAGCUUCAGAUUCUCGAGAUUCAGGUCCUUCUUGCUCACGAGUUUAGUUAACUCAUUGAGGUAGGGGACCAGGUGUUCUGCUCGGCUGUCAGGUAAGCGAGAUCGAGGCCCGACAGGAGGAAAAGAGGAAGCAGGAUCUGUGGCUGCUCCACUAGCUUCCCCGACUUUUACAGGAGCAGGAGGUAAAAUCUUCAAGGGUGGGACCUGCUGCAUGAUGUUGGCCCGCUUUGCAGCAGGGGCAUCCUUACUCUGGUCCCUCUUCGUGGUUGGAGGUCGGGAACGUUUUCGGGUCAGAGCCCCAAUCACAGCGUCCUCCAUCCUAUGGCCAGGAAGUAUCAAGCGAGACUCGAGCAAGUUGUAUGUAGUUAGCAGUUCUCGGCUCGAGCAGGAAUUGGCUAGUACAGCCUCGACCCGUUUGAGCUGGUCAGGUUCAAGCGGGAAGUGGACACCCCAAGAAACUACAACACAAACAGACACUUGGUUAGAGACAAGCCAAUAAAGCAAGAACAAUUAUGGAUGCAAGACAUCUAGAGUGAGCAGGCAACCUGGGACCGUGAAACGGGGUGGGACGUGACAAUCCUUCCCGCCUAUUUGUGCAACUUGACCCCAAGGACCCCCAGCAAAAAAGAAUUUCCUCUUCCAAGCCCCACCACCACCGGUUGGAAGAUCGGUUAUGGGUUUCCGGCUCUUGGUGCUAGAUUGGAAGUAGUACCAGCCGGCAUCUUUGGGGCUGCUCUUUAGCUGGUACAAGUGCUUCACCUCAUCAACCGUGGGCUCGCUUUGGCAACAUUUGUCCCACAAUAUGAACAGACCAGAGAGCACUCUCCACCCAUUGGGAUUCAGCUGACCAGGAGCUAGAUUUAGCCCGUUAAGUAUCUGGGCAAAGUAGGGUUGCAAGGGACACCUCAGCCCGUACUUAAAGCUCUCUAGAAACAGGGUAACGUAUCCCCUAGGAGGCCGGCUGGGAGCAUCCUUCUUUCCUGGGACCUUGAGAGGUAUCUCACCAGGAAUGCUAUACCUAAGCCGGAGGUCAUUGAGCUCGUCAAACAAGGUCGUGCACGUCAUGUAAUCAAUGGCAUAAUCGCGCGACAAGGCUCUGCCUCCUACUGUACCCCGUUCCUCUGGUCGUGAUGUUCCAGAUGGAGACACCUCACCAGAGUCACCUUCCCCAUUCUCACUUAAGGUGUCCUCAGAGCCAGAAGGUCUCUCUUCACCAUUGCUUCCACUCGUGGAGGUUGUUUGGGGGGACAUCCUCCUAGCACUAGUCCCGACACUAAACCUAAUGGGUUCUAAGGGGAUCCCGGGGUCAAAAGCAGAAUCAGUGAGCAGACCAGGCAGGAAACUUAGUUCGUCGUCAUCAAUCUCAACGACUUUCUCCUUACCUUUCGACAUUCCCUAAGCCCUAACCACAACACCACCAACUACUACCCAAACAGAAGAGAAGAGAAAUUAUCUACAACUAUCCGAGACCAAGGAGAUAGAAGAAAUACCUGAAGUAAUGGUUCAGUCGGUGAAAGUCAGAGAUGGAGGCCUUUUAUGCCGGAACUUCUUUGCCGGAGAAACAGAGACGGAGACGGAGUGAAUGAUGAAUAUGCCGUUCGAGAGGAUUUGGUUUUCCUAAUGAGGACGGACUCUUGGGUUGCCAGCAUUUAACGGCGCCGAAUCCCGAGGGUCUCAUAACCGUCGGUUUGAAAUUCAAAUGGAGGGGGGGAUUUCUGCCACGUCACCUCGUCCGCAAUUAAAUGCGACAUGACUCUUGGCAGCCUUUUCCAAUCCCACGCGGGCGAGUACUAACGAGUUUCUACUGCUGGUCCACUACAUUACCCAACACCAGAAACUGGGGGACCGGUGUUUGGGAGAAAUACGUCGACGAGACCAGGCAUGGUGAGCAGAUAUCUGAUGGCAGAGUUCUGCGAACCGGUGUGUUCCGUAAAAGCCUGGUGCGCGGGGGAACAGGAGCAGAAGUAUCCUGCUCGUCCACGAGCACGUCAUCCGCGAGGCCAAUUUCCUGUAAGAGGCAUAAGGUCAUUCCGGCUAGAGGUCGAGAGGCGAGGAGACCCGGUCGACGGCAGUUGGCAAGACAUGCUCCCCAGCCCGAGAAUCUAGGCACGACAGCCACGCUUUCCCCAGAACCGUGGCGUAACACGCAAGAUCUCACAGAACCACGACAGCCACGCUUUCCCCAGAACCGUGGCGUAACACGCAAGAUCUCACAGAACCACGACAGCCACGCUUUCCCCAGAACCGUGGCGUAACACGCAAGAUUCCACAUUUGCCCAUAACGCAGCAGUCAGAGUCCCAUACCGUCUCGAAAAAAGUGGAAAACUGGGAUUCAGGGGAAGCCUAUAAAAAGGUAGCCAACGAAGGUAAAAGGGUUAGCAUUUUUGAGAUUAGAAAAGAAAUGAAAAAAGAAGAGAAAACCACGAAAAAGCCAUAAGAUCUGUGGCAAGCGUUCCCCGAACCUUCAUAUCUGACUUGAGCGUCGGAGGGUUUGCGCCGGGAAAACAACCGGCGUACUCUGACUUGUCUGUGUGCGCAGGAACCUCUGGAGAAGAAGCCUCACUUGGAGACCUCCUGGUCGUGAAGAAGUUGAUCGGGCAGAGAUCCUGGUCGUAGAACGAGGAGAACCGGAAUCCCGCAUCAACAGAGGGUUCAAAAGACACGGUGCUUUUGAAGAAUCUUUAUCUUUAUUGUGAUCCUUACAUGCGAGAGCGUAUGAGCAAGCUUGAUAGACCUUCUUUUGUUGAUUCAUUCCAUUCUGGUGAGGUUAGUUCAUCACGACCUCAACUUAGAUUUUGGGAUGGUUUACGAUUCACUCUCAGUUUAUGCAGAAAAACAAUCUAGUUUUAAUUUGGCAGGGUUUUUCCUUCUCUCUCCUUUUCUUCCUUUUCUUCAUUGGUUUCUUCCUCUUUUAUAGCCGCUAUCCCACGUUUUCGUUCAUCCUUCAUCCCCAUUUUUCGGGUAGUGGCAGCCCCUCAUGGGACUCCAACUGCUACAUUAUGGGUAAAUGUGGGACACCGUAUCUCCCUCAAUGGUUUUAGAAAAAGCGCAACUGUCGUGAUUUCGUGAGAUUGUGUUCCCGUUCUUUGGGGAAUGGAUAUCUGCUCGGUAUAUGUCUCUGGUCGGCCUAUAUUUAUAGAAGGCUCAUUAUCAGUAUUCUACUUAUACCAUUCAGCUGAGGUGAUCUACCUCGAAAUGAGAAUGAUAACAUGACUGACCUGAUGCUCUUAUUUACUUAACAGUAAAUUUUCUAUGACCCUACAGGUGACUAAUUAAUGAGAACUUGACAAUGACAAAAGAAAGUGUAUGAGCUUUGCAGGCUGGCAUGCCAAUAUUGACUGUGUGGCACCAUCCACCAUCUGCAAUUGAAUAUCAUUAUUGUUUAAUCAAUGUGGUGGAGUCCACUGGAACCACACCACAUGGUCAGUCUUAUCUCUAUUCCUCAAUUUUCAGUAUUCCAUACAUCAAACCAAUUUCAUGUUUGUUAGCAAUUAUAAUUUCAUUGUUGGUGACGAUUCUGAUUCCUUUUGUUGAGAAUCAAAUAAAACGGCAUUGAAUGAAGCUUUCAAAGACAGAAUCUGCACUUGUCAAAGGGGUAAUCUGCACUUGUCAAAGACAAGAUCCGCGCCGAACGGAUUGACACAUUUCCUUCCGUAUUCACAUAUGUAAUCUUUGAAAAAAUGUAGCCUCUGCAUCUAUAAAUAACUCUCAAUGUAUAAUGCUUUAUUUAAGAAAUGAAAACACGUUUCUUCAUGGUAUCAGAGCCAUGAAUACGCUCAAGUUUCUUCAAGUUCCGCUGCUCUGUUUGUAACAAAAAUAGAGGAAACCAAAUUCCUCCCACAACCAUUUUUCCCACCAUUUUCUUUCUUAAACCCAUUCCUACCAUUACAGAUAUCCAUGCCGAUCAAGAAACAAGCCACCCAUACGUAAAAAACUUGAGUUUACAAAUUUAUCAACAAUCCCAUCAAUUUUCUGAGAGUGUGUUCCUAAAAAACCAAGAACACCAUCAAAUUUCUCAGUUUUCAGUGAGGAAACUGUAAAAAUUUCGCAUUUAAACACAUUCCCACGCGCUCCCACGCGCCACCCGAAGCCACGGCCAGUCAACCACGCGCCUCUGUCAUCAUUCACGCGCUCUCACGCGCUCCAGAGGUUGAAGAAGACGCCAGCCGACAUGUCGUUCUUAUCUCAGAAGUUCAGCAGUCACAAAACGACGUGUCGUUUUUUGUUAUAUUAAAAUCGACAUGUCGUUUUGUAAAUUAGAGAUAAAACGACGUGAUGCUUAGUCUCCAGAAGUGCAGCAGGAUUAAAACGACAUGUCGUUUAUAUUCCACCAUAAUCGACAUGUCGGUUUGGCAAGCAGUGGCCAAACGACCUGGCGUUUUGUUACCUAAAAAGGUUAUUUUUUUUCUUCUUCCAAUCUAGAUGGAAAAAAAAAAAACAAACAAAAAAAAGAAAAAAAAGAAAAAAAAGAAAAAAAAGAGAAAAAAAAAAAAACAAAAAAAAAUGGAGAAAACUCCAACUGAAUCUAGUCCUGUUGUCAUUCAAUCUGUUCAAUCUGAUGGAGUAUUUAAUGCUGGAAUUAUCCUCACUGAGACAAACUACGAUGUUUGGUCUCAAAUAAUGGAGAUGCAUCUUGUAGAAAGAGAAAAACUCUCAUAUAUUCGUAGCAGCACAAAGCCAUUUGAGGAAUCUUCAAAGGAAUAUGAGAAAUGGUAUAGUGAGAACCAAAAAGUAAAAAGAUGGUUACUCAUAUCCAUGUCUCCGGAGAUCAUGAAGCGAUAUUUACGAAUUCCUACAGCCUACGAAAUCUGGGAUGCAUUAUCAAAAGCCUUCUAUGAUGGAAGCGAUGAAUUACAAGUUUUCACUCUAAACCAGAAGGCAUUCUCUACCAAGCAAAAUGGACAACCACUCUCUAAAUUCUAUGGAGAAUUGGUCGAAAUAUUUCGAGAACUUGAUCACCGAGAUAAAGUGGUCAUGAAGGAUCCAGAAGAUAUUGUAAUAUACAGAAGGUCUGUUGAAAGAUUGAGAGUGCACAUUUUUCUUGCUGGGCUAGAUGAAGAAUUUGACCAAGUUCGUGGAGAAAUUCUACGAAAAGACAUUAUCCCAGACUUAGAAGAAUGUUAUUCUUUGAUCCGAAGAGAAGAUAUACGGCAAAGCAAACUAAACAAGAAGGUCGACUCAGAAACGUUUGCAAUGAUAGCACGACAGCAGCCUCAAAGGAAGUUUGUUGACAAGUCAUCACUCCAUUGCACUCAUUGUAGAAAGAAGGGUCAUACGAAAGAACAAUGUUUUGAAAUCAUUGGAUAUCCUGACUGGUGGGAUACUCGAAAGAAGAACACCAAGCAUGGAUCAAAAACUGCAGUAGCUGAAUCCACAUCCACUACAGAUCUUAGAAAAGAAUCUUCAGUGCAAAUCGCAACCUCUGUCAGUCCAGGUAAGGCCCUUAAAACUCUUACACCUGUUAUUAAUAGUACAUGGAUAAUUGAUUCUGGGGCAACUGAUCAUAUGACUUUUGAUUCUCGACAAGUUUCUCAAUUGAAACCAUCUUCACAAAAAUAUAUUUCCACUGCAAAUGGAACCACAACCUCAGUUAUUGGGGAAUGAUCUUUACGACUCACAAAUGAAUUAAAUUUAGACGCUGUGUUAAUUGUUCCAUCUUUAGAUUAUAAUCUUUUAUCUGUGUCUCAAUUAACCACUUACUUAUCAUGUGUUGUAAUUUUUUGGCCUGAUCAUUGUGUGUUUAAGGACAUCCAAACGAAGCAAACGAUUGGUUAUGGUAUUAGACGAGGCAGCUUGUACUACUUGGAGAUGUCAUCAACAAACACUGGAAAGCUAAGCCCCGCACUAGUUGCAGAUAGUUCCAUAAAAAAAGGGAAAUCAGAAAUUUGGUUAUGGCAUAGACGUUUAGGGCAUGUGUCAUUUAGUUACUUAAAAAAAUUAUUUCCUAGUUUGUUUCUGAAAUUUGAUGUUUGUAACUUUAAAUGUGAUGUUUGUGAACUUUCAAAAAGCCAUCGAACUACUUUUCCAUUGUCCUUAAAUAAAAAUCCAGUUCCUUUUAUGGUAGUACAUUCUGAUGUAUGGGGGCCAUCUAAAGUUUCUACAAUUGGAGGUGCUCGUUGGUUUGUUACAUUUAUUGAUGAUUGUAGCAGAAUGACAUGGAUUUUUCUGAUGAAAUCGAAAGACGAAGUAAACUCUUUAUUUCAAAGAUUUCAUAAGAUGGUGACAACUCAAUUUCAGACACAAAUUCGAGUUCUACAUACUGAUAAUGGAGGUGAGUAUAUGAGCACAGCAAUUCAACAGUUUCUGAAAUCACAAGGAUCUGUCCAUCAAACCACUUGUGUGGGGACACCCCAACAAAAUGGCGUUGCUGAACGAAAGAACAGACAUUUACUAGAAGUUGUUCGAGCAUCACUAAUCCAAGCCCACAUGCCAUUAUCUUAUUGGGGAGAAGCAUUGACAUCCGCAGCAUACUUGAUCAAUCGAACACCUUCAAGCUCCCUUGGAUUCCAGACUCCUUUCCAAGUUCUGAAUGAUGCAAUUAUGUCACCAAAUGUGCCGAAUCUGCCCCCACAUGUGUUUGGCUGUGUUGCCUUCGUUCAUUUGCCGCAACAAGACAAAUUAUCUCCUCGAGCACUACGUUGUGUGUUUGUAGGGUAUGCCUUACAUCAAAAGGGAUACCGAUGCUAUCAUCCACCAUCAAGAAAAAUAUACAUCACCAUGGAUGUCGUUUUUCAUGAAGAUAUCAUGUACUACUUGUCAGAGUCUGAAUUUCAGGGGGAGUAUAAUGAAGAGGAAAUUCAUACUCUUACAUAUCUUCCACCUGAAGAAAGUCAAUCUUCCAUUGAGAUAGUAAACCUUCAAGAUACUGGAAAAGCAAAUGGUGAUGAUUCGCAAGCUGAGAUAUGUGAAAACACAUUUGGGGAGCACAAUACUCAGACACAACUGCAAUCGAGAAUGAGUCACAUGAAGAAAUACCUAACCAAUCGUCUGCAGAGGAUGUUCCUACCACAAGUCCAAUCAGAAGAAUUCUUCCCCAGCGUCAAAAUAGAGGUAUCCCUAAACCCACAUAUGAGCCUGACUUCUCUAGUAGAGUCAAAUACCCUAUGAGUCAUUUUGUGUCUAACCAUCGCUUGUCAGAAUCAAAUCAGUCAUUUGUGAAUCAAUUAUCUGCUGUAUCUAUUCCUAACAGUGUGCAGGAAGCUUUAAAAGAUCCAAAGUGGAAAGCGGCUAUGAAUGAUGAAAUGAGAUCUCUUCAGAAAAAUCAAACAUGGGAACUAGUUGAUCUUCCACCAGGAAAGAAACCAAUGGGUUGUCGAUGGAUCUACACUAUAAAAUACAAAGCAGAUGGCUCUAUUGAACGAUACAAAGCAAGACUCGUAGCUAAGGGUUACACCCAAACCUACGGGAUUGAUUAUACUGAUACGUUUGCACCGGUAGCAAAAAUUAAUACUAUUCGUAUCUUAUUAUCAUUAGCAGUCAACUUGGAUUGGCCAGUGCAACAGUUCGAUGUAAAGAAUGCUUUCCUCCAUGGAGACCUGUCUGAAGAAAUUUAUAUGGAUCUGCCACCAGGAUGCAGUGGACCAGAACGACUCAAUCAGAAAGUAUGCAAAUUGAAGAAAUCAUUGUAUGGGUUGAAGCAAUCCCCAAGAGCAUGGUUCGGGAAAUUCACGAAGGCUAUGGUUCGUUUUGGGUAUAACCAAAGCAAUUCAGAUCAUACCUUAUUCAUUAAAAAACGACAAGGUAAAAUCACUGCCCUUAUUGUCUAUGUGGAUGAUAUGGUAGUUACAGGCAACGACGAGGAAGAAACAAAGGCUCUUCAGAAGUACUUGUCAAGAGAGUUUGAGAUGAAGGAUUUAGGUGCCUUAAAAUACUUUCUUGGAAUUGAGGUUUCUCGAUCUAAGGGAGGAAUCUUUCUGUCUCAAAGGAAAUAUGCCUUAGAUCUAUUGCACGAAACGGGAAUGACAGCUUGUCAGCCUAUUGACACCCCAAUAGAAGAAGGACUGAAGUUUUGUAUUACUUCAGACCAAGUUCCAGUAGACAAAGGAAGAUAUCAAAGGCUGAUUGGAAGAUUGAUGUACUUGUCCCACACAAGGCCAGAUCUUGCUUAUGCAUUGAGUGUUGUAAGCCAGUUUAUGCAUAAUCUCGGAGAACAACACAUGAAAGCAGUAAUGCGGAUCCUGAGGUACCUGAAGACAAAUCUAGGAAAAGGAAUCUUAUUUUCCAAAAAUGAAGAUUACAGCAACAUAGAAGUUUAUACUGAUGCAGAUUGGGCCGGGUCAGUUAGUGAUAGACGCUCUACUUCAGGAUACUUUACCUUUGUGGGAGGAAACCUUGUCACAUGGAGAAGCAAGAAACAACAUGUCGUUGCCCGUUCGAGCGCUGAAGCAGAAUAUCGAGGCAUGGCCCUUGGGAUAUGUGAAGGGCUAUGGAUAAGUUUUAUCUUAAACGAUUUGGGCUAUCCAUCACAACAACCAAUACAACUAUACUGUGACAACAAAGCUGCACGAGAUAUUGCUCAUAACCCAGUUCAACACGAUCGAACAAAACAUGUGGAGGUAGAUAGAUUUUUCAUCAAGGAGAAAUUAGAUGAAAAAAUCUUAGAAUUGCCGAAAAUUCGAUCAGAAGAUCAACUUGCAGAUAUUUUAACGAAGGCCAUUUCAAGCAGGGCAUUUACAAAAUUCCUAGACAAGUUGGGUAUGCAAGACAUCUAUGCACCAGCUUGAGGGGGAGUGUUGAGAAUCAAAUAAAACGGCAUUGAAUGAAGCUUUCAAAGACAGAAUCUGCACUUGUCAAAGGGGUAAUCUGCACUUGUCAAAGACAAGAUCCGCGCCGAACGGAUUGACACAUUUCCUUCCGUAUUCACAUAUGUAAUCUUUGAAAAAAUGUAGCUUCUGCAUCUAUAAAUAACUCUCAAUGUAUAAUGCUUUAUUUAAGAAAUGAAAACACGUUUCUUCACCUUUCUUUCUCACAAAACGGAACCAUGGUUGCUAUUGGAGAGAUCUUACUCAACGCCUUCUUUCAGGUGUUGUUUGAUAGGUUGGCUUCUUGUAAUUUUCUCAGCUUUGUGCGUCAACUCCAAGGCGGGGUUGAUUUGGAACUCAAAAAGUGGGAGAAAAAGCUGAAGAUGAUUCAGGCUGUGCUCUACGAUGCAGAGGAGAAGCAACUGAUCGACGAGGCUGUGAAGACGUGGCUGGACGAACUCCAAGACUUGGCUUAUGACGCUGAGGACAUUCUUGAUGAGUUUGCUACUCAAGCUUUGGAAAGCGAGUUGAUGGAGCAAAAUCAGGAUAGCUCUGGCCAGCUUCUUAGUUUCAUCCCAGCUAGUUUGAGUCCGAAUGCUAUUAUGUUCAAUUAUAGCAUGGGGUCCAAGAUUAAAGAUAUUACUAGCCGGUUGGAGCACCUCGGCCAAGAAAGAAUUGAACUUGGUCUGCAACGGAUUACUGGAGGGGCAUCAUCAUCUACUGCUGCCGCACACCAGAGGCCACCCAGUUCGAGUGUCCCAACAGAACGUGAAGUAUUUGGAAGAGAAGAAGAUAAGGCCAAAAUUCUUGAUAUGGUUUUGGCCGAUACCCCAAGUGAUCAUGCCAAAUUUGUUGUAAUACCCAUUGUUGGCAUGGGCGGAAUAGGAAAAACAACUCUUGCUCGGGAGGUCUACAAUGACAAGGCGUUGAAGAUUCCAAGUUUGAUGUAAAAGCAUGGGUUUGUGUCUCUGAUGUCUUUGAUGUUUUGGUCAUCUCAAAGGCACUUCUGGAGUCAAUCACCCGCAGGCCUUGUGUUCUAAGCAAUUUAAAUGAAGUGCAGGUUGAGCUGAAAAUAGUUGUGGAUAAAAAAAGAUUUCUACUGGUCUUAGAUGAUGUUUGGAACGAGGACUACAGCUUGUGGGUAGACUUAAAAGCUCCUUUCAUGGCUGCUGCACCAAACGGUAAAAUGAUCAUCACCACACGCAAUUCAAAUGUUGCAUCAAUAAUGGGACCAAUUGAACAUUACAAUCUCAAGAGUCUGUUAGAUGAUGAUUGCUGGUCCAUUUUCAUACAACAUGCACUUGAAUCUAGAGAUCUUAACGCAAAUCAAAUUUCAGAAUCAUUCCGCAAGAAAGUUGUUGGCAAGUGUGGGGGCUUGCCCCUGGCAGCAAAAACACUAGGGGGCCUUCUGCGUACUACGAGGCAUGAUGCAUGGGACGAUAUAUUAGAUAGCAAAAUAUGGGAUUUACCUCAACAAAGUGGCGUUCUCCCUGUGUUAAGAUUGAGUUACCACCAUCUUCCGUCUCAUUUGAAAAGAUGUUUCGCUUAUUGUGCAAUCUUUCCAAAAGAUUAUGAAUUCAAUGAGAAGGAGCUGACUUUCUUAUGGAUGGCUGGAGGAAUUAUUCGACAGUCAAGAAAGAAUGAGCAGCUGGAAGAUUUGGGCGGCAAGUGCUUUCAUGAUCUAGUGUCAAGGUCAAUUUUUCCACAAACCAGCUCGGGUAGUUCUAAAUUUGUAAUGCAUGACCUUAUCCAUGAUCUUGCUGAACUGGUUUCUAGAGAAACCAUUUUCAGAUUAGAGGAGGCCAACUUGUCAUCAAGAAGAUUUGAAAGGAUCCGCCAUGCUUCCUAUACCCGUGGUUGGUAUGAUGGUAAAAAUAAGUUCAAGGUUUUCAAUGAAAUUGAACAUCUACGAACAUUCCUACCAUUACACGAAAGACGAGGAUAUUACAUACCUCGAACGGUUCUAUCUGAUUUGCUGCCAAAGUUCAGAAGGUUGAGAACGCUAUCUUUACAAGGAUACUGUAUUGGUGAGUUACCAAUGUCAUUUGAAGAUCUGAGACUUUUAAGGCUCCUCAACCUUGCUGACACUGACAUAAGAAGUUUACCUGAGUCAACAUGCACAUUGUUGAACUUGGAAAUUUUGAUAUUAAGAAAUUGUUCCCGUUUGAUAAAGCUUCCGCCCAAAAUGAGGAAUUUGAUCAAUUUACGCCAUCUCGAUAUAAGAGGUGCGAAGUUGCUGAAGGAGAUGCCGUUCGGAAUGAAGGAGUUGAAGAAUCUUUUACAAGUUUGGAAGAUUUAAAAUGUUUAAACUUUCUUUGUGAUGAACUCUGCAUGAGUGGAUUAGAGAAUGUGAAUAAUCCACAGAAUGCAAGAGAAGCCACAGUAUGCGAGAAGCACAAUCUUGAAGCAUUGACUCUAGAUUGGGGGUCUCAAUUUGACAAUUCUCGAGAUGGAGUAGUAGAAGAGCAUGUACUGGAAAUUCUACAGCCCCAUAAAUGUAUAAAAAAGGUGGCAAUCAGGAACUAUGGUGGUGCAAGAUUUCCGCAUUGGAUCGGAGAUCCUUCGUUCUCCAAGAUGAAGGUCCUUAAAUUGGAGAACUGUCACAAUUGUGUAUCGUUGCCGUCGCUUGGCCUGUUGAGUUCACUUAAGCACCUUGCUGUUAAAGGGCUGAAGAAACUAAAAAGCAUAGAGUCUGAGGUUUAUGGGGAGGGUUUCUCAAUGCCUUUUCCAUCACUGGAGAUUCUAAGUUGCGAGAAUUUGCCAGAAUGGGAGCAUUGGGAUACCGAGAUCAAAGGAAAUGUGCCUGUUGAUAUAUUUCCUCGUCUCCAAGAACUUUCCAUUGCAGAAUGUCCCAAACUCUCUGGACAACUGCCUGAGCUCCUGCCUUCCUUGGAGACACUUGUUGUUAGUAAAUGUAAAAAGUUGGUAGUUCCAUUGUCUUGCUAUCCGAUGCUCUGCAGAUUAGAAGUUGAUGAGUGCAAAGAACUAGUCUGCCGGACUCCGAUUGAUGUUAAGUUGAUAAAGUCCAUGACUAUUUCAAAUAGUUCAUUAGACCUGAAUGGAUGUAAGGGGAUGCUAUACGAUGGUCCAGCUGGCUCUUCACUGCCAAAGCCCAUGACUACUACAAAUGUUUUGGAGUUUGGAAAAUUAUUGAAGCCUGGAUUUCAGAUAUUCGAAACUUUGGUAAUUGGCAAUUCUGAACAGCUCAAGUCAUGGAGGCAGCAUGGGGAUUUUCCUAAAAAAUACAUGGUCACUGACCAUAGGUUUAAGAAACCAGUACCAGGGCUGAAUAUGCUCGCUUCCCCUGAAGAGGUAAAAAUUGAAGAAAGCUGCGUAAGUCUUGUUUUGUUUCCAGAGAUCAAUUUUUUUCCCAGAAAUCUACGCUCUCUUCUAAUUAAAAACAGCACAACUUUAAAAUCCUUACCCGAGGAAAUGAUGGCAACAAUUCACAACUCGAAAGGUUGUAUAUCAGAGAUCGCGACUGUCUAACAUUCAUCGCAAGACGGAGGCUACCGGCAUCUCUUAAAAGGCUUGAGAUAGAAAAUUGUGAGAAAUUGCAACGUCUGUUCGAUGAUGAAGAGGAUGCUUCUUCUUCUUCUCCUGCAUCCUCGUCGUCCCCAGUGAUGCUGCAACACCUGAGUAUAGAGAACUGCCCAGAGCUCACCAGUUUAUCAUCGGGUGUCCAAUUCCUUGAGGCGCUUGAAUUCCUCGAGAUACGGGAUUGCCCAAAGCUGGAGUCAAUACCGGAUGGCCUGCCCAAUCUUAAAUGUUUACAGAGCAUUUAUAUAUGGAAAUGUCCAAGUCUUGUUCCUUCCCAGAAAGAGGGCUUCCCAACACGAUUUCAAGGGUUGGCAUUGGCGAAUGUGACAAGCUCGAAGCCUUGCCCAAUGAUUUGCACAAAAUCAACUCUCUUCGAUAUUUAAGCAUACAGCUGUGUCGAAAUCUUGUAUCGUUUCCAGAAGAAGGUUUUCCUACCAGUCUAACAUCACUUAGAAUUGGAGAUUUCAAAAUGUAUAAGACCCUCGUCCAGUGGGGGUUGCACAGGCUUACCUCUCUUAGACGCCUCUAUAUCGUUGAUUGUGAUGACGAAGCAGAGUGUUUUCCAGACGAGGAGAUAGGAAUGACGCUGCCCACCUCUCUCACUGAUCUGUACUUAUCGGGAUUCCAAAAAUUGAUAUCCCUGUCUUCGACGGGUUUUCAGAGCCUCAACUCUCUUCAAUAUUUGUUGAUCGCGGGUUGCCCAAAUCUCACAUCAUUUCCAGAGGUGGGCCUUCCAUCCUCACUUUUGGGAUUAUUCAUUUUCAAAUGUCCAAAGCUUAAAAGAGCGUGCAAAAGAGAUCAAGGAAAAGAGUGGCCCAAAAUUGCUCACAUCCCUUGCGUUGAGAUAGACGAAAAAUUCAUAUACGAUCCCGAAUCAGAGGAGUAGAUUUCUGUUAUCCAUUAAAAACGAUCUCCUAUUAGUUUUAUUUUUUAAAUAAUAAUUUUGCAGUUCUGUUUUCUGUAUAAUUAUAAAUCCUCUGCCGUUAAUUAUUGACAAUGUCACUCACGUGAUUCCGUCUUCACUAAUCAGACUGUAUGUUGAGGCUAUUUGCUUUUUAAUCAAAGAUUAAAUUAUAACAUUUAUCUUAAAAUUGAAUAUCAUAGACAGAUAGACGAUUUUUAAAUCCAAAGUUUUUUGAUCCACUUCAAUUAGCAUUUAUUUUUUCCCCCAAAACAGGCAAGCCGAGAGUUUCAAUCAAGAAUUGGAGGAUGUGAAUGGGAUUUUUGUGAAAACAUAAUGGAUGAACGAACAUUUCAUCUGUGAUCUCAAAGUCAACAGAAUUUUAUUUACUCAUUGACUUUUCAACUCCUGUGGUUAUUUAUGGGUGAAAGAUAAGGGCAAUUACAAGAAAUUUGCAAACUUUGUCAACUUCUUUUAAUUGUACCAAUUUGUCGUUUAUGUUUUAGUUUUAUUUUUUCAGUUUUGUUUAUUGCUUAGAUGGUAGAUAUAUCGACAUUUUAGAUUUCAGAUAUUUGUCACCAGUUUCAUUCCCUUUUUUUUCGUUUUUUUAAGCUAGUUUGACUAAUUUUAACCAGAAUUAGAGCAGAAUAUUUUGGAGCGAGCAUACUUGAAAUGAUGCUUUUUAAUUUUGAUCUAGUAAAAAUACAUAGCCCUCACCGGCAGAAUUCUAGUCCCUACCGGGAUUCAAGAAAUUGAAAUUUCUGUCUUCAACGGGUUUUCGAAGCCUGACCUCUCUUCGAUUUUUGUGGAUCGGGAAUUAUAAAUUUACAGUUGUCAGAAGCUUGAAAAAGUGCGCAAAAGAGAUCGAGGAAAAGAAUAUUUCUCUGUUUAGUGAAGGAUGAAUGCUUGGAGUGGAGUAUUUGGUAACAUUUCUGUUUAGUUAAGGAUUUUGAAAUUAAUGAUGGUAAGAUGUGUACUUAUUCUUUCUUCCAGACAACCUUGCCUUCUUUCUUCGGUAGCAUAUCUAAUGAAUAUUUCUCUGUUUAGUUAAGGAUGAAUGCUUGCAGUGGAGUAUUUGGUAACAUUUCUGCCGUAGAUGAAUCCUUGAAGAAAUGCCUGCACUUCCUGAGACCAAAUACAGGUCUGAUUCAAAACAACACCUGUCCCAGAAAAUAUGAUACAAGGCAAAGCCAUGUUCUGAUAAUGUUUCCUUAAGUACAAAGUUGCAAGGAAACUUGAUUCAUUAACUACAAAUUUUUAUUUUUAGGACCUUGCAUCUGAAAGGUUCAGUGUAAUUUUUUUUUUUCAAUUUAUUGCUCAGAUCUCAGACGAGUAUAUGGUUUAGAUUACAAAACACUUACGAUUAAUUUCAUUUUUUUUUAUUUCAGGGAGAAGAAGUGGUCAGUUUCAAUCCAGAAUUGGAAUAUGGCAAUUUGGUGCAAGCACAAAUACCUGGUCACUUCGUCAGUGAACCUGAACUUUACUGAACUUUACACAGUUUUUUCAACUCAGUGAUUUUUGGAACGCAUAUUGGUGUAAGGAAAUCAAACGAAAUUUAUGCAUAGUCAAAUUCUGAUAUUUGCUAUAUUUUAUACAUUCUAAAGUUUCUCCAGUUUGUUCUCAGAUUACCAUCACUUUUUGCCUUCACCAAAAAAAAAUAUAUAUAUAUUUGAGUGGCUUUCCGGUGGAUAUUUAAUCGGAGGCAUGACUGGAUUUUUUUUCACUUCUGUAGAUCUUGCAUUUUAAACUGGCAAAUUUAACUUUAAUUUCAAUACGACUUUGUUGGUGCCUUCUGUUCCAGGAGCUAGAAAGAUGUGUAGUUUUCAGAUAAAGGGGCUUGUGAAUUCUCUAGUAAGAAUCCAAUAAUUUGCUUUUGCACGUUCAUUUUAUUUGUAGAUCCUUGCAUCUGAAUUUGAUCAAUCCAAAAGGAACUGCUUUUAGAGGGAAGAAGAAUAGCAGUACCUAUUCGAUGACAUAGUGUAUGGACCCUCACAUGUUAACUUUCAUGAAAAACACAUUUAAGAAAUUUGCAACUUUUUGGUUAGUUAUGUAUCCAAUGUUGUUUUCUGUUUUAGCAUUUGUAGAAUCUACUGUAUUAUAUUUUGGCAGCUACAGUAUCUGAGGUAUCUUUUGCAUUUAACUUGCUUUAUAUGUUUUGUCUGUGACUUAAGAACACCAAUAUUUGCCAGAGAUUUAGAGAAGCAUAUCAAGAUGCUUGGCUAACUUGACAAACUUCAAGAUCCUUCAUUCUUCACAAUGCAAAACUUGUGAGUACACUUAUGCCCGCAAUUAUUGUGAAAUGCUUGCAAUUUUGAUGCAGCGAAAUGGUUUGUUGAUGCAAAGGUUUGAACUUUUAAGGUUUACCCUGCAGGGUAGUUGGAUGCUGUAUACUCGAAAAGCCACCAACAUCAAGAACUAUACCUCCAAGACUGGGUUUGCAUUAAUUCAAUCAGCUGAAAUAAUGAUGCAAAGGACACUAUCAGCUGGACUUAGAGACCAGUCAGAUCAAUUAUCCAUUUUAUCAACAGUUAAUGUCAUCAUGGUGGCUAUUAGAGGAAACAGAGGAUGUGUCGGAAUCAAUAUGAACAGUGAGAAGAAUGAGAGGAGCUUUGAUUAUAAAUUGGCUCAAUGAACUCAUGCUGGUAAGUGGUAAUUAAAGAAAUUUGUGCGCUUAGCAGAGUUUCAAUAUUUUCUGUUUGGGAUAUAGUUGAUAAGUUGAUACUCUGAUUAAUAAGCCUGAUUAUAGUAGCUGACUGUAUUAACCAGGUUCUUUUCUUUCUUUUUUUUUUGGUGGUUUGCUGUUGUUUUGAUUAUGCUGUAACUACAAGGAAGAGCCGGACUUGGAUGCAGGCGUUCAGCUUUUAAUGGUUAAGAACAAAUGUAUGCUUUAACCAUGUUUCUCACUUAUUACAAUGUACGCAUUGAAGGCAUCUGAGCUGAUCCUGAAAAUGUCAUGGAAAUACUUCUCUGUUUACAUAAAACAGGACAAAUAGAGAUCUCUGAUCAUGCCUGAGAAUUCGUUGCAUUGAAAUUUCUACCAUUGCCAAAAAUAGAAUAAACUAGGGAUACAUUAGCGUAAGACUCAAUUUUGAGAAGGAAGUUUGUACUUGCAGCCUAAAAAAUCAUGUCUUUGUUGUAUACUUGUAUGUUUCUUUGGGAAAUGAAAGAUUCUGUGUUCUUUUAUUUCAAGUUUGCUGAAAUCACAUUUGUUUUCUUAGAUGCUUUCCAGAAGGUAACAGCAUCAAUUUCAAAAAUGCUGGGGUAAUAUGCAUCACGCAGUGCUACUCAACAUGAGAAAUCCUGGCUGCAUUAACUGUAUGUUGAGUGAUCGCACAGUACAACCUUGAGAAGCUUGUAAGGAGUAGACAACUAGAUGCGAGUAGUUUCAAUAUGGAUUCGCAUCAAAUGAUUUCUUGCCACUGAUUACCAUAACUUCUAUCCCAAAAUUCUGGGAACUGGUCAUACCAGCUAUGAAGUAUUGUAUACGUUGAAGAGCUCAAGGCCUUGCAAAAGCUCCGUCAGCCUUUGUAUUGGCAAACAGAUGGUUGUAGUUGCUUCUGAAUGAUAUGAUUAAUAGAUUCUGUAAAAAUGAAUUGUGCUAUACGCUUUCAGAGUUCUGUUAAGAUGUCUUGGUAGUUUUUGAUGCUUGUUUGAUUUAUAUUGCAUUCAGCUAUAAAUCAAAGGUUCAGAACACGAGUAUGUUGCUGAUUUCCAAAUAGAAAAAUUGCCUUGUGAUGUUAGUGUCCAUUGUUUUCACAGGAGAUCAGGUUCCUUGUUAUUGAAUCAAGAAGGCAAACGCAUCCAUGUCUGAGUUCAAUUGUGUCCCUUCUAUUUUCUAUUACUGACUCAUUUAUUUUGAUUUCUUCAUUGUGAUUGAAUUGGUUUUUUAUUCCAAAUUAGUCAAAACCUCAUAGAGUUAUUAAGUUCCGUUAGCAUUCAGAACUACGUACCAAAUGAUUAACAGGAUUAAAUUACAAUAAAGAAUUAAGUUCUUUAUUGUAAUUGAAUUUGCUUUCUCAUGUUUAGAGAUAUUAUGUUCUGGUUAGGGGUGAUUUCUUGAAGAGUCAAUCCAUUUGUGUUUAUACAUUUUUCUAUUGCCUUGAUUUCUGUUUUCUGGGGAGUUUAUACAGAUUCUUAUUUUAUGCUUCACAUGCCACAUGAAAGAUCAAAGCCUUCUGUCUGAACAUAAUAUACGUAGAAAGUUAAAUUUAUUUAUUUAUAAGCAUGUCCCAGUGCCCAGUGGCAUCCUCUUAACUUGUGAUAGUCAAAUGUAUUAUACGAUACAAUAUCAGCUUGACUUUAGCAUAGAGGAGAAUAGGGUUGGUGUUGGACUGAAUUCUGAUCCUUGAAUAAAUAUAACAGCUGCCUGAACCAGCUUAUUUGACUCCACAACUUUAUACUUGUUUUAUAGUCUAUGCCUACCUCCAUCGUCGGCAGCUUACAGUCUCUUUUAGCAUUUUAAAAAGUUUCAUGAUAUUCCAUAGUUCGCAUGGACUGCUACAAUUUAGAGAAACAUAAUUACGGCAUAUUUAAUUACCACGCGAGGAGUCUUCUUUUUUGCGCACCAAUAAUUCUUUGUACUUAAUUAGAAGAUGAGAAAUCCUUUAGCCGAACCACGAACUCACCUAUUAGUGGGGUUUUUUCCGCUUGCAUUCAGUCGCUCAAGUGAAAAUUGCGUGCAAUUUUUUCCUCAACUAAAAUUGGAAUAGAUAUUUUGUUAUUGCUGGCACAAAUUUUCCUUUAAGUCAAAUUGGAAUAGAUGUUUGUGAGAUGCCUAGACCUGAGAUUUUGUUAUGAUUAUAUGCAUUAAAGCUUUCGGUAGACCCUUGAAAUCUUAUGAUCAAUGUAUUAGAAAUUUAGAAUUGGGGUUUAUAAGAGCUAGUUUGACCAUGUUAUAACUUUUAAAAUUAUUGUUGCUAAUUGUGUUAUAGAAAUAAUUAAUCAGUUGUAAAAAUAAUUAGUUAAACAUUUGGUAAAUUUUAUUUUUAAAAGUGUUAGGAGUUUUAAAAGCAGACGUACGUACUUAGUAAAUCUCACUUUUAAAAUAUUAUAAGAAUGCAAAAGGUUUAAAUAUAUAUAAAUCUAUACAAUUUAUUUACACAUGCAUUUAUAGAUACAUGUAUAUAUAAUAAUUGAUAACUAAAAUAAAGAUUUUUAUUUUAUUAAUUUUUUUUGUUAUCUAAAAAAAGGUAAUAAUAAUAUCUUUAAUGACGUAUUUAUUAAUCAGUAAUCGGAAUGGACUGGAAUCAAAAUGGAGGAAUGGAAAUCGGAAUAAAUUGUUUACUUUAACUAUCAAUAUUGGAAUCGCAAUGAACUGUAUUAUCACUUAUAUAUUUAUUUUAUCUGAGAAUCAGAAUGGAUUGAUUUAAAUUACUAGACAGACCUUAUUAUUAUUAUUAUUAUUAUUAUUAUUAUUAUCAUCAUUAUUAAAUAAGGUAAAAAGGAAUUUUCAAUUUUUACUGAAGUAAAAAUAUCAAUUCACUUCUCAUUUUCAGCCCUAGGGAAUGAGACUCCCAUUCCACAUUCUAGAAUUUAUAGAGUCCACUCAAAUUUUCAUUCCCAUUCCCCCUCCUUGUUUUGCAAGUAAACAAGUUAAUAAUCCUAUUCUCUCAUUUCUACUCCCAUUCUCAUUCUCAAGUACUAACACAUCAAGGUAUUCGGUUCGGUUUUUGCCCAAUAGAACUGAAAUUAUUCGGUUUGGUUUGAUUUGGUUUAAUAUAAAAAGCCAAAGGGUUUAUAUUUUUAUGAACCAAAUGGUUUGUAUUUGAUUCAAUUCUAAAACUGAACCGAAAGCACAAACCAAUCGGUUCACGUAAUUUUAAUUAUUUUUAGAAAAAGAAAAACCAAAACUAAAUCGUAGAAUGUGAAUCCCUAAAAUCUAAAUCCCUAAUUCUCCUAACUAACUAAAACUAAUCACAGAACAACACAACCACAACAACCUAGCAAGCGCAGCGGUAGCCCCUCGAACCACGCUCACUCUCAAGUAUAGCAUGACAAUAGGGCUCUCUCAUGCAAUGAUAGGUAAUUUCUUAGUUUAGAAGGGAAAGUAAGAGAAACAGAGGAAGAAUAUAAGUUGAUUAAAAGGGAAAAGUCAAUUCUUAUUCCAAAAACUUGCUUAGUGCAAGUUCAAUAGGGUCUCUUAAAUAGACCUAUACAUAUAAUAAAAACUAGAAAAGACGAAAAUCACUUGAAAAUAAAAAGCAUGAUCACUUAAAUGGUAAACAUACAUAACCGCCAUGAGCUACAUGCAACCUAAGUCAAAUAAUCAACUGAAGAAACUUGAUCCCCAUGCAUAUUGAGCACAUACCAUUCCCCACCCUUUAGAAACACCUUGUUGGUGCGGUUAAAGUGAGGGUGAGCCUUUGAGAAUCACCAACAGUUCCAACGAGUGUCCUCAAUUGCUGCUCCUAUCCCUAUAACCAGUAUUGAGUUGUACGAAUGGCACAUGAUCUUCAAUCAUGAAUAGUUGCAGCUUUUAACAACAGUGUGAUACAAACUAAUAAAAAUAAUAAAAAUUAUUUAUUUUAUUUUAUUGUAUUAGUUAAUUUUGAACUAGUCAAAACUAGUUGCCCUUAUUUUGUGGAACUACAUGUAAUUAGUGGAGCAUUAUGUGAGAACAUGCUUAGUGUUACUAAUUUUUAGGUUGUAAUCCUAAAUAAACUUUUAUUAUAUAAAGCUUAAUGUUACUCAAUAAAAAGGAUCAUGAGUUUAUUAUUUUGGCAACAUAAAAGUUGUAAUUGGGAGUUUAUUGGUUUCUCGAAUAACCAAUACUUAUUUGGAGGUUUGGAUUUCCUUGAAUUAACUCCAUUUGUCAUCUAAUUUUUCUAUUUCAUUUGAUUUCUCCUUAUAAACUUUAGUGUUCGUAUCACAGUGGCCAAGAAUAAGUUUCUCGUCACAAUAAUAACACAACCCUUUUCCACGAUGAGCAUGUGCUUCUUAGUUAGAUAGUUGCUGGAUAUGAGGGGAAGCGAUGUCAUCGGCUAUUUAAUCAACCUUAGGAGGUGGACCUAAGACUCUAACAAAGCUAUUUGGGGUUGGUUGCUAUAUCACCAAAAUAGAGGGUGGUAGAGAAAAGUGACUAGUGCAUUGAGAAAGUGAAUUUCGCUCCUCAAUCAGUCUUGUCACACCAAUGGUGUUAGCCAAGGUAAAGGGCUAUUUAAUCUUGACAUCUAGUUGUAUCUCAUCCUGAAGACCUACAAUAAAACAACCAAUUAAAAAACAUUCGAGUAAGCCAUCAACCUAAUAUAAAAGCUUUUCAAAAGUUUAUUGAUAUUAAGCUAAUAAUGGAAGUCUAUUUCAGGUGCAUCAAAGCCUUAGAUGGGUCCUCAUAAUCCAUUAGUUCGAAUCGUAGAAGGACUGUUGUUGAUGCUGAAAUCUGCUCGCCCUCUACCCAACCAAAUCAUUCCACCAACAUUUGUGUAUGCAAUGGAGAGAAUACUGCCCUUUUGCCUCCUUCAGCAACUGCGGAUGCUCCAGGGGUUGGAAUCACCUUUUUCCCUUCUUUCUAAUCCUGCACUCACAGAGAUAGAUCAGAGACGCCGGUGGUUUUACCAGCAUAAACCCUCCAAUACUUAAGUUAGCACAAGGUGUUUUACGGGAAAACUAUGUAACUUGGAUUGUUUGGUUUCUCGUAAUGCUUUCUAAAACUUGUAAAGAAUAUAAUCUGGUUUCAAUUUGGCAGAGUUUUCCUUUUUCUCUCAAUUUUUCCAUCCCUUUUUUCAUUGGUUUCCCGGCUUCUUGUAACCGUUGUCCCACGUUCCUAUCUACUCCUCAUGCCCCCCCUUUUAUCGGGUGAUGGCAGGCCUUCAUGGCCUCCAACCACUGGAUUGUGGGUAAACAUGGGAUGACAUGUCCCUCUUGACGGUUUGGGGCAUAGCGAAACUACCGCAUUUUCGUGAGAUCGUGUGCCCCUUGUUUGGGUGAUGGGUAUCUGGUUGGUAUAUGUCUCUAGUCGGUACAUUCCUCUGGUCGGUGCUCGUCUCUAGUAGGCCCACUUUUGUAUGAGGCGUUUUACCAGGGCUCUUUUUGUGCCGCUCAGUUGAGGUGAUUCACCUCGGGGUGGGAAAUGAGGGCAUGGCUGAGCUGGUGCUCUUUAUUACUUAAUACCAGUCCCCUAGUUUCUGGUCUUGCGAGUGAAAUGAGUUGAGAUUAGAAACUAAGAAUCGGAUUUUAUCGACCCCGGGAAAUUCCUAUCUGGUCUUCGUGUUAUUGUGAUGGACCUGAGGUUCUGCCUUUUGUUUAGGGAGAUUUUUUAUCUAAGUAUGGGCCUUUGUGAGCAUGUCCAAUAUAUAGCUGGGCUAACAUCUCGUCAGGCCUUUUAUAACGGUCAGUGACGUGUCGUUUCUCGUCCUUUCAUAUUUGAAAUUUGAAACGACGGCUUAUCUGCCCUCGAUAUACGGCGAGUGAGCUAGCACCCGUAUAACUUAAACGCUUCCAUUUCCCUAUUUCAUUUCAAAUCCCUAAAUUGAAGCUGUCAUUGCGUUUCACUAUCCGCCAUUUCACUGUAAACUAAGUCCCUCUUUGGACUUCAAUCACACUUUUUGCGUCCGAAACCUCUAUUUGCUGGGUCCUCUCUCCGUCACAGCAGCACUACCAGUGCCAGUUUAUUCUAGGUAUCACUUUUAACUUCUUCGCUGGUUGUUGUUGAUUGGGUUCUGUGUUGCCCCUUUUUGUACCCAUACACUCGGAUUUACUGUGUUUUCCUUUUUGAGUUUUUGAUAUGUCAAACCGAAAGGGGAAACUAAUUGUAGAUGAGAGUGAUGAAGAGGUGGGGGACUCAUACCCCAACCUGUUUGGGCCUAAUGACCCCUUAUCAUCUUCUCGUAGUAUAAGUCUUUCCCAUCAUAGGGAUACCCUAGAGUAUCCUCAUCGCGUGACCACUUUGCCUUCCCCUGAAUUAGAACCCGUGGGAAACCGUGGUGGUUCAGCUUCUUGCUCUGGUGAAAAUCACAGUUCUGAGGGCUGGGGGGGUCCCUGGAAAGUGGGUGAAGGUAAGGAGAGUAGCUCCGAGCCGAGCAGACCCUCUAAGAAGAGAAACUUUGGUCAUAUGAUGGCGGGAGAUGCUUAUCCCAUUGACUAUAUCACCUGUGUUACCACCCACACUGACCUACUCAAGUUUAGAAACCUCUACCAUAUCCCUGAGGUGGUUCUUCUUUUAAUCCCUGGGAAAGGUGACUUCCCCAGUCGGCCUCCAAGGGGAUAUGUCACGAUGGGCACGAUUACCCCUUCAACCUUACUUUGCUUGGAUACUGGGUGGUAUGCAUCUGGCUCCAGGUCAGCUUCACCCGAAUGGGUGGAGGGUUCUCUCAGCCAUGUAUGUGCUAUGGAAAAAGUGUGGACUUGAGGAGCCUUCUCUUGAGGAAGUGAAGCAUUUAUACCAGCUGAUGAGCUUUCCAAGGGAAGCAGGUUGGUACUACUUCAUGUCAAGCUCUGCAAAGAGGAAGCCUGUCACCGACUUUCCUUCUUCCUGUAAAAAUUAGAAGAACAAAUUCUUCUUUGCUGGAGGAAAUUGGUGUCCAACAAUUCAUUCGCUUAGUGGUGAUAUUCACCUCCCAACACAUUUUGUCACCCCAGGUCGUUAAUUUUUCUGCAUACUUCACUUCUCUAAUCGUUACUUAUCGAGUUCCUUAACCUUGUUUGUUCUUUCAGAAUUGUGGGGUUUGAUCAAGAAACUUGACGAUAGACCACUGCUCCAGGUGGAAAUGGCUCUGGUGAACGCGUCUACCUGUCACGAUCUCAUAUCGUUAAUAAAUCUUGUCGGGUUGCACUUAGUGGACGUAGCUAUUGGGAUGGACAACAAGAUCCUCAGCGCUAUGUCUAAGAAACACACUUUGGGUUCAGGUAGCUCCAGCAACCUCCCUCCUCCUUUGAAGAAAGUCAAUGUUGGUUCCUCCAAGGCUUCUGCUCCUGCUCUGCCCCCUCCUUCACCUCGGAAGAAUGGUAGGGAGAAAGUUAGUGACAAGAGCCCCGAGGUCAGCAUUCAAUUUGGAGACCGAUCCUCUCCUCUACCGCCUCGGGACCAGGGUGACUAUCUGACCCUGUACCAGAGAGAUUACAACAAGUCGAUGGGACCAAAAAUGGUCAAGGACAUUGAAAGCAUGAACCUCAGCGAGCUAGGUGGUUCAGUUCAAAUGGUCUCCUUUAAGCUGGCUACUCUGGUUUCUUGCUACAAGAAUAGGUCUACGCGCCAAGAGAGGAGGCUUCAAGCUGAUAACGAGGACUUGAAGAAAAAGGCUAAUUCUGUUGAUCGCUCGAAGGAGAAGCAGAUUGAGCUACACAAGCAGAUCAUGGACCUGGAGGAGAAAGUGGCUAUUGCUGAGUCUAACUCCUCCAAGCUUGAGGGUGAGUUGGGUGAUCUAAAGUCCGAUCUCCAGGUUGCUCACAGUGAACGAGAUACUUUGAGGACGACCCUUGAGGAACAUAUUAGGUCCUUAGAUGAGCAGGUAGCCGAGCUGAAAGGCAAAUCUGUUGAGGUGGACAAUUGACUGGAUGCAGAAUAUAACUCUGGGCUCGCCUUUUGCUACAAGUGCAUCAUGUUUGUGCUUAAGGGAGAAUAUCCUGAGCUUGACAUGAGCAAGCUGGAGGCUGGAGUGCAGAAAUACAUGGCCGAGCCCGAUCAAGGGGAUAAGGAGCAGGGAGAGCAGGAUCAGGUGGAGGCUCCUUCAGAUGGGGUGCAGGAGAGGGAAACAGAGGAUUAUGCUCUUGAAACAGGUCAGGGGUCACUGCCUGCUCCCCCAGAAGUUGCUGGUCCACCUUUUAUCGAGGCUGCUGAACCUCAUAAUCCUUAGGCUUAUAUAUAUAUAUAUAUAUAUAAAUAUUAUUUUGUAUAAAUUCUAAACUCCCAUCUGUCUACAAAUGUUUGGAUGUUUAUAAACUUUGGAUGCUUUUUGUUUGCUUUCUUGCCAUGGUUUUGGUUGUGAAUCGUUUCUACAAGUUACCUUAACAAUUUUGAGUGACUUUGGCUGCUGGUCCUUUUGUCGUCCGAGCAGGAACUGACACUUGUUUGCCUUAGCGAAAUUUGUAAAACUUACAUUUCAGUUUUUCAAACGACUGAGCAGGAACUGGCGUUGGUUUGCCUUAACGAAAUUUUGUAAAAUUGCCUGCUGGUGCUUUAGGCGACCAAGCAGGAAUAGGCACUUGCUUGCCUUCAUAAAAUUUAUAGAUUUGCCUGCUGGUCCUUUAGGCGAUCGAGCAGGAAUAGACACUUGCUUGCCUUAAUAAAAUUUGUAGAUUUGCCUGCUGGUCCUUUAGGCGUCCGAGUAGGAAUAAACACUCGCUUGCCUUAAUAAAAUUUGUAGAUUUGCCUGCUGGUCCUUUAGGCAACCGAGCAGGAAUAUGCACUUGCUUGCCUAAAUAAAAUUUGUAGAUUUGCCUGCUGGUCCUUUAGGCGAUCGAGCAGGAAUAGGCACUUGCUUGCCUUACUAAAAUUUUUAGAACGAGGGAAUUUAUGCUGAAUUCAUCUUUAUUGAACUUUGCAUGGAUUACAAGAGGCGAGAUAUAGUCACGUGUAACAAUUCAUCAUGCUUUUAACAUAAAUAACUUAUUGAAAUAAAACUUGGUAAGGCAGUUUGCUUACUGGAAGUAUUUCUUCAAGUGCUUAGCGUUCCAUGAUCUUUUCACGUCUCGUCUAUCUGGGUAAAUCAGCUUGUACGCUCUUGGGCCAGUUAUUCAUACCACUCUGUAUGGGCCCUCCCAUUUCGGGCUAAGAACACCAUGAAUAGGAUCUCUUGUGCAUUGGUUCACUUUUCUAAAUACCCAAUCUCCUGCUCGGAACUGUCUCAUGCGAACAUUUUUGUUGUAGUAACGCAUGAUCCUUUGCUGGCAUUUGGCUGUUCUCUGCGAUGCCCCUUCUCUUUUUUCCUCCAGCAGGUUCAGGCUCAAGCAGAUCUGCUCGUCAUUUUGUUCUUUGUUGAAAUACUCUGUCCGAUAUGCCCCCACCCCAAUUUUUGCUGGGAUUACUGCCUCAUGACCGAAAGCUAAAGCAAACGGGGUUUCUCCCGUGGCCAUUUUGUGGGUUAUCCGGUAGGCCCAUAACACUCCUAGUAACUCGUCGACCUAAGCUCCUUUUUUUUCUCAUAGCCUGGUUUUCAAGAGUUUCUUUAUUACUUUGUUGGCUGCUUCCACCUGCCCAUUUGCCUUGGGGUGUGCUAGGGUACAAAACUUCAGGUCCACCCCUAAAUUUUGGCUAAAUUCUCUGAAGUUGUGAUUGUCAAACUGUCUCCUAUUGUCUGUAAUGACAGCAAUGAGGAUCUCCUAUCUGCAGAUGAUAUUCUUCCAAACAAAAUCCGUUAUCUUUCUCUCUGUGAUUUGACUGAGGACCCUUACUUCUACUCAUUUGGUGAAGUAGUCUAUAGCCACAAUUGCAUGUAUUACUUCUCCUCGGCCCUUGGGUAAUGGGCCAAUCAGGUCAAUUCCCCACUGAGCAAAAGGCCAUGGGGAUGACAUAGUGGUUAACCUUUCUGGGGGCUGAGCAGGGACUUCCGAGAAGCUCUGGCUGACUUUAUAGUUUUUUGCCAUCCCCGUCGCAUCCUGAUGCAUGGUCGGCCAGAAGUACCCUUGCCGAAGCACCUUGAAAGUCAAAGUUCUCGCCCCCGAGUGGUUGCUGCAUAUUCCUUCAUGAAUUUCCCUCAACACAUAAUUUGCUUCCUCGUCAUCCAAGCAUCUCAAAAGGGGCAAGGUGAAUCAUCGGCGGUAGAGUACCCCAUCGAGUAGCGUAUACCUUGCUGCCUGACAUUUCAACUUUCUUGCUUGCUUCCUGUCCUCUGGUAAGAUGCCCUCACGAAUGUAUAAUAGAAUGGGGUCCAUCCAGGAUUUUUCGAUGCUCACCUGCAUUACUUCUGCUUCCUCCCCUAUGCUUGACGAGGUUCUCACUUUUAGUGGAAUUGACUUGGGUAAUUUUGGAUCUGCAAUUGCGGCCAUUCUGACCAAUAUAUCUGCUCGGUAAUUCUCAUUCAGAUAUAUCUGCUUUAUUUCUAUCUCUUGGAAGAGCUCAACCAUCUGUUUUGCCUUCUUCAAAUAAAGCCCCAUCUUCUCUUCCCUCGCUUGGAAUUGAUCACUGAGCUGAUUACAGACUAAUUGGGAAUUUGCUCAGAUUUCUAUCCUUUUUGUUCGUAGUGCGUGUGCAAACCCCAGCCCAGUGAUGAAAGCUUCAUAUUCAGCUCGGUUAUUCGUAAGCUGAAAUUUAAAUUUCACUGCAUAAGAUACAUCGGCCCCUUCUAGGCUUCGUAUUACAAUUCCUGCUCCAGAUCCCUGUUUACUACGUGACCCAUCAAUUAUUACUAGCCACACCCCCUUUGAUUUCUCCUGCUUCACUGGUUGCUCCUCCCAAAUUUCCUCCCCUAAUUUAACACGGUCAACCAUAAAAUCGGUCAAGGCUUGGGCUUUGAUUGCUUCUCGGGGUUUGUAGGAUAGGUCGAAUUCGCUCAACUCCACGGACCAUUUACUAACCGACCAGAUGCAUCUAGUUUUAGAGCAUUUACCGAAGAGGCUGGUCAGUCAUCACAACUAUCGGGUGGGCCUGAAAGUAAGGUCUGAACUUGCGUGCUACUGUUAUUAAAGCUAGUGCCCAUUUCUCCAUUAGUGGAUAUCUGGUUUCUGCAUCUACCAGGGCCUUGCUAGUGUAGUACACAGGGUGCUGCUUUCCUUCCUCUUCUCUGACUAAUACCGAGCUGGUAGCCCAUUUAAAGACUGCCAAGUACAAAUACAGCUGGUCACCUUCUCCAGGAGUUGAUAGUACAAGGCGCGGGCUAAAUAUUCCUUCAGCUGCCCGAAUGCCUCCUCACAUUCUAACGUCCACUCCAUUUUCCUUCAAUUCUUUAUGAUUUGGAAGAAAUGGUGACAUUUAUCUGUGGCUCGCGAGAUGAAACGGUUCAAUGCUGCUAACUUCCCUGUAAGACUCCGUACCUCUUUAACUGUCCGGGGGGACUUCAUUUUUGUUACUGCCCGUACUUUUUCCGGGUUGGCCUCAAUCCCUCGAUGGCUCACCAUGAACCCCAAAAAUUUACCCGCGCUAACUCCAAAUGCACACUUUUCCGGAUUCAGCUUCAUCUGAUACUUCCUUAGCAGUUCAAAAGUCUCUUCCAAAUGCUUCACAUGAUCCUUCGGUUCCUUGGACUUUGUGAUCAUAUCAUCCACGUAUACCUCCAUAGUGUGACCGAUCAGUGGCUUGAAAAUCUUAUUCACCAACCUUUGAUACGUAGCCCCUGUGUUUUUCAGGCCAAAAGGCAUCACCUUGUAGCAAAAUAAACCCAUGUUAGUUAUAAAGGUGGUACUCUCCUCAUCUUGCUUGUUCAUGGGUAUCUGGUUGUAUCCCGAAAAGGCAUCCAUGAAGCUAAGCAGACUAUGACCUGCCGUUGAGUCCACCAACUGAUCUAUUUUAGGUACGGGAAAGCUGUCAUUUGGGCAUGCCAUAUUAAGGUCUGUGAAAUCCACAUACAUUAUCUAUUUCCCAUUGGCCUUCUUUACCAGCACUACAUUAGAAAUCCACUCCGCAUAUUUAGCCUCCCUUAUAAAUCCUGCUUUCAACAGCUUCUCCACCUCGGCAUUUAUGGCCUCGUACCUUUCCUAGUUAAAGCACCUCCUUUUCUGCAUCACCGGCCUUGCCCCUUUCUUGAUUGCCAACUUGUGGCAAGCUACCCCGCGAUCAAUUCCUGGCAUGUCCUCAUGAGACCAGGCAAAUAUAUCUGCGUGGGACUAUAGGCACUUCACCAGCUCAUCUUUUAUUGCUUCACCUAAUCCUGACCCGAUCUUAAUCACUCUGCUCGGGUUAUUCUUGCUCACAAAAAUCUCCUCCAGUUUCUCGACAGGCUCUUGACGACCCUUCUUAGAAUCUCUUCGGUUAUCCAGAGAGGUAACAUGUAGCGUCUCCUUGGCCGCUGUUGCGUAACAGCUCCUUGCUAUUCUCUGGUCACCUUUUACUACGCCCACAACUCCGUUUACUCUGUAUUUCAAUGCUAGAUAAUGCAUGGAUAUAAUGUAUUAGCUUGCUCUCAUAAAAGGUCGCCCUAGUAUCAUCUGGUAGGGGUUUUUCUCUUCCACCACUACGAAGUCCAGCAUAAUUUUCUUUUUAGAUGACUUCGCUCCUACGGUAAUCGGCAGCUCUAUGAUCCCCAUAGAGGUCAACUGUCUUCCUCCAAAUCCCUUUAAGGAUGUGUUCGUUCGCUCCAAUUUCAAAUCUGCAAUCCCCAUAUCAUCUAGGGCCGACUUAAAUAAUAUGUCGACCGAGCUGCCUAUAUCCACCAAUAUUUGUCGGAAUUCCUUACCCGCCACUAUUACUUUAACUACCAGUGCAUCCUCAUGAGGGUAUAAAAUGCCCUCUUCAUUAUCAUCUGUCCACAUAAUGGGAACUUGUCUUACUUUCACCCUCUUGGUCGUUGGUAAGUUGAAAAGUACCUCUUUGCUGGUCAAAGCGUAUCUCUCAUAAUUCUUUCGUGCUCUGUUUGAGUCUCCAGCCAAUGUUGGCCCUCCUGUUAUCACCUGAAUAUUUAGCUGUUCCCGCUCUAGGCUCCUUUCAACUCCAUCACCCAGCGUAUAUUGUGAUUCAAUGACGGGGGAUACUCCAUCUACAUACUCAUCCAAAUACUGGUUCCUCACCAAAUCUUCCACUUGAGUCUUCAAGUCAUGAUAUUGGCUGAUAGUGUGACUAUGAGUGUCGUGAAAUUUGCAGAAUCUGUUCUUAUCAUGUCUAUGAGCGGGUUUUGUUAUAGGGGCAGGAGGGUACAGCAGGCAUCGUCCCUCGAUUCUCUCAUACAACUCCUCCAUAGAGACUUUCAGUGGGGGUGUACUGUUUGUACGCCAAGCUUUGGUCAAUCAGUUGGACCGUUCAGCUAUCGUGGGUAUCGUUCCGAGCUGGUAUUGUAGGUAGCUGGUUUGGUUGACCAGCCCUGGAGUUAACUAUAUGCAGUACCCUGGGAGCGCUGUGAUAAGGGUGGGCGACUAACUGCCUGAAUUCUCGUUGCCACUCGGGGAAUGAGGGGCGCGGAGGCUGAGCUCAGUUGUGUUGGAGCUGUUGCGGUCUCUGAGCCAUGGGAUAAGGGCGAGACCAAGCUGAUAUUCCACACAUCACUAGCGAUUCUCCAGCUCGCCUUCCUGAUCCGCUCCCGCUCAGGGUUCUUCAAUCUCCAUGUCUCUCUUUGCCUGCUCAUACCCCGUUGAAUAAUUCUGAACGAUGGGACUUCACAAGUUGUACCAUAAUCGGCCUAUUCUUACACCCUCUUUUAAUCCCCUUAACGCCUGCAGGUGAUUGAAAGCUCCCAGAUCAAGCACGGCCCAAUGGUAUCUUUUCACAAAAUCCUGAAGGGAUUCGUGUUCCUCCUGCUUCAUCCCCAUCAAAUCCAUCAUAUCGUCAUCUGGGCCUACUGAUUAUCGGAACAGUGUUGUGCAAAUUUUAAUGAACUCGCAAGCACACGAAUCUAUUGUAGUAUAGAUCAUUGGUAACGAGUGUCGAUCUCAUGAGGAGGUGGAUUUUAAUUGUGUAUAGAAUUGAUUUUGUAAAUGGGUGGUUGGAUUUGUGGUGGAAGUGAUUCAGAUUAUCCUAAAAUUGGAAUUAAAAUGGUGAAAAUAAUUUGAAGAGAAUUCUAUUGAAAUGACGUACUUGGGUAUCUGGAUCCGUAUCAACAUGCAUCAUGGGCUAAAUAUUCCUUAUUAAUACCAAUUAAAUCAUGAGGGGGGAAUCCACACCUCAUGAACCACGCUCUAAUCAAUAUGGUGUUAAGGGCUUAUCGUGCCAAAUAAUAAUAACCUGUACUAGAGAGCCGGUGUAACCAAGGCGGUAUCUAGACAAUACUAGUAUUAUUUGUCAACGAGAAGUCAAAACAUCCAAAAAAACUAGAGGGGAAGAGAAAAUAAAUUUACCAAAUAAAGCCCAUGACACAUGUUGAGACUUCACCUUCAACCCAAGCUUGAAAGAAAAUUAGCUACUCAUAAUUGAACUAGGGGCAAAAUGGGAAUUUAUUAAAAUACGUAGAAAAUACAAGAUGGAGAGAGAAUUACAGAAAAUGGAGUCCAAAAAUGGAUUUAGGGAUAUCAAAUUAGGGGGAGAGGCCCCCUUUUUAUAGAUACAUUGAGUAAAUCGUGGUCAUCGGAUAAAAAAUAGUUUGGACGCUCAGGAUUGCGCCACGUCAUCAGUCAACAGUCCGCGUGAACAGUACACGAUUUGACCACGCGGAUGAACAGUAACACAGUUUGACCCGGGUGAACAGUGACGCAGUUUGGUUGAAAAUGAUCCUGUGUGUUGCAUGUACCGUACAUGAGAUUUUUGAUCCACUGAUAUGCUGCCACGUCAUCGAUCAACAGUGCAUAAGAAUUUUAGUCCAACAGGAUCGUGACACCUCAUCAGUCAAUGCCACAUCAUCGGUCAAUGCCACGUCAUCGAUCCGUCUAUGUGAACAGUGCCGUGAACAGUAACGUAGACAGUACCCGUACAUGUGAAUAGUACCGUAUAUGUGAAUAGUAUUAUUUUUCUUUUUAUGCUCCUCCUAAGAUUUUUGACCGUCCUAAGUUCAAAAAUGAUGUCCGUUUUGCCAUCUGAUCUCUCGUUUAUUGUGAAAUGACUGUGAUACCCCUAAAAUACAUAAAAUACUUGAUUAAAAUAAAACACACGUAAUUAAAUUACAAGUAAGGGUUGUUAGUAAGACAUUUUCUAACACUCAACAAACAGCUCGGCCAACUCUUGGUAUAUCUGCUCGUAUCCCCUUAUACUUCCUCGUGGUAGCUUACGAUACCAUUCUCUGGCUCGUCCUUCUAGUGUCAAUGGGAACACCCUGCACCUCUGAGCUGCUGUUAGCCCCUGUAUGCCCGUCAUGUCAUUGAAGCACUCAAUGUGCACUAGCGGGUCGCUUCUCCCGGAGUACUUGAGGUUGGGAAAGCAGAAAUCUCUUGGGAUAAUAGUGCUUAUGAUCUCGGCUGAUAGCGGAGAUUCUUCAUCCAGCAUUAUCCUCCAGCUUGGAGGCUUUCUCUUGCCCUAUAUCUCAUCCAUCACCUGCGCUAGCCUGCGCACCUCACCUUCCAAUUCCAAAGCACGGUCAAGGUCGCGCGCAGCUACUUGAUCUCGCUCCUGCUCGGCAUUAUGCAGUCGCUGUCUGAGCUCGCCUUCGUCAACAUUUACUCCUCGGUCAUUGAUUUCUAGAACUCGCCCAAGGCGAGAUUGAUCUCUCCUUUCAUCCACACGCUCCCCGGGGAUCCGACCAGCACUUCUAUGGGGAUGUAUCCCAUAGGGUUGUUCUACUAGCGGAGGGAUCUCCUCGAUUCUACGCCUUCGUAGGUUGGGUUCCGCCAUAGUUUCAUCCCUUACCACAGUGGUCUCGCCUUCCCUUCUCCGCUCAUCCCUAAAGUCAUAUAAUAUAGCUGUGAGCGUCUCCAUUUGGUUUGCCAUCUGUUCCAUUCGGUCUUGCAUCAUCCUCUCUCUAGCUUCAUUCGCGAUCUCUCGGAGAGUGAUCGAUUCACCAGUUUCAUUGUCGCCCCCUAAGGCGUCCUUCCUUGUCAUAUCCAUAACUAAUCGUUCACUGCGUCUCUGGUGAUUACUAACUUGAUGGUAGCUUUUUAUCCAGCUCCCUACAGACGGCACCAAAAUGUUGAUGCUGAAACAUGCUUGCCCUCUGCCCGGCCAGAUCGUUCCACUAACGUUUGUGUAUUCAAUGGAGAGGAUACUGCCCUUUUGCCUCCUUCAGCAACUACGGAUGCUCCAGGGGUUGGAAUUACCUUUUUCCCUUCUUUCUAAUCCUGCACUCACAGAGAUAGAUAAGAGACGCCGGUGGUUUUAUCGGCGUAAACCCUCCGAUGCUUAAGUUAGCACAAGAUGUUUUACGAGAAAAUUAUGUAACUUGGAUUGUUUGGUUUCUUGUAAUGCUUUCUAAAACUUGUAAAGAAUAUAAUCUGGUUUUAAUUUGGCAGAGUUUUCCUUUUUCUCUCAAUUUUCCAUCCCCUUUUUCAUCGGUUUUCCAGCUUCUUAUAGCUGUUGUCCCACGUUCCUGUCUACUCCUCAUGCCCCCCCUUUUAUUGGGUGAUGGCAGGCCUUCAUGGGCCUCCAACCACUGAAUUGUGGGUAAACGUGGGAUGACAUGUCCCUCUCGAUGGUUUAGGGCAUAGCGAAACUGCCGCAUUUUCGUGAGAUCGUGUCCUCCUUCUUUGGGUGAUGGGUAUCUGGUCGGUAUAUGUCUCUAGUUGAUACAUUCCUCUGGUCAAUGCUCGUCUCUAGUAGGCCCACGUUUGUAUGAGGCAUUUUACCAGGGCUCUUCUCGUGCCGCUGAGGUGAUUCGCCUCGGGGUGGGAAAUAGGGGCAUGGCCGAGCUGGUGCUCUUUAUUACUUAACAACUGUCUUUGAAAAUUUUGGCUAAGUUAGUAGGCCACAAAAUUUUAUUAACCAUCUAUGCAAUUAUAGAGCAAUCCCCUCCAAAUAGAAUGAUGCCAAUUGUAUUUAUUGUUCUAGGACUACAUUCUCAAAUCCGAAGAAUUAUUCCACCUUAUGAAUCCAACCAGUCGGAUCAUCUCCGUUGAAAUUUGGAAAGUUUAGUUUGAGAUAGUGGUGAUGGUUGGGAAAGUUUGAGGAGAAAGGUUUUAUGGCUUGGUUAGAGGAUGUUGUAGCCUGUAGGUGCAAAGGGGUUAAUUUCAGAGGCAAUUAUGUGUGAGGUUUGUGAUGCACGAAGAGAUUGAAGAUUUCUUGAACCUCAUUACGAAACUCAGCAUUUGAUUGACUUCGGGUAGCCGUAUUUCGAGCAACCUUUGUUUGAUACCAGAUGAUAGGUAAUUUCUUAGUUUAGAAAGGAAAGUAUGAAAAGUAGAGGAAGAAUAUAAGUUGUUUAGAAGGAAAAAGAUAAUUUUUAUUCCAAAAGCAUGCCCACUAUAAAUCCAAUAAUUUCUCUUAAAUAAACCUAUACAUAUACCAAAAACUAAAAAACUAGAAAAGAGGAAAAUCACUUGAAAAUAAGAACAUGAUCAAUUAAAACGGUAACAUGCACAACCGCCACGAAUCAAAACCAAUCGAUUUUAAAUAGUAUGAAUUGAAAUCAAAUUAAACCAAACCAAACUAAAUCGGACCGAACCGAAAUAUUAGGUUCGGUUCUAAAUUUUGGUUUGAUUUUGGUUCAGUUCUAAAUUUUCGGUUCGAUUCUAACUUGUUGUUUUAACACCACGAUUUAUGUUCGUUGGAAGUAUCUUCCUCGUCGUCCAAAAUUCAUCCCACUUGCAGCUCAUUCUCUCAUGCAAUCCCUCAUCUUCUGUAGUGAUUUGAUUGCUCUGAUAACUAUAAGCAAUAAACCACUGCCCAAGAAAUUUUGCCAAGAACAAUUCAAGAUGAAAAUAAGCCAAUGAUUGAUUUAAAGUUCUAAUGAUGAAACGAAACCUUAGCUCUAGGUUAAUGGAGAUUUAACAAAAGAUUGAAACAAAUCAAGAAGCAAACACACUCAAUGCAAAGACAGGAUUUUAAUGUGGUUCAAUUAUGCACAAAGUUCAUAAUCUACAUCCGCGGGAGAAGCCACAAAAAUCUCUUUAUUGAUGAUUCAAGAUGAAUUUUAUUGAGAAAAUACAGAGAUCGUUACAAGGAACAAGAUUACUCUUUCUCACUUUCUAGAAACUCUCUGAAAAGCUCAAUCACACACACGUAAUCUGCUUCAACAACCAGCCUCUUUAUACUCUCUUAUGAAAACCCAGAUUGCACAGCCCUUUGACACGUGUGUAACAGCUUCUAACGACUUGAUUCCUCCCUCACAUGCUAGCUCACGUGUUUUACUUAAGUUUCCUAAAAACGACACAAAGCAAUGUCGUUCUGCCUUAUGCUGAAGAGCCCGUGACUGCACGUGAGUUGUAAGUAAUUCCAACUGAUCAAAACGCAAUCGUUUUGGGACUCUGAGUUUUGAAUUCAUAACACUCCGGUCCACAUCUUCCUCACCCACUAAUAUAAACAAAGCACAAAACAAUUCCAAUCUCAGAAUUAAGAUCAUGCUCAGACAAAUCCUUAAGCCCAUCAGCGAUCUAUCGUCUACUGCGAGCUAAUCGAGAGUGCCAUCUAAUACGAGGUGGCUGAGAGACCGUGAGAGUGAGAUGUUGACCAGAGAUAGACAUAGUGAGAGUGAGCGUGGUUGCGUGAGUGUGGAAGAAAGGGGAUGCUGCUAUGCUGCGUGUUGUGCUUGAGAGUGAGCAUAGUUGCAUGAGAGAGAGAGGGGCUACUGCUAUGCUGUACUUGAGAGUGAGGGUGGUUGCAUGAUAUCUGCUCAAUAUGUAUGGGAUGAAGUUUCUGAUGGGUAAAAAUCAUGUUUUUAAAUUUUUAUAAAACCUUUUUAAGAUCGCUUUCAUAUAAUAUAUAAGAAUUUGUAAUCUAGAAAUCAUACCUUGAAAAUCCGAUUUAGCUUUUUCCGCUGGAAUGAUUUAGGCUCCCAGAUCACGAUCCAUCACCACCACUCCUGUUAGAUUACGAUCCGUCACCACCACGCUUGUUAGAACACGAACUGGCACCAAUGAUCUUCCAGGUUAUGACUCAAGUUUGAUCUGCACUUGACGUGUGGGCGCCUUUAUCACUACCAAAGCAACUAGCACAAGAAAACUUUUCUCUCAACAAUAGAGAGAAAAAUCUUUUUCUCUGAUCUGUAUAAAGUGCCUGCUCCCUUUUUCUUUAGAGAAAAUAAGCAUUUUAUAUCUCCCUUUAGUGAAAACCCUAAGCUCCAAAAAAUCAAAAAACAAAACUCACGUUACUUGCUUUUUCUAUAGGGGACACACCUUGUAAAAUAACAUAAUAGCCCUUACACACAAGCGAAUUAAAUGGAGCCUCCCACUAAAAGAUAUAUUUAGGCUUUUGACCCAAAUAGCUUAUCUUACUUAUUAGUCCAGUAGUGGUGCAUUCAAUUAAAUGAGCUAACCCGGGGAUCAUUUGGGAACAUACAAUAGUGGCUAUAACAAUUAGACCUGUAAUUAAACUAGCCUAAUUAUUUAAUUCCAAAUCUACUCCACUAAAAGAUUGGAAUUGACCUCCAUAAUUGUAUGCUCGAAUAAUAAUUUGUCCCAAGUCUAAUUGAUUUCUUUACUGCACAAUCCUUUGUAUCACAUCGUUAAUUCAAUUGAUAUCUCAACUGUCCAAUCAAUUUAAUAACAUCUUGUUCCUUGAUACUUAUUGGUUUUCUCUAAUGAUCAUUUUCAACAUACUAAAUAUGUUGACACACUCUGGCCAAAGAAUUCUAUGAUCAAGUGCCGAAAACCCAUCAAGAGAUGUAUUGUACAAAUUCUAUAUUGUUAAUCCAUAACUCCAAUACUCAUAAUUGCUCCCACCAAGAUACCGGGUAAUCUUGACCACAAGAAUGUGUCGUGCCCAUUGGUAACUCAAAUGGAAUAACAAUUACAAUCAUGAAAUCAUAAUUAACUCAAGAUUAAGAUUACAGUAAAAUCAAUAGAUUUAAUAAGUCUGACAGUCAUUUCAAUGUUAAUUAAAUCUCAUAUGUGAUCCUGUUCAAUGUAGUCGUACUACAUUAAUAAAUUCAUACAUGAUUAAGACAAAUCAUUCAAUGAAUUCAUUACAGUCUAUACUUAAAUAAAGUGCCCAACUUUAUUUAUCAACUGCGAACUAAAUUUAUUUAAUCAUAAGAUAACUUAUAUUUAUGUCUUCUGUGAAUCCACAUGGUGAUCACAUAAAUACAUAUAAUAUGAUUAAAUGGACUUUGAUCAAAAUAUUAAUGCAAUUAAGAUAUUUGAAUAAAAUACCUCAUUAAUUUUAUUAGUCAGAAAAAAUGUUUAUUAUAAUUAAAUAAACACAUAUACUUUUAAAGAGUAUAUUUUCCCAACAGUUUCUUCAGUUGGUUAUUUCACUUAGUCAAAAUAAAUUAUAGUAGUGGUUGCAUACCUGACUUUGGAGGUAAGGCUGGAGGCAAACUUCUACAUUAAUUUAUAACUUGUUUCACAACAUAUUACGGUUAUAAAUGAGACUUAAUCCAAAGACGGAAAGAGAGAAAUUUGCUACACUCUUUAGUAUCCAUUAUUGAGAAAAACACCAAAAUUAACUUUUACUUCUUUAAAAUCAUUUUUGAAACCUCCCAAAAGAUAUCUCAAAUGGGUUCUCAAUUUUUUAAAACAUUACUUUUGGCUAAACACCCCAUCCUCCAGUAGAUUUUGAAAAUGUCAAAAUGUAUAAGACACUCAUCCAGUGGGGGUUUCACAGGCUUACCUCUCUUAGAAGUCUUUGCAUUCUUGGAUGUCAUGAAGCAGAGUGUUUUCCAGACGAGAAGAUAGGAAUGACGCUGCCCAAUUCUUUAACUUGUCUGUCCUUUCGAGGAUUCAAAAACACAUUUAAGAAAUUGGCAAUUUGUUGUUAGUCACAGUAUCUGAUGUUCUUUUCUUUUAUAGUUUGCAGAAUCAACUGUAUUAUAUGUUGUCAUUUGCAGUAUCUGAGGUGCCUUUUGCAUUUUACUUGACCUUUAUUUGUUUUGCUAGUGACUGAAGAAUACCAACAUUGGUUAGAGAUUUGGAGAAGCAUCUGAAGAGGCUUGACAAAGUUGGAGAUGCACUUGCUCCCAAGCCUUCAAUCAUCACAAUGCAAAUCCGAUGAGUACUUAUGCCGGCAAUUAUGUAAAAUAUUUGAAAUUUUGAUUCAGGGAAAUGGUUUGUUGAUGCAAAGCUUUAAACUGUUAAGACUUACCUAGCAGGCCUGUUGGAUGUUGUAUCAACUCCAAAAUCCAACAAGAACUACGGCACCAAGACCCAUUUUUUACUGAUUCAAUCAGCUGAAAUGAUGAGGCAAAUCCCACGUGUUCGAAUCAGUCAUCCAUUUCAUGAACUGUUAUUUUCAUGAUGCUGGCUAUUGGAGUUGAAGAGGAAACAAGGAUGUGUUGGAAUCAAUGAGAACAGUGGGAAGCAUGACUCGAGCUCUGAUUAUAAAUAGACAUUUUAAAAACAUGUGCUGGUAAGUGGUGAUUAAAGAAAUUUGUGAGCUUAUUCAAGUUUCAGUAUUUGCUGUUUGGAUAAAGCUGAUACCAAGUUUGGCAAAAUCUGUGCUUUCUUUGUUCAAUCUGUGUUAUGGUUAAAGUAGAUGCUCUGAUUAAUAAGCCAGCCUACGAUAGCUGGCUCUAAUAAUCGGCUUCCUUUUUCUUGUUUGCUGUUGUAUAUUCUUUCAAUUUUUUUUCCGCAUUAGGACGAUCAGUUGAAGAACAAGUUUAUGUUUGACGAUGCAUUUAAGGAAGAGCCAGACUUGGAUGCAGAUCUGAAAAGGUUAGCAUGAACGAAAACCUUCAGAACUGACUGAAGGUUUCUGAGUUGAUCCUAAAAAUGUAGCAGUUGUCUGUUUCAUAAAGCAGAACAAAAACAGAAUAAGAGAUCACUAAUCAUGCUUGAGAAUUCAUUUAAAUAAAAUUUCAAAAAUUGCCAAACACAGCAUAAACUAGGAUGCACUUGCUUAAGAUUCAUUUUCAGAAGGAAGUUUGUACUUGCAGCUCAUAAAAUCAUGUUUAUGUUGUAUGUUUAUUCAGCAAAUGAAAGAUUCCAAGUUUGCUGAAACCAUAUUAUUUUUUUACCAGGCGCCUUCCUGAAGGUAUCGACGUCAAUUUCAAAAAUGUUGGGGAUAAGUUGCUUGAUGCAGUGCUACACAAAUAUGAAGGAUUUCUUGUCGGUGAUUACUACCACCUCGAUAAAAAAAUUCAUGGAACUGGUCAUGCCGGCAAUAAAAGAAGGAAAGGUGGUAUACGUCGAAGACAUAGAUGAAGGCCUCGAGUCCAUCAGCCCUCGUUGGGCUAUUCACUUGUCGGAAUGUCAGGAAACAACUUGUUGAAGUUGCGUGGGAAUUUUAAAACUACCAUAUGUUGUAGAAAUGCACUGAGCCAUGUGCUUUCAGAGCUUUGUGAAGAUGUCUUGGCCAUGUGUUUGAUACAGGUUAUGCUUGUUCCAUUAAAUUGUAUGCACUUAUAAAUCAAAGAUUCAGAACAUGUGUAUGUUACUGGUUUCCAGAAUCCAGAUCAAUAAAUGCCUCCAUGUAGAAGUUCAAAUUUUAAAUUUUUUGAAGUAGAGGUGUAGAGUUUCUUUUUUCAAAAAAGAAAAAGUAAAUUCUGAAGACUUUCUUUAUUUAAUUUUACAAUCUUAUUUUAUUUCUUUUACGAUAUAUUUUUAAAAUACUUAUUUAGUAAAUUAUUAACAUCUAUACCACUAAAAGAUUUUUUUUGUUAAACGCUCUACUUACAAAGUUAUAUUAAUUAUAGAUUUACUCAAAGAAGCCCUAUUUAAAAAGUUACAGCAAAAAAAGUCAUAGUUACCUUUAGUAAAUAAUAAUCUUCUAAUCUGUCUUACAACGGACUUUUGACAAAAGUGUGCUACUCCCACCUCCUCAAAGUCCACCCGACACCCCGUCUUCUCUAUUUAAAAUUUUAUAUAGUUGAAAAUUAUAUUUUCUUUUACUUGACGCCCCUCCAAAUUCUAAAACUUAGCUUCGAUGAACCUUCUUCGUUAAAUCUCGUUGCUUUCCUUUUUUCUUGUUACUUGAGAAGAAGAACCAGAGUCUAGAAGAAUGAAAGAAAAUUCAGCGUGAUAGAAAUUUAGAAAUUUCAUCCGAUCUUUUUUUCUUAAAUUUUUUGGUAUUUUGAUUCGUUCAAUGGAUUCUUGAUCAUUCUUCAUUCUUUCUAGUUUCUACCAUGAUUCGGAAAUUUUUCUUAAAAAAACUACUACUCUUGUGUAUUUAAAAAAAAAGGAAAGAAAGAAAAAAGGCAUUAAUAAAGAAUUGCGCACGUAACAUUAUUAGUACCCUGUUGAUUGGUCGUUUGGUCUUCAAGAAAUGCUAGUUAAUAUGUGCUUGAAAUUAUAUUCUGCUUUUUUUUUCCCUAUGUAUUGUUUCCCGUUUGAUUACAUUUCAAACAUUUUUAACACGAAUGAAUGUUUUAACCAUUUUUGUCACUUCAUUAUUACAAUAAGCUGAUUGAAGUUAUCUGCGUUGGCCCUGAAAAUGUAAUGGACACUACUCCGUUUACAUAAAACAGGACAAAACAUCGAUAUUUCUACCAUUGCCAUACAUAGUAUAGCCUAGGAAUACAUUUCCAUAAUUAAUAUUUAUUUCAGAAGGAACUUUUCACUUGCAGCUAACAGAAUCAUGUUAAAUUUAUGAUGUAUGUUUAUUUGGGAGAUGAAAGAUUCGCUGCAUUAUUUUAUUCCAAGUUUGCUGAAAUCAUAUUUGUUUUCCCGGCUGCUUUCCUGAAUGUAUCGACAUCUAUUUCGAAAAUGUCGGGGGUAAGAUGCUUGGUGCAGUGCUACUCAACAUGAGAAUUCAUCUUCUAACUCGUUACCUGAUAUUAUUGUCUUCUUGAAAAUUUAAUUAAGCUUAGAAGUCCCUUAACCACAAAAUCAAUGGAGUUUAACUCUAUCGAUAGACAACUUUUAAGUAAUAAACCAACACAUGAGUUCAUCUCUAUUGAUACUCAAGUUCUAAGUCCCUUAUUCAAUACUAAAAUCCAUGAGAAUUAAACUAACCGUAGUUUAACAUGUGAUUAACAAAUGGUAAAAGGUUCAAAAAAUACAUCAAUUAUAAAAGAAAUAAAAUCAGCAAAGAGACCACAUCAGAAAUUUCUUAGAUGUCCGAAACUAUUAAAAGAAUUCACAUACCAAAUCAAAAAAAGUAGAAAAUGCUUAAGCUCCUUAAGGUAAUUUGAAGUAUGAAAGUGAAUGGCAUAUAAUCCAAUAUAAAAAAAAAAUGGUUUUAGUGCCGUAUAAAGAGAAGUUAAUGGUGGUUACAGAAGUGGGGAAAGUUGAGUACAAAUCAGAUAAUGGGAGGUUCCUAAACUUCCUUAAAUCAAUUUUAAUUUCAAAAAUAAAAUAAUAAAAAAUAAAAAAUAGCAUAAAAGAAAUAAGAUAAAAAUUACUUUUCUAAAAUUGCAUGCAAGUAUACAAAAAUAACAUAUGUUGAUAUUACAUCGAGAAAGGUCCAUCAGCCCUAGUUGGGCUAUUCACUGCAUAGAAUGUCGGAGAACAACUUGUUGUGGUAGCUGUUGGGAAAAUAUGCUCUUUAAAAGCAUGUGUGUUUAUUUAAAUGUAAUAAACAUUUUUUCUGAUUAAUAAAAAUAAUGAGGUAUUUUGUGCAAAUAUCUUAAUUGCAUUAAUAUUUUUAUUAAAGUCCAUUUAAUCAUAUUAUAUGUAUUUAUGUGAUCACCAUGUGGAUUCACAGAAGACAUAAAAUACAAGUUAUCUUAUGAUUAAAUAAAUUUAGUUCGCAGUUGAUAAAUAAAGUUGUGCACUUUAUUUAGGUAUAGAUUGUAAUAAAUUCAUUGAAUGAUUUGUCUUAAUCAUGUAUGAAUUUAUUGAUGUAGUACGACUACAUUGAACAGGAUCACAUAUGAGAUUUAAUUAACCUUGAAAUGACUGUCAGACUUAUUAAAUCUCAUUGGCAUUGAUUUUACUGUAAUCUUAAUCUUGAGUUAGUUAUGAUUUCAUGAUUGUAAUUGUUAUUCCAUUUGAGUUACCAAUGGGCAUGACACAUACAUGUAGUCUAGAUUACUCGGUAUCUUGGUGGGAGCAUUUAUGAGUAUUGGAGUUAUAGAUUAACAAUAUAGAAUUUGUACAACACAUCUCUUGAUGGGUUUUCGGCACUUGAUCAUAGAAUUCUCUAGCCAGAGUGUGUCAACAUAUUUAGUAUGUUGAAAAUGAUCAUUAGAGAAAACCAGUAAAGAUCAAGGAAUAAGAUGUUAUUAAAUUGAUUGGACAGUUGAGAUAUCAAUUUAAUUAACGAUGUGGUACAAAGGAUUGUGCAGUAAAGAAAUCAAUGUGGCUUGGGACGAAUUAUUAUUCGAGCAUACAAUUAUGGAAGUCAGUUCCAAUCUUUUAGUGGAGUAGAUUUGGAAUUAAAUAAUUGGGCUAGUUUAAUUAUAGGCCUAAUUAUUGUAGCCACUAUUGUAUGUUCCCAAAUGAUCCCCGGGUUAGCUCAUUUAAUUGACUGCACCACUACUGGACUAAUAAGCAAGAUAACUAGCUAUUUGGGUCAAAAGCCUAAAUAUAUCAUUUAGUGGGAGGCUCCAUUUAAUUAGUUUAUGUGUAAGGGGUCUUAUGUUAUUUUACAUGGUGGGUCCCCUAUAAAAUAAAAAGUAACGUGAGUUUUAUUUGUGAGCCUAGGGUUUUCACUAAAGGGAGAUAUAUAAGGCUUAUUUUCUCUAAAGAAAAAGGUGAAGCCACUUUAUACAGAUCAGAGAAUAAGAUUUUUCUCUCUAUUGUUGAGAGAAAAAUUUUCUCGUGCUAGUUGCUUUGGUAGUGAUAAAGGCGCCCACACGUCAAGUGCAGAUCGUACUUGAGUCAUAACCUGGAAGAUCAUUGGUGACAGUUCGUGAUCUAACAAGCGUGGUGGUGACGGAUCGUGAUCUAACAGGAGUGGUGGUGGCGGAUCAUGAUCUAGGAGCUUAAAUCACUUCAGCGGAAAAAGCUAACUCGGAUUUUCAAGGUACGAUUUCUAGAAUACAAAUUCUUAUAUAUUAUAUGAGAGCGAUCUUCAAAAGGUUUUAUAAAAAAUUUAAAAACCUAAUUUUUCCCCAACAAUUGGUAUCAGAGCCAUCUCAUAUUAAUAUAUAAGAAUUUCGUAUGAAAUUAAUCUUGAUAUUUAUGUAUUAGAGUGGCACAAUUUAUUCAGAUAUAUAUUAUUUGUUUAAUAUAUGAAUAAAGCAUGUUUAUGGUUUGUCUUAAUUCAUGGUUAGAUUUUCUGUUGUAUUUUUCGUUUGGAUCUUUAACAAGAGGGGUGGUUUUUAUCACAAUGUUUCCCUCUUGAUUUAUUUUACUGUUAUAGAAUUUUUGUAAGCCAAAAAUUGGCCUAGGAAAUUUGUAAAUAAAUCACGGAUGACAAAUCAAAGCGACGGAGGCCGGAAAUUUCGACAUCGACCGCUGACCAGCGCACUCGCUACAACCAACGAGCGGCACACGCUGCAAGCGCAUGCUGGCAGUGCGCGCAGCAAGCAGCGCGCGCGGCCAGCCUGGCCAGCGGCGCGCGUUCCAGCAAGCAGCGCGCGCAGGGAUGGUUUGUUUCCGGCAUAUCGGCAACGGCAAACUCGACGUUGAUAGCGGCUGUCCGAUGAGAUUGGCCUGAACAGUGGCCGUUUGUGGAGAUGGCGACUGGGGAAGAAGAAAGAAAGAAAAAUAUGGAUUUAGGGUUUCAUGGCUUUUAUCAUGGAGAUCCCUAUGGUUCCAUAAUUUUUCACUUGGGCAAUUAAGUUUUAAUUUUUUGCAUUUAAGUCUAAAAAUAGUUUUCGGCUUAAAGAAUCCUAGUUUUAGGUCCAAUUGAAAUUUGGGCUUAAUGGAUUAAAAAUGCAUAGAUAAAAUUAAAUACAUUAAAAUUUAUUUUUGGUCCAAAAGUUUUAUUUUAAUAAAAAAAAUUAUUUAUUUAUUUAUUUCCUUUAAAAAUUAAAAUUGGACCAAUUAGAAAUUAUUUAUUUAUCUCUCAUUUGUACUUGGGAGACAGUCUAUUGUAAGUAGUGUGUAUUUUUGCAUGUCUAGGAAAGUUCUGUCAACAAAGGCGAUAAGUGUAUAAGGAUUCUGGUUUUUAAUUGGGACCAAGUUCCCAUCUAGUUUCCUGGAAACUUUCUUGGUGCAUUUAUUCACGCGAAAUUAACAUCAUAGAGACUGUUUUUCAAGUGAAAAUAGUUCGUUGAGAAAAUGGUAGAAGGUGAAACUUUCAAAAUUGGGGAGAGAUCUACCGAGACUAUUUCAGGAGACACUUCAGGUGGGAGGCGAGAUUUGUCAAAUCGCUAUUCAGCACCUGUAUAGAAGGCCAGAAGAUCGAUGUUGAAAAGUUUGAUGGGAAAAUCAACUUCGGCAUGUGGAGGCGCGAAGUUAUGGAUGCCCUUAUUCAAAUCGAUCUCGAUGUUGUUCUGAAAAAUAAAAGACACUUGUAUGAUGAAGAAAUUUGGGAUCGUAUGAAUGAAAAAGCAUGUGGUCAGAUCAGAUCUUGUUUGACCAAGGAGGUGAAAUACUUGGUGAAAGAUGAGGAGUGUGCGGUGACUUUGUGGCGUACAUUGGAGGAGAAGUACCUGGUGAAAAGUCCUGAAAAUCGCCUUCAUGCAAUGAGCCAAGUAUAUGGCUUUCGAAUAAAGUCUGGGGUGUCAAUGCACGAUCAUGUUUUAAGAUUUGAAAAGUUACUUGCUGAUUUGAAGAAUCUUGAUGAAGAUAUUAAGGAUGAAGUCAAGGCUAUGAUUCUGUUACACUCACUACCAGAGGAAUAUAGCCAUUUUGUGACUACUUUAAUAUAUGGGAAGAGUGUGAUCAUCUUUAAAGAUGUUUGCACAACAUUGACUAGCUUAGAGAUUCGAAAUAAUGAUAAAAAUUCUAAACGAGCAUCGUCUGAAGCUUUGGUGAGUAGAGAUUGGGCGAUGGAGAAACAAAAGAAGCGUGGUGGAAAGAAUUCUCGAUCCAAAUUGAAAAGCAGAAAUAUAGCUCGAGAUGAGUGUGCCUUUUGUCAUGAAAAGGGCCAUUGGAGGAAAGAUUGUCCAAAGGCUCAAAAGAGAGAUGGGAAGAAACCAGCAGCAGCAAACAUGGCACGGAAAGAUGAGGGCUCUGAUUAUUCACUAAGUAUUACUCUUGCAGCAUACGUGGCUAGUUCGAGUGAGUGGAUACUUGAUACUGGAGUGGUUUACGGAUUUUUAUCAUUUGUGUCCUAUUAAGGAAUGAUUUACGGAUUUUCGUAAUCUGGAAUCCGGUGCAGUUGUGAUGGGGAAUGAUCAACCUUGUCGCACAAUGGGGAUAGGAACAAUUCGGCUCAAAAUGUUUGAUGAAAUGAUCAGAGAACUCAAAGAGGUUAGAUUUGUUCUAGCUUUAAAGAAAAAUCUAAUUUCUGUGGAUUUCUGUGGGUGCUUUGGAAGCUAAAGGCUACAAGGUUACCAUUGAAGAUGGUAUAAUGAAGUUUACACAUGGGGCUAUGGUGAUUCUGCAAGGGGUUCGGUGUCACAAUCUGUACUAUUUGAAGGGAGGUACAACUGAUGAAGCAAAUGUUGUUAAGGCGCACAGUGACACCACCAAGCUAUGGCAUGUACGAUUGGGACAUGCUGGAGAGAAGUCUUUGCAAACUCUGAUGAGGCAUGGACUCUUAAAAGGUACCAAAACCUGUAAAUUAAAUUUCUGUGAGCAUUGUGUAGUAGGCAAGAAAACAAGGGUCAAGUUUGGUAUAGUUAAUCACGAUACUCGUGAGAUUCUUGAAUAUGUUCAUAGUGAUGUAUGGGGACCAACCAAGACUGCAUCAAUUGGUGGAAGCCAUUACUUUGUUACAUCUAUUGAUGAUUUCUCUAGACGUGUGUGGGUGUACACCAUGCGAGCAAAGGAUGAGGUUCUAGAGAUUUUCGUGAAAUGGAAGAAAUUGGUGGAGACUCAAACUGGCAGAAAGAUCAAAGUAUUACGAUCUGAUAAUGGGGGUGAAUAUACUUCUGAUCCAUUCUUACAAGUAUGCCAGAACGAGGGUAUUAAAAGACAUUUCACGGUGAGACAUACUCCGCAACAGAACGGUGUGGUUGAGCGUAUGAAUCGUACUUUACUGGAGAAGAUACGGUGUAUGUUAUCUAAUGCUGGUUUAGAUAAAAAGUUUUGGGCUGAAGCUGUGAGCUACGCAAGUCACUUGGUAAACCGGUUGCCUUCUGCUGCAAUUGGAGGUAAAACUCCUAUGGAAAUGUGGUCUGGAAAGCAUGCACAAGACUAUGAUUCCCUUCGUGUAUUCGGGUGUUCAGCUAAUCAUCAUGUCAAAGAUGGUAAACUGGAUCCUCGUGCUAGAAAAGCUAUCUUUGUGGGAUUCAAAGGUGGAGUAAAGGGCUUUAAGCUUUGGGAUCUCGAAGACAAAAAGUUUGUGUGUAGCAGAGAUGUCACAUUUGAUGAAGCUUCAAUGAUGAAAGCGUCAAGUUCUCAGCAGGUGGAGAACAAGACCAAAAAGGUAUUGCAGCGGGUGGAGUUUGAUGCAACUCCAUAUGUACCAGUUAGUUCUACAUCAAAUAAGAGUUCAACUAUGGAGGUGACACCUAGAGUUGAAGAAGAGGUCAUUUUUUCUGAUGUCUCACAAAAUGAAGAAACAAUUGAUGAUGUAGAUAAUGAUGAUUUUAUAGCAACAAGGAGGCCAAGAAGAGAGAUAAAGAAACAGGGAUGGCUUACUAAAGAUAUGGUGGUAGCAUAUGCACUUCCAGUUAUUGAUGAUGACAUCCCCAACACUUUUUGUGAAGCAUUACGCAGCAGUGAAAGUGAUCAGUAGAAGUUAGCCAUGGAGGAAGAGAUGAAAUCUCUCCAUCAAAACCAGACUUGGGAACUUGUAAAGUUACUAAAUGGGAAAAGGGCUAUUGGUAAUAAAUGGGUCUACACCACAAAGCAAGGAUCUCCGAAUCAAACAACUCCUCGAUACAAGGCAAGGCUCGUGGCAAAAGGUUUUGCUCAAAAGGAAGGUAUUGACUACAAUGAAGUUUUCUCCCCAGUUGUAAAACAUACUUUCAUUCGUAUCCUACUUGCCGUCGUUGCAGAAUAUGAGUUAGAGUUGGCUCAAUUGGAUGUUACGACGGCGUUCUUACAUGGAGAUUUGGAAGAGGAAAUCUAUAUGAUUCAGCCUUGUGGUUUCAAAGUUGCUGCAAAGGAGAAUCAUGUGUGUAGGUUGAUUAAAUCUUUGUACGGACUGAAGCAAUUGCCAAGGCAGUGGUACAAAAGAUUUGAUCAAUUUAUACAAGGGCAGAAAUUCACCAGAAGUGAACACGAUCAUUGUGAUUACUUUAGAAGACUACCAGAUGGAGCUUUCAUCUAUUUGUUACUCUAUGUCGAUGAUAUGCUUAUAGCUUCGAAGAAUAGAGAUGAGAUCGAAAGAUUAAAGAAGCAGCUGGCUUCUGAGUUCGAGAUGAAAGACUUGGGUGAUGCACAGAGAAUACUUGGGAUGGAGAUUCGUAGAGACAAGAAGAAUGGGAGCGUAUGAUUGACUCAAAAGUCUUAUUUGAAGAAAGUGCUAGAAAGAUUCAGUAUGGAUGACAAAACUAAACCGGUAUGUACACCUCUAGCUCCUCAUUUCAAAUUAAGCUCUUCUUCAUGUCCUAGAUCUCAAGAAGAGCGCGAUUACAUGGCUCGUGUUCCAUAUGCUAGUGCUGUGGGUAGUCUUAUGUAUGCUAUUGUAUUCACAAGGCCCGAUAUAUCUCAAGCAGUGAGCAUGGUUAGUAGAUACAUGCACAAUCCGGGUAAAAAUCAAUGGCUUGCGGUAAAGUGGAUUCUCCGAUAUUUGUAUGGGACAGUUGAUGUUGGGUUAUUAUUCAAGAAAGAUUGUGGUCAACAAUGUGUUGGGUAUUGUGAUUCUGAUUUCGCUGGAGACCUUAACAAGAGAAGAUCAACAACGGGCUACGUAUUCACAUUGGGUGGAGGUCCGGUUAGCUGGAGAUCGAUUCUACAAUCGACAAUUGCUCUAUCCACUAUGGAAGCAGAGUAUAUGGCAGCAAUUGAAGCUGUAAAAGAAGCUAUCUGGUUGAAAGGCUUGUUAGGUGAUUUGGGAGUAAUCCAGGAGAACAUUACGAUCUUCUGUGAUAAUCAAAGUGCGAUAUUCCUUGCAAAGAAUCAAACAUAUCACGCUCAGAUGAAGCACAUAGAUGUGAAAUAUCAUUAUGUGAGGGAGAUUAUCGAGAGCGGUGUUGUGUUGUUGAGAAAGAUCGAUACCAAAGAUAAUCCAUCAUAUAUGUUAAUGAAGGUAGUUUCUGGAGUUAAGUUUCAACAUUGCUUGAAACUAAUUCAAAUCCUUCGAUUGUGUUAAGAUAUGUCCUUCGGAAAUUUUGAACUACGGUUGGCUUGAUCCCAAAUUUUGGGUACGUUUGGCAGUCACAGAGAUACAGCCACUUUGCGGAUGAUGAUUGGUUGGGAGUCGGCUCAGAUUUGAACAAACCUUCGCCGAGGUGGAGAAUUGUUGAAAAGUCAAAGAAUUGCUUGCCAAUUUCAAAAGCAAAGUUGGUGGGUUUGCCAAAUUCAAAAAAACAAAGUUGGCCGGCUUGCUAAUUUCAAAAGGCAAAGUUAGGUGUUGAAAAACUUGUACAUGCAAUAUAAGAUCCAGCUCAACGUUUUGACCAAAUGAACCCAACUUGGAGCAGAAUGCACUCUAUAAAUAGAGAAGCAUUUUGCAAUUGUCAAUCAUCCCAACAAUUUGUUAAGCUUAUAAAUUUCUAAGCUUUUGAGAGUUCUAAGAGUGUGAAUAAUUGGAGAGUGUGUGUGAGAGUACUUGGUAUAUUUGGGUUCUGGGAAAGUGAGAUUUCUUUACUCAAAUAAUUAUUAAUAAUAUAAUUAUUUUUCUCUUGCUUCCGUGGACAUAGGCAUAUUGUCGAACCACGUAAAUUUUGUGUCCUUUAUUUUUCAGUAAUUAUUUGGUGUGUUUGAUUCCGCAUUCCGCGCACAACACCUACAGGUGACUAAUUAAUGGGAAAUUGACAAUGACAAAAGCAAUUUAUGAGUUUUGUAGGCUGGCAUGCCUAUGUUAUAGCAUUGUUCGAUGAACUGCCACACCACAUGUUUUUGACGAGAAAUAAAAACAUCAAGAUAUUGCCCGCUUGCCGUAUUCCACAUCGUGAAUUGUAUCUCUGUUCCUCAAUUUUCAGUGUUCCAUACAUAAAACCAUUUUCAGUUUCUCUUGUUAUCAAUUCAAUUUUCUUGUUCGUGACGAUCUUGAUUCCUUUCUUUCUGGUAAAACGGAGCCAUGUUUGCUGUUGGAGAGGUCUUCCUCAACGCUUUCUUUCAGGUGUUGUUUGACAGGUUGGCUUCUCGUAAUUUGCUCAGCUUUGUGCGUCAACUCCAAGGCGGGGUUGAUUCGGAGCUCAAAAAGUGGGAGAAAAAGCUGAAGAUGAUUCAGGUUGUGCUUAGCGAUGCAGAGGAGAAGCAACUGACUGACGAGGCUGUGAAGAUGUGGCUGGACGAACUCCAAGACUUGGCUUAUGACGCUGAGGACAUUCUUGAUGAGUUUGGUACUCAAGCUUUGGAAAGGAAGUUGAUGGCGAAAAAUCAGGAUAGCACUGGCCAGAUUCUUAGUUUCAUACCGGCUAGUUUGAAUCCGAAUGCUAUUAUGUCCAAUUAUAGCAUGGGAUCCAAGAUUAAAGAUAUUACUAGCCGGUUGGAGCAACUCUGCCAAUAUAGAAUUGAACUUGGGCUGCAACGGAUUGCUGGAGGGGCAUCAUCACCUACUGCUGCUGCACACCAGAGGCCACCCAGUUCAAGUAUCACAACAGAGCGUGAAGUAUUCGGAAGAGAAGAAGAUAAGGCCAAAAUUCUUGAUAUGGUAUUGACCGAUAUUAGAAUUCGUAAUAAGAUGUUUGGAAACAAAGAAAAACAGAGAAAAUGAAAAAGGAAACUUCACGAUUUAUUAACCAGAAUAUUCAAUGCUUAUUAAGCUUACUUAGCUAAGCUUAUAUACAAUUAUUCUAACUAAUUAAACAACUGCAAAACAACUAAUAACAACUUCAGAUUUAGUUUAGCCAUUGAGCUCUUGCCACAUGUCAUUCAGUUACAUUCAAUCUUGUCCAGCUCAGCAGCUCUGUCCAGCUCAGCAGCAACUAUAUCUUCAACAUCCCCCCUCAAGCUCAACCGAGGAAGUAAGGUUGAGCUUGUCACGUAAGUAGAGAAAAGGGUGAUAAGAAAGAGCUUUGGUGAGAAUAUCAGCAGUUUGUUCUGAGCUAGAAAUAUAUUGAACCUUAAGACAUUGAGCAGCAACUUUCUCUCGAACAAAAUGAACAUCUAAUUCAAUGUGUUUUGUUCUGGAAUGAAACUUAGGAUUAGAGGCUAAAGCAGCUGCACUUUGAUUAUCACACCAUAUGAUUGGAAUGGAGGGAAGAGUAAGACCAAUCUCAGCAAGAAGAGAACGAAUCCACAAGACUUCAGCUGCUGCCAUUGCUAGUGCUCGAUAUUCAGACUCAGCACUAGAUCGAGAGACCACUGCCUGUUUCUUAGAGCACCAAGACACUAGAUUUGGACCCAUAUAGACACAAUAACCAGCCACUGACCUCCUAUCAUCUCUGUCUCCAGCCCAAUCAGCAUCACUGAAACAAUCAAUCUGUAUGCUGCCAUGAUUGUAGAACUGUAAACCAAGAUUAACAGUACCCUUCAGAUAUCGUAAAACCCUUUUACAAGCCUGCCAAUGAUUGACAGUUGGAGAAGAUAGAAACUGACUGAGCUUGUUGACAGAGAAAGCAAUCUCUGGUCUGGUCAAUGUUGCAUACUGAAGAGCACCUAUGGUGCUUCUGUAUAGAGUAACAUCAGAAAAGGGUUCACUAUCAGCUUUAGUAAAAGCCACUCCAGAAAGCAUAGGAGUAGAACAAGGAGUACUAUCCUGCAUGUGCACCUUGGCAAGCAAAUCAGUGAUAUACUUGGAUUGAGAAAGAUGAAUACCAGAUUUAUUGUAAAUGACCUGAACUCCCAGAAAAUAAUUCAAUGCACCAAGAUCUUUAAGUGCAAAAACAGACUGGAAGUUGGUGAUGGUCUGCUGAACAAGCUGAGGAUUGGAGCCUGUAAUAAUAAUAUCAUCUACAUACACCAAGACAAGUAGCAGAUGACCUUGUGUGCUCUUAAAGAAGAGUGAAGUGUCUGAAAUAGAAUUUGUAAAGCCCCACUGAGUUGUAAGAACUAGUUUGAGUCUGUCAAACCAUGCCCUUGGAGCCUGUUUAAGGCCAUAAAGAGCUUUGUGCAGCUUACAGACAUAAUCAGGCCUGGAACUAUCUAUAAACCCCUCAGGCUGUUGCAUAUAAACUUCUUCAGUGAGGUAGCCAUUAAGGAAGGCAUUAUUAAUGUCUAUUUGCCUCAGUACCCAAUGAUUCAUGACAGCCAUACUCAAGAUAAUUCUGAUGGUUGAAGACUUAAUGACAGGACUGAAUGUUUCAUGAAAAUCCAGCCCUUGAGUUUGGUGAAAUCCCUUAGCAACAAGUCUAGCUUUGUAUCUAGAGACACUGCCAUCAGGAUUAUAUUUAAUCCGAAAUACCCACUUAUUCCCAAUUACUUUAAUGGGAUGUGUAGGUUUGACAAGAGUCCAGGUAUGAUUAUUGACUAAGGCUUGAUAUUCAUCUGUCAUUGCUUUAUGCCAAGCUGAAUCUUGAAGGGCUUUUAAGGUAGUAGCAGGUUCUGUAGGUUUGGUAGGAUUGGCUGUAAUAUAGGCUUUAGGUUUGAAGAUACCAGCCUUUGAUCGAGUGAGCAUUGGAUGACCAGUAGAUGACUGCAAUGGUGGAGUUAAAUGAUGAACAGGUGAGGUAGAUGGUUCUGAGUGUGAUUGUAUAGAAGAUUGAGAAGGAGAGUCUGGAGAGGAUUGAGAGAACCUGAGAUCAGCUGCUGUAGAGGAUGAAGACUUGGUUAUAUCAAGUUGAAUCAAAGGACAAACAGAAGAUGAACAAUGUGAAGAAGACUGAGAUGAAUGAUCUGAAGAAGAGCAAGAGUGACUGACAGAGGAAAAAUCAACUCCUGACUGAAAAGGAAAACAUGACUCAUCAAAUGUAACAUGGUUACUGACAUAGAUUCUACCAGAGGAAUGAAGACACAAGUAGCCUUUGUGAAGGGAGCUGUAACCAAGAAAAAUACAUCUAGCAGUUCGAAACUCUAACUUAUGAUGAUUAUAAGGCCUCAGAUAUGGGAAACAAGCACAUCCAAAAACUCUCAUAACAGAAUAAUCUGGUCUUUUGUUGAAUAAUUUUUCAAAAGGUGAUUUGUUAUCCAGAAUGGGUGUAGGGAGCCUAUUUAUGAGAAAUGUGGCAGUAUGGAAAGCAUUCCACCAAAAUUUCAGUGGUAAAUGUGCUUGAGCAAGAAGGGUAAGGCCUGUUUCCACUAUAUGUCUAUGUUUGCGUUCAAUCUUUCCAUUUUGAUGGUGAAUAUAAGGACAAGGAUGUCUAAAUUGGAUUCCCUGCUCAGCAAGAUAAGGAAGAAAUGGCCUAAAUUCACCUCCCCAAUCUGUUUGAAGACACUUGAUUUUCCUAUUUAGGCAUUUUUCUAUCAUAUGCUGGAAUUCAAUAAAGGUUUGUAAGGCUUGAGAUUUGGUAACAAGAGGGAAUAUCCAGGUGAACCUAGUGAAAUCAUCUAAGAUGGAAAGAUAGUAGUGAUAGCCUUGAGAGGACAGCAAAGGAGCUGGACCCCAUAGAUCAGCAUGCAACAGCUCCAGUGGUUGAAUGGUAGUGGUGUCUAUAGAAGGAAAAUGCUGCAUGUGACACUUUCCAAAUUGGCAAGCAUUACAAAAAAUUGGUUUCAGGGCUCUAUUGAUAUCGAGAGAAGGAUGCAAAUGCUUCACAAUUUGUUUAAGAGCAUGCACAGUUGGAUGACCCAUUCUUUUAUGUAAAACAUUGUAAUCAACUGAUUUUGAAUGAGUAACAGACAAGGCCAUUGAGGCAUCAUUAUUGAAUUGAGAAAUAUUUACAUCUGUCAAAAUUUCUCCAGAAUGUAUAGAGUUUGAAACAUUGGAAUGACUAAUCAUUGACACUGGAGAGGAACAGACAUUUGACACAGAACUGGAAUUUGAGAUGACACAGAAAACAUUAGACGGAACUCUAUUUGAAACUGCAGCAUGAGACACUACAACAGGACCUUCAACUUGAUAUAAUCCUCCUCUAGCAAUCCCCUUGAGCAAGAUGAUCCCUGAUUUCUUGUCCUUGACAAAACAGGAGGUUUUAUGGAAUUCAACAACAACAUCAUUGUCAGCAAGUAAUUUAGAUACACUUAAAAGGUUUUUGGUUAUAGUUGGGACAUGCAAAAUAUUAUUAAGAUAGAUAGAUGUUGCAGCAAGUGUAUUCAAUCGUGUGCACCCAACAUGUUUAAUAUGUAAUCCCAUGCCAUUUCCUACAUGUAGCUUAUCAAAACCAUGAUAAACUGAGUAAGAAGAAAAGAUACCUGCUUCCUUAGUCACAUGAUUGGUUGCCCCGGAGUCAAUAUACCAAGCAGGAUCAGCUACAACUCCAUAAUCAGCAACUGGACCAGUGGGAGCAAAUUGUGCAGUGGGAAUAGCAGAAGGAGCAACUCCAUAGUUAGCAAAUGGAGUAGCAAUUGCACCAUUGUAUUGACCUUGUAAUCCUUGAAACACAAGAAACCCUUGAGGAUACAUAACAUUUGCAUUCUGAUAUGCAACAUUCCCUUGAAACAUGGGUGCAUUAUAUCUAGGAGCACCAGUUGCAGUUCCAUAAAAAUUUCCAUAACCUCUUCCAAACAUGUUCUGAGGCUGACCAGGAAAGCCUCUAAAAUUGAAUCCACCUCUAGGCCUAAAGCCACCUCUUCCUUGUCUAGGAAUAAAGUUCUGAUUAAAUCUGUUCCUGCAUUUGUAUGCUCCAUGACCAGGUAUGAAGCAUAUUUGACAAAUUACUUCCUUAUCAACAUUAUAUCCUCCUUUGCCAUUAUCAAAAUUUCCACCAUUAAAACCUCUCUGAUUAGCAUUAUUGAACUUAUUGUAAUUCUGUCCUUUCUGAGCAAAAUUAGCUGACAUAUCAUGCAACAAUUCAUUUUGCACCUUUCCCUUACUCAUCUCAACCCUAGUUUCAUGACUAAGCAUUAAGGAAUACACUUCUUCAAUAGUGAGAUUAUCUUUUUCCAGCCUAGCAAGUAUAGUUGUCACUAAUGACUCAUAGUUGUCAUCUAAACCAGUGAGCAAAUGCAUUAUAAAAUCUGUUGAAGCAAGAGGAUUACCACCAAUAGCUAAGCUAUCUGCAAUUUUUUUCAUCUUAUUGAAGUAAUCACUUACUGACAUAGCUCCUUUCUUUGUGGUUUGAAUCUGCAUUUUCAGAGGCAUGUAUCUAGCCUUUGACUGUGACAUGAACAUCUCGGCAAGUUUCUCCCAGAUCUCAAGUGAAGUAUCACAAUCCACAACCAUGAUAAGUACAUUGUCUACCAUAGAUGACAGCAUCCAGCUCUGUAGAAGCUUGUCAGCUUUCUUCCAGUCAAUAUAGUCAGAAUUUUCACGUCUGCUUGAGCUAGGAGCUUCUGAUCUACUGGCAGCAUUCUCAUAUGAGGAAAGAAAACGAUCUGGACAAGGAGAUUCUCCAUUGAUAAAACCUUCAAGUCCAUUGGCAAUAAUCGAAGCUUGAAUUUGAGCUCUCCACACCAGAUAAUUUGUUCGAUCAAGUUUUGUUGGUUGAAUAAAAGAAAAAGAAAGUGAAGACGAUCCUGAAUUGCUUUGAUUCGUCAUGUUUCGUGGCUCUGAUACCAUAUUAGAAUUCGUAAUAAGAUGUUUGGAAACAAAGAAAAACAGAGAAAAUGAAAAAGGAAACUUCACGAUUUAUUAACCAGAAUAUUCAAUGCUUAUUAAGCUUACUUAGCUAAGCUUAUAUACAAUUAUUCUAACUAAUUAAACAACUGCAAAACAACUAAUAACAACUUCAGAUUUAGUUUAGCCAUUGAGCUCUUGCCACAUGUCAUUCAGUUACAUUCAAUCUUGUCCAGCUCAGCAGCUCUGUCCAGCUCAGCAGCAACUAUAUCUUCAACAACCGAUACCCCCAGUGAUCAUGCCAACUUUGUUGUAAUACCCAUUGUUGGCAUGGGCGGGAUAGGAAAAACAACUCUUGCUCGGGAGGUCUACAAUGACAAGGCCGUUGAAGAUUCAAAGUUUGAUGUAAAAGCAUGGGUUUGUGUCUCUGAUGUCUUUGAUAUUUUGGGCAUCUCAAAGGCACUUCUCGAAUCAAUCACCCGCAGGCCUUGUCUUCUGAACAGUUUAAAUGAAGUGCAGGUUGAGUUGAAAGUAGCUGUGGAUAAAAAAAGAUUCUUGCUGGUCUUAGAUGAUGUUUGGAACGAGGACUACAGCUUGUGGGUAGACUUAAAAGCUCCAUUCUUGGCAGCUGCACCAAACAGUAAGAUGAUCGUCACCACAUGCAAUUCAAAUGUUGCAUCAAUAAUGGGACCAAUUGAACAUUAUAAUCUCAAGAGACUGUUAGAUGAUGAUUGCUGGUCCAUUUUCAUACAGCAUGCACUUGAAUCUAGAGAUCUUAACGCACAUCAAAUUUCAGAAUCGUUCCACAAGAAAGUUGUUGGCAAGUGUGGAGGCUUGCCCCUGGCAGCAAAAACAUUAGCGGGCCUUCUACGUACUACGAGGCAUGAUGCCUGGGACGAUAUCUUGGAUAGCAAACUAUGGGAUUUACCACGACAAAAUGACGUUCUCCCUGUGUUAAGAUUGAGUUACCAUCAUCUUCCGUCUCAUUUGAAAAGAUGUUUUGCUCAUUGUGCCAUCUUUCCGAAAGAUUAUGAAUUCAAUGAGAAGGAGCUGACUUUCUUAUGGAUGGCUGGAGGUAUUAUUCGACAGUCAAGAAAGAAUGAGCAGCUGGAAGAAUUGAGCAGCAAGUGCUUUCAAGAUCUAGUGUCGAGGUCUAUUUUUCAACAAACCAGCUCUGGUAGUGCUAAAUUUGUAAUGCACGACCUUAUCCAUGAUCUUGCUGAAUUGGUUUCUAGAGAAACCAUUUUCAGGUUAGAGGAGUCCACCAACUUGUCAUCAAGAAGAUUUGAAAGGGUUCGCCAUUCUUCGUAUGCCCGUGGUAGGCUUGAUGGUAAAUCUAAGUUCGAGGUUUUCAAUGAAAUUGAACAUCUACGAACAUUCUUGCCAUUAUGCAUAAGAGGUGGCGUUACUUCUGGUUAUAUAACUAGCAUGGUUCUCUAAGAUUUGUUGCCGAAGUUCAAAAGGUUGAGGAUGCUGUCUUUAGACGGAUACCGUAUUAGUGAGUUACCAAUUCCAUUUGAAGAUCUGAGACUUUUAAGGUUCCUAAACCUUGCUGAUACUGACUUAAGAAGUUUACUUGAGUCAACAUGCGCAUUGCUGAACUUGGAAAUUUUGACAUUAAGAAAUUGUUCCCGUUUGAUAAAGCUACCGCCCAAAAUGAUGAACUUGAUCAAUAUUCGUCAUCUCGAUAUAAGAGGUGCAAAUUUGUUGAAGGAGAUGCCAUUCGGAAUGAAAGAGUUGAAGAAUCUUCAAACAUUGUCCAACUUUAUUGUGGGCAAGGGUGAAACUGCAUCUGGUUUGGAAGAUUUAGGAAGUUUAAACUUUCUUUGUGAUGAACUUUGCAUUGCUGGAUUAGAGAAUGUGAAUAAUCCACAGAAUGCAAGAGAAGCCGCAUUAUGUGAGAAGCUCAAUCUUCAUGCAUUGACUCUAGAUUGGGGGUCUCAAUUUGACAAUUCUCGAGAUGUAGCAGUAGAAGAGCACGUGCUUGACAUUCUACAGCCUCAUAAAUGUAUAAAAAAGGUGGCAAUCAGGAACUAUGGUGGUGCAAGAUUUCCACUUUGGAUAGGAGAUCCGUGGUUCUCCAAGAUAUAAUUCCUUGAAUUGGAGAACUGUAACAAUUGUGUAUCUUUGCCAUCGCUUGGUCUAUUGAGUUCACUUAAGCACCUUGCUGUCAAAGGGCUGAAGAAGCUAAAAAGCAUAGAGUCUGAAGUUUAUGGGGAGGGUUUCUCAAUGCCUUUUCCAUCAUUGAAGAUUCUACGUUUUGAGAAUUUGCCAGAGUGGUGGCAUUGGGACACCGAUAUCAAAGGAAAUGUGCACGUUGAUAUAUUUCCUUGUCUCCAAGAACUUUCCGUUGUGAAAUGUCCCAAACUCUCUGAAAAACUGCCUGAGCUUCUGCCCUCCUUGGAGAUACUUGUUGUUAGUAAAUGUGAAAAGUUGGUAGUUUCAUUGUCAAGCUAUCCAAGGCUCUGCAGAUUAGAGGUUGAUGAGUGCAAAGAACUAGUGUGCAGGAUCCCAAUUGAUUCUAAGUUGAUAAAGUUCAUGACUAUUUCAAAUAGUUCAUUAGACAUGAUUGGAUGCAAGGGGAUGCUAUACGAUAGUCAAGCUGGCUCUUCACUGCCAAAACCCAUGACCACUACAAAUGUUUUGGAGUUUGGAAAAUUACUGGAGCCUGGAUUUCAGAUAUUAGAAACUUUGGUAAUUGGCAAUUCUGAACAGCUCAAGCCAUGGAGGCAGGGAAGGGGACUUUCAAGUUUUAAUAGACCAGAACACCGGCUAAAAAUACUUGCUCACCCUGAUGAGGUAACAAUUGAGGAAAGUUGCGUAAGUCUUGUUUUGUUUCCAGAGAUCAAUUUCUUUCCCAGAAAUCUGCACUGUCUUCGAAUUUACAACAGCACUGCUUUCAAAUCCUUACCGGAGGAAAUGAUGGACAACAGUUCACAACUCGAAAGCUUGUAUAUCAAAGAUUGCCAUUCUCUACCAUUCAUCACAAGACGCAAGCUACCUUCAUCUCUAAAAAGGAUAGAGAUUGAGAAUUGUGAGAAAUUGCAACGUUUGUUCGAUGAUAAAGACGAUGCUUCUUCUUCUUCUCCUUCAUCCUCGUCUUCCCAAGUGAUGCUUCAACAUCUAAGUAUAAAGAAUUGCCAAGCGCUCUCCAGUUUGUCAUCGGGAAUUCAAUUACUUGAGUCGCUCGAAGAACUUGUGAUAACAAAUUGUCGAAAGCUGGAGUCAAUACCCGAUGGCCUGCACAAUCUUAACUGUUUACAGAAGAUUACUCUAGUGAGUUGUCCAAGUCUUGUUUCCUUCCCAGAAAGAGGGCUUCCCAACGCCAUUUCAUGGGUUGACAUUAGUUAUUGUGACAAGCUUGAAGCCCUGCCCAAUGACAUGCACAAACUCAACUCUCUCCAAACUUUAAGCAUAAUUCAAUGUCCAAAGCUUGAGUCGUUUCCAGAAGAAGGCUUUCCCACCAAUCUUAGAACGCUUAAAAUUGGAAAUUUCAAAAUGUACAAGACCCUCGUCCAGUGGGGGUUGCACAGGCUUUCCUCUCUCAGAAGCCUCUACAUUUAUGGAUGUCAUGAAGCAGAGUGUUUUCCAGACGAGAAGGUAGGAAUGACGCUGCCCACAUCUCUAACUCAUCUGUCCUUAUUGGGAUUCCAGAAAAUGAUACUUCUGUCUUCAGUGGGUUUCCAAAGACUCACGUCUCUUCAAUGUUUGAAGAUAUGGAAUUGCCCAAAUCUCACGUCAUUUCCAGAGGUAGGCCUUCCAUCCUCACUUUUGGAUUUAUACAUUAACAAUUGUCCUAGGCUUAAAAAGGCGUGCAAAAGGGACCAAGGAAAAGAGUGGCCCAAAAUUGCUCACAUCCCUUGCGUUGUGAUAGAUGGAAAAUUCAUAUACGAUCCAGAAUUGGAGGUGUAGAUUCUAUUAUUAAAGUCGGUUUAUUUAUAUUAUCCACUAUAACAAUCUCCUAUUAGUUUUUUUUUUUUUUUUUUAAUGAAAAAAAUUGCAGUUCUGUAUAAUUUAAAAUAUAUAUAUUAAUCCUCUGCCCUUAAUUGAAAAUACCACUCACUUGUUUCUGUUUUCACAAGUCAGAUUGUACGUUGAGGCUAUUUGCUUUUUAUCGGUGUUUGUUAAGGUAAUUAGUGUCUCAUAGGCUGAUUAUAGGCAGAUGAAAUUAUAACUUUUAACUUAAAAUUUAAUACCAUAGACAGAUAGAUGAUUUUUAAUCCAAAGGUUUUUAGAUGUGAUCAAAUUGUCACAUGCAUAACAUAUUAGGCAUGCAUGAUGUAUCACAAGGUUGAUACAUCUUAUAUGCCACGUGAUGAAAUUAAGGAUGUUUCUCUUACAAGGGACACAUCCUUACAUGUUCAAAUUUGAACAUGUAACUUCCAAGUGGUUAAUGGAAGUUACUUGUUCAAAAUUCGAACAUAUAACUGUCAUAUUGUUGCCUAUAUAGAGGCAUGAACGCAUCACAAAUUCAUACAUUCCAAGACAUACUUAAAGUCUUAUCAUAUUAUGAUCUUGCAGUUUUGCAUGUAGCCACCAGCCUAAGGGCAGUGUAAAACGAUCCCAAAAACCAUCAAUAAUAACAAUGGAUAUAGUUCCUAAAUAAACUGAUGAAAUUUAAGGAUGAUUGGAUGAAACAGCUAUGAUAAAAUGAACUAUCUCGAACCGAGCGAAUGGCACUGACUCAUGAAUAAGUGUGGAUUCCAAAUAUCUUCAUAUCUUCAUAGAUAUUCAUUUCCGUGUUAAUUCGAGGACUUCUAGAAAUUUAGUUAGUUAUUCUAUGAAAUAGAUAUACUAAUAAUAAUAAAACAAAAACGACGGGUGUUACACAAAUUCACAAGUAAAACUGUACUACUUGGAAACUGUGAACAGUAUAGAUUGAAGAUCAUACGAUUGCUAUUUUCAUUGAGUUUCAUGCAUAAAACUUUAUCGAUUAUUAAAUUAGACAUCUUUAUCUUUCUAUCCAUAUGUUUAUUGUUCAAAAACUUAUUGUAUAUUAAUUGUUUUGAUUUUUAAAAAUUGAAACACUGGUGCUGGAAAAUUCUGAUUUUCAGUAGCGAUUCUCAAUUCUAUAAUUUAUUUCAUAACUCCAAAUACUUCUGAAAAUUCUGGGAAUUUUUAUUACUGUACACUUAUAUGUCUAGUUUCUGUCUUUUUAAUUUCGUAAUUUUUGGCUUUAUAUAAAAAUCAUAGAGUUAGACUGCGCAAUCCCAGAAACUGUUUUCCAGAAUUGCGAGGGCUGAUAUUUAGGGCAGUUUGGGAUAGUUUUUCAUCAGUAAAUGUCUUAUAAAUCUUUAAUUCUGACUCCUAUUGUUUCCUCUAAUUGUCAAAACUAGAAUCACUAUUUUUGGACAUGUGUAACUAAAGUUAUAAAUUUUUCAAGCAACAGUCCUCUGUUUAUAUCGUUAUUGGACAGUUUGGAUAAUUUUGUGGAAAAAUAAGUUUUCAGGGGAUGUUUUUAAACUCUAAUUGAUUAUGUAAAAAUUUAAAUUGAAUGCCAAUAUGUUGACAAUAGUGUUUUGUGAUAUUUGUGAUAUUUCCGACGUACUUAUAGCUUGUUAGAAAUCAGCUCCUAUAUAAUGGUCUAGUAUAGUUUAGUGAAUUGAUGUGCUUAAGUAAGAGUGCAUGGUUUAAGGAUUUUUGGAUUUUCCUAUCUAGGUCAGAAUUGAAUAAGAUAUUGAUAGUACUUUUUUCUUAACAAUCAUAGGCCAAAAGUGAGCUCGUUUGAUUUGGGUUAUUGUUGAUUGCUUUGUAUCAUGGUAAGUAAAUUCAUGCAUAAUAUUUAUUAAAGUAUACACGUAAAUAUUUAUUAAUAGAAUAAUGUUGUCCAAAUGGAUUGGCAAGUUAUGGUUUUGAAGUUAUUUUAAAAUGUUUUCUUAAAUUUGUUUUAAAAAUAACUUCAAAAUACCUGCUUCUCUAUAAAAUGUUUUCCUUAAAAAUAUUUGUAAAGCUUUGCCAAUUCAAUGUCUUGUAAGCGUUUUAUCGAAAUAUUAUGGAAUGAUUGAUAUUGGAAAUCUGAAAACUGUUUUUAAGGUUUUGGCUCAUUGUCCGUAGUUAUCGUUACUAAUAUUACUAAAUAGCUAGUUGUAUUGUGCGCACCUAUUGACGAUUAUUGCAGGGUAAAGUACCCUGGUAGAACUAUAAGUUGGGUCACCGAGAUUAUAGGUGACAUAUUGAACUAUUGACCAGGUCACCGGGGGUAUAAGUGACACUAUGUGAUAUGAGUAAAUUGAAUGAAAGAAAAGUUUUAUUGAUAAAAGAUUUCUUACACGAUUAUUUAUUGAAAAUGAUUAUUAUGCUAUGACUUAAUUGAUUAUGAGUUUUACCGCACACAUAUGAUUACAAAAUGAUUUUUGUUUCCUAACUUGUGGUACUACAUAAUAAUGAUUAUAUACUUUUUUCCUUAUUGGUAACCUUAUGCAUGAGUUCGCUUACCGAUUGACGGCUCACCCCUCGUCUCCAACAUUUUAUAGAUUGAUUUUAGUGAUGUGCGCUUUUGGUCUAGCAAAGAGGAUUUAGCUGAAAAACUUUGGCAUUUUCUAGAUGAAUUAAUUGUAGCUAGUUUGAUUAUUGCUUAGAGCUAGAUUUUAUUUUGGAGGAUUUUUGAGUUAUUUUUUAUUUUAGAGACUAUGUUUUGUCAAUGAACAACAUUGACUUUAUUUGAAAAUAGUAAUAAGAUUAAUGUUAUAAGGUUUCAUUUGGGGUGUUACAACUUGUCUCUUAGUAAGUUUAUUUUUGUUAGCCUAUCCAGUAAGGUUUAUUAUCGACUGACAUCAUUUUCAAUGAAAUCAUCUUAUGUUGUUAAGUUUUGCAUAAAUAAAUAUUUCAGUAGGGUCAAAAGAGCAAGAGUUUACCUAUAAAAAAAAAGUCAAAAUUAGUUUAACCACCCCAGUGCGAAUUUCUGACCACGUCUUGCUUUGUAUGAUUUAACUCUAUUAUUAAUUAGUACUAAAAUAUCGAUGAAAAAAAUGGACAUGAAUUUUGAUCUCGUGUUGCUUUGUUUUGGUUGAGUGGCCAAUUUUAACUUCAUGUUAAACUUUCUCAAUUAUUAGUUGAAUUAUUUGGAUUUGAAAACUUAAAACCACCAUUUUAAUUUGUUUAGUAAUGACUAUGUUGAACUUCAACAUUUGUUUUCAAGAAAAAAAUUGAUCAAACUAUGAUGCUCUUGUUUCUAUUAUUAUGGAAUCUCUUUUUCAAUCGUCAAAGUUUGAAUUAUAUUAUGCUGCCUCUGUAUUUCCGCAGAAACAGAAUCAGUUGGUGAUCCUUCAAAACAAGAAAAACCAAAAAAAGAUGUAGUGCGUGAUAAGAUAAUGAGACAGAUGGCUCAUGUUGACAUUAAUACUCAAGUUGGAAGUUGCAUGCCCCUUGCUUGUAUGCGGACUGGGACCAUCAUCCACAAAAUUGAGGUAUACCCGGCUGAAGGUGGCAAGCUAGUUCGAGCCGCUGCGACGUCAGCCAAGAUUUUGAAGAAGACCCACUUCAAGGUACUGCUUAGUAAGGCUAACUUCUGGAAAUGAGAAACUGAUUGACGCUAGAUGUCGAGCCCACCAUUGGUACAGUGUCUAACCCCAGCCAUGGAGCUACGAAGCUUAGGAAGGCUGGUCAGAGCCGUUGGUUGGGUCGAAGGCCUGUGGUUGGAGGAGUAGCCAUGAAUCCAGUUGAUCAUCCUCAUGGUGGAGGUGAGGGACGAAGCAAAAGUAGCCGUAACCAUGGAAGGUGUUCACUUACGCCUUGGGGCAAGCCUUGUAAUUCUGGGUAUAAAACUGCAUUUCCUAAGGGAAAAAAAAAAAGAAAAAGAAAUUACCCGUCUGAUAAUAUUUUCCUUCUUUGCUAUUUAGCCUUUUUAAUAAUGUUACAUUGUUUGUCAUAUAUUUGAGGUUAGUUUUAGACCAAUUUUUAACUGAUCCAUAAUGAAACUGAAGUUUAAUUUUCUAUUGAACUUUUCCUGGUUUUACUCUUCUGUCAUUUCAAUUUAGCAAUGAUUUAAGAUGUUGAGUUCUGUGCUUGGAACAUGUAAAUGGGAAAGAGAGAUAUAAUGGGGUAGAAUAUAGAUUUUGUGUUUUGGUUUCUCAUGUUUAGAGAUAUUCUGUUCUUUUUCAUUUGUUCAAUUUGGUUAGUGGUGAUUUCUUAAAGAGUCGAUGCACGUGUGUAUAUAUACUUUUCUUUUGGCCUUGAUUCUGUUUCUUGGGGAGUUUAUGCAGUUUCUUUUUUUAUGCUUCGUAUGCCACAUGAAAGAUGAAAGCAUUUUGUGUAUUUAGAAUUGACUUGCAUCAUAGUAACUUUGAAUCACUGUUAACAUUUGUAUAAUAGCAGUCUGAGAUCUCCUUGAAGGAUUCAAAAGCAUUUUAUUUGAUGGUCUAGACCUAAAAUCAACUCCUUUAUAUAGAUAGGUUGGUCUUCUUCAAAGCAAUUCCUAUUUUAAGUAAUCAAAAUUUUGAUUUGGAAGUGUGUUUUAACACUACCAAAAGUUCUUUAAAUACUAAAAAUGUGUUUGGGAGUGAGGUGAUGUGGCUUUUAAGCUACAAUUACUGCAAAGUAAAAGUCAGUGAGUAUAAAUAAGAAAAAAUGACUGUUGAGUUGCCAAAGCCCAACUGCCGCACAUCACUUCCAAAUGCACCGUAAAAUGAUUUUGAGUCUUCUAUAUUAUUGAAACAAAAUACAUGAAAGCACUUUUGGCUACAGAAGUACACUUGGGGUUCUUUAUAAAAUUCUUCGACAGCAAUUUUUCCCCCUUUUUGCUCAUGGCGGUUUUUCUGGUUGUUCUUUUAAGAAAACACUUAAAGGUUCUUUUUAUAGAUUUCUGAAAGUACUUCCAACAUAAGCAUUUUUCAGAAAUUUUUUCUGAAAUUAAUUUUAUUUACUUAUCGACUUUUCAACUCCUGUGGUUGUUUAUGAAAUGAAAGGCAAGGGUAAUCACAAGAAAUCUGCAAACUUUAUCAAUUUUUAACUAUACCAAUUUGUUGUUUAUGCUUUACUUUUAUUUUACAGUUUUGUUUAAUGUUUAGAUGAUAGAUAUAUAGACAUUUUAGAUUGGAGAAUUUUGUCAACAAAUUCAUUCCUUUCUUUCACUUUUUCCCUUUUCAGAGGAAAGCAAUUUUGACUAAUUUUAGCCAGAAUCGGACUAUAAUAUUUUGGAGCAAGCCUACUUGAAAUGAUGCUUUUUAAAUUUGAUCUAGUUAAAAUACACUGCCGUUACCCAAAAAAUUCUAGUCUUGGAUUUCAUAGAAUGCCCUUUUAAGAUAUUUUCUCAGCUCUUUGUUGGUCGCAGCAUCUGAGAUUAGCAUUCUCACAUUUCACUUGUUUUGCCUUUGUUUUGAAGGUAACUUAGUUGCAUAGGUGAAUCGAGGUUCAAGAAUGCCGAGAUGGCUACAAGUUUCAAGAAUCAUUUAAAGAGGCGUAAUGACAGCACCAAGAUGGGCUUUGUGAUUAACAAGAUUACUAAUUGAACCAAUCUUGAUGGGACAGAGGACAUGUCAGAACCGUUGCGCACAGGGAGAAGAGUUAGGGGAGCUUUGAGAGUUGAGACCAUCAACAUCCAGAAAGGCUGCUGGUAAUGUUUCAUGUGUUACAAAGUUGCAAGGAAAUUUCAUUUAUAUUUUAACACCUUGUAUUUGAAAAAUUUAAUGUAAUUUUCUCUUUUUUCAAUUUAUUAUUCAGAUCGUAGACUAGUAAACGGUUUAGAUCGCAAGCUUUUAUUAUGCAGUUAUUUUCUCCUUUUCAGGAAGAAGUGGUCAGUUCCAUUCCAGAAUUGGAAUAUGGUAAUUAGGUGCAAGCAUACGUUGUAACAAUCAUUUCUUGUUUGUUUGAUUAUGCUUAUCUAUUUAGUUGUUUAUCGUUUGGUUGUGUUAAAUUAUUUGAAUUAGCAUUAUUUGAGAUAAAGCAUAAUUCUUUUAUUUAUUUAUUUAUUUUUUAAAUAAAUUAUUAUAGAAUAUCGUCUUUAUCGUAUAAUGUAUUUUUAUAAAAGUAAGCAUUUUUAUAAAAUUUAAACUCUUCCAAUCUCCUUAUGAUUAAAACCCUUAACCUAAUAAACGUAUAAAAGCAAAGAGUCCUAGGAUUUUCUUUUGUGCACAUUUGGAAGAAUUUUUGAGGUAAUUAUCCUUCUCUAAAACAUAUUCUCUAAUCUUAGGUGUUUAAUGAUGAAUGCAUGCAUUGUUUUUUUAAUCAUGAAUGACUAGCUAGACAUUAUGAGGCAUGAGUACUGUGAUUCUAUUACUGUUUUCCCUUUAUUUUUUAUUCAGGUUUUCACUAAAGUUUUCAUAAAAUUAAACUAGACAUUUUAAGGCUUUCAAUGAUAUAUUUUGUACGAAAAGAUUACCAGUAACCAAUUUGUUGUGAAUUUUCGAAUUCAGAACAGUGGUGCUGGAAAAUUCUGAUUUUCAGCAGCAUGUUUGACUUUGCCCAUUUUUCUGUCUGUCUAAAUGAUCCCUAAAAUUAUGCUGAUUUUUCUAUUAAAUCCUCAUUAUGUCUACUUACUAUAUGUUCACUUUCAUAAUUUUCAUUGAGUAAAAAAAAAAUUAAAAAUCAUUAUGUUGGGCUGCUGCAGUUUUGGAAACUGCUUUCCAGAAUUGCGAUGGCUGACAAUAAAAUUACUUUAGGCUAUUAAAAGGCUUUAGAAUGGCCUAUAAAAAUUAUAUUCAUAUAAUUUAUGAAUUCCUUAUGAUUUAAAGUUUAUUUGACUAAUUUUGAUAGUUAACAUUAAGUUAUGAAUUUUUCAAGUGCAAAACAUAAACCUGAAUGUUUCUGGACAGGUUUGCUGGUCUCUUAAUAUAAAUUCGUUUAAAAUAGUGUCAUAUCUUCAAAAAUUCUAGGAAUUUGAAGCUUUGUUUCUUGAUGCAUCUACUGUUUUAAAAUCAAGUGGUCUAAUUUUUAAGAGUUCUAUUAAAUAUUUUACAAAUUUUCCAGUUCAGCAACCUCUGUUUUUAUCACUGUUGGACAGUCUGGAUAUGCAUGUAAAAUUCUUUUUGCAAUAUGUUUGACUUUUAUUCAUUCUUUUGAAUUUUUAUUUGAAAUGUUAUCCAUGUUUAUGGUUUAUUUUCUUUGAUUUUACAAUUUUCCAACAUUUGAUUAGCUUGGUAAAAAUCGGCUCAGACUAGCUUUAAUGGUUUAGUGCUUAUGACUAGGCUUGAUUAUGUUAGAUUUAUAUCAAGAUCAGAAUGAGUAAUAGUAUUGAUAAGAAUGUGUCUUGAUAUUUUAGGACGAGAUUGAGCUCGAGGCUAAGGUUACUAUUCUUUAUUGUUGAGGAUUGAGAUAAGUAGAUUCAUGCAUGGUAUAUGUAUUUCACUAUUAAAUUAUUUUUAAUUCGAGGUAUCUAUUAUGUUAAAUGAAAAGUAUUUGAAACUAAUUUGUUUUAGCCUAUUACAAUAUUUUGUUAAAAUAAAAUCGUUCUUUAAAUUAUUUAUAAUAAACCUUUUAUUUAUUAAAAACUUGUUUUAUAAAUUGUCUUAAAAAAACUUUUAUUAAAUUGUUUUAAGUCAAAUACUUUGAAAUAAUUAUCAAUUAUUUAAAUGAUUAAAAGUUCAAGGAUGAUUUUAAAUGUUUUUGCUCAUUGUCUGUAAUGAUGCUAUGUUAUGUUAUAUGUUGUGGAAGGCUAGUUGGAAUAUGUGUACAUAUGAUGUUAAUGUUAAUGAUUCUCGUGGGGUACAGUACUCUAAAUGAUGUCAUACGGAUGGGUCACUGGGUCUACAAGUGAUACUAUGUGGAAUGAGCUAAGUAUGUUUUAUGUAUUUAAAAAGCUAAUUAUGUUUUACAUGUUUGAAAUGCUAUUAUUAUGUUUAAAGGAUUUAAAUGACUUUCUGAUGUUUUGAUUUAUUUUUUAUAAAUGAUUAUUUACAAAAGUAAUUUCCCUUAUUAUUAUUAUGCAUAUCUAAGAAAUUCAAACAAUUAUAAUUUAAUGGUUUUUAGUAUUGUGCAUGAAUUUACUUACCGAGUUGACGGCUCACCCCUUGUUAUCAUAUUUUUGUAGAUAGAGUUAGAUGAUGUGAGCUCAUGAUCUUAGGAGGAAGAAUGAGAGCUCGUUUAUUUUUGGGGAUUAAUGUUACAUUAAUAAUUUAGCUUCCUUUGGCAUGAUAUUUAUUUGAGAAUUUGUUAUUUCAUUACUUAUUAUCUUUUGGAAGAGGAGCAUUUACUGUUGGAUAUUAAUUUGAUGAUUUUAGAUACGAGAGUGAUGAAAUACAGUUUCACUUCAAUUUCACUUUAGUAUCUUAUUAGUGGAAUUGGGGUGUUACAUACGUGCCCGGUCAAUGAACUUGAACUUUAAAUAGUUUUUUCAACUCAUUGAUUUUUGGAACUCAUAUUGGUGCAAGGAAAUCAAAAGAAAUUUAUGAUUAGUCAAAUUCUGAUAGUUGCUAUAUAUUAUACAUUCUAAAGUUUCUUGAGUUUGUUUUCAGAUGAAAAUAUGAUCAAUUCAUUUUGUUUUUGAAGUGUAGGAAAAUAGGCUGGGAUAUUAAUGCAUAGGCAAAAACUUUUUGAGUGGCUUUCCAGCGGAUAAUUAUCGGAAACAUGACUGGAUUUUUUGACUUCCGUAAAUCUUGCAUUUUAACCUGGCAAAUUUAACAAAAGUUCAAUACAACUUUGUUAGUGCCUUGUGUUCCAGAAGCUAGAAAGAUGUGUAGAUUCCAUAUAAGCGGGCUUGUAAUUACUCUAGUAAGAAUCCAAUUAUUUGCCUUUGCACCUUCAUUUUAUUUGUGGAUCCUUGCAUGUUUCUGAAUUUGAUCAAUCCAAAAGGAAUUGCUCUGAAGAAUAGCAGUAACUAGCCUAUGUCUUAGUGCAUGGACCUGCAAACCUGAGCUGACAAAGCUGAAACUAUUAGUUUGAGGUGACAAAUCCAUGAUCGUCACCUGUUAACUUCUGCUAGUUGCUUUCGUGAAACACUUUUAAGAAAUAAGCAAUUUGUUGUUAGUCGCCGUAUCUGAUGUGCUUUCUUUUAUAGUUUGUAGAAUCAACUGUAUUAUAUGUUGUCAGUUGCAGUAUCUGAGGUGUCUUUUGCAAUUUACUUGACCUUUAUUUGUUUGCUAGUGAGUUAAGAAUACCAACAUUGGCCAGAGAUUUGGAGAAACAUCCGAAGACGCUUAACAAACUUGGAGAUGCACUUGCUUCCAAGCUUCAUUCAUCACAAUGCGAAUCCGGUGAGUACUUAUGUCUUCAAUUAUGUAGAGUGUUUGAAAUUUUGAUGCAGCGAGAUGGUUUGUUGAUGCAAAACUUUAUACUGUUAAGGACUUACCCUGCAGGCUUUUUGCAUGUUGUAUCAACUCCAAAAUCCAACGAGAACUACAGCACCAAAGCCCAGUUUUCACUGAUUCAAUCAGCUGAAAUCAUGAGGGAAAUAACAGUAUAGCACCAUCAAGCUGGACUUAGAGAAUAAUCAGAUCAGUCAUCCAUUUCAUGAACUGUUAAUUUCAUGAUGGAGGCUUAGUGGAGCUGAAGAGGAAACAAGGAUGUGUAGGGAUCAACAAACAACAGUGAGAAGCACGAUUGGAGCUCUGAUUACAAAUAGACAAUUUAAAAAUAUGUGCUGGUAAGUGGAAAUUAAAGAAAUUUGUGAGCUCAUUCAAGUUUCGGUAUUUUCUUUUUGGAUAACGUUGAUACCAAGUUUGGCAAAUCUGUGUUUUCUGCGUUUAAUCUGUGUUUUGGUUAAAGUAGAUGCUCUGAUUAAUACUUGUUUGUUUUCAUAAAACAGGACAAAAAGAGAUCACCAAUCUUGAUUGAGAAUUCAUUUAAGUAAAAUUUCAAAAAUUGCCAAACACAGUAUAAACUAGGAUGCACUUGCUUAAGAUUCAUUUUCAGACGGAAGUUUGUACCUCCAGAUCAUAAAAUCAUGUUUAUGUUGUAUCUUUAUUCAGCAAUUGAAAGAUUCCAAGUUUGCUGAAACCAUAUUAUUUCUUUCCCAGGCGCUUUCCUGAAGGUAUCGACAUCUAUUUCGAAAAUGUUGGGGAUAAGUUGCUUGAUGCAGUGCUACAAAACUAUGAAGGAUUUCUUGUCGGUGAUUACUACCACCUGGAUAAAAAAUUCAUGGAACUGGUCAUGCCGGCAAUAAAAGAAGGAAAGGUGGUACACGUGGAAGACAUAGAUGAAGGCCUCUGUAUACGUCGAAGACAUAGAUGAAGGCCUGGAGUCCAACAGCCCUCGCUGGGCUAUUCAUUGAUCGGAAUGUCACGAAACAACUGAUUGUAGUUGCUUGGGAAUUUAAAAACCACCAUAUGCUGUAGAAAUGCACAGAGCCAUGCACUUUCAAAGCUUUGUGAAGAUGUCUUGGUCAUGUGUUAGAACAGAUUAUGUUUGUUCGAUUAAAUUGUACGCAGUUAUAAAUCAAAGAUUCAGAACAUUGCAUGUAGAAGUUCAAAUUUUAAAUUUUUGGAAGCAGAGGCGUAGAGUUUUUUUCUUUUGGAAAAAAAAAUCUAAAUUGUGGAGACUAUUUUUAUUUAAUUUUACAAUCUUAUUUUAUUUCUUUCACAACAUAAUUUUAAAAUAUUUAUUUAGUAAAUUAUUAACAUCCAAACCACUAAAGAUUUUUUUGUUAAACGCUCUACUUACAAAGUUAUAUUAAUUAUAGAUUUACUCAAAGAAAGUAUAUUUAAGAAGUUAUAGCAAAAAAAAGUUCUAAUCUGUCUUACAAAGGACUAUUGACAAGAGUGGUGCGACUCCCACCCCUUCAAAGUCCACUUGACACCACGCUUUCUCGAUUUAAAAUUUUAUAUAGUUGAAAAUUGUGUUUUCUUUUAAAUCUCCUUGCUUUCCUCUAUUCUUGUUACUUGAGAAGAAGAACCAGAGUCUAGAAGAACGAAAGAAAAUUCAGCGAGAUAGAAAUUUGGAAAUUUCAUCCGAGCUUUUUUUUUCUUAAAUUUUUUGGUAUUUCUUCCUUGUUUCUAUGGAUUCGUUCAAUGGAUUCUUGACCAUUCUUCCUUCUUUCUAUUUUCUACCAUGAUUCAGAAUUUUUCCUUAAAAAAAAUCUAGAUGCAUGGCCAAAUGAAAUGACCCCCUUUAGAGCUUCGGUUACUGUUGCAUAUUCAGCGUCUGCAUUUGACAAAGCAACUAAAUGCACACUAAAGACUUGCUGUUUCCAUUCAGUAUGCAGUUACACAGACAAAGGCCUUAAUUAUUGUCAAGUUCUCCAGUAGCAUACUCCGAAAUCCACAUACCAACCCACCAGAACUCCAAUCUUGAAACUCCAUAAAUCAAAAUUGAAGUGCCUGCCUCUCUGGUACCUCUCAAGGUCCAUUUUACUACUUUCCAUGUCUUUCCAUGCAUCUACUGACAACUUGGGAAAUGCCAGGUCUUGCAAGCACCACUACUUACAUUUGAGUCUGCUAUUAUUAUUAUUACUAUUUUAUUAUUAUUAUUUAAAAAAAAACACUCUAACUAGGAGAGACAAGUUCCGUGUAGUAGGACUGAGCAACAGGGCCGUAGCAAAUAUUAUGUUUUUAAUCAUUCUUGUACCAAAGUAUUUAAGUAUGCGAUAAAAAAUAAUAAUAAUAAUUUAUUGACAACUAAAAGUUAAUAGUGGCUGGGGUGGACCUGGGUUUUGUUUAAAAAAAUUGAUUAAUAAAAUUUUCGAAAUUUCAAAUUUCUAGUACAGAGAAAAUUGAUGAAUAAAAUUCUGCAAGUUAAUUUCUAAUAUGCCAUGAAAAUAUUAUCAAGUUAAAUUGUAACAUCGUUAAUCACUUAAUCCUCAGUCUAAUAUGCCAUAUAUUUGUUUCUCAGGCUUUAAUCGAAAGUGCCGGUGAUUUAUUGUUAUUUUCAGUAAUCAGAUAGGUAUGUUAAGGCUGUUUAAUUCAUCGACAAUGUACCAACAAGACUCAGAUUGGGAGAUUGUAAAUGUAAUUAACAAUAAUCUUUUAUUCAUUUUGAAGUUCAUUCUAUUGUUUACACAGGAGCAGCGUUCUCUUAUGUUUUAUGGAUAUAAUGUUUGGUAAUCCUAAUUUAAGCUAAGGUAUAUAUAUUUCCUAAUUACAUCUAAUUUAAGCUUAUUCAAAUGCAAUCAAUUAAUGUUCAAUAGUAAAAAUUCCAAAUACUAUAUAUUGUAAGAAUUUUAAUCGUAAUGACAAGGUGAUCAUUUGAAUUAUUAUUAUUAAAUUAUAUGUAUGGUGGAGUCCACACGGUUUUGACUAGAAAUCAAAGAGUUAAGAGACAAUAUUAAUUUAUUUAAGUUAAUAGUAUUUGUUCUGUUUAGUACGUCUUUUGACCAACAAGCAUCCCGGCAUUGCACGCAUUAAUUAAUAAAGCAUUGUGCAUGUCACAUUAUUAGAGCCAAUUGCGCCCGGUACACCUCCAUACUUCAAAAAUUAUCUUAAUACCCUAAAAUCUGUUUUUACCAAAAUUUUCAUCGAUACCCUUUAAAAACGGAUAGGAAAUUACUAAGCUAUCCUCAUUUUAAAACAUUUCAACUCAACGGACAGCACCUCUCCCUUCUCUACUGAAGCAAACAAACACUCAUCUGCUGCAAUUCCCUCCAUUAUCAAACUCAAAUAAACAAACACUGCAAUUCCCUCACCGGCAUCACCUCUGCAAUUCCCUCACCGGCAUCACCUCUACCGAAACAAAUAUUCAUUCUCCAUACAUGAUAAAUUGAACUUCAACACGAGCAAACUAAGCUUGAGAAGGGGAAGCUGCCACAACUGAGAAAGAGAAGCCUAGUUCGUCUCUACAUAAUCGCCGGCGAGAGCUGAUCCUUUACUGUAAAAUAGUCAUAAUUUAACUAGUUGAGGUAAGUAAUUCUCUAUAAAUAGUUUUCUUGUUGAUAUUCAGGGAAAAAAAAAACAAAAAGUUAGGGUUUAUAUAGAAAAAUUAGAUUAAUUAGUUGCGGGUCUCUCAUUACAUGUUCAAAAACAAAUUUCUAGUUGUUUUACUACAUGCAAAUUGUGAACAAUUGAUGGAUUGUGCCGAUUAUAAUUUUGUCAUGUAACACACAAUUUGGUCGUGUAAGGUUAUGUAGGAUUCAAGGUUGUGUAUUACACGACCUUCAUGUAUUGCACUUACACGACUUCAUGUAUUGCACUUACACGACUUCAUGUAUUGCAAUUACACGACUUCAUGUAUUACACGACGUUCAUGUAUUACACGACGUUCAUGUAUUACACGACCUUCAUAUAUUACACGACCUCAUGUAUUACACGACCUCAAAAUUACACGACUUUUUUUACUGUUGUUAAUUCAUUAUAAUAACUUAGUUGUUUAAACACUUAAUUUUUGCUAAGAAUUUAUAUUUGUUGCUAUGCAGAAAAUGUCAACGAAAAGUAUUCAGGAAAAAAUGAAACGAGGCAAACCGAAAGUGAAAAUUACUAAUUUGUCAUCGUUGGAACCAAUAAGAAUAAUAAAAAAUAACCUUAGUGACGUACAAUUGGGGAUUUUUCGCAAAUCAUGUUUUGGGCACUUUUUGGACUUGAAUGAGUUUCAGUUUUGUGCCCAGUUGUUGCACAAGUUGGUAUUAAGUCAUAUGCAUUCAUCCGAUAAGGCAAUGUAUUUUAAGAUAGGGAAAAAAGUUUGUCGAUUUUCAAUGUUUGAAUUUGCAUUAGUUACUGGACUGAAUUGUGAAGAAAUUUAUAAACCUAACUUGGACAUUGUUGAUGACGGUGGUCGUGUAUGUGAUGUUUUGUUGGACGGUUGCACAAAGUUCACUAACACAACGCUAGGUCAGAUAUUUGAAGCAACUAAGUCCAAGGAUGAUAUGAAAAUGGUUAAAUUUGCCAUGUUGUACUUUUUGGAGGUUGUAUUACUUGGAAAAGAAUAUAGAUCAUCUAUAAUUAGGGAUCACAUUCUCCACAUUGACAACUUUGAAGAUUUCAAUAAAUAUCCUUGGGGCCGUGUCUGUUUUGAGAACACAUUAGAAAGUAUGAAGAAUGUGAUUGCAAUUAGACAGAAUAGAGAAAGGGCAAAUCCAGACUAUGUCCCUGAAAAGGAGGCAUACAGUCUUCAUGGCUGUCCAUUUGCAGUUCAGGUAACAAAUUGUCAAUAUUGGUUUCGUAAAGAUUAUUAAGAUUAGGAAUAUUAAUUAUUUCUUUUACUUGCACAGGUAUGGGCACUUGAAAUUUUCAGUGAAGUGUGUGAAACUUUUUCCUCGAAAUGUAAGCAUGUCAAAUAUCCAAGAAUUCUAAAUUGGACAAUCACUAAACAUGUUAGCUCUAAUUUGCUUGACUAUUCCAUAUUUGAUAAGAAAAAGGUAAUAACAAACAAUCUAGAUCGUUAGUGUCUUUCUUUUUUUCUUUUUAAUUUAUCUUUGACAUUUAUUAAUUGGCCUAAUUAUUACAGCUUAAGGUACUGGAGAAGUUGGAUGUCGCUGAUGAAAUAGAGGCAUCACAGCCUAAUCUACAAUGGUUUUGGCAAACAAAUUGGCUGCAACAACUUGAAAAUGAUUUUCGUGUUGACUCAAAGAGUAAAAAAUCAGCCACUCCAGUCUCAGAACAGAAAAGUAGCAGUGUUGUGCAGAAAAAUUAUGUGGCCAUGGAAGUUAAAGAGACUAAUAAACGUGCGAAGUGUCAAGUUAUGUCCAUGAAAUACAAAAUGAAUUAUGAACAUGCAAAUUCUGUUGAGGACAAAACUGUAAGUUUUUUUAAUCUUUUAAUAACAAUUGCAUUUUUCAAUUUUUUUUUUGUUUGCCUAAUAGGCUCUGUCUUGUUCUGCUUGCAAGGGUAAACGUCUUGGUUACAUUGAUAAUUUGAUUUCUUUUAUCGAGGACAAGUUUAAUUGUUUGGAUAAGCGUCUCAAAAAGAUCGAAGAGAAGGUGCAAAAAAUUGACUCAUUAGAGGAGAAUACAGGUGAUGUGAGGGAGAUGAGAGAACAAGUCAAUAAAAUUGUAGACUUAGUGGAGUUCCUAAAUUCAGCGGACUACAAUGUGAAGGUUCAUUUUAUUAUUAUUUUUAACUAAGUAUGUUAUUAUUUUUAACUAAGUACAAAUUGUGUAAAGUUAUUAAUAUUUGCUGCUGUGCAGAUUCCGACAACAUUUGAUGAUAACCCGAGUAUUGCCACACCUGCGACUGUGUUUCCAAGCUUCACCACAAAUGCAGGCAUAGUCAAAGAGGAUCCAAUAAUUAUUCCGUCUACACAGCAAGAGGUGAAAAAAUAUGAAAGAAAAAGGCGAUCUCGAAAGGAUGCAGCUGUUUUACGCACGCCAUAUACUAACCCAUUUCGAAAAUCGCGACAUGUCAACGUCGAUGAAGCAAAACAGCAAGUUCAGUUUGAGCAUUGGCUGAAGGAGGAUAAUAUGGAAUCGUAAUUCCUUAUUUCUCUUUGUAAACUUACUUUUAUUUGAAACAAUAUUUCCUGGUUGACUAUAACAAGCAAUAAGUUUUACUCACAUUUUCUUUUUCGUUACUGCACAGUAAAAUAUUAUCGUGGCCUAUGCAUAAAGCAACAAAGAACUUCUUCCGCAGCUUGUAUGAUGCAGACGCGUGGUUAAAUGGCGGGGUAUUAUUAAUAUAGUUUUUGUUUAGCAUGUAAUUUACUGCAGUAAUGUUUGCAUUUAAUAUUAAUUUACAUAUGUUGGUAAUAUGUACAGCAUAUAGACGUUGGUUGUUACGUGAUAAGAUAUGAUUUGGCCAAGCUCACUAUGCCACAUUUGCACCAAUGUGCAAUCAUGGAUAGUGUAUUUCAGGUACUUAGUACUCUGUAGUAAUAAACAAAUAAGAUAUGUAAAUUUGUGCACUGAAAACUUGCAAAAUUCAUUGUUUUUUCAGCAAAAGCUUUUGUUGAAGUAUGAGUUGUUUAAGAAGGAUCCAACUACAAUAUGGGAUGAAGAUCAAGAACAUGAUUUGACAAUCAAACAAGCAAAUGGCGAAGAUCUUCCAUUCGCUAUUCCAUGGAGAGAUGUUUAUAAGGUAAAGUUUAAAUUUUCUUAAUGCAUCGCUAAAGUUUAAAUUUUCUAUUUUUGAUUGGCUCAAAUUAUUGUAGGUUUAUAUCCCAAUUAAUGUACUUGAGUGUCAUUGGAUUCUUGCUGAGGUUGACAUUGUAAGGGAGACAAUUUCCAUAUAUGACUCCAUGGUUUCUAUAAUGAAUGACUCAACAUUUUUGAAAGAAUUAUUGCCAUAUGCUGUUAUUAUUCCUCUUCUACUGGAGAAGGUUUUAUGGUAUGAUUCGCACCCUGAAACUACCCAAAAAAAUAAAGUUUGGAUAGUUUUGCGUUUAGCGAAUACGCCACAGUAAGAAUCUCGGUGAGCAUACCAAAUGCUCAAUUUAUUUUCAUUUUACUGUUAUAGUUAUAUAUUCAGUAUAUAGUUAACUAUUUUUUAAAAUUCUCAGUGGAGAUUGUGGUGUGUUUGUUUUGCGUUACCUGGACACACUUGCACGUGGUGAAGAUAUUCAAACAAAUUGUACGCAGGCACAUGUCUCUUCUUAUCGCAAGCAACUAGCUGAAAGACUUUUCUAUGACCAGUCAUUACUUUCAAAGAACAACUAACAUGUGAGUAUUAUUUUUUUAAAUGAAGUCAUUGCUGUUGGAAUAGUUUGGUUUCUUAAUGUGAAACCAAAAUAGGCCAUCACUGUUAGUUUGGUUUCUAAUUAAUUUCAUGGAUUUAUUAUAUGCAGGCAUUCCUCAUGCAUGCAUGUAUGCUUCGGCAGAGGAAGAAAGCAAUUUCAAGAAAAAAAAACUUUUAAAUGGUUGUAAUAUGUUUAAUUGCGAUAUCCAUUAGUGUAUCCUAUCCAAAUAUUGACAUUGUAAACUGAUAACUUUCUUUAUUUAUAAUAAUUAAUCUCAUCAUUUCUCAAACUGUCGAAUAUGCAAACUUAUUUGUUUGCUGUAAUUUAUGAACACACAAUUUGGUCAUGUAAGGUCAUGUACACGACGGUCGUGUAUUACACGACCGUCGUGUAGUACACGAGUAUAUUACAUGACCUUAAUAUAGUACGCGACUAUUACAUGACGUUCAUGUAUUACAGGACUUCAUGUGUUACACGACUUUUUCCAAUAAUCAUCAGAUUAAUUUAGUUCUUUAAGGACUUAAUUGGGGCUAAAAUUUUAUAUUUGUUGCUUUGUAGAAAAUGUCAACUGAAAUUAUAAAAACAAAGAAGUUAAAUUAAAUUGGAAUGUAAAGAAAUUUAGUUAUUUCAUAAUGCAACAAAUUACAGUUUCCAAGCAUAACAUAUCCAAGACUAAAAAAUUGUAAAUCCAAUUAUCUAAGUUUGGUUAGCCGUAGGGCCAUGCUCUUGCUCUGAAAGUGGUGUUGUUGCAGUGCAUGUUAGUCGAUUAUGCCCCUCAAUCUGCACCUACUACACUUGCGGUGCACGAUGUCUUCCCCUUGAGAAGGUAUUCUAGUAGUUCGCGGUCGUCCUACCUCUCGCUUUUUCAUUGGCAGUGACAGCACAUAUGCACGCACCUCUUCUGAAACAUCCCAUUCCUCUUGUGGACCCACAAGAUAAAUGCUCUCUGCAUAUGCUGUAACCCAUGCAUUGACAGAAUAAUAAUGAGCACAUAAAUCAUAAAUAGAAUAGUUACGCAUAUGCUUACAUACAGCUACCACAUGUUCAUAGGGAAAUUGGUCAAUUUGAAACUCAUUACAACUGCAAGUCUUUUGUAGCACGUCAACAUGGCCAUCAAGGUCGCCAUCCUUAACUAUAAACUCAUGGAAAUUAAUCUGUAUUACUGGAUAUGUGUGUGAUUUAUCCAAUUUCCCUUUCAACUAUUUCUCAACCCAAGUAGUCAUUAAAGUACAUGCAUCCAUUGCCAAAUCUCGCCUUUUUGCAAACCAUUCUUGUAAUUUGUCAAUGAUACAAUCCAUUAACUUAUAAAUAGGCAAGGUUCGUGCUUCUUUUAAGAUAGAAUUCAUACUUUCUGCAAUGUUAGUCGUCAUAAUCCCAUAACGCCUCCCCUCAAAAUGAGAACGAGCCCACUUCUCAUAUCCGGCAUCAGUCAGGUAUUGGUGAACAUUCAAACUAACACUGCGGAUGACAUUCAUAUAUUGAGUAAACUUAAUGGGCCGAUAUGCCUUUGCAGCCAAUUCAAAUAAAGCACCCACAUCAACUUCUUUAAAAUGAGCAUUUACAUUUCGUUUUAGAUGAUGCGUACAUAUGUCAUACCCUACAGUAGGAAAUACUUUAUCAACUGCUUUCUUAAUACUUCCAUGACGGUCAGAAAUGAAUACUAAAUUAGGAACAUCACCAAUAGACUCUCUUAACUUCAUAAAAUACCAUUCCCAUGAAGCGUCAUUCUCACUGUCACCUACACCAAAUGCAACAGGGUAAAGUUGAUUGUUGCCAUCAAGAGAUGUUGCAAUGAAUAAUGUUCCUUUGUACUUGCCCCUCAUGAAUGUACCAUCAACUGCAAUAACAGGCCUAAUACAUGAAGUGAAUCCUCUCAAAGAACUUCCAAUGGCCAUGAAACAGUACUUGAAGUUGUUCGCACUGUCUUUUUUAAUGAAUGUUCGACUUCCAGGAUUUUUUUUUUUCAACCAUUGCCAUGUAUGAGGGUAAUAAAUGGUAUGAAUCAGCCGGACUGCCCCUAACCAUCUCCAUUGCAAACUCCCUUGCUCUCCACGCCUUGUGAUAACUUAUUUCAUAACCAAACUCUUUUUGAAAAUCUUGCAUAAUAUCAGCUGGCUUAUACGUAGAUGAAGCACCAUCAAACUUGUGCCGAAAAUUUUUCCCAACUAACUUGGAUGAAGCUUGACGGUUGUCUUUUUCCUGUGAAUCAAGGGAGCAAGUAUGGACAUUGUAAUACUUUCUAAUUUCAAACAUGUUGCAACCUUUAAGUCUACUUGCACGAAGGCGCCAUUUGCAGUUGUCAUCCAUACAAACAACAACAAGUAAGUCCUUGUCUGAUUUUGGGGUUUUGAAUUGGAACCUUUUUUUCACAACUAGUGCUUUAAGCUUUUCUUGCAAUGCCUCCUUUGACUCAAACACCUCUUUCACCAUCGACACAUCAGUAUCACCACUAACUUCUGUUGAUAAUAAAUUACUGCUACUAGUAAGUAAAUUUAUUCUGGGCACAUGUCCAUUGUUUGAGGUUCUUGAACUUAUAGGAGCUGGAGUAUUAUCUCCUAAUGCUAAAUCAACAGCUAAUGGUGGCUCAUCCAAACAAUCAACUUCAGUUACAAAUUCAUUAACUUCAGUAAAAUUGUUCGAACUGAGAAUAGGAAAUGAUGGAGGCACGUAGCUGGAGAAAGCAUGACUCUCUUCCCAUGAAAGACGAGGUGAAGGUUGUCUAUCCACCGGAACUGUCGAAAUUGAUCUACGUUCAAAAGUAAUGCAGAGCGGGUUUCUAAACUCCAUUCCACUAGCUACUUCCUCUAAGAAAAAUUCCACAUCAUCAUUGGUUUGAAUUGUAACUGGUGGCAUAGGAUCAGAUGUCUUAAGUUUGAACUUCAUUGUGAUUUCGAAUUCCGAAGUAUCUAUAUCAAUAACUUCAGCUAUCUUGUCCACCAAUUCGGCAUAUGUUGUCGAUCGUGGUAUCAUUAUCCCUUUAGCCUUGGAACCUUUGAACUUAUACUCGUCAUUUUGCUCAAUCCAUUCACCAUUAAAGAGAAUAGGCACACGUACCAAAACCAUUUCUGAUGAUACAAUAAAAACAAUAAUAUCAAAUUUCAUAUACAAGUAAGUACACGACUUACACGACUAUAAUACUUACACGACUUACACGACUAUAUUUCUUACAUGACCUACACGACUUACACGACUAUAUUUCUUACAUGACUUACAUGACUUACACGACUAUAUUACUUACACGACCUACAUGACUAACUAUAUGACGUACACAGUAUCAAGAGAAUGCACGGCGCGAAACAUUUUCGCUAUAAAUAAGUUAUAUUGCUGAAAAAAAUAAUUAAACAACCUACAUUGCAUAUAUUUCUACAUAUAAGAAAAAAUGGUGAAAAUAAAACAUUGUAAUGUGAGGAAAAUUUCUAAAUUUUUCUCAAAAUUAAUAAAUUUAAAACCCAAAAACAUUAACAUACCUUAUUGGGUUGUUUAAUAAGCAAUGCACCUUUAAAGAAAGAGUGGGUGUUAAAGAAAUAAAUACAUAAUUGUAUUUGUGUAAGAAGUUAUGAGAGAUUUUGAGAGAUUCUAAGAGAUUUUGAAAGAAUCGGCAGCAAAAAUGGAGUUGGGUGAAAGAAAUGAGGAAAUGAAUAUGAAGACAAUUUAUUGAAUGAAUUUGAUGCAUUCAUUAAGGGUAUUUCUGACUUUACUCACAUUUGUUAGGGUAUUCAUGAAAACUAAAAAGGGAGGGGGUAUUUCAAUAAUUUUGAAACUAUUAAAGGGUAUUUAAUUAAAAACCCCACAUUAUUAGUACCUAGUUGAUUAGUCAUUUGGUCUUCAAUAAAUGUUAGUUGAUAUAUGCUUGAAAUCAUAUUCUGUUUUAUAUGCCGAAUCAUAUUGUAAGAUGGUGAUAUUAGCAUGUUUCUUUUUCUUUGUGCUGUUUCUCGUUUGAUUACAUUUUCAACAACAAGUCGAUCUGUUGAAGAACAAGUUUGGGUUUGAUGAUGCUUUUAACUAUAAGGAAGAGCCAGACUUGGAUGCAGCUCUCAAUGGGUUGACACGAAUGAAUCCUUUCACCCUUUUUCUCACUUCAUUAUUACAAUGCGCUUUGAAGUUAUCUGUGUUGUUAAGGUUAAGGUUAACCCUGCAGGCUUGUUCGAUGCUGUAUCAACUCCAAAAUCGAACAACAUCUACAGCACCAAGACCCGGUUUCAAUCAGCUCAAAUGAUGAGGUAAAUAACACCAUCAAGCUCAGCUUAGAGACUCAUUAGAUAAGUAAUCCAUUUUCUCAGCUGUUAAUCUCUUGAUGGUGGCUAGUGGAGAAGCAGAGGAAACAAAGGAUGUGCCGGAAUCAAUUAGAACAGUGAGAAGCGUGAGGGGAGUUAUGAUUAUAUUUAGGCUUUUUGAUGAUGCUUUGAACAAAAAGGAAGAGCCAGACUUUGAUGAAGCUCUUGAAAGGUUAGCGAAAAUGAACGCUUUAACCAUGUUUCCAACUUCAUUAUCACAAUAUCUGACAUUGCAUAACUUCAAGUAAAGUUGCUCUUAAAAGGUUAGCAAAAAGCCAAAAAUGAUUGAAGUUAUCUGAGUUGAUCCAGAAAAUGUAAUGGAAAUACUCCCCUGCUUCGUAAAACAGGACAAACAGAGAUCGCUGGUCGCGCAUGGGAACUAAUUGCAUUAAAGUUUCAAACAUUACCAAACAAACUAGGAUGCAUUUGCUUAAGAUUCAUUUUCAAAAGCAAGUUGUAUGUUUAUGUUGCAGCCUAUAAAACCAUGUUUAUGUUGUAUGUUUAUUCAGGAAAUGAAAGAUUCGUCGUGUUAUUUUAUUCCAAGAAUUCGCUGAAACCAUACCUGCUUUCCCAGAUGCUUUCCUGAAGGUAUCGACAUCUAUUUAAAAAAUUCUGGGGGUAAGAUGCUUGAUGCAGUGCUACUCAACAUGAGAAUUCACGGCCGCUGCUGUAUGCUGAAAGAUCUCACCGUACAACCGUGAGAAGCCUGAAGGUGUAUUCAACUUGAUACAACUGGUCGUAGUUGCUAGGGAAGGAUAUAAGGUGUACUCAACUUGAUAUGCUGUAAAAGUGCACUAUGCCAUGUACUUUUAAAGCUUUUUGAAGAUGUUUUGGCCAUGUGUUUGAUUAGAUUGUACUCAGAUAUAAAUCAAAGAUUCAGAACAUGUUUGUUACUGUUUUUCAGAAUCCAGAACAAUAAAUACCUUGAAAUGUUUUUGUUCAAUGAUUUUGCAGAAGACCAGCUUCCUUGUUAAUGAAUCAAGAUGGCUGAAUCCGUCCCUAAGCCAAAUCUGUUUUCACUUUUAGGUUAGAAAUUGUCAUUAAAAAGUGUUUGAUAAAAUAUGCUCCGGGAACGCUAUUCGUCAGAUGGUUACUCCAAGUUUAUGAAAUCAAUGGUAUUUCAUCAUAUUCAUAACACUCUGCUUUAAUAUCUAUUCUAACAGAGAAAUUAUAUACAGAGAAUAGGUUGCGUUAGAACUUUUGCUAGAAAAAAGUGACAAGAAUUCAUCGUUCACUUGUAUCUUAAGUAAGUGUAAAAUUUAAAAUCCCAUCAUGAAAAACUCCUGGGAGAAAAAACUAUAAAAAUUAAAGAAAAAAGAGUGUGGCGUGCAUGUAAAUUAUGUCGAUUCUAUCUAUACGAUAAAUACACUCUCUUUUACAAUGGCACGGAUGCUUCAUUGAGUAAUCAUGAUUGUUGCUGGUAGUGCUUUGUUGAAUCAAUCUGCUAGAUAUUCAGCUUUCUUUCUUUCUUACUUUUUUUUUGUUUUAAUAAAUAGCUUGUGGUUGUGAAAAUAAUUUGAAUUAAACUAUGCUUAACUGCCUAUUUGGUACAACUUCUCUACUAGCCAAAAGAUUUUUUUUUAAUCAUUUAUUUAUACCUCGAGUAGAGUUUUUGGAGAUUAAAUAGGUGAUAUUUUGUCUCUAUUAAAAAGAAAACUCAAAAGGUAGGACUAUUUGAAGUUUGAAUCCACCAAACUACUCAUUAAAAAUUCAUUUGUGAAAAUAAUUUUUAAUUAUUAAAAUACCCCUAAAUUAAAUUACAAUUAUGAACACUAAAAUAUAGUAAACAAUUUUUUUUUUACUCUUUGAAAUUGUCCUUACAUUCGAUAUUAAAUUUUUUUCUUAAACUCUAAAUUAAUUUUUUUUUUCAUUUUUAAGUAAUUUUAAGGCACAUAUAAAGUGAUUCAUAUUGAUUUUAUACUAACAAACUAUUACAGCAGAUUUGGAAAAUGAUUAACUCGUUCUCAUUUUCCUAGUGAAAAUGCAAAUAGCUCAUUUAAACGUUAAGGAAUUGGAGAGUUGCUGCUGGAGAUGAAAGAUGUGAAUUAAACAUCAGAAAAAAAAAUUAUGUUUACUAUCUUACCAGACCAAGCACCGAAAAGCAUGGUAAAGAAAAAUUACAUAAUUCUGACUUAGAAGACGAAAAAAAAUGAAAUACAAUUUGAAUAAGAGAUAGAAGAUAAAGCACGUGAAUGGAGGCAGAAAGCAAGUAAUGAUAACUCUUUCGACAAAACUAAUAUAUAUCAAAAUGCAAUAUCAAAAAUGAAAAUAAAAAUUCAUUACGAAUACAUGUUAAUGAUAUCCCAAGUGUUGAGUAAUAAAAAGUACCAGGCAGGCAUCUCCCCAUUCCAUGCCUGAGAAUGAAUCUCUCCAGCUGAAUGAUACGAGCAGAUUCCUAAUAAUAUAUCCUUUAUGGAACACAUACCAACUAGAAACGAAUACCGACCAGAAGUUCAUACCGACCAGGUACUUGUCACUCAAAGAAAGAGAAUACAAUCUCACGAACGCGCGACAGUUUUGCCACAUUCCAAACCGCUAGGGAGAACACGACGCCCCACGUUUACCCACAUUCAGUUGUUGAAGACCCAUUAAGGCCCUUGAUCACCCAAAUAUGACGGGAAGGAAAAAUAUUCUGAGAAAGUGGGACGAUUGCCUAUAAAAAGCUGGGAAAUCAAUUAAGAAAGGGACAGACAAAAAGAGAGAGGGGGGAAACUCUACCGAAUUGAUACCAGGCAUUACUACAUAAUAGCCUUAAAUACAUUUUACUUUAAGAACAUCACAAUGAGUGUGCGUAACCAUAAAUCAUACAAUUUUCCCGCAAACUUCAUGUACUAACUUAAGCAUCGGAGGGUUUAUUCCGGAAAAACCACCAACGUCUCUGGUUUGUUUAUGUGAAUGUAGAUUUGAAAAGAAGAGAAAGAGUGAUUUGAGUUCAAGGAGCUCGGGCAAUUGCUAAAGUUAGUGGAAAAAAUUAAAUGAGACUCAAAAUCAAUCCAGAGGAAUAAAUGAGAAACCUAAUCCUAAUAAAAUACAUUCACAAAUCUUAAUGCUAAUUAAAAUCACGGAUAAAAAACAUAAUAUGAAUGAAUUACAGGCACAACUAUUUUAUUAAGAAAUUAAUAAAAUCGUGUAUUAAUAUAUUUUGUACAUUUUUUUUCCAUAUAUAACUUUCGGUAAUUUAGUUUUCCACUUAUCAUUUUUACUCCAAAAAAAUAUUGAGAAUAUUAUUUAUGUUUUGGUGUAAAAUAUUUGAACAAUAUACAAAUUUUCAGUUUAAUACAUCUAAACAUUUAUUAAGUUAUAAAUGAAUUUAAUGGGUUUAACUAGUACAAAUACUAUUAUUUUAUAAAUUGGGUUUAAUAAUAGUAUAUUGGGGAUUUAGGUUGAGUAAAUUUUAAAAUUUUAAAAUUAAAGGGUGGGUUUGUUUAGCAAAUGAGUUUUUUUUUUUUUUUUAUUACAUGAGACUAUUGCUCAAAUUACAGUUCAAGUUACAACUCAUAUUACAUGAGAGUAUAAUUGAUAUGUACAAUCAUAUAUUUAUACUGAGCCCUGUUGAUAUUAAUGCUGAUAUGACACCGCUCAGAUUUUUAACCCUCUCAAAUAUUUGAGGGAUGUCAAACUCCCAUCCUGGGAGAAAGACUGUCUUCACUCGAGCUCAAGGGCUCCAAGAAAGAAUAUUUAAAGUAAAACCCCUACAAUGCGACUGCGGAGGCUCGAACCCCUUCCCUCACAUUUGUGAGGGAGGGGCUUAGCCUUAGCCCAAGUGGCUCUUUUAGCAAAUGAGUUAAGGGAAUAGUUUGUUGGGAUUUAAAUAGCCCCACCCAAACUCAAAUGUAAAAUUUUUGAAAAAAGAGACUAUUACGUUUUAAAAAAAAGAAUUAAAAGGUCAAGAAUACCUCUAUUUAAUUUUAUAAUCAUAUUUUAUUUCUACCCUAAUAUAAUAUUAAAAAACUUAACUAAAAAUUUUAUAAUUUUUUAUAAAAAUUACCAUUAACAUCCAAAAAGCUAAAGAUUAAAAAAAAAAAAGGAACUGUAUUUACAAAAGUUAUAUCAAUAAUAAAUUCAGUCCAAAGAAAAAAGUUAUUGUAAACAAGUACUCAUAUUUAUCUCUACUUUAACAAUAAUCUUCGAAUCCGUUUUACAAUGGAUUUUAACCAAUGGGCUUAUGAGUCCUUUUUUGGAAAGCAUGAAAGCGAUGGCCCAAUCUCUAAACUUCAUUUUCUUUAGCCAGAAAGCCUAAAACAAGACCAGCCCAUAGAUAUAUAACUACCGGAAAAAAUUAAAAAGAAAAAAAAGAGUAAAAUUGUGUAAGAGCUUUUAGAAUUACAAUUUUAGGAUCACGUGUGUAAAUGGAACUCCAAGAUUGAUCAAGAAUUAACAAGGCAAGAUGAAGGGAUGAUCUUGUAGCAAAGAAUGAAGAAAUUGAAUCAAGAAAGUACUCUAGUGCUUUAGUGCUUUACAGUUAAGGGAUAUAGGGUGCGUUUGGGAUUGAGGUUGGGCAGCUGUAGCUUAAAAGCUACAGCACUAAAGUGUUUGGUAAACACUAGCUGCUGUAACUUUUAAGCUAUGUUGAUAUAAUUUUUCACUUGUAUAAUAUAAAAUUUAUUAUAUCUUUAAUAAUUUUGAUAAAAUUAUUAUUUACAAUUUAUAUUUAUUAUAUAUUAUUAACUUUUAUUUCAUAAUUACAACUUCUUUUUUACAGCAGCUGUAGCUUAAAAACUACAGCACCUCAAUCCCAAACACAACCAUAGUGUGAAUUCAUUACAAAGCAUUCGCAAAGAAAUUGUUUUUAAAUGAAACUCCUCGUCUUGACCAGAUUAUUUAUUAUUAUUCAAAAAAAAAAUGUUCAAAACUUAGCCAAAGUGAUAAACUCGUAAUUAUUCUACAAAGGGAACAAUUUUGAACGGUCGGAAAUUCCAUGCUUAUGAUUUUCUCUGCACUAUUUCAAUAAAAUUAUUACCCAGUGAAGACUUUAGAGACAAGUGCCCCCAUGAGAUCAAGCAAAUAUGCCCCCACAAAGAUCACAUAAUUAUUUCUUGUUCUUUUUCUUUUUGACAAUUUUAUCUGUGGUUUCAACUUUUACGCUUUAUUGUCAUUUCUCGUUGAGGGCUCCGCUGCACCCAUUACAACUUACCCCUAUAUUGUCUUUUACUGACUAAACCGUUAGAUUUGACGGAUAGCACGUUCAAUGCUGAAUUUUAAUUAUAUCAUCAAAUUUCGUUUAGCUCCUUAAACUCCAUUUUAUUUUUUAUUUCUUUAUAAAAUAUUCAAAGCUUCAUCAAGCUCCCGAUGGACCAUCAUGGCUAGGGGUGCAUUAGAGCCGAACUGAAAUAUGUUAGUUUAGUUUAGUUUGGUCAGUUUAAAUCGAAUGGUUUAGAAAAUAUAAAAUGAUCAAUUUUAAUUUUGAAUUGAACCGAACCAAAAAUUAAUUGAUUUGCUGUUAGUAUUUUUGCAUAAACAUAAAUGAUUAGUGAUUAUAAUUGAAUUGGACUAAAAAAAAUCAAACAAAAGUGAAAAAUAUAAAAUCUUAGACAAUAUAAAAGAAAAAAUAUUAAAUAUAUAAACCAAAACGAACUGAAUUAUUUUGACUCAGUUUUGGUUCAUAAUUUUUUAAACCAAACUGAUUUAUUCCCACCCCCUAAUCGUGGCCCUCUAUCUUUAGUCAUUCACCCUUGAGUUUGAUACCAAUUGUUGGGUUUCAAAUGAUUAUACACUCAAAUGGAACCCCUCAUAACCAAAAACUAACAGAAACAAUAAGAACACAAUGUUAAAAUCUUAAAUCAAUCGCAAAAAAGCACCCAAAACAGAUCGAUUAGGAAUAGUUAACAACAAAAGAUUUAAUGGUUCAAAAUCAUAAUGUGACCUACUUCCAUCCAAGAAUCAUACUAAUUGCUUUACUUGUUGUCAAAUACGAGAUCAUAAGAUUGUUUAUCACUCUACAGAGAAAAAAAAUUUAGAAGAAAUACUCCCCAAUUUUUCUCUUAAUAGUUAUGAAUCAACACCCCUGAUUUACUUUUCCUUAUUUCCUAUGAUCGGUUGCUGCUACUUAAUCCUUACCAAGCUCCAACAUAGUCCAAACACUUUUCAUGGUACAUGCACAGUGCACCUUCAGAAACUUUACAGCUCUUCUUAAAACCUCAGGCCUAUAGAGUGCAAUUUCGCACCUAUAUGCUUAGUCCUCUCAGUUCUCGUGAUGUUUUUGAUUUAUUUCUCGGACGAGUAGCACUUUUAGCUGCCAUAAUACAAUGUAAUUGACUUCUGAGCAUGACUUAAUUUUGAGAUCAUUACUUUUAGUUAAAUGAUCUCCUCCAGAGCUUCUACCUAUGUAGUGUUUUUAGACCUCUAUAGUUGAUAAAGCAUGUUCAAGGUGAAGGCUUGUUUUCCAAUCUAUAGUCCAAUUAUAGACUGGAACUGGUCAGGCUUAAUGCACCUUCAAAAGCUUCACAACUUAUAUUGAAACCUUAAGCCUUGUAGAAUGCUACAAAUUUUAAAUCCAUAUACUUAGUGCUCUUAUGAUUUGUUUGAUUUUUACUUAGAUGAAGAGCAUUUUAGCUAUAGAAUACAGAAACUAAUUCAAAGCCUGCCUUAGCUAUGAGAUCAUUCAUUCUAGCCAAAUGCCCCUUUAGAGAUUCUGCUAUUGUUGCGUAUUAAGCCUCUAUAUCAAAGCAAUUACAUGUCGAAGGCUUGCUUUGCAGUUAACAGCGCAAUUACAAUUAUAUAGAUUAAAGGUGUAAAUCCAUAAAACUACCAGACUUCAAUCUUUAGACUCCAUAGAUCAAACCAUAACUUAGUGUGCCUUUCAAUCUCAGGUAACUGUUUUCCACGUCUUGCCAUGUACUUGCUGCUAACACUAACAAUUUGAGAAAUGUUAGGCAUCGUAAGCAGCCGACAACACUCUUCUUCAUUUCUUCAUUGUCAAUUUCUUUCUUGGAACAUUGCUCCAUUGAGAGUCUGCUAUCAUUGCUCCAAUUAUUAUUAUUUUUGUUUUUGUUUUUUAAAAAAAUAACCGUGCAAUAAGAGUAUAAGACUAAGCAACGGUCCUUUUUUUUUUACCCAUUCUUGAACAUGAAGUAUUUGAGUAUGUAAUAAAAAUUGUUUAUCGAUAAUUAAAAGUUAAUAGUGGGUGGCUUUAGGUUUUGUUUACAAAAUUGACAACAAAUUAGAUUUUUCAAAUUCAUAGGUAAGAAACUUUUCAUUUAUUCAUAGAUUUUCCGGUUUAAACUUUAAAGGAAACUUAAAAGAAAAAGAUGUAUCAUUAGGUUUGUAAUUAAAAAAAUUUAAUAUUGUAUGAUCUGUUCGAUAUGCAUAAUUUAAAUAAACAUUAAUAUAGAUGUUAUAUAUCCUAAAACUUAAUUGACUUAAUUCUUAUGGUGCAAGGAAGAGGUUUCCAAGUUUAAAUCUAAAGUCUUGUAUUUAAUUUGGGGUCGGGAAAGCACUGGGAAAUAAAUGUAACAAAGGAAAAAAAAAAAAGAAUGACAGUCUGAGUGGAGCCAACGCGGUUUUAAAAAAAGUGAAAAAAAGGGUUUAAAAAAAAAAACGCGGUUUGCUUGCUUGUGGAAAUAGAAGUCUCAUGUUUCUUUGAAAGGUAAGCAAGUGUGAAUGUUUCUAUCUAGAGCUGGAAAAUGCAUUUCCGUGCAACUUACUUGAUGAAUGAAGUUUUCAUCGCUGACCCUGAUGUUUCCCUGAGCUGCAUUCAUUGCAGCUGAUGUAUUUCAUUUUGUUUUCGAAGGAGUGACACAAAAUCUCCUUCGUUAAGGUGAGAAUUUAGAGUGGCUUUAACUGUUAACAAAUAGCCUAAUAUAAGACUUAAUCUACUUCCUGCCCUGUUGUAUGCUUAUGAAAUUUGAUAGAGUUAUGAGUUUGCAGAAGCUACUGUAUUAUAUGUUGCUUGAGGCUGUAAAAAUGAGGCAGAUCAAACACACAUUUAAAUUUCAAUGACAAUUUACUGGAAGUAAAUUUCCUAUGACCCUACAUGUGACUAAUUGAUGAGAAGUUGACAAAUGACAAAAGAAAGUGUAUGAGCUUUGCAGGUUGGCAUGCCGAUACUGACUGUGUGGCACCAUCCGCCAUUUGGAAGUGAAUAUCAUUAUUCUUUAAUCAACAUGGUGGAGUCCACUGGGACCACACCACAUGGUCAGUCUUAUCUCUAUUCCUCAAUUUUCAGUAUUCCAUACAUGAAAACAACUUCAGUUUUGUUAUCAAUUAUAAUUUCAUUGUUGGUGACGAUUCUGAUUCCUUUCUUUCUGACAAAACGGAACCAUGGUUGCUGUGGGAGAGAUCUUACUCAACGCCUUCUUUCAGGUGUUGUUUGACAGGUUGGCUUCCCGUGAUUUGCUCAGCUUUGUCCGUCAACUUGGAGGCGGGGUCGAUUCCGAGCUCAAGAAGUGGGAAAGAAAGCUGAAGAUGAUUCAGGCGGUGCUCAACGAUGCAGAGGAGAAGCAACUGACUGACGAGGCUGUGAAGACGUGGCUGGACGAUCUCCAAGACUUGGCUUAUGACGCUGAGGACAUUCUUGAUGAGUUUGCUACUCAAGCUUUGGAAAGCAAGUUGAUGGCGCAAAAUCAGGAUAGCUCUGGCCAGGUUCUCAGUUUCAUCCCGGCUAGUAUCCGAAUGCUGUUAGGUUCAAUUAUAGCAUGAGGUCCAAGAUUAACGAUAUUACUAGCCGGUUGGAGCAACUCUGCAAAGAAAGAAUCGAACUUGGACUGCAACGGAUUCCUGAAGGGGCAUCAUCAACUGCUGCUGCUGCACACCAGAGGCCACCCAGUUCAAGCGUCCCACCAGAACGUGAAGUUUUUGGUAGAGAAGAAGAUAAGGCCAAAAUUCUUGAUAUGGUAUUGGCCGAUAGCCCAAGUGAUCAUGCCAACUUUGCUGUAAUACCCAUUGUUGGCAUGGGCGGGAUAGGAAAAACAACUCUCGCUCGGGAGGUCUACAAUGACAAGGCCGUUGAACAUUCCAAGUUUGAUGUAAAAGCAUGGGUUUGUGUAUCUGAUGUCUUUGACAUUUUGGGCAUCUCAAAGGCACUUCUCGAGUCAAUCUGCUGCGCAGCUAGUGAUCUCAAGACUUUAAAUGAAGUGCAGGUUCAACUGAAAAAAGCAGUGGACGGAAAAAGAUUCUUGCUGGUCUUAGAUGAUGUUUGGAACGAGGACUACAGCUUGUGGGUAGACUUAAAAGCUCCAUUCUUGGCUGCUGCACCAAAUAGUAAGAUGAUUAUCACCACACGCAAUUCACAUGUUGCAUCUACAAUGGGACCCAUUGACCAUUAUAACCUCAAGCAUCUGUUAGACGAUGAUUGCUGGUCUAUUUUCAAAACGCAUGCAUUGGAGGGUAGAGAUCAUAAUGCACUUGAAAUCUCAGAAUCAUUUCGCAAGAAAGUUGUUGCCAAAUGUGGAGGCUUGCCCCUUGCUGCAAAAACACUCGGAGGCCUUUUGCGUACGACGAGGCAUGAUGCGUGGGAUGAUAUAUUAGAGAGCAAAAUAUGGGAUUUACCUCAACAAAGUGGGGUUCUCCCAGUAUUAAGAUUGAGUUACCAUCAUCUUCCUUCUCAUUUGAAAAGAUGUUUCGCUUACUGUGCAAUCUUUCCAAAAGAUUAUGAAUUCAAUGAGAAGGAGGUGACUUUUUUAUGGAUGGCUGGAGGAAUUAUUCGACAGUCAAGAAGCAAAGAGCGGCUAGAAGAUUGGGGCAGCAAGUGCUUCUAUGAUCUGGUGUCAAGGUCAAUUUUUCAGCAAACAGCAAUCUCUGGUAGUUCUAAAUUUGUAAUGCACGACCUUAUUCAUGAUCUUGCUGAAUUCGUCUCUGGAGAAACCAUAUUCAGGUUAGAGGAGUCCACCAACUUGUCGUCAAGCAGAUUUGAAAGAGUUCGCCAUUCUUCCUAUGCCGGCGGUUGGUAUGAUGGUAAAAAUAAGUUUGAGGUUUUCUAUGAAAUUGAACAUCUACGAACAUUCUUGCCAUUACGCUUACGCAUGCGAGGUACUUUUUUCAUAACUAGAACGGUUCUAUCUGAUUUGCUGCCAAAGUUCAAAAAAUUGAGGAUGCUAUCUUUAGAAGGAUACUGUAUUGGUGAGUUACCAAUUCCAUUUGAAGAUCUCAGACUUUUAAGGUUCCUCAACCUCGCUGACACUGACAUAAGAAGUUUACCUGAGUCAACAUGCAAAUUGCUGAACUUGGAAAUUCUGAUAUUAAGAAAGUGUUCCCGCUUGAUAAAGCUUCCCCAGAAAAUGAGGAAUUUGAUCAAUUUACGUCAUCUGGAUAUAAGAGGUGCACAGCAGCUGAAGGAGAUGCCAUUUGGAAUGAAAGAGUUGAAGAAGCUUCAAACAUUGUCCAAUUUUAUUGUGGGCAAGGGUGAAACUGCAUCCGGUGUGGAAGAUUUAAAAUGUUUAAGCUUUCUUUGUGAUGAACUUUGCAUUGCUGGAUUAGAGAAUGUGAAUAAUCCACAGAAUGCAAGAGAAGCCGCAUUAUGCGAGAAGCACAAUCUUGAAGCAUUGACUCUAGAAUGGGGGUCUCAAUUUGACAAUUCUCGAGAUGUAGCAAUAGAAGAGCACGUGCUUGACAUUCUACAGCCUCAUAAAUGUAUAAAAAAGGUGGCAAUCAGGAGCUAUGGUGGUGCAAGAUUUCCACUUUGGAUAGGAGAUCCGUUGUUCUCCAAGAUAGAAUUCCUUGAAUUGGAGAACUGUGACAAUUGUGUAUCUUUGCCAUCGCUUGGCCGUUUGAGUUCACUUAAACACCUUGCUGUUAAAGGGCUGAAGAAACUAAAAAGCAUAGAGCCUGAGGUUUAUGGGGAGGGUUUCUCAACGCCUUUUCCAUCAUUGGAGAUUCUAAGUUUCGAGAAUUUGACAGAAUGGGAGCAUUGGGACACGGAUAUCAAAGGAAAUGCACUUGUUGAAAUAUUUCCUCGUCUCCAUAAACUUUCCAUUGUGAAAUGUCCCAAACUCUCUGGAGAACUGCCUGAGCUCCUGCCCUCCUUGGAGACACUUGUUGUUAGUAAAUGUGAAAAGUUGGUAGUUCCAAUGUCUUGCUAUCCGAUGCUCUGCAGAUUAAAAGUUGAUGAGUGCAAAGAACUGGUCUGCCGGACUCCAAUUGAUUUUAAGUUGAUAAAGUCUGUGACUAUUUCAAAUUGUUCACUAGACAUGUAUGGAUGCAAGGGGAUGCUAUACAAUGGUCCAGCUGGCUCUUCACUGCCGAAAUCCAUGACUAUUACAAAUGUUUUGGCGUUUGGAAAAUUAUUGAAGCCUGGAUUUCAGAUAUUAGAAACUUUGGUAAUUGACAAUUCUGAACAGCUCAAGUCAUGGAGGCAGCGUGGGGAUUUUCGACAAGAAUAUUUGGGCGUUCGCGUAAGGCGUCACAAACCAUCACAAGGGCUAGAUAUGCUCGCCUCCCCAGAAGAGGUAACAAUUGAAGAAAGUUGUGUGAGUUUUGUUUUAUUUCCAGAGAUCAAUUUCUUUCCCAGAAAUCUGCGCUCUCUUCUAAUUUGCAACAGCACAGCUUUAAAAUCCUUACCCGAUGAAAUGAUGGACAAUUCACAACUCGAAAGGUUGUAUAUCAGAGAUUGCGAUUCUCUAACAUUCAUCACAAGACGCAAGCUACCUUCAUCUCUAAAAAGUAUAGAGAUUGAGAAUUGUGAGAAACUGCAACAUUUGUUCGAUGAUAAAGAGGAUGCUUCUUCUUCUUCUCCUCCUUCAUCCUCGUCCUCCCCAGUGAUGCUGAAACACCUGAGUAUAAAUAAUUGCCCAGUGCUCACCAGUUUAUCAACAGGAAUCCAAUUACUUGAGGCGCUUGAAAGCCUCGAGAUACGGGAUUGUCCAAAGCUGGAGUCAUUACCAGAUGGCCUUCACAAUCUUAACUGUUUACAGGAGAUUACUCUAAACAGUUGUCCAAGUCUUGUUUCCUUCCCAGAAAGAGGACUUCCCAACACGAUUUCAAAUCUUGUAUCGUUUCCAGAAGAAGGUUUUCCUACCAAUCUAACAUCACUUACAAUUGGAUAUUUCAAAAUGUAUAAGACACUCGUCCAGUGGGGGUUGCACAGGCUUACCUCUCUUAAACGCCUCUGCAUCAUUGGAUGUGAUGAUGAAGCAGAGUGUUUUCCAGACGAGGAGAUAGGAAUGACGCUGCCCACCUCUCUCACUCAUCUGACACUUUCGGAAUUCAAAAAAUUGAUAUCUCUGUCUUCGACGGGUAUUCAGAGCCUCAACUCUCUUCAAUCUUUGUCGAUCGGGAAUUGCCCGAAUCUCACAUCAUUUCCAGAGGUGGGCCUUCCAUCCUCACUUUUGGAAUUACACAUUUACAGUUGUCCAAAGCUUAAAAAAGCGUGCAAAAGAGAUCAAGGAAAAGACUGGCCCAAAAUUGCUCACAUCCCUUUCGUUGAGAUAGACGGUAAAUUCAUAUACGAUCCCGAAUCAGAGGAGUAGAUUCUAUUACACAGGUCAGUUGAUUUAUAUUAUCCGCUAUAACAAGCUCCUCCUUUUUUAUUUUUUUUAAAUAAUAAUUUUGCAGUCAGUCACGUGAUUCCGUUUUCACAAGUCAGAUUGUAUGUUGAGGCUAUUUGCCUUUUAAUCGCAGAUUAAAUUAUAACACUUAUCUUAAAAUUUAAUACCAUAGACAGAUAGACGAUUUUUUAAUCCAAAGUUUUUUUUAUUCACUUCAGUUAGCAUUUUUUUUUCCCCCAAAUCAUGCAAGCCGAGAGUUUCAAUCAAGAAUUGGAGGAUGUGAAUGGGAUUUUUGUGAAAGAGUAACAUAAUGGAUGACCGAACAUUUCAUCUGUGAUCUCAAAGUCAACAGAAUUUUAUUCACUCAUUGACUUUUCAACUGCCGUGGUUUUUAUGGGUGAAAGAUAAGGGCAAUUACAAAAAAUUUGCAAAAUUUGUCAAUUUCUUAGAUGGUAGAUAUAUCGACAUUUUAGAUUUCAGAUAUUUGUCACCAAUUUGCAAAAUUGAAAUUUCUGUCUUCAAUGGGUUUUCAAAGCCUCGCCUCUCUUCGAUUUUUGUGGAUUGGGAAUUGCACAAAUCUCACAUCAUUUCCCGAGGUCGAGGAAAAGAGCGGCCCAAACUUGCUCGCAUCCCUUGGGUUAUGAUAGAUGGAAAAUUCAUGUACGAUCCAGUCAGAGGUGUUGAUUCUCUUAUUAAGGUCAGCUGAUUUCUAUUAUCCACUCUGACAAUCUCCUAUUAGUGUUUUUCCUUUUUUUUUUUUCAAAAUUUUGCAGUUCUGUAUAAUUGAAAAUGCCACUCACUUGUUUCCUUUUUCACAGGUCAGAUAGUAUGUUGAGGCUAUUUGAUUUCUAUCGGUGUUUGUUAAGGUAAUUAGUGCUCCCUCAUAGGUAUGACUAGAUUUUUUUCACUUCCGUAAAUAUUGCAUUUUAGACUGGCAAAUUUAGCAGUAAUUUUAAUACAAUUUUGUUGGUGCCUUGUGUGCCAGAAGCUAGAAAAAUGUGUAGUUUUCAGAUAAGGAGUCUUGUUAGUUCUCUAGUAAGAAUCCAAUAAUUUGCUUUUGCACGUCCAUCUAAUUUGUGGAUCCUUGCAUCAGAAUUUGAUCAAUCCAAAGGAAUUGCUUUUAGACAGAAGAAGAAUAGCAGCACCUAGCCUAUGUCAUAGUGUAUGGACCCGCAAACCUGAAACUAUUAGAUUGAGGUAAAAAAAUCAUUGACCCUCACAUGUUAACUUCUUCUAGUUACUUUUGUUGGGAAAAAAAAACAUUUAAGGAAUUUGCAAUUUGUUGUUAGUUAUGGUAUCUGAUGUUCUUUUCUGUUUUAGCGUUUGUAGAAUCUACGGUAUUAUGUGUUGGCAGUUGCCGUAUCUGAGGUAACUUGCCUUUAUUUGUUUGCUUCUGACUUAAGGACACCAACAUUUGCCAGAGAUUUAGAGAAGCAUCUCAAAACACUUAGCAAACUUGACAAACUUCAAGAUGCACUUGCCCCCACGCCUUAUUCUCCACAACGCAAAACUUGUGAGUACACUUAUGCCUGCAAUUAUUGUGAAGUGUUUGCAAUUUCGAUGCAGAGAAAUGGUUUCUUGAUGCAAAGUAUUAAACUGUUAAGAUUUAUCCUGCAGGCUUGUUAGAUGUUGUAUACUCGAAAAGCCAACAACAUCAAGAACUACAACUCCAAGACCAACUUUGCAUUAAUUCAGUCAGCUGUAAAAAUGAUGCAAAUGACACUAUAUCAAGCUGGACUUAGAGACUAGUCAGAUCAAUCAUCCAUUUCAUCAACGGUUAAUGUCAUGAUGGUGGCUAUCAGAGGAAACAAAAGAUGUGUCAGAAUCUAUACGAACAUUGAGAAGCAUGAGAGGAGCUUUGAUUUUGAGUAGGGUCAAUGAACUCAUGUUGGUAAGUGGUGAUUAAAGAAAUUUGUAAGCUUAGUAGAGUUUCAGUAUUUUCUGUUUGGAGUAUAGUUGAUAAGUUGACUCUGUUUAAGAAGCCCGAUUAUAGUAGCUGACUGUAUUAACCUUUUUUUUUUUGGUCUGCUGUUGUUUUUGGUUUCGAUUAUUUUUUCAACAUUGGGUUGAUCUGUUGAAGAACAAGCUUGGGUUUGAUUAUGUUUUAACUAUAAGGAAGAGCCAGACUUGGUUGCAGGCGUUAAGCUUUUAAUGGGUAAGAACAAAUGAAUGCUUUAACCAUGUUUCUCACUUAUUAAAAUGCAUGGAUUGAAGGCAUCUGGGUUGAUCCUGACAAUGUGAUGGAAAUACUUCUCUGUUUUCAUGUAACAGGACAAAUAGAGAUCUCUGAUCAUGCCUGAAUUUUUGUUGCAUUGAAAUUUCUACCAUUACCAAACAUAGAAUGAACUGGGGAUACAUUAGCUUAAGACUCAAUUUUGAGAAGGAAGUUUGUACUUGCAGCCUAUAAAAUCAUGUCCGUGUCGUACGUUUCUUUGGGAAAUGAAAGAUUCUGUGUGUUCUUUUAUUUCAAGUUCACUGAAAUCACAUUUGUUUUCUCCGAUGCUUUCCAGAAGGUAACAACAUCAAUUUCAAAAAUGCUGGGGCAAGAUGCAUCAUGCAGUGCGACUCAACUUGAGAAUUCCUGGCCACAUUACCCGUAUGUCGAAUGAUCGCACAGUUCAACCUUGAGAAGCUUGUAAUGAGUACACAACUGGGUGCAAGUAGUUUUGAAAUGAAUUUGCCUCAAAUGAUUUCUUGCUCGCAUCCCUUGGGUUAUGAUAGAUGGAAAAUUCAUAUACGAUCCAGAGUCAGAGGUGUUGAUUCUCUUAUUAAGGUCAGCUGAUUUCUAUUAUCCACUCUGACAAACUCCAAGACCGGGUUUUUUUUUUUUUUUAAUUUUGCCGUUCUGUAUAAUUGAAAUGCCACUCACUUGUUUCCUUCUUCACAGGUCCGAUAGUAUGUUGAGGCUAUUUGCUUUUUAUCGGUGUUUGUCAAGGUAAUUAGUGCUGCCUCAUAGGUUGAUUACUCACAGAUGAAAUCAUAACUUUUAUCUUAAAAUUUAAUAGCAUACACAGAUAGAUGAUUUUUAGUCCAAAGUUUUUUUAUUCACUUCAAUCAAAAUUUUAGAUUGCAGAUUUUUGUCAAGUAUUUCAUUACAAUUUUUUCAUUUUUUAUUUUAAACCAGAAUAUGAGUAUAACAUUUUGGAGCGUGCAUACUCUGAUGCAUGCAAUUAACUGUUUUUAAUCAUUGGAUUUUGAAAUUAAUAAUGGUAAGAUGUGUACUUAUUCUGUCUUCCAACAACCUUGGCCUCUUUCUUCGGUCGCAUAUCUAAUGAAUAUUUCUCUGUUUAGUUAAGGAUGAAUGCUUGGAGUGGGGUACUUGGUAACAUUUCUGCCUCAGAUGAAUCCUUGAAGAAAUGCCCGCAGUUCCUGAGACCAAAUACAGGUCUGAUUCAAAACAGCACCUUUCUCAGAAAAUAUGAUCCAAGGCAAAGUCAUGUUCUGAUAAUGUUUCCUUAAGUACAAAGUUGCAAGGAAACUUGAUUCAUUAACUACAGUUUUUUAUUUUUAGGACCUUGUAUCUGAAAGGUUCAGUGUUUUUUUUUUUUUCAAAUUUAUUGUUCAGAUCUCAGAGGAGUAUAUGGUUUAGAUUACAAAACACCCAUGAUUAAUUUCAUUUUUUUUUUAAUUUCAGGGAGAAGAAGUGGUCAGUUUCAAUCCGGAAUUGGAAUAUGGCAAUUUGGUUCAAGCACACACACCUGGUCACUUGGUCAGUGAACCUGAACUUUACGCAGUUUUUUCAACUCAGUGAUUUUUGGAACGCAUAGUGGUGUAAGGAAAUCAAAAGAAAUUUAUGCAUAGUCAAAUUCUGAUAUUUGCUAUAUAUUAUACAUUCUAAAGUUUCUCCAGUUUGUUCUCAGAUUACCAUCAUUUUUUGCCUUCACCAAAAAAAAAAAAUUGAGUGGCUUUCCAGUGGAUAUUUAAUCGGAGGUAUGACUGGAUUUUUUUCACUUCUGUAAAUCUUGCAUUUUAAACUGGCAAAUUUAACUUUAAUUUUAAUACGACUUUGUUGGUGCCUUGUGCCCCAGAAACUAGAAAGAUGUGUAGUUUUCAGAUAAAGGGGCUUGUAAAUUCUCUAGUAAGAAUCCAAUAAUUUGCUUUUGCACGUUCAUUUUAUUUGUGGAUCCUUGCAUCUGAAUUUAAUCAAUCCAAAAGGAAUUGCUUUUAGACAGAAGAAGAAUAGCAGUACCUAGCCUAUGACAUAGUAUAUGGACCUGCAAACCUGAAACUAUUAGUUUGAGGUAAAAAAUUCAUGACCCUCACAUGUUAACUUUCAUGAAAAACACAUUUAAGAAAUUUGCAAUUUUUUGUUAGUUUCGUAUCCGAUGUUGUUUUCUGUUUUAGCAUUUGUAGAAUCUACUGUAUUAUAUUUUGGCAGUUGCAGUAUCUGAGGUAUGUUUUGCAUUUAACUUGCUUUAUUUGUUUUGCUUGUGACUUAAGAACACCAAUAUUUGCCAGAGAUUUAGAGAAGCAUAUCAAGCUGCUUGGCAAACUUGACAAACUUCAAGAUCCUCCAUUCUUCACAACGCAAAACUUGUAAGUACACCUAUGCCCGCAGUUAUUGUGAAAUGCUUGCAAUUUUGAUGCGCUGAAAUGGUUUGUUGAUGCAAAGGUUUAAACUUUUAAGAUUUACCCUGCAGGGUAGUUGGAUGCUGUAUACUCGAAAAGCGACCAACAUCAAGAACUAUGACUCCAAGACCGGGUUUGCUUUAAUUCAAUCAGCUGAAAUCAUGAUGCAAACGACACUAUCAGCUGGACUUAGAGACCGGUCAGAUCAAUCAUCCAUUUUAUCAACAGUUAAUGUCAUGAUGGUGGCUAUUAGAGGAAACAAAGGAUGUGUCGGAAUCAAUGUGAACAGUGAGAAGAAUGAGAGGAGCUUUGAUUAUACGUAGGCUCAAUGAACUCAUGCUGGUAAGUGGUAAUUAAAGAAAUUUGUGCGCUUAGUAGCAUUUCAAUAUUUUCUGUUUGGGAUAUAGUUGAUGAGUUGAUACUCUGAUUAAGAAGCCUGAUUAUAGUAGCUGACUUUUUUUUUGUGGUUUGCUGUUGAUUUUUCUUUUGAUUUUUUCAACAUUAGGUUGAUCUGUUGAAGAACAAGCUUGGGUUGAUUAUGCUUUAACUACAAGGAAGAGCCAGACUUGGAUGCAGGCGUUCAGCUUUUAAUGGGUAAGAACAAAUGUAUGCUUUAAACAUGUUUCUCACUUAUUACAAUGCACGCAUUGAAGGCAUCUGAGCUGAUCCUGAAAAAGUGAUGGAAAUACUUCUCUGUUUACAUAAAACAGGACAAGAGAUCUCUGAUCAUGCCUGAGAAUUAGUUGCAUUGAAAUUUCUACCAUUGCCAAAAAUAGAAUAAACUAGGAAUACAUUAGCUUAAGACUCAAGUUUGAGAAGGCAGUUUGUACAUGCAGCCUAAAAAAUCAUGUCUGUGUUGUAUACUUGUAUGUUUCUUUGGGAAAUGAAAGAUUCUGUGUGUUCUAUUAUUUCAAGUUUGCUGAAAUCACAUUUGUUUUCUUAGAUGCUUUUGAGAAGGUAACAACAUCAAUUUCAAAAAUGCUGGGGUAACAUGCAUCACGCAGUGCUACUCAACAUGAGAAUUCCGGCCGCAUUACCUGUAUGUUGAGUGAUCGCACAGUACAGCCUUUAGAAGCUUGUAAGGAGUAGACAACUAGAUGUGAGUAGUUUCAAUAUGGAUUCGCAUCAAAUGAUCUCUUGCCAGUGAUUACUAUAACCUCUAUCCCAAAAUUCUUGGAACUGGUCAUACCAAUAAUGAAGUGUUGUGUAUGUUGAAGACAUUGCGAAAGCUCCGUCAGCCUUUGUAUUGGAAAACAGUUGGUUGUAGUUGCUUCUGAAUGAUAUUAUUAAUAGAUACUGUAAAAAUGAACUGUGCCACUCAUUUUCAGAGCCCUGUUAAGAUGUGUUGGUAAUGUGUUUGAAGGUUGUUUGAUUUAUGUUGUAUUCAGCUAUAAAUCAAAGAUUCAGAACAUGGUUAUGUUACUGGUUUCCAAAUCAAAAAAUUGCCUUGUGAUGUUAGUGUUCAUUGUUUUCACAGGAGAUCAGGUUCCCUGUUGAUGAAUCAUUAAGGCAAACGCAUCCAUGUCUUAAGUUCAAAUGUGUCUCUUCUAUUUUCUAUUACUGACUCCUUUAUUUUGAUUUCUUCAUUGUAAUGGAAUUGGUUUUUAUUCCAAAUUAGUCUUAAGUUCUGUUAGCAUUUGAAGAUAGAACUAGAACUAAAUGAUUGACUGGAUUAAAUUCCGAUAAAGAAUUAAGUUAUAUAUUUAGAGAUAUUAUGUUUUUUUUUUUUUCAUUUGUUCAAUUUGGUUAGUGGUGAUUUCUUAAAGACUCAAUCCAUGUGCGUUUAUGCAUUUUUCUUUUGCCUUAAUUUCUGUUUCUUGGGGAGUUUAUACAGAUUCUUAUUUUAUGCUUCACAUGCCACAUGAAAGAUCGAAUUCUUAUAAUAAGAGUCUGAGAUCUCCCUGAAGGAUUCAAAGCAUUUUAUUUUAUAUUAAACUCCUUUACGUGGGUUUGGACACUACCACAAGUUCUUUAAAUACUAAAACGAUUUUAAGUCUUUUGUAUCAUCUGAUUGAAAUACAUGAAAGCACUCGUGGCUGCAAAAAUACAGUUGGGGCUAUUUCUAAAGUCUUCAACAGCAUUUUCUUUUUAACCUUUAUCCUCAUGGUUGUUUUUGCAGUUGUUCUUUAAGAAAACAUUUAAAAGGUUCUCUUUAUGGAUUUUUGAAAAUAAUUUUAACAUAAGCAAUUUUCAGAAGCACUUUAGAUGUCUGGCAUUUAGAAAAUUUUAUUCCGGUGUCACAUAAAAUACUUAGGAAGUUAAAUUUAUUUAUUUAUGAGCAUGUGCCAGUGCCCUGUGGCAUCCUCUUCACUUGUGAUAGUCAAAUGUAUUAUACGAUACAAUAUUAGCUUGACUGUAGCACAGAGGAGAAUAGGGUUGGUGUUGGUCUGAACCAGCUUAUGUAACAGCUGCCAAAGGAUAAUUUAAUUGUACUUUGAGUAAAGCUUUUGCAAAUUAAACAAGUGAUAAUUUGUUUCUAUUAAGAAAAACUUAAAGGAUAGGGCUAUUUUAACUCACCAAACUACACAUUAAAAAUCUACUUACAAAAAUAGUUUUUAAUUAUUAAAAUAUUCCUAAAUUAAAUUAUAAUUAUGGACACUAAAAUAUAAUUUUUUUUAUAUUUUACCCUUUGAAACUAUCUUUACAUUCGAUAUUACAUUUUUUUCUUAAACUCCAAAUUGAUUUUUUUUAUUAAUUUUAAAACACAUAUAAAGUGAUUCAUAUUGAUUUUAUACUAACAAACUAUUAUAGCACAUUCGAAAAAUAAUUAAAUCGUUCUUAUUUACAUAGUGAAAAUGCAAAUAGCUCAUUCAAAUGUUAAGGAAUUGGAGAGCUGCUGCUGGAGAUGAAAGAUGUGAAUUAAACAUCAGAGAAAAAAUUAUGUUCACUGUCUUGCCAGACCAAGCACCGAAAAGCGUCGUAAAGAAAAAUUAGAUAAUUUAGAAGAUAAAGCACGUGGAAUGGAGGCAGAAAGCAAGUAAUGAUAACUCUUUCGACAAACUAAUAUAUACCAAAAUGUAAUAUCGGCCCUAAUAAAAAAUGUGUUACGUAAGUAAAAGCACCAGGUCGGUCGUGCUACUAUUUCUGUCCCGGUAUGGCUCACCUCAACUGAAUGGUACAAGCAGAGCAUGGAGACGAAUAUGGCCCGACCAGAGAUGAGUACCGACCAGAGGUGUAUGUCGAGCCGAUACCCGUCUCCUGAAAAAGCGGGAACACGAUCCCACAGAAUCGCGGAAUUUGCGUUUUUCCCAGAACCGUUGCGAGAGAUGCGAUACCCCACGUUUACCCGUAAUGUAGUAGUUAAAGUUCCGUGAAAGGCCACCACCCGAAAAAGGAGGGAUGAAGACUGAGCGGGAACGUGGGAUAACGGCUAUAAAAGAAGGAGAAAUCGAUGAAGAAGGGGACAGAAAAAUCAAAAGAGGGAAAACGCUGCCAAAUUAUUGUCAGGCUAUCUUCUUGAAAAUUCCAGAUAAAUCAAAAACUACUCUUAAAUCUAAAUUGCUCUGUUUUCCCGUAAAUACCUUGAGCUAACUUAGGCAUCGGAGGGUUUACGCCGGCAAAACCACCCGCGUCUUUGAUCCGUUUUUUUGUGAGCGCAGGUCUAGAAAGAGAAAGGAGGACGAGUCCAAGUCCCGCGGUUCGAACUUGAUAACAUAAUCGUUGGUGGAAAAUUCUGGUCGGUAACAAGGCGAGCAGAUUUAAGCAUCAACAUUUUGGCGCCGUCUGUGGGGAGCUGGAUAAAAAGCUACCACCAACUUAGUAGUUGCCAGAGAAGCGGUAAACAAUCAGACAUGGAUGUGCCCAGGAAAGACGCUCUGAGGGAGGAUAACGAGUCUGGAGAGACAAUCACUCUUAGGGAAAUUGCAAAUGAAGCCCGGGAGAGGGUAAUGCAAGAUCGAUUGGAGCGGAUGGAGAAACAAAUGGAGACUCUCGCGACCAUACUAUUUGAGCUGAGAGACGAGCGGAGAAGGGAUUGCGAAACCCCUGUGGGGAGAGAUGAUGUCGGAGCAGAACCCAGCCUCCGGACGCGUAGAGUCGAGGAGAUCCCUCCGCCGGCGGACCAACCUAAUGGGGUGCAUCCCCACAGAAGUACUGGUCGGAUUCCAGGAGAACAAAUAGAUGAAGGGAGGAACCAACCUCGCCCUGGGCGGGUACUGGAAGCUGAUGGCCGAGGGGCCAGUGUUAAUGAAGGGGAGCUCAGGCAGCGGUUGCAGAAUGCCGAACAGGAGCGAGAUCAAAUAGCUGCACGUGAUCCUGACCGUGCUGUAGAAUUGGAGGGAGAGGUGCGCAGAUUAGCGCAAGUGAUAGAGGAGAUACAGGGUAGGAGAAAGCCCCCGAGCUGGAGGAUAAUGCUAGAUGAAGAAUCUCCACUAUCAGUUGAGAUCAUGGGCACUGUAAUCCCAAGAGAUUUCCGCUUCCCCGACCUCAAAUACUCCGGGCGAAGUGAUCCACUGGUGCAUAUUGAACGUUUUAAUGACGUGACGGGUGUUCAGGGGUUAACACCAGCUCAGAGGUGUAGGGUAUUCCCAUUGACACUAGAGAGACGAGCCCGAGAAUGGUACCACAAACUGUUACGAGGAAGUAUCAGAGGGUACGAGCAGAUGUGCCAAGAAUUGGCCGAACAAUUCCGGGGGGCGGUGGCCCCAGAGGAUGAUAUGAUGGAACUAAUGGGGAUAAAGCAGGAGGAACAAGAACCCCUUCGAGAUUUUGUAAAACGAUACCACCGAGCCGUGCUUGAUUUGGGAGCUUUCAAUCACCCGCAGGCGUUGAGGGGAUUGAAGGAGGGUGUGAGAAUAGGCCGACUGUGGUAUAACCUGAGAAGCCCCCUGGUGCAGAAUUAUUCCGCGGGGUAUGAGCAAGCAAAGAGAGACAUUGAAAUCGAAGAAGAAAAAUCAGCCAGGAUAAAGAGUGAACAAUUGGAGGAGCUGAGACGAAGAGAGAUGAGAGCCCCAAAAGGAGCGGGUCAGGAAAGCAAGCUGGGGAAUCUUCAAUGAUGGGUGCAGUAUCCGCUCGAUCUCGCCUUUAUCCUAUGGCUCAGAGACCGCAGCAGGUCCAACACAAUCGGGCUCAGCCCUCACGCCCCCCAUUCCUGGAACGACAACGAGAAUUUCGGCAGUUGGCUAACCAUCCCUAUCACAACGCUCCCAGAGCACCGCAUACAGCCAACCCCAGAGCGGGACGAUCAGGUCAGCUACCUUCAAUAUCCGCUCGGGAUGAUACUCAUGAUAGCCGAGCAGUCCAGCUGAUUGACCAGAACCCAGCGUACGGACAAUAUACCCCGCUAAAAGUCCCUAUGGAGGAGUUGUAUGAGAGAAUCGAGGGACGAGGCCUGUUGUACCCUCCAGCCCCUAUAACGAAACCUGCUCACCGAAGGGAUAAGAGCAGAUUCUGCAAAUUCCAUGACACUCACGGUCACACCAUCAGCCAAUGUCGUGACUUUAAGAUUCAGGUGGAGGAUUUGGUGAGAAAUCGUUAUUUGGAUGAGUAUGUAGAUGGGGUUUCUCCCGUCAUUGAAUCACAGUACACGCGGGGUGAAGGAGAUGAGAGGAGCCUGGAACGUGAACAGCCAACUAUCCGUGUGAUAGCAGGAGGGCCAACCCUGGCUGGGGAUUCGAAUAGGGCACGGAAGAACUAUGGGAAAUACGCCAUGACCAGCAAAGAAGUUCUUUUCAAUUUGCCAGCAGCCAAGAAGGCAAAAUUGCGGCAAGUUCCCAUUAUGUGGACAGAUGACGAUAAAGAGGGUAUCCUAUAUCCUCAUAAGGAUGCACUGGUGAUUAAGGCAAUGGUGGCUGGUACAGAACUACGACGGAUACUGGUAGACACGGGCAGCUCGGUUGACAUCUUGUUUAAAUCGGCCCUAGAUGAUAUGGGGAUUGCAGACUUAAAAUUGGAACGGACGAACACAUCUUUAAAGGGAUUUGGAGGGGGACGGCUAACUCCCAUAGGAAUCGUCGAACUCCCAAUUACUAUGGGGACAAAGCUGUUUGAAAGAACAAUGAUGUUGGAUUUUGUCGUGGUAGAGGAGAGAAGCCCUUACCAGAUGAUACUGGGGAGACCGUUCAUGAAGAUAAGUCAAUGCGUUGUGUCUACGCAUUAUCUGGCACUAAAAUACAGAAUAAACGGAGCGGUUGGUGUAGUAAAAGGUGACCAGAGGGUGGCAAGGAGUUGUUAUGCUACAGCGGCCAAGGAGACGCUGCAGGUUACUUCCUUAGAUAAUCGAGGAGAACCUAAAAAGGGCCGCCAAGAACCUGUUGAGAAACUGGAGGCAGUUUCGGUAAGCAAAGGCGACCUGAGCAGAGUGGUGAAGAUCGGAUCGGGGUUGGUUGGUGCAGUCAAAGGCGAACUGGUAAAUUGCCUACAGUCUCAUGCAGAUAUAUUUGCCUGGUCUCACGAGGAUAUGCCAGGAAUUGAUCGUGGGGUAGCUUGCCACAAGUUGGCAAUUAAGAAGGGGGCGAGGCCGGUGAGACAGAAGAGGAGAUGCUUUAACCAGGAAAGAUACCCAGACGGACGAGAUGUGAAGAGGUCAUGGAACGCCGAGCACUUAAAGAAGUAUUUUCAGUAAGCAAAGUGCUCUGCUAAAUCCUCAUUUUGAUAAGUUUUCUUUGUUAACUGCAUGAUGGUUUAUUACGCAUGUACAUAGUCUGUAUUUUGUAAUACAUUCAAAUCGCAAUAAAGAUGAAUUCAGCAUGAAACCCUUCUGUUAAGCAAGGCCAUUAUAAUUUAUACCAAGGCAAGUAAGUGCCUGCUUCUGCUCGGUCAACGAAAGACCAGCAGCUAAAUUAGCGAAAUUUCUACCAAGGCAAGUAAGUGUCUGCUUCUGCUCGGUCAACGAAAGACCAGCAGCUAAAUUAGCGAAAUUUCUACCAAGGCAAGUAAGUGCCUGCUUCUGCUCGGUCAACGACAGGCCAGCAGCUAAAUCUACGAAAAUUAUACUAAGGCAAGUAUGUGCCUGCUUUAGUUCGGUCCACGAAAGACCAGCAGCUAAUACUACGAGAAUUCUGCUAGGGCAAAUAAGUGCCUAGUUCUGCUCGGUCAACGAAGACUAGCAACCAAUUUUAUUAAAAUUUUACUAAGACAAGUAAAUGCAUACUCCUGCUCGGUCCACAAAGAAACCAGCAAGCAAAAUCAGAUAAGUUGUCCAAUUAUUUUGCAGAAACCAUCUAUGAGCAAAUACCAGACAAGAAAGUCAAUAGAGAACAUCUAAAAGUUUAUAAAUGUUUGAUUGUCUACAAAAUAGAUGUAAAUCUAAAGUUUACACAGAAAUAGACUUAAAGAUUAGCAGGGUCAACGGCUCCAGCAGCUGAAGAAUCAGCAACCUCAGGAGGCGGGAGAUCGGCAAUACCGGGAGGAGGGGGCAUGGACCCUUGACCCACCUCGAAAGUACGUCCCCCGGCUUCCCCCUCCUGCACCCCCUCCAAAGGAGCCUCCGCCUGAUCCUGAUGACCUUGCUCCUUAUCUGCCUGGCCGGUUUCCGCCAUAUACCGCUGCACUCCAGCCUCCAGCUUACUCAUGUCCAGCUCGGGAUAUUCUUCUUUAAGCACGGACAUGAUACACUUAUAGGAGAAAGCAACCCCAGAGUCAUACUCGGCAUCCAGCUGGUCGUCCACAUCAGCGGAUUUGCCUUUCUCCUCAGCCAGCUGUUCAUUUAGGGAUUUGAUUUCUCCCUCAAGGGCAGUCCUCAGAGUAUCUCUUUCACUUUGAGUUACCUGAAGGUCAGACUUCAGGCUGCCCAACUCACCCUCGAGUUUGGAGGCAGUGGACUCAGCAAUUGCAGUUUUCUCCUCCAGCUCCAUAAUCUGUUUGUUCAGCUCGGCCAGUUUCUCCUUGGAGCGAUCAGCAGAUUCAGCCUUCUUUUUCAACUCCUGAUUAUCAGCUUGAAGCUUCCUCUCAUGGCGUAUGGACACGUUCUUGUAACACGAAACCAUGGUGGCCAGCCUGAAGGAAACCCUUUGAACAGAGGCAGCUAACUCGGAGAGCUCCAUACUCUCGAUGUCCUUCACCAUCUUGGGCCCAACCGACCUCUUGUAAUCCUUUUGGUACGGGCUCAAAUAGUCACCCUGAUCCCGAGAUGGAAGAGGAGAAGAUCGGUCCCCAGAUUGUAAGCUGACCUCAGGGCUCUUGUCGGAAGUUUUCUCCCCACUACUCUUACGAGGUGGAGGAGGGGGCAGAGCAGGAACUGGAGCCUGAGAAGGACUGGCACUGGCCUUUUUCGGAGGAGGAGGAGGGUGGCUGGAGCUGCUCGAUGCCCGACCACGCUUUCUGCUCAUCGCGCUGAGGAUCUUGUUAUCCAUCCCAGCGGCAAUAUCUACUAAGCCCGAACCGACCAGGUUUGUUGGUGACAGGAGGUCUUGACAAGUAGACGCGCUCACCAGAGCCGUUUCCACCUGGAGUAAAGGUCGGUCCUCGAGAGUCUUAACCAAACCCCACGAUUCUGAAAAAACAGACAAGGUUAAAGAACCCAAUAAGUGGCAAUUCGAGAAAGAAUAUAGGCAAAAAAUGAACGACCUGGGGUGACAAAUUGCGUUGGAAGGUAAAUGUCACCACCCAACGACCGAACUGCUGGACACCAAUUUCCCCCAGCAAAGAAGAAUUUGUUCUUCCAAUUUUUGCACGAGGAGGGGAAACCGGUGAUUGGCUUUCUCUUCGCAGAACUGGACAUGAAGUAGUACCAGCCCGCCUCCCUUGGGCUGCUCCGCAGCUGAUACAGAUGCUUCACUUCAACAAGGGAAGGCUCCUCCGACCCACACCUCUCCCACAACACAAACAUAGCCGAGAGAACCCUCCACCUGUUUGGGUGUAGUUGACCUGGGGCCAGGUGCAUACCCCCUAAAAUCUUGGCAAAAUAGCGCUGAAGAGGCAGCCGAGCUCCUAAUUUAAAGCUCUCCAGGUGCAUGGUCACGUACUCCCGCGGAGGCCGACUAGGAACAUCACCUUUCUCAGGAACCACAAGGAGAACCUCCUUAGGAAUAUCAUAGAGGUUCCUAAGCUUGAACAGAUCAUUUUGGGUGGUGGCACAGGCUAUGUGAUCAAUGGGGUAAGAAUCUGCCUCCAUCCUAUGCCCAAGGUUUUGUUUCUUAAGAGGUCGGCUCGGCUCGGCUCGGAGCUGCUUCCCUCACUAUCACCCGCUCCUUCAGGAACCCCGACCCCACCAGAACUGUGGUUCUCGCCAGAGCCCGACGCAGGUCCCCCUCUAUUUCCUACAAGCUCUAAUUCAGAGGAGGGUGAAAUGGUCAAGGGACGUGGGUACUCAAGGAUAUCCCUACUAUGGGAUAAGCCUACACUACGAGAGGGAUUCAAAAAAUCAGUGGGUAUGGGCAAGUUAAGGUCUGAAUCCCCAGAUUCUUCAUCACCCUCGUCUGCAAUCAACUUCCUUCUUCGAUUUGACAUACCGGAGUUCCAAAAGAAAACCAAAACAAACCCAAGUACACGAAUACAAAAAGAGACAGUACAGAACCCAAUCAACAACAGCCAAAAAAGAGGUUAAAGGCUAUACCUGGAAUGGACUAACAUUGGUAGCACUGCCGUGACAGAGAAAACACCCAGCAAAUGGAUACUCCGGACGCUGGAAAUGGGAGCAAAGUCCAGAAAAGAAAUUGGUUAGUGACGGAGAAACGAAUCGCAGAAUGAUGAUGAUUUUAGUCUAGGGAUUUGGAACGAAAAGGGGGGAAACGGAAGCAUUUAAGUGAUGGGAUAUGCCAGCUCACUCACCAUAUAUCGAGGAAGGAUAGCCCGUCGUUUCAAAUUUCAAAAUAUGAAGAGUCGGGAAGCGCCACGUCACUAACCGAUACAAGAGGCCAGACUAGAGCAAGCCCAGAUAUGCAAUGGACAGGCUCAUUAAGGCCCAUGCUCAGAAGACCAGAUGAGAAGCCCCGGGCUGGUCGGCUUCAACCAUCAGUUUCUACUCUUAACUCAUUUCACUCGCAAGACCAGAAACUGGGGGACUGGUGUUAAGUAAGUAAAAGCACCAGGUCGGCCGUGCUACUAUUUCCGCCCCGGUAUGGCUCACCUCAAUCGAAUGGUACAAGCAGAGCAUGGAGACGAAUAUGGCCCGACCAGAGAUGAGUACCGACCAGAGGUGUAUGCCGAGCCGAUACCCGUCUCCUGAAAAAGCGGGAACACGAUCCCACAGAAUCGCGGGAUUUGCGUUUUUCCCAGAACCGUUGCGAGAGAUGCGAUACCUCACGUUUACCCGUAAUGUAGCAGUUAAAGUUCCGUGAAAGGCCACCACCUGAAAAAGGAGGGAUGAAGACUGAGCGGGAACGUGGGAUAACGGCUAUAAAAGAAGGAGAAAUCGAUGAAGAAGGGGACAGAAAAAUCAAAAGAGGGAAAACGCUGCCAAAUUAUUGUCAGGCUAUCUUCUUGAAAAUUCCAGAUAAAUCAAAAACUACUCUUGAAUCUAAAUUGCUCUGUUUUCCCGUAAAUACCUUGACCUAACUUAGGCAUCGAAGGGUUUACGCCGGCAAAACCACCGGCGUCUUUGAUCCGUUCUUUUGUGAGCGUAGGUCUAGAAAGAGAAAGGAGGACGAGUCCAAGCCCCGCGGUUCGAACUUGAUAACAUAAUCGUUGGUGGAAAAUUCUGAUCGGUAACAAGGCGAGCAAAUUUAAGCAUCAACAAAAUGAAAAUAAAAAUUCAUUACGAAUACGUGUUAAAGAUAUCCCAAGUAUAGAUGUGACUGAAAUAUUUGAGAUUGAAGAAGAAUUAAGACUCAAAAUCAAUUGGGAGGAAUAAAUGAGAAACCCCAAUACCAAAAAAUACACGCACAAAUCCUAAUACUAAUUGUAAUCACGGAUAAAAAGCAUAAUACGAAUAAAUUAAAUGGGCAACUAUUCCAUUGAGAAAUUAAUUAAAUCGUGUAUUAAUAUUUUGUAUACAUAUAUUUUUCUAUAUAUAACUUUCGGUAAUUUAAUUUUCCACUUAUCAUUUUUACUCCAAAAAAAUAAUUGAGAAUAUUAUUUAUAUUUUGGUGCAAAAUAUUUGAACAAUAUACAAAUUUUCAGUUUAAUAAAUCUAAACAUCUAUUAAGUUAUAAAUGAAUUUAAUGGGUUUAAUUAAUAAAAUUACUAUUAUUAUAUAAAUUGGGUUUAGUAAUGGUAUAUUGGGUGGGUUUGUUGAGUAAAUUUUAAAAUUUUGAAAUUUAAGGAUGGGUUUAUUUAGUAAAUGAGUUAAGGGAGUAGUUUGUUGGGAUUCACAUAGCCCCACCAAAUUCAAAUGUAAAAUUUGUGGAAAAAGAAGCUAUUGAGUUAUUCUUUUAAAAAAAGAAUUAAAAUGUCAAGAAUACCUUUAUUUAAUUUUAUAAUCUUAUUUUAUAGUCAUAUUUUAUUUCCACCUUAACAUAAUUUUAAAAACCUUAACUAAUAAAUUCUAUAUUUUUUUUAUAAAAGUUAUCAUUAAUAUCCAAACGGCUAAAGAUUUUUUUUUUUUUAAAAAAAAAGGAACUAUGCUUACAAAAGUUGUAUACAUUAACAAUAAAUUUAGUCCAAAGAAUAAAGUUAUUCCAAACAAGCACUCCAAUUCAUCUUGCUAAUGAAUCAAGAUGACUGAAUCCUUCUCUAAGCCAAAUCUAUUUUCACUUUUAGGUCAGAAAUUGUCAUUAAAAAAAUGUUUGAUAAAAUAUGCUCUAGGAACACUAAUUCGUCAGAUGGUUACUCCAAGUUUAUGAAAUCAAUGGGAUUUCAUCAUAUUCAUAACAUUCUUCUUUAAUGUCUAUUCUAACAAAGAAAUCAUAUACAGAGAAUAGGUUUCGUUAAAACUUUUACUAGAAAAACUAACCACAAUUCACCAUUCAUUUAUAUCUUAAGUAAGCCUAAGAUUUUAUCAUUAAAAUCCCAUCAUGAAAAAAACUCAUGGGAGAAAAACUAUAAAAAUUGAAGAAAAAAGAGUAUGGCGUGCAUGUAAAUUAUAUCGAUUUUAUCUACAUGACAAAUAAGACUCUCUUUUACAAUGGCACGGAUGCUUCAUUGAGUAAUCAUGAUUCUUGCUGGUAGUGCUUUGUUGUAUCAAUCUGCUAGCUAUUCAGCGUUCUUUCUUUCUUUCUUCUUAUUUUUUUGUUUUCAAAUAGCUUGUGGUUGUAGAAAUAUUUCAAUUAAACUAUACUUAAGUACUUAUUUGGUAUAACUUCUUUACUAACCAAAAGAAUUUUUUUUUUUGGUUUUUUAUAAUUUAAUUAUACUUUAACUAGAGUUUUUGGGAUAAAACAAGUGAUAAUUUCUCUCUAUUAAGAAAAACUCAAAGGGUAGGGCUAUCUCAAUCCACCAAACUAUUUAUUAAAAAUCCACUUAUGAAAAUAAUUUUUAAUUAUUAGAAUGCCUUUACAUUAAAUUAUAAUUAUGGACACUAAAAUAUAAUAAAUUUUUUUUUUACUCUUUAAAACUGUCUUUACAUUUGAUAUCAUAUCUUUUUCUUAAAAUCUAAAUUGAUAUUUUUAUUUUAUUUUUUAUUAAUCUUAGAACACAUAUAAAGUGAUUCAUAUUGAUUUUAUACUAACAAACUAUCACAGCACAUUCGAAAAUAAUUAACUCGUUCUUAUUUGCAUAGUGAAAAGGCAAAUAGCUCAUCCAAAUGUUAAAGAACUGGAGAGCUGCUGCUGGAGAUGAAAGAUAAAUAAUUCUCACUUAGAAGAAGGAGAAAAAAAGGAAAUACAAUUAGAAUGAGAGGUAGCCAGUAGCCACUAGCCGCCACCACCACCAGUGAAACUAUUUCACAUAAUAGAAGAUAAAGCACGCGUAAUGGAGGCAAAAAGCAAGUAAUGAUAACUCUUUUCGACACACUAAUACAUAUCAAAAUGCAAUAUCGGUCCUAACAAAAUGAAAAUAAAAAUUCAUUACGAAUAUGUGUUAAAGAUAUCCCAAGUAUUGAUGUGAUUGAAAUAUUUGAGAUUGAAGUAGAAAUAAGACUCAAAAUUAAUUGAGAGGAAUAAAUGAGAAACCCAAAUAUUAAUAAAAUACACGUGCAAAUCCUAAUGCUAAUUAAAAUCACGGAUUAAAAAUAAUAAUAAUAUGAAUGAAUUACAGGCGCAACUGUUUCAUUAAGAAAUUAAUUAAAUCGUGUAUUAAUAUUUUGUACACAUACAUUUUUCCAUAUAUAACUUUCGGUAAUUUAGUUUUCACUUAUCAUCUUUACUCCAAAAAAAAAAUUGAGAAUAUUAUUUAUGUUUUGGUGUAAAAUAUUUGAAUAAUAUACAAAUUUUCUGUUUAAUAAAUCUAAACAUUUCUCCAGUUAUAAAUGAAUUUAAUAGGUUUAAUUAGUAAAAAUAUUAUUAUUAUAUAAAUUGGGUUUGGUAAUGGUAUAUUGGGUAUUUAAAUGGGUUUGUUGAGUAAAUUUUAAAAUUUUAAAAUUCAAGGGUGGGUUUAUUUUAGUAAAUGGGUUAAGGCAGCAAUUUCCCAAACUAAAAUUUUUAGAAAAAGACGCUAUUGAGUUUUUUUUUUUUUUAAAAAAAGAAUUAAAAUGUUGAGAAUACCUUUAUUUAAUUUUAUAAUCUUAUUUUAAAAAAUUUACCCAAUAAAUUUUAUAAUUUUUAUAAAAAUUAUCAUUAACAUCCAAACAGCUAAAGAUUAAAAAAAAAAAAAAAGAAGAAGGGAACUGUACGAGCAAAAGUUACAUUAACAAUAAAUUUAGUCCAAAGAAUAAAGUUACAGCUAAAAAGUGCUCCUAUCCUAUUUUUCUCUAUUUUAACAAUAAUCUUCUUCCAAUCCGUUUUACAAUGGACUUUAACAAAUGGGCUCAAUCUCUAAACUUCAUUUUCUUUUGCUUACCCAUGGCCAUUAGCCAGAAAGCCUAAAACAAGACCAGCCCAUAUAUAUAAUUUUUUUUAAAAAAAAGUAAAAAUGUGUGAGAGCUUGUAGCAUUACAAUUUUAGGAUCACAUGUGUAAAUGGAACCCCAACAUUGAUCAAGAAUUAACAAGACAAGAUGAAGAGAUGAUCUUGUAACUAAGAAUGAAGAAAUUGAAUCAAGACAGUACUCUAGUAAAACCCAGAAAACAGAGCUUGAAGAAUCACGCACAAAGCAGUAAAUUUGUAAAACCAGAAUUGGAGCUUCACUUCUCAAGAGAGACGAAACAGGAUACAGUCUAGCUUUAGCCAAAGUGAUAAACUCGUAAUUAUUCUACAAAGGGAACAAUUUUGAACAGUGGGAAAUUCCAUAAUUAUUCUUUUCGGUGAAUUAUUUUAAAUAAAAUUAUAAAAACCAAUAUAAAAUUAUUACCCAGUAAAGACUUUAGAGAGACAAGUGCUCCCAACAGGAUCAAGUGAAUAUGCCCCACAAAGAUCAUUUCUUGUUCUUUUUCUUUUUGACAAUUUUAUCUGUGGUUUCAACUUUUAUGCUUUAUUGUCGUAUCCCGUUGAGGGCUCCGCUGCACCCAUUACAACUUACCCCUAAAUUGCCUCUUACUAACUAAACCGUUAGAUUUUAUGGAAGCACGUUCAAUGCUGAAUUUUAAUUAUGUCAUCAAAUUUCGUUUAGCUCCUUAAACUCCAUUUUAUUUGUAAUUUCUUCAUAAAAUAUUCAAAGCUUCAUCAAGCUCCUGAUGGACCAUCAUGGCUAGGGGUGCAUUAGAGCCGAACUGAAAUAUGUUAGUUCAGUUCAGUUUGGUCAGUUUAAAUCGAAUGGUUUAGAAUAUAUAAACUGAUCAAUUUUAAUUUUUAAUUGAACCGAAAAUCAAUUGGUUCAUUAUUAGUAUUUUUUUAUAAACAUGAAUUAUUAGUGAUUGUAAUUAAAUUGGACUAAAAAAAAUUCAAACUAAGGUGAAAAAUAUAAAAUCUUAGACAAUAUAAAAGAAAAAAUAUUAAAUUUUUUUAACCGAAUUAUUUUGACUCAAUUUGGUUCAUAAUUUUUUAAACCAAAUGGAACCCUCAUAACAAAAAACUAACAGAAACAAUAAGAACACGAUGUUAAAAUCUUAAAUCAAUCGCAAAAAAGCACCCAAAACAGAUCGAUUAGGAACAGUUAACAACAAAAGAUUUGAUGGUUCAAAAUCAUAAUGUGACCUACUUCCAUCCAAGAAUUAUACUAAUUUCUUUACUAGUUGUCAAAUACAAGAUCACAAGAUUAUUUAUCACUCUAUAGAGAAAAAAUUUUUAGAAGAAAUACUCCCCAAUUUUUCUCUUGAUAGUUAUGAAUCAACACCCCUAGAAAGGCUAUUGAUUUACUUUUCCUUAUUUCAUAUGAUCGGUUGCUGCAACUUAAUCCUUGCCAAGUUCCAACAUAGUCCAAACAUUUUUCAUGGUACAUGCAUAGUGCACCUUCAGAAACUUUACAGCUCUUCUUAAAACCUCAGUUCUCGUGAUGUUUCUGAUUUAUUUCUGGGACGAGUAACACUUUUGUUGAACCUAGACCAGAUUUAGUAUCCAAUCAAGAAUUUCCAGGAUCUAGCUGAACUCUCUAAUCAAGACCUAAAGAAUAGUUAAUCAAAUCCACACAAAAGAAUCACCCAAAAACAGUAUACAAAGAACAACAAAUAUAAGUGGUUUUGAGAUAAAUGUAAUUGACUUCUGAGCAUGACUUAAUUUUGAGAUCAUUACUUUUAGUUAAAUGAUCUCCUCCAGAGCUUCUACCUAUGUAGUGUUUUUAGACCUCUAUAGUUGAUAAAGCACGUUCAAGGUGAAGGCUUGUUUUCCAAUCUAUAGUCCAAUUAUAGACUGGAAAUGGUCAGGCUUAAUGCACCUUCAAAAGCUUCACAAUUUGUAUUGAAACCUUAAGCCUCAGAAUGCUACAAAUUUUAAAUCCAUAUACUUAGUGCUCUUAUGAUUUGUUUGAUUUUUACUUAGAUGAAGAGCAUUUUAGCUAUAGAAAACAUUGUAACUAAUUCAAAGCAUGCCUUAGCUACGAGAUCAUUCAUUCUAGCCAAAUGCCCCCUUUAGAGAUUCUGCUAUUGUUGUGUAUUCAGCCUCUAUAUUUGGCAAAGCAAUUACAUGUCGAAGGCUUGCUUUCCAGUUAACAGCGCAAUUACAUAGAUUAAAGGUGUAACCAGGCAAAGAACUUAGUUAUUCUGCCAAGGUCUCCAACAUACUCCAAAUCCAUAUAACCACCAGACUUCAAUCUUUAGACUCCAUAGAUCAAACCAUAACUUAGUGUGCCUUUCAAUCUCAGGUAACAUUUUACUGUUUUCCACGUCUUGCCAUGUACUUGCUGCUAACACUAACAAUUUGAGAAAUGUUAGGCAUCGUAAGCAGCCGACAACACUCUUCUUCAUUUCUUCAUUGUCAAUUUCCUUCUUGGAACAUUGCUCCAUUGAGAGUCUGCUAUCAUUGCUCCAAUUAUUAUUAUUUUUGUUUUUUUAAAAAAAAAAAUUAACCGUGCAAUAAGAGUAUAAGACUAAGCAACGGUCCUUUUUUUUUUCCCAUUCUUGAACAUGAAGUAUUUGAGUAUGCAAUAAAAAUUGUUUAUUGAUAAUUAAAAGUUAAUAGUGGGUGGCUUUAGGAUUUGUUUACAAAAUUGACAACAAAUUAAGAUUUUUCAAAUUCAUAGGUAAGAAACUUUUCAUUUAUUCAUAGAUUUUCCGGUUUAAACUUUAAAGGAAACUUAAAAGAAAAAGAUGUAUCAUUAGAUUUGUAAUUAAAAAAAUUUAAUAUUGUAUGAUCUGUUCGAUAUGCAUAAUUUAAAUAAACAUUAAUAUAGAUGUUAUAUAUCCUAAAACUUAAUUGACUUAAUUCUUACGGUGCAAGGAAGACGUUUCCAAGUUUAAAUCUAAUUUGGGGUCGGGAAAGCACUGGGAAAUAAAUGUAACAAAGGAAAAAAGAAAAGAAUGACAGUCUGAGUGGAGCCAACACGGUUUUGAAAAAAGUGCAAAAAAGGGUUUUAGGAUAUAUUCUAUUAUCGUUUGUUUGCUUGCUUGUGGAAAUAAAAGUCUCAUGUUUCUUUGAAAGGUAAGCAAGUGUGAAUGUUUCUAUCUAGAGCUGGAAAAUGCAUUUCCGUGCAACUUACUUGAUGAAUGAAGUUUUCAUCUCUGACCUUGAUGUUUCCCAGAGCUGCAUUCAUUUCAGCUGAUCUAUUUCAUUUCGUUUGCAAAGGAGUGACACAAAACCUCCUUUGUUAAGGGGAGAAUUUAGAGUGGCUUCAACGGUUAACAAAUAGCCUAAUGUAAGACUUAAUCAAUUUCCUGCCCGGUUGCUUACCACUACUUAUCACUUUAACGUAUGAAACCUAAUCAAGAUUCCUUUGAUGAUUUUUCUAUUUGCUAAUUGAUUGAUAAGCUCUUCAGUGAAGAUAUAGUGUCCGCAAGCCAUAUGUUGAUAGAGUUAGAGUUUGCAGAAGCUACUGUACCAUAUGUUGUUAGAGGCGGUAAAAACGGAGGCAGAUCAACACACAUUUAAAUUUCAAUGACAAUUUACUGGAAAUAAAUUUCCUAUGACCCUACAUGUGACUAAUUGAUGAGAACUUGACAAUGACAAAAGAAAGUGUAUGAGCUUUGCAGGCUGGCUUGCCAAUAUUGACUGUAUGGCACCAUCCGCAAGUAAGUAUCAUUACUGUUUAAUCAACUUGGUGGAGUCCACUGGGACCACCCCACAUGGUCAGUCUUAUCUCUACUCCUAAAUUUUCAAUAUUCCAUACAUCAAACCAAUUGCAGUUUUGAUAUCAAAUUCAAUUUUAUUGUUGGUGACGAUUCUGAUUCCUUUCAUUCUCACAAAACGGAACCAUGGUUGCUGUUGGAGAGAUCUUACUCAACGCCUUCCUUGAGGUGUUGUUUGACAGGUUGGCUUCUCGUAAUUUGCUCCGCUUUGUGCGUCAACUCCAAGGCGGGGUUGAUUCGGAGCUCAAGAAGUGGGAGAAAAAGCUGAAGAUGAUUCAGGCUGUGCUCUGCGAUGCAGAGGAGAAGCAACUGACCGAUGAGGCUGUGAAGAUGUGGCUGGACGAACUCCAAGACUUAGCUUUUGACGCUGAGGACAUUCUUGAUGAGUUUGCUACUCAAGCUUUGGAAAGCAAGUUGAUGGCGCAAAACCAGGAUAGCUCUGGCCAGGUUCUCAGUCUCAUCCCGGCUAGUUUGAAUCCGAAUGCUAUUAUGUUCAAUUAUAGCAUGGGGUCCAAGAUUAAAGAUAUGACUAGCCGGCUGGAGCAACUCUGCCAAGAAAGAAUUGAACUUGGACUGCAACGGCUUACUGGAGGGGCGUCAUCAACCGCUGCUGCUGCACACCGGAGGCCACCCAGUUCGAGUGUCCGAACAGAACGUGAAGUAUUUGGAAGAGAAGAAGAUAAGGCCAAAAUUCUUGAUAUGGUCAAUACCCCAAGUGAUCACGCCAACUUUGUUGUAAUACCUAUUGUUGGAAUGGGCGGGAUAGGAAAAACAACUCUUGCUCGGGAGGUCUACAAUGACAAGGCAGUUGAGGAUUCCAAGUUUGACGUAAAAGCAUGGGUUUGUGUCUCCGACAACUUUGAUGUUUUCAACAUUUCAAAGGCACUUCUCGAGUCAAUCACCUCCGCAGCUAGUGAUCUCAAGACUUUAAAUGAAGUGCAGGUUCAACUGAAAAAAGCAGUGGACGGAAAAAGAUUCUUGCUGGUCUUAGAUGAUGUUUGGAACGAGGACUACAGCUUGUGGGUAGACUUAAAAGCUCCGUUCCUGGGUGCUGCACCAAACAGUAAGAUGAUCGUCACCACACGCAAUUUAAACGUUGCAUCAACAAUGGGACCAAUUGAACAUUAUAAUCUCAAGAGUCUGUUAGAUGAUGAUUGCUGGUCCAUUUUCAUACAGCAUGCAUUUGAAGGUAGAGAUCUUAACGCAUAUCAAAUUUCAGAAUCAUUCAGCAAGAAAGUUGUUGGCAAGUGUGGGGGCUUGCCUCUGGCAGCAAAAACGCUCGGGGACUUCUGCGCACAACAAGGCAUGAUGCGUGGGACGAUAUAUUGGAUAGCAAAAUAUGGGAUUUACAUCAACAAAGCAGCAUUCUCCCUGUGUUAAGAUUGAGUUACCAUCAUCUUCCGUCUCAUUUGAAAAGAUGUUUUGCUUUUUGUGCCAUCUUUCCAAAAGAUUAUGCAUUCACUGAGAGGGAGCUGACUUUCUUAUGGAUGGCUGGAGGUAUUAUUCGACAGUCAAGAAACAAUGAGCAGCUGGAAGAUUUGGGCAGCAAGUGCUUUGGUGAUCUAGUGUCGAGGUCAAUUUUUCAGCAAACAGCAAGCUCUGAUAGUUCUAAAUUUGUAAUGCAUGACCUUAUUCAUGAUCUUGCUGAAUUGGUCUCUGGAGAAACCAUAUUCAGGUUAGAGGAGGCCAAUACUCGGUCAAGAAGAUUUGAAAGGGUUCGCCAUUCUUCCUAUGCUUGUGGUGGAUGUGAUGGUAAAAAUAUGUUCGUGGUUUUCAAUGAAAUUGAACAUCUACGAACAUUCUUGCCAUUACGCUUACGCAGAAGAGGUGGCUCUAAUGCUGGUUACAUAACUCGUACGGUUCUAUCUGAUUUGCUGCCGAAGUUCAAAAGGUUGAGAAUGCUAUCUUUACAAGGAUACUGUAUUGGUGAGUUACCAAUUCCAUUUGAAGAUUUGAGACUUUUAAGGUUUCUCAACCUUGCUGACACUGACAUAAGAAGUUUACCCGAGUCAACAUGCAAAUUGCUGAACUUGGAAAUUUUUAUAUUAAGAAAUUGUUCCCGUUUGAUAAAGCUUCCACCCAAAAUGAGGAAUUUGAUCAAUUUACGCCAUUUGGAUUUAAGAGGUGCGAAGUUGCUGAAGGAGAUGCCAUUCGGAAUGAAAGAGUUGAAGAAGCUUCAAACAUUGUCCAAUUUCAUCGUGGGCAAGGGCGAAACUGCAUCUGGUUUGGAAGAUUUAAAAUGUUUAAACUUUCUUUGUGAUGAACUCUGCAUUGCUGGAUUAGAGAAUGUGAAUGGUCCACAGAAUGCAAGAGAAGCCGCAUUAUGUGAGAAGCACAAUCUUGAAGCAUUGACUCUAGAAUGGGGGUCUCAAUCUGACGGUCCUCGGGAUGCAGUACUAGAAGAGAAGGUACUUGACACUCUACAACCUCAUGAAUGUAUAAAAGAGCUGGCAAUCAGGCACUAUGGUGGUGCAAGAUUUCCACCUUGGAUCGGACAGCAUUCGUUCUCCGAGAUGAAGGUCCUUAAAUUGGAGAACUGUGGCAAUUGUGUAUCUCUGCCAUCGCUUGGCCUGAUGAGUUCACUUAAGCACCUUGCUGUUAAAGGGCUGAAGAAAUUAAAAAGCCUAGAGUCUGAGGUUUAUGGGGAGGGUUUCUCAAUGCCUUUUUCGUCACUGGAGAUUCUAAGUUUUGAGAAUUUGCCAGAAUGCGAGCAUUGGGACACCAAUAUCAAAGGAAAUGUGCUUGUUGAAAUAUUUCCUCGUCUCCAUAAACUUUCCAUUGUGGAAUGUCCCAAACUCUCCGGAAAACUGCCUGAGCUCCUGCCCUCCUUGAAGACACUUGUUGUUAGUAAAUGUGAAAAGUUGGUAGUUCCAUUGUCUUGCUAUCCAAUGCUUUGCAGAUUAGAAGUUGAUGAGUGCAAAGAACUAGUCUGCCGGACUCCGAUUGAUUUUAAGUUGAUAAAGUCGGUGACUAUUUCAAAUAGUUCAUUAGACAUGAAUGGACGCAAGGGGAUGCUAUACGAUGGUCCAGCUGGCUCUUUACUGCCAAAGCCCAUGACUACUACAAAUGUUUUGGAGUUUGGAAAAUUAUUGAAGCCUGGAUUUCAGAUAUUAGAAACUUUGGUAAUUGGCAAUUCUGAACAGCUCAAGUCAUGGAGGCAGCAUGGGGAUUUUCCGAAAAAAUACAUGGUCACUGACCAUGGGUUUAAGAAACCAGUACGAGGGCUGAAUAUGCUCGCUUCCCCUGAGGAGGUAUCAAUUGAAGAAAGUUGCGUACGUCUUGUUUUGUUUCCAGAGAUCAAUUUCUUUCCCAGAAAUCUGCGCUCUCUUCUAAUUAACAACAGCACUGCUUUGAAAUCCUUACCCGAGGAAAUGAUGGAAAACAAUUCACAACUCGAAAGGUUGUAUAUCAAGGAUUGCGACUCUCUAACAUUCAUCGCAAGACGGAGGCUACCAGCAUCUCUGAAAAGGCUUGAGAUAGAAAAUUGUGAGAAAUUGCAACGUCUGUUCGAUGAUGAAGAGGAUGCUUCUUCUUCUUGUCCUUCAUCCUCGUCUUCCCCAGUGAUGCUGAAACACCUGAGAAUCGAUAACUGCCCAGAGCUCACCAGUUUAUCAUCGGGUGUCCAAUUCCUUGAGGCGCUUGAAGACCUCAAGAUAGGGCAUUGUCCAAAGCUGGAGUCAAUACCGGAUGGCCUGCCCAAUCUUAAAUGUUUACAGAGCAUUUAUAUACGGGAUUGUCCAAGUCUUGUUUCCUUCCCAGAAAGAGGGCUUCCCCACACCAUUUCAGGGGUUUUCAUUGCGAGUUGUGUGAAGCUCGAAGCCUUGCCCAAUGAUUUGCACAAACUCAACUCUCUUCGAGGUUUAAGCAUACAGCUCUGUCCAAAUCUUGUAUCGUUUCCAGAAGAAGGUUUUCCUACCAAUCUAACAACCCUUGUAAUUGAAAAAUUCAAAUUGUAUAAGACACUCGUCCAGUGGGGGUUGCACAGGCUUACCUCUCUUAGAGACCUCUACAUCAUUGGAUGUGAUGAUGAAGCAGAGUGUUUUCCAGACGAGGAGAUAGGAAUGACGCUGCCCACCUCUCUCACUCAUCUGUCCUUUUGUGGAUUCCAAAAUUUGAUAUUUCUGUCUUCAAUGGGUUUUCAAAACCUCACCUCUCUUCAAUCAUUCCCAGAGGUGGGCUUUCCAUCCUCACUUUGGGGCUUAGACAUUAGAUAUUGUCCAAAGCUCAAAACAGCGUGCAAAAGAGAUGAAGGAAAAGAGUGGUCCAAAAUUGCUCACAUCCCUCGCGUUGAGAUAGACGGUAAAUUCAUAUACGAUCCAGAAGCAGAGGAGUAGAUUCUACUAUUAAGGUCAGUUGAUUUGUAUUAUCCGCUAUAACAAGCUCCUCCUUUUUUAUUUUUUUUUUUGAAAUAAUAAUUUUGCAGUCACUCACGUGAUUCCGUUUUCACAAGUCAGAUUGUACGUUGAGGCUAUUUGCCUUUUAAUCGCAGAUUAAAUUAUAACACUUAUCUUAAAAUUUAAUACCAUAGACAGAUAGACGAUUUUUUAAUCCAAAGUUUUUUUUAUUCACUUCAGUUAGCAUUUUUUUUUUCCCCAAAUCAUGCAAGCCGAGAGUUUCAAUCAAGAAUUGGAGGAUGUGAAUGGGAAUUUUGUGAAAGAGUAACAUAAUGGAUGAACGAACAUUUCAUAUGUGAUCUCAAAGUCAACAGAAUUUUAUUCACUCGUUGACUUUUCAACUGCUGUGGUUAUUUAUGGGUGAAAGAUAAGGGCAAUUACAAAAAAUUUGCAAAAUUUGUCCAUUUCUUAGAUGGUAGAAAUUGGAGUAUAAUAUUUUGGAGCAAGCAUACUUGAAAUUUCUUUCUUCAAUAUUUUGAUGCUUUCUUAUCCCAUGCACAAAAAUACUAGAAAAAACUAAUAACAACUAACCGAAAAUCCCAGGCGUCAUAUUCCUUUUUACCGCGUUUUAAAAUGCACAACAAUGAUAUUCUUACAAAUUUGCAAAAUUUGUCAAUUUCUUAGAUUUCAGAUAUUUUAAUGCUUUUUUUAAUUUUUGAUCUAGUAAAAAUACAUAGCCUUCACCGGCAAGAUUCUAGUCUUGGAUUUCACCUCUCUAACUCAUCUGUUCCCAUUGGGAUUCCAGAAAUUGAAAUUUCUGUCUUCAAUGGGUUUUCAAAGCCUCGCCUCUCUUCGAUUUUUGUGGAUCGGGAAUUGCACAAAUCUCACAUCAUUUCCCGAGGUCGAGGAAAAGAGCGGCCCAAACUUGCUCGCAUCCCUUAUUAGGUUAUGAUAGAUGGAAAAUUCAUAUACGAUCCAGAGUCAGAGGUGUUGAUUCUCUUAUUAAGGUCAGCUGAUUUCUAUUAUCCACUCUGACAAUCUCCUAUUAGUGUUUUUCCUUUUGAAAUUUUUUUUCCAAAAUUUUGCAGUUCCGUAUAAUUGAAAAUGCCAUUCAGUUGUUUCCUAAUAGUAUGUUGAGGCUAUUUGCUUUCUAUCGGUGUUUGUUAAGGUAAUUAGUGCUCCCUCGUAGGUGUGACUGGAUUUUUUUCACUUCCGUAAAUAUUGCAUUUUAGACUGGCAAAUUUAGCAGUAAUUUUAAUACAAUUUUGUUGGUGCCUUGUGUUCCAGAAGCUAGAAAAAUGUGUAGUUUUCAGAUAAGGAGGCUUGUCAGUUCUCUAGUAAGAAUCCAAUGAUUUGCUUUUGCACGUCCAUCUAAUUUGUGGAUCCUUGCAUCAGAAUUUGAUCAAUCCAAAAGGAAUUGCUUUUAGACAGAAGAAGAAUAGCAGCACCUAGCCUACCCGCAAACCUGAAACUAUUAGAUUGAGGUAAAAAAAUCAUUGACCCUCACAUGUUAACUUCUUCUAGUUACUUUCGUUGGGAAAAAAAAAAACAUUUAAGGAAUUUGCAAUUUGUUGUUAGUUAUGGUAUCUGAUGUUCUUUUCUGCUUUAGCGUUUGUAGAAUCUACUGUAUUAUGUGUUGGCAGUUGCCGUAUCUAAGGUAACUUGCCUUUAUUUGUUUGCUUCUGACUUAAGGACACCAACAUUUGCCAGAGAUUUAGAGAAUCAUCUCAAAACACUUAGCAAACUUGACAAACUUCAAGAUGCACUUGCCCCCACGCCUUAUUCUCAACAACGCAAAACUUGUGAGUACACCUAUGCCUGCAAUUAUUGUGAAGUGUUCGCAAUUCUGAUGCAGAGAAAUGGUUUCUUGAUGCAAAGUAUUAAACUGUUAAGAUUUAUCCUGCAGGCUUGUUAGAUGCUGGAUACGCGAAAAGCCAACAACAUCAAGAACUGCAACUCCAAGACCAGCUUUGCGUUAAUUCAGUCAGCUGUAAUAAUGAUGCAAAUGACACUAUAUCAAGCUGGACUUAGAGACUAGUCAGAUAAAUCAUCCAUUUCAUCAACGGUUAAUGUCAUGAUGGUGGCUAUCAGAGGAAACAAAAGAUGUGUCGGAAUCUAUACAAACAUUGAGAAGCAUGAGAGGAGCUUUGAUUUUGAGUAGGGUCAAUGAACUCAUAUUGGUAAGUGGUAAUUAAAGAAACUUUGUAAGCUUAGUAGAGUUUCAGUAUUUUCUGUUUGGAGUAUAGUUGAUAAGUUGACUCUGUUUAAGAAGCCCGAUUAUAGUAGCUGACUGUAUUAACCUUUUUUUUUUUUUUUUGGGUCUGCUGUUGUUUUUGGUUUCGAUUAUUUUUUCAACAUUGGGUUGAUCUGUUGAAGAACAAGCUUGGGUUUGAUUAUGCUUUAACUACAAGGAAGAGCCAGACUUGGAUGCAGGCGUUAAGCUUUUAAUGGGUAAGAACAAAUGAAUGCUUUAACUAUGUUUCUCACUUAUUAAAAUGCACGGAUUGAAGGCAUCUGGGUUGAUCCUGACAAUGUGAUGGAAAUACUUCUCUGUUUUCAUAUAACAGGACAAAUAGAGAUCUCUGAUCAUGCCUGAAUUUUUGUUGCAUUGAAAUUUCUACCAUUAUCAAACAUAGAAUGAACUAGGGAUACAUUAGCUUAAGACUAAAUUUUGAGAAGGAAGUUUGUACUUGCAGCCUAUAAAAUCAUGUCCAUGUUGUACGUUUCUUUGGGAAAUGAAAGAUUCUGUGUGUUCUUUUAUUUCAAGUUCACUGAAAUCACAUUUGUUUUCUCAGCUGCUUUCCAGAAGGUAACAACAUCAAUUUCAAAAAUGCUGGGGCAAGAUGUAUCAUGCAGUGCAACUCAACUUGAGAAUUCCUGGCCACAUUACCCGUAUGUCUAAUGAUCGCACAGUACAACCUUGAGAAGCUUGUAAUGAGUACACAACUGGGUGCAAGUAGUUUUGAAAUGAAUUUGCCUCAAAUGAUUUCUUGCCGGUGAUUAAUAUAACCUCUAUUCCAAAAUUCUUGGAACUGGUCAUACUAGCAAUGAAGGAUUGCAUACAUUGAAGACAUAGCUGAAGGCCUUGCGAGAGCUCUGUCAGCCCUUGUACCGGAAAACAGCUGGUCGUAGUCGCUUGUGAAUGAUAUGAUUAAUAGAUACUGCAAAAAUGAAUUGUGCCAUACAUUUUCAGCGCUCUGUGAAGAUGUCUUGGUCAUUUGUUUGAUGCUUGUUUGAUUUAUGUUGUAUUCAGCCAUAAAUCAGAGAUUCAGAACUUGGGUAUGUUUCUGGUUUCCAAAUCAAAAAAUUGCCUUGUGAUGUUAGUGUUCACUGUUUUCACAGGAGAUCAGGUUCCUUGUUAAUGAAUCAAGAAGAAGGCAAGCGCAUCCAUGUCCAAGUUCAAAUGUGUCUCCUCUAUUUUCUAUUACCCACUCAUUUAUUUUGAUUUCUUCAUUGUAAUUGAAUUAGUUUUUUAUUCCAAAUUAGUCAAAACCUCGUAGAGUCAUUAAGUUCUUUUAGCAUUUAAAGACAGAACUACGAACCAAAUGAUUUAAGUUCUUCGUUGUAAUUGAAUUUGCUUUCCCAUCUUUAAAGAUAUUAUGUUCUUUUUCACUUUUUCGAUUUGGUUAGUGGUGAUUUCUUAAAGACUCAAUCCAUUUGCGUUAAUACAUUUUUCUUUUGCCUUGAUUUCUGUUUCUUGGGGAGUUUAUACAUAUUCUUAUUUUAUGCUACACAUGCCAUAUACAGAUUCUUAUUUUAUGCUUCACAUGCCACAUGAAAGGUCAAAGCCUUGUGUGUGAUUAGAAUUUACUGGCAUCAUAGUAACUUUAAACCAUUGUGACGUUUUAGUAAUAACAGUCUGAGCUCUCCCUGAAGGAUUCAAAGCAUUUUAUUUUAUAUUAUACUCCUUUAUAUGGUUUGGCUGGUCUCUUUUAAGGCAAUUCCUGUUUAAAGUAAUCAAAAUUUUGAUUUCGAAGUGUCUUUCAACACUACCGCUAGUUCUUUAAGAAAAGUAAAUCGAUUUUGAGUCUUCUGUAUCAUCUGAUUGAAAUACAUGAAAGCACUCUUAGCUGCAAAAGUACACUUGGAGUUAUAAUAGCAUUCUGAAAUCUCCUUGAAGGAUUCAAAAGCUCUUUAUUUGCUAGUCUUUGCUUGCAAUAAACUCCUUUAAUAUAGAUUGGUUGAUCUUCUUUAAAGCAAUUACCAUAAGUUCUUUAAAUAAUAAAACGACUUUGAGUCUUAUGUAUCAUCUUGUUGAAAUACAUGAAAGCACUCUUGGCUGUAAAAAUGCACUUGGGGUUAUAUAUAAAGUCUUCAACAGAAUUUUAUUUCCCCCUUUAUCCUCAUGGUGGUCUUUUUAGUUGUUUUUUAAGAAAUCGCUUGAAGGUUCUCUUUAAAAAUAAUUUUAACAUAAGCAUUCUUUAGAAGCACUUUAGAUGUCUGGCAUUUAGAAAAUUUUGUUCCUGUGUUCACAUAAUAUAAUAUAUAUAUAUAGAAAGCUGACUGUAGAAUAGAGGAGAACGAGUUGGUGUUGGUCUGAACUCUGAUCUUUGAAUCUCAUGUGACUCCACUACUUUUUACUUGUUCUGUACAAGGUCUUUUAGCUUUUCAAAAAGUUUUAGCUUUAUGGAUAAAAUACUGUUAAUUGUAAUCUAUAAAUAAUGAAAGGAAUUAAUAAAAUAUUUGGUAAAUUUUAUUUUCUAAAGUGUUAUGAGUUCUAAAACGGCUGUAUGUAUAUAAAUUUAUUUACACAUAUAUUUAUAAAUAUGAUUAUAUAAUAAUAUUUUAUGUGUACAUAUCAUAAUUGAUAACUAAAAUAAAUAUUUUUAUUUUAUUAAUGGUUUUUCCGUCUCAAUGUAGUUGGUAAUAAUAAUCUCUUUAGAUGUAACGAUUUUAUUUCCUAACUGAAUAAGGAAAAUUUUAGAUUUUUAUAAUAAAUGUUAAAUAUAUAUAGAAUUACAUUAAGUAUGAAAUAAUCCUCAAAAUUAGAUUUGAAAAGUUAUUCUUUUCUUGCUUUUAAAAAUAUGUCAUAUGAUGAGAUAAUUUUACUAAAAGUGAUUUUUUUUUAAAAAAAUUACUAAACAUCAAAAUUAACUCUUAACUUUUUAAAAUCAUUUCUAAUCUUCUCAUCCUAAGUUCUUUAUUGUUUUGUACAAAAUCCAAGGUUUUGACUUUUAUAAAAUGCCCACUCAAAAAUAAAUUAUUUUCUAAUUAAGAUUUGUUGUUAAUGUAUAACUCGAAGUAAUAUUAGAUAUUUGUAAUUUUAUUUCAAAAAUUUUAUUCAAAUGAUAUGGCAAGCAAUGAACAAUAGUUGAUAGCAAUUUUUUUUUUUUAACAAUGUUCAAAUCAAUCAGUUGCAUUAUCUCACCAUUUUUAUGAUGUCAUGUUAUUUUAAAUGAUUUUUUUAAUUUUUAUAUAAAACAUACGACGUGUUAACAUCAUUUGCAUAACUUGACCUUUUUUUUUUUCCUACAAAUAGUGUUUAAAAUUCAACACACAGAUGUGCCUCUUUCUUACUAUACUGGAAUCCUCGGUAAACUUUUUGUUUGCGCAAUUUAUGUGAGCAAAUUGUGUCUUCUUUUUCAUAUGUAAAUGUUUUUGAUAUCUUGAUGUGAAGGUAGAAAAUUGCAUGUUUUGAGUUUUUGCAUAUUUGAUGGAAACACAGAACCGUACCUGAAUAUUUCAGAACCCCCUUUUCUUUGAAGUUUGAACACUUUUCUUGAAUGUAUCAACUUUAUUUAUGGGAUAUGUUGCCAAAUUGGCAAAUCUAUUCGUUAUAAAACUUUCCUUUGACAGUUUAAUCUAAGCAGAUGUUAAUUCUGCAAAUAGAGUGUGCCUUAGAUUAGUUUCAUAGAUUUGUCUCCUUCUGUACAGUAAAAACUUUGAGCAUUUUCGCCAUAUUCUGAUCAAUACACUCCAACUAGUUAGUUCUUGAGGCGUUUUAUGGUUUCGUGGAGUGAGGCAAGAUGUAUACGUUUGCAAAUUGGCAAUGUCUUUUGCUUGAUGGGUUGAGAGUUGUGAGUGUCAACAGGAAACAAGACCUCUGUUUUAUGAACUCCAAAAAGUUAUUCUGUUAGAAAGAUCGAGACAGAGGCCAUACUAUAUUUAUUAUUGCUAUAAAAGUGUGAAAAAAUAUUCUUUAUUUAAUAUUCUAAACGAUUGAGCCAUUUAGUUAUGAUAUUCUGCUGUAUUGGGGCUAAUAAUCUAAGUCGGUUCAAAGUGGUAAAUUUAUAAAUUGAUAGGUAUGCCUGGUAUGACCGCUUACGUUGGAUUUUAUGAGGUCUGCUCUCCUAAGCAUGGAGAGUGUGUCUUCAUAUCAGCAGCAUCUGGUGCAGUUGGUCAGCUUGUGGGGCAGUUUGCAAAGUUAUUGGGCUGCUAUGUCGUCGGAAGUGCUGGAAGCAAAGACAAGGUAGGUUAUCUGUGUGAAGUACUUGAUUGUUUCCGUGUUACUUUCAAACAUUUAAAUUAAAAAGGAAAUUUUCAUAAUCUUGCCUUUUCUAUGAUUUUCAAAACCAAGGUUGAUCUACUGAAGAACAAGUUUGGGUUCGACGAGGCAUUUAACUAUAAAGAAGAAGCUGAUUUGAAUGCAGCAUUGAAAAGGUUAGCAUCAAUAAAUGCCUUAGCUUGAUGCAGCUUGAUGAAGUAUGAUACACAUUUCUGACCAAUAUACUGCGUUCCCUGAUCUCUUACUUGAAAUAUCUUGGUUUGAGAAUCUCAUGCCAAUGCCUUUAACAUUUUGGCAGGUACUUUCCUGAAGGAAUUGAUAUAUAUUUUGAAAACGUUGGUGGAAAAACGCUUGAUGCAGUGCUACCCAACAUGAAAAUCCGUGGUCGAAUUGCUGCAUGCGGUAUGAUCUCACAGUACAAUCUUGACAAGCCUGAAGGUGUGCACAACUUGAUGUAUCUUGUUUCGAAACGGCUUCGAAUGGAAGGAUUCAUUGUUCUCGAUCACUAUCACCUCUAUCCAAAGUUUCUGGAAAUGAUCAUUCCUCACAUCAAAGAAGGGAAGCUUGUAUACGUCGAAGACAUGGCUGAAGGUCUUGAGAGUGCUCCGGCAGCUCUCAUCGGUCUAUUCUCUGGCCAGAAUGUUGGGAAACAGGUGGUUGCUGUUGCUCCUGAAUGAAGAACAAGUUAGUGUUGCAGUUUGAAUGAUGCUGCUGCACAACUGCUGCCGAAAAAAUCCUUAAUAGAUGAUUAGCAAGGUUUCAAAAAUAAAAAGAAAUGUUUGUGCAACGUGCCGAAUAUGACAGCCACAAAGAAAGAGCAUACAAAUUGAUUGGUUUUAUGUCUUCUCUAGGAGAAAGCUACAAUACAAGAAAUUGUAUUGAUGGAGCCAUGGACCAAAUUUCUUAUUUAAACUUUUAAUUUUUUUUAUUAAAAUUACUUAUGUUAUUAUGGUUUAUAUUUUUAGAAAUUCUUUAGAAAUUAAUACAGAACUAGUAGCAAGUUGAGAAAUCUACUGAAUAGUCGAGAUAUGAUCAUGUUUAUUGAAUUAAAUUGACAAUCAUCAUUUUGAUAAAUUAUUGUUAGGAUAUUUGAUUCAUCACAGGUGUAAGUAACUAAAUGUGCUAAAAAAAAAGUUAAUGAGUUGUGAGUGUUUGAUAUUCGUUUGUUGUAAUUCUUUUAAUAAUUGUUGUGGGAAAAAAAUUAUGGUAAAAAAAUUAUAAUUAUAAAAUAAAAAUUAAUAAUAUAUUAUAAAUAAAAUUUUUAAAUAAUAAUUUUAAUAAAAUAAUAAAUAUAUUAUGAAUUUUUCAUUAUAAAUUUUUAAGUUAAAAUAAUAAAUAUUUAUUAAAUAUUUUAAUAGCACAACUUUUAAAUUAUAACAGUACAAUGUAAAUACCAGAGGUCUUAAAAAAUAAAAUUACAGUCAAGUUUUAAAACUGUUAAUAAUGCUAUUCAUAAAGGCGCUCGUCGUGUAAACAACACAUGGGACCCAACCAAUAAAUGUUUAUGAUCCUCAACUUUCCUCCUCACCGUCCCUGCAAACAAUUCUGAUCUUCUUGUCUGAGAAAAAAACUGAGAAACAAUGGCGGCCGAACAAGAAGCUGUGAGCAAUAAGCGGGUGAUUCUAAGCAACUAUGUGACAGGUUUUCCAAAAGAAUCGGACAUGAAGAUAACAUGUGGAUCAAUAAAACUGGAGGUAGCAGACGGUUUAAAAGACACGGUGCUUUUGAAGAAUCUUUAUAUUUCUUGUGAUCCUUACAUGCGAGAGCGUAUGAGCAAGCUUGAUAGACCUUCUUUUGUUGAUUCAUUCCAUCCUGGUGAGGUUAGUUCAUCACGACCCAUCUCUUGAUUUUUUUUUUUUUUUCAUUUGCUUCAAGUUUUGAUGAGUUUCUGAGGUCAUUUGUACGGUUUUGGAAUGUGAACACUAUUAGUGAUUUUGGGGCUGUAACUGUCAUUAAUGAUAUGUAGUAAUUCAAUCAGAAUUUGGAUUUAGUGCUGAUAUGAUCUCUGCUCAUUUUUUAAAAUCUUGUGUCCAGAUGCAUUUUUAUAAUCUUGUACGGUUGAGAUUGUAUGUAGAUUAAUCUACGUGCAGUAUUCUUGUCUAAUGACUACUAACCACAACCUUAUGAGACGAUCGAAACCAAGCUCAGAUCAAUAAUCCAAUUGAGAGAGGGUCCUAACUCAAGCUUAUCGUGUGUAGGAAUAUUUCGGUUAAAUUGUAAUUCUUUUAAUAAUUGUUGUGAAAAAAAAAAGUUAUGAUAAAAAAAUUAAUAAUUAUAAAAUAAAAAUUAAUUAUAUAUAAUAAAUAAGAUUUUUAAAUAAUAAUUUUAAUAAAAUAUAAUAAAUACAUUAUCAAUUUUUCAUCGUUAAUUUUUAAGUCACAACCACAAAUAUUUACUAAACACUUUAACACCAUAAUUAACACCACAACUAUUGAAUUAUAACUGUACAAUCUAGACGCCAAGAGGCCUUAGUAUGAAAAAAAAAAAUUACAGUUAAGUUAAAAUUCAUCAUACAGAUGUGCCACUUUCAUACUAUACCGGGAUCCUCGGUAAUGAUUUUUGUUACACAAUAAGAUUUGCUUAUAGUAAUAUCAAUACAUAUGCUGCUUAAAUGCUUUCUGAUUUUUUGCCGGCCAUUGUCCAUUUUGCCAGGGAGUCUAUAAUUGAAGGAAUUUACUGAAGGAAUGCUGAUUGUUGGGAAUUUGAUUAUUCUAGGUAUGCCUGGUGUAACUGCAUACGCUGGUUUAUACGAAGUUUGCUUUCCGAAGAAAGGAGAGUAUGUCUAUGUAUCUGCAGCAUCUGGAGCUGUUGGUCAGCUUGUUGGACAGUUUGCAAAAUUAGCUCGUUGCUAUGUUGUUGGAAGUGCAGGAAGCAAAGAAAAUAUAGCACCGUGCCUUCUAGCAGAAUUUUACUUGCUUUAUGUUCCAACUAAGCAUCCAUAUUUGAUCAUGAUAAUUAGCAAGGUCAAUAAUUUUUUUUUGACUAUUUUUUCAACGUAAGGUCGAUUUGUUGAAGAACAAGUUUGAACGAUGCUUUUAACUACAAGGAAGAGCCUGAUUUUGAUGCAGCACUCAAAAGGUCAGCUGCAACAAACGUUUCAACUCUAAUAUUUCAUUUUAAUAUUACAGAGCUUUGGUUGAAGUGUGUGAGUUGAUCCCAGAAACGUAACUUCAUCAGUGUCUCUGUUUUCAAAAAACAUGACAAAUAGAAAUCUGAUUUUGCUUUAAAAUUUCCCAGAUGCUUCCCUCAAGGAAUCGACAUAUAUUUCGAAAAUGUUGGGGGAAAGAUGCUGGACGCAGUGCUACUCAACAUGAGGCUCCGGGGCCGCAUUGCAGUAAGCAGUAUGAUCUCACAGUAUAACCUGGAAAAACCCGAAGGCGUACACAACUUAGAGCAACUGAUCGGGAAACGGAUUCGCCUGGAAGGAUUUCUAGCUGGUGAUUACUAUCACCUCUAUCUGAAAUUCUUGGAACUGGUCAUUCCUCCAAUCAGAGAAGGAAAGAUGCUGUAUGUGGAAGACAUGGCCGAAGGACUCGAGAAAAUUUCUCGUAACUGCUACACAUUAAACGCGUUUCACAUUUCCACUCUCUUUCUAUAAAUAAAUACGCACAUAAAAUUUCUCACCAUCCAAAAACAAAAUCUACAUAAAAAAUGGCGGGUGAAGAAGCAGUGAGCAACAAGCAGGUGAUUCUGAGCAACUACGUGACAGGGUUUCCCAAGGAAUCAGACAUGAAGAUAAUAACAGGCUCAAUAAACCUUAAGGUGCCAGAGGGUUCAAAAGACACAAUGCUUUUGAAGAAUCUUUAUCUUUCCUGUGAUCCUUACAUGAGAGGACGUAUGAGCGAGCUUGAUAAGCCUUCGUUUGUUGCCUCAUUCGAGUCUGGCGAGGUCAGUUACUUCAAUUCCCAUCUCUUGGUUUCAUAAUCUUUUAUGGUUUUAGAAGGUGUUUUAGGGAAACAUUGUGGUUUUGGUUAGUGGGCAUGAGUCUUUGAAGAGAUUAUAAUGUGUAGGACUAUGCAUGCAAUAAUAAGCAUAGGGGAUCUUGUUAGGAGAAGAUUCUCUUAGCAAAAUAAAAACUUUUAUCUUAUCAAAACAUAUGCAGGGAACUUAGUUAUGAUGUCAUGUUAGCAUUGUCUCUGAGGAUUUGAUUUCUUGAUGGGGAAAGGGGAAUUUAAGGUUACAUUAUUCAGCAAUGGUUUUUUUUUUAAAUUAUGUUCAAAUUAUGCAGCCUUUAAGCGGAUAUGGAGUGUCCAAAGUGUUGGAUUCCACGCCUCCAAAUUAUAAGAAAGAUGACUUGGGUGGUGUUUGUUUUUUAACUUAAUGACUUAAAGUGACUUAACUUAAUUAAUUAAGUUAAUUAGAGAUGUUUGUUUUUAUAACUUAAUGUGACUUUUUAAAUAAUUUUGACUUAAUAAAAUAAGCCAAUUUUAUUUACUUUUUACUUAAUAGAGACAUCUGAAUUAAGUCAAGUACUUUCUAAUGUCAAAAAUAUACAUGCUUUAUAAUUUAUUUUUCAUGUCUAUCCCAAAACUCACCCAUAGACAUUUACCCCACAUAAUAAUCUCAUCAUUAUUUUUUUAGCCGUCAUGAAAUCCCUCCUCACUUUGGUAUCAACUCCUCAACUAUUGAAGAUCAAAAUUACAUGCGACAACUUCGAGAUGAAUGGCAAAUCAACUGUUUCAAGCAUCUUAUUAGUUUUUUUUCUUUUUUAUAUUAUAUACGAUAAAAUUUGAAAUUUAUGGUAUUUUAUAUAUUAAAAUUCCAAAAUCAUUAUAUAUUCACUUGAAUAUAGUUUUACUUAUAAAUGUUAAAAUAUUGUGAUAUUUAAUAUAUUGUUUAUUUGACAUUCAAAUUUAAUAAGGAUACAAAUGUAAAAGUACAUAUUUUUCAGUUUUUUAAGUUGAAAAAAGAAAACAACUUAAUAAUUAUUUUUCGAGAUUCAGACGAAAAAACAAACAUAUUAUUCAGAUUCAGACAUUCAGAUCUAUUCAGAAUUUAGACUAAUUCAAGUCUAUUCAGAUUUCAGAUAAAAAAACAAACGCCACCUUGGUCCGGGGCUUAACCAGUUGGGAGGAGUUCAGUCUCAUCCAAUCACCACAACUUCUGAUUAAAAUUCUGGAUACAAGUGUGCCUCUGCCAUAAUUAAUUGACAGGUUGCUAUGUUGUUGGAAGUGCCGGAAGCAAAGAAAAGGUGAGUUUGCACCCUUAACCCUUACGCUCUAAAUAAAAACAUAACACCUUCUGAAAGAAUUGUGCAUAGAGAAUUUUGCAUGUCACAUUAUUUGUGUUCUAACUAAUCAUGGAUAUUUGAUCAUUAGUCUAACUAAAACUGACAUAUUACCACCUAGUUGACUGGUCUUUGAGAAAUGUUAGUUGAUAUAUGCUUGAAAUCAUACUUUGUUUUAUUAGAUGAUUAUAUUAACCUGCUUCUUUUUCUUUGUGCUGUUUCUCGUUUGAUUACAUUUUCAACAUUAGGUCGAUCUAUUGAAGCACAAGUUUGGGUUUGAUGAUGCCUUUAACUAUAAGGAAGAGCCUGACUUGGAUGCAGCUCUUAAUAGGUUAGCACGAAUGAAUGCUUUAACCAUUUUUCUCACUUCAUUAUUACAAUGCGCUGAUUGAAGUAAUCAGUGUUGGCUCUGAAAAUGUAACGUAUACUUCUCUGUUUUCAUAAAACAGGACAAACAGUGAUCAGUGAUCUCAUUCGUUACAUUGAUAUUUUCUACCAUUGCCAUACAUAGUAUAAACUAGGAAUUCAGUUGCUUAAUAGAUAUUCAUUUCAGAGGGAAAUUUUCACUUGCAGCUAACAGAAUCAUGUUUGUGAUGUAUGUUUAUUUGGGAAAUGAAAGGAUUUGUUGCAUUAUUUUAUUCCAAGUUUGCUGAAAUCAUAUUUGUUUUCCCAGGUGCUUUCCUGAAGUUAUCGACAUCUAUUUCGAAAAUUUUGGGGGUAAGAUGCUUGAUGCAGUGCUACUCAACAUGAGAAUUUGUGGCCGCAUCGCUGUAUGCGGAAUGAUCUCACAGUACAACUUUGAGAAGCCUGAAGGUGUACACAACUUGAUGCAAGUAAUUGGAAAACGAAUUCGCAUGGAAGGAUUUCUUGCCAGUGAUUUCUACCACCAAUAUCCAAAAUUCUUGGAACUGGUUAUGCCGGCAAUCAAAGAAGGAAAGUUAGUAUAUGUCGAGGACAUAGCUGAAGGCCUCGAGAAAGCUCCAUCAGCCCUAGUUGGGAUAUUCACAGGUCAAAAUGUUAAAAAACAACUGGUUGUAGUUGCUCGGGAAUGAUAUGAUUACUAUAUGCUUUAAAAAGUGGACUUUGCCAUGCACUUUAAAACCUUAGUGAAGAUGCCUUUGUCUUAUUUUUGAUACAUGUUAUGUUUGUUUGAUCAAGUUGUACUCAGCUAUAAAUCAAAGAUUCAGAACAUGUGUAUGAUACUGGUUUCUAAAUCAAUGAACGCCUUGAAAUGUUAGUGUUUUCACAGGAGAAUGCAAUUUAAUUCAUCAACAAUGUCCCAACAAGACCCUCAGAG
rnacentral:lncRNA from 1 species